rnacentral:lncRNA from 1 species
UUCGCUGACCGCACGAACCGUCGCUGACCCGCGCGCCCCUCUCUUUUCUCUUCUCCAGAACCCCUUUAAGCAAAAAUGGCUACCGAGGGCAAGGAGCACCUUUCCAUCGUCAUCUGCGGUCACGUCGACUCCGGUAAGUCGACCACCACCGGCCGUCUCAUCUUCGAGCUCGGAGGCAUCCCCGAGCGUGAGAUCGAGAAGCUCCGCGCUGAGGCCGAUGCCCUCGGCAAGUCCUCCUUCGCCUUCGCCUUCUACAUGGACAGGCAGAAGGAGGAGCGUGAGCGUGGUGUGACCAUCUCCUGCACCACCAAGGAGUUCUUCACCGACAACUGGCACUACACCAUCAUCGACGCCCCCGGUCACCGUGACUUCAUCAAGAACAUGAUUUCCGGCGCCGCCCAGGCUGACGUCGCCCUCCUCAUGGUCCCCGCCGACGGUAACUUCACCACCGCCAUCCAGAAGGGCAACCACAAGGCCGGUGAGGUCCAGGGCCAGACCCGCCAGCACGCCCGCCUCAUCAACCUUCUCGGUGUCAAGCAGCUCAUCGUUGGCAUCAACAAGAUGGACUGCGACACCGCGGGCUACAAGCAGGAGCGCUACGAGGAGAUCCGCAACGAGAUGAAGAACAUGCUCAUGAAGGUCGGCUGGAAGAAGGACUACGUCGAGAAGUGCGUCCCCGUCCUCCCCAUCUCCGGCUGGCAGGGUGACAACCUCAUCAAGAAGACCACCAACAUGGGCUGGUGGUCCGGCGUCGAUGUCAUCGACUACGAGAUGAAGGGCGACAAGCACCACAUCGACACCCUCCUCGACGUCCUCAACGGCAUGGUCACCAAGCCCCCCCGCAACGACGCCGCCGACAUGCGCCUCCCCAUCUCCGGCGUGUACAAGAUCAAGGGUGUCGGUGAUGUCCUCGCGGGCCGCGUCGAGCAGGGCGUCGUCCGCCCCGGUGAGGAGGUUGUCUUCAUCCCAACCCACACCGUCUCCAACCCCUGUGUCGGCAAGGUGUUCACCGUCGAGAUGCACCACAAGCGCGUCGACGAGGCUCACCCCGGUGACAACGUCGGCAUGAACAUCAAGGGUCUCGACAAGAUCAACAUGCCCCGCACCGGUGACGUCAUGAUCUACAAGAAGGACACCACCCUCAAGGCGUGCAAGAACUUCAACGCCCAGGUCCAGGUUCUCGACGUCCCCGGCCAGCUCAAGCCCGGCUACUCCCCCGUCGCCUUCGUGCGCUGCGGCCGCUCCGCGUGCAAGAUGACUGAGCUCAUCUUCAAGGUCGGCAAGGAGACCGGUGGCAAGAAGAUGGAGUCCCCCGUCGCCCUCAAGUCCAACGAGGUCGCCGAGGCUGUCUUCGAGCCCCAGCACCCCUUCGUCGUCGACCACUUCAAGGCUUGCGACGGUCUCGCCCGCAUUGCGUUCCUCGACGGCAACACCGCCGUCAUGCUUGGCAAGAUCACCAAGGUCCAGUUCAAGGAGGACAAGUAAAGUGUUUGACGUUUGCUGCUUAUAAUAGACGUUGUAUACUUUGAAUCUCAUGAAAGACGUAAAAAUAAUCAUCGCAACCCAUAUUUAGCCCUCAUCCAAUCACGACCGUCUUCACCGUGACGGGCGCGCACGCUUCCUUGAGCCACGCCUUCACCUUCUCAUCCGUCACCCUGGGCGACACCUUCUCCCAAACGACCGCGUGGUACUGGUUCAGCCACGCCACCUCAGCACCCGACAUGAGAGAAAAGUCAAUCAGCUUCUUUUGGAUCGGUAUGUGCGUCAGGUAGUCAAACGUGAGGUACUUCUUGUCGCCAAAGUUGUGCGAGGUCUUCGCCUCCCUCACCACGAGCAGGUUCUCGAUCCUGAUCCCGAAUCCGCCGUCCUCGUAGUAACCCGGUUCGUUCGAGAGGAUCAUCCCGGGCACGAGGCCCGUCAUGUUCCCGAACCUCGGAGAGAUGCUCUGCGGGCCCUCGUGCACGUUGAGCGCGGCGCCGACGCCGUGGCCGGUGCCGUGCCUGUAGUCCAGCCCCGCUUCCCACAGGUGCCUACGCGCGAAGGCAUCGAGGACGAACCCGCUGGUGUCCUGGGGGAAAACCGCCGUGGUGAGUCCGAUGUGGCCCUGUAAGACGCGGGUGUACGCGUUUUUCUGGUGGUCGGUGGGCGUUCCGAGGUGGUGAGUGCGGGUCACGUCGGUGGUGCCGCAGUCGUACUGGCCGCCGCUGUCGCACAGGAGGAGCGAAUUUUGUCCCACCUUUCGUGCGCUCUCCACGCUGGCGCGGUAGUGGAUGAUGGCGCCGUGUGGUCCCUCGCCGGCGAUCGUCGCGAAGGAUUCCUCGCUAAACCCCGGUUGCUCGGCGCGAAACUUGGAGACCCACUCGCCGAUCUCGUACUCGUCCCACUCCUUACCCUGCGCCGCCUGCUCGUCGAGCCAGCACCAGAAGGACGCCAUCGCGACACCGUCCCGGAGGUGCGCCUCGAGCAUGCCCGCGAGCUCCGCCUCGUUCUUCACAGCCUUGGCUAACGGGAUCGGGGAGACGCCCUCCUUGAUGGUUUUCUUCGCGUCGUCGUUUUCCGUCUUUGCCUUUUUCUCCGCGGGGCCAGCCGCCGCGGCGGCCUCCUCGGCAGCCUCCACGAGCGCCACGCUCACCUUAUCGGCGUCGAUCCAGAGCGUCUUGCCCGCGGCGGCGGCGGCGCGCAUGUCCCCGGCGCAAUCGUCGUAUGGCUUGACGACGACGCCGGCCUCGUCGAGGUGCGCCCUCACUUCGUUCGUCACCUUGCCGAGGUCGACGUAGAGGCAGGCCUCGUCCUUGCUCACGAGUCCGUAGCCCAGGGUCACGGGGUUGUAAUCGAGGUCACCGCCGCGGACGUUGAAGAGCCACGCCACCUCGUCCAGCGGGGAGACGACCAGGACGUCGCUCUUGUUCUCAUCGAGCUUGGCGCGGAUGAAGUCAACCUUAUCGGCGACUGACUUGCCGCUGAACUCCGCCUUGUGAACCCUCAGCGGCGCGGUGGGAAAGGCCGGUCGAUCCGCGUCCCACACCGUGUCCACUGGAUUGACGUCGAGGGUGACCAGGGCGCUCCCGGCGGCCUCCAGGGCGGAUCGGAGGGCUCGAGCCUCGGAGAGGGAGUGCACCGCGGGGUCGACGCCAACCUUGGAUCCCUUGGCCAUCUUGUCGGCGAGCCACUUGGAGGGCUCGGGGACGCCGGGCUGCCCCCCUCGCAUGAGCGUCCACUCCGGACCGAGCUCCUGCUCAGCCUGGAGGAAGUACCGGCCGUCGGUCCAGAGCAGGGCCUCGUCGUGGGUGACGAGCGCGGUGCCUGCGCUGCCGGUGAAUCCGCUGAUGAACAUCCUUCGCUCGAAGCACGUCGGGACGUACUCGCUGAAGUGGGGAUCCUGGGACGGGACGAUGAACGCGUCCACACCCGCGGCCUUCAUCGCCGCGCGCAUGGCGACGAGCUUGGGAUCGGGAGCCAUCUUGGUCUCGGAGCCUUCGACCUUGACGUCGCUCGCGGCGCUGGAUCUGGCGCGAACUGUGCCGGGCCUGACGCGAAGAGACGCGACGGCGGUGGCGAGCUGAGAGGGAGUCUGGGUCGGCUGCGGGGCGCGCUUGCCUACGAUCGGGGUUCGCUGCAACAGGCGAAGGGCGGAGGCUCGGAGCAUCCAGUCCGUUCCGGUCACGGCGGAGGCGCGAACACACUGUGCCAACCCUAUCGUUUGACAGUGGCUUGGGGGGCAAUAUUUUUGCCACGUCCCCAACAAAAAAUCCGAGUCCAGAGUGCUUGCAGUGGUCUAUUUUCAGUCUCUGCGCCUCUUCCGCGCGUCGCGCUAUGUUCUACUCACCCGUCAGCACCGCUCGAACACCCGGUACAGCUGCUCGAGGCACGCCACCUGCAGCACCGUCCCGUCGCUCGCGCUCGCCCGCGUCGGCACGAGCUUCCUGGCAAUCGCCGGGAAGAGCACGUGCCGGAUCUGCCAACGCUCGUCGUCCACCCCCGCGAUGUCCGCGUGCCGGCCUGAGUCCGAGUCGCCUCCUCCUCCCCCUCCCCGUCCCUCGACCCCGGCGCGGGCGACAGCCUCCCCCGGCGGCACGACGUUUUCGGCGUCUUCGUCUACGUCUUCGUCGUCGUGGCCCGAGUAGAACGACGCUAUGGAUCUGGCGCACGUCUCAAAGCACGGCUUCUCCUCCUCCCAGUUCACCUCGUGCGCCAGGGAUAGGCAAAACUCGGGGAGCCGCGCGAGGUUCGGCGCGUGACCUUCGCACAGCACGGGUAAGCCCACGAGAGUCCGCGCGCGUUGGUCCACGUCGACGCCGAAGUACUCGCGAAGCAUCUCAGCCUUUUCCGCCACGAGCGCGGCGGCGGCGUUUGCGAUUUUCUCCUUGGCCUCCUCCGCCUUUGCCUUCUCCACGCCUUCGGGAACCUCCUCGUCGUCCAGGGCCAUUCGCACGAGCGCCGCGAUGGGCGCGGGCUCGGCGAGGGCGCGGCACGGGUGUCGCCCGAACCUCGCGACGACGCGCUGGUAGAAGAGGUCGCGCGCCAGCCGAUUGACGCGCGCCAUGUACAGCUUCGUGCCGUGCUGCAGGAGCCACAGCCCCCGGCGCUCGUCCGCGCAUCCAACGAGCGUCAGACCCGCGAGAACCCUUCGGAGGGCGACGUGCGCGUUCGCGGUGAUCUCCGACCAGAGCUCGCGCACGGACGUGAGCUCCGUGGUCUCCCCGUCUGGAAGCUCCGGAGAAAUUUCCGAGAUAUUUCCGUCUCCGCCGUUUCCGACGUCGUACCCUCGAAGCUCAGCCUCCUCGUCGUCCACCCCCGCGGUCGAGUCGCCGCCGCGCGCCGCGUACCUCCGCGCCCGCGCCUCCCGCCGCGCCUCGUCCAACCGCGCGCGCUCGGCGUUCGCGUUCGCGUUCGCGUGGAAGAACUGAUCGAGAGAACCCGCCGCUAACGUCGCGUCGGUGCGAACCAUCCGGUGCUCGCCCCCCGCCUUCUCCCGCGCCGUGAGCGGCUUCGAGCGUUUGUUCCGACCCGUUUGUUCGAGCGUUCCGACCCCUCCGUCGCCGCGCUCGUCGCCGUCGUCGUCGCCGUCGUCGCGCUCGUCACGCCCGCGCGUCGCCCCGGGCCGCGAUGCGCCGGGAAGCAGCGACUGCCUCGCGGAUCUUUGCGGAUCUUUGCCGCCAUCGCCAAACGCCCCCGCCCGACCAGUCACCGCCCGACCAGUCACCGCCUCGUCCACCUCGGUCCCGACGACGGCUCCGACGGCGAACGUCCUGCUCCCGUUCGCCUCCACGAGCCUUCGCUCCAGCGCGCGUUGCACGCGCUCCACCACCUCGUCCUGCCGAAGGAACGCCACCUCCCUCUUCGUCGGGUGCACGUUGACGUCCAGCGUGUGCGGCGGGAGCCGCAGCGAUAGGUACGCAAACGGUUUCUCCGCCUUUGGGAGUAUGGCCGAGUAGACAGCCUCGCACGCGCGUCGCAGCGGGGCGCACUCCACCAGCCUGUCGUUUAUGAAAAGUAUGAACGUCGUGCGGCGGGAGUGGUAGCCCGCGGUGGACACCAGGGCGUCCACGCUGUACUCAGCCGCCCGGUCGCCGUCGCCGUCCGCGUCGCCAGCUGUGUCGUCGCCGGGCGUGUCCGCCUCUGCCGAGUUACUCAGCGUCAUCGGCGUGAGCUCGCGGGCCACCUGAGAGCCGUAUAUCGCACGCAGCCGGUCGAUCCGGUGCGGGGUCACGGCGCAGUGCAGCGACGGCCUCGCCUCGCCGUGUUUCCUGCACGUGAAGGCGACGUCCGUUCGCGACGACGCGUAUCGCUGCACGACGUCGAGAACCUUGGCAAACUCCUCGUGUGGGGACUUGAGCGCCUUGCGUCGGGUGGGGACGUUGUAGAAGAGGUUCUCGACGGUGAUGGUGGUGCCGGGGUUACCCGCGCAUGGCCUGGCGCCGCCACCGUCGAGGGCGCCGUCGCAGUACGACGCCUUGAGCGCGUGCGUGGCGCCCCUGGUCAUGGUGGUCACGGUGAGGUUCGCGACGAAAGAGAUGGACGCGAGCGCCUCGCCCCUGAACCCGAAGGUGGACAUCGCGCUGAGAUCCUCGAACUUGGACAGCUUGGACGUGGUGUGGCGCUCGCAUAGGAUGGGCAGGUCCGCCUCGCGUAUCCCGCAUCCGUUGUCCGUCACCUGCAGCAGCUUGUUGCCGCCAUCCUUCACCGUAACCACGAUCGAUGUCGCGCCCGCGUCGAGCGAGUUCUCGAGGAUCUCCUUGAGCGCGGACGCGGGCCGGUGGAUGACCUCGCCCGCGGCGACGCGAUUGACGACCUCAUCGGCGAGACGGUGGAUGGGCUUGGGCUCCAUGGCUCCCAAAACGUCCCUGGCCAGAGCCCUCGCCCCUUACCAAUGCCCUGACGUCUUAGAUCUGGCGCGGCGUUUUUCAAAGUUCUCGGACCAAGCCUGCUCGGUCUGAAGAGAGAGACGAUGUUGGCAGUGGUCCCACGGGAAGGCGAGAGAGCCGCGCACAACACGCGCACCCGAACCGCUCGAGGAUCGACGCGCGCGAUGACCACAACGAGCGCAUCGUUGUUGUGUUCAGUAAGUAUCGCGACGAUCCGUCGCGGGUGGCGAGGAGCGUCCUCCUCCGGCCGCACCCCGAGCGCGCACGAGACCGUUCCGGCGGCGGUGCAUGCUCCGAGGAUUCGCGCCCCGCCGCUGCGAAGGACGCCGCGCGCCCCCGGGGCCGUCGCCGAGCCCCCGGGUCCGACGUCCCCCUUGACAGACACGAGCUCCUCGAACUGGCGCGACAACCCCUUCGCGCGAUACUGCGACGACGCCAUGGCCAUCCCGGAGGUGGUCGAGGGCCUCCGCGUGCUCGAACAGACCCAUCCCGAGAUUGACGGAAACGUGGUGCUCUUCGCGGUGUGGCGCGCGACGCGGGGCGGGGACGCGCGUCCAAUGUCUCACGCCGCGCUGCGCAAGGCGACCAAAAUAUCGGAGCGAUGGCGAUGGCGCGUCACCGACGGUCUCGCGCGCGUCGAGGCGUCCCUGCGCGGACCCGACCUCGCGGAGUCGCCCCAAGCCGCGAACCUCGCAGCCGCCGUAGCCGCGCUGGGCGACGAGGUCGACGACGUGGCCAGGGCGGCGCUGUUCGAGCUGGCGGCCUCAGAGGCGUGGUGGUCCGACGGUGACGACGCGGGCGGUGGCGGCGACGACGCGGGCGACGCGUUGGCGUACGAGUCGGGCAAGGCGACCGUGCGGGGCCCGACGGCCGUCGCCGCGGCGAAUCUGCGAAUGUACCUGCUGGAAUACCUCGGAGCUCGGUUCAUCGCGAACGAGUGGCGACGCGUGCGGGGGGUGCUGGACGGGUGCCUCGCGGUGGGGGGCGUCGACGCACACGCCGACAUCAUCGGCAUCGUGGACGCGCGGGGCGGGACCGUCGGUGACGCGCCAUCGUCAUCGAGCGGCAUGAGCGACGAGGCGUGGCGGGCGGUGCGAGGGUGCGUGGACCUUACGAUGACCAAGCCGCGGCGCGAUCGUCCCGGGGAGGCCAACAGGCGGUACAUCGACGCGAGGCGUAACCUGCGAGAUGCGGACAGGCUGUGGAAGGCGACGUGCGAGGACUACAGGCGGGCGAGACGGACGGUGAAGCACGCGCGUCACGAGGUGCACAAGAGCAGGAAAGCCGUCAGGGUGGAGUUCCGAUGACUCGAUCCGACGAUGAUAUCGCGCACCUUCGUGACGACACUUAGAGUGGUUUAAGUUAAUAAGACAAACGGAUCUACGUGAACACCCUCAGCGUUCACUCCGCGGCUAUGUACAUCACGCGGGCGACGGUUUAGCCUCCGCCUUGGUCGCGUGCCUCGGUGAUUUUCUCGGCGACUUUGGCAUCGUCUCCAGCAGAGCUUUCGCGUCCUGCGCAAACAUGUCGCCCGUUCCCUUUGCAGCCUCCUUGUGCGCGUCGGCCACAUCUUUGCCUCCAGCCUUGAACAGGCCGCAUAUGUCGGGCGGGCCGUAGUCCUUGUACACCUGAUCGGCCCACUUGGCUAUCCCGCCGCAGGCGUUGUACCUUGGACGCUUGAGAUCGUGGCCCUCCCCUUUCUUCUUAUCCGCCGAUCCGACAAUCGACGCGAUGAGGUCAGACUCGAGCGCGAGCUUGUUCUUGGCACUCGGCUCCUGCUUCACCUCGUCGCCGAUCUCCUUGCGAAGGUCCGUGCCGAUGGACACGGACAUGGCGGCGCCGCUCUUUCGCUUGGCCUCCCUCCCGCUCUUCGUCUGCUCGUCCAGCCGGAGAAGCUCGGCGCUCAGGUUAGCCGACCCGAGCGGCCUCACGCGGCCCCGCAUCCCACCGUCGCCGCCGGUCCUCUGCGAGCCGUCCGGCCCGUAGGACAGCUCGGGGGCGUCCGGCACGGGCGCCGCGGUGCCCGUGAGCUCGGACAUGAACCUCGGCGUGGGUCCCAUGAUGGGCUCGGACUCCGCCGGGGCUUCGCCCGCGCUGAUCGCCUCGAGCUGCACCGCCCGGUCCAGCGCCUCAAACUCCACGUGCAUCUCCUCCUUUUCCUUUCCAGCCUGGAUGCGCUCAGCCGCGGCGGCGGCAGCCUCCUUCGCCGCGGGCACCCCGACGCCGGCGGUCUUGGCGAGGGAGAUCUUAGCCUUCAGGUCCAGCUUCUCCACAGCGCGUUCCUGCGCGAUGGAAAACGUCUGCGCCGCCUUUGCCCACUCGUUCAUGUAGCACAUAACCUGGCCCAUUCGAGCCAGCCCGAUGCCCCAGCGGGGACCACCCUCCUUAAGCGCCGUCUCCGCGUCCACCGCGGCCGCGCUGCUGUUACCCACGCGCAUGCGGGCCAGCGCGCGGUUGGCGAGCAUGGCGGGUCGCCACGCCGCCAAGGGCGUAUCCGCGCCGUUCAUAUCCUCCAUCUCGAGCGCAAACGUGUACAGCUCGUCGGCUCCGGCAAAGUCGCCGCACCAGCAAAAGAUGUUGGCCAUGCACAGGCAGAUCUUAGCCUGCUCCAGCGGCGUGAGCGAGUCGAUGUUCACAGCCUCGAACGCGAGGUCCAGCCACGUGGAGUCCUCCGGGAUCGGGAGUCCCUCGUGUCGUUUCUUGGCAAAGAGCGACAUGGCGCGCUCCGCAAAGUGCUCCUUCUCGGUGUACUCCUCGGUGGUUAUGUCGUUCUCCUUGAGCUGAUCGUCCUUCAACGCCUUCGUGGCGUCGUUGUUCUCCACGGCGUCGACGAUCGCCACGAGCACGCCGUGUGGGCACGCUUUCCUGCGUAAAUCGUACCACUCCUGUGACUUGACACAGUCCAGUCCGAUCGCCUCCCACUCCUUGUCCAUCUGCUCCAGGGACAUCUCGAACACCUUCCCGCCCUUGCUGCCUCCGCCGCCGUUCAGCUUGGGGGUACCGUUGGGACCCAGCGUCGGCGUCGCGCCCGUGGGGGUGAUACCCAGCGGGGUCACCACCGUGUUCCUCAUGCGCUCCAGUCCUCGCGCCACCGCGACUGACUUUGGGUCGAGCUGCGCGGCUCGCUGGUACGCCCUCAGCGAGGGCUCGUUGCCCCCGGCCGCCUCGUACACCGCGCCGAGCCGCAGGUGCGUCUCCGCCAGCUCCGGGGCGCUGUCCACCCCCGCUUCGGCGUCCAUCAUCGCGAGCCAGAUCUGUCCGAGCGCCAGCCUCGACUCGCUCCGGGAGCUGAUGAUCUCGCCCACGAUGCGCCUGUGCGCGGCAACCAGAACCGAGCUGGUGUCCGCCUCGUUGCGCCUGAUCUCCAGGCGCAGACCCUUGGCGACCUGGAUGGAGGUGAUGACCUUGGCUUCGUUCCACGACAGAACGCAGUCGCCGAGCGCCUGUGUUUCGUUUGGGGACGUGAGGGCGAAGGGGCCUUGGUGAGCGACAAUCCAAAAUCCAAAAUUGGCGUGGGGAACGUCCGACAGACAAGCGGACCGGAGCGGCAAAAGGGGCGCGGGCUCGGAAAAGUGAUCGGGCUGGGGGCGCACCUCGGUGAAUCUCUGGACCGCGACGUCGUGCCUGCCGUUGUUGGCGGCGGCCUUCGCUUUAUGGUACCGGCGCAACGCGGAGACCAGGGUCCCGCUCACAUCCCCGGGGAAGCUGGAGAAGGACGUGUCCGUGCCUGCGUGGGGGCGGGUGAUGGGGCGGGACGCGAUGAGAAAAUUUGCGCAAGGGCGAGCCCGGUCUUCUUUUUCGCCGAAACGGUGUCCGAUUUGGCGCCGGGAACGGGGCGCCCGGGCGGGUUCGGGGCCUCAGACGGCGGGUUCGACGAUGUCGACGGGUCGUGACAUACCUUCACUGCUCACGAGUCGCUCCGCGAGGGCCUCCAUGUCUUCGCCCAGGCGGCGAGACUCCUCGCACGCCAGCACCCAGCCGGGCUUGGCGAGCGAGACGGCCUCAUCUUCCACGCGAUUUCCCGGCAUGCCGUUGCGCUGCGCGAAGGGGUUCUGGAGGGCGUCCCUGGGCUCCUCGGUGCGCAUAUCACGCCUCGCGCCGCUCCCUUGGGUUCGUCCGGUGCGGAACCAAGGGUUUGGGACGCGUGGGUGCGAGUCGACGCGCGAGGAAGCGCUGGCUUCCGGUGGUGGAUCGCCGUAUGAGGAAUAACACCCGACUGGGUUGGCGAGUGCUCCAUCGCGUUUUCCGUCAAGACCGACCGGAGUUGUCCGGCCGAAACCUCACGCCCGUCGCGUCGCCCCUCUUCUUCACUCCACGCGCUUUCACAACCGAGCGCCAUGGCCAAGCUCCUCGGCUGGGAUCAGGACGUCACCACCGUGUACGCGCGCUUCACCGUCCCGAAGGGCACAAGGGCUUCGCAGGUGCGAGUGGACGCCGCCGUCAACUCUCUGUUGGUCUUCGUCCUGCCGGCGGACUCCACCCUGAGCUACGUGUACGAGGGCCAAAAGGAGGGCGGGGAGCUGAGCAAGACGAUAAUCUCCGCCGACGUGCUGUGGACGCUGGAGGAGGACGAGAAAGGUCGGCGGGUAGUUCACGUCGUUCUGCCGAAGAGCACCACCGGGCAGCUGGACAAGCCGUGGCGCACCUUGUUCGCCGAGCACGAGGAGGUUGAGGGCGACGAGGAAAAGUCUAUGGCGGACUGCCUGAAGGAGCUCACGUUCUGCGACGAGCCGUCCACGCCCUUCGACGAGCUGCCGCUGGACAUACGACUGCACAUGGAGGAGCUACGGCGGCGCAAGUACGCCAUGGGCGCGGGGUACCUAAACCCGGCGGAGGACUUUGACGACUUCAGGAUGGUCCUCACGGAGUGAGACGACCCCUGUGAAAGAGUGAGACGACCCCUAUGAAAGGGUGAGACGACGGGAAAGAGUGUCGACGCCCCGUCCUCUUGUCCACCCACCCACCACCCGUUCUCCAUCGAAAACGAACGAACGGUCAAAGUCAUCGGUCAACACCAAAUAGCGCUACUCUCACGUCCGGCACGGGGGAUGCGCCGGGCACUCGCCCUGUCCCUUACAAACCGGGCACUCGUCGCACGAGCACCCGCCCCCGGCCCCGACCCCGACGGCUCCCCGCGCGCGUUUGGCGCCGUCCCCGCACCUCGGCGGAUCCGGGCACGUUCCCUUCGAGCCGCACUUGGGACAGGGCGCGCAUCUCGGGCACCCUCCCGCGUCGCCGUCGCCUCCGUCGCCAGCUGUGUUGCCGCCGUUCGUGUCCCCGUCGUCCUCCCUCUUGGCCACCACCGCCUCCGUCGUCUUCGCCCCUUCCGCGUCUCGCGGGGCGGUCGCACCGUGCGACGACCCAACCCCGGACCCCGCCGCGCCUUCGCACUUGGGGCACUCGCGACGCGCGGGAUCCGGGCACCUCGUGGGCUCGCACCGCGGGCAGGUGGGACACUGCAGCGCGUCAACCUUGCCGGAGAAUCCACCGCGGCCGAAGAGCGCCGUGGACGACUUCCUCUCGCCGUGAUAGACGCCGAAGAGGAAGCCCGCGACGACGGUGAGGCCCCAGAGGAGGGUCCAACCGACUCUCCGAUGCUUUCUCCCCGUGCGAUCCUCCCGCUCCAUCGUCGCACCCCGAGGGCGCGCGCGUUUGUUCUGGUUGUUACCCCGCCGGUCAUCAAUUCUCUUCCCCGGCGGUCUCGCGACUUUCGAGUGAGGACGCUCAAAAUCAUUAGGGUUCCUUCGCGCUGUGGCAGUGCGCGACGGCGCGACGGCGCGUUCCCGGGAGUGCCGAGCGGCACAGUGAACACCCGAGAGGAUGCCGGCGUCGGCCAUGGACGUCGACGCGCCCAGGGCCUGGCUCCCCGACGUGCGGCGGCAGCAUCUGGACCUGGACGUCGGGUUCGUCCCCGGCGCGGGAGGGUACGUGCGGGGGCACACCACGAUCGUCUGCAGGCCGCUGCCGACGGAAUCGGGGGACGCCACAACGCUCACGCUGCACGCUCACGAGCUCGUGGUGACGCGCGUGACGGUGAACGACGCGCCCGCGCGCGUGAUCCGACGAGGGAGGACCGCCGUGCGUCCCGACGGGUCCGACGAUCCAUCGGGUGACGACGUCGACGCCCUCGCCGUCGCCGACGCCGGCGCGCUGAGCUCCGGGGCCAACAUCGCGAGGAACGCGUGCGAGGGAAUGCUCGCGGACGCGCGCGCCGUCGCCGACGGCGCGGCGGACGAGCUCGUCAUCGCGCUCGAGGACGGCGGGGUCAUCGCGAGCGGCGGGUCAUCCGAGGAUGUAGUCGUCAGGGUCUGGUACGGCGCGGGCACCGCGAUGAACGCGUUCGGGGUCCAGCCCCCGGACUCGUGGAGGCGCAUCGCGCCGCUCGUGGCGCACCCGCGCCCUCCGCGGGCGGGCGAGGACCCGGGGGGGAACGACCCUACGGGGGGGAACGACGCGGGGGGCGACGGGAACGGCGGCGAGGGAACCGGCGGGAACAAAGUCGCACAGCUGGACGAAGUCGCACAGCUGGACGAAGUCGCACAGCUGGACGAAGUCGCACGAAGCCGCGGGGAGGAGCCCAUCGACGCGUACGCGGGCUGGUGUAACCCCGGGGACGGGGCGUUGUGCGCGUUCGUCGAUUCGGACGAGGGGAACGCGCGGUAUCUGUGCGCGCCGGGCUCCGCGUUGCGUCCCGCGGCGUGGUUCCCGUGCGUCGACGACGGCGGCUCGUUGGUUCACUUUAGCGCCGUCGUUAAGGUCGACCCGGACCUCACCGCGGUUCUCCCGGGGGUGCUCACCAAGACGGACGUCAUCGAGGAGACGAUACGUAGCCCGGACGACGGCGCACCCGCCCGGACGCGGUCGCGACGGGCCUUUCACUACGUCUCCGGGGGGGUGCCGGUGCAGGCGCACCAGAUGGUGUUGGCGGUUGGCACCUUCGCCACGCGAAAGAUCCCGACGUCGACGGCGCACGGGGAUACGUUCGCCGCCGCGGCUCGGGCGGAGGAGGAGGACAAGGAGGAGGAGGCGGCCAAGAACGACGCGGACGGUACUAACGCCAGGUUCCACCAGUACCUGGACAACGCCGCGGAGUCAACCGCGCACAGCUCGACGCACGCGCUUCACUGUCCGCCGUGCUACGCGGAGAACGAGCUUCCCGCGGCGGCUUCGUGCGCCACGUCGGCGCUGAAGUCGUUCGAGACCUACCUGGGCCGACCGUUCCCGUACCCCGGCGGCCUCACCUUCUGCUUCGUUCCCCCCGACGCGCUGCCGGUCUCGAUGGACCUGCGGUUGCCCGCGAUGCUGGGCGCGGGCGUCACGAUUCUCUCGACGGAUAGGCUCGGUCACCCGCUCUCGGCGGCGGACCUCGUCACCUCUCGAACGGCGAUCGCGGAAUGCGCCGCGAGGCAGCUCUUCGGCGGGUUCCUGGAGCCAAGGGAGGACACCGACGCGUGGCUGGCGGAGGGACUGGCCAGUUACAUGGCGGGCGCGUGCUACAUCUCGUCGCUGAUGGGCGCGGAUGAGCUGAAGUAUCAGAGGGCGCGGGAGGUGGAGGCGGUGGUCGAAUGCGACGACGGCGACGCCUUGCCUCCGCUGGCGUCCCCUUCCGCGAGGAUAUGGGCGCGCGGACGGUCCGCGUGCGGCGCCUCCGCGGAAGAGGUGAAGGCGCGGGCCGUCGGGGAGGCGCGCGCGCGAGGGGAGGACCCGGAUGCCGUCGCGGCUCUCGAGCACGCCAGAGACGUCGCCCCGGCGAGCAAGCCGCCGAGGCCUCCCGCGCCAGGCGUCGACACGCUCGUGCGGUGCAAGGCCGUGGCCGUCGUGGAGAUGCUCGAGCGCAAGCUCGGGGAGGAGGGGAUGCAAAAGGUGAUCAGGAAGCUCGCCUCGCUGCAGGGCAAGGCUCCCGGCGCGGAGUCCCUUCAGGAGGCUGCGAUUGCCGCGUCAAAGGCUACCAGGGCGGCUAAGGAAAAAGCUGCGGCGGCGGCGGAGGCGGCGAAGACCGAGGGCGCGGACGAGUCCGCGAACGCCGCCGCGAAGGAGAAGGCCGCCGCGACCGCGCGCGAGCAGCUCCAGCGGGAGCACCAGGAGUCCAUCGCGUACCACGCCCUCGCGGAGUCACCGGCUCGGUUCCUCCGGUCGCGGGUGUUUCUCAACCUGUGCAGGCAAAACGCGACGAUGACGAAGGCGGACAUGUCCGCGUUCAACGCGCGCUGGAUCGAGGGAUGCGGCUGCCCCAGGCUCACCGCCGCGUACACCUUCCGCAAGACCCGGCGACAGGAGCUCCUGUUCGCGAUCAAGCUCGACGGUUGCCUCGCCGCCGCCGCGGCGGACCGGGUGGCGUGGAGCAAAAACCCGAAGGUUUCCGUGACUGUCCGGAUCCAGGAGAACGACCUGCCGCCGUCCGACCACGCCGUCUCCCUCUCCGCGCACGACAGGGCGUACGUGCUCAUGCCCCUGCAGCUCGUCACCAAGCCCAAGGACAGGCGCACCAUCGCGCGCCAACAGGAGGCUGCGAUGAGACGGCAGCAGCAGGCGAUGGAAGCCGGCAAGGCGAACCCGGAUAACCUCGACGCGAUGGCCGCCGCCGAGGUGCUCCAGUGGGAGUGCCCGGUGUCGUGGGUUCGCGUGGACCCCGAGGGGGAGUGGCUUGCCAAGGUGGUCCUGCCCUCGGCGCAGCAAGGUCUGGAAGGGAUGAUCACCAAGCAGCUCAUGUCGGAGCGCCCGGCGGAUCCGGCGGCUCAGAUGUGGGCCAUCCGGUUCUUGCGGGAGCGCGCCGAGAACGGCUCCACCUCGGCGGUUAACGCGCUGUUGCAGUGCGCCGAGGACCCUAAAACGUUCUGCAGGGUCCGCGCCCUCGCCGCGAUGGCGUUGGGCGCCUGCGCGUGCGACGGGACGCAGAGAUCCAACCUCGCGUUGUCGUCGGUGACGAGGACGUACCGCAGGCGUCGAUGCGAUCCACGAACGGGCAAACCUAAACCCACCGACCUCGCCGACUUCGCCGCCGCCAUCGUCGACGAGGGCUUGCUCACCGCGCUGGGCCUACCCCGCGCGCCCCCGGAGUCCACGAGCGGUUGGGAGGACGCGGACGACGCGUGGGUUACCCCGACGGAGUGCGUGGAUUUGCUGGUGGACGCGCUGAACCACACGGAGAGCGACGGGGAUCCGCACGAUUCGUCGUCGCUCAUCGCGACCGCGAUUCACGCGCUCGGCCGGGCCAGGCCCGCCACCCUCGACGGCGUCCGGCGGAUCACGCGGGCGAUCGCCGGGCGCAUGCGCGAGAACGCGACCAUCUGCGGCGUCGGCGGGCGCGCGCACGAGGGCGGCCGGCGGGUCAUGGUCGCGGGGAUGCUCGCGCUUCGGACACUUCUGGAGCGCCUUCCGCCGCUCCCGGAAUCCAUCCGAGCCGCGAACGAGGCGAAGAAGGCCAUCGAAGCGGCGGGCGGCGGCGCGAACGGCCAAGGCGGACCCGGGGUCAGGCGGCGGCGCUCGGCGGUGACGUCCCUCGGUGACGCCGAGGAGAAGGCGCGGCUCUCCGCCGUCGCCGUCGCCGCCGUCGUCUCGGAAUGCGUCGCGACGGCGAGGUCUUUCGUCGCCGAUCGCGUCGGAAUAGACCCGUGUCCGGCCGUGCGACGCGCCGCCGUCGCGCUCCAGUUUGGCAUCGAGGCGUCGCACGGCGGUCCGUGCGGCGUCGCGAGGGCCCUCGCGUUUGCGACGCUCGCGUGCAAAGCCGAACAAAGCGGCGGGGUUCGCGCCGCCAUCCUCUGGGACGCCCGCGACGCCCUGCGUGCGAUGCCGGACGCCCCCGCGCAGCUCGCAGCGCUCACCGGGGGAUCAGGCACCGGCACCGCGAGCGACCCCGACCGCCACGGCUUUGACGUCUUUGAGUGGACCGCCACGUCGCUGCGCAUCGCGUCGCGGCGGGCGGGGGCGGAGACGGCGACGGCGGCGCUCGCGGUGAUGCGCGCCGCGUCCGGGCUCGACGACGAUUACCCCCACGAGCGGGACCUCGCGGACUUAAAAGCUAGGGAGGCGGCGAGGGAGGCUGUCCUCGCGGGCGCCGCGCAGGCUGCAAACGACAUUGAGGACGAGGCGGACGAAGCGGAGCGUUUAGAGCGCCGACGUAAAAAAGAGGAAAAGGCGAAGGCCCGCGCGGAGAAGGAGGAACGAAGGGCGCGGAAGGAGGAGAGACGCGCGAGGCGACGCGCGGCGGAGGCUGCCGCGGCGGCGGAGGCGGCGGCGGAGGCUGCAGCCGCGGGCGGCGGGGUUGGGGACGACGGCGCGGGCGCGUCCGAGAUGAUCACGGACGCGGAUGGGGACGUCACGAUGGGGGGUUUCUCCGACGGCGGGCCCGUGUCCGGUCUCACGGGUGGCGUCACCGGCGUCACGGGCGUCACGGACGACGCGGAGGACAGCGGAGCCGAGGGAGGGGCCGAAGGGAAGAGCGCCGAGCCGCUGUCGCAGGCGACGGGGACACCGUCGCUGGAGACGCCCGUGACGGCUCCGGCGCCCGCGGCUCCGGCUCAUCCGGCGCCCCCUCCCCCUCCCGCUCCCGUUCCCGCUCCGGCGGCUCCGGCUCCGGCUCCGGCACCCGCCCCGGCGGCGGCGGCUCCUCCUCCUCCCGCCGAACCCGCGCAGGUCGUCGGCGUCAAACGCGACCGGGACGAGGCGUUCAACUCCGCGGCGGGAACUCCGAGCUCGGCGGCGGGGGCGGCGGGGGCGGCGGCGGCGGUCACGCCGGCGGAGCAGCCGGCCAAGAAGCCGAGGCUGGUGUUUGCCUUUGGCGCCAAAAAACCCGCGGCUGCCGCGGCGCCCGCGGCGCCCGAGCCCGAGGUCAAGGAGAAGAAGGAGAAGAAGGAGAAGAAAGAUAAGAAGGAGAAGAAGGAGAAGAAGGAGAAGCGAGAAAAGGAGCGAGCGGCGGCGGACGCCGCGCCGUAGCAGGGCGCUCGCGAAAAUAGCCGACAGUGAUGAUGGGAAUGAAGAAAACAAAACUACAACGCCGAGUCAUCAGAAAUCCCGCGCCGCCCCACGACACCGCAGCAUGGGUAGCGGCCGCGACAAGCGGAAGAAGGCCGCGAAGCGCAGCGGCAAGGACGGCUCCGGCCCGUCCGGCGAUGCCAAGACGUCCGCCAAGACGGAUAAGAACGCGGCCAAGCUGGAGCGUCGCAUGGCCAAAGCCGCCGCCGACGACGACAUCGACGCGCUGCUCGCCAACAUCAGGCUGAUGGACUCGAAGCUGAAGGAGGUGGAGGUACACGAGGAUUGCCCGAAGCCUGGCCCGAGGUGCAACUGCUCGUUCACCCCGACGCUAGCGCAGAAACCCGCGGAGGUCAUCAUGUUCGGCGGCGAGUGCGUGGACGCGACGGGCAAGACGCAAACCUUCGGGGAUCUCUUCCGGUACGACGUCGAUCGCAACAAGUGGACGAAGGUCGUCUCUCCCAACUCGCCCCCGCCGAGGAGCGCGCAUCAGGCGGUCGCGCACGGCGGCUACCUCUACGUCUUUGGCGGGGAGUUCACGUCCCCGAAUCAGGAGAAGUUCCACCACUACAGGGACCUGUGGAGGCUCGACCUCGAGGAACACGCGUGGGAAAACAUCACGCCGAAAGUCGGCCCCAGCGCCCGAAGCGGCCACAGGAUGGUGACCCACCCCAAGGGCAAAUCGCUGCUGCUCUUCGGCGGGUUCUACGACACCGGCGACGACAUCCGGUACUACAACGACGUGUGGGAGCUCAACCUGGAGGCGAUGACGUGGCGGUGCAGGUUCGGCGGUGACGUCGCGGGUGGCGCCUCGACGUUGGAGGGUCCGAGUCCUCGGUCCGCGUCGCACGUUUCCGCGUCGAACGAUUCGCUGUGGGUGUACGGCGGCUACCGUAAGUUCGCGGGCGACGGCGAGGGCGACGAUGGGGACGUCGAGAAGGGCUCGACGCACAGCGACCUGUGGAGGAUGGACCUGAAGAGUUGGCGAUGGGAGAAACAGAAAAAGGCGGGCAUGGCGCCCGGGCCGCGCGCGGGAGCCACCUCCGCGACGCACGGCGCGAAGAAGCGGCACGUGCUCUUCGGCGGCGUGGUGGACCACGAGAUUCGCAAGGGCGAGGUGAUCAUCUCGGAGUUUUUCAACGACGCGUACUCGAUGAGCCUCGACAACGGCCGGUGGUACCCGGUUUGCCUAUACGCGGACAAGGGCUCCAAGCCGGAGGCGCCGCGCGAGGCGACGGGACGCGAGGAGGCCGAACGCGUGGCGCGCGGCGAGGUUUUCAACGAGAACUUCAACGUGCGCGACGCCACGGUGCGCGCGGCGAUCAAGAUCCAGGCGCACUACCGCGGGUACGCGGUGCGAAAGGCGUACAAACUGUACCGCAUCGGGGGGCAGGUUUCGGAGCUGCUGUACUCCCCGGGCUCCGGCGAGGCCGCCCCGAAGACGGCGCCCAGGCCGCGCGGGCGCAUGAACGCGGCGCUCGCGGUGCGAGGCAACGCGAUGUACCUGUUCGGCGGCGCCGUCGAGAUUGGGGACGUGGAGGUUUCGCUGGACGACGUGUGGGCGCUGGAGCUCUCCGCUCGUCCCAAGUGGCGAAAAAUCGCAGAGUACUCGCCCGAGGUUGCGGAGAGGGUGCACGGGGAGGCGGUCGAGUCGAGCGACGAGGAGGAGGAGGAGGAGGAGAAAGAGAGGGCGCACGCGAUGGAGUUUCGGGCGAGGAAGACGGUGGAAGGGAAGGAAUGAGGGAUGCGCGGAUGGAGUUUUAUCAGACUAGCUAGUAGCUUAGCAGUGGAAGACGGAACCUCGCCUCGUCAUAACCGUCGACUCGAUUUCGUGAACUCACAUCACUGAAGCGAGCUCCGAGCCGAGCGAAAAUGCCACGUCUUCCUUCUUCGUGGCUUUUUAUCCCCCGGCUGGUCACAGCGAACGGCGCGUGAGCUUCGACAUGAGCAAGCCCGCGGCGGCCGCCGCCGUCGCGUUCAUCACGCUUCUCGCGCGGCUCACGCUCCUGCCCGGGGUUGACGCUCAGUUCUACCAGGUGCGCGGCGAUAACCCCUCAACUUGCCGUGACCGACAUCUCGGCACCCUGCUAGAAAAAAUCGACGUCAUCACCGACGCACCCGCUGGUCACCAGCCUAGGCCAGCCAGCCGGGCUCGCGCUUCGGGAACACCCGACCGCACUCUCGGGAUUCGCCGAUGUAAAUUUCUGACCCCUUCCCACCCCGUCCCCAUCAGCCCGGAGACAAGCUCCCGGCGAGCGCGAUCACCGAGACGUUCGAUGUGGCGUGGCCUCCAGCCGUGAACGACGUCUCCCUGUCCAGAUUCGACUACACCCGCAACGCGGACGGCGGCAAGUGGGUGACGGUGAUCGCCACCUUCUACUCCGGAUGCACCCCGGGGCGCGCGGACUACCCUUCUUUCACCAAGCACGUCUCCUCCCUGCGCCAAAAGGUGGCGGCCGGCUUCUUGGGCUCCGGCAACGUCGCGUUCAUCGCGUCGCUGAAGAACGGCGUCAACGACGGCGUCGCGGAGGCGUGGGCGAAGAUCAACGGCUCGGACGUCUCCACGUCAGCGUCCGACACGAACGGCGGGUUCCCGUACAUAGUGGACGACAGGCACAGGAGCCUGGUGUACAAGUUCUUCGACGCGGCGGUGCACCCGGCGUACGCCAUCGUCGACCACUGCAUGACGUACCGAGCCCUGCUACCCGCGCUACCGGACCAAACCGGCGACGACACGCUCGAGAAGACGGUGGAGCGGCUGCUGUUAAAGACGGACGAGGCGUGCCCCGUGGCGCCGUCGAGGCAAAUCGAGGCAAUCAGGCCCAAACGCGAGGUACGAACGUUCAAAGCGUCGAACGAGAACCCGUCGGCGGCGAACGAAAAGUGCGCUCCGGCUUUUGGAUCGGGGACGCCGUCGGCUCGGAGGCUUGGCGUGAGCGACGGGGUUAGGGGUGGGUCACCCCUGGCGCAGCCGCGAACGUUGGCGUUCCAUCCGAGCACGGGUGAGAUGUGGGUGGGAAACAACGACACGGAUUCGGUGACGAUCCUGCGCGGUUCGUUCGACGGCGUCAAAGGCGCGGCGGCCGUCUCGGGCGUCGUUCACAGGUUCGACCGGGCGCACUACCACUACAUGGACAAGAUGGCGGCGAUGUCGUUCAAGGGCGACGGCGCGGUCGUCACGUGUCAGGAGAGCGAGAACACCUACGACGGAAUGAAGAGGGCGAACCGCUUCAUGGGUCCAUCGCUGUACGACACCGUCCCGAAGAUUGGAAACGUCAAGACCGGGGGUUGGCCCGAGGGCAAGAACGUUUUCGUGAACGCGAAGGGGGCAAAGUGCGACCCGGAUGGUCUAUCGGACGGCACGGACAAUAACCCAACCUGUUUCAUGACCCACACGGAUAUGCUCCACGCGUCGCCCAACUGCAUGGGCGUCGCGCACGAUCCCGAACCGAACACUCCCUUCGGUAACGUCUUCUGGGUCUUUGACGGGCUCAACUCGACGCUAAUCAGGUACGAUUUCGAGCAGCCGCACGGUCCCGGAUCGCUGGAUCACUCGCUCGCGAACGUGAGGCGGUACCCCGAGAUCAAGCUCACGCGCGUCCCCGGGGUACCCGGUCACAUGACGGUGGACCCCGAGACUCGCGCGCUGUUCAUCGCGGACACGGGCGGCGGUAGGGUUCUCGCCGUCGACGCGGAUAGCGGCAGGUACGCCGCCGAGGCCAGGAACGAUCUCGGGGGUAAUUUCACGCUGUGGUCGUCGCCCCUUCCCUCGUUCGAGUACACGCUGUUCGGAUGCGCCUCGUUCAAGACGUUCGCGACGGGGAUAGACAAACCCUCGGGGCUCGCGCUCAGCGGCAACGUGCUGUACGUCGGCGAGCACGGCACCGGCAAGAUCAUCGCGCUGCACCGCACCACCGGGGAGAAACUCGGCGAGUACGCCACCGGCGCGAAGAAACUCUUCGGCCUCUCGGUCAAUCCAACCUCCGGCCGCCUGUGGUACGUGGACGGCGCCGUGAACGACGCCGUGUUUUACCUCGAGCCGUCCGCCGAGUGCGCGGAACCGGUUCCCAACGGCGCGGCAAUCGCGUGGCCGGCGUCGACCGUGUCCGAGUCCGGCACAAACUGGUGCGGCAUCAGCACCAGCGUCGCGACUCUCGGCCUCGCCGUCAAGCACAUACAACACGAGGACGGAUACCUGAACAUGACCCCGCUGGGCCCCGGGUACGGCGUGACCGAUGAGUGCAUGAAGUGCGGUCCGGGCUGCGACAACGACAUGCUGCUGAUGUCGGGGUUCCUAUGCCACAAGUGCAUCCCGGAUAAUUGUCGGGGCGGUAUCUACCCAACGUCCGCCGGAACGUGCGAAAACAUAAUCGGGGAAGGGUACAGGUGUAAGUGCGACGACGGCGCGUACGGCGAUCACUGCCAGUUCAGGGUCGUGAGCGGUAGUGAGCGAUGGGUGCCCAAUUUCGCGGGAGUGAUGCUCGCUUUGCUCGUCGCGAUGUUCAUUCACUAAAAGGGACUAGCGGCUAGCUGUGUAGAUAAAGAAACCGGCGCCGCGCGGCAACAUUCACACGCACGACUCUCGCCGCUUGCGCCCCGGCUUCGUCUCCAGAUCCGCGCACGCCCGUAUCGGUGCCAUCAGAAGCCACCAGACCGCGAACGCUGCCGCGAGCGCCGCCGCCACCGGCAUCAACAAAACCGUGAUCAAAAUCGCAAACGCCGAACCCACCACCGGCGUCCUCAGCACGGACGCGCACCACCUCGGCACGUGUCCGGCUUCCCCGUGCGACCCACCCCGCGGCGUCCCCGCGCGUCCGAACGCCUUCGCGGGGAACACGUGCUGACGCCAGCCGUCGUACAUCGCCCGGGUGAGCGGGUUGGCCAGCGUCGCGUGCGCGCUUUGAGCCACCGAUACGGCGUUUUCCCUGUCCUUACCCCUCGGCGCCUUCUCGAUCGCGUUCACGAGCGCGUCGUACCGUUCCCUCAGCUUGCGCGUACUCAGCGAGCGCGCCGUAUCGUUCCGCACCCCCAGCACGGCGUAGUAGUCCGACUGCCUGGCCAGCACCCUGGCGACGGCGCCGCUCGGUUCGUCCGACUCGAAUUCAUCGAUGGCGCCGUAGACGGGGGAGUCGUCACCGGUGUUCGUCGUCGUCAGUUUCUCAUCCUCGCCGUCGCUGUCCUCGAAGACGCGCGCUUCCUUGUCCCACUCGAAUACCCCGGGUUCCAUCCUGUUCACGAUGAGCGCCGGGAUGUACAGCGAGAUGGCGACGACGAGGGAGACGUGAACCGGGUUGGACGCCGUGAAUCUCGGCAGACCAGACUCGGGUCCCUCGAUCAGGAGCACACCGAGUAUCGCGAAGAAUAAGGCGAGCGUCACGGACCCGACGAUCGCUCUCACUUCACUGCCCCAAGCCCGACUCGCCAUCAGGCAGGUCCCCAAGAGGAUCAUCAUGAUGCCCAUCAUCGUGAUGAACCAUGCUCCGGUUGCGGGUGUGCGGUGCUCGUACAAUCUCGCGCCGGAAUGUCGCAGGCUCGGGGAGGGUGGCGCGGGGGGCGGCGGCGCUGGAUCGUACUCGCCGUACAGCUCGAUGGCGUGAUAAGGUAAGAAGACGUGAUAAAGACCGAAGACCGUCACGAAAGCUCCCAAAAGGCCGUUGUAUGCCUUCAGGAGACCCAUGUUCAACUUCAACACCCAAAUGUGAUGCGGCAGCCGGCAGUUGGUACAAGUACCGCCUUUCUGGACGCGUUCGGAAGGCCAGGUCGCCGAUACCCGCGAGUUUCGAGCUGAGAUCGCUCGUAUGAGCCCAAAGGCGCGGUCGGAACCCCAGGGAACGACACCGCGCCCUGGGGUCUGCCACGACGGUCCGUGGCUCCAAGCAGAAUAUUCGCCCAGCGCGCCAAAGGAUCCUCGAACACGCGGACACGCUCGGAGGACACGCCGGACUUGUUGGCCAGGCGCAAAAUUGAGACCUUCUUCGUUCACUUCUUCUCACGUAUCUAAAGCUACCUCGCGUCAAACGCUCCUGUCCUCGGGGGGAACGUACUCGAGUCCGAGGUACUCGAACACGUCCCUCUCGUCCCUGAACUUCGCGUCCCUCACCGCGGUCAUGUCGUUGCCCCGCACCAGGUUGAACCCCCUGUCGUGUAGGCUUAACCCCUUUGCCUUGUCCGCCCACGUGCGCAUGGACCGGUUGAAGUACCCCGAGCCCGUGAAGUACAGGAGCGCGAACGGCAUCUCAUCCGGAGUGUACGUCUUUAUGUCCAUGCGCCGGUGUAAUCGCUUGGGAGUCACCACCGCCACGGCACCGUCGCCUUCGGCCCCGUCCGUCGUCGUCGGCGCCAGCCGCUCGCGGCUGUCCGGGAGCCUGGCCACUCCCAUCCAGCUCACCGUCCCCGUCGAUAGGUCAUCCGUCACGACCCCUCGCGUCCUCAGCCGCGCCAAAACGGCGGGCAAGAUGUCCUCCACCGUAUCCACCGUCGCCCCCGGAGCUCCUUGCGAUCCACCCCUGAUGAACUCCUCGCUGGGACAGAGCAAGACGUCGACGUCGCCGCAAGAAGUCUUUCCCCGGCGGUAGGAUCCGGCAACCGUGACGGAGCAGCCGGGGCAAACGGCCGCGACCGCGUCCUCGACGUGGCCCGCCAGAGCCUCCACCUCGUCGCGCGGUAUUCGCUCCUUGAACUCCUCGUAAAACCUCAGACCCACGUGCUGAUUCGCGCUGAGCUUUCCCGGUUGUCGUGCCGCCAGCGCUCGAAGCUGCGCGACGGUGGAGACGCCGUCCUCCCGGUGGAGCUUCCGCGCCGUCUCCGUGCCUAUGCCCCACACCCCGGAGAGCUCCAGUACGGCCUCGACGUCCGGUUUGCGUUUAAGCUCCUCGAGCUUCGCGAGCUUACCCGUCGCGAGAAGCUCGCGGAUCUUAUCUCGCACCGUGGACGUCUUCUGCGCAAACGCGGGAGUCACCGGCGGGUCGCACAGCUGUUCCACAUCCGUCACGACGAAAUCCAGCCUCUCCACCGCGCCCGCCACCUGCUUGUGGUGCCUCGCCUUGUACGCGUUCGUGCCCCCCAGGACGUCCUCGUAUAUCGCCGCCAAUUCCUCCAGCGGACGGGUGAUGUGGGGGUUCAAGUUGACGGGAGCCGCGGUGGACGGGCGCUGGCACGCGAAGGCGCCUCUUUUCUUUCCCAACCACGGGCGCACCAAACCGUCGGCGCCCGAUCCAGAGUCGACGACGACGUGCCCUUGAGACGCGUCUUGAGACGAAGGCGGCGGACCGAGGCGCAUGGGCGACGCGACGGGCGGCAGGGGCGAGGAGCUCAGGCUGGCCGGCGGGUUCACGCCGCCGGUGAGCGCCGGCGGGUGCUCAUCCUCGGGCCUCAGCUCGCCCGCGCGGAUGCACGCCUGCGCCCAGUCGGGCGAUACCAGCCUCGCCGCGGGGUUCCAGUGCCGGUACGUCGUCGACGUGGUCAACACGUGCGUCACGCGCGGAUCGUUCACGUCCCUCGCGACGGCUCCGCCUCUCUCGGUGAUCCUGUCUCCGAGGAUGCCCCGGCGGGUCUUGCUCACCUCGGGCGCGAAAUACGCCACCACGGGUGAGAAGAACCGUUUCGGGUCCCCCGGGCUCGCGGCUGCCGCCGGCGGGUCGCGAUCGGGGUUCACGGACGCCGCGCCGCCGUCAACAUCUCGCCUGGACGCCGCCGCGACCAUCUCCGCCAGUCUGCGGUACGGUGACCUCGAGGAUUCGUGGUUUAAAACGCACCCCUCGUCGCCUCGCUCGAUUCCUCCCGAGUUUCGGGGUUCUCCCCCGAGCGCCCGGGCCGCGGCGGCUUCGUUCCUCCUGAGCGCCUCGUCCACCUCCUCCUCAUCGUGCUCGAAAUCGUACGUAUCGCCGCCCACCUUGACGCCUCCCUCGCUCUCGACGUCGACGUCCGCGAAGGAGGACGUCGCGUGUUGUUCGAUGAGCUGCGUGGGCAACGCGAGGCUCGGUUUCGGCAGCUGCGUUUGCGUCUGCGUCGGAACCGGUUGUCCCCCUUCGAGGUCGCCCGCGCGCAGGGACGCGGGAAGGCCGAGGACGAGCGUGUUCGCGGUCGCCUGGGUGCCCAACUGCUGGAAAGGGCGGUCCGGGGUCGCGCUGGGGUCCCGGAGAUCGCGGCGUCGGCUUCUUCGCCGGGGCGGCGAGGCUGCGACGGGCGAAUGAACGGUGGGCGUGCAUUGUUAGCAAUUUCGCCCCGAACGAAACGAAGGGGGAGUCCUGGGUCUUGGGUUGGGGCGCACCCGAGGGGAUGCUCGCGCAGAGCUCCUGCGCGUCUCGCUUCGGCCGCCGGCUCUUGUUCUUGUCCAUGUUCUUCCCUGACGUUCACCUCGCGGGCUGGCUACUCAGUGUCACUGUUCUCAUCACUGCCAGCGCUGCUCUCAUCGGAGUCAGAGCCGGAGGUCACCUCGCUCGCCCCUUCCGAGUGAUACGACUCCUCGUCGUCGCUGUCGUCGCGCUUGACGGUGAGCGGCCUGCGAUACGUUCUCUGCCCGACGAUUAUUCGAUCGUUGCUCAGCACCGGGUUGUUUCUGCCCGAGCGAGUCGCCGCCCUCUACGUGUGUGUGCGGGGGGCUUGUUCAGAUCGGGGCUCGUGUCUUUCGGGAAAAGGUUGGCACCCCCGCGACUUACGAAGGCUCGGAGUCGGCGCUCACGACUGGACGUGUCCGCGUUCUCGUCCGGCGCGGCACAGGCUGCGGUAUCGCCUAUCGGCCUGACGAUCGGGAGCGUGCUGGGGAAAGAUACCGGCGCGAGAGUCAGGUUCAUGCGCACCGGCUGUUUGUGGAGGGUGCCGUCGAAUUCGUGGCACCCGCCUCGGACCGCCCGAAGCGACCUGCUGGAGAUCGCGCCCGUCACUCACUUCUAACCCUCCGUUUUUGAACGGGCACUCCGUCAGGCGCGGGUGAGGCGCGAGACGUGACGGGAUAACAUGCUCAGGCGCGCGGCGUCGUCGGCGGUGGCUCGAGGCGGGCUCGGUUUCAACCGAACGUUCGCCGCGAGCGCCUCCGCGCGGGGUUGGUGGUCGGGAUCGGGUAGCGGAGAUCCGGGGGAGAAAGGUGCCGACGUGGCUGGAACGCCGACGAUGGACUCCGCGACCGAGCGCGUGGGUGAGACCAUAUCGGGCGACGCGGCGGUGACCGCCACGAGCGGAUUGAUCGACGCGCCCUCCUCGUUCGACCCCGUGGGCAUCGCAGCCACCGCCAUCGAGCAGGCGCACGUGAUGACCGGCCUCCCGUGGUGGGCCACCAUCGGGUGCACCGCGCUCGCCGUGCGCGCCUCGCUCUUCCCGUUCGUCCUGAAGCAGACCAGGGCGGGCGUGCUGCUCAACACCGUGAAGGCGCGCGCGCGUGGACCCGACGGAAAACCCCCGGAGACGUUCCGCGAGGUCCUCGCAGCCGCGGGCGAGCUCCGGCGACGCACGAACGCCACCCCGCUCUACUGGCUCGUCGCCGGCCCCGUCGUCCAACUCCCCGUCUUCAUCACCGCCGUCCUCGCCGUGCGCAGGCUGGCGGCGACGCCGGGGAUAGGCAUGGAAAAUGGCGGCGCACUCUGGUUUCCGAACCUCACCGAGGUUGCGCUGCACGUCGACGCGGUGGUGGCGCCGAUGGGGAUGGCGGGCGCCGUGCUCCCUUGCGCGACGGCUGCGGCGCUCUUCCUCAACGUCAACAGCGCGUGGGGUAAGAUUGCAGAGACGAACCGGGGGUUCCAGUUCGUGAAGCUGGCGCUGGAGUGGCUCACGUUGCCCACGCUGCUCGUGGGGAUGGUGCUACCGCAGGCUGUGCACUGCUACUGGCUGCCGAGCAGCGCGUCGGCGCUGGCGCAGAGCUACGCCAUGCGGUCGGAGUGGGGACGUCGGAUGAUUCGCGCUGAUCCGAGGCUGCCGCUGGGAGCCUCGCCGCGAUCCGGGUCGGACGCGAACGCGGCGUCGAACGUGCGGUUCUCGCGUCCGCUGGACGAGACGGAGGAACGGGCGAUGAUGGAGGCUGCGAAGCUCGUGGCGGAUAAGAAAGAGGCGCUCGCCGAAAAGCUUCUGGAGGCGGCGGCGGCGGCGGCGGCGGGCGGGGCGGUUGAUUCGGGCGCUUCGUCGACGGACGGAGCGCACCCUAACCUCCUGUUCGCGCUGGGCCAGACGAGACAGACGCUGAAGCGGUGGAAACUCGCGGCGGAGGCGUACGACGCCUGCGCGGCCGCGGAGGUUCACCCGACGCAGCGCGCGAGGGCGCUUCACGGCGCGGGCGUCGCCAGGGCGCGGCUCGGGGAUCUCCCGGGGGCGGCGAGGCGCCUGGAGGAAGCCAUCGACGCGAGCCAGAGCGCGGGGGUGGCGCACGUGAAGGCGAUGCUGAGCCUGGCGUCGGUGAGGAAGACGGACGGGGAUGCGGCCGGCGCCAUGGAGGCGUUGAGACGCGCGGAGAGGCACGCGCCGGAGGUGAGGGAGCGAUACAUCGAGCCUCUGGAGAGGCAGAUGGCCAAGGAGAAAAAGUCGCGCGGUCGAUGAGUAGUCCACCUUGUAAUGGGUUGUUUGUGGCGAGUUUAUAGCGCUCGUCUCGCUUGAUUUUAUUACACUCGCGGCAGCGACUGUCCCUCAUUUGCUCCCCGCAGCUAUUGCUUCGGAAGCUUAAGCUGGCAAGGGAAGAGCGCGCCCAUGCAGUAGCAGAGGCACAGGUUGAUGUAGCAGCCAUCGUUAUAGCCACACUGGUCGAGGUUGCGCUCGAAGAACAUGUAAUCGGCAAGGAGGAGCACGCCGAUGAGGGAGGCACGCUGCUGAGGCGUCACGGACGGAUCAUGGAUCUCGAACUGGAACAUGUCGGAGUCCGUGAGCAUCUCGCGGAUCGCGCCAGUCAGGGACUUGGGCUUGAGCUUGGUGAUGGUCGCGAUGUUGCCAACGUCAACCGAAACGCUGCCGUCCUUGUUGACUCGCUUGACCCCGAAGGGCACGUUGCAGCAGUUCUCAGAGCACCCGCCGAAUAAGGUGGGACCCACGACGGACGCCCAGUGCUCGUCGCUGGUCGGAGUGCGAUCCAUCACCUGAAUGGUGGGGUGCAAUCCUCCGGCGAAGGGCACAGGCUGCUUCAUGCGGCCGAUGACGCGAUCCUUGGGGAGCUUGCCAGCCUGGUGGGCCUCGACGUUUUGGAUGGCGCCGGCGUGGACGUAGGCUUCUUGGGCGCAACAGUCGACGCAGACGAACCCGCCCGUGCAUGGUUUGGAGCAGCAGCCCUCGCGCUCCAUGGUGAUGACUGCGUGAGCCGGGGAUAGAGGGCGCGUAAAACCGUUAACAACGGUGCGGUGCUGUGACAAUUAAAAGAAGGUGCGGCUCGGAUUUCGGUUGGGAGGGGCGGUUGGAGGGCGCACCUGGGAAGAUCUCGUUUCCGGCGGGGUCGAGCGCGUUGAACUCCAGGAUAAUGCUGUGGUGGGGCUUGCAGCAGAUUCGCGGCAAACACUCGGACCUCUCCUGCACUCGAAUAAGCGCUUGCUGGGUGUCCAAGUUGUAAAUCGUGUACGUGUUUGGCUGCUCGAUGCAAUUGUCGAAGAUCUUCACAUGCUGCUGGACGGUGAACUUGUUGAUGCUCCCGAGGAUGUUCGCGGUCUGCGCGUCGAUGAGGGGGACGGUGUCUCCCAUGGCUCCUCCAGCGGGCCCCGGCAGGCCAGCUGCGCUGUGAAGAAGUGCGACCCGUUGGUCGUGAGGCGAGAUAUUUCCAGAAUAUUCCAGCGCGGCAGUCAGACGACAUCCAGCAGGAUCCGCCAAGGAUCCGCGGCAUCUGUCGUCUGUCACAGCCUUGGGACGGUUUGAGAGGUUCAGCCGACUCGACCUUCUACGGCUAAGACGAGACUCGGUUUCACGACAGGUCGAACCCCGACCCUGACUUUAUCGCGUACAGCAGCUUCUUCCGCACCUGCUCCUUCGUCCUGUACGGCGGCAGCUUGAGCAGGUUCAUGCACGUCGCCGCCGUCGGCAGCCGAGCGGUGUCCGCGUCAGCCUCGGACCCGCGGCUCCCGCCCGUCAUGCCCGCUCGGUGCACGCAGAACGGCGGCGUGAGCUGGCCGAAACCCAGGAGCGGCGUGUUGGGACACGCCGUCACGAACCGCAGCAACUCCCGUUGCUCCUCCUCCGUGAACUCGUUCACAGCCUGCCACAGCGCCACCACCGUCGGGUGGUCGGGCGCGUACCCGCCGCUGUACGUCGCCGAUCGAGCCAAGUCGCCCACGUCGAUCCUACCGCCGGCGCCGGCGAUCAGGAGCCUCAGCUCCGCGGGGGCGAACACCCUCAGCCACCGCGGCGCGACGAGUGAACGGAAACCGCGCACGAACGCGUCCGAUUGCGAACGAACCUGCCGGUGGAGCAGGUGGUGCGCCAUCAGGUGCACGUAUCGCGUUCUGUUGAAAGCGGUGACCCUGACGUCGGAUCCGCCGGGCGCGAGCUCCACGUCGCCGGCGGUGGACGCGUCCGUCGCCGUGAAGUGCAGGAACAGGUCCUCCACCUGGUGAGGCGGUAGGCGCUUGAGCGAUAGGAGGUGGUGGUACAACUCCGGGUCCAGCGUGGCGAGGUCGUUGAGCUCGGGCGGUCGCCCGUCGCGAAGCUUGGCGAGGAAGAAACCCGCGAGGGGCAAAUCGACGAGGAUGCCCUCGUACACGGCUUUUCCCAACAUCGCGCCGAGGAACUCCAGCUUUCGCAGGUGAUCGGGCCCGCACCUUCGCACCGACGCCGGGUUGGGGUACAGGGUCCUGUCCGGAGUCUCGGCGAACAGGCCCGUCUUGACCGGAUCAAACGCCUCGGCGAUGAGGUCGUUGAGAAAAUCCUUGAACAACCCGCCGCCGUCCACGCCGGCUUCUUCCACGCCGUGCUCGUUCGUGAACUGAACGCGCACGAUCCCCUUGAGACUACCCGGCGGGCGCUCGUCGGGGUGCUCGCGUCGCCACGUCGCCUGAUCGCCGCUGAGCACCGCCGGGCCCAGCGCCGCGAGCGCGUCGUCAAACACUCGCCCGCGGUUGAUCUGAAUGUGAUGCUCGGGGGCGAGUCCCCACGAUUCCACCAUCGCCCCGCGCCCGGCGUGCUCCGCGCGGUCCCGAAGCACCUCCGCCUUGAACCACCGCACUCGCGCGCCGAAGGGGACGAGGCUGGGCGCGCGUCGAAGCAGCUCCUUCGCGCGCGUCCGCCUCCCGGUUUUCGCCGCCUCGGCGAGAAACGCGUCGAUCGCGCCGUCGCUCCCGAGCGAUCCCCCGCGAAACUCCGUCGCGAUGAAAUCGUCGGGGGGAACGAGCCGGAGCCGGCCAUUCCUGUCGUGCAACUGCGCGAGCGCGCGGGCGAGCGCCUUGGUGACGGGUCCCCGCGACGAACUCUGUUGGGCGGCCAAGCUCGAACCAGGCGUCGCGUACGACGAAUCCGGGUCGCUCUCCACCCACAGUAUGUGCCACAGCGAGUCGCGAAGGCACGCCACGAGGUUUGGAAAUUCGCUCGCCGGCAACGGUCGGCCUUCCCUGAACUCCUCGUCGUCGCCGGUGAGCAAAAACGUCCCGUACGCCUCGGCGAAAACCCCGAGGGACGUCACCCACGCCUCGUUCAUCGAUCGGGUCGUCCCGAGAUGCUCCCGGGAACCCUCAAAGCCGGGGCGUUCUCCCGCAUCAAUAGCCGCGCCUCCCACGACGGGCCACGCGCGCCGCGCCUGCAUCCUCCCCAGCACGGUCCACGCCGCGUUAACGAAACCCCCGAACGCGAGCGAUCGCAUCACGUCGCCGCGGUCCGACGCGCGAAGCCUCGAGGACGCGGCGACGACCAACGCCGAGACGGUUCGCAGCCCAAUCUCCGCGGCUCGAGCCGGGUCGAGCGGGUCGCCCGCCGAACCCAAAGCCGGGCCUCCGCCGAAGGCUGGCGCAGUCGCAGCGGUGGAGCCAAAGGCUGGGACGCCGCCCGAGCUGCCAAAGGCGGGUGCCGGAUAGGUCGCCGACGGCCACGCGCCCUCCCCGGGAAGCGCCGCGGCGACCAGAGCGUUGUACGCAUCCGCGGAGCACAGCGACGCCAGCUGACGCUUCACCUCGCGGCGUAACGGCGGGUACGAGCGCCCGUCGGUCCGCGAGGAGUGUUUCGCCGCGCGACGCCGUCGCGCGGCUCGGUGUUCCGCCUCGUCGUCAUCGUCGUCGUCGUCGUCGUCAUCGUCCGAGUCCGAGAAGCGUUCAUCCGCGUCGCCGCUCCCGCCGACGCCGUCAACCCGCAUCGCGUCCCCGCUCGCGUCCUCGCUAGCGCCAAUCGAAGCGCCGGGAGGGAGCUUUUCCAGCAACGCGGACGCCACGGCGGCGAAACGCACCGCCACUCUCCACCUUCCCUCGCGGUUCGAUCGUACGAGUCGGGCGAGUGACGCGGGCGCCGCCUCCGCCAGGUUGCCCAGGUGAAACCCCGCGUGUAAGCGCUCGUGAAAGUGCCAGUCCGACGUGUCACCCACGGUUUCGUCCGGCAGGGAAUCGAUCCCGCGCUCGUGCAGGGUGUCCACCGCGUACGCCCACAGGACGGGCGCGCACCUCUCAAAAGCCGCCCCGCCAGCGGUGAAACGACGCCAUACGUUUUUAACCCCAAACACCCGCGCGGCGAGCGUCAAGUCGGGUCUCGCGUGCGCAUCCGCGCGGCUCUGCGCCACGCGCUCGCACAGCGAAAACGCCAGCUCCUCCACCGCGGCUCUGGUGGCGGGCGUGGUGGCCGGCGCGUGGGCCCCUCCACCGCGGCCUGCGUGAUGAACUCCUCCCUCUGCAGGGAGGUGCAUCUCGAUCGCCUCCGCCAGAGUUUUCAUCCCGCCGCUCUCGCACACCUCGCGCAAGGCGACCUCGGCGGAUCUCGCGCCCCCCGCGCCGGCGCCCCACGCCCACGGGUCCGUAAUCCUGAGCACCGUCUGCGCCAGGGACGGCGCCACCUCGACUCUGCGACCGUCCGCGGUGGCGAUCGUUCCGCCCCAGAAUCGCGUGAACUGGGGCUUGGCCAGCGCCGCGAGCGCGAACCUGGCGCACUCGACGCAUCGACGGCGCACGCGAAGGAGCCGAUGAGCGUCGAACGAAUGAGUGCCCUCCUCCUCCCGCGGGUUCAUCACCGCGGGGUUCCUGUGCCCCGCGAACACCGCGUCGCACGCGGACGCGAGAAGCUCGGCGUCCUCGCGGUUCACGCCGCCGGCGUGGCGCGACCACGCCCUGGCGUUCGCGAAGAAGAGGAGCGCGGGGAGGAAGGCGCCGUCAGGAUUCACGACGUCGGAUGCAACUCUCGGGUCUGUGGCCCACGCCACGGGAUCCACGCCGUAGCGCGAGCGCCACUCGUCGCGGACGCGGGCCCUCGCGCGUUGCAGGUCGCGACUGGCGCGCCACGCCGCCUGGAAUCGGUGGAGGGGACGUCGUCGUGGUCGGGCGUGGUCAGCAGCUCGUGGUCAGCGGCGGGAGGCGAAAAGGCGAGACGGGGUGCCCAACGACGAUUCGGGAUCUCGGGGUGGGGCGCCCACCUGUAUGCGCGACGCGGAUCUGAUCUCCGCGCGGUUCUGGGAUCGUUUCUCCCGGUCUUUGCGCGCCUGCUCCAGCAGAGCCUUCUUGUCCUGCUGCUCCCGCCUGGACGCCCCGCCCAGCGCCACCCUCGUCUUGGAAACGGACCUGAAGUCACCAUCGAAGAAGCCCGGUAUGCCCGGCAUCCUCCUCGACGGACCUUCCGAGGAUCGGGACACGCGAACGCCCUUCGCCAGUCGCCGUCGCCCGAAGCGUUCGACGCCGAGGUCGCUCCCCGGGAACCGCAAGGUGGCCGCUCUCCCGCGUGCCUCGAUCUGAGACGUGCGCGGAGCGCUCUAGCUCUAAAAGUUAGCGAAGGCCAACGACGAAACAUCGCGAAAUCGAAAGAAAUUUAUCGAGCUGCGCGCCAACUGAAAAUUGGUGUUACAGGUUGAACGCUUCGUGAGGCCGCGGAAGGCGUUUCUCUUCGUCUGUUCCGAGACGGAAUCCCGCGGCCGCUGCCAUAGCGUUCGGCGCACCGCAGCGAUAUUCGAUCGAAUCGCGCUCGGUUGUCGCGAUGAGCAAGAAGAAGGAGGACCUCGAGGCCGAGGUCCAGCGGCUCUUGGCGAUGAACGCCAAAACGGUGGACACCAAGACCGAUGCCGUCAAGCCAGCCGCGCCGAUGGACAACAACAAGUCCAACAAAUCGGGCGAUGAGUCCACCCCGCUGCUCGAGCCCGAGGACGGCGCUCCGAAAAAGCCGUGGUACGCGUGCUGCACGUUCAGCUGCGGCAACCCUCUCAGCGCUUGCGGCAACCCUCUCAGCGCUUGCGGCAGCUGCCUCAGCUCGGUGCAGAGCACGCUCGGCGUGAUGGGGUCGUGGAUCGCGGGCGCGCUCGUCGCGCUCCUCGUCGUCUACCUCUGCCUCACGUUCCUCAUCCCGCCCGGGGACCACGGCGACAAGCCGCUCAAGUUCGAGCCCGCACACGCCACAUCCAUGGCCGCGAUGGCCUCCGCGGCGUACAGGCCGAUCGAUAAGAUCACCUCGUGGACGUGCGAGCCCUGCCAUAAGGCGCAUCCCCAGCCGGAGGAAGUCUCAGUCACCCAGGUCAACGAAGCCGACGGGCUCUUCUACACCGCUAAGAUCAAGACGGACGAAUAUCCCGACGGUGCGCUCGUGCUGGUAAUCCGCGGUACCAUGCUCGAGUCCGCCAGGACGUGGGAGUCCGACCUGGACUUCUUCUACAUGAAGACCACGGGCAUCGGCAAACACACGAACGAUCAUUUCGGCCGCAAGAAGGAUGUGUCGUGGCUCCCGACCAAGGUCGACGUUCACCCCGGUUUUUUCAAGCUUUACCAGCUGUACCAGAAGAAGAUCAUUCGCACCGCGGCGGAGGACACGUACCUGGUGCAGAACCAGGGCUAUCCCGUCAUCGUCGUCGGUCACUCCCUCGGCGGCGCGCUCGCCACCUACGCCGCGUACGACCUCUACGCGUCUGGUUUCAACGUGAGGGAGGUGUGGACCUUCGGGUCCCCGCGGGUGGGCUCCGAGGCGUUCGCGUCCGCGUACGCGCAGGCUCUCAGUCACCGCACGUGGCGCAUCGUUAACAACAACGAUAAGGUUCCCCACGUGCCCCACUACCCCAUGUACCACCACGUCCCCGCCGAGCUCUGGUGCAAGAACGACGACGGCUCUUGCAAAAAGUACGAAUCCGGCGACGGGACGGGCGAGGACUGGUCCCUCUCCGGCCACUACCACUUCGCGGGGAUGCCCAUCAAGUCCCUCGUCGACCACAAUCGCGGUAUGGGCAUCCCCUUCGACGGCGCUCCCACCUUCACGGAAGAUGCGCUGCUGACGACGUUCAAGAAUGGGCUGUUCACCAAGGAUUUCGACCUCAUCGUGGGGCCCUUCGACGACCCUUGCGAGAUUCGCGAGGACAAGGACGUCUGCGAGGCGGAGAGGGCGGAGUUCAUCGAGACGAAGAAGCGCGCGAACGCAUGGGCGACCGCGAACGAGCAGAACGCCCUCCAAAAGCUGAUGAAGAGGAAGAGCCACAGCCCGUCGCCGCCGCCGCCGAGCCCGCCCCCGGGUCAGCUUGAGUUCAUGGGCGUGGACACGGGAUACAUGCCAGAGGCGGAGAAGUACGGAGAGGCCAAAUACGGCAAGUGAACGCGCAUCGACGUGAAACGCGCGAGACGCGCGGCCCGCUCACCGCAGAGUGUACAUAUGAUGGCACCUUCGUACUAGUAUUAGCAAGGCUGUGGCAAUCAGAUUUCAUUUCCACCUCGUCAGCUCGACUGUCGCAUCGCUCGAGAAUGUCAGCUCGUAUUUCGUGCCCGUUGCGAGUGCGUUUGCCCAUAGGUUGCCCUAAAAUCAAAUCUCGCUCCGUCCACAACUCGCGGAGCGCACGCGGAGGCGCCGCCUGGAGUCAGCGCGCAAGUCCGCGCGCCAUGGCGAGCUUCUCGAGCCUCUCUACGGGGCUUUCCACUGGUGGUAUUCUCGGGAUGCGCGGUCUGAACGUCUUCAUCCAGGACAUCCGCAACGCGCCGAGCAAAGAGCACGAGCAGAAGCGCGUGGACAAGGAGCUGGCGAACAUCCGCAAGAAGUUCAGGAACACCGACCUGAGCUCUUACGACAAGAAGAAGUGAGUCAUCGCACGCGUCAGAGUCCCACGCGGCGACGGAUCCGGCGCUUCAACGUCCGAACCCGUCGCCCCACCCUCCCGCCUGAUGGAGACGCAAAAAUCCGCCCCUCCAAGCGUCGUCGUGCUUUAGCAACGACCACUAACCCUCCCCGUCCCGCUCCCACCGCGCAGGUACGUGCUCAAGCUUCUGUACAUGUACAUGCUCGGAUACGACAUCGAGUUCGGUCACACGAUGGUCGUGAGCCUGAUCAACGCCACAAAGUUCGAGGAGAAGCAGGUCGGAUACACAGCCACCGCGGUGCUCCUCAACGAGUCUCACGAGUUUCUUCGCAUGGUCAUCAACUCCGUGAGGGAGGAUAUCAUAGGAAAGUUCGAGCACAACCAGUGCCUGGCCCUGGCGCUCGUGGCGAACGUGGGCGGGCGUGAGUUCUCCGACAGCAUCGCGCCCGACGUCCAGCGCAUCCUGUGCUCCCCUACCUGCCUUCCCGUCGUGCGAAAGAAGGCUGCGCUGUGCCUCCUUCGACUGUACAGGAAAAACAAGGAGAUCCUCGUAGCGGAGACGUGGGCUGCGAAGAUGGUCAAGCUCCUGGACAACGAGGAUGACCUCGGAAUAUUACUCGGGGUCAUCUCGCUGCUCAUCGGCAUCGUCAGCCACGACUACCGCGGGUACGAGGGGUGCAUUCCCAGUGUCUGCGCGGUGAUGCAGCGGCUGGCCCGCGCCAGGAGCGUCCCCCAGGAUUACCUCUACUACGGCAUCCCCUCCCCGUGGCUGCAGGUGAAGUGCAUGCGCGUCCUGCAGUACUUCCCCACCCCGUCCGACCCCGACUAUGUUAGGUCAGAGACGGAGGUGAUCCACCACGUCCUCACCAACACCGGCUCGGUCAAGAACGUCAACAAGAACAACGCGCUCCACGCCGUCCUCUUCGAGGCGGUCAACCUGGUGACCAACCUGGAUUUACCCGACCAGAAAUCCCUGCUCGCCGAGUCCGUCGCGGCGCUCGGCAGGUUUUUGGACGUCAACGAGCCCAACAUCGUGUACCUGGGCAUGUCCGGGCUCACCAGGGUGUGCGCGCCGGACACCAUCAAGGCGGUUCAGUCGUUCAAGUCCAAGGUUGUGGACAAGUUAAACGACGCGGACAUCUCCAUCCGGAAGAGGGCUCUCGACCUGCUCUACGAGAUGUGCGACGAGACGGUCGCGAAGGACAUCGUCGACUCCCUCCUGCGAUACCUCAUCACCGCGGACUUCGCCAUCAGGGAGGAGUUGGCGCUGAAAACCGCGGUGCUGGCGGAGAAGUACAGCGCGGGUAACGCCAGAUGGUACCUCGACGUGGCUUUAAAACUCGUGGAGAAGGCUGGCGAUUUCAUCUCCGACGACGUGUGGCACAGGGUGGUUCACGUGGUGACGGACGCCCCCGAGCUGCACGUUCACGCCGCGAGGGUGGCGCUGGAGAAGCUGAGGCUUAACUCGUACGAGGAGAAGUUUGUCCGUCUCGCCGCGUACUUUCUCGGCGAAUUCGGCCACAAGCUCGGCGCGUCCGAGCCCCCGUUUGCAUACGCCAAGCUGCUCUUCGAGCACUUCAAGACGUCCUCCCCGACCACGCAGCAGAUCAUCCUCACGGCGCUGGCUAAGAUAUCAAUGCACCCCGGCGCGGACGAUGACCUCCGCGGCAGGCUGGGUAUGCUGUUCAGGCAGCACGCGUCGAACAAGGAGGUUGAGCUGCAGCAGAGGGCGGUGGAGUAUUACGUGAUGACCAACGUCGGGAACAACUCUCAGAAGCUGAGGAGCGUGAUGGACCCCAUGCCGGAGUGGAACACGGGCAGCAGGCAGAGCAAGCUGGAACGCCACCUCGCCACGCAAAACGCGGAGGCUGCGGACGCGGUGCGGGUGAACAAGGCGCGGGGCGGCGGCGCCAUCGCGCCAAUCGCGCCCCCGCCCGAAGACGUCGAGCCGGGGACGCCCAUACCCACGAUGGGAAUAGCGGAUCUUCUGGGCGGGGCUCCGGUGCCGAGGGUGAACGGGAACGGUCCUGCGGCGGCUGCCGCGGGUGGGGAGGCGAACGGCGCGGCGGCGUCGCCGGCGGCUGCGCGAUGGGGCCAGGUCAGGGCGGCGGUGGUUGACCCCAUGAGCGACCUCCUGAGCGGGCUCGGGGUGCACCCGGGGCAGCCCGCGGCGGCGGCGCCUUCGGCCGCCCCCGCGGCCGUCGUGGAUCCGCUGGCCGCCUCCGUCGCGGGUAUGGGUCUGUCCACGGCGCACGCGGCGCCCCAGUCCAACCCGGUCCCCACGAUCAACGUCGCGGAUUGCCUCAAGAAGCUGUACGCGGCGGACAACGGCUUGCUCUACGAGGAUCCCAACGUGCAAAUCGGGGUCAAGUCGCAGUGGCAGGGUAACCAAGGACGGGUCAUGUUCUACGUCGGCAAUAAGAGCCCGGGGACGCUGACCGACGUGGCGCUGGAGCUGACUGGCAACGUCCAAGGGCUGCACGCGAGGCUGGCGGCGCUCCCCGCGCAGCUGGAGCCCAAGAAGCAGCAGCAGGUGCUGCUCGAGCUCGCCGCCGCGGGCGGCUACCGCGCCGCGCCGGGCCUGAGCCUUCGGUACUCCGUCCCGGGCCAGGCGCCUGUUCAGGUCCCGCUCAAGCUCCCGUACGGCCCGCAUAGGUUCAUGCAACCCUGGAGGCCCGCGAACCCGCAGGAAUUUUUCGCCAAGUGGCAGGAAGCGUCGGCGCGACACUCCGAGGCGAAGGUUGUCACGGUCGCGCCCGCGAUGGCGCAAGGCGGGUUGGCCGCGAUCCAGGCGGCGCUCUCGUCCGUUCGGAUGACCCCGCUGCCCGGAAUCGAUCCCAACCGAAAGAAUCUCACCGCCGGGAGCUUCGCGCGGUACGGCGGCGCGAACGGCGCCGAGACGUUCGCGCUCGCGAGGGUAGAGUCGGAUGCGAACAAUCCCGCGGUGUUUCGCGUUACAGCAGCGUCGGUUGACGCCGCCACGGCCGGCGGGGUGCUGGAGGCGAUCCUGUCGCAGAUCGUGCCGUGAAAAGGAGGUGGUUUCGGCGGAUGCCCGUAAGUCUUAGCAGAUGCGGUGGUUGUGAAUUACACGAGAUGCUGUACACACGCGCGGCUGCUGCUAUUCGUUCGUCUCUCCCGUUUAGAUUGCUAGCCAGUACACCGUGGUGAUGCACUGGAUGGUGUUGUUCUCCCACUGCACCGUGUGCUUCCCGUCAACGUUGGAGUCCCACAGCGCGGUGCUCGCCGUGUGCAUCCCCGCCCCGGCCUUCUGCACGAAGUUGACGGUGCAGACGAACUUGAAAGGCUUGUUCAAGGCCGCUAGCCUCUUGAGGCAACCCUCCUGCGAAGCGCGGGGAUGGCGAGGAAAAUCGGGUCAGAGAGUGCCGUUGGCGGGCGGUCGAGGGAGGAAUUCGCUCGGCGCGAUCUGGGGCUGGGACUCACCACCACGUUGGACGUCCACUGGUUCACCUUCGUGUGCAUGAACGCGCUCUCGCCCACCACCUUCUUGAUCUCCUGCUCGAUGCGACGACGGCGGGGUCGGACGGUCAGUCGCUCGGUCGCACGGGGCACUCUGGGAACUUUGGGCGACUUCAUGUGGCGGUGUCGGGGGAUGGAGACGGGGGGUUGGUCGGCGCGACACGCACCUCCUUGAUGAGCGUGUCGAUCUCAUCGACGGUCACCAGCUGGUCCUCGGAGAGGCCAGAGAUGAGACCGUCCUCAUCGGGAACGGCAGCGACCAUCGUGGCUGGCGCGCUCGACUCGUGUAGCCUUAUUUGGGUCGGGCCCCGUCACUUUGCUUGGGUCUUGGUCUAAUUUCACGCAAAAAAAAAAAAAAAAAAAAAAAAAAAAUUUUGUAAUUUCAUGCGUGCCAACCCGCCCGAAGCAUCCUUUUUUUCCGGCUGGUGUUCUUCCCUCGUGCUCAACCCUUGUCUAUGCUAACGAACGUGUCGGACGGAUCACUCGCCUCCUCCUCCCAGGGCACGCGCGAUCGCGGCGUUGCCCUCGCCGCCCGCGUUCCCGCCGUCCCCGUUCCCGUCCCCGCCGUUCCCGUUCCCGUCCCCGCCGUUCCCGCCACCCGCCGCCCUCCCUCCGAAGAAGACGCCGCGGACCCCUCCCUCGCCGCCGUUUCUCUCGCCACCACCUACGGGCCCGUCCACCGCGGCCUGUCCGAACGCGUACCUCACCAACGCGGGCGUCUUCAGCACGCGUCUGUUCGUCAUCGUGGGGUAGACGUCCUCCAGGAAGUAAUACACGUGACCCGCGGCCAUGCCGAGGAGAUCGACAACCGGAGACGACCCGAGCAUGCACGAGAAGAUCAACAGCACCCACGGCAGGUACGGCGCCGUGAACGAGAACAGCCCGAGGAAUGACAUCUGCACGUAACGGUUCCGUCGGCCCCAGACGUACACCAUCAUGAACGUGAGCGACGCGCCCAGGAACUGGAUGUUGAUGAACGGCGCCACCGACGACAGCAGGGCGCUGCCAAAGAGAAGCAUGUAGAAGAAGUCCGCGGAUCGUCCUCGGAAGGUGCCCUCCUCGAGGAGCCGACAGUACCUCGAGAGGAAGAACAUGUGGAACACGAAGUCCAUGCCGAGCGAACCGAAGAAGAAGAAGUUGGUGAACAGGCGCCACAGCUGGUACUUGCGGAAGAUGAGGUGCGAAUUAUAGUAGACCGAGAAGGGCGAGAUGAGCUCGAGGGCGCAGCCCGCGGUGGUCAGGAACGAGAGCGUGAGGUAGCUCCUCGUCACCACCGGCAUCUGCCGGUACCACUGCUCCAACGUGACGGCCAUUUCGCCCGAACCCGCGCGCGAACCCGCCUCGGCGCGUCUCGUUCUGAGAUCCCCCGACACGUCCGAGGAACUUCAAGUUUGUGACUCGCCCGAGCCAAUCAGCUCUCGAGUUUUUUCACACAAAGGUGCCCAGCAGCCGGGCUCUCAUCAGCACACGUGACUGCGCGAUGGGGGACAAGGUUAAGAUUCUCGCCUUCGGCGACGUGAACGGCAACUUCGACAAGCUGUUCAACACCGUCGAGCGGCUGAACGAGCGCGCGGGGCCCUUCUCUGCUUGCCUCUGCUCAGGUCGGUUCUUCCAUCCCGACGGUUCAGGGAACGAUGAGCUCUUACCCUACCUCCAAGGUCGAUUGAAGGUCGCCGUGCCCACCUACUUCAUCGUCGGCGGCGAGGACGCCAACCCGGUGGACGGACUACCCGCCGACGGCGGCGACCUGUGUAAAAACCUCACGUUCCUCGGCCGAGCGGGCUGCCGACGCCUUCCGAACGGCUUGAAGGUCGCCUACCUGUCGGGAGCGUACGAUUCGAGGAGAUUCGACGAGAGCGGAGUGUUCCACCGGGGAGGAAGCUCGUUCAAGCCGUUCUACCUGCGCGAGGACGUCCAGCGCGUGGUGGACGCCGCGCGUACCGGCGAGGAGGAGGAACUCGCGGGCGUGGACGUCUUGAUGACCGCGGAGUGGGGCGAGAAGUUCGACACCCUGCUCCCCGAGGACCAACCGGCGCCGCUCGCCGCCCGCGCGGUCAACACCCUCUCCCCCGCGGUCACCACGCUCGCUUCGUCGGUGCCCGCGAGGUACCACCUCGCGGGCACCGAGGGCGUGCACCUGCAGCUGCCGCCCUACAGGAACGGGCUGCACGCCACGCGGUUCUACGGCCUCGGCGCGGUGGACGGAAAUUUGGGGCAGAAAUUUGUCGUCGCGCUGGCGGUGACGCCGACGGUCCAGCUCGCGCUCGCCGCGGCGAGGGACGGAGUCGAGGAGGGCGCGGACGCGACGCCGUGCCCUUACAUGUCCAAGCCGCGUCCGAAACCUUCGGCGCCGACGCCGGAGGUGGUUGGACCGGUGGCGAGGGACGACGUCGACGACGAGUGGUCGCGGGGCGAUCAUAAGGACUUGGAGGGCGGGGAAUGGCGGUGCGGCGAGUGCGGCAACGUCAACCGCGCGCAUCAGCGGGACAAGUGCAACAUGAAGCGAUGCGGCGCCCCUCGCGAGGGGUUGGAGCUGUGGAGGCUCGAGUCAAUGCACGGAUUCAACGCGAGGGGCGCGAAGCGAACGGCGGAUGGCGACAUCAUGUCGGGGUUCCAGGCUCCGAAAACGUACACCAUGAUGACUCGGGAGGAGGCGGAGGCGGAGGCGGCGAGGGCGGCGGAGGCGGCGCGAGAGGAGGCGGCGCGAGAGGAGGCGGCGAACAAGAAGCAGAAGAAAGGGGACGCCGAGAAAACCUCGCUGUACGCGUCCCAGAAGCCGAUGUCGCAGAAGGCGAAAUACAGGAAGGGGACUAGGAAUCCGCAGGCGUGGCGCUAAGUAGGCUGCCAGAGCUCGGCGGCGAGCUCCCUUUUCUUUUCCUCUCUUUAAUAAAAUACAACAUUCUCAGCCGAGCAACGGUCUGCGUUCGUCGUGAGGGUACGAGUCGUACCGCUCGUACGGGCGGGCGUCGAGUUUGCUCGCCCGGUGGCUCGCGACGCACGCGAUGAAAACCGUCGCGCACACGCCGGAGACGACGACCCAGACGGUGGAAUCGACCGACCUCAUCGCUCGCAUGACGUCGGAUCCGCUCACGUCCGCCUUUUCCUCCAUCAGCAGCUCCUGCUCGGCGUCGAGGUAACCCUCGUGGCGACGACGCUCCGUCUUCUCCAGACGGUUGAUCAUCUCCUUCGCGGUCACCCUCUUAUUCUUCUUGCGAUGAACCACCUCAACCUCCUCCGUGUCGGACUUUUCCGACUGCGCCAGCCACAUCGCGGCUUUGGCCUUCGCCUCCUCGUCCUCGCGGAUGUACUCGGGUUCGCCGAGGAUCGGCGAGUUCUUGAUGGCCUCCUUGUACUUCCAGUAGACGUUCUUCGCAACCUGUAAGGGGUCUCCCUGGGGUUCGGUGGUGAACGAUUUGCCGGUUUCCUCGACCCACGCGCCGACGAUGUCGGCGUCCUCGCGCUCCCAUGCGUCCUGGUCCCAGUCGGGGUGGACGGCGUGGGGAAUCGGCGAUGGACGCUUCGCGUCCUCCGCCUCGAUCAUCUCGAUCAUCUCCGCGGCUGUGGACUUGCCGUCCCGCGGGUUAGCCUUCUCGGACUCCCCGGGGUUCCUCUCGGAGUCGCUAGAAUGCUUGCGGUGCGAGUGGUGGGAGCUCGAGUGAUCUUUGUGAUGGGAGGACUGGUGCUUGGUCUCGGCGGAAAAGGCGCCUGGGGUAGUGCAGUGCAUCUUGCCGGUGUCAUCCGGAGCGCAGCUCAAUUCCUUCACGAGCUCCUUCUUCUUAAGGAGCUCUUCCUCGCCAAUCUUCGCGACCUUGGCGUUCUUCUUCUCCUUCUCCUCAGCCUUCUCAAUCGUCGUCACCACUCGGCGCAGGAAAGCGCUCCAGCGGCGAUAGUACAGCCCCUGGUCGCCCUCACCGACCCUGCCCAGCAUACCGGACCACUGCCUGUUGGAGUAGUCGUGCAUCGGGUGGCCGAGGGGCGCGCCGAGCUUGGAACCCGAGGGGCCGAAACCGGAGAUGAGAGAACGCGCGGAUCGCUCCAAGUUUGCCUCAUCCGACUCCUUAUUGCGCUUACCCGCCCAGGACUUGGCGGACUCGAUGUAGUUACCGAGGAGGAACCCUUUGUGCGACCUGAGAAGCGCAUCCAUGUCGUCGAGCAGCUCCAACAUCUGCGUGCCGUACAUCUUAGCCUCGGAGGCGUUGUUGGAGUUGAGGGAAUCCCUGAUCUGCGUCGCGAGGACGUUCGACUGCCUGGCGAGCAGCUGCCUCCCCACGUCCACGAUGUCGUAGUCCACGCGCGUCCCCGCGCCGUUAGCCCGCAGCGUGGGCGCCGCGUCGAUGAGGGGCUUGAACGCGUAGUCCACAACCUUGGCGGCGUCGAAGUAAUCCGGCGAGAGUUCAUCCGCUCGGAGCGACGGCUGCCACGAGCACGCGUCGCGCACGUGGUCCUCAUCCUCGCCCUUCGCGCGGGCUCCGUACACCGUCUUACCCAAAAUCUCCCAAGCUUCGCGUGCGCGAUCGUACGCCUCCUCCUUGCCCAUCUCGCCGUGCUUGGCGGGGUCGUACCACUCCCCCGGGCCGAGGUAUCCGGGCGAGCCCGCGAUUGGGUUGUUGCCCACGAUGAAACCCGCGAGGAAGGCGCCUUGUCCGGUGCCCACGGGUAAGGUCGUGGGCGCGGGCUGGCGGACGGAGUAGCCGCCGUAGCGACGUCGGGAGUAAUCCGAUAGGAACCAGUCCACGUCGACGCCCUUCUCCGACUGCGACGUCAGCGCCGCGAGCUCGUACACGACGGGAUUUUGCUCGACACCCUCGGCGGUUAUUCCAAACCCCACGAGCUGGGACUUACCGACUUUACGCGAGCCGUGCGUCGCCUCGCGGGAGACCCUCUUAUUAUCCGCGAGCAUCCUGCGCGAUGAUCCGACCCGGGUGCCGCGUCCGUGAGUCGUUCCCCGCUCGCCGUCGCGACGGGACGCGAGGGAGUCCAUAGCGGCGGCGGGCCCAGUCGCAAUCGCACUCAGCCGGCCCCGCAUUCCCAGGUUACCUCCGUGGUUGUGCUUCACGCACCACACGAACGGCUGUCCGGCGAAGUGCACAGGCUCGCGAAGGUAGUACGGGUCCGUCUCCGCCGCGCUGUCGAGCACGAGCAUGUCUCCGAUGUCAACCGACCGAAGCAGCGCCCCCCUGCGACCCUCGUUCCAGAACCGGGGGUUCCUGCGGAAGGCGUCCGACUGGAACACCCACGUCGCGCGGGGGUCCGCCGAGCGCAUCGCCGCGAGCGUCGCCGCGCCCACUCGCACCACGUGCGUUUCGGAGAAAUCAUCGUUCGGGUCGCGAAUCUCCCGGAAAGUGUCCGCCAGGUAGAGGUGGUCGGUGCCAAAGUCCUCGACAAGCUGCUUGGUGAAGGCGGCGCCGAGAGACUGGAACAACGCGUCGCUCGGGUCGAGGAAGUGAACGGACCGGACGGAGUCGUCCUUCUUCGCGUAUUUUCCGAGCUCCGCGUCCUUCUCCUGCUUCUUCUUCUUAGCGCUCGACUCGCGGAGAGCCAGGUCGGCGUGAUGCGACUCCUCCUCCUUCUUCUCGUCCUUCUUCUCCUCCUCGUGGUGAUGACUGGCGUGAUGCACCUCGGUCCUCUCCACCUUCUCCACCUUCUCUUCUUCCUUCUUCUCCUCGUGGUGAUGCUUCUCCUCGUGGUGAUGACUGGCGUGAUGCACCUCGUGCUCGCUCCACUUGCUGUCCUGCUCGACGAGGAGCGCGAGACUGUCGUCCCCGUCCCGCGCCGCGGCGUGCGCCUUCCCCCCCUCCUCCGUCGGUGCCGGACGCUUCCGCUCGCGGUGGUCUCUCUCGACGGUGGUCUCGCCCGUGAGCCAGUUCUCCACGCGGCGGAGCUUCGCCUCGGGAAACCUGCGCGCGAUCGCCGGCGGGACGUGCCCGUUGAACCCCGGGAGCACCGGCGUCAUGCCGAAGUCGCGCAUCAGCUUCACGGCGUCGCGCUGAAGAUCCCACUGGCGCUUCAGCCACUUCUUCGGUCUACCCCCGGUCCACGACCCCUGCGCGGCGCCGUUCCGCGCCCACGCCUGGUGCGCGGGAUCCCCGAACCACUCCUCCACCUCCGACUCCUUCAGCCCGAAGUCCUUCGACGUGAGCACGCGCAUCCACACCUGCUCCACCCCGUUGAGCGCCAUCGGAGUGUUCACGCCGUGGAGCGCCAUCCACUCGAUCUCCUUUUCCCAUCGCUCGUAGUCCCAGAACGCGGUGCUGUAACUGAACGUCUCGGGAUUCAUGUACACCGUGCGCUCGAACGGGAGGUUAACGACCACCCCCGCGUCGUCCACCGGCGGGAGCGAUCCGCGAGGGACCGAGUGAAGCUGGUGGCCUCCAGUCGCCUCCCAACCCAGGUGGGCGCCGCAGAAUCGCCGGAGGUAGUGGUGCAAGCCCGCCGCCUGCUCGACACCGGUAGAUCCCGCGAUGGAGAUCGUCCCCGGCUUAUCCCCGUUCUGGAUGGAGAAACACCGCGCGCCUUCGGCGCACCCGCCGUCGCGGUGUCUCCCUCGAAAUUCGAUCAGGUUCGACCCGGCAUGGUUGGGCAGGAGCCGCUCCAUGAGUCGCGUCACCGGGUCGAUCGAGUCCUCCUUCGACGCGCCGACCGUCAGUAAGGUCGUGAGGACCAAUAAGGUCGACACAAACCGCAUGUUCGCCCCUUGUCUCUCCCUUGCGCGCGCCUCUUUCGCGCCGAGACGACUGCGUGGGGCUCACGAAGAGGCUGGUGGUGUUACAAUUUUAACCGAUCCUACGUGGCUGGCAAAUAGUCUAAUCGAAUGCGACUGAAUUACGACGCGUAACUGAAUACGAUGUGCGGUAUUUCCGAAUUACGUAAUUUGGGAAAUCGACUGACACCUCGUCGGUUGGGAUCCCAGAAAUGUGCUUGAAAAUGGACAGCUUCGCAGUCAGGUUUUUGUCACGAUACUGAAUGUGUCCGAUCGAUCGCCGAAACGGUCCGAGGACUCGCGUGUACUACAGCGGUUACCUCUGCUGAAGGGUCGGUGUCAGCCCGUGAAGCUGCGUUACCGCCGGCGCUUGGUUACUGUGCGCGGCGCCCGCCGACUCCACUCGGCUCGGCAGUCGUGUCCCACGCACGUAAGAUGAUGGACAUCGAGGCUGCGCCCGUCCACCCCGAGAGCGCGCCGCUCCUCGGCGCGACGAGCGUCGAAACACCCGCCUGGCGCAGACGCAUCGCGGUUGGGGCGUCGAUCUUUGGAACCGUCGCGCUGUGCGGCGCCGCGGUGGUGGCCGGCGGUGAGUUUCGGUUCCACGAAACGCGCGCCGACUCGUCCCAAACUUUGUUCUCGAUCUUUCUCGCGCGAGAUGGUCCGCGAUACUCUUGAUUUCGCUCCCAUCGUCGCGAACGUCGCUGCCCAUCCGGUCGACCCAAUCAUCUUCAAGAUCUCACCAACACCUCCCGCCUUCUCCGCGCUGCAGGCAAAGGCGCUCGGGACUCGGCCCGCCUCGGCGAGGCGUGGAACCCCGCGACCUGGAACCCCAACACGUGGAACACCUGGAACCCCAACACGUGGGCCAACGCGUGGACCCCCACGCCCCAGCCCAUGCCCACGCCCGAGGUCCAGCAGUGGACCCAGCCCCAGCCAGCCACCGCCGGGUGGGACACCUCCGUCAACUACAACACCUGGCCGGGUGCGCCCGCGGACCCGCAGGCGUCGCUUGGGCAGUGCCAGUCCUCCCUCCGCGACUCCGCCGAGAUGGUGCAGCUGGGCACGUACAUACCGCCGGAACAGUGCCAGGCGCUCGUAGUGUGCGCGGGCUCUCCGAGGGCGUCGUCCACCGCCGAGUGCACCAUCGCGCAGCACGUGCUCGAGUACAUGCUCACAGGCGAGAAGCAGAAGGGGUACACCGACCAGGACAAGGCGACCUAUCUCGGCUACUGGAACUAUCAUCUGCACACGCUGUGCGGCGACGGCGACGGAUGCGAGCAGAAGUACCCGGCCGACCUGAGGUACCUGCGCACCAGGAUGGACUGGUCGGCCAAGCUGGAUCAGACGUACGACGAGGACGCCAAGACCCGGCUCUCCGGCAUCCUCAACGAGAUGGACCGCUACUACGAGAAGCGCGACGCCAUCUCGCCCUCGAGCAUCAUCAUGACCAAGUCGCACGAGUUUGACGGCACGUUGAUGAACGUGUGCAAUAAGCGGAUCGUGCUGACGAGCUCGAGGGAUUCGGAGGAGGUGUUCGACUCCGGGUUGAACCUCGGAUGGUUCACGUAUCCCAAGGAGGAGUCGCGGGAGACGUUUGACAAGUAUUACGCCCUGUGGAACGGCUGGAAGUCGUGCUGGGAGUCCGCCGCGGAGAACGACCUCAACUCCGUUCUCUUCGACCUCGACUACAGCCAGCUCACCACCGAAGGGUCGUUCAGGGCGGUCGUCAUGCAGAUGACGUACGAGAUUGCCCAGCUGCUCAACCUGCAGGACGUGGACAUGGGCGGCAUUGUGGAGAAGGUGCUGCAGCGAGACUUUCAGCGCGAGCUCAACCCGAGUUUGACCACGGGAGGCCUGCCCGUGAAACAGCCGGGAACCCUCGGGAAAGGCGAGUCGAAGCCCGUGGGGCCGCAGUACAUGUUCUGGUGAACAGCCGGACGAGUAGAUAAGCGCUGAGCGUAGCGCGCCUGCGAACGAGUAGCUUCAUCAAAUUGUAACCACCAGGUGAAGAAUUUAUUUUUCAAACUGUCGGCGUCGAAGCUUGCGCCUCCCCUGAUCUGCACUACGCGACGACGUGAUCAGAACGAUAAGGCAAAAGGUGAAAUUUCAGCGUCUAAUCUAGUUGAAGUAGGAGCACUCCCCGUCGGAGUUGUAGUUGAGCUGGCACAGGAGUCUGAACGUGUCGGGCGUGAGCGGCUUUCCGAUCCACUCGAGCGGCUUUUGCUGGAAGUACUUGCCCACCGGCAACCCUCGCUCCGCUCCGCUGUCGUCGCUCAGGCUCGACCGCCACGGGUCGAUGUUCGACACCUCAGGCACGAACGCCUUAACGGAUUGGAUGACGGCGUCCAUGUUCCACGCCAUGUCUUCGUAACGCACCUGGAGAGUGCUCAUCGACGGAUCCGCCAGGAGGUUCCUCGCCAUGACCAUCUGCUCCAUGUAGUACCCCUGGUUGAAGGGGUGCUUCUCGCUUGUCCAGGAGAAAGGGUGCCUGGUCAGCACCACAAACUUGACGUUAACGCCGAGUUUUGCGGCGGCGUCCCGGAUCUUCGUCGGGCGGCAAAGGUUCUGCGGGGUCUUGUCCAUGAGCACAGGCUUGGACAUGUCCCACCACUUGUGGGCGAAAUCCUUGUAUGCGUACGCAAACUCCGCCGCGGUGACGUCUUCGGGGUCGCAGUGAACGUUCUCGUUGAUGAACCCCAUGUCCUCGAGCAGCACCGUGUUUUCGCACUGCCAAGUGUUAGAUUUACAUAAGUCGGUGAUGACGCCCGAGGUGCCCAACAGGCCCUCCAGCGCGGAUGUCCCCGAAAAAGACAUGCCCAGCACGAUCAGCAGCGUCUUGCCGGUGAAGUCCACGUCGGGCAGGUUGGCGAGGUUGAGAUCGGUCACCAGCCCGGUCUUGCUGAAGCGGCGUUUGAGCAGGUCAUCGACGCCGAACUGUCCUCCGCGGGCGACGAACGCCACGCACGCGAAGACGAAGACGGCGCCCGCCGCGAUCGCCGCGAGCGCGCGCCUGGGGGUGGCCCCGAAGAUGCUGCCGUGCGCCUUGGCCGAGACGCCAGCCUCCUCCACCAGGAGCGGGGAGGCCUCGCCGCCCAGCCUACCCGCCGAGGAGCGGGUGCUGACCAUCGUGUCUAAGCGUCGUUUCCCGCCGGUCGGACUUGCGAGCCGCGAACCUCCACGGCGCGCGCGUCGUCAGUGGCGCAAGUAGGGCGCAGAUCUCCCGACAGGGUGUUUUUCAGGACGCAAAUCUCAAGAAGGUGUUACAGUUUUUUUCUGUCACUUGGGCCGAUCCGAGGGGUGGCUGCCAGUCUGAUGGACUGCUGAAAAAAAUCGAAGGAACUGCCGAAUACAGAGUAGCACGAAUUCCCACGCGCGAAACCCCCCUUCACCGCGUUCAACACGGUGUACACAGCGGUAAGCGCGCGCGAGCCCCGGAGUGGCGAGCGUGCCCCGCGGAUAUCAUGGUGAGUAUCGUGAUGGGUGAGGGCGACGAGAGGUCCGCUCUGCUUCCCGAGACGACCGGCGAGUCGGCUCGCGCGUCGGCUCAUCAAGGGGGUGUGGGUGUUGGGAAUGGGUUCAACCGCUGGGCGAGCGGCAAGCGCGUCGCGAUGAUCGCGGUCGGGGCGGUCCUCGGCGUCUGCGGCCUCGUCGGUGGAUACAUGCACUCCAUGAUGCCCGGCGUCGCGCCCAAGGAGGGUGACCCGGAUUUCCGCAGGCUUCCGCCGGUCGACUUCGACGACAAGACGCUGCUCAUCGUGGUCGGGCUCCCAUUCUCGGGGACGUCCGCGCUGGAGGGCCUGUUGGGCACGUCCGGGGUCAUCGCGGACCUGUGCAAGGCGGACACGUGGCAGUGCGAGAACACGGAGCUGCUCCAAAAUCUGGGAUUCAAGAGCAAAGACGCCGACUGCGACUGCUGUGAGGACGAGUACACCAGCAUGAGCGACGUCACCGCCGCCGAGUACGCCUACGCGUACAGAGAUUUCGCCAACAAGUGGUGGGACAUGUCCAAGCCCGUGCUCAUGGACAAGACCCCGAACAUGCUCUGCAGGCACCGGUUCGUGCGCGACGCCGCCGCCGCGCUCGGUAUCCCCGUCAAGUUCGUCGUCCUGACCCACCAUCCGUUCAGCUGGAACAGCGAGUCGCACCCUUUCAACGAGGAGUACUACGCCGAGAAUCUGGCAUACACGGUGGACAUCCUCGCGGACCCGUCGGUGGAUUCUCUCCAGGUGCGUUACGAGGACAUGGCGUGGAACAUGGACUCCGUCAUCGAAUCCGUCAAGGCGUUCGUGCCCGCGGUGAAAAACUUGGACCCGUGGCAUUCCAGCCUGAGCGACGACAGCAAGGGCGACCGCGGCAUGGGCGUGUCCGAGUACUUCCAGCAGGAGCCGCUGGAGUGGAUCGUGAAGGACUUGGAGCCGAGCACGUACGCCAUGCUGUGCCAGCUCGGGUACAACGAGGACGGGGAGUGCGCGGCGUCGGCGGGCGCGAACGAGAGCCCCAGCGGGUACGUGGAGACGGACGAGUACGAUCGUUAGGGGAGGGGAGAGAGGAAGAGGACGGGUGCGCGGUCACCGGGUGUCGCCGACGACUAACUCAUCCAUUUUGGAAACCAUUUUGAAACUGUAUUUAUAGUCAGUUUUUAUUAUUCGUUCAAAGAUGUUUACUCGUACGCGCCAUCGACGCUAUUUGGCGUUACGCCUGUUAUCGAGCAUCCGUUGUUGACGCUGCUGCGCCGGGGAUUCUCGGGCUUUUCAAACCCGGACGACCCGGCCCCUUUGGAUAUAGCGAGCGGGCGCAAGGGAGGAGCUUCCCUCGCGCUCGACGAUUAGCCGCGCUAAUUCGAGCGGCUCGGCACGCUCGAGGAGAAGCGCGCCUCGACGUCGUGGCGCUCAUGACUUCGCCGAGGAGCGCCGAGAGGAUGGGAGGAAAUUGCUGAGUGCCCACCGGAAAGGUCGUGAUGCGAACGAGGAGCGCGCGACGCGAGCGCGGGGGCGACGUCGCGCCGGGUUUCCCGCGCUGCGACGACCGUCAGAAUGGUCCCGCGUCCUCGGCGCGAUCCCGCGGGAUAUCGGCGCCGUCUCGCCUCCUGCGGCUCGCGUUGCUCGUGGGAAUUCUCGUCGCGGGCGCGGCGGCCCCUCACGACCCCUCCGUCGACGCCGCCGCGCACGUCGGCGGCGACGUGUACGCGCUGGACCUCCUCCCGAGCCGAGGGCCGGCGCUCGGCGGCACGCGCGUCACCUUCCACGGCCGCGGUUUCACCACCGACAUGGCGUGCCAGUUCGGCCCGCACACGAUCCUCCCGACGAGCGUCUCCCCCGAGGGCGACGCGCUCGUAUGCGUGACGCCGCCGUUUGGGCGCCCCGCCGGCGGAUUCAUCGCCGUCGGGAUCACCAUCACGACCGCCAAGGCGUGGCCGGCCGAGAGGGGGGGUGCCGAGGGGGGUGCCGAGGGGAAAGGGCGGCCGGCGGCAACCCCGAGGGGCGCCAGGUCGUUCGAGUACGCCGUGGCGUGGGUCCUUCGAUCCGUCGCGCCGUCGCGAGUGGAUUCCGCGGGCGGCGGCGUGGUGUGGGCCACCGGGUCGCACCUCCACGCGGCGGGCUCGUGCCGAUUCGAAUCACCCGCGUCUUUUGGCGGCGGUUCGCCUUCCUCGUCGUUCGCGGCGGCUCGAGUCGUGUCCUCCGCGUUGAUUGCGUGCGAGGCGCCGGCGAUGGGGAUCGGCGUCGGCGCCCUCGCGGUCGUGUCGGAGAACCCGUCGGCGGCGCAGGAGGUGCUUCGACACGGGCACGAUCCGGGCGACGCCGGCGUGCCCGGGCUCGCGCUGGUCACCCGUCGCCCGCCCAAAGUCCACCGAGUCGUCGCGCGCGGAUUUUCAUCCGGGUUUUCAAACUACUUGGCGGGUACAUCGCUGACGAUGUACGGCUCCGGGUUCGACGCGAACGGGGGUUCCAAUAGGGAAGACGCGUCGCCCGGGAACGACGCGGGCGGGGACGGUUCCUCCGGGGGUGGCGACGACUGGCCCGGGAACGGGGCGGGGGGCGCGGUGGGAACGGUGUGGGUGGCGGCGACGUAUUCGUCCCCCGGCCGCGUCGAUUGCGUGGCUCCGGACCUCGCUCCGGGCGCGACAAAAUCUCUCCGGGUGGCGUACCGCGACGCGCGCGACCCGGCGGGCGUCGGCGUCGAGUGGCUGGCGAUCGAGCGCCCGGGCGGCGGCGAGUUUGGCGCGGCCCGGGAGUUUGGGGCUUAUGGGUCGGCGGCGAGUGGGGCGUUUUUCGUCGCCGUUCCGUCGACGGCGGCGACGCGGGGGGGCGGCGCGGCGGUGGACUUUUUCGGCGCGCCGCCGGACGACGCCUUCGGGGUUUGCGGCGACGACGACGUUCACGCGGGAUCAUACGGCGGCUCGGGUUCGGGUUCGGGUUCGGGUCUAGGUAAGGGUUCGGGUGCGGGGUUUAGGUUCGGGUGCGUCGCCGGCGCGAGGCCCGGCGGCGGGUUUGUCGCCGUCUCCGCGCGCGGGUCCUCCGCGUUCCCUUCCGGCUCAUCCGCCGGCGCUCCCUUCGUCGCACUCGCGUUCGCGUACGUCCGCGCGCCGUCGCUCCGCGCCGUCGCGCCGCGCGAGGGUCCAUCCGCCGGCGGCUACGUCGCGUGGAUCGUCGGCGACAAUCUCAAAACCUUUGGCGAUGAGACGGGUUCGGCGGUGAGAUGCCUCUUCGCGUGGGCGGGAGCGGAUGCCGUCGCGCGCCAUUCGCCGCCCGCGAGCGCCGUAUCCUCGACGCUGGCGGCGUGCGAGGCACCGCCCGCUCCGACGGCGUCUGGACGAGACGUUCGCGCGUUCGCCGUGGACGUCGGCUCGCACGCGCUGGGGUGGUCCGAGAUCGGGUCGGCGCUCAUCGCGUGGCCCGUCUCGCUCCGAGUCGGCAGCGUGACCCCAUCCGUCGUCUUAUCCGCCGGGGGCGUGUUCGUGAGGCUCUCCGGCCGAUCGUUCCCAGCCUCCGCGGAGGCGGCGUGGUGCCGCGUGGGCUCCGUCGGACCCGUCGCCGCUCGAGUCGAAUCGUCGGACGCGAUCGGGUGCGUGACCCCCGCGACGCGACCGACGGCGGCCGUGCCGGUGACCGGUCCGAGCGCCGCGGUGGGGGUGGUAUCCGUCGACGUCGUCGUCGGCGGGUGGGGCGAGCGCGGGGUGGGCUUGCCGAGCGCGUUCCCGGCGAGGACGGGAUCGGGAUCGGGGUCGGGAUCGGGGUCGGGGUCGGGGUCGGGAUCGGCGGUGGCGUCGGCGGACACGACCGCGGGGUCGAUGGACGCCGCGACCGACGUUCGGACACCCAUCGCGCGGAUGUACCCGCUGGGCGCGGCGCCCGAUCCCGGUUCGUUAGCCGCGUGGCUCGCCGACGGCGCCGCUCGAUGCGUCUUUUCGAACGUCGUCGGCGGCGGCUUCGCGGCGGCGUCCGCGGCCGGUCUUCACGCGGUCGACUGCCCCGUCCCGCUCGCGCCUCCGGGGUUCGUCUCCGCGCGCGUCGUCGUCGGGUCGCACGGGUCGUCCGUGGAGGCCGUCGGGUCCGUCGAGAUUGAGUUCAGGCCGUCGCCCGUCGUCUCGGGGCUGCGAGGCGGGGUUGGAGAUUUCGGCGGCGGCGGCUCGACGGCUUCCGCGGGGGAAAACGCCGUCUUCGACGUCGACGGCGCGGGGUUCUUCCCGGGUUUGACGUGCGUCUGGUGCGGCGUCGCCGGCGCGGAGGCGAACGUGCUCUCGUCCGUCGCGGCGCGGUGCGAGCAGCCGGGGUUGGAGACGUUGACGUUGACGGCGGCGGGGGCGACGGAGGGAGUCGCGUGCGCGCUCGGGCUGGUGUCGGGCGGCGCCGACGACGGUCUGUUGGGCGCCGCCGCCGUCGCCGACGGACCGACUGCGCUGGUCAUGCCGUUUCCCGCGGAGAUGACGGCGGUGACGCCGAGCGCCGGACCGGCGUCGGGCGGAUCCGUCGCGAUCGCGCGGCUGGCGGGUUUUUCGUUUACGCGGAGACGCGCGGAAACGCACGGAAACGGGGGAUUUUCCUGCCGAUUCGGGACGAUCGGCCCCGUCGCGGGAGCUCCCGCGGGUGGAGGCGCCGGCGGCGUGCGUUGCGAGACCCCCGCGCAUGUGCCGGGCGCCGUUGCCGUCUCCGUCGCCGGCGCGCGGGGCGGUUCGUCGUUUGCGUACGUCGACGACGGGGGGAUUUCUAUUUCCUUCCGGAGGGAUUCCGGAAGCGUGGCGCCGUCAGCGAUUCCCUCCUCCGGGGACGCCGCGGGUCACGACGCGGUGGACGUGCACGCGCGGGGGUUCGGCGGCGGGCUCGUCGCGGCGGGGAUCGCGUACCUGUGCGUGCUCGGGGACGGCGGCGGCGUCGCGAGCGCGACGACGAGAGGCGUUGGUUGGACCCGGUGCGGCGUCUUGCCGUCGACGGCGCCGAGCGGGUUCACGACCGUCUCGGUGGCCGCGCGCGAGGGUGCUGAGGGUGCCGAGGGUGCCGAAGGUGCCGAGGGCGCGUACCUCGCGGGGUUCGUCGCGGCGUCGGGAAGCGUCGAGGUGUACGUGCAGGCGUCGGUACAGGCGUUGAUCCCGCGCGACGUCGUCUCCGGCUGGGAUUCGACCCUGACGCUGCUCGGCGAGCACCAGCGGAGGGGCGACGGCGGUGCGGGGUGGACGGGGGAUGCCCACUUCUUUUGGUGCUUCUUCGGCGACGGCGUCGCCGUUCCCGCGCGGUCCGUGUCCUCCGCGCUCGCCGUCUGCGAGAUUUUGCCCGCCGCCGCCGACGACGAUGAACGACGAUCGUCGUCGUCGCGUUUGGCGUCUUCAUCGUCGCGUUUGGCGUCGGACGACACGAACGACGCAUCCGACGAGUCCGACGAGUACCCGACGAGCGUCCGACGGGCGCACCCGCGCACGCGUCGCGUCGACCUCGCGGCGCCCGCCGCUUUCAAUCGCGGCCGAGGCGCGCCGUGCGGCGGACCGGAUUCCGGCUGCCGAUCCUUCACGCACCACCCCGCGCCCCUCGCCCUUCACCGCGUCCGACCGACGUCCGUGGCGGUCACGGGCGGCUCGAUCGUCGCGAUGCACGGCUUACGCUUCGCGGACGUUCCCAACCUCGGCUGCCGCUUCGGGACGAUUGGGCCGACGUCGGCGGCGUGGGCUUCGGCGGCGACUGUUCGGUGCGUCGCGCCCGGACGAGCCCCGGGACCCGCGCCGGCGUCGGUACUGGGAACAUCGUUCGACUCCCAAGUCGCCGUGACGUUCCGGGACCCGGUGGUGGACGCGACGAAGGGCGGGGUUGUCCGCGUGGCGUCGCGAAGCGGCGGAUCGUCGACGCUCGUCGUGGUCCGCGGGAUAUACGCGGGUACGUCGACGGCGGAACCCCUCGUCGCGACGGUCCUCGGCGUCGGCGGCGGCGGACACGCACGGGCGACGUGUACGACGGGUGCCGAGGGUGCCGAGGGUGCCGAGGGUGCCGAGGGUGCGUACUUGGCGGGGUUAAACAGCGGGUGCGGCGGGCGGCUGGGCGCCGGGGCUGGGGCUGUCGUCGCGCGGUUCAACGUUCCCGCGCCGGGGGACCGGUUCGAGUCGUUCGGCGGCGUCGCGUUUCGGGUCGUCGCCCUCGGUUUCGACGCCGAGACUUUCGCGCACGGCGGCGAACACCCAAACCCCGGCUCCGGGGACGUUCCCACCGUCCCGUCGCACUCGGCGUCCCCGGGGUGGGAGGGUUCGAUCGAGGUUCAGUACCUGGACGACCCCGUCGUCGUCGCCGCCGUUCCCGCGGCGGCGAGCGCGGCGGGCGGCGCGCUGGUCACCGUACUCGGCGCGCCCGGUCCGUCGUCGUUUCGCGUCGACGAUUCUCGAGUCUUCCGGUGCGUCUUUGGGCGAUUGGCGGUUGCGAUGAACGCGGUGUCGUCCGUCGUCGCCGUCUGCGAAACCCCGCCCGCGACGGGGGAGCGGGAAGGGGCGGGGAGCUCCGCGGCGAGCGCGCUCGGCGCCUCCGUCGACGGCGUUUGGUUCGAGUCGCGGACGUCGGCGGCGUCGUCGGGCGGGACGGUUUCGUUUUCGCACCGCGCGCCCGUGGUGACGCUCGACGUCGCGCCCGCGCGAACGGUUACGAACCGACACGAACCGUUACAAACGUCGCCGAUUGUGUUGACGGUGACGGGCCGCGGGUUCGGCGCGACGUCGACGGAUGGCUUCGGGGCGUCCGAUCCGUGGGCGCCCGCCUGCCGCGUGGGCACGAUAGGUCCCCUCGCGACGACCCAAACGUCCGCGACGUCGGUUCGAUGCGUCGCCCCCGCGGGUAACGGCCGUAACGGCCGCGCGACGCCCGUGGCGGUCCUGCGCGACGGCGUCAGGGGCGGUCCGCACGCGCCGACUUUGGCGUUUGUCGAGUUUGUCGUCGACGCGUCUUUGGCGUCCGAUGGAUCAUCCGAUGGAGCCGAUAAUCCAUCCCACGACUCUCCGGCGAAUACCGCCAGGCGCGCCUCCGAAGCGCUCAUCCGAGGAACGGAUCCCGCGUCCACGACGGGCGGCGUCCCUGUGGAGAUUCGCGGCUCGGACGUACCCCAUCGCCAGUGCUGGUGCCUCUUCGGCCGCGCGUACGUAUCGAAGGUGCUCCGCGUGUCCUCCGCGGUGUCCAGGUGCGCGGAGGCUCCGAUGAGUGGCGGUUUAGGGGUUGGUGGGGGCGGGAGGACGCGCGUCGUCGUCAGGGUGGCGUGCGCCUGGGGCGCGGCGGGUCCGCCAGCCGCGCUCGAACCGUCGGACGCCGCGACUCUUUCGACGGCGGCGGCGUCGGCGUUCGCGAUUGGCGAAUCCGGGGUGGCUCUCUCCCUCGUCUCGCGCCCUGUGAUAUCGUCGGCGUCGCCGCUUCACCUGUCCGGCUCCGGCGGCGUCGCGAUGACCCUCACCGCGUCGUCGCUCCAGCACGCCGGCGGCGACGACGCCAACGCCGACGGGGACGGGUCUCGGUACGGGUGCCACUUCGGGUCGGUCGGGCCGAUCGCUGCGAGGUCCAUCGGAGAGGAUCGGGUCGGGUGCGUCGCGCCGGCGCUCGGCGUCGGAAAGGUGACGGUCGGUUUAUCGCUGGACGCCAACGCGCGGGAGACGGAGUGGUCCCACCUCGUCGUCGUUCGCGUCGAUUCGUAUUACCUGGAGGGGUUUCUCGCUCGUGGCGCGGAGGGCGCGGGGAUGCCGAGCGGCGGCGCCGCUUCGGGCGGCGCGACGUACGAAUCCGUCGCGGACGUCGCGGGUAUUCGUUCAUCCGCUAAUGCCGACCGGACAUCUGUAUCCUCCGUCGUUCGAUGCGCGUUUGGCGACGCUCGCGUCGCGGGGACGUGGAUCCACCGCGGCGGAAACGGGGCGGGCGUCGGCGGCGGCGGGGUCGCGUCCGUGCUGUGCGUCACGCCCCCGCGGCUGACGUCCGCGGGUUUCGUCCCUGUUCGAAUCUUCGUCGACGGCUCGGACGCCAACGCGCUCGGCGAUUCGGCGAUUUUUCAGUACGCCGUCGCGCCGGACGCGAGGGUGCGGACGAUCUUCCCGCGUACCUCGUGGGGCGCCGAGGUGGUGUCCGUGGCGGGUGCGCACCUCGCGGGCCCCGGGGACGCCAUCGGCGGCGCCCCGAGGCGAUCGAGCGGAUCCGAAAACGCGGGCGAGACGCGUUGCGUCUUCGCCGGCUUCGUCUUUCCCGCGCGCGUGGUUUCGUCGGCGGUGAUGACGUGCGAGACGCUCGCGGAGGUUUGGUCGCCCGGGCGGGCGAAUAGACGCGGGCGCGCGUGGUGGGGACCCGACGCGUACGACGACGAUGGCGACCAGUCACCGCCCGACCAGUCACCGGUCGGGGCGUCGCUCGCGAAGGGCGCCGAGGGGCUUCGGGUUCACGAGGGUGGCGACGCGAGGCGCGGGGUUCGCGCCGUGUCGGCGUGCGCGAUCGGGUCGGAUUGCGGUUCAACCGGCGACGGGUUCGGGGCGGGUUCAAACGGCGGUUCGAACGUGGGCGGCGCAAACACGCUCUGGUUCCAGAGCGUCCGGGCCAGUUCGGUGAAAGAGGCGGACAUCGACGAGGGUUGGGACGACGGCGGGACGCUCGUGCGUCUGGCGCUGUCCACGCGGACGCCGGCGGAUUGGCUGGAUUGCGUUUUUGGCACCACGCGGGUGCCCGCGAGGCCGGCGGCGGCGUCGAGCGACCCGCCGCUCGUCGACGCCGAGAGCGCGAGGGAGCUGGCGGACGCGAUGGCGCGUUUGGGAGGCGGGAAAAGCGGGGCGAACAUGGACCUGGAGUGCAUAUCGCCCGCGCACGCGCCGGGAGUCGUCGACGUCGAGAUCGCGCUGACGCGCUCGAGGAUGCCGUCAUCGGGAGGCGCGGUGAAAUUUGCGUACGUCUGAACCGACCAUGGUGAGGCGGGUGCGGGGGCGAGUGUUGGGUCCGUCGUGGCUUUUUUCCUCUCUCCGUGUCGUUGUUAUCGUUCCGGUUGAGUUGAGCUAUUUCUUGCACUCCUUGCACCUGUGGCGCCGAUGGCCGUGCUCGCAGAUUUGAGACCCGCCGCACUCCUUGCAUUGAGGGCGCUGCCGGCCGUGCUCGCAGAUUUGAGACCCGCCGCACUCCUUGCAUUGAGGGCGCUGCCGGCCGUGCUCGCAUAUUGAUGACCCGCCGCACUCCUUGCACGUAGAGCGCCGACGACCGUGCUUGCAGAUUUGAGACCCACCGCACUCCUUGCACGUAGAGCGAAUACGACCGUGCUCGCAGAUUGAUGCACCACCGCACUCCUUGCACUGAGAGCGCCGACGACCGUGCGGACAAGCCCUGCACACCGUGCAGUUCGACCGGUACUUCACCCCGUGCUCGCAUGACCCCUUCGUGGGAGGGCCUCUCUUCCUCUUCACGCCCUUCUUCGUCGCAUCCUUCUGCUCCUCUUCGCUUUCCGAUCCCUCCAUCUCGGCGACGCUGGCGUACAGCCGGUCGAGGUUGGGUCGCCAAAUCGUCGACAUCUUCCCCGCGAGAUCCUCCGACUUUUCGUCUUCUCCAUGGUCGUCCGCAGGAGGUUCGACGUUGACGGCGGGGGGUGUGUGGUGGUCGUCGUCGGGCUCUUCUUUGACGACGAUGGGGACCCCGUUCAAGAAGGGUGGGUGCCAGAUGGUGUUCAUGGCGCACGGCGAUACGAGUUAUGACGACCCUGGGGCGGGCUCGAGCGUUCCCAGAAAACUGACACUGACGGUUUCCCUCUGAUCUGCAGAUCCCGAACAAAGCGCCCCUCUGCUAGGUCACAGAUCUCGGCGCGUCUUUCGUCCGUGACGUCACCCCCGUUGACAUCGUUCAAAACGAUGGCCAUGCUGCGCACAUCCACGCAUCGCCUCAAAGGACUGCGCGAUGCCCAGAUCUUACAAACCUGCGCGCGCGGAUACCACAAGAACGUCGUGGACCACUUCGAGAACCCUCGCAACAUGGGCUCCUUCGACAAAGAUUCGGCGAACGUGGGAACCGGCUUGGUGGGCGCCCCCGCGUGCGGCGACGUGAUGAAACUGCAGAUCAGGGUCGACGACGACGGUAACAUCGUGGACUCGUGCUUCAAAACGUUCGGAUGCGGCUCCGCGAUCGCGAGUUCAAGCGUCGUGACCGAGUGGGUCAAGGGGCAACACGUGGACCAAGCGGUGAACAUCAAAAACGAUGAAAUCGCAAAACACCUGAAUCUGCCCCCAGUCAAGCUGCACUGCUCGAUGCUCGCGGAGGAUGCCAUACGCGCCGCGGUGAAAGAUUUGAAGCAGAAACAGCAGAAACAAUAAGGAGGGCGCCGCCCAGGACUCAACCGUGUGUACACUUAUCACCAAUUUGUAAUACCAAUUUGUAAUACGUCCUCAGCUCGCGGGCGCUGGGCUACUCUAGACUAAUGAUCACACGAUAGAACACUACACGUCACCUCUUGACCUCAUCCUUCGUCUUCAGCUCGAUCCACGGGAUGACCGUGCCGUCGGGCUGCGUGACCUUGACCAUGUUGGUCUGGUCGUCCGAGCCGCAACCUCCGCAUUUCGCGAGUUGUCCCUUGGAGAUGCCAUCCGUGUUCUUGGGCAGACCCACGUGUCCGCAGGACCAGCACACCGCGGCCUGGCCCAUCCCGUUGGUGCCCUUGCCGUCGGGUCCCUCCCGUAGGACGCGGAGGUAUCCGCUCACCCGGUCCACCAGCCGCUUGGCGCACUCCGGCCGCUUGACGAAGCAGAAGAGCUCGACGGCGGCGUGCAGAUGCGGCGGAAAGUUCUUGUCGCCCUUCUCGUCCUCCUUGGGGACCACCUUGAGCGCCACGAACUCCUUGCCGACCUCGACCGAGGUGGCGCCUUCCGGCACGUGAAAGGGCUCCGCGCCGUCGACCGGCGGCGUGGGGUCGCUCGCCAUCUCGGCUGCGCGCCCGAGGAGUGGUUGAGAGAACCGUCUCGAAAUUUAUUAGAGAAAAUGGCACUUUGGGCAAAUUUCGCCCACGCCGCAGAGGACGAAGUUUAGCUAGCGUUCUCGCAGUCUCUCGCGGCUUCCUUGGGCAUGAACGACCAGUACCUGUCCCUCUCCUCCUCGCCCACGCCGUGCCACGCCGCCAUCUUCAACCCCUCCUCGCAGUGCAGCUUCCUCAGCCCCUCCAGCUGCGGCCUCAGGUGUUCCCUCAGCGCGUCGCGAUCGCCGUCGCGGACGUUUCCAACCAAACGCGCCUUUGUCCCGGGAUCCUUCACCCGCCCGGCGUUGGCGUGCGCCGCGUCGCCGAUGAGCUCCAGAUCCGACGCGUCCACCCCCAAGUGCGACGCGAUGUCCUUCAGCGCCGCCGCCGGUCUCUCGAAGUAGUACGAGUUUGGUAACACCAAAAACUGAUCGGCGGAGAAACCCGCGUCGAGGUACUCGCGGAGCACGGAUUCGUACCGAGUCUUGACAACCUCGUUGAACAGGUUCUUCAUGCGCCUGCGUUCCGCGCGUUCUCCUUUACUGCCGAGAUCGCCGACUGACUCGCCUGACUCGGCAUCAAAUGUCGCGUCUUCAUCCGCGUCAUCAUCGAGCGUCUCGGCCAUCUGCGCCCCCGGGUUUUCCAACAGUCCGCCCGGUUUACUCGCCUCUGGCAGCGCCGCCACCGUCUGUUUGAGCCAAUCCGCGUACGUGGCAAAGUAAUGCGUGUACAGGUUCCGUUCCCACACAUCAGCCUGGUCCCCUCCCCAGCCGUUGUACAGCGUCUUGAAGAACGUGAACGCGCUCUUCAGCCGCGUCUCCGGGUCGCAGACGGUGGCGACGAACCUCAAUCGUGCUCGCUGUUCCGGCCGAGGGUACGCCUCCGCGAUCUUGGCGCCCACGCCGGCGUUGAAGUACGCCGGGGUGCCGUCGACGUGUAGCCUCGGGGUGCGCGAGGUCGCCAUGUCGAAGGGAUCGUCCGGGCCGUGCGCGCUCAUCUCGUUGGCCAGGGACGACGCCACGGUGGCGCAGGUGUCCGCGUGCCGCGUGAGCCACUCGCGAAACGGGGUCGGGUCCUUGUUCCACUUGAGCAUGUUCACGAAGCGCCCGCCCGUGUCGAAGUAUCGCAUCUCCUUCGCGGGCGCGCCCUUGUCGUCGUGCAUUGGCCUGAGCGCGGGGAUGUGCGAGAUCAUGUCGUCGUACAGCGACGUCGUGCCGCACUUCUCUACGCCGAUGAGGAACACCGUGGGCAUCAGACGGUCGUCCUCGGUGCACAUCGGGCCGAGCGCGCGCCGCGCGGUUUCGGUUACAGUUUCGCCGGCGCCCAACUCGCUGACCGCCUCGCGCGCCGCGCCGGGGUUCCGCGCGGACAUGACGGACACGCCGACGACCGCGAUGAGCGCCGCGGUGCCCAGCGCGGAUACCGCGAGUGCCGCCACACGCAUCACGGACAUUCCCUUGGGCUUCAGGCGCCGCUCCCCGAGCAGCGGGGCGCCCUCCUCCAUCGACCGCUCCCACAUCUUCGCGCGCGGCCUCGAGUGAUGGCGCGCCUCGCCCGCGUCCGAUGAAGUGGGCUGCUGAUUCCUGCUUGGUACCGAAGCGUGGCGCAUCGCACACGCGGGUGCUUUUGCCAAAUAAAAAUAACUCGAGAACGGAGGUUCGACUUUUCCGCAUCGAGAAAUCACGUCCGGGUGUCAGCUCCACAGCGGGCCACGUCAUUUUUCGCCACGUUGCUGGCCAGAACGACGUUUCAGAACUUUUUCGCCGCGUAACGCUAUCCCGGUCGUGCACUUCCGCGCGCGCACACGCACACCAACACCUCAUAUCGCUCAAGAAACAAUGGCCAUGUCCCUCACCCUCUCCUCCCGCGUCGCCCUCAGCGCGCGACCCGCCGUCAAGGCGACCAAGUCCGCCCGCCGCGCGGCGAUCGUGGCCAAGGCUGAGAUGUCCGUCGAUGAGCCCGUCGUCGAGGCGGCGGUCGCGCCCGCCCCUGCUUCCAUGAAGGACAACUUCGUCAACGCCAUGUCCUUCGGCGGCUGGGCGCCCGAGACCAUCAACGGCCGCGUCGCGCAGAUCGCCUUCGUCGCCGGCCUCGGCGCGGAGCUCUCCACCGGCGAGUCCUUCACCUCCCAGUUCGCGCACCACGUGCCCUCGCUCGUGUUCGCGUCCGGCCUCAUCACUCUCGCGUCGUUCAUGCCCAACAUGCAGAACACCGACGAGUACAAGGCCAACCCCGCCACGUUCAAGUCCAUCGAGCGCCCCUUCACCGUCGAGGCCGAGCGAACCAACGGCCGCGGCGCCAUGGUCGGUCUCGUCGCCAUGUUCAUCGUCGAGAAGCUCAUCGGCGGCCCCAUCACCGGCAUCUUCUCCGACUCCGGCGACGAGCUCCUCACCUCCACCUUCUACGACGAGUCCUUCGCCGCGCAGGUCGAAGCCCCCGCCGCGGCGCCCGCCAAGUUCGUGGACUUCGAUUCCGCCGUCGUCGCCCCCGCGCCCGUCGUCGCCGCCGAGUCCGCGGACGCCGCCGCCGCGUACGAGGCUGCCGAGGCUGCGGAGCCCAUCCGCGUGGAGGGUGCCGUCGACGCCGACGUCGAGGCGGAGGCCAUGGCCAUGGGCCGCGCCGUCUCCAUGGCCGAGGACGCCAUGUAAUCGUCUCGAAAACGAGACCGCACGCACGCACGCACGCAGCUUCGCUUUGAUUGUUUGAACGCACGCAACUAGACCGCUCGCAACUAGCCUUUAAUACGAAUAGCUCUCGAAAAGAAGAUGAACGCAUCACAGCGCCUUCAAACCCGCCACCCGAACUGCGCGCUGCGUGCCCCACUGCGCGAUCGCGCUGACCAACGACACGCACGCCAGCACCCUCGCCGCAAACACGUCCCCAAUUGUCGCCACGAGCACGUUCAGCGGCGCCGCCGUCGCCAUCGCCAGCCCGCUCGUCGCGUGGUAACUCCACAGGUACUCGGCGAGAAACCAGGCGUUUGGCGUCGCCGCCAAGACGCAUAAAACGUUCUUGAUCGUCCACGCGAGAUCCCCACCCACGGCCAACGCCGCGUGCGGGGUGGGCGGACCGUCGAGCGCGUCCGCCACCGCGUUGUACGCGAGAGAUAUCACGAUCGCGGCCAUCGGGGGCACGUACCGCUGCGUCCCCGACAGCGAGUCGAAGAGCAGCUCGUCCUCGUGGAGUAGGAGCAGGAUCGGCGCGACGGCGAAGACGGUGAAGCACGAAUCGGGACGCGACCACGUCGCCAACACGGUCGCCGACGCGAACGUGAUGAACGUGGAGAUGUUACCCACGACGGGCAUCCACCCGACGCGCAUGGCGCGCAACGCGCGUUGCGCCAGCGCGCCCCCGGCCGACUUGAACCUAGCCGGCGACCGACCGGAAAACGGCUGGAAGCGCGACCUCGCGUCCCUCAUCGUCCCCGCGUGACCCCGCGCCCCACCCGCGCGCGCCGCACGCGCAGCUCCCGGGUUCGCGGACACCGCCGCCACCUUGAGCUUCAGCGCGAACGCCAUCUGCGCGGUGAGACCCGCGGUGACGCCCACGAGGCCGAUCCGGGCCUCCCGCCCCCGCGACCCGGCGCCCGGUCCGUCGAAUUCCCCAUCCUCCUCCCUUUGGGUCCAGAACGCCACCCCGAGGCAAACCAGAUACGCCGCGAACACGUGCGGCAUCACCGCCGGGGACGACGCGGAUGGAACGUACGUGAACGCGAGGAAGACGGCGCACAGCGCGCACGCCGCGCACAGGCUGACGGUCACGACGGAAUCACCCCGGAAGCUCGGGAAGUACUCCACGGACAGGUACAGCCCGAGCGAGGCGCCAGCCGCGGCGGAUAGCAUCGCCCGAAGCGGCGCGGGCGUCGCGUGGGUUCCCGUCGCGCCCCUCCUGGGCUUGGGCGCGGACGCCACGAACACGCCGAGUAGGACGGUGGCGAUGAGCAGCCAGGCGCUGUACCCGCGCCCGCUCGCGUCGCGCCUGUCGCCGUAGAUGUCGACGUCGUCGGGCUCCGUGUCCGGAACAUGGUCCGCGUCGUACCAGAAACCAAUCUCGCCCUUCCACGGCAUCGGCGGCCUCAGCGACACCAGCGCGCCGCCCGCGGUGACGACGAGCGCGAGGCCGCGUCUCGCGGCGGGGAGGUGAGAGAAGUGUCGUCUCACGAGCGGAGUCGACCCGGCGCCGGCGAAUAAAAGGAGCCCUCCGAAGAGCGUCGCGUCGGAGGGCCGGUGGCCGGUGACGGCGAAAACGACGUCAAACACGGCGAACCUCGCGUGGACCAUCGCCAACCCGAGAGACAACACGUGCGCCAAACCCCUCGCGACGGACAUUCGCGCCCGCCGCCCACUCCCCGUCAUUGGCGAUCCGACGUUGGACGAGUCAAACGCGAACGGCGCCGUCGCCGCCAUGCCCACGAGGACGCAGGGAACCAAUGCCCUCGACCCCGGCAGCAUCACCAGCGCCAGCUUACCGACGUACACGCACCGCGCCAUCCACGCCGUGGCCGCAGUCACCUUGCCCGUACGCUCCAGCGAACCCGCGAGCCAUACGCCCAGCGCGGACGUCGCGAGCACGAGGUACGCUGGGUACAUGGGCUCGCCGUCUUCGAGCGCCUCCGAGUGGAGCGCGUCCUCGCACCUGGCAAACACCAUCGCGUGGAGGCACACGAGCAAACCGAGAGACGACGGGUGAACGUUGAAUCGCGCCAAGCCCGGAGCGAGCGCGGAGGCGCACAGCGACAGGAACAGCAGCUGGCACAGCUCCGCGAGGGGCAAGCCGUCGAUGUUCACGUCGAGGCCCCAAAAGUUUGAGUGAAGGAACCACGCGCCGCACGCCCCGACGCCGCCCGCGAACAUGGCGAGGUCCACCGCGCCGCCGCGGAGGUAAAACCUAGACGCGCCGAUGGAACCGAUCGCCGCGAACGGGAGCAUCCACGGCGGCGCCCCCGUCGCCAGCGCCGCGGCGCACCCCGCCGUCACCAGCGCCGCCUGGUAGAUCUCGCUCGGCACCCCGUUUUUGCUCCCAACCGACCCCGACAGCGCCGCCACCGCGGCCAACAGCCCGCCGUACACCGCGGCGGUGACCGCGACGACGCCGGGCACCCCCGGUAACCUGACGUACUCCCCGAACCCGCGGAACAGCACGACGCCCUCGAGACCGCCCGUGAACAGCACGAGCGCGACGGCGGCGACGACGGCUCGCGUCGUCUUCCCUCGACUCGAAUCGACACUUUUUAAACUCGAAUCGCCGAGCGCCCACCACAGCGCCCCCCGCUCCGCGUAGACGCACAGGAACAGCACGGGGAACGACAGCAGCAGCGCGACGGAGCAGGCGUGCUCGAACGCGUUCGCGACGUGGACCAAGUUUGUACUCGAGUGAGAUCCCAACCCGAAGAGAUACCGCGGGUCCAUCGCGGGCGAAUGCGCCGCCGCGUACGCGCACGCCGGGGCGAAGCACGUCAUGGCGCAAUGCGCGGCGGCCUCGCCGGCGCCGAGCACGAGCGCGUCUCUACCCGUGGAUACUCCCGCGUCUCUACCGGUAUCCGCCGAACGAGGCCGCGAUGGCGGGCCGCGAAACGAGCUCGGCGUGGGGAACGAGAAGGUCUUGUAGAGCCACGCAAAGGCGGCGGCGGCGUAGAAGGGCGCGUGGCCCGCGCCCACCGACGCGAUGGCCGUCCACGCGCAGAUGGCGCCGCACACGGGGGGUAUCGCGGCGAAUAGUGCGCGUUCGCACGCCAGCGCGACGCCCGGGAACCCGGUCUGGACCCACCGGAACUGCAGCGUGGCCCAGAGCCCGGCUAGGAACAGGCAGAGGCAGUUGGAGAUGAGCAGCGCGAUGGACGCGAGGGGCGAUCUCGCGGGCGUGAAGAGAUCGGUGGCGACGAGCAUGGCGAGGUAUACGCCCACGAGCGUGCACCACAGCGAGAUGAGCGCCGCCUCGGCCAUCUUGAGCACGUCCAGGAUGUACACGACCAUCAAACCCACCACGAGCGUCCCCAUCAUCAGCCUCCCGCCGUCGCUCACGACCACGACGAUCGAAGGGAUCAGAGCGAGCGCGACCCUCGAGUUGUGCUUCCAAGGGCCGGGUCUGUACCGCGGGGGAGCCUUGGGCGGCGUCGGAGGCGGAUCAGAGCUCCCCAUGGAUCCCGUGAACGCGUCCAUCUCGUCCGAAAAUCGCGGAUGAGGACCCUCUACGCCUCGCGCGCCUUCUCGAGUGAACAGAGCGCCCCAGCAGGAAUCACACUCACUUGAGCACCUCCGUCAGUGGAGCGCCGCGUUCAGCAGUUCAGAGCCGUUGCGAAACGUUGUUGUUUGCUCGAGCGAACCCCGGCCCGACCCACAACGCAAGGCGCGAGAGCCGCUCCACAGGGAAAUCGCCAACCUCGCGACGAUGACAGAAGAUGCGAAGAAAGCCGUCGUCACCAUCGCGAGCAUCGCCGAUGACGUGAGCAGCGGGGCGUACUGCGAGCGCAUGCGCAUCGGCGACGUCCAGUGCCGAGCAGCGUGGCUCGGGCUGAUGGACUUCAUCCUCAACGCCAUCAGGAACAACAAGGUGCGUCACGCGACGGACGCUGGAGCGAUCUUCUGAAGUGUCUUUUACGUCGCGACUCGACCGGGCCAACCGUGCGUUCGCCCCGUCGCGCGUGCGUUCUCGACCCCGCCCGCGCCCGCGUUCACAGCUGUCCUCGUCCGUUUUCAAAGCGAUUCUGAGCCCGCCCGACCCGUCCUCCGUAUCGUAUCUUCCCAGGGUGUAUCGCUUCCCGGCCUCGGCAGCUUUGCCGUGGGACGAUGUACCGAUCUUCUCCACGGGGGCGCCUCGGUUCGCGCGCCGGUCUUUGUCCUUCACCCGAAGUUCGACGUCCUGCCCCAGAAGAAGGCUCGAUUCUUCCUCAAGAAGCCCGCGACGUACACGCGCAUCAACUCCCUGGGCCUCUCCAAGCGAUGCGGCUUUCACAAGGCCGGCGUGACGCACGUGCUCAAGGAGUUCUUCGAUCGCAUCGCGACGUGCCUCGAGAACGAGUCCCCCGUCGACGUCGACUUCACCUUUGCGCGCCUGACCAACGUCCACGGCCGCGUCGAGUUUACCUUUUACCAGUCGUUCCUCAACGACUACGACAUCAUGGGCGAGGAGCAACCCGAGGUUGUGCGCAGGCGGUACCUCAAGAUCGGCGAGGCCAAGGAGCUGACCGACAAGGUCACUAACGUCACGCCGCUCGCGCAGGAAGAGGCGGCGAAGAAGGCUGCGGAGUUGAAAGCCGUCGCCGAGCGGAUCGCGCCGCAGGUUGAGGAAUCCACCGCCGAUCUGCCCGCGCCGCUUCGCAACCGCCCGCUUCACGACUCGCCCCCGACCGCGGCGACCGACCCCGGUGAUCGCUUCAUCGCCAUCUGCGGCAAGCUCGACCGCAUCGGCAGCGGAUGCAUCGAUCGGUUCGUCCUGGAGCGCGUGCUCAACGGCGAGGAAUGCCGCGGCUUGAUACGAGACGUUCGCGCGGGAUUUCUCUUCGACCUGCUCAAGGCGCACGCGGGAGGACGGUCGGGACGGUUCGUCCACUACCUGCCACUGCUCCGUGAUCUCGAGGCGGAGAACGUGGCGAUCGCGAGGGCCAAGGAGGAGGCGGCGGCGGCGAGGGAGCGCGAGCUGGCGCGGAUCGAGGAGGAGGAGAGAGUCGCCGCCGAAAAGAGGGCUCGUGCCGAGGAGGAAGCCGCGGCGGCGGCCAAGGAAAUCGCGAGGUGCGCGAUCGCCAACGUCAUCUCCAAGCCCGUGGACCCGGCCGAGUCGAUCGGGUUCCUCUUCCACUCGCAGGGAGCCGGGGCUAAGGGGCAGGAUAGGUCCCAACUGGCCAAGUUUAACAGGGAAUACGCCGCGGCGGUAGCUGCGUACAAGAAGGGGAGCGCGGGCGGCGUGACCCCCAAGGUAACCAACAACCACGCCGCGGACGCUGCGGCGACGGAGUCGCACGUGAACCAGCUCGGCGCGUUCCUUCAGAGCCAGAUGGACGAGAAGAUGCGCAAAGAAAGGGAAGAACGGGAAAACUGGGCACAGAUUGAGAACGAACGCAUCGAGCGGGGCAGACGCGAGGAAGCGGAGGCUCACGAUCAGGAGCGGGAGAAGGCGAGGAGGAUCGCGCAGGAGCUCCUGGCGGGUUGGGAGAAGCAGCAGGCGGACCGUUCAAAAAUCAAGCAGAGCGCGCGGGUGAUGGGAGAGUCGUGGCCGUUCGCGCCGGAACACUUCAAGCCCACGACGCCGCUUCGACUGUAAUGUGUAGGAAUGACACACUUUAGUGGAAACAAUAAAAUACUCUGGCUAGGCGUUCCUUGCUAGCAGGAAGCUCCGCCGCCGCGCCUAAUUAACUUAACUUAACCGAUUCACGCCGCGGGGACCCUAUGCCCCGGGGCUUUGCAGUUUACGGAUGCGCUUUCACCCGCGACACCUCCUAACUCGAUCACACCUGCGGCCUCGUCUGCACCACGUAGAGAGCGCCAUCCGCCGCGAUGCACCCCUCGAUAUCCUGCGGCGAUCCGAGCGCCUGUUCAAUCUCGUUCGCGGCGUGCGCGAUGGCCGCGAGCGCCUGCGCGCGGAAAGUCUCAUCGCUCACGAUGGGAUCCCUGGAGUAGUCCACCGGCCUGAGCUUCGCCUCGUGCAUCUGGAUCGAGUCGUAUAGGCCCGCACCCGCGAAGCCCUCCAGAUCUUCGCCGUUUGAGUCGGAGCGGAAGAUGAGCGUGGGCGCGUCGGUGAACAGCCCGUUCGCCUUGGAAGGGAAGCCGGUCACCCUGGCGUUGGUCAGAUCGUCCUUCCUCGCCACGAAGCUCAGCGCACGGCCCGGAAAGUUACCCACGAGCGCCUCGCCCAUGCCGCAGACGACCUCUCCGUAAAUUUCGUUGGGGUCGCCAGUCUGCGGGUUGGUGGUGUGCAGCACGAAUGCGUACUGCGACUGCACCACCGGCUGACACAGCACCGCCAUGGACACGUUCUCGUGGCUAAGACCCGCCUUGCGGCAGCUCAGCACGGCGCGAUCGUUGUACUUGGACGCCCACACGCCGGUGACGGCGGCCCACGCGUGCGCCGCGGCGCCGCUCCCACCCGCGCCCUCCGGCCCGAGGUGACCCUCGGGCCACGGCAGCCGCUCCGCCGCGAACGCCCGCGACAUCUCGUCCACGAGCUCCGGCGUGGGAACCAUCUGCAUGAUGCACGCGCGGAUCCUGCCCAGAAGGUCCUGGAACGCCGCCUGGUUGCUAAAGUCGAGGUGUUCCAACUCCUGGCGCAGACCCUGCAAGUGCUGCGCGAUGUGACCAUUGUUGGGAUGCGCGAGCACGGCGUCGAACGUGCAGAACGGGAGCGCCACCUGCGCGGGAAGAUUGAUCCAGUCCGGAAGCCUGCCCCGGAGCUCCUGCAGGUUCCUAGACUUGCCUCCGACGAUCGCGCCGGUAAACUCGGGCGAGGGAACCGCGUACCGGCCCAUAAACUCGCGCUUCGCGAUGUUAACGCCGCUCGGGGGAGCCGACAUGGACAUGUUCACCGCCCCGGCACCGGGCGCCGCACCGAGCGAGGACGGAUCCACGGACGUGAUCCUCAGGUCGUCCGCCCCCACCGGCGCGCAGUUAACAGCCUGGCCGUGCAUGCCCUCCAGCUCGGACAUGCGACCGGCGUCAAAGACGGUGGCAAAGAGGACGCGCUCGUUCCUCGCGCGAACCGAGGUGUGAGCGAGAACGUCGGGCAUGUCCGGGGUGAUGAGACCCACCACGCCGGGCGGGAUGUCCUCCUCGCCGCCCACGCGGCGAGACACCAGCACGGUGGGCACGGAGUAUGUUUUGUUCUGGACAUCCUUGAGGUCGUUGAUGACCUCGAUGACGCCCGCGGCUUCGACGGGGGAGAUGAUGGACCAGGAGCCCAUGUUGGACAUCUCGCGGAGCCUGGGGUCCAGCGCGCGAAGCAUCUGCGAGAGGGGCGCCGCGGGCGUGCCGCGGACCACCUCCUCGGAGAAUAUGUCGAGGACGUGGCCGUCGACCCCGAGCCUGCCGCCCAUGGCGUGCGCGGUGGGCUGAAGCGCGUUGAUGUAUCGCUGGGAAACCUCGCCCAGCGCGUUGUUCACGCGGUCAACCACGGAUUUGGCCUGGAGCGCCCAAUCGUUUCCGCCGUUCAUGGCGCUGCCCACCACGCCCUGCCACUGCUGCAGGCAAAUGACGAGCUCAUCGUUACCGCCGGACGACAGCGCCAGGUUCUCGAGCGCGAGGCCGGUCAUCUUGAGGACGUCCACCGGAGCGCGAGUCGCCAUGGAGGAGAGAUUCGCCUCCACAACCUGCCGCACCGCCGACUCGAGCGCGAGAUCCAGGUAGAUGACAUCCUUGAGGCGGCUGUUGUCGGAGCCUCCGGGCCUGGUCCAGUUCCAGAGCUCGCGCCUAGCCUCCAACAUGGCCUCCAUGGAGUGCAGGGGUUCGCCGAGGUCGCGGAAGCCGCGAGCGCUGUGCAGCAGCGUUCGCAUGCGGUCGGUGGCAACCUCGGUGACGGGGGGCAUGUUGAUCUCCUUGCCCUUGCACGCAUCCUGGUGGUAGCCCAUGACGUUCUCCGCCGCGGAGUCGAGGUCUGCGCCGGAAUGCACAGCCUUGAGGGUGCGGAGGUACUCCUUGAGGUCGCGGGUGAGGCCUUCGUACUGGUCGGGCUUGAACGAGGGCUCGCCACAAAUCUUGCGAUCGUAGCUGGCCAUGCGCUCCUUGGUGAUGCCGUUGGCGUGGAGGUGGUCCCAGUAAACCGAGAUGUCGCAGUCGGCGGCUAUGAACUUGAUGAGCGCCUCGCAGAUGGGGACGUCAUCGGGCGAGGUGUUGUUGUGGAGUUUCUGGUGCCACUCCUCCAUCAUGCCACCCAUGCAGUUGUUGUUGCGCUGAACCACGAGAAUCUCGUCGCGAAUGCGCUGGCCGACGUCUCCGUCGCCGCCGCGGCCGAUGGUGGCCAUGAUGAAGCGGGUGACGUCGCGCAUCGCCGGGUCGUCCUUGUGCAGCGCCGCGAGCUGCGUCGUGCACUUGAGUUGGGCCGCGGAGAUUUCCCUGGGCUUGAUGUUGUAGUCGUUGUUCCAAACCAGCUGCCUGAGCGCCAUGAAGCGGAACCAAACCGCCAUCGCGACGAGGCCCGCCUCGCCCUCGCCCUUGCACUGAGGGAUGAGGUCGGACGCGAUGUUGAAGCGGUGCAUGAGCGAGCGCGUCGCGCCCUCCUCCGAGUUGCAGAUGUUGUCGACGGACCCGCCCGCGACGUUACCGGCGGCGCCCGCGUGGCCGAGCGCGCCCUGAUGCAUCUUGAUCUCGUCGUGGUUCCAGUCCUUGCGCUUGAUCACCUCGGGCCUGGCGGGCAUCUUGACCUCCUUGACGGUGGUGGUGCUGAGCCCCCCGCGCUUGAGCUUCUGCGGGGAAGACCUCUGUUGCUCGCGCUCGCGGCGCCUCUGCUCCUCUUUCUCCGCCUUGCGCCUCGCGCGCUCCUCUUCCUUGCGCCUCUUGACGAUGGCGCGGACAUCCGUCAGAGUCGUCGCCUCAUCCGCGAAGCACAUGAAGUCCUGGCCGUCGUCCUUGAUCCAGUGCGCGCUGUCGGCGGUACGGAUGACGAAGACGAGACCGUCGCGGUCGCACGGCGCCUCGAUGGUGGCGGCGUGCCAGCCCCGGGCGGUGGUCAGAGCCUCCAUCUCCGUCUCCCAGCUCGCGCCGCCGGUGCCCCACGAGUUCUCGGGCAUCGAGCUCCAACCGUGCGGGGGAUUCUUCCACUCACCGGCGGGCUGGUCGAGCCCGGCCCAAUGCAGCACGAUCCCCUGGUCGGACCUGCCGAAGACGAUCAUCUGCAGCAUGCCCUGAGCGGUGCGCCGGCCCUCGAUGACCAUGAGCUUCACGGCGUUGGCCUGGCCGAGGUUGAGCUCGCGUCGCCAGAGGAGCUGAGCGCCGUUUGCCCUCGCCUCGCAGAGGUUGGCAAUGUCCAUGGGGGUGGCCUCGCCGACGACCGGCGCGGGCGCGGGCGCGGCGUCGUACCCGUAACUGGGCGCGGGAGCGGGCGCCGCCUUGGGCGGCGCCGGAGGGGUGAACCCGGGGGGCGGCGUCGGCUUGGCCUGCGUGGGCGCCGCCGCCGGAGGCGCGGCGAGCGCCGCGGUUUGUCGCACGAGUCCCGGGGGUACCCCAAACUCCGUCUCCAGCGCCUCGACGCUCUCGCCGCUGUUCAGCCUCUGCGUGAUGUGGUUGACGGCGUCGGAGUAGAUGCGGUGUUUUUCGUCCUCGUCCACGCGGGGCUUACCCAUCUGCUCCCAUCGGAGGUACGCGGCGACGCCGAAGAGGACGUCGAGGCCCGCGGCGAGUUCGUUCACCGCGGAUGACCCCCUAAUGGCCGCGUGCUGCGGCGGGGCGGCGUGCGAGGGCGCGGGAGGCGGGGACGCGGGCGUGGGCGGCAUGCGCACGUCCAGGGUGUACUCGGGCGCGAACGAGUUGGACGUCGUGGGAGCCCUGGGCGCGGCGCCCGCGCCCAUGGGCGAUCCGCCGAGCUCGAUGCGAAAGUUCCUACCGUGGUCGUUGAUCCAGUCGCCGGUGGUCUCAACCUUGAGGCAAAAUUCCACGGCAUCGACGCCGGGAUCGAGGACGAGCUGGAGGGCCCCGAACGCCGGGAACGGGGACUGGAGCGCCUUUUGCUUGUACACGACCGUCCCGGGCGGGUUGAGCUCGGGCGGGAGGAGCUGCCAGUCCUGGGACACCGCCGAGCGAAUCACGCCCCAGUGGAGCAGGAGUCCCAACGGCGCGUUGGGCUCGCACUGGAGGCUGAUGGUGUGGACGCCCUGGGGGUUGGUCUUGACGGUGGCGAUGAGCUGCCUUCCCUCGGGGAGGGGGAUGCCGAUCAUGUCGGUGACCUCGCCGAGGAUGGCCGCGCGAACCGCGACGGCGUUUCGACGGGCCCGGGACGGACCGACGGAAGGCCUCGCGGACCCGGUCCUCCUCGACGCGUCGCGGAGUGCGGGGUCGACGACCCGGCGCGACCUGCGGUGGGAGGGCGGGGGACGGCGUGUUAUCGUCAGUCAUCGGUUCCUUUACGAUGCACGCGCGGCGUGGACGCCGUCCACGGAGGUCAAGACGGAGGUUCACCGCCCCAACGAUCACGAGGUUAAAAAACCAACGACACCAAAAGCGAGGGAUCGCGACCGAAGACUCACCAGGCGGUCGCGCCGGAUCGGGCCGCGAGGGCGCCAGAACCGGCGUUCAUUGCUUCUGUGAGGUACAACGGUCCUCUCACAGGUUUCACGCGAGCGCUUAAGGCAACGCACGCGACGUUGCGGCACCGCUAAGGGUGCGCCGUGAAGUGUCGUUUCCACCGCAUGGGGCUCUAUACUCGCCGAAAUCUCGAGUGUUUGCCACCAACGGACAACUGAACGGUCAAUUCCUGGUUUGGUUGGCCAAUGCUCGACGAUUGUUAGGGUUCGUAUGAGUGAUCACCCAAUCCGAAACCGGGCUUUAUGCGGACGUGGCAGGGAUGGCACUGAUCUUUUCAUGGUUGAAUGUGCUUUAUGAGAAUUUUUUCCGCGGUCGGUGAGACUGAAAACGCUGUGCGGGGCUCGGACGCGAGCGCUGCACGGUCGAAACGGUGACUCCCGAACCGAGAACCGCUGCGAUCCACCGGUUGAGGGAUCCACUCCUCUCGGCACGGCGUUUGGAGACCGCGGAAAGAGGAUGGCGGAGGAGAAGGCGCAGGAGGGCAACACGACGUACUUCUCGGAGUUUUCCUCCGAUGAGCUCGACGCUAAGCUCAAGAGAAAGGACGAGGACGGGCGAACGCUGCUGCACGUCGCCGCCGCGGCUGGUACGCGCCCCCGGAGAUGCGCAACGGAAGAUCUCCCUUCACCAACCGUCAUCGGCGGUGCCCAUCCCUCGAACCGCCGUCCCAAACGUCGAUGACUCCGCUGAACCGCCGCGCGCCUCACUCCCGCCGUCACCCUCAGGCAGAACCGAGCUCGUCGAACUGUUCCUCGCGCACCCGACGGGACGCGCCGCCGUAAAUAAGGGCGACGAGGUGAGUCCCCGGAAGCAGGGCGCCCUCUGACGAGACGUCGCAGAUCCACAAAAUUUCCCUCGACCCCCGCCGAACGUCUCCCUGACCUCUCACCCCGUCCCCGCUCGCGAUGUAUUACAGGAGGACUGGACCCCACUGCACUCUGCGUCGAGUUGCGGCCAUACCGCGGUGGUCGCCUCCCUGCUCGCCGCGGGCGCCGAUCCAAACGCCGCCAACUCCGGCGGCCAGGCGCCCAUCCACUACGCCGCGAGCAAAGGCCACCUGGACUGCAUCCGCAAGCUCGUCGCCGCGGGAUGCGACCCGGACGCGGUGGACGGGACCAAAUCCACGCCACUACAUCGCGCGGCGUCGCAGGGCAGGUCGAACGUCAUCGUCGCGAUGACCGACGGGUCCGUGCUCGGCCCGGAUGGAUCGGGGGUGCGAUGUGCAAUCGAAGCGAGAAACGCGAUGGGUCAGACGCCUCUGCUGGUGGCGUGCGAGGCGGGGCAGGACGAGGCGGCGUUGGCGCUGGCGAGAGCAGGGGCGAACCUGAGGGUGGAGGAUUGCGAGGGCGCGAACGUCGCGACGCUCGCACCGAAGCUGGUAUCGGCGUUGCGCGCGAUCGGGCAGGGCGACGAAGGGCUGUAUUUCUGAGGUCGUUCUGAAGUGGCGCAGAGCUGCAAACAUGGACAUUUAGUGCCGCGUGUAUGAUGUUUAGGUUAGGUGGAUCCCGGAAUAAGAGAAAUGAACAAAAAAAACCACGGGAUACAUGUUACUCAGUUAUGAGUCGAACGUCAAUUGUUUAUACUUUUACGUAAAACCACCAAACCGAGAUUUUUCGGGUUGAACACCAAGAAAACGCGUCUGUAACACCACCGGCCGAGUUGUCGACUCCAUCGGUGGAGGCGCGAAGGCGGAGGCGACGCGCGACCAUGACAGGAAAAGAGGGCGGCUACGGCGCCAUUGAUAGCGUUGGGAAGGGAAGAUCCGAGGAGGUGGAUCCGUAUUACGACGUCGAGGCGGACGAAGAGGUAUGCAGGAUGCCCGGCAAGACGGUGUUCGCCACCGUGUGCCUGUACCUGACGUUCGUCGCCAUGGGCUUCGGCACCGGGUGGAGCAGCAACGACAGCAUCUUCCAGGAGCUGAACAAGUUCAUCGAGCGAUACGACGACCUGCAGUUCGCCAGUGACCUGGUGUUCGCGUCGUCGUGCGCGGCGUCGAUUGUGCUCGUGCUGGCGUUCGUCGGGCUGUACUGCAACCCGUCGCGGUACGACCUGCGGUCGCUGGGAUUCUUCGAAGGGACGAUAUCGACCGUGCUCGCGGUGAGCUGCUUGGUGCAGUUCUCCUUGUUCAUGUUCUGGCAGCAGAGCAGGUACGUGGUGCUGGCGUGCGCGUUCAUGGGCGCGAUGAUAGGCAACAUCCAGGCGUUCAUCAUCUACCCAUUCUUCAACGCGUUUUAUCGCCUGGAGCUCAUCGCGUACAUGAACAUGGGGGAGACGCUCACGAGCAUGACGUGCGGGACGCUGGCUCUGGCGCAGUCGCCCACGGUGGGAGUCGAAACCUUCAGCGUGCAAACGUACUUCACCAUCCUCUUCGGCUUGACGUGCAUGGCGGCCUCGGCGUGGGGGUCGCUGGCGUGGCAGACUGGAUUCAGGCGCGACGCCGACGAGGUGGACUCGCCGCAAGACCUCUCGGAGGGAGAGGAGGAAAACGAAAACCACCCGGAGCGAAAGCCGCUCCUGCAAAAGGUGGAGCGCGGCGGUGGCGACGGGGCGGCGCUCGCGGACGGAGGGGGGAGCGGCGAGCUGGUGUGGACGGCUGGCGAGAUCAUCACGCGAGGACCGCACGGGAUGACGGCGCCCGCGGAGGAGGUGAGAGGCGCGAGGAGGCAGGGACCCAUGCAGAAGCUGCGCGGGCUGUGCACGAACGUCGCGGGGGUGUUGGGUAAGGAAGGUACGCACCUCAGGUCGCUUCUGGCCAUCGCGGGGACGAACUCGAUUCUGACGUGGACGGUGCUGCCCGCGCUUUUGCCGUUCACCGCCGCCGCCGUCUCCGGGUCGUGCAGAACCGACGACCCGAUCAGCAAGGGGUUCAUACGCAUGUGCACGUCGUUGUCUUCCAUGAUUCGCGUCACGGGGCCGCUGAUGAUACGCAGCGACGGCAGGUAUUGGGGGAAUCCGAACUUUGUCAAGUGCGUCGGGGUGUGCGGCAUCUGCCUUAACCUCGGAUUCUGCUUACCCGCGUUCUUCCCCGAUCCGGACGGGUACUGGCAGACGGUGAGGGGGAAGUUGUUCUUGAUGGUGGCGUAUUUCCUCACAACCCCGGUCGAGGCGUUCGUGCAGCUGCACGUUCUGAUCAACACCCAGAGGGAGAACGCGGGUUCGAGCAAACGAAUCAUCGACGCCGGGUUCUUCUUCACCUCGCUCUGGGUGCUCGGCGGGUUCAUCGUGUCCGAGAUGCUUCAGCAGUGGACGAUGACGGGCACCGCGGCGUGCCCGGGGAUAGACGAGCUGGCGGAUACCGAUCCACGGGACCUGCCGUUCGAUCCGAAGGAGCUGGACAAGGAUUUCGAGGCCAAGGCGAUUCAGGACGAGAGGUCAGCUUCGCUGGGAUACCUUCUUGGUUACGAGCCGUACGGAUACCAGUACCAACCCCAUCGGCAUCCUCUGAUGGGGCCCACGUGGUUCAACCUCUUUCCAGGCUGAAUCGACGCAUCAAUCAAUCGAACCUCAACUAGAGCUAACACUUAUUUAGGCACGACAUUCAUUAAAAGUCGGAACGCAUGGCUUUCACGCGUCCGCCGUCGUCGUCGUCGCCUUCAAUCCUCCGAGGAGCUCCUCCUCGCGCGACAUCAGGCCGCGUCCUAUGAGCACCACCCUGUUGAGCGGCCGCUCACCGACCCGACCCGGUGGACCCUCGGUUAUCUCGUACACCUCUCGCACCGCCUGGAGCACGCGCCGCCUGUCGGUUCCCUCGUCCUCCGCCGCGAACAGCACGCCCUUCGCCCUCAGAACCUCCAGCUGGCGUCCCCCGCCCGCUUCGCCCUCUUCGCCCUCGUGCGACCCCGACGGACCGCCUCGCUCCCACAGGAGCUCCUCGAGCCACGUUUCGAACUUUCCGACGUCUAUCCUUCCGUCCGCGACCAGACACACGGUGCGGAUGCUCGCGUCGUGCACCUCCGAGAGCGGGCGGCUCGCGUAUUUCUCCACCCCUCUCGCCCAGAAUCCCGGCGCGGGCGCGGUUUGCGCCAAGUCGCCGGCGAGCGUCGGUCUCGUUCCCGCCUUGCGCCCCGCGGACGACACCGCGCCUUGGUUGAGGAUCACGCCGAGGUCCACGACGCUGCGGGUGGAUCGGACGAUCUUUGCCUCGGCGUUGAUCCCCGCCACGAGUUCCGAAACGCGCUCCAGAUCCCUCUCCGAGACCAAGUCGCACUUGUUCAGCACCACCGUGUCGGCGUACGCGAUCUGCAGCGACGCCUCUUUCCCCUCGGACAGUUGCCGCUCGAUGUUUGAGGCGUCCACGAGCGUGACUACGGCGUCGAGUACCGCGCCGUCCUCCUCGAGGAUCUCAUCGUCCACCCAGAGCUCCUGAGCCACCGGGCCGGGAUCCGCGAGCCCGGUGGUCUCGAGCAGGAUGAAGUCGAACUUGCGCCCGGUCGACGCGCGCUUCUCGAGCAGGUUGUCGAUGGUCUGCACCAACGAUCCCUUCACGGUGCAGCACACGCAGCCGUUGUUGAGCUCCACCCACUCCUCCACCGCGUUGUCCCCGUCCGGCUUGUCCUGCACCAGCAUCUUCUCCACGCCGAGCUCGGCGCCGAAGUCGUUCAGGAUGACGGCGACCCUGUACCCGUGGUCGGCGUUCAGGACGUAGUUCACCAGCGUGGUCUUCCCGGCGCCCAAAAAGCCCGUGACCACCGUCACGCCGGUGGGAGCCAUGACGACACCGACCGAGACACACGGCGCGCCACCGCCGCCGCCGCCGCCGCCGAGAGUGAAUAAAAUGCUCGGCUGCGCCUCUGCGACGUCUGGAGAAAAAAACCGUUUGUCUUCACUCCCGCCGCGCGCGCGUAACCUCGUUCUAUUCUACGCGGUAUUCUACGUCGCCGUUCGACUCGCCUAUUGAUGAUAAUACUGCGCGGGUAACUGAUACCCGCGCUGGGCGUAGUAGGCGGCGUGGUGCGCCGCGACGUCCUCGACGCCCGCGGCGGCGGCUGACCUCUUCCGCCCGGCGCCCCCGUCCUCCCCGCCCCCGCCCCCCGCUCGAGCCGGGAACCUGCGCUCGUGCGCCCUCUCCGCGUCCGCGAGCUGUUCAGUCGUGCCCACCAGGUCCGCGUACUCGACCAGCGCGGAGGAGAUCCGAGCUCGAUCGCGUUCGGGAAGCCUCGGCUGAAGCCCCGACGGAUGAGACCCGCUCGUUCGGGGUUCGUCGAAAACGCCGUCGCAGCACCGCUCGACGACGGCGCGGACGUUCGCGAAGCUCGCCCCGACGGACCGCUCAAAGUUGAGCCACCCGUCCCACACCAGCGCGUUGGCGCCGUCCCCUACCUCCGCCGCGCGCUCGUACACCUUCCGAGCGCCCUCGACGUCGCCGCACGCCUCGUGAAGCAUCGCCGCGUACUUGCACGCCAACACCCCGUACGCUUUGCUCCCGGCGCCCUCGCGGCUCUUCUCAACCUGCAUCGCGCGCUCGUACGUCUCCUUAGCGACGUCCAAGGCACCCGCCCGCCGCUCGAGGUUGGCGCGCUCCACGACGCAUCGGAGGAGGCCGGGCGCCACGUCAUCCGCCACGUGGGCGUACGCGGCUCUCGCGGCGUCGACGUCGCCGACGGCUUCCUCGAACCGAGCGAGCGCGAAAUGCACCUCGACGUCGCGCUUGCAAAACACGUUCGCCGCGCGUUGCAGCGCGGCUCUCGCGGCGGCGACGCCCUGCCCCGCAUCCGACGCCUGCCACCGCGCGUACCUGAGCCAAAACCGCGAAUAGGACGCGCACGGCACGAGGCACCGCUCGUAUAAGCGGGUCACGCUGGAGACGUCCCCGGCGCGCUCCUCGUUGUCCAGGUACGUGUCCCAGUUCGCCAGCUGCGCGUCGUCGAGGGGCUUGACGUGGAAGUAGGGGCGCUUGACUCGCUGUUCGAAGGGCUCGCGCGUCGCCCUCACCGCCAAGGUCGCCCGGUACGUUUCGAAUCGAACGUCUCGGAACCGAAGCAGCCGCGGGUCGGACCCGCCCGCAGCCUCCGUCGCCGCCGCCCGCGCCGCCGCCUCGGCAGCCUCCUCCGCGCCGUCUCCUCCGUCUACUCCGUUCGACGCGGCGGCAUCGGUAGCGAGCCUCGACGCCGCGGUGGCGCCGGGUGCCGUCGCCCCCUUGGGUGGGAUCCCUCCCACCGCCGCGUCGAUGGCUCUUAGUUCCUCCGGCGGUAUCACCGCCGACGGGCUCCGGUUCGUGACGAACGUCUCAAACCCGGCCCAGUACUUGUCGAGCUCCUUCAGGGGAACCCGCAGCACCCUGCCGUACAGCCUGGUGACGUGCACGGGAGACCCACAGCCGCUGUGCUGCUCGAAGUGAAUGUACGCGUCCCACAGCGGGUGCGCCAGCCAGUCCGUGCCCGCGUACGCGAGUCCGCUCUCGAACAGCUCGCGAACUUUUUCCGCGUCGCGUCGCAUCGCGAUGGCGUGCGACGCCCGUUGGGUCCACAGAUCGAUGCUGUAGGGGAACGCGUGGGUGGCGCGCUCGUACACGUGCUCCACGCCGUCGAUUCCCGCGAGCCUCGACUCGGCGUCGGCGUACUUCUUCCAGUAGCCGUAGCACAGCGGGAACUCGGCGAGGAAGGCGUCGUAGACGGCUCGGAUCUUGUGCACGUCCUCGGUCCGUUCGGCGGCGCCGAUGAGGGCGGUCCAGCAGUUGAAGUCCGCGGGAUCGGCGCGAACCUUGUCCCACAGCGGUACGGUUGGGCAUCCGCGCGUCUUGGGCCUGGCGUCUCCGUUCGCCGACGGCGGGGUUCCCACGCCCGGAUGCGCACCUGGUAAAAGCGAUCAAAAAGCGUCAGAGCCGUCGGUUGGAGUCUGAGGUUCGGAGCGCGCGGGAUCUGACGACGGCGGGAAGGGAGGGGGGUUGACGCGCACCGCUAUCCUCCGUCAUUAUCCUCUACCUCACACCUCGAUGGCGGUCGAUGUCGACCGCACGAUUCGGUCCCCGUCGUCCACCGGCGACGCUCCGAACAGUGGCGUGGCCGAUCGGUCCUCGUCAUCAGACGCUGCGAACGGCGGGAUUUUUUUUUGCCGGUGCCGAGGGUGGUGAAUCCUUCGCCCGCGAGGUUCCAGUCGCGAGGACCAUAGCGGGCAUCAUCUGGACGCAAGGACGAUGAGACGCGCACGGGCAUCUCCCGAGAGGGUCACCGACAUCACCGGCAUCGCGGCGUCGAGAGAUGGCUUCGCGGUGGGGCGAACCAAGGGCGGGUUUAGAGUGGCCAUCUCGCUCGCUCUGUUAGUCGGCAUCUACUUCUUCUCGGCGGUUUGGGGCAGGGGUGCGACUUCUACCACCGGUGCAUCGUCUGACAUCGCAUCGGCGGGGGUGACGAGGCGAGUAAUCGGCGACGGCCGCGUGGAGGCCAUCUGGAACGUCCCGGCGAGCGCAAAAGGGACGGUGCUGGCUCUGCACGGGUGCUCGCACUCCGCGCUGGACUGGUUCCCGAGAGACGAAUCGAGAUGCCCGGAGUGUCGGGGUUUGGCGCAGGAGCAGAAGAUCACGAACGCCGCGCUAGACGCCGGGUACGCGCUUCUCGCCGUGUCUUCCGCGGGGCACUGCUGGAGCCGGGACGACGUGCCGAGGUUGGCGCUCGCCCUGGACGCGUACGGCGCGGAACACGGCGCGUCGAGGCGUCGACCAAUGUACGCAUUCGGAGCGUCCAGCGGCGGGUCCUUCGCCGGCGUACUCCCCUCUCUCUCGGAUCUCCCUCGACGCCCCGACGGUCUGAUCAUUCAAAUCGCGGGUGGACCCGGCGGUACCGGGUUAGGGUUAGCGCAUUACCCACCCACGGUGCUGAGUCACAUGCCACGGGACGAGUCGACGGCGGCGGCGGUGCGUCGCUCGAUUGACGAGUUGACGGCGGCGGGGGCGCGCGUUCUGGAGCACAGGUUGGAGAGGAGGGCUCUGACCCCGUCGUUUUUCGAGGAGGAGAGCGCGGGAAAGGUCACGGCGCGGGAGAGCGCGGGAUUGUUCCACGCGCUCAGGGACGAGCUCGGGGUUCUGGACGCGCACGAUCUGCUCAUCCGCGACCCGAGGUCGUUUGACGUCGGCCAAAUCGCCAAACUGCGCGAACGGACGCCGGCGUGGGACUCGCUCGUUCCGGACGAGAGCGACGUGAGGGAGAUCCUGAACGUGGCGUACGCCGCGCACGAGCUGUCCGCGCAGGACUUCAUGAAAAACCUGCGGUGGAUCGUAGACGCGAGUAGCGCGUGACGUCGGUUCGAGCGAUCGUCGAAUUCUCGUUUCGGUUCGUGGUUUGUUUGUCAGCGCCUACGCUUCGAGCCGAUGCCCGUGCCCGGGGUGUCCUCGUCCAUCAGAUCCAAACCCCCGCCGUCCUCCUCGCCGUCCGCGUCGCCGCCGUCGCCGCCUUCCUCCCCCCCGGCCGCGCCUCCGCUCGCGCCGCCCUCGCCCUCGGCGCCGCCCUCGCCCUCGGCGCCGCCCUCGCCCGCUCCCGGCACCUUCAUCUCCCUUCGCAGCGUCUCAGCCGCGUCGGCCACGUCCUUCCUGUGUUCCUUGCGCCUCUCCGCCUCCUCCGUGGUCCGCGUCAUCUGGCUAUCGAGCCUCGCGAGCACGUCCUUGGAGUUAUCGUGCCACGCGGCGAGCUGGUCGAUGAUCUCCUUGAGCUGCCCGGGUCGGAGGUCGCGGCCCACCGGACAGCUGUGCACCUCGAACGCCCUCCUCUUAUGGUCGAGCUUGCCGCGCAGCAAUCCGGGGGCGAUGCACUCGUUGAUGAGCAUGUCCUCGAGCUCACGCACGCUGGACAUCUCUAGCGCGGACAUGAGCUCGUCGUAUGGAAUCGAAACCGACGCGUCCGCCAUCUGAACGACGGUGAGCUGCCGGAGCUUGAGAAGCUGCGCGGGGGAGAGCGGCGGGAGCCCGGAUUCGUGCUGGCGAUACUCGGGCAGGGUUCCGUAGGCGAACACGCGCAGGAGCGCCACGUGCGGGGCCGCGGGCGUGGACUCGAGCUGCCGCGAUCGGGUCAGGGGUCGAAGACGUCAGCGGGUCGGUCGAGCGGGCGGGAUCUGGCGAGAGGGCUCCGGGGAUGGGGAAAACAAACAACGAGAGUUCUCAGAUGGCGCACCUCCUUGACGCCGUCCAGAUCCAGCAGCUCGCCGAAGACGUAGAGCUUGGGAGCGCUCGUGGCGCGCUCGAUGAGUUCCACGACCCGCUCGCCGCGCGCGUCGCGGCCCUGCGCCACGAAUUCCUCCACCACGGAGUCGUCGAACCCCACCAUCGCGCGCCGUCUGAUGGAUGCCUUCCCUCGUGAAGUCUGAAGUCGUCGUGGUGACGAGGCCGAGCUCGAGGGUCAAAUUCUCGCUUUCAAAAUUUCGUAUGGGCAAACAGUUAGGAAACCGUUUGACAAGUCCCGUCUCUGCUUUGGCCACGGGGCCUGACUUUUGGCGGCCAAAGCAGUGUCUCUCGCGGGCGUCCGGUGCACAGCAGGACGCGAGCGGCACCGAUCGAGUGUCACCGUCGCCGCGUCGAAGGUUCAGGCGACCGCGCGUUGAGCAUCGCGCGGAGGUGAACAGGGCGCGGGCGUCCGCCGCGUCUGGAUUCGGGGUCGCCGAGUUUGAAAAAAGGGCGAUCGCCACCCUUCUCGCUCGGGAGUGAGUGUCUGUGAGACCCGCCCGCGGUAAAGAUGGGCGGUCCGGGCUCCGGGCCGCAGGGCUUCGGCGCGGGAGGAUUCCACCUGAAGCCCAAACGCAAGCGCAUGGCGACGGAGAACGCCAUCACCAAGGUGAACCCAUCCGAGCCCAAGCGCGCCAUGUUCCACUGCCAUUACUGCAGCAAGGACAUCAGCGCGGUGGUUCGGAUCAAGUGCGCGGUGUGCGCGGACUGCACGCUGUGCGUCGAGUGCUUCUCCGUCGGGGUGGAGCCCCACCCGCACGAAGCAUCGCACGCGUACCACGUCAUCGACAACCUCUCCUUCCCGCUGUUCACCAUGGACUGGGGCGCCGACGAAGAGAUCCUGCUGCUCGAGGCGAUCGAGAUUUACGGCCUCGGCAACUGGACCGAGGUUGCGGAGCAUGUGGGCACCAAGACCAAGCUCCAGUGCCACCAGCACUACUUCGACUGCUACGUCAACUCGGAGACUACCCCUCUGCCCGACAUGUCCAAGAUUCUGGGGCCCAAGUACACGAAGGAGGAGCCCAACGAGGAGCCCAAGGCGAAGAAGGUCAAGGCGGAGGAUGGCGACGCCGACGACGACGCGGCCGAGAGGGCGGACACGCUCGCGUCGUUCGCGCGGCCCGGGGACGAGCGGCAUUGGGGUAACGUGCCGGAGCUGACGGGAUACAACGUGAAGAGGAACGAGUUCGACCCGGAGUACGACAUCGAGGCGGAGCUCCCUCUGGCGGAGAUGGAGUUUCGAGACACCGACACCGAGCUGGACCGAAAGCUCAAGAUUCGCAUGCUCGAGAUCUACAACAAGAGGCUGGAGGAACGGAUCCGGCGUAAGGAGUUCAUCAUCGACCGCGGGUUGCUGAACGUCAAACGACAGCAGGCGCUGGAGCGCAAGCGCACGCCGCAGGAGCGGGACAUCCACGGCGCGGUGCGGGUGUUUGCCAGGUUUCUCGACCCCAACGAGUACGAGAUCAUGCUCGAGGGUUUCAUGGCGGAGAGCCGCAUCAGGAACCGAAUCGCGGAGCUGAAGGAGUACAGGCGCAACGGAAUCCACACACUGAGCGAAGGGGAAGUCUACGAUGCCGAGAAGCGUCAUCGCAUGGCCGAGAUUGCGCGCAUCAAGGCGAUUGAGUACCCCGGCAGGGGCGGGUCGAGGGCGAACAGGUACCUCGGCCGCGACGGGUUCGUGCAGGCGCCCGCGGGAGACGCCGCGCCCAAGGAGCUCCAAAAGCUGACCGGCAUCGCGGCGGGCGGCGGCGGGAGCGGUGCGCUGACUUCACUGGGCGGUACCGCGAGAAAGAAGGCGCCGCUGCCGCUGGAUCUCACGCACCUCCCCGGUGUGGAGCUGCUGAGCAAACGCGAGAAGGAGCUCUGCGUGGCAAACAGGCUGCUGCCGGUGCACUACCUGUCCAUUAAGGAGGCGCUGAUGCGCGCGAGCGCGAACGGUCAGGUGCUGAAGCGAUCGGAGGUGAGGCACAUGUUCAAGGUUGAGCCCAUCAAGGCUGUGAGGGUGUUUGAACUGCUGCUGCAACACGGAUGGGUGAAGGACCCGAACGAGACUGAAGGUUAGCCAGAGAGCGACGCUCUCCUCAUCACAGUACACUCAUAGAGACGACGCGUGCGUACGAACGUUUAAUGGACAUAAGGUAUGCAUCAUUAAAAGCCUCGUAAUGGUUCGGCAGCUCUCGCCGAGAUAAAAAAUCACUUUUGGGCCGAUCCCCAAUUUACAGACUCGGAAUCCACCCUGCGCUUAAGCGAAGCGAGGCGUGGAGGAGUUGCUGUUCCCGUUGUUGUUCGCGGGGUUCAUGCUCUCGCGGAUGCCGCGGUACACGAGCCCGAGUGAGCGACCGAUGAGGGUCACGAGAAGCCAAGAGGAGAAGUUCUUGACGUUGUUGAGCGUCGACUUGGCAAUCGGGACGACGACGUCGGCAAUCUCGAGGAACAUGGACAUGAGCAUGCGCGCGCCCCUCACCUGGUCCAGCUCGCUGUGCCUGCAGAUGCUGAUCCUCCGCGUCACGAUCUCACCCGAUGCGUCGAGGCCCAUGAGACAGUGCCAGUCCUCGUACAUGGCCACCACGUCGCGGUAGUUCCUCUCCACCCAGUCGUUCAGCUUCACCUCGUUGCGGAACUUCUCCAUGGAGCGGGUGGACUUGAGCCUGGGCUGAACCGAGAGCGCGUAGCGCACAACCUUGGACGCGGAAGCGGCCGCGGCGAGCAUCGCGCUCCUCUUCGCGCGCUCCGCCUGGACAGCCUUGCGGGAUUUGCCCUUGGCCGCCGCGAGCGCGCGCGAGCCCGGCGUCGUCACCGCCGGCGCAGAGGCUCCCUCGCGCACGCGGGAGAGGUACGCGCUCGCCACAGCCUCGGCAACUCGCAUCAUGGCAUCCUCGAGCACGGACACGGAAACGGCGGCCAUGGAGAAGUUCAUGCCCUCAUCCCGACGCUCCUUAGCCGCGGACGCGAGCUCGAUAGCCGCCUCCGCCAUCUCGCCGUCCUCAACCUCGAAGACGCUCUCCAUCGACCGCGAUAAGCCGGCCAUGUGCGUGAGAAGGUUGACGUAGAGAGCCGACUUGGAGCCGGGGAGCUCGACCUCGUAGUAGUUGACGAGCUGCGCCGCGAGGUUACCCGCUCGCGCGCACAUCUCCUCGUCGACGGCGUCCCCUUCCUCGUCGAGGUCCUCCUCCAAGCCGCCCGCCGCCGCCGCCGCGUUCGCCGCCGCGCGAGUCUCCAGCAGCCACUCUCGGGUCGCGUUCUCGGCGACGAUGGCGAAAAGGUUCUGCGCCUGCUCAGCCUCCUGGCCGACCGCGGGCGCGUACGUCUUGAAAGCGCUCUUGAGCGUCCUGAGGACGACAUCGCAGAGAGACGCGCGGGCCUCGGCGUUGAUGGCCUGGAGCUCCAUCACCGGUCCUCGCUUGCCCGCGUCCACGGUACCGUCCCACCAGCCGCCCGAGAGCUUGCUGGUGACCACGCCGGAGAGCGCGCCGGUUCCCGCGGCGGAGAAGACGCCCUCGUAGGAGUGGGCGAUGGCGGGCAGGUCGCCCACGGGCACCUCCUGCACGAGGUCCGCGGCAGCUUCCGGCUGCGCCGCGGCGGAGACGGUCGCGAGCGCGGACGCGUCGGCGUCGCGAUCCUCGCGAUCCUUACCCUCGAGCCACGCCCUUCCGGCGGUGACGAGGGCGCCGCCGACCAUGAUGGACGCCGGAUCGAUGACGUCGGUGCGAACGUCCCUGCGUGCGGUACGGGGGUUUGCGAGGCGCGGAACGAACGGUCAGCCGCGGAUGGCCGGAAGGAGCGCCUGACGGGGAGUGCGGGAGAAGAUCGAUUUGAACUGGCGUAAACCCGGUUUUCGUAGGGUAGUGCCUUUUGCGCGCGCGGGAACCCGAGGGGCGACGGGCGUGACGGGGGAGCCGGAUGGCGAUCGAUGCGACCGCCGCCGUCAUUCCAUGUUGCAAAUCGAAAGCCCGGACGUGAGCUCACCUGGACGGACGAGCGCCGAGGCGCUGGCGCGUCGGCGCGCCGAGGGAUCGGCGAGCCUUGAUCACGCCAGCGGGUUGGGACUUGUGCGACGCAGGUCCGGCGCGGGCGAACGCCGCGCCCCUAGCGAUGGGCACGCUCGCGGCGGUCAUGGCGGCCAUUUUGCCUACCUCCCGCGAAGUUGGAUUACGUACGGACGUCCGCCGACUCGGACUCCGCUACGCUGGUAAUGGCGAACCCUCACCGCGCCCCAACCCUCAUCCGCCCCCGAGGGGUCCAGGUGGGCAACCUUUAGACCGUCAGUGCGGACCAGGCUUAUCCAGAUGCCUUUUUGUAUGCGCGCAGGUUAGGGAAAAUUCUGAAAAUUGACUCAGAAAAUGACCGUCUGAUGGAAACCGACAGUUUUGAAAUCCAGAUCCCAACGAGCCUCUGCAUCGGCUCUUUUCUUCCGUGUCAGGUUGCUCGAAGUCGUCGUUGUUCUCCGGCCAGUGGAGCGGGGCGCCGCUUGAGAGGAGGAAGGUGGGGGGGAUGGUGCACAUCACCAACAUCGGUGGGUCGCUGACCACCGCGGUGUGCCUCUCGCUCAUCGCGUGGUCCAUCCGCGUGCUUCGAGCCGCGAAGCUGGCGGACCAGAAGACGCGAGCCCGUGUCCUAAGGGAGAACACGGGGUUGCCCUCCAUGCGACUGAUCAACAGCCGUCGGACGCCCGCGCGGCUGUCUCCCGCGGCUUUCUGGAUGUUGGUGGAGUCGCGAUGCCUACGUCCGGUACUCGUGGACGUCCGGAGCGCCAAGGAACUGGCGGAUACUCACCCGGAGGACGACGGCAUCUCCAAGCGCCUGGAGAUGGUUCGGAUACCCAUCGAGGAACUCGCGCACGUGCUGCGAAACAAGGCGACGCAGUGGAGACUCCGAGCCCGAGACGGGCCGCACGCUAAGCCCCCGUCGCUGCGGGACACCAUGGUGUUCAUCUCCACCCACGGCAACGCCGCGACGCAGGCGGCGGCGAUCGCGAUGGCGCUCGGGUACCAGAGGGUGAUGGCUGUCGACGGCGGACUCGCCGCCGCCGCGCCGCUCGCGCCGCCGUCAUCCUCCGGCACCCCCACCGCGUCUUCGCUGCACAACGGACUGGUCACCGGCGAGGGCGGCGGCGGAGGCGGUCGGGGGGGUAACGGUCGUGUCGGAUCCCCGAGGAGCGGGCACGACUCGCCGUUCGGGUCGUCGCCGAGGACCCCGUCGGCUUCGUCGCUCUCGUUCGUGCCACCCGGGGAGACGCUCAGCAGGGACGCGCUCUUACUGCUGAUGGAGUACGGACAGGCGCAGGGCGCGCCGCUGGUGACGCUGGUGGACGUGCGCAGACACGACGAGCGCGCCCUGUACGGAAGCAUCAGGGGCAGCGUGCACCUCGCGGCGGAGCAGUUACCCAGGGCGCUGCUGAUGCCGCCGGAUGAUUUCCUUCGCGCGUUUCACUUUCGCAAACCGGGUCCGGACGACGUGGUGGUGGUGCACAGCCGGCGGCAGGAGCGCGCGAGCUACGCCAAGCAGCUCCUCGGUGACGCGGGUCUGCACAGGUGUCUGGUGUUGUCCGAGGGGGUCAUGGGGUGGAGAAGCGGCGGCGGCGGUGGCGAAGACGUGAGGGCGUACGACGCAUUCGGCGAAGGGGAGCCGCCGCCGGAGCCGUACCCGACGGAGCCGCCGGUGGAGAUCGACAGGCCGGAGGCUGAGGCGGAGCUGAUGCACAAGAACGUGCUGCUCCCCUGAGUCCCGCGAGGUGGGUCCGGGCGCCGGCGCGGUGUCGUGUUCGCGUAGUAAUCGACUAGUCUUGAAUAAAAGAAAGCGUGCUCUUCGUACAAAUCAACUAAAAAUGAAAAAUCCCGACUCGAUUGGUCCCCGUCGCCGCCGUCUCUCUACGCAAAGCCGAGGGGGCACAUGGACUUGUUCUUGUGCUUCGCCUCGACGACGUCGCCGAUCUGAUCCGCCGUGCCCAUGUCCUUCACGAACUUGAGAAACUCCGCGAAGAUCCCCGGAAGAGUCCUGUAGUUGGCGUAAGGCACCCCGAACUUCUCAGCCUCCUCCGCCACGAUCUUGCGGAUGGCCGGGUAGUGCACGAAGCAGAUCGCGGGGAAGAGGUGGUGCUCCACCUGCAGGUUGAGCCCACCGGUGAAGAAGUUACCGACCUUAUCGCCCCAGUCCGCGGACGUCACGAGCUGCUGGAUCCCCCAGUCGCGCUCCCACGCCUCGCCGCCGGUGUCCUCCGGAACCUUCGUCUCAGCCACGUUGUGCGACACGGCAAAGGUGCACGCCAGCACCAUGCCCUGCACCGCGAUGAAGCUCGCGACGCCCGCCGCGACCGCCGCUCCGGACGCGCCCCACGCGAGGGGGCCCAGGAGCAGUCCGAAGUGCGCGAUCUUACCGAUCACGACUGUGGCGAGCUCCAGCGCGGUGGCGCCGUGGAGCUUGGCGCCCUCGCAAUCUCGCGUGAACAAGCCCUUGAUGUCGCCAACCUGGAACGCCAGCUGCAUCAGGGGGAACGCCGCGAAGAGGUAGAUGUGCUGGAACCUGUGGAACCACUUCUUCGGCUGCCUCGCGUCGAACCGCAGCAGGGGCAUGGCCGUGUAGACGUCCUGAUCCAGGGCGUUAUCGUUGCAGUGGAUGUGGUGGCUCACCUGGUGGUGGUACCGCCACAUCAGCGACGACCCCCCGAUGAGGUCGUCGGUCAUGCCGAGAGCGUUGUUCACCCACGUCUUCGGGCUCAUCGCGCCGUGGUUCCCGCAGUGCUGAAUGGUCAGGCCGAUCCACGCCCCGGCGAGGCCCAGCAUCGCGCCCGCGAUGGGUCCGGUGAAGUUGGCGUAGAGUGCGUAACACGCGACGGCGGUGCCGACGAUGGUCGCCGCCGCGCCGUCGCCGCCCAUCCUGUGCUCCAUCUUACCCUCCCUGGGGAACAGCUCCUUGCGAACUCUAUCGCGGAUGGAGUUGUAAAGGGGAGAGUCGUUGGGCCUGGGCGCCCUGGGCACCGCGGUGACGGGGAAAUCCUCGAGCACGGGGAGCUUGUUGAACCUCGCGGUGGACACCUCGGGACGCAGGUGGUAGGACUCGAUGAGCGCGGUGCAGUCGCGGCCGAUGGCGAGGUUGAGGAGCCACUCGCCGCCCGGGUGCUUGUCGUAGAAGGGCUGGAGGUCGUACGCGACGUCGCGGUACACGGUCCACUUGGUGUCCUUCCACUUCGGGUCGUUCCACGGGUCCUGCAUGUUGGGCAUGGCGACGUCGGGACGGGGGGCGGAGAUGGCCACCCUCUGCUCGGGCUCGGGGACGGUCACCGGCGCGGGGGUGGCGACGGCGCGCGUGACGAGGGACGCGCGCGAGAGGCGCGCGGGAGCGACAUGCUGGGUACGAAGGGUCACACCCCUGAGAUCGGAAGGGAGACGCGGGCCGGAUGCGUCAGCGUCGGGGCCAUCGCGGGUGGCGUGCGGCGCGAGGGGAAGAACGAGGCGUGGAGGACGGAUUUGCGAAGGCAACGAUUCGCACCUCGCGACGACCCUGCUGCUCGCGGCGCCCGAAGACCUGGCGCGGGCGUUGAGACGAAGUCCGGCGGAGCUCACGAUGGUGGCCGCCAUGGUUCGUGUGGUGACUCGAUGCUUAACGCUCACCAAGGGGCGCCUCGACGAAGUGAUGACGUCGCGGCGCGAGUUCGUUCACAGAAGCUUGGAACGACGAGAAGAAACUCUGAGGCGGGUGCUCACACAGCGGCCGACCACGUCGCCUCCGAGCCACUGGUUCGGAUCGGGUCCGUUUCACGGUCUAUUUCUGGUCUAUUUCUGGGUGUUUGUGCUGUGAGAACAAAAAAUCCAGAAUCUCAUAUCCCAACAGCUUAGAUUGGACCAAUCAGAGGCCGGGAUUCGUAAACCCGGUUUGGGGGUUUUCACCCGUCUCAGUGCACUGGCAGACUGGCUGGAGAUCACCCAGGUCUCGUCGCGUGAGAUUGACGAGACCUGGUGGGGAUGGGCGGAGGAGACCGUGGGACGACGAGGUCCCGCCCGAGGUUCCCUCCAGCCACCGUCAUAGCGCGCCGCCGUUCCGCACGGGACGCCGUCGACUUCCGCGCGUGUUUUCCCGGAGGUUUCCGCCGGAUCGAACGCGGAGGCCGGACGCGGGUGACGCGUCGAGCGGGACGGUGCCGGGAGACCGACGAGGGGGUUUGGGCAAUUCUUUCCCGGACAAGUGGAGGAAGAUACGGGGGUGGGGGAGGAUGCAGCCGCUGACGAUGCACGCGCGCGCGCCCGCGCGAGCUUCGACGGGCUCGGGCGCGGGAUCGUCCUCGCGCGGAGGACAGAUGCGGGAACGGGCAUCGUUCGCGUCGCCGAGCGCGGAUCGGCUCCGCGCGGGCGCCCGGCGGCGACCCGGGGGACGGCGACGCCGCGACGGGGGCACGCGCGUGGAGGCGCUCGCGGUGAUCCGCCUGCUCAAGUUCGACCCCGACCGAGUCUCCGUGUCGUUCGCCGAGGACACGUGCAGGAGGAUCGCGGAGCCCGACAGGACCCGACGCUACACCCUCACGCACAACGAUCUCACCCAGCACCUCACCCUCUCCGUCGCGAGCGACUUCAACCCCGACGGCCAGGCUGACGUGUGGUACACGCGGCUCCUGCGAGACGAGGUGCUCGCCGAGUGGUGCGACGACGGCUUGCACGUGCACUGCAACGUCACCGUGGAGGGGCACUGGUGGAUCGCGUGGGCCAAGCAGCUUCGCGCCAUCGUGUUCCGGCAGAAACUACCCCUCGUCCUCGACACCCUGAGGUACGCCGAGGCGGACCUCCUGUUGACCAACCCGAGCCUCGCGAGCGCGCCGGUUUUCGUGCACUUUCACGAGGGGCCGUGUCGAUCGGCGACGAGCGCGAGGUUCAACAACUCGAGGUCCGAGGGCGUCCGCGAGUACUGGGGGCUGUUCAGCAACGCGGGACAGCGCAAGGGGUUCGAUCAGUCGCGAUCGUACGACGAGGAGCUGUCGGGGAGCGAGGCGUUCUCGCUGGAGCGCGACCUGUGGACGCCGGAGAGCGUGGCGCGGGAGAUGCUAACCGGAACCGGAUCCGGAUCUGGCUCGUUCGACGACGACGGCGGCGGCGGCGGACGGGGCGUGGGUGGAGGCGGGGGUGGAGGCGGAGCGGACGGGCGCGUCGGCGCGGGGGCUCGGAGCUUCGCUAAAUCGCCGGGGCUCUCCGCGAGCGGAGGCCCGCCCGAAGACGCGGUUGUGACGAGCCGCUGACCAAUUCUUUUUCAAUAACCAAAACUAGUUUCGAUUAAAACGCCGGCACGCCGCCGCCCGCGGGUCCCGCGAGCAUCAUGCCGAUCACACCCUCGAGGGCCUCGGGCACGAACGUGCUGCGCAUCUCCUUGCCGAGCGCGGCGAUCUCCGCGUCGUCCUUGUGCUUCAUCGUCGCCGCGACGUACGCCAUGAGCCCGCCCUGAUCGGCGGUGAAGCCGAACUUCUGGAGGACGGGCAUGCACACCUGCGUGGCGACGGGCAUGACCAUCAUCAUGAGCAUCAUGAUGUUGUCGGGCUGAGCCGCCAUCGCCGCCUUGGCCGCCUGGAAGUCGGGGACGAAACGGGUGAGGGAACGGCUUGUCAGUCGGUGUUUCCACGGGGUUCGAUUAGAUUCGUCGCGGCGGAUCGACCGAGGCGCGGGUCAUGUGUCGGUCGGCGGGCAUGGGUCAACCCUGGGCGCUCACCUCCAUCUUGGCCAUGUUUUCCGGCUGCUUCAUGAGCUCGAUCGUCUGCGUCAGCGCAUCUGCGGAAGUGGGAAAGGGACUAGCGAGGUCAGAGGGAGGUUCGAGGGAGGAGACGGACAGCCGAUCGGGGCCGCUUUUUGGCGGGACGAGACCGCGGGACGGCCGAUGACCGGCUGGCGCCUGGCGAUGACGACGCGGGAGGAGGGGACGCGCACCCUUGGCCUGAUCCUUGGAGAGCUCGGGUUGCUUGGGCGCCUCGAAGGCGUUGGCGGCGGACAUGUUCGACUAACGGCGUUGAAGAGUGGCGUCGGGUCGGCGGUGCCAACUUGUUUCGCCGACUGAGAGCCACGAGUUCUGGAAGCCGAUUUCUUGUGCUGUGUCCGGCCACAUCGCGACGCGCGGUACCCAUGCUCGCCGCACGCGUCCCGACGGUCGCACUCUCGAGCCCGCGGCGCCACAUCCGCGGAAAAACUUCGAUCGCCUCCAAAAAACCAGCCGCACUUGUCGUCGCCGCCCGCGUCGUCGCGACCCGCGCCAUGCCGGAGGGCCCUUACCCCGAGCUCGCCGUCUUCGACCUCGACGCGUGCUUCUGGGACGAAGAGAUGUACACGCUGCGGGACAUCGUCGAUCCCGCCAGGUCCGUCCGCGGUAACCUCGGCAACGGCGUCGGCGAGGGCGUCGUGUCCGCCAUGAGCGGCAACACCGCCAUCACCAUCAAUCCCGGUGCCCUCAGAGCCUUACAGGAUUUUCACGCGGGCAAGUACCCAGGGAUGAGGAUCGCCGCGGCAUCGUCCGCGGACACUCCUCUGGCCGUGAGGAUUGGAAGAAGCGCGCUCGACGUCUUGGAGAUCGUCCCCGGCGUGACCGCGAGGGCGGUGUUCGCGAUCGGCUGGCCGGAGGGCUUCGACGGCAACAUGCAGAUCGGGCGGACCCCGCCGCUCUCGUCGAACAAGUCUCAGACGCACUUUCCGAUUUUAAGGCGGGAGACGGGAGUGGGGUACGAUCGCAUGCUCUUCUUCGACGACUGCAACUGGGGGGACCACUGCGCGGCGGUGGCGAACGGGUGCCGGGACGAGAUGACGGGGUUGGGGCCGGUGGUGGUUCGAACGCCGCGCGGGCUACAGGUGGCCGAGUGGGAGAAGGGCCUCGAGCUCUAUCGGGAGAGAGUCGCGAAAUUCGCGCCGGCGGAGCCGCCCCUCUAAUUCGACGUCUAAACGACCUACUUAUCUAAGCCGUACCCGCGCGCUUUCCCCCAUGCGCGCGCGCGGGAUAUGGUGUUGAGCGACCCCGUCACGCACACCGCACCCCCCCGCCCCCUCUCCCCUUUUCGCAGACCGGCGACAGCCGCGUCAAUCGCGGCGUCGAAAUCGUCCUCCACCAAAACCCGCGGCGGCGACCACGGAUUGAACAGUUCGGGCUUACCCUUCUCGUCCGCCUUGUUCUUCGCGUACGCCUCCGCGUCCCUCACCUUCUCUUCACAAAACUCCCACGCCUCCUUGAGCGCGGACGUCGACAUGGAACGUUCCGUCCCGCCCGCGAUGGGCACCGUGGUGAGCACGAUCACCUCCGGCUUGGCCUUGAUCACCUCCAUGAGGAACCCCGCCCUGUCCUUGUCGCUGGCCAUGGCGACCACGACCGCGAGGGGGUCGCCCGGGAAGAUUUCUCCGACCGUCUCGAAGAACGCCUGCGCGGACUCGACGGUGUGCGCGCCGUCGGCGACGAUCCCGCACUCGACGUCGAUGCACCUCGACCACCGCUCCCUCACCGCAACCUCAUCCGUCCAUACCCGUCCGCAGAGCGGGGGCAGCACCGUCUCGAAACACCCGGGAGACACCGCGUUCUCCAGCCCGACGCGCAUGGUGUCGUCCGUGAUCUUACUCCAGCGGUAGCCGCCGUCGGAAUCUUCGGGUCCCUGACCCCCGCCGCACCGGAUAAACUCCAUCACCCGCAGUGCGUUGACGGCGUUUUCGCGCUGGUGCGGUCCAACCAGCGACAUCCGAACCCCCUCGAGGUCCCGCUUCACCCACGCGAGGUGCUUCCCGCUCCACAGGUCGUCGCUGCCGUCGGUCCAUAUCUCGUAGUUCACGAGCUGAACCGGCUUGCCCUCCGCCGUCCACUCGAUCUCGCCGGUGGGAAAGGCCUUCACGUCGAGAUCGUACUCGGUGAUCCAGCGCCCGCCCUCGGCCCAAAUCUCCGAGCACAGGAGCGCGUUCACGUCGUCGCGCUGCAGGACGUCCCCUCUGGUCUGGGGCGCCACGAACGUGGGCCUGUGCAUCUGCACGAUACCGCACUUGGCGCGGACGAUGUGCCCGAGAGUACCGCCGAGCGCGUCUACGUGGUCCUUCCCAAUCGCGGUUAUGACCACCGCGGCGAUGGACUCCUGCGUGAAGAUGUUUGUCGCGUCGUGCUCGCCGCCCACGCCGCACUCCACCACCGCCAUCUCCGCGCCGAGCUGCCUGAACUUGACCAUCGCCAACACGGUGAGGAUCUCAAAGUACGUCAGCUUACCCUUCUCCUUAUCCUGCGCGUCGAGGAUGAUCCGCGCGGUUUCCGCGUCGAUCUUCCCGUGCGUGGCGAGUCUGGUGGUUGGAUCGAGAUGCGCGCCUCGUUCGUCGUACGCGGCGUCGGGCGGGAUCGGCCCGCACGUGAUGCGCUCGGCGACGGAGUGCACGUGCGGCGACUUGUACGUCGCGGUGUUAUACCCGGACGCGCGAAGGAUGCCGGCGAGGAAGCCCACGGUGCUCCCCUUGCCCUUGGUGCCCGCGACGUGGAUGGUCUGGAACCCCGGGCCCCAUCGCGCUCCGGUGUGCUCCGUCUUCUCCCACAGGUGCGGCUCUCCCAGCGCGCGUAACAGGUCGUAGACGCGCCGAAGGUCGUACGCGGCGUCUUCGUACUGCUCGUUCGUCCUGCUCAGCGUCCCCAGCCGUCUGAAGUCGGGCAAACCCGUCUUCUCGUAGUUCUUAAACGGCGCGAGGAAGGCGUCGAUGUCCACCAUGCCGUCGUCGUCGCCUCCUUCCCGCGGGGCGGCGGUGCCGAACCCGCGGUGCCAUCGCGUCGCCGUCGGCGAUGACGUAGGCGCGCAUCGGAGGAGCCGGGAUCGCGCGUCAGCCCCGGAGAUCCACGCGAUCCUCACGGCGCGCGCGAUCGCGCCGGCCACCCGACGCGGCGACCCCGUCAUCGGCGCCGCGCGCGCGGGAGUGCCGCUGCGCCAGAGGUUUUCACUCAUUCCCGAAACCGGCGAGUGACUCCACCAGAAUUCCGAGUCAGCUCUCGCUUCCGAGCUCUUCCGCGUCAGAGGCGGGGCGAGCGGGGCGAGGGAAACGCGCGAGAUGCGCUUCCCUCGUGUCAGAGCGAUGCCUGGAGGGGCCGCGAUGGCCGAAAUCGCGGCGGAGGGCGAACCGACCACCUCCGCCGGCCACCCCGAGACGCAGUCCCCGGAACCGGGAGCGAAGGGCGGGGUUGUCCCGAGGACCCCGCGGGCGUCGGCGCGAAACGUGGCGCCGACGUCGGCGUAUCGCGACGUUCUCCGGCGCGAGUGGGACCCGCGCCACAGGCUACGACCCAGGUUGGGCCACUCGCACUUCGUCAAGAACCUUCGCCUGGUCCAGCGCCUGGACAGGCACGCCGGAUGCGUCAACACCGUGGCGUGGAGCGAAGAUGCGUCGCUCCUGCUCUCCGGCAGCGACGACCUGUGCGUGUGCGUGUGGAGCGUCGGCACGUCGUUCCCGUGCCUCGGAACCGUGUACACGGGCCACAACCACAACAUAUUCAGCGCGGAGUUCGUGCCGGGCACGCGAGGCGGCCGGUGCGUCACCACCGCCGGCGACGGAGACGUGCGCGUCGUCGACCUCAUUCGGGGAUUCCAAUCCGCGCGGGGCCGAGGCGACCCCCGAGAUCGCCCAGGCGGACGGAGCCCCUUUCGAACCCGCCGCUUCGGCUUCGACGACGACAACGCCGCCGACGACGGCGCCGCCAGGUCCCUCUUCGCGGGCAGGCCGACGGACCCGAACGAGAUCGGCGACGUCAUGGGCAUGAAGGUUCGAUUCGUCCCGGGCGCGCCCGACGUCUUACUCGCCACGCAUCAGGACGGCCGGGUCAGACGGUUCGACCUGCGCCUAGCUCCUCGGGCCACCGGCGACGUCGUCGUGGAUCUCAGCGUCCAGGGCGGCUGCAGCGACCUCGCCUUCGAUCCGUCCUCGCCGUCGCUCUUCGCGCUGGGAUGCGACGAUCCGUUCGUUCGAGUGUUCGACGUGAGACACCUCGCGGAGACGGCGCGGGACGUCUCGGCCGCGCGUCGCGCGAGAUCGCCCAGCGAGCGCGAACACGCGGACCUCAUACCCGUCGUGGCGAAGUACUCCCCGGGUAAGUCCCACGGGUUCAACAGCAGGUCGCUGAGGUUCGACGGCGUAUCGGGGCUGGCGUACGGUAAACGGGGCGAACUCGCCGUGACGUACCGGGGGGAGCACCUGUACGUCAUCGACCAGCGCGCGUACGAGUCGAGACGUUUGGCGUCAGUCGGGGACGGUCACGGAAACGGUCACGGAAACGGUCACGGCGGGCACGGAGCGGCGGGCGCAGGGACGGAGUGGGGGUCGCUGUUUGGCGCCGGGGGUUCGCCGCCGCCCGCGGGUUCGGAGUCCCCGGAGUUUGGCUACGCGUCCCCGGACACGUCCGGGCUCAGAUCGGGAGGAUCGGAUUCGGACUCGGGUUCCGACGCAGGUGCCGAGUCCGACUCCGACGCCGAGAACGGGGCGGCGGGCGCGAGGAGGAGCGUGUCGGUGCCGCGGGACAGGGUGUUGAGCCCCCGCCCGCACCAACCCUCCGAGGCUGGGUGGGACCUCUUCGACGAUGACCCGACGCACCGACCGAUGGAACGCGACGAUUCCGCGGUGCGUCGGUACGUCGGGCACAGGAACGUGAAGACCUUCUUGAAAUCCGUCGCGUUCAUGUGCGACGACGCGUACGUGUCGACGGGGAGCGACUGCGGCGGGAUGUUCGUGUGGGACGCGCGCACGUGCGAGCUGGUGCUCAAGGUGCAGGCGGAUUCGCAGGUUGUCAACAACGUGUGCCCCCACCCCAGUUUGCCCAUGGUGGUCACCAGCGGCAUAGACGACUGCAUGCGGGUGUGGGAGGGCGGAGACGGGAGGCAUCUGAUCGACCUGCCUGAGAGGUACCCGGACGACGACGACGACGACGACUUCGACGACGACGACUACGACGACUUGGACGAGAUGGACGCCUGGGGCGACGACGGGGAAUACCGGCCGGGCGUCGUCGCGUACGCGAGCGACGCGGAGAUCUCCUCUUCCGACGACGACGACGAGGAGAACGAGUCCGAUCACGUCCACGACCCGGAGGAGGAGGGGGAUGGGGAAGAGGAGGAAAAGGCGGAGCCGUUUGGGGCGUUCGCGCGAGCCGAGGCGGUUGGGUCAGAGUCGGAUGAGCGACGAUCGGGUUCGCCGGGGGACGACGAGCGCGAGAGCGCCGAGCCGAGCGCGAAGAAACAGAGGGCUGAUGCGCCCUGACCCUUACGCGCGUGACACGUAACGACGUCGUCACAAAAAAUCUAAUGACGAUGACGAUGCGUCGUACCCCGCCACGGCUCGUGCGCCGUCUCGCGGUGGAAGACGUCUUCGGGUUCCAGCAGCAGCCUCCUGGAGUACAACCGCCUGACUUUCGCAACCUCGUCGUCCUUGUCCAGACCCGCCAUCUUCACCGCGAUGAUCGCCACGACGCCCAUGACGACGAUGAAGAGUAAGGUGAGGAUGCACUUAUCCGUCGCCAAACCCCGCGUCAGGUCCUUGAUGACCUUCAUGCUCUUCUUCAAGGAGAAGUGAAUCUCGUCGAGGUCGUCCACCACCUUUUCCAUCUGCUGCGUCUGAUUCCGAAGCUGUUCAGCGGUCUGCGUGCCCAGCUCGAUGGUCCUCGCGACGGUCGCCUUGCUACGGUCGAUGAUGGCAUCGGUGUCCUUGAUCUUAUCCCGGCCGUACACCAGGAGCUCCUCCGUCUGCAUCCCCUGCAGCUCGAUCUCGCCGGGUGCGACAAUCUCCGACUGCGCCGCCGCCGCCGCCGCGCCACCCUUGGAACCCUUCGAAAACUUCGAAAACUUGGACCCCCCGCCCGCGCCGGCGUCCGCCGCCCCGGCCACCGCCGGCUCCGACGACGUCGACGCCGCGCCCGACGACGAGAAAGGGUUCUGCUUCUCCCGUUCCGCCGCGUCCCUCGCGGCGGCGAAUGGGUCCGGCUUGGGAUCCCCUUUUUUCUUGGCACCCGGCGCUGGCGACGCGCCCGCCGCGGCUUCCAGCUGCUCCUGCCUCGCGGCGAUGUCCGCCUGCGCCGCCUUCUUCCGCUGGACGUAAUCGUUCAGCUGCUUGACCAUCUCGCGCUUGCGCUGCGCCGUGUGCUCGGGGUCGACGGAAGGGUCCUCCUGGCUCACGCGCUCGUACUCCUUAAUGAGGGACUUCGACUCGGCCAUCUUCUUGGUGAGGGUCUUGACGAACGCGGUCGCCUCCGCGGGGUCGCCCUCCAGUUUUUUCUUGUCCGCGAAUCCCGCACUGGUGGAUAGGUGAGGAGGCGGGGAGUUGAUACGUCAGGGCGCGGCCGAGGGUGCGGAGAACGGGGCGCAGGUCGUCGCGUCCGAUGCGAAAAACCUCAGCUGGGCACGGGGCUGGCGAGGGACGGGAUCGCGCGCGGGUUCCGGCGGGGCGCGUACUCUAUCUGGCCGUAGAUCGCCUUGAUCUGGACGUCCACCUGGGCCGGCGUGGACAUGGCUGCCGUCCGACGGAUGAGCGCGGCCUGGUUUGUUGGGCGGGCAGCGCACGCGCGCGAUGUCACCUCCACGGCUCGUCUCUUUCCAACGUCUACAAGUCAGACUCGCCAGCUCGCAGCGCAGUCCAGGGCUGCCAGGAACUCCAGCUGGAUAAUCUCAUCAGGAUUCGCCUUGUACUUGUAGCCGGGCUGAGGACGAGCGGCAUGUCGAGCCGAGUUGGUGCGGGUGGAAGCGGUGCGAGGGCGUGUUCGCGAGGGAGGAUGACACAGCAGCGCCCAACGUCGGAUGUGAGUAGCACUAGCUAGAGAGGGUCUUAAUAGUCUACAGCGUAGCUCUAAGGAUAAAUGGAUCGGCAACCGCCUCGCGGCUUGUUACACCGCUUACUUGCCGAAGCCGAAGAAUCCCUUCUUCUCGGGCUUAGCAGCGGCGCCCUUGGCUCCCUUAGCCGCGGGCUUGCCGCCAGCCUUCUUCGCGGCGGCCUUCUUCUUGUUCUCCUCGAUGAGCUUCUUCUUGGCCUCCAUCUUCUUCCUGUACUCGUCCGCGGGCAUGUUGGGACCGAACCCGCCGAUGGCGCGGGUCUCCUUGUUCACCCGGGAGGAUGCGCGGGUCUUGUCGCCGACGAGGGCGGGGCGCGCGGCGACGGCGGCGGAGAAAGAGAGGGCGGACAUGGUACGGCUGUGCGGUCAGAAGUGGCGUGCCGUGCCGUCUCUCGCGGAAAACGCGUCGAGACUGGUGGCCGGACGCUUCGCCACGUCGAUCGCCUCGGCCAGGAAAAGCACGUCCUGGCUCGAGGGCAGCCGAGCGGAAGUCUCGGACGUGCGCGCGGGCCAGUGUUGAACGGACGAGACCCACCGCGAGCGCCCCGUUCGAUCGCGAUGGCUCUAAUGACCACCCGCAUGAUGGUGCGCAACGGCGCGGAGUGCCUCGGGCGCUCCGCCCCGUCGCUCCGCUCCGUGCUGCGAUGCGCCCCCUCGACGCAGAGGGCAACGCUCGCGAGCCCGGGCGCCCCGACGCCGGUGAGGCUCGGGGUCGGCGGCGCCGGGCGCUCGAUGGUCUCGAUUCGCGCGAGCUCCGUCACCACCACCGCGGAUACCGCCGCGGCGACGUCCGCGUCGGCGCCGUUCAAGCGCCACGAGCGCAUCGCCGCCAUCAAGGUACGCGCGCCGGUUCGCGGACCCGGGAUGCCCUAUCCACAGAAUUCCGCCUUUUCGCGCCCCAGCCUUCCCAACCCCAACCCCUGACCCCCGCCCCGUUUCCGUUCAUCCCAGGGCAAGGACCAGGGCAAAUCCCGCGUCGGCGAUACCGUGCAGCUCCGCGGCUGGGUCCGCACCGUCCGCGCGCAGAAGGACCUCUCGUUUAUCGAGGUGAACGACGGCUCGUCGCUGAGCGGCAUCCAGGCGGUGGUGAACGGAGACGUGCCCGGGCGCGAGCACCUCGACGCGGGCGACAUCACCACCGGCGCCGCGGUGGUCAUCAAGGGUAUCGUGGUGGAAUCUCCGGGCGGUAAGCAGGCGGUGGAGGUGGCCGUCGAGUCCAUCAAGCUCAUCGGAGGAGCCGACGCGUCCACCUUCCCCCUGCAGAAGAAGAGGCACACCCUCGAGUACCUCCGCAGCAUCGCGCACCUCAGGCCGAGGACCAACACCAUCGGCGCGGUCACCCGCGUCAGGAACCAGCUCGCGUACGCCACGCACACCUUCUUCCAGCAGCACGGCUUCCAGUACGUCAACACCCCGAUCGUCACCGCGUCCGACUGCGAGGGUGCCGGCGAGCAGUUCCAGGUCACCACGCUCAUCAACGGAAUAGACGGGCCAAGCGUCGCCUCCGCCCAAUCGAACGUCGCGUCCGAGGCUGACAUCACCGCCGCCAAGGCCGCCGCCGCGGAGCAGGGCGUCGUCGUCAAGACCCUCAAGGAUGCCAAGAAGGAGGGCAAGGCGACGAAGGAGGAGGUGGACGAAGCCGUCGCCGAGCUCCUCGCGCUAAAGGCGAAGGCGGAGUCCCUCGAGAAUUCUCCCGCGGCGGCGGCGGCGGGCGGCGACAUCCCCCGCGACGCCGCCGGCGCCGUGGACUACGGCAAGGACUUCUUCGGCAAACCCUCCUACCUGACCGUGUCCGGCCAGCUCAACGCCGAGAUUUACGCGUGCGCCAUGAGGGACGUCUACACGUUUGGGCCGACGUUCAGAGCCGAGAACUCCAACACCAGCCGCCACCUCGCCGAGUUUUGGAUGGUCGAGCCCGAGCUCGCGUUCGCGGACCUUCAGGACGACAUGGACUGCGCCGAGGCGUACCUCAAGCACUGCCUGACGCACGUGCUGGAGCACUGCGACGAGGACCUGGAGUUUUUCGAGAAGAACAUCUCGAAGGAUAACCUCCGCGAGCGCCUUCGCGGCGUCGCCACCUCCGACUUUGCCAGGAUCACCUACACGGAGGCUGUCGACCACGUUCUCAAGGCGAAGAAGAAGUUCGAGUUCCCCGUGGAGUGGGGGUGCGACCUUCAGAGCGAGCACGAGCGGUACCUCACCGAGGAGGUCUUCAAGAACCGCCCCGUCAUCGUCCGCGAUUACCCCAAGGCGGUCAAGGCGUUUUACAUGCGCGAAAACGACGACGGCAAGACGGUGGCCGCGAUGGAUGUGCUCGUGCCCAAGGUGGGCGAGCUCAUGGGCGGGUCGCAGAGGGAGGAGCGCCUCGACGUGCUCGAGCGCAGGAUCGAAGAGGUCGGCCUGGAGAAGGAGAGCUACUGGUGGUACCUCGAUCUUCGCAGGUACGGGAGCGUCCCCCACGCGGGCUUCGGCCUCGGGUUUGAGCGGCUGGUGCAGUACGUCACCGGCGUGGAGAACAUUCGGGACGUGAUCCCGUUCCCGAGGUACCCGGGCAGCGCGGAGUUCUGAUAUGUAGGAUCUAUUUAAGUUGUCACGUCAUCGUAAGUAACCGUUUGAACGAGGGCACGCCGACCGCGACCCGCCGCGGCCCAUUUGGAAAAGUCUUCCGUCAAUCAUCAGUCUGUCCGUCAGUCGUCUGCUGAUUUGCCGUUCGCCGGUCACCGGUGCCCAACCUAAACACAACUCCCGAGACGGGGCAUACGCGCCUGCGCGGUCGUUCGGGUGGGAACGCCGCGGGGUGCUGUCUUUUGAGGGCGAGGCGGACCCUCGGAUACUACCGGAGAGCGCCUCGGGCUCUUCGCGCCACGGGGAAGGCGGCGGCCCCCGCGCUGCGUCGAACGACUGGAUUUGGAUCCGUUUGACCGCGAAAUGCCUGUGAGCAAAUUUCCGCCCGAGACGGGCUCGAUGAGGCUGACCAUGCCCGGCGGACGCGCGGGAUCGACUUCACCGGUCGAUCCCAACGACCCGCUUCCGUGGCUCAGACUGUUCCCUCCUGCCGUCAACUUCCACGGCAUCGAGGCCAACACCGUCUACACCGCCGAGGUGACGGUGCGCAACGCGGACAGUCGCAUCCACACCGUGAAGAUGAUCAAGCCCACGACGAAGAAGUUCUUCCUCGUCGCGGACGCGUUCAAGAGCGUCAAGCUCGCGCCGGGAAUGACCGCGAAGUUCGAGGUGGCGUUCGCGGCGGACUCGCAAAACGAUUUCUGGGACAAGAUCGUCAUCCAGACGGAGGUUGGCGACGCGGAGCUGCCCUUAGCCGCGUACGCCCCCGCGCCCGAGUGCAGAGCCGAGGGCGACCUCGACAUGGGCGUCAUCGCGCAGGGGUGCUCGGUGACGCGCGAGCUCACGCUCACGAACCACGGAUCCUCGCCCGGCGCCUACCGCUGCGAUUACGACAGGACCCUCGGUCCCGCGCUGCGCGUGGAACCCGCGGUGGGGUCCGUCCCCCCCGCGUCCGGGUCGACGCCCGGCGUGGCCAAGGUGAGGGUCACGUGCGCGCCGGAUGCACCCGGCGCGUCCACCGAGCAGCUCGAGGUCUUCUUCGACGGCAAGGCGGCGCCGUUCCAUUUCUUCGUGGACCACACGUGCGUCCCGCACACGCUCGAGCUGCUCGUGGACGACGGGACGGGCGCGGGCGGCGCGGGGGGUGACCCGAAGCGGCUGACGGAGAUGCCCUUCGGCGCCGUGCUCUACGGCGACGCGGUGACCGCGACGUGCGUCCUGUUCAACAACGGGCCCAACCAGACCACGUUCGCGAUGGACGUGACGAACGAGGAGGAUCUACAGGGUACCGUCCACGCCAUGUACCGCGGGGAGCCCGGGCCGGGGGGAAGUUCGCGGUGUGGUGAGCUGGACGACGGUACCUUGAUCGUCGAGCCGAGGUCGGGGAUACUGAAGCCUUACGAGCGGCGGAGGAUAUCGGUCACCGUGGCGCCGAAGCUGGCGACGUCCACCAAGGGGUUUAAGUCGGUGUCGAGGAAGAUCGACGGAGACGCAAAGUCGCUCGCGUGCCUCGGGGUCAUCACCUUCUCCGGCGUGCCCAAGGCGAGGUGCCUCCUUCCGAUCACGGCAAAGGCGGUCACGGGCGCGUUGGACGUUCAGCCCGCGUCGCUGGACUUUGGGUCGGUCGCCUGCCAUGACGUGGGCGACCACAUCGUGAUGAUCAAGAACAUGAGCAAGGAGGCGCCCGUGGACUACGUCAUCGACCGGUCCACCUUCUUCAAGCCGCAGCCGGCGAGCGGUAAGAUUCUGCCGGGGCAGAGCGUCAGCGUCGUCGUCCGGUACGAGCCCAAAAACUUGGGCACUCACGUCGAGGAUCUCACCGUCAAGGCGAUGGCCACGAGCGGCAAGGUGAUGGCGAAGCGGACGGUGCGCGUCAAGGGGUUCUCCGAUUUCGUCACGGAGAAGCCGCCGCUCCCCGGCGGGACCAUGGCGGUGCCGGAGGAUUUCGAGAGGCCGCGUAAGUUUGUCAGCGCGGAGGAGGUGAGAAAGGCGACGAUUGCGAGGUCGCGAGCCGGGCGGAAGCACUUGAACCCGAUUCCCACGUCGCUUCAGCGAAACACGGGUCGGUACACGGACGACACGCUCGACAGGCGUUUCAGCGAGACGCUCACGCUGCAGCAGGCGACCGCGCGGGAGACUCACCGCACCGGCUACGUCGAUUACAUUCGGACCAACAGGCGGCGGAGCACAAAGGCGGCGAGGGUUAACCCCGCGGAUCCGACGUCGCUCGGGCUCGUGGACAGGAGCGGGCUGGUGGAUAACGGGCCGCCGCUGCCGGACCCGGUGGAGCCCCUGUGGUUGAACCCGGACGUGCCCGAGGGGAGGCUCAGGCCGCAACACAGGGCACAGCGCCUGGCGGAGGAUGACGAGCUGCUCAAGCUGGGCGUCGUCUCCAACUUUAAGCGAAUGCCGAGCACCGCCAAGGAGAUGAAGGAGUGCUCCAGGGUUCUCAUACCGAAGGAGCUGGCGAAGCUCAAGAUCGGACCGAGCAUGCUGGACUUUGGGGAGGUGUCGGUGCUCAGCGAUAACCUCAAGUUCUUCACCGUGACCAACGAAAACGAUCAGGCGGUGUUGGUCCACGUGGACACCGCGGGUCAACUGGAGCUGAAGAACUCGACGCCGACGUCGCAGGUUGUCCCGCCCGGUAAAACCGCGCACUUUGGCAUCGCGCUCUGCGUCGAUCGCGUGGACAGGAACUUCAAGACCACCGUGGGGUACUCCAUCAACAGCAACCGAACCACGAGCUACGCCUUCGACGUGCUCGCCGACGUCGUCCCCGUGCAGCUCGACCUGAACGCGUCGGCGCUCAAAUUUCGGUUCGCGCCGGAAAAUUGGGAGGAUACCGUGACGGAGACGCUGGUCGUCACGAACCCGAACAUGUACGCGGCCGAGUACCAGUGGCGCGUCCCGCCCGGGUGCGCGUACAGCGUGCAUCCGUCUCGGGGUGCCGUGCCGGGGAACGGCAUGCAGCCGGUGCGGGUCACGUGGUCCCCGUCGUGGACUGUGGGUUCGCCCCUGUCUGAGGAAAAUUUCGCGACGCUCGUCAUGGACGUCGUCGGCGGGAGCACGUCUCGUGCCGUGCGGUGCACCGCGGACGCGGGUGAGCCCAAGUUGCGGUUCAAGGAGACUGUCGUGGACUUUGAGACGAUCGCGGCGGGGCUCGUGGCGACGAGGUAUUGCACGCUUAAGAACGUGGGCAGGUUCGACGCGGUGUAUCGCCUCGACGAAAAUUUCAAGGCGAAGCAUCCGCAGUUUUCGUGCGACCCCGACUUUGGGUCCAUCAGACCGGGCGCGUCGCAGCGACUGACCGUGACGUUCGAGUCCCCGUACCCCGGCGCGCACAAGGUAAACAUGCAGAUGAACUUGCGCGGGGGCAAACCGGUCAAGAUCCCCGUGCUCACCAGCGUCAUCGUCCCGGUGGUGCACUGCAAGCAGCAGGCUUUGAAUUUCGGCGACACGUUCAGGAUGGAGAUCACCAAGCGGCCGGUGACGCUCGUGAACACCUCGGAUAUCGACGCGGAGCUGACUUGCGACCUCAGGCAGUACCCAGACUUCGACCUGGAGAUAUCACCCGAGGCGUGGUCGCCGGAGUAUUACGAAGAUGUCCCGGUGUACGCGUUGGAGACGGAUCCGGGCACCGGAGGGUCUCUGUAUAAGAUUCACGUCGCGGGUAAGCAGGAGCUCACUUUCCGCAUGGUGUUUCAUCCCACGGACACCGCCAGGAAAGUUUCGUUCGCGAUGCCCUUCUUGUUAGAGGGCGUCGUGGACCAGCCCACGCCCGCGGAGAAACUGUGCAAGACGGUCACCGCGGAGUCGAAAGAGCCGCGGGUGCUGCUGGGCACGUCGCUGGUUGACUUUGCGCACAAGAUUCUUCUCCGCGAGGGAAUGAGGAAGGUGCCGCACACGCGGGAGUUUACCAUCACGAACAACGAUCCGGCGAGCGGACCGGAGAGCCUGCACUGGGCUUUCGGCAAGCCCGUCGCGCUGGACGCGGACGAGGCGAGCGUGAUCGACGACGGCUCUCCCAAGCCCUACGAUCUCGUGCACACGUUUCAGUUUGAGCCCAAAUUCGGCAUCCUCAAACGCGGCGAGUCGGUCACCGUCAAGUGCAGCUUCUCGCCGAUGUUGGCGACCAAGUUCGAGGGCAAGGUGCCGGUGUACCUGGACGGCGCGGCGAAGACAAAGAACGCGCAUCUUCGCUUCGGCGUCGCGGGGCUCGGCGCGCACCCCAGGAUCAAGUUUGACGAGAGGGAGGUUCGAUUGGCGCCCACCCCGCUCGGCGUCGUGACGACCCGGAGACUCUGGCUCAUCAACGAGGGUUUCGAUAACAUGGGCAUCUCCUGCAAGCUUCCGGCGGACAAACUCGCGGUGCCGCUGCAGAUCGAGUGGCCUGAGGGCCAAAUGAUCGGCAUCGCCAAGCAGAGGCUCCCGGUGGACGUCAGCUUCGAGAGCAAGAAGCCUCUGAGCUUCACCGCGACGAUUGAGUUUUUGGACGAGGAUGGGAAACGGUUUCCGAUUCCCGUCUCGGGAAUCGCGGAUAACUGCACGCUGACCACGGAACAGUUCCUCGCCGCGAACGACGGCUGCCUGACGAUGGACGGCGCGGACGUCAACCGGCCGGUGAUGCUGCCGCGACAGGCGCGAUACAUGGCGCCGCCGAUGGCGCAGCUCGAUCAGGGCGCGGACAACGCCAGCCUCGCGAGGUGGCUCAACGCGUGCACCCCGGAGGGACCGGUUCGCGACAUCCCCGGCGAUUUCAUCCGCACCAAGGGUUUGCUCCUGGUGGAAAUCAUCAAGUUCUGGACGGGACGAGAGAUCGUGGCGACGGUGGAGAAGCACGGGCUGAACAAGCGCCAGCACGCGCUCUGGCUCUGCGAGAGGUUCGACAAGAUCAUAACGUACCUGAAAGGAACCGGCGCGCUCCUCAACGGUGUCUACCCCGAGUUUCUGGUCGACGAGCAGGACUACCACAGGCUCUUGAGGGACAAGAUGGCCAAGGUGCAGUCAGGGGAGUGGUCCGUCGUGGACGGGGACAGGCUGCAACACUGGAUCGCUCUGUACGAGGACAGGGAUAGGUUCCGCGAUGUUUCCGCGUCGGCUUGGCGCGCGGUGCUGAUGCAGACGAUUCGCAUUUUCGUCCUCAACCGCAUCACGCCAAAGCAGUUCAGCACGGUGCCCAACUGCGGGGACCUCGCGGUCAACUCCGCCACGGACGCGUCCAUCGCCGGGAGCAACGUCUUCUCCGUCGCGGAGAGCAUCAUCUUGAAGUGGAUGACGCACCACCGCGCGAGGGUCUUCCCGGGCGCGGCGAGGGUCUGCGAUUUCGACGACGACCUCCGCGACGGCACCGUCCUUUACGGGCUCUUAGUCAGCCACUGGCCGAACCUCUCGCAGUUCUCCCAGGACAUGAAGUUCGUCCCCGAGACCCGCGAGGAUAUCGUCGCGAACCACGAGGUGGUCCUGGACAUGCUGAGGUACGUGCAGCUGUCGUACGACGACGUCACGGCGGAUGAGCUCGCGAGAUCGAGUCCCAGCGAGCGACUCCUGUUCUGCCUGUUUUUGUACAACCACCUACCGCAGCUGGUGCCCAGGACGGUCAUCGACUUCCCGACGCUGCUCGGGCAAAAGGUUGUGAAGAACAUCGAGCUGACGAACCCGGCGAUGACGCCCAUCUCCUACUCCGUCCGUUUGGAGGGUAACCCCGACUUCACCGUCGAGGCGACCACGGUGAGAAUGGAGAAGAGGAGCUCGGCGCAGCUCGCGGUUUCUUGCACGCCCACGUCGUCGCUCCCCGAACGGUGUCGGCUUAUCCUCGCUGCGGUGAAGGAGGAGUCGCAGGUGAACGGGAGCACGCUCGUGUUCGAUCUGAACCCCGUGGUCAAAUCGUCCGAGCCCAUCCGCAAGAUUGACUUCAAGGCGAAGUGCUACGAGUACACGGAGCAAAUCAUCGAGUUGCAGAAUCCGUACCCGGGAGACUGCGAGUUUGGCAUCGUGUGCACCAACUACACCGCGGACGAGGUCGAGGCGAUGGCUGCCGCGAAGGAGGCGGAACAGAUGGAGUUACACUCCGCCGCGUACACCGGGCGAACGCCGAGGACAUCGAGGAGAUCACAAAAAUCAAUCCGCGAGCUGAUGGGCAAACCCCCAGAUCCGGCCCUGGGUAAGAUUGACCCGUCGCUGUACCCUGACCCCUUCGGCGUUGAUCGCAGAUCGGUUCGACUCAAGAAAGGGGAGAAGGUCAAGCUCCGCGUCAGUUUCCUGCCGUUCAUCAUGGGACCUCACACCGCGCACUUGUCCUUCGAGGAUCACCGAUUUGGCAAGUUUGUCUACGAGCUCGCCGGCGGGGCGGAACACCCGCAGCCGAUGUCGGAGCACAAAGCCGAGGUGGACAUCAAACCCCAGAUGUCGAACAUCGUGGUGUCGUUCAUCAACAACCCGCUGGAGCUGGCGAAGCGCACGUUCCUCGAGAAGCACCCGCUCGCCAAGGUGAAGGACCAGGCUGAUCGCAUUCGAAAGGCUGAGCCGUGGCCGCAGAGCGUGGUGUACGCGCUCGAGGUUGUCUCCUCGCACAUGGAGAUUUUUGGCAAGCCGCGGCUUCCGCUCGUCAAGACCCCGAGGGCAGGUAAGAAGACCGUGACGACGGGCGCGGACGGCCAGAAGGUUGAGCAGUUCAUCCCGGGAGAGAACACGGUGUCGCUCAAUCUCAAUCUUCGCAACGCGGGCGUUUAUCCGGGCAAGGUGGUGCUCAAGUCGCAAUUUGACGUCAGGGUGGUCGACCUCGAGUACAGGUGCGGCCUCACCGGCGACGCCGCGCAGCUCGAGUUCGAGUGCGCUGCGGGCCAAUCGAUCACCCAGAACAUUCCACUGGUAAACAGCGGCAUGAAGCCCAUGAGCGUUACCGCAAACUUUGCCGGGCAGCGCGAGUACUUUGCCGGUUACGGCCGCGACAUGGUUGUCGACGGGAAGAAAAAAGCCGAUUUCCCCCUCACGUUCAGACCCGCGAGGCCGGGAACUUUCCUCGCCAAACUGGUGCUAAAGACGGGCGGCGAGUCCAUCUCGUACGCGCUCAAGGGCGUCGCGAACGAACCACUGGCGCAGGGCCACGUCGUCAUCGGCGCCGACGCGAGGGGCCGGACCCGGCACAGGUUCACGGUGCCCAACGUCUUUGGAGCCGAGCGCGAGGCGGCGUACGAGGUCAGCUCCGACCUCAACUUCGUCGGCGGGGACCCGCAGUGCGUGGUUCGACCCAACGCCACCUCCACGUACGACAUGGGCGUGGCGCCCACGUGCUCCGGCGUGUUCCACGGCAGCAUCACGUUCACGGCGCCGGACGGUUCGUUUUGCUGGUGGACGCUAGAGGUUAGAGUCGCCCCGCCGCCAGUCGAGGACACGCUCGAUUUGACGGUUCCCGUGCGGGAGGCGCUCACGACGCAGAUCACCCUCGCGAACCCCUCCGCCGCGCCCGCGACGUUUCGCAUCUACCGCGAGGGCCACGGCGUGCUGGGCGCGGACACCAUGCGAAUCGCCGCGCGAUCCGAGAAGACGUACGACCUCGUGUACUCGCCGAUGCUCACCGGGCCGACGGAGGGCAGCGUUCGAUUCGUGUCCGCGCAGCUCGGAGAGUUUUGGUACGCGCUCAGACUCGACGCGCUCGACGCGACCGCGGCCGUGGUGCCCGAGAUGCGUUCCGAGGUUGGCGGCGCGCGCGGGUCCACCGUGUUGGACAUCGAGAACCCCUUGGACGAGGAGGUUCUCGUCGCGCUGUCGUGCCCGGAUAAUCCUCGCAACUUUAUCGUCGCGCCGCCGAGCGUCACCGUACCCCCCUUCGGCGUCGGCAAGUUCAGGGUGACGUACGCUCCGAGCAGCCUCAACCAGCUGGAGACCGGGACGAUCGUGGCGACGAACGAGGAGGCGGGCACGUGGACGUGGUCCGUCAGCGGAAGAGGCGCGGAACCCACCAAGCUCCCGGCUACCGACAUCUUCGUCACGCUCGGGCAAACCGGCAGCGGUUCGGUCAGCUUCCAGAACCCUUUCCACGAACCAAUCUACGUGGACGUCGCCAUCGAAACCGACGAGGAUGCCGGCGUGUGGGAGGACAUACUCAAGAAGAGGCAGGGCGUGCACGUGGACGGCUUCCAGGUGGUGCCCAUCCCGUUCAAGUUUUCGCCCCGAGCGAUGACCCGCCACGAGGCGACCAUGGUCAUCACCACCGAGAGCGCGGGCGACACGCUGACGUGGAGGUACCCCCUGAUCGGCAUCGCGGAAGCUGUGCCCAAGGGAGAUCACUUCAGGAUCGAGGGCAAGGCCCGACGGCGGUGCGAGAUGGGCCUGGAGGUGUUCCUGCACGGCCUGAAGGUGGACGUUCCGAUCGAGCACUACACCUUCGAGGUCGUGGUGCCCGAAUCGGAGAAACACCACCUUCGCAAGGCUCUGGUCAUCAAGCCCUUGAUGGCGAGCCUCACGCCGAAGACGAGGAGUUUGCGCUUCGCCGUCGCGUUCCGACCAAAGCGCGCGAUGUCCUGCUCCAUCGACUUCCUCGUCAACAAGCAGAGCGGCGGCAGGUGGCGGUUCCCCAUCCACCUCGAGGCGAUCGAGCCCGAAAUUGACGGCACCGUCGUCGUCGAGGCAAACGUCAACGAGAAGGCCGAGGCUGUCUUCUCCCUGGCCAACCCCGACCCGGAGGCGUGCGCGUUCACGGCGUACUUCACGCCGGAUUCGCCAGCGGAGUUCAGCGUCAAGCCCAACGUCGGGACGAUGCUUCCGGGGAAAUCACCGGAGACUCCUCUGAAGCCCGGAGCGGACAGGGGCGUCGCGGUGGAAACGGCAGACGGCGGCCCGGGCGUGGACCUGAGGAUCAGGUACAGGCCCAAGGAGUACGGCGGAGACAGGGUGGGGAAACUGGUGGUCACCACGAAGGAGAACACGUGGGUGUUCGAGGUGGUGGGCACGAUGCCGGAAUACAACGUGCCCGUGGUGACGACCAAGCUCAACACGAGAAUCGAUCCGUCGGUGGACGAAGCGCUGAAGGUUGCGCAGCGCAGGCGAAGACCGGGGACGAUCGUGCGGGAGAACCUGCGCGCGGAGAACUACACGAGCAGAAGGCUGCUGAGUAAGACGCCGGGACACGAAAUCACCCCGAAGGAUCUCAUGGACACGACUAGGAGCCAAUUCAACUAGCUAUAGGCGCACGUGUAACGGUACUGAUAGACUACCUUUUACCCUCUGAGCUGUAAGCUAAAAUUGACCCACAUGCUCCUAGUCAUCACCCGGCGCGCCUCCCCGCGCGGCACGCCUUGAUCAUCCUCAUGCAUCACUUCCAGCUCCCGAUAUGCGCGGUCGUCGCCAUUUUGGUACUGGCGACCUGCACCCCCGUGCACUCCGUGUGCUCGGGCCCGACCGACCCAGGCGGCGUUCGCACCGCGAUGUUGGCAUCGCACGACGAAUAUAGCCCGCCCGCGCCCCAGUCGGGCGAGACCAAGGUCAUGGUCGAAGUCUCCGGCGAGCUCGAGCUGAUAAAGUCGGUGUCCGAGCCCACGGGUUCGAUCCAGAUGGCCAUCCAGCACACGAUGACCUGGCCCGACUCCAGGCUGGCGUUCAACACAACGACCAGAAACAACGGGUGCUUCGACCACGAGCGUGCCGUGUUCCCCUCGGCGAUGCUCUCCGAGGUCUGGCACCCCGAGUACUCGUUCUUGAACGCCAUCGGAUCCUUCGGCACCGCGUCCACGUUCUUAGUGUUCAAGAACGACGGUGAGGUCAGGGUGACGAUCCGAGAGGGCGUCACCGCGACGUGCAUCUUCGAUUUCAAGAAGAUGCCGUUCGACGAGCAGACGUGCUACGCGCGAAUGUUGCUCAACGCGCCUUCCAAGAUGGUCGCGUUCACAGCCCCGACGACCGGACAGGAGCUGUUCAAGAUCCCGACCGGCGGUUUGCUCGGCGGCACCACCGAGUGGACCGUCCUUGGCACGAACAUGACCGUGGGCGAGAGAGCUGGUGAGAGUGUUUUAUAUUCUCCGACUGUUUGCCCAUACUAACUUUGUGUUUUUUACCUUCGUAACAGGAAUGCCCCCAAUGUCGUACGUCGACUUCACGGUCCGGAUGAAGCGAAAGCCGGACUACUGGAUCGCCUUCGUGUUACUGCCGUCCAUCUUCCUGGUGGCGCUGAGCUACGGCACGUUCUGGAUCCAACGCGGAGCCAUUCCCGCGCGCGCCGCGUUCUGCUUCAUCGCCUACCUCUCAAUCAUCAACCUCACGAAAGGGGCGCUCGCGUCGUUGCCGAAACUGAGCGCCUCGGACGCGUGGAUGCUCGGCGUGCUGAGCAAGAGCCAGUACUUCUGCGCGUACACCGUGCUGGGCGUCGUCGUCGCCAACUACCUGCUCCACGUCGAGACUCGCGUCGACGCCGCGCUUAAGGACGCGAGGGAUAAAGAAGACGCGUCGCUCGGGGAGAAGAUCAGCGACAUGAGGGGGUUCGUCCGCGGCAAGGCUGGGAGGUUCGCGGGGAUGCUCGUGGGGAAGGACGGGAAGAUGAGGUUCGCCGACAGGCACGUCGACGUGUUCUCGCGAUGGUGCUUCCCCGCGGCGUACGUCGCCGCCGUCGCUCUCGUCUCAAUCGAGGCUGGCGUGUUUGCGUGAGUUGUUUAUAAGCGUUGGUUCCGCGUUGUGUGUGUACAGGUCACCGUGUGUAUGAUGACUAUCGAAGAUAUCUCAUUUGCUGGCGGCGUCGUUCACGAGCUCCGCCGCGACGAACGCCCUAAGUUCCCCGUGCUGCUAAACCUUCCAAGACGCCGUCCCAUCCGCAGUGACACUCGCAAAAAAUUCCCCGUAACCGCUCGUAACGGUGGCACUACAUUUAGGUUAAAUGAGGCCCACAAAGACAAACCGCCGCCAAACUUUGCGACCGUAUCUUGGAGCUCAUCUUGUUUGGCCGAGGGUACUUGAACCCGGUCCCGACGUUCCAGCCGCCCUUUUACGGACGCACGCCGCUCAGCGACGUCGUCGACGGAGUCCAAGCGAACUCCUCGAGGCUCUUCCGAGACGAAGACGCCUGGCGUGCUGGAGAUCCACGUGGGUUCCGCGCGUAUUUUUUGAAAGCGACUUAGGGUUGGAAGACCACUAUGCCGAAGGGAGUGAAGGGAAAGGGAGGCAAGAACCGCCGCAGGGGCAAGAACGAGGGUGACGAGAAGCGCGAGCUCAUCUUCAAGGAGGACGGCCAGGAGUACGCGCAGGUCCUGCGCAUGCUCGGGAACGGCCGUCUGGAGGCGCAGUGCAUCGACGGCGUGAAGCGCCUCUGCCACAUUCGCGGCAAGAUGCGCAAGAAGGUUUGGGUGAACACGGGCGACAUCGUCCUCCUCGGCCUCCGCGACUACCAGGACGAGAAGGCGGACGUCAUCCUCAAGUACCUCGCGGACGAGGCCCGUUCCCUUAAGGUAUUCGCCCCGUGUUUUCGGUGACAAACCCCGCGCUCCCUCUCGAGUCCGUUCCACCCCGAAUCCCCCGCUGACGCUCUCUCUCCCACCUCCCAGGCCUACGGUGAGCUUCCCGAGUCCAUCCGCGUCAACGAAACCGACACCUUCGAGGAGGAGCGCGAUGAGAACGACGACUUCUUCGACUUCGACGACGUGGACGCAAUCUAAGUUGGGGGGGCGCGGCGCCGUCGCCUUCGAGACGAGCGAAGAUGCGAAGAAUUAUAUUCCGAGUCCGGAGGCGACGCCAUUGGAAGAUGUGAAUCACGAAAUUCGUGUACAGUUUGUAAUGCGACGUCCGAUUGGGAUGUCACGACACGAACGAUCCGUCGGCACGCGCGCCGAACGCGUCCGUCUCCUCGUCACCGCCUCUUUACCGCCUCGCGCCAACUAAGACUAAUAAGUCGCCUCGCACUCUGGGAAAAAGUUUGGAUAGAAGUACGUCGCCUCCGGGCCGUCGUCCCGGCACAGGAUCCCGUGCCUCUCCGCCAUCAGCAGGUACUCCGACGCGAUCGUGGGGGGAAUGCCCAACGCCACGGACGCGGAGUACGCGUCCAUCCUUCGCAUCGCGUCGCGUGUUUCGUCGUCCGAGGGUCCGAGCGGUCGAUUGAUCAUCUCCGUGAGCGUCGCGCAAACCUCGUCGUCGCUCCUGUCCAGGCUCUGCACCACCUGCACGCCGCUCUCGAACCGCCUGAACUGCAGCGGCACCCCGAGCCGCCUCCACAGCUGGCACGCCUUGAGCAGAUCCUCCGGCGAGAUGAGCUCGGACCCGCGAGCGCGAUUGAACAGGCAGAAGACGUCGGGGAGCGCCAGGAUCCCUCCCCUCUUGGCGAGCACCUGCGGGAGCCAGUCCGCGAGCUGCCUGGCGAGCUGCUGGUGGUACAGCGCCCCCGCGGUCUCCCUCGUCACCGGCGAGGCUAUCCCCAUCGACAGCAUCAUCGCGUCCAUCUCCGUCGUCUCCGCGUCCGACGCGUCCGAGCCGCUCGAGUCCGUUCCCCGUUGUUGGCGUCGGUUGGCGACGGCGGCGAGGUGCUCGGCGAGCGUCACCAUCUCCUUGGCCUUGGCCAUGAGCGCGUUCAUGUCCGUGAACGCCUCAGUUACCGUCUCCUGCCGUUGCUUGUGCUCCUGGUGCUGCCUGUGAAGCACGCCGCCCACGCCCGCGCUGAUGGCGAACGCGGCGGGCCUCCCCGCGGCGGCGGGCGGCGGCGGCGCGGCGGGCGGCGGCGGUUGCCCGGGGGGCACUCGCGUCGCGAGGGACGACGAGGACGGCGCGCCGGUCCUCGUCGACGACGGCGGCGGCGGCUCCGCGAGCCACGUCUUUUUUACCAGCGCGUCGGCGACGGCCGCGGUGAAGGCGUCUGGGUUCUCGCCCCUGAACGCGAGCACGAGCGCGCCCCCCGCGUCGUUCGGUCCGACGAUCCCCCUCCGCAGCGCCAACCUCAGCCGUCUGGUGCGCGACCCGAACAUCUUCAGCGGCACCGGCGCCGCCUCGAUGACCCGCGAGAGGUGUACGCUGCAGCUCAGUCCCUCCGUUCCGGGCGCCCUCGCCUGAUCGAGCCAUAUCAGCCUGUGCGAGGUGACGAGGGCGACUCCCGCGACGUACUUGUCAGCCUCUCUGCCCUGCAGCCCGCCGCGCAUGUUCCCCGCGCGCUUGUCGCCGAACUCGACGUCAACGCGCUCGAUCAUCCGCAGCUCGAGCUCCUCCGGCGCCAGCACCGGCCGACCGCUCGGCGUGAGCGCCACGCCCUCGACCAGGAGCGACAUCGCGACACCGCCGCGGCGCCCCGAAUGGCGCCCCGAAAAGCAGUGGGCACACUCCCGUCACGCGAUCGUCACGCGGAAAAAAGGCGCGCAAAGCGACGUUUGAACCGUCAGAGUCGAAGGCGCGAUGGCGGACCGCGUGCGUCGGGUCUCGUUCCUGGUGGACCUCGGCGCGGGUACCGCCGAGGAGAGGGCGCAGGUGCGGCUGGUGCUGUCGCGAGUUCUGACGCACCUGUCGCGGCAGAGCCCCGCGCCCCCGCGAUGGUCCUUUCGCUUCUACGACUCGUCCCUCACCCCGCAGCGGUUCGACGCGAGGAUGCACGCGCGCGCCAAGGCGUCUUCCGCGGUGGACCCGAAGCUCGGCGCGGCCGCGUCGCUGCGUCGAGACGAGUUCCACGCGUGCACCCCCGACGCGAUCGCCGCGGUCCUGCGCCAGUACGAUCAAGCCGUCGACCUCUACAACGCCGCCGACGCGGAGGGUGCCAAUCACGUGGGCACCCCGCCCGAGCACCCCGGAGAUCUGGUCGACGGCCCCGACUCCGCCGAGCGCACCGGCUGGUUCACCACGCUCGCGAGGCAGAUGGCCGGGGUGAUCCAACGCGCCGCGGGGGAGCUCGCGGGAAUGACCGGCGACGGCGACGGCGGCGGAUCGGAGAGACAGCACAGCGCGGUGGUCAUCCUCGCCAGGGUGCGCGGCGACGCCCCCGCGCCAUCAAACGACGAGAACGACCCGAGCGCUCAACCGCCCCGGACGGGAACCGAGGUUGACUUCCUCCGGCCCUUCAAGGGCAUCGAGGACGCGUACAGGAAGGAGAACACCAGGGCGUACCUCCUCCGACUGGGCGAGCGGGACACGCGCGCGGCGACGGCGGAGACCACGCGCAGGGCGUCGGAGCUCUUCGCCAGGUUCGGGGGAUCGUCCGCGCCCGUCGCCGCCGUCUCCCACGCGGCAGCUCCGCGCGGCUGCCUGCCCCCGGGGCUCCUCAUGUCCGCGUUCGCGCGGGUUAGGCUUCAUCCGGACGACGCGGCGACGCCCUCCCUACACCCGCAAACACCUCUUUCUUUGGGCGUAGGUUCGACCUUAAACGCGAAGGAGCUCCCCGUCUCGGAGCUCUGGGUGCGAAGAGGCUCGACGACGUCCGAGGGAAAAAGGAGCCCCGGGUCGUCGUCGUCAUCCGCCGUGCGCCUCGGUGCGAUCGCCGUCGUUCCGUGCGAUGGCUGGCCGGGCGGGCUCUCGAGGAUAAGGCGCGUCACGAUCGCGUCGCUCGCGUCCGUCGAUCAACUCGCCGCGUGUUGGGUGACGGGGAGACCCCGACCGGGCGUCGGCGGGAGCGGCGUCAUGAGGGGUUACGAGGGGGUAAGGACGUCCAUCGCGGUGGCGGCGAAGGGGUCGGCGGCGUACGCGCUCGGCGCGCUCCUCGCGAUUCGACGCGCGGGGGCGAUCGUCGAGCUGGAGGUGGAGUGCGAUCGCGAGGAGGAGAGGGCCGCGGCUAACCGGAUCGAGGAGGAGGAGGAGGAGGAGGAGGAGGAGGAGGAGGAGGCGUUGGCGACGCAGGAGACCGACGCGACGACGGCGGCUGGCGGCGGCGGCGGAAGGAGAGGUGUUCGAAACGCUCGGCCAGGGAGCGUUCACCUCGCCGCGCUGCAGCCGCUCUCGCCCGGGACGAUGUCGCUCGUCCCCGUCGCGCCGGCGGCGGACGCGCCGAACACCCCGGGCCGGGACGCCGACGCGGCGGCAUCCGACGUGGCAUCCGACGUGGCAUACAACGACGCCGACGUGGACGCGCUAACGUCCGCGCUCGCGGCGGCGUGCGGCGACGACGGUUGGGGCGCGCUCGAGCCGUUCUUUCCGGAUCUUUCCGGAGAGGACGCGGCGGCGCGAGGAGCCUCGGGGUCCGCUUCGGAGCAAAAAGGAAAUUUGGCCAGGAUCAUCGCACACGCGUCGACUGGCGACGACGCCGACGGGAGCGGCGGCGAGGCGACGAACCGCGCGGGGCGAAAUUCCGCCCGGGGCGAUUUCGCGGCGGCGCUCGCCGCCGCCGCCGCCGCCGCGCCCGCCGGGACGCACCGAUGGGAGCGAUGGUACGGCGGCGGGCCCGUUGAACGUAAAUCGUUCGGAGACUCGCUCGCCGCGUCCAUCGCGGGGGCGCCGAACGGGGCUGGCGUGCUGAGCCCGGGCCCGCUCCGGCUACCCGGCGUCGGGUGCGACGACGGGAGAGUCGUGGACGGGCCGUCGGAGAGCGACGCGGCGCUCGACGCGAGGUUCAGGGCCAUGGUCGGCGACGGUGGAAACCCCGACGAAAAUCCCGCCGCCGGGACCGGAACCGCAGCGACGAAUCGAGCCGCGAGGGAAGGACGACGGCGCGAGGGAAAGCCUUCCACGGCGCCGACCGCGACGACACACGCCGCGUGGGUCCUAGACGACCUCCCCUCCGUCCUCGCGCGGGCGCGGUCGGAGUACGACGCGUUGUUUGAGCGUUAUUUCGCCGUGUCAGACGCGGACGCGCCCGACCCCGAUUUCGCCAAACUUUCGAAAACUUUGGCUGGCGACGCCGUCGGCUCGGCGCGUGUGCACCUCCCUGCAGGACAAAACUGCCUCGACGACGCCGUGGACGCCGUGGAAGGGGCGCUCGUGAUGUCACAGGCGCAGCUGGAGGCGAGGCACGUCACGGGGGGAUGCAAGGGCGCGAAGCGACGCGAGCACGCGUUUCAGGCGCACCUCUCGCUCUCGCUUCACUCGCUCCGAUCCGCAAACUCGAAGUCGGACAAGAGGCGGACGAAGAAGGCGGCGAAGCACCUCGCCAAGGUGGUAAAUCCGCUCAGCUUCCUGUUACAUCCCGUGGGGAUACAGGCGCUGCACGCCUUCGUCUUAGACGAGCUCGUGCCGAGGUACGACGAGUCCGUUCCGAGGUUGAUGGAGGCGCUUCGAGCCAACCUGGGCGUGGGCGCCGUCGUCGAGAGAACCGGGAGAGACGGCGAUUCCAACGCGGAUUCCAACGCGAAAACCGCCAAAACUUCCGGAAGGAGGGCCGGAAAGGCGGUCAACGCCGGCGUGUUCUCGCCCGGGGUGGUCGCCGGGAGGAAGACCGCGGGCGGCGGCGGCGGCUCGGACGAGUACGGCGGGGAAUCCGGGGAGUCCUCGGAGGCUCCGGGCUCCUCGCGGCGAGACGCGCCGGGUGGUGCCGGCAAGCCCGACCGGGAAGCCCAAGCCGGUUCGUUCAAGAUGCCGAAUCCCAAGACGGGGGUCAAGUGGCACAACCUGUUCCGCAGCCGCGCGGGCCCCGCGAAGCGCGAGGUGCGGAUGGCGCCCGUGAAGUCCGCCGAGGAGCUCCGAAAAGCGCAGGACGAGGAGGCGGCGGCGCGACGAGAGAAGGAGAAGCGCGCGCUGUUUCUGCGCGAACAGCGGCAACGGCAGCAGCCGGCGCAGCGCGAGAAGUUGCUCAUGGUUCCGCCCGGGUUUCAGCCCACGCCGGACGCGGGUAACCGCAAGGUGAUGCAGAUGCCCGCGCCCAGGAACCUUGCGCUCGCCGCGUUUGGCGCCGGACCGGGAUCACAGACGGCGAUGACACCGGGGCGGCAGGCGGCGAUUGCCGCCAUGCAAACCCCUCUGCCGAACCGGAACCGCCGCGAGUCGGUCUCGAUGACCCCGGGACCCCGGGGCGGGCGGUUGAGCGAGAUCAUGAGCACGCCGAUGGCGAUGAGCACGCCGCGUUCCUCCGGGGGACGGGGCACCGCGCCGCCUGGGAGCAGGGGCGCCGCGAUGCUGCAGCAGGCGAUGUGCACGCCGGCGAGAGAGACUGUUGUAGCGGAGACUCCCGCGGGAUCUCGCGGGAUGGUCGUCGCCGCGACGCCUCUUCACAGUCGCGACGGCGGAGGCGUUGGGGCGCAGCAGCAGCAGCGGGUGGGCGCGCGGAAGGGUAUGUUGGGUUUCGGCGCGAUGGUUCGCGAGGCGAGGGAGGCUGAGGAGGAGCAGGCGCCUUCGAAACGCGCGAAGAAGAUGUUCACCUUUGGCGGGCGCGGCGACUGAUGUUGGCAGUUAUUAGACACCGAUGGACGUAGAAUUAGAAGAGCGUCGGGGGAUGGAAUCACGGGUGCCACGUGCGAGUCCUGAACCCCGCGCCGAGCGCCUCCGCCAGCUUUCUCGCCGCCGCCACGUCCACCCCGGGCCGCUCGACGACGGUGGCCUCCACCUCCACCCCGGCUUCUGCCAGCGACGCGAUGAACCCGCACACGGUGGCGUGGUCGCCGCUCUCCGGUCGCAUGAGCUCGGCGUACUGCGUGGGAUCCGCGGUGGCGAGGGCUACGGUGGCCUUACCGAUCCCGGCGUCCGCCAGCGCCACCGCGGCGGACGGCGGAAAGAGCCCGUUCGUGCUCACUCUGAAGGGCACGCCGUGUCUGGAUUCGUGAACCUGCUCUAUGGUUUCGCGUAUCUGGUCCAUACGGAGAAGGGGUUCGCCCAUCCCCGCGAAGACCACCCCGGGGUCGUUCUCCCCCAUGCCGACGAUCUCCAGCUUCUCGUAGAAGAGAUCGACGACGUCCGCGAGCUCCUCGGCCUCGGGUUCCACGCUCAGGCUGUGAGGGGGAUCGCGAUAGGGAACGAAAAAAGAUUCGGGCGGCAUGGCGAAGCCCGGGCCCCGAGUCUCAAUGAUCGUCGCGGCGUUGCUGCGGUUGGUCAUGGCGAGGUAAAGGGUACGACCGAGCACGUACGCCACUCCGGGGCGCGCGGCGGCCGCGGCCACGCUCCCCGCGUUCGCGGGGUUGAACACCAUGCGCGAGAGUUGUGUUUUCCGUUUAACAAUCUCAGCUACCUACACUUGACGCUUACGGCUUUGGGUAAAGGCUCUCUGCCGUCAUCGUCGCCGUGCUCGUCGCCCUCGGCCCCGACCCGCCGAAGAACACCAGCGCGAACAUGUACAGAUGCAACACGCACGUGUACGCCACCGCCGCCGCCCGUGCGCCCCCGUGCCUGCUCACCGCGCGGAGACCCUCCAGCGCGAGCGCGUCAACCGCCCCCGCCAAGUUGGACACCCGCCGAGCGCGGUCGCCCCCGCCCAACGCCUUCGCGGCGAUGUCGUACGCGAGCUGCUUGGGCGCGUACCGUCCAGUCUCGGCGAGACCCGCGAUGAGAACGUCGUCGUCGUCGUCGUCGUCUACGCCCGCCGACCCGUACCGGUACCCGGCGGCGGCGGACUCCACCGCGCCCGCCUCCUCAUCCGCGAAGCGUCCGUUAUUUUCGUCGGCGUUUCGUCGCGCCGUCUCCAGGCGGAACACGAGCGCGCUGCGCGACGCCGCGAGCGCCUCCGCGCGGGUCUGCUCGGCGAUGAGCGCCUCCGUCGCGGUCCUGAACGCGACGUCGAGGCGGAGCUGGUCGGUCGCAUCCUCCGCGGAAACGUCCGGAACCCCCGAGGAGGAAACGUCGGCGGAAGACGCUAUUCGACCCGCCGCCGCGUCGUUGGCGUCGCGAAGCCGGCGGAGGGAUUCCUGCAGCGCCGCCGCCUCCGCCUCGGCGUCCGACGCGCCGGUUCCCGUCCCCGCACCGCCCGUUACGUUCGACCGUUUCUUUCUCUCGGCGAGAACCCCCUCCGCGCGUUCCCUGCGCCGGUUCGCCGCGACGAUCCGCCGGCGAAGUUCCCGCGCGUUUCGAUCCAAUCGUUCAAACUCGUCCGCCGCGUCGUCCCUCCUCGCGGUGACCUCCGCCAGGCGUCGCUGCUCCGUCGCGAGUGCCCUCGCGCGCGUCCCGCCCUCCUGUGCCACCUCCGCGACGCGCUCCUCCGCGUCCUCCCGCGUCAGCUUGUGCGCGACGCGCUCAUCCUCCAACGCCGCCGCCGCCUUCGCCGCCCUCGCCGCUAACGCCUCCAGCGCGCGCGCCGAGGACGCGGCGCGCUGCUCGCGCGCGGCGAUCGCGCGAUCGGCGCGGUCCUCCGCGUCUCGCGUCUCCUCGGCACGUCGCGUUCGAAGCGCCCUGGCGUGCGCGAGCAGCGCGACUCGCUUGACCCGUCGCUCGAGCUCCGCAUCCGCAUCCGCCCUCUCUCGCGCGGCGGCGAACGCGGGUGUUCCCUCGUUCACGCGUUGGUUCGUCGUCCGUCGUGACGCGGGAGGUUCCGGUUCCGGUCGUUUCGAGUCCCCGGCGGUAUCUUUCGCGGUAUCUUCGGCGGGGUCCGGCGGGUGUGUCGCGGGCGGCGGCGCCGGGGCGGAUGGGUCGGACUCGGCUCGCGGGAUCCGCUCGGCGGGUCCGGUUCGAGUCCCUUCCGUCGGGGGUUCCGGAACGAGUCCCGCGACGAUUCCCUUGGCGUUCGCCGCCGCCGCCUCGCGCGCCAGUCUCCUCUCCCUCAGCAGCUCCAGCUGCGUCUUCUUCUUUGUGGGCUCAGCGGACGCGGGCGUUGGGGCGGUCGGAGGUUGGACGAUUUGUGGGACGAUUUCUGGGUCGGCGUCGACUCGACCCGCGUCGUCCCCGACCGUCCCGGUCGGCGCAUCGCUCGAGGCUUUCGACUCGGCGGGAACCGACGGUGCGACCUCGAUCGCGUUCGCGCCUCCGGCGCCCGAAGCUUCCCCUCGAGGCCUCGGUACCUGCCGCCGCGGCUGCUGCGGAUCGCCCCCCGCGCCAAGCCCGAGCUCGCUCGCCUUCUCCGCGAUCUGCGCUUUGGUCUCCUCGAGCCGAUCUUUGGCCUUCUCCAGCGCGGGCGCCGCGGCGGAGUCGACCUUAUUGAGCGCCUCGGUGAGCCUGGCCUCGGCCUUGGCCGCCGCCUGGGCCAGCCACGACAUGCCCGCCGCUCGAGACAGUGCCCUCUGAUGAGAAAUUUCGGGACCUGACUUGGCAAAUCCGCGUCACCAACGGGCACUAAACGGGGUCACCGAAAGGACGCGGGGCGCGCGCGCGACGUUCGCCACCGAGAUGACGCGGCAUUCCGCGUCGUCGUAGGACACCUCAGAGGCGAUAUACGCGUGAGGGACACCCGGGAUGGGCAGAGGGGGCAACCGCUCGCGCUACGCCGCGGGUGGGGGCGACUCGGACUCCGACAUGGAGCCCACGACCCCCAGCAAGAAGGCGGCGAGCAAGAGCCCCUUCGCCUCCCUCUCCGCCAUCGCGAGCCGCACGCUGCGAUGGCGAACGCGCGCGGCCAAGGACGACAGCUCGGACUCCGAUUCCGACGACGACGUCGUCGACAAGCGCACCGGCGAGAUCAAGACCAAGGAGGACCUCGCGCGCGAAAGGGGCGAGUACGUUCCACCGAGCGUCGAAGAGGCACUCGAGCACCGGGACGAGGAGCACCCGAGGAUACAGGGCGCGCGGGGUCUGGAGCCCUACCCGCUCAAGAUCGGCAUCGGCGACAUGGGAGUCGAGUUCGGACCCGGCAUCGCGCUGUACUUCAACUUUCUACAGUGGAUGUCCGCCAUGUUCUUCAUCCUCUUCCUCCUCAACAUGCCCACCAUCAUGAUUGCGCACGCCGCCAAGUACUUCGGGCCGUACUCGGCCGCGAGGAACAGCACGGGAUUCCAGCAGAUGUGGGAGGCGGAGUACGACAUGGCUUCCACGACGUUCGGGAGCAUCGCGCCGGACGACGUCGAGGAGGGCGACUGGCUGAGAUACUCCAACCCGGACCUCGGCUUGGAGCUGUCGCUGACCAAGACGGAUUUCCUCUACGGCGCCGCCGCCGCGGACAUUCUCGGUUGCGUGCUGUUCCUCGUCAUGUGCGCGUUCUUCAGCCGGCGGCAGAGACAGAUCGUGCGAGCUGUGGACGAGGACUCGAUCGAGAUCACCGACUACAGCGUCAUGAUCAAGGGUCUGCCCGAGGACGCGACUGACAAGGAGGAGGUUCGGUGUUUUUUCGAGCUCAAAUUCGGGAAGGUGGUGGACGCCGUGCUCGCGAAGAACGACGGGGUGCUUCUUUACUACUACAAGAAGAGGAGCGCGCUGGCGAUGCAGCACGACGUGGCAAAGAGCAAGUACAUCAAGACCGGGAAAGGGGAGAAGACCAUCGAUAAGCUGGAGGACAAGAUUGCCGUGGUUGACGACAAGAUCAUCAAGCUCAAGAUGAAGAAAAACUUCAAGACCAAGCUCGCGUUCGUAACCUUCUCCGACGAGGAAUCGUGGGUGGAAUGUCUCAGGGCGUCGCCCAGAAGCUGGCUCGGCCGUUGGCUGAUGCGAUCCGAGGCGCGGUUCCGAGGUAAAUUCGCGUACCAGGUGGAGGAGGCACCCGCGCCGACGGAUGUCAUGUUUGAAAAUUUGGACGUCCCCGAGCGGAGCAGGUACUGGCGGCGGAAGGUCAUCUCGCUCGUCACCUUCGUCCUCCUCCUCGCCUCCUUCGGCGCAAUCACGGUGCUCUCGGGGGUUAAAAACGAGCUCAGCGCCAACACCGCGAUGGACGACGCCAAGCUGGCGUUACAAAUCGGCGGACCGGGCGGGGGUCAAUUCGCCACCCCGGAGAGCGUCGCGCUCGGCGGCGUCGACCCUUCGCUCGUCACCCUUCGCCCCGAUUUCAACGCGACGAGCGACUUUCGUGACGUGUGUAAACCCGAGCUGUCGUCGUGCGAGGUGACGUACUCCGAGCCCGGGCUGCUCGCGAUCAUGCCGUGGGGCACGGCGCUGUCGGUGGUUCCGCUGGCGAACACGAUGAGCCAGACGGAGAAGGACGUCAAGGUGAAGACCAUCGUGAAGGAGAUGACCGACUGCGGGGUGUCGCUGGAAGGGUGCUCGCCGGCGAGGGUCGACGCGGGGGUGAGGGAACGGCGCAGGUGCCACGCGUGUUACUGCGCCGGGCGCCAGUACGCGCUCAAGACGACCACCACAGAAAGGUGGAAGGCGGGCGACCCGGCUAUUCAAUACGCGUCGGAUCUGGAAAUCGCGACCCUCCGCGAGCAGUGCAACGAUUUCCUCGCCGCGCCGUCCUCGCUGGAGUCUCUUCUCGUGGGCGUCGCCGUCGGCGCCGUGGCCAUCGUGAACUCCGUGUUGAAGACGGUGGUCAAGUCCAUCUCCUCGUACGAGAGACCCGCGAGUUUCAUCGAGCAACAGCGGAAGGUGGCGGAGAAGGUUUUCGUCGCGCAGUUUUUCAACACGGCGAUCGUGUCGCUCGCGAUCAACGCCGCGCUGCCGGAGCUGCUGGAGGGGAUACCCAUCGUGUCGAAGCUCAUCCUGAACGGAACGCAUCGCGAUUUCGACUACCUCUGGUACAAGAAGAUCGGCGGUCCGCUGCUGUUCACCAUGUGCAUCAACACCGUCGGGCCAAUCGGCGGGAACAUCGCGGCUGAGGUCACCGGGUUCAUCAACAGGUGCACCGGCAAGUACACCAAGUGGACGCAGCGCGAGCUCAACGAGGCGUUCACCGGGCCGGAGUUCGACAUCGCCACGAGGUACGGAGAGGUUCUCAUGUGCAUCAUGGUGACGAUGAUGUACGGAAGCGGCAUGCCUCUGCUUUACGCGUUUGCAUCGUUUUUCUGCCUCGCCAUCGGCUUCUUCGACAAGAGGUUCCUCCUGAGGGUGUGCCGGCGCCCCCCGAGGUACGGCACCGCGUUGGCGAUGCUCGCGCUCGCCGUCGCGCCGUGGGCGGCGUUCGUGCACCUUCUCUUUGGCAUGUGGAUGCACACGCACUUUCUAACGCCGCUCAUCACGGAAACGGCGGGGGUCGGCGACGAGUACGCAGACGCCGCGUUGUCCGCUACGGGCGGCGGGGCUGCAAACGCCACGGAUAGCGCUUUCAGCGGCCUGCUCUCCUCGGGCGCGACGCUCCAGGACUUGUUGGACAUCGCGAACAACGCGAGUGCGGCGGCGCAGGAUGCGGCGGCGACAGAGUACCCACCGAUUCUGAGCGAGAUUUCAAGGCGAACGAUGCAGACAAACGGGUUCCCGUUUUUCCUGCUGGCGAUCCUCUUCAUCGUGGUGAACGUCGUCGUGAACGUGGUGUCGCAGUUCUGGAAAGCGAUCACCACGUUCUUACCGUGCAUCAACGCGUUGCCGUGCUUCAGGGAGGAGGCGGACUACGAGGGCGUGCCCACCUUUGAGGAUGCCUUCAUGAUGGACAAACUCAUCGGUGCGCACACGUACGAGAUGCGGGAGAUGCCGAUGUACAAGAAGUUCUUCUUCGAGGGCAAGGGUGGAUUCAAGGAGAGGGCCGCGGGAGAUCAGGCUGAUCCUGACACGCCCUUCAAAAAGGGCGAGGAUCCGUACAACGUGGAAGUUGACGAUGACACCGACGACGAGGACACCAUGGCGGAUAUCGCGGCGAUGCUGGGCAAGCCGGCUGAACCGGCAGCCGCGAACGGCGGGGUCGGCGCGGCAGGAGGAGGAGGCGGCGGUCUCGGCGGCGGUCCCGGCGGCGGUCUCGGCGGCGGUCUCGGCGGCGGUCUCGGCGACGGAUUAGGCGGGGGUCUCGGUGGGGGUCUCGGCGGGGGCCUGGGCGGGGGCCUGGGCGGGGGCCUGGGCGGCGGGCCCAGGGGCGGCGGCCCGGGGAUGGCCCCGCCGGCGCCUCCGGGCGGAUGGGGCAGGCCGGUUUCCGCGCCGGCGGGGACGGGUCCGCCGUCCAGGGUCGGUCCGCCGGGGGGCAGGGUAGGACCUCCCGGGGGUAGGGUCGGUCCGCCGGGCGGGGCUCCCGCGCGCUUCGGUCCCUCGCGCGUCGGCCCGGGAAGACAGUAGCGUACCAUCGGAUAGAGCCGGUUAGGAUGAAAAUAUUAGUCGUGUUACAGUUAUGGUCGAACGACGCUAUCCGCGCAGCCGCACGUCUGCCGAGGAGCUCCUUUUCGGACCUGAGAAGUCUUAAAUCAUCGGGAACCCGCCUUCAAAUGGUUGCUACACCCUGAAUGCGGCGAGGUUCCGUCACUGGACGUCUACUCCUUGGCGACUCGCUGCGCCCGCGAGGUUUUCAAUUUCGCGGAAGACUACGUCACCGGCUCGGAAGCCGAGGCCCGAGCUCGCGCGCCGGUUGGCGGACGAGCUGACGGUCACGUGCGAUGAACCCAACGCACGUCGCCUCGUCUCCCGCGCGAAGUUGCCGGGUUUUUACUUGGCCUUCACCGGGAACUUAGCAGGCUGCGACUUCUUCGCAGCCUUGCUCGCGGGCUUGGCCGUGGGCUUGGCGUCGUCGCGGCUAAGCUUGAUGCCGGACCACACGCCGGUGCCCUGCAUGGAAUCGGUGGCGCCCACCGCGUACCGCGCUCCGUCGAACGCGGUCUUCAUGGUUCAGAAAAUAGGCAUGGUUUGAGUUGAGGGUGUGUGCAACGACGAGGGCCGCGCGCGCGUUUGUGCCGGCUCCUCGAGGGCCACACUUACGUGGCGAUAUCUGGGCUCGACGUUGAACGAGAGCCUCAGGAUUUAGCUCAUAUGGAUACGCAGUCAGAAAAGUAGAAUUAGAUGAAAUAGCUUGAAUGUGCGAUGGUAUCAAUACCAUUUCAUUCGUCUUUGAAACAUAUUUAGCGUUAACUUAGGAUUUCAACAACCUCGAGGGCCGCUCGCGCGCCCUCCCCCCACCACCGCACCACGGCCCGUCGCGCCCGCUCACAGCACCUGCACGAGCUCAACGUCGAACUUGAGCGUCGCGUCCGGUGGAAUCAGGCCGCCGCCCGCGCCCCUGCUGCCGUACGCCAGGUUGGCGGGAAUGGUGAGCACGCGCUUGCCCCCCACCUUCAUCGGGGGCACUCCCUCGCCUCCGAGGAUGCCCUCGUCCCAGCCCGCGAUGACCUCCCUGACGCCAACCUUGAACGUGAGCGGGGAGCCGCGCGAGUAGGAGCUGUCGAACACGCGCCCGUCGAGGAGCCUGCCGGUGUAGUGCGCCUUGAUCAGCGACCCCUUCGACGGGGUGAUCCCGGAGCCGACGACGGACUCGCAGAACUGGAGGCCGGACGCGCCGGUCGUGACCUCGCCGGUGCACUCAAACUCGGGGAGACCGCGCGCGAGCGCGGGGGCUGCCUGGGAGAGCGCCGCGGCGGCGAGCACUGCGGCGGCGACAGCCUCGCGGCGCCCCGAGGAAACCUUCUUCUCGUCGGACCCCGCGGACGCGCGCGCGGGAGCCGCGGCGCGGCGGGAAGAGGACCCAGCGCGGCGGGAGGAGGACACGACGGGGCUCGCGGCGAUGCGGAAUGAGGCGGAGAGGGCGGACAUUGUUCUUGCACGUGUCGUGUGGGGACGCGCUUGCGUUGUGAACUGGACAAUCGGGGGCAUCUGCCACGUCAUGAAUUUUGGAUAACUUUUGAGGAUCGUCGGCAAAACGUCUCAAGUUUGGCACCCACGCGCAGAAGACAGAGGGAGCUCGUGGGCGAGGGAUCGCGACUAGUCAAUAAUCAACUCGCAACGUCGCAAUGUAGACUAAUGAUAAACCUACAAGUGGCCGAUCUUAUCGCCCUUCAUCAGAUCUGCCCAACGGCGUUCAUAUCCGAGGAAGAGUUCAGCGGCAGAGCGUCAAAGUACUUGAACUCUCCGUCGGCCAUCUUGUACCUAGACCUCUCCGCCAGCGUCUUCGUCCCGCCCCUGUUCUUCUUUCCCGCAGCCUUGUACGACACCUCGUACGUCACGAACGUCUCCCCGUCGCCCUCUUUGGUUCCCUUCACCCGAAGAGACGUAAACUGAACUUUCUUCAUCGUGGCGUCGGCAUCUUUCUCUAGCUGUGCCCUCGCCUCCGCCGGGUCGUCCUUGCGCUUCAUGUCCUUGGAGUCCGGAUGCGUGGAUGCAACGAUGUAUUUGGGCACGUUCUUGACGUAGGCGCUGAACCGUGCGCGGACGAUGGCCUCGGGGGUGAUUGAGUCGGCGGGCGCGGCGCCGUCGUGAUGGGGUCCACAGCAGACGGAGUAGUCCUUUCCGCUGCCGCACGGGCACCGCGGGUCGACCUUCGCGUCGCCCGCGGAAUCUGUGCCGUCAUCCAUGAGCUCCGCGAGCAUGCCCUUGCGACCCAUGCACACGGAGACGUCGCGGUGACGGCCGUGAGCAGAAACGAGGGUCACAGCACCGCUUCGGGGUUCUAGGGAUUUGGCUCCCGAAAACACGCCACGCGCGGGUUGGGUCGCGCGAGAGGCGACCGAGCCGCGAGCUGGGACGACAAAAGUGCGACAGAUUGCGCUCGACAUGAUGCCUUUGAUUGGGACGCGAUUGGAUACGAGGUCGCGGGCGGGACCGCGCGACGGGUUGUGACGGGCGAGCGACCCUCGGAGCAGGAGCCGUCGCUCAACGUGCUGUGAGAUAAAAAUCUCGGACAGGCUACUGCUGACUCGGCAGUAAAUUGUUAACAUGGGUUGACGCCCUGGGUAGACGCGCCCGGCACAAAACGACGCGCAAUGGCGGACUGGUUCGUGGCGCAGUUCCUUGAUGAAUGGGAAGUCCAUAGGGGUACCUCCUCUGACGUUCUGAAGUACAACAAGCGGUGCUUGGAGUCCGACUUUCACGACUCCGUCACAGCUAAGCUUCAGUGCCGUGGUCCAGCGUGGCCGGGCGACACACCAUGCCGGGUCGCCGACAGGCUGAUGAACCAGUUUCACAACGAAUUCAUCCGCAUUCGCUCCUACGUGGAGUUGGGCGACGCGCGCAAACUGGUGACGGAUCAGGACAGGCUGGCGCAUUUCCUGCUGAGGUCCAGGGAGCUCGUCGCGAUGGAGGCGGGGGCCUGCAACUUUCGACGACUGGAAACUAUCAAAAACCCGUUCCUCUCACCUGGCCAGUGCAGGGAGUGUGUUCGAAAGGACGACCUCGGGAUGCUGAAGAUGCGAGAUGUGGAGGUGAUCGAGUCGAGGCGGAUGCAGCUCAUGGGCGCGCUUCAGGGGCUGCGCAUGAAGGACGGGAAAAGCGUGGAGGAGACAGUUGCGGAAAUAAUCUGCGGCAGACUCGAGAAGAAGACAAAGUUGGUCAGAGAGUAGAGUGGAGGAUGUAACAUUCAUCGCGUGACACGAAGACGCCUAAAAGUCGGGAAACAUGUCGCCGUACAUCGGGCACUCGCGCGACGGAGGUGGCACGAGCUCCUGGUCCCUCGGGGUGAUACGGAGCGCCUCCUUUGAACCGCCGGCAGCAUCCGGCGUGAACGGCGGAGGAUACUCCAUUCGAGCCAACGCUAUCCAAUCCAAAUCUCGGAACCACGCGGACGUUUUGACCCCACCCGCGCCGUCCCUGAGCACACCCAGUCUCUUGUGCUGGUUCUUUUGGAGUAAGCCCUCGACGAGCGCCCGGAGCUCAGGGGAGAACCUUUUGGCCGCGCCAUCGAAGGACACCGGCUCGUUUAGGAUCUUUUUGCGAAUGUCGCCCUGCGUCUCCCCAUGGAAAGGAAGCGUGCCGUUCGACGCGAGUUCGUAGGCCAGACAUCCCAGCGCCCACCAGUCAACCGCCUUAUCGUGACCGCCGUGCCCCCAAAUCUCCGGCGCGAGGUACAGUGGGGUACCGCAGAACGUGAAGGUUCGUUCACCCGGCGCCAGGAAUUUGGACAGGCCAAAGUCCACCAGUCGCAGGUACCCGUCGUUGGCCAGCAUGAGGUUCUCCGGUUUGACGUCCCUGUACGACACUUGCCUCUCGUGCAUGUAUUCGAGCAUCAAAACCACCUGCGCUACGUAGAACGCGGCGCCUCGCUCGGAGAACUCGAAGUUUUGCAUGCACCAGUAAAGCUCCAAGCCCGGGAUUAAGUCCAGCACGUAGUAAACGUGGUCGGCGGCUUUGAAACAGGCGUGAAGCCGGGUGAUGAAAGGGUGAUCCAGCGCCAUCAUCACGUCCCUCUCGUUCCGCACGUUAUGAACCACGUUGUUCUUGACCAUCUGCUCUAUGGGAACAACCUUGAGCGCGUAUGACCGUCGAACCUUCGCGCCGUUGGUCCCGAUUAAUACCCGCGCCGUGACGUGGAAAACCCGACUGAACCCGCCCGAGCCGAGCGUCGCGAUGAGUUUCAGCGAAGGAGGCACGACCCUGUCUUUGGGUCUCACGCGCGCGGGUGACGUCUUCGAGUGAGACGCGCCGGCGCCGUUGGGCAGACCGCGACCGUUAUAACCGUUAUAACCGUUAUAACCGUCGGAUCGAGCCGAGUCCGGAGCGGCGGCGGUUUCGGUUUCGUCGCCGGAGAGGGUCGAGAUCGCGCGCCGCAGUCGACCCGACGCCGCCGCCGGGGGCACGAGCAGCACGGACUGGGUGAGCGCGGCGACUUUGGCGUCGAUCGCCCAUCCGGGUUCCGCCCACUCCUCCCCCAGCAGCGUCCUCGCGACCGCGGCUUUUGAGGGUAGAUAUACUCCCCCGCUCUUGACCACCUGCCUUCGCGUCAGAUUUUUGUCGCCCUUGCGGACGCGGGUGACGGAGACGACCGUCCCGGAGACCAGCACGCCCACGAACACGCCCGCGGGCGCUUCGUCCCCGUCCGCGAGCACCUCCCCGGCUUUGCAGCACCGUAUCUCGAGCUCAUCGGCGAGCGCGGCUGUCGCGUUUUCGCCCUCAGCCGACGACGGAUCCGUUCCGUUUGCGGCUAAACACUUUUCGACGGCGGUUCUCUUCCACGCCCGCUGAACCUCGCCGAGUGACCCGACGGUCCUCGCGAUGGCGUCCCUCGAGAGCGUCACCGCGGACGCCAGCCCCUCCGCGCGAACCCCCAACCCCCUCGGCUCGUUCGUCAGCAGGGAAGAUUCUCCAAAGUAUUCGCCGCGGGUCCAUUUUUUCUUCCCCGCCGCCCGCGCCAUUUCGUCGCCCCCGCGAAGGAGGCUGCCGUGCGCCGCCAGGGCGCGCCUCUCGCCGACGCCAACGCCGGCGCCAAACUCCUCGAACGUCCCCUCGUCCACGAUGAACAGACACUCCGGGGGCAUGCCCGCGCGGAUGACCUCGUCCCCGUCGCUAAACUUUACGAGCCGCGUCGCCUCCGCGAGGGCGGCUAUCUGCUUAACGUCCAGGUGCGCGAAGAGCGGGACGUUCGCGAUGUCUGCGCCGUGAAGCGCAGCCUUGAUCGAGGGACCCGCGAUCGCGGUGAACGCGUCGCGGGUUAUCGCGAGCAGAACGCAGUCCGUCGCCGCGAUCGCGUCCGCGGUUCUUCGCCCGUCGUCGUUCAGCAGCGCCACCUCGCCGAAAACGUCCUUCACACCGAAGCGCCUCACUUCCUCGCCCCCCGCGGCGUGCACCGAUACGAUCCCAACCUCCACCACGUACAGCGCGUCUCCCACGUCCCCUCGCACGAAUAUCGUCUCGCCGGCGCGAUACCUCUGCGGCUCCGCGGACUCCGCCACGCGUCGCAGCGUGGUCGCGUCGAGCGCCCUCAGCGUGGGCGACGCCGACACCAAAUCGAGCCUUCGCCUGGCGUCGGCGUCAGCCUGCGCGGCUCGUACGAGGUCGUAUCGCUCGCGCUUGAGCUCGAACGCUCUGCAUUUACUCGUACCCGCGGCUCGUACCGUAGCGGUGCGCUCGGUGUUGUACAUGAGGCUCACCUCUCCGAAGGGAUCGCCCGGCACGAGCGUCUUCACCGUCGAGCCGUCGACGACGACGUUGGCGGUACCCGACGCCAACACGUAGAACGCGUCGUCGUCUCUCGCGCCCUGAGUGACGAUCGCCUCUCCCGGCUCGAACGACACCUCGCGCAUGGCGUCCUCGAGCUGCGCCGCGACGGACUCGCUCACGUCGUCGAACAGCGGGCACGUUCGCAGGCCGCGGAGGAUGAGGUCACGAUCCUCCGCGGACUUUGGCGAGUGAUACGACGAGGAGCGGGCCCGCGUCGCGGCGUCCGCGCCGGGCCUCGCCGUGGCUACCGCCUUGUUCCGCAGGUGGAAGUGGUCGCGAACUUUACCCCAGAGCUUCUUCUUGGACGAGCCGCUGCGCAGGGUGACCAUUCCACGGGCGGGCUCCAACGUGGCGGCGGAGAGCUCGCGCUCCAUCUGGUCCUCAUCCGCCCACCGGAUGACGCCGGGGCUCUGUUUCGCGGCGGUGCCGUCGCGGGGUGGGAGCGGGGCCGGCGCCGGCGAGUCGCCCUCGUCGUCGCUGCGUUCAUCGUCAGGGGAAAAGUUAGUUGGAGGUGGCGGGGGCACGUUUCGUGCUAAUCGUAAACCCGCGCGGGAGAACCAGCGGCCGGGAGCGCACCUCGGGAGCAUCUUAUCGCCGGGGACCCACACAUCGGAGGCACGGACGCCCCCACUGCGCCGCCCGCACAGGCCCAUCGUGCCCGGAUACGCUGGGUGGGCGCGAGCUGCGCCGCUCGCUCUAUAGAAUAAAAAAGUUCGGCCCGGCACUUGAUAACGCCCGAAGAUGCGCCGGCGUCCCAUAUCCGGACUGCCGGACCAUAUCCUAAAACGAAAACUUCGGCCGGACAAAAAACGGCCGGUCGCAACAAAAAAGCGGCAUCUCGGAGACCAUCAGUGAAGCCACGGCGCCGGAGCACAACGACCUACGCCCCGUCGCAUAGGCCGUGACCACGAUCCGAAUCGGGCACCGAAAAGAGCUCGUGAGGAUCUAGGGAGCGCGGGUCGGAUCCAUCGAGAUCGUCCACGCAGUGUCCCUGUGGAAGGCCCGGAACCCUUGUUUUGGCCAUCGGGUGUUACAAGAGGGCGCGGAAGAAGAUUUAUUUGGCGAUUGUCGGCGGGUGAAGAGACAUGACGAGCUACGAGGACAACUUCUCCAUGGACGAGGCCACCUCGGUGUACAACGGCACCGAGGAGACGCUAGCGGGUAACUUCAUCCACAAGCCGGGCGACGGCUCCGGCGACUGGACCAUGAGCGACUCGUGGGACAUGUUCGUCAAGUGGGAGGACAACCCGCUGAUGUACCUCUUCGCCACGUUCACUCUCAUGUCCAUGCUCAUCUGGAUCGGGUUCGCGGGAGAUAAUCUGCAGCACCAUCGUUCUUACGGCUCACUUUCCUUCGCGGGCGGGGCGACGCACAAGCAACUCUGGGAGAACUCCUUCGGCGGCGGCGGAUUCGUUCUCAUGGUGUUCAGGGUGGCAGCCUUCUGCUUCUGCCUGUGGUUUUCUCUCACGCAGAUCAUCCAGCCGAACGUCGACGCCGGCAACAAGGUGACGGACUACAUGAACUUCCACGACUGGAGCUUCUAUUGUCUGACGAUCUUCUUCGGCCUCGGCGCGUUCGUGUCCGUGCGCGGAGUGUUCGGCGGUGACGGCGAGCGCGCGAGUCGGUACAUCGGCCACAGCGGCGACUGCAACCUCGUCGGCCACUGGCUCAUCACGUGGUACUCGGCGGCGUUCACCCUGUGCCUGGCGUGCGACCUGUGCGUGUGGCUCGAGAUGCUCUUCAAUCCGCAGUGCGUGGGUAACACGUACGGGUUCAAGAUGAGCACGCUCCUGGACCCCGCGAGCAGGCUGUGCUACUUUGAGUGGAACUACAUGGUUGGGUUUGUCGGGAACCUCAUCUUGCUGCUGGUGGAGUCGACCUUGGGACAGUUGCCGUUCCCCAAGUGCUACCUGUCCACCCCUCUGUUCAUCCUCGGUUUAUUCAUCACCCUGGCGUACCUGAUGCACGAGUUCCUCUUCUACCACUGGCCGUACGAGCAGCUCAACUUCUACAGGUGGCAGUGCUUCUGGUACGUCAACGGAUUCAACGGGCUGGUGUUCGGCACGCACUUCUUCCUCAACUGGUUCCUGAGCAUGGGCAGAGGCGACCUGACCAGCGAGGACGUCGGCGACGAGCACAUUCCCCUGUUCAAGGGCGACACGGCGUGAGGACGAGGAGGCGUUGGAGAAUUCGGGGGGGAGGGACCUAGAACAUACAGUAGGGAGUCUAUUAUUCAUGUAAAACACGAGAACCCGUUCUGGUUGAUUCUCACAGCGGCGAUGCGCUCGGGGUUCCUCAACGUCGAGCCUGCCCCGAAGCGCCCCAGAAGCGCUCGAGCGACCGGGGAGAUCGUCGAGGAUGAGAUCCAGCCCACCGCGGAGGAGGAGAUCCGGCCCACGCAGGCUGGUCCGGGCAGCCAGGCAGGCACGACAUCGCAAUGCCAGGGACCGCCGGGGCACGACGACGAGAACCGAACGUACAAGCACACGUGCGAGAACCCGAACAUCGCCGAGGACGAGAUUGCGCAGUGCGAGAAGUGCGGGCGGAUGGUGGGCGGCAUACCGAUCGGCCCGUUCGAGUGGGACGAGGAGUGGGCACGGGUCAAGGAGCCUCCGCACCCCGACACGCUGGGCAAGGCGAGGUUGCACGUGCCCGUCCCGUGCAUGCCGAAGCUGCUGGCGAACGAUGAGAACGUCCUCAAGGUCCUCGCGAAGUCAGCCUUCGUAGAGUACGAGGUCCAGCCCGAGGUGGAGGGUGCGGACGAACGCGACAUCAUCGUCACGGGCAAGCACCCCGGCAUCUUGCUCUUCUACGAGAACGUGUACAGGAACAUUCACAAGGAGCUCAUCGAGGUUGCGAGAAAGCCGGAGAAGAGGCACAAGAUCCUGUUGGAGCCGUACGAGAUGGUGAAGCCAAUCAUCGGGAAGAAAGGGCGGAACCAUCAGGCCAUCGUGGACAUCACCGGCGCGGUGGUGAAGAUCGUCGAGGAACCCUUACCCGGCCAGGAGUUCGAGGACCUGAGGCCCGGUAACCCCGGAAAGGUGUACGCAAUCGUGGAGGGCAAAGACGAGCACUGCAACGAGGCGCUCGCGAUUAUAUACCAGUUCCUGGCGUUCGAACCGACGCCGUCCGGGAUCAAGGCCGCGUUCGAGUUCGGCGAAUCGUUGGUGAAGCGAGUGGAGGGCGGAUACACGUGGGACAGGCCGCACUUUCACGAGACGGACGAGGAGAAGGCGGAGCGAGAGCGCCAGGGGUUCCGCAAGCCCACCGGUUUGGAGCGACAGUUUGCGGAGCAGGACCCGUUCGGCGGGUGGAGGCUGGUGAAGGCCAAGCAGAAAGAUCCGAUCGAGCCCGGGGACAGGAAGAAGGACAGGACGAUCGUGUACUUCUUCAACGCGGUCACGGGGGAGACGAGGGAUUCGAUGCCGCCGAAAUGGAAAUAUCCGUACCAGAACCAUCCAAAGCCGGAGCCCAAACGGAAGGAACCGGAGCCCUCGUCGGCGUUCCAGGAGGAGGACGGGGAGGAGAUGGAGGAGAUACUGGCAGACGACCCGAUGGAAACUUAGUAUGCGACGUGUAAAACAGCUGUAAAUCGGCUACGGCUCACUCGACACACGUGCCGCCUCACUCGCGGAGCUCGGGAAGCACGUCGAGCAGCGCGUCCACCGCCGCGGCGCCCAACUUUUCGCACCUACCCGGCGUCCACCCGUCGGGCUGCGCGAGCUGCACGUUAUCCUUGAACGGCAUCUCCAGCGUCAUGCCCACGCAGUUGUACCUGUACGUCACCUGCGUCUUGGCCGUCACGACGUUACCCGCGGGCGCCGUGCCGUACUCGAGCGGAAACGUCGUCUGAAAAUCCGGGCACGCCCUCGCGUACGCCGCCUUGAACGCCCUCUGCGUCUCAGCCCUUCGCUCGUCCCAGCCCGGGCAUCCCUCGCCGCCGAUGAUGAAGCAGUACGGCUCCGCCUCGUCGCCGUGCACGUCCAGCAUCAGGUCCACCGGCCCGGUCGCGUCCAUCGCGUUACGCGUCCAGAGAACUUCCGGAGAUAGUUCCGGGGUUGGGUUCUCCCACUCUCGGUUCAGGUUCGCCCCCGCCGCGUUGGUCCGGAGGUGUCCCCGGACGCUUCCGUCGGGGUUCAUGUUGGGAACCACGUACACCACCGCCCUGCGCAGCACCUUCCUCGCCACCGGGUCCUCAUCGUCCAGGAGUCUGCGGACGAAACCCUCCAUCCACCAGGACGCCAUGGACUCCCCCGGGUGCUGCCUCCCCAGGAUCCACACCACCCGCUUGGCGCCCCCGUCGCGCGACCACGGCGGAAGCGACCGACGCGAAGCCUCCACCGCCGCCUUAUCCUCCGGGGACUCCCCCGCGAACGCCGGCUCGGGCGUCCACGUCCCGGGCUCGCCGAACCUGAGGCAAUCCAGCGGCCGGCCGUCGAGGGUGUCGCCCAACGCGACGUGCGAGACGUUUGGAUGGGACGAGGCGGACGCGACGAGGUCGAGGUGCCGCUCGUAAUCGUACGGGACAAAGUACGCGAGGUGCACGCAGUCGCCCGGUACGGGGUCCAUGUCGAUGAUCAACUCGCCGUCGACGUACGUCGUGGUCUGGACCCUGCGCCAGUGCUUCCUGUCCGCGGACGCGAACGCCUUGUAGUCGCGCCAUCCGUCGGGGUAGGAUGCGUCUCCCGCGUUUUGGACGACGACGCGCAGCGCGCGGCCGCGCGCGCCGGUGACCCUGAAGUGGAACCACUGGAAGUGCGCCCUGCCGUCCGCCUUCGUGAAGGGUUCCUCGCGCAUGCGCACGGUGAGCGUGUGUGGCGUGGCGGAGACGAGCUCGCCGUUGCCAGAGUCGAACGACGAGCUGAAGCCGUAAGGCGCGCCAUCCGCGGUGCCGAACGACAUGGCCACGGCGCGCGGGGCGAUCGCCGACGGCGCGCGGGAGGGGGCCGGACGGAGGGUGCGGGCGGAGGAGAGCGAGCCGACGCGCGUCAGGGCGGUGCGCACGAGCGAGCCGCGGUGCAUGGAAAGCGCGGGUCGCCGCGCGCCUGUUGUGGCGGAUGGCCAAGCAACAGAACCCCUAAAAAGAUGACAACGAACUCGCAACCCUCGCAGCUUCUCGCGCGCGUCGACCGAGGUAACGACGAGCGCGCCGCGCGCGCAUGUCGGCGUCGACGAGCGUUGUCCUCUCGCGCGCCGUGCACAUCCCAUCGUCGUCCGGGUCCGUCGCGCCGCCGCCGUCCCGUCGCGGCGCCCUUCCCGCCGCGCGCGUCACCAUGGCGACGGCGUCCGCCGAGGUGGAUAAGGCCACCGCGCUCCUGGCGUGGCUCGCCGACGCCACGAACGAUCCGGGGAUCGAGUCGCGCGUCGCCCUGGGGGAGACCCGCCACGGCCGGGGCCUCGUCGCCGUCCGCAACCUCGUCCCGGGCGAGGUCAUCUUCAACGUCCCGUUCCGACUGGUGCUCUCGGAAGAUCACGACGAGGCGGACGCGUCGGACCUGCCGUGGUCCGCGCUCAUGGCCGCGCGGCUGCUCGAGGAAAGAUCGCGAGGAGGCGAACGCGGGCGGUGGAUCGAGUCCCUCCCGCACCUCGUGUCCACGCCGCCGCUGGAGUACACGGACGCCGAGCUCGCGGCGUGCGAAGACCCGAAAACAAUCGCCGAGGCUCGAGCGACGUCGGAGGGACACCUCGCCGCGUACGAGGCGCUCAAACCCCGUCUCGACGCGGUGGGAUGCGACGAACGCGACUUGCGCUGGGCCACCGGCGUGUUGCACAGCAGGUGCUUCACGCACGGCCCGAGGGGCACGCACCUCGCCGUGCCGGGAGUGGACAUGUGCAACCACGACUUCGCCGGCGCCAACGCGGAAGUCGCGGUGGUGACGAGCCCGGAGGACGUGCAGGGCGUCCGCGCGACCGCAGAGAUCGCCGACGUGGACGAGCGCGAGAAGACCGGUGGGGCACGCGGUGACGGGGAUACGAUGUUUUUCCAGCUGAGGGCCGGGGAUGACGGCGUGGAGCAGGGGGAGGAGGUGACCAUAUCGUACGGACCGUGGCCGAACGAUCCCUUCUUUCUCUACUUUGGAUUCGUCCCCGAAGGUAACCCCAACGACGCGGUGGUGCUCUUCGACGACGUCGACGACGUCGCGAUGUGUGCGGCCAGGCUGGACAUGAUGUCCAUCGCCGAGGCGGGGGAGAGGGCGGCGGCGGCGACUGUCGCGUUUGCCGAGGAGGAAAAAGACGGCGGCUCCGGCGCGCCGACUCGCAUGGUCAUCACGCGCGAGGGCAUCGACGAGGGCAUGAUGCGCGCGUGCGGCGCGAUGGGGUUCGACCAGGACACGUUCAACGCGCUGCUGGAGGGACGAUGCAGGGAGCUCCUGCGUUUGUACCCGACGAAGCUCAAGGAGGAUCGCGGGUUACUGAUGAGCGGGACGCUGACGGAGAACGAGGCUACGUCGACGCUGUACAAGAUGAGCAAGAAGGAGGUGCUGCUGGGUCCCCUCGCGGCGGCGGCGGCGAGGCAGAGCGGGGCGGCGGGGACGAUCAUUCAGGCGUGACGCGUCCCGCUCCACCGGGGUAGGCGCGUCGUGACCGGCGGCAUUGUUUUGGUACAACCCCAACGUUAUUAACUUUAUUAUAAAAACCCGGCGCGUCGCCUCGGCCGCGUACCUCUACGCCCUCUUCGCCUUUUUCGGCGCGAGCACCUUCUUGCGCUGGUUCACCAUGUACAUGUACAGCAUGGGAAAGCCCGGGACGUACCCGAGGAAGAACAUCACGACGAUGGACGGAAAGUGGAUGGAGAUGUUGUACGGGUUCGGCAUCGGGUACGAGAGCGCUCCGGUGCUCACCAGGUGGGGGAAUCCGGAGUAGGUGAGGAAGAGCUCGGACGCGACGCCGAGAGGGUAGAGCACGAUGAAGAACGUGUACCUCAUCCAUGUCACCGCGUGCGGGACGGUGCCGAGCAGCUUGAAGAAGUAGUACGAGUAACGCACAACCUCGGUGACGCCCCACGCGAAGAGCAGCGACGGGAGCCCCAGGCCGAGGUCGACCCCACCGACGUUGGCGAGAGGCAGGAACGCCGCGCGCGACGGGGGCGCGACGUAGAGGACGCCCCACACCACCAUCAACCGUGAGGACACUUGCAUCGCGGUGACCAGCACGGGGGAUCGCGCGAUGCCGAACAUCGCGUGGAGCACCUCCAUCACCGCCGCGGUCUGCGCCACCAGCAGCAUCACCUCCACGUUCUCGUACACGUGCUUGGGGCCCAGCGUUAUGCACGCCUUCGCCGCCACUGUGAGCACCAGCGCCCACCCGAAGAUGAGCGUGGCGUUGUACGCGAGCAGGUAGUUCUUCUUGAGACUCAUUCUCGAUGGAUCGGUGCGCAGACCAAGAGUGCAGCGCAGAGGACGAGGGCAAUCCAAUCCGUGUUCCACUCCGACUUGGCACAAAAAGGCGAAACCCGCUCGGCUCCCAUUUCGGCGCUCGACCGACCGCAAAGCGGCCGGACCGACGUGACGUGAAGAUAUUUUCUUGGGUUUCUCACCCUCGAUGACGUGGUUUGGACUUUCAAAAUCUCGGGGGUUCAAACUCCAGAAAACGACGGUGUGACACACUGCGAAAACACGCGGGAAUCAAGGUUAAAUAUCCCAUCCUCAACCCCGCUUUUGCCAAAAAGCGUUACCUUCCGCACACUGGAAGCCUGUUGUUAUCGCAAUGUAUUUGACGUAAAUGCGAAGAUCUCGCCUCUGCAAACCCCCGUUUCGCCAAUUAUGAAGUUGGAAGGGACACAACGGGUUGCAAAACACGUGUGCGUAUCACUGACUCCCCCAUCGCGUGAUUUAGACCCUGGAUAAACCCUGGAACGCGGCGCGAAGUAGCCGUUCCACAGUGUGUUUGCGUUUCGCGGUCUUUCGUUUUUGUGCGCGACAGGGCGCGCUUCGGGCGCCACUAUCGUCGUGCAACGACACACGAACAGGACCGAGAAGGUACGAGAUGUUUUCCUGGGCUCGGGUUGGUCCCGUCGGGGGCGGUCGCGCGGUGCGCCCGUCGUCGGGACGCCGCCGCGCGGGCGUUAUUCGGCGCGGACACGUGAUUUCCCGGACGGCGAAAAGCGAAUUUGCGUUGCCGAAGCGCAUUUCCCCGCCCUUCGGCAUGCGCCCGACGAAGCCUCCCCGAGGGGGUUCGCGACAGCUUUUCGCCGCAUCUGACUCGCGCGGGUGGUUUUCAACCCGGCGAGCUUUCCCGAUUCGCUCGAAUCGCGGGUUACCGCGGGCGCGCAACGCCGCCGCGACGCGCUUUUCCUGACCGGCCGUUUCCCACGCUCCGCCCUUCUUCGCAGGCUGCGCGCAGCGCAUUUUUUCAGCUCCAGUCGACAACUAUGCCCAAGGUACGCACGAGCCCGAGAUGAGACAGCCGAGCCGGACCUUGGAGCCCUGACGUGACCCGCGGGGGCUUCGAACGUGGGGGCGUGGGCGUCCUGACCUCACCGGGACGCGCCGCGCGCCGGCCAGCCCGGGAGGAAUAAAUUGCCAAAACUAUGCCGUUGGGUGCUAAAAUUUGGUUUUUGGCCCGCGGCACGCCCACCGAACCGACGCUGACGCACCCAUCCCUCGCCCGUUUCCACUCGACAGCGAAAGCAAGAAGAUGGCAUGACCAUCAAGCCCCCAAAGCGCGCGCGCACCGCCUACCUGGUGUUCUGCGACAGGUACCGCGAGCAGAUCAUGCGCGCGGUGCACCCCCAGCCCAACGCCAAGUUCACCCGCGAGGAGAUGCAGGCGGUGACCACGAAGCUCGCGGAGCUGUGGAAGAACAUCAGCCCGAACGAGCUCAAGGAGUGCAAGGCCGAGGCUGACAUCCUCAAGGGCCAGUACGAGGCCGAGAAGGCCAAGUUCCCCGCCGGCUCCCUGAAGCGCCACCACAAGAAGGGCAAGAAGGCGAAGAACCAGACCAUCCUCGUCGAGGGCCAGGGCGAGAAGCCCAAGCGCGCGCGCACGGCGUACCUCAUCUUCUGCGACAAGUACAGGAACCAGAUCAUGAAGGAGGUGCACUCUAACCCCAACACCAAGUUCACCCGCGAGGAGAUGCAGCAGGUCACCACCCGCCUGGCGAACAUGUGGCGCAACGUCACGCCCACCGAGCUCGCGUCGUGCAAGAUGGAGGCUGACCUCUGCAAGGAGGAGUACAAGAAGCAGAAGGACUCCUACCGCGCCCCCGUGUACGCCCCCGCGAGCAAGAGUAAGAAGGGUAAGAAGGAGAAGGCUGACAACGGCAAGCCCAAGCGCCCGCGCACCGCCUACCUCCUCUUUGCGGAGGACUGCAGGUCCAAGCUGAAGAAGACGCAGCCCGACCUCGGGUUCACGGACGUCUCCAAGGUGGUCUCCUCGGAGUGGAAGGAGCUCCCCGAGAACAAAAAGCAGCAGUACGUUCGCAACGCCGAGAAGGAGCAGGAGAAGCACAGGGUGCUCAAGGCGCAGUGGGAAGCGAAGCACCCCGUCGCGUGAGCAAGUCGCGGCGUGCGCGGCCUCCAUUUUCGCAAAGGUCAAUCGCCAAACACACCCUUGUACAUCAUCACCGCCCUCCGCGCGUGGGCACGCGCUCGAGCCGAACACCACGUCAAGCACGCGCUCCGUCACCGAAUUACCAACUGUAUAGUGUAGCCGCAACUUAGUCGACGGACCCGCGCGCGCAGCGGAGCAGAGUCUAACCCGUAUCACUGUGAAUAGAUAGGACUUUUUCAUCACCGAAUAAUCGCUAUAAGAGAACAUCUCGCCUCAUUUUCCCUGCAGCAGACGCAGCGCGCGCUCCUCCAUGCUCUCCACGGUCUCGUCUUUCGUCGCCAUCCCCGCGACGGCGACGUCCACCUUUCGUCGUUUGCCCGGCUCCUCGGAUUCCGAUUCCGACUCGGAGCCGUCCGAAUCUGACGCGCCGCCGAGUCGAGCUCCCGCCUCCUCGUCGCCGUCGUCGUCCGAGUCCGACUGUGUCAGUCCAUCCGCCUUUCGACGCUUCAUCCGCUCCUUGUUUCGAAUGUCCCGCAAACGCUCCUUCUCGCGGAGCCUGUCCGCCUUGUCCGCCCUGAGCCGCUCGGCGCGGAUCUUGUCGUAGUGCGCCUUGGCCGCCGCCGCGAGCUCCUCGCCGCCGUCGGGAACGGGACCGUCGGCCCUGGAUUUGACCCCGAGAGCCUCGAGCGGCGCCAUCGCCUCGCCGUCCUCGCCGAAGACGACGCGCUCGUUCGCGCCGUGCCCGCCCUGCUUUAUCCGCAGCUUACCCUUCUUCGCCUUCUGUCGCAUUCGCUCGGCGAGGUCCACCGGCCCCUCCGCGAGUACCGCCUUGGCGCGCUCGCUCAGGUGCCUCUCCCCGUCAUCGUCCCCGGAGUCAUCUCCGUCGUCGUCGUCGGAAUCGGCGGCGUCGCCGAGCCUGUGGUCCGCGCGCUUGACAGUCAUGAGGUCGUCGUCCGAGUCGGCGUCGUCAACCUUCAUGCCGAAGUGACCGCCGCCCACCCUCUUGAGGACGCCGGCGGAUUUGGUCUUGUCGUCCUCCUCGUCGGAGUCGUCCUCGUCGGAGUCGUCCUCGUCGCCGUCGUCCUCGUCGCCGUCGGAAUCAUCGUCGUCUCGCGCCUUGGCCCUGGGGGGCUCGGCCCGCGCGGGCGCCUCCUCGCUCUCGCUAUCGUCGCCCUCGCUAUCGUCGCUAUCCUCCUCUUUUUUGCCGUUCUUACCGGCGCCCUUCUGGCUCUUCAGGAACCUGAGCCUGGGCGGGUUGGGUAAGCCCAUGGAGUGCGCGUACGCCUCCACGUCUAGUGCGUUGACGUCGAACACGUCCUUGUUCGGCUGCAGGUAGAUGCUUCGCAGGUAGCUCACGACCGCCCGCUGCGCUAGGUACUUGAGCUCGGUGUCCUUGCCCAGCAAACCCUGAAUGGAGCUCGUUAUCUUCUGAUUCUUGGCCUGGUUCAGCUUCAUGGUCUUCAGCGGGACCUUAGCCGCGGCGAGUUCCUUCGCGAACGCGGAUUCGGAGGGGGUCAACAGCAGCAGGCCUUUGCCCUCGGCGGUGUAUCUAGCGGUUCGACCCACGCGGUGAAUGUAACACGGCACAUCCUCGGGGCAGUCCGCCUGUAGAACCCAGUCCACGGACGGAAAAUCGAGACCGCGCGCGGCCACGUCCGUUGCGAACAGCACGGUGUGUUUCGCCUUGCAGAAAGCGUCGAACGUGGCCAUGCGCUUCAUCUGCUUCAUCCGCCCGUGGAGCAUCGCGACGGGGAUGCCCGGUCGCAUCCGCCGGAACAUCUCGUGCACAAAUCGCACCUGCUUGCACGAGCUGAGAAACACCAGCGUCUUGCUCGUGAGGUGCGACUUGAUGAACGCCCACAUCGUCUCCAUCUUCUUGUCCAGCUCGCACGUCGCCACCAUCUGCGAGAGCUUGGGCGGCGUCGCGUGAGCGCUCUCCGCGUGCACCGCCAGGUACUCCGGGUCUCUCAUGCUCAGCCUCGCCAGGUCCUUCACGCUCUUCGUCUGCGUCGCGCUGAACAGCAGCGUCUGCCUCCCCUUCUUCGGAAGGUUUUCCAAGAUGGCGGUGAGGGUCUCGCGGAAUCCCAAGUCCAGGAUACGGUCCGCCUCGUCCAGCACCAACACCUUGAGCGAGACGCAGUCGAACAUUGGAGUCUCGUCCAUGUGCUGCAGGAGCCUUCCCGGGGUGCACACCAGCAGGUUCAUCCUGUUCACCGUGUCCUUCUCUUCCUUGACGUUCUUACCCCCGAUCAAGAGACCCGCGCUGAGGGAGUGGUGCUUGCCCGCGGCGACGAGCUGCUGGAAGAUCUGCGUGGCGAGCUCGCGCGUGGGCGCGAUGAUGAGGCCGCCGAUGCCGUCCUGCCGGCCCCACUUGGCCCGGUAGAGGGCCUCCAGGGUGGGAACGAUGAACGCGAGGGUCUUGCCGCUGCCGGUUUUGGCGGCACCGAGGAUGUCUCGGCCGGCGAGCGCGUGCGGGAUGGUCGCGCGCUGGAUGGCGGUGAGCUCCUUGAAGCGUGCGUCCGCGAGUCCUCGCUGCGUCGCCUCCGAGAGGGGCAUGUCCUUGAACUUGCGCACCCCGACGAGGGAGGCGCCGAGGCCCUUCUCGCUUGACUUACGCGGUGCCACCGCGAGUGGAUUAGUGCCCUUCUCCGGGGCGGUCGCCUGUCGGGAGUGGGGGAAGGGGGGUUGGGGGGUGAGAGAGGAAGCGGGCGGACAUCGAUUGUCGGCGGCGGCGAGAUCCUUGGGGCGGCGGCUGGCGCGGGUCGCGCCGCGUACCUUGAUGGCCGCCUCCAGCUCCUCGAUCUCGCGGUCCGCCAUCUUAACGCGGCCACCACCGCGCCCGCCACGACCUUUGCCGCGGUUGUCGCGCCCCAUGCUGGCGGUUGCGGGUGCGUCACUCACUGUCGGCGGUCGGCGGUGCCGAGACUUUCCAUCGGAAGGCGUGACAGAAGAGAUCAGAAAGUUUGUCGUGCCGGCUCGAGAUUGAUACAAGCACUCCCUUUGGCGCUCAGCGGAUGGGCGGCGAGCAGGACCCACCCCUUGUCGGGACGGGGUGGUUCCCCGGCAUCACUCCAGAGGACUUCGGUGCCGGGAAGGCGUGGUUAGAUGACAUCAUAUCCCCCGCCUUGAUCGUCAACGAGGCCCACGUCCGUCACAACGUAAAGACGAUCAUCGGGAAAUGUGGCAGGCCCGACCGCUGGAGGCCGCACCUGAAAACGACCAAGAUGAAAUGGGUUUGGAGGAUACUGAUUGAAGAGGGGGUGAGAAACUUUAAGGUGGCGACGACAAAGGAGGCAGAGGCGAUGAUUCAGCUCGUGCGCGAGAUGAAGUCCCUGAAGCACACCGUCGACGUACUGGUCGCGUACCCACUAGUUGGACCAAACCUCAGAGCACUCGGACGAUUGACGAAGACGCCUGGGGCCAGCCAGAUUAAGCUGUCGGUGUUGGUGGAAUGUGACCGGGCGAUUGAUGACGUCGUGGCUCUCGACUGUGGUAUCGGUGUGUUCAUUGACAUCAACCCUGGCAUGGAUCGCACCGGUCUCGCCUACAACAGAGAUGGAGAGGCUCAACACUCUUUUGACGAUGUCCGUGAGUUGAUUAUCAAGGCGAAAUCGAGGAACGUUUUCCGCGGAAUACACUACUACGAGGGGCACAUAUCAGAGUGUUUGGCAGAAAGGGAUGGACUUUCGCCUAAUCAAAGCAUCUUGAAAGAGAAGCUCGAUUCCCGUGCGUCUGACUGCUUCAGGUGUUACAACCGCUGGCUACUUCCUAUAUUCCAUGAGAGUCUUAAGGAUGGAAAGCUUCCCGGGUGCGGAGGGAUCAAGCCCGAGAUAAUAACAAGUGGGACGCCGGGUUUCACUCAUGCGUUGCGCCACGAAUUGUUCCUAGGUGGGAUGAUAAUCAUUUCUGAGCGCGUGCUAUAUAGGUACAAACAAGAUCUGAGGGGGUUACCCGUCGACCGAUCAGAAGAGGCAAAACUCUCUGACAGCCUCUUCCACGGGAUACACCGAGUGAGCCCUGGCACUGUGGUCUUCCAUGAUUGGCGGGGGGAGAGGCAAAAUCCUGGGCUCGGCCUCAAACCGGCGGCGGUGGUCAUGGCGAGGGUCGUGAGCAAUCCCAGAGCGGGUAUGGUGACGCUAGACUGUGGCUCAAAGUCAAUCGCAGCUGAGGCUGGGGACCCGGCUGGUUACGUCAUUGGCUAUCCUGAGGUAACCGCCAGGUCGUGCAGCGAGGAGCACAUGCCUUGCUCUGUAGCUGAAUUAGCGGGUUCCUCGGGCAAGCGGAAACGAGGAGCGACGGACCCGUGGCAAUCCAAGAAUAGAGGUGAGGUCUGCUUUGUUGUCCCGGAGCACAUCUGUCCUACGGUGAACCUGGCCGACGAGGUGGUGGUAAUUCGCGAGAAGUCGAGUGAGAUUGAGGUCAGGAGGGUGGACGCGCGGGGUCACCACCUACGCCUAGAGGAUAUCCAGGUGUAAAAGCUCGUUUCGAGGGGACCGAGCUGCAUGUCAGCUACCAGGUGCAGGGGCAGACCGCUUUUUAUAACUUUUAGAAGUUUCGCGGCAAAAGAUUCGCAGAUCCUGCCGAGUCAGCAGCUCGAGUCAGCAAAAAUAUCGGGACGACAUCCUGACGUCACAAAACACUUCAUACGCGCUCGCCCGAGUAUCGCUCAACUCGAGACACCCUCUGAAAGACCAACGCUCACGAUAUGUCGCUCGCGUUCAUUCCGAGCCUGCGCCCCCUGCGCGUCACGCGCGGCGGGGCGACUUGCCGCGUUAAAAAGGUGAUAACCGCCGACGCAAAAAAAAGGAGCUUUUCUUCCUCCCGAUACUCCGGAAGCCAUUACGGCAAGACCAAGCCCGACUCCGAGGAGAAGGAGAAGAUCCCCAAGAAAUACGCGCACUCCAGCCGAUACCACGUCGGCUACCAGCGCACCGAUGCCAAGAUGCCCUUCCACGACACCGAGCGCGACGCAGAUCCCGAGCCGGCGAAGAAGGGAAUUCCCAAACGCUACGCGCAUUCCGGCCGAUACCACGUCGGCUACGAGGUCUCCCGCCCCGACGUUGACAUGAUCCACGACGGCGGCGACCACGUCGCCGAGGCGCACAAAAAUCAGUCGAAGGGCAUUCCCCGCAGGUACGCCACCUCCAGCAGGUACCACGUCGGGUACGAGGUGUCCAGGCCCGACGUCGACAUGAUCCACGACAAGGGGAUGCACGAGUUCGUGGCGCACGCCGCGCACGCGGUGUCGCCUCCGUUCAAGCCCCGCAAGUCGUUCGCGUCGUCAUCCCGCUACGGCGGUAACCGCGUCGGUCUGUCCUCCUCCCGCGCGGAGAAGAAGCGCGUCGACGAAGCUAAGCGCUACGCGUGGGCGAGGCGCGACCAGGAGGAAGCGCUCAAGGCGCUAAAGUCCACCAAGUCGACACGCGCGGCGGCGUCCGGCGACGUCAAGCCCGCGAGGGUGACCAAGUACGUCGGCGCCAACCCCCACCACGACAAGUACUUCGACUGGGAGAAGGAGGAUCAGCGCCUGAACAUCGUCAACGAGGUCAUCGAUCGACACCUCCGCGACGCCGACGAGGAGUGCCAGGUGAACUGGAUCCACGGGAUGUUCUCCGGCGGCCACGAGGAGGAGUGCGUGCGCGACGUGGACGCCAUCAUGUCCAUCGUCGCCAAGCACACAGACCUCGCCGAGGCCGUCGCCGUCGUGCGAGAGCUCGUGGAUAGGGGCGGAAGCUCGGCGGCGAACGCGGUAAGGACGUGGUGCGCGGCUCACGCCGAUCUGCCCAACGCGACGGCGCUCUCGGCUAUGCUCGACGACAUGUCCAAGGGCAAGAGCAUCGGCACCCCAUCAAACUGAGCCCCCGCGCCGAGAAGACGACGACCGAACGAACCGAGAAGACCCGCUCGUGGCGGGUCGUCGUGUGUAACCGAAAUACCAUGUAAUACGACGCGCCGCCUUGUCUGAAAUUAAACUCGUCAAUCGCCGUUGUUCCACUCGUCCGGCAGAAGGUGCGACCGGUUGGGCAGCGCCAGCGCGUCGUUCUCCCCGACGGUGACCUCGCACAUCGCGCCCCUGUACCUGUACCUGACGCGCAAAAACUUCUCCUCCCCGGGGCACGGAUCGCAAAACCCGAGCAUCCCGGCCUUGUCCAGCCCCUCGAUCAUGUCGAGGCUCGAGUCGAACACCUGGAACCUCAGCGCCGUCGUCACGUCGACCCACGCGUCGUCGUCGCCCCCGGAACCCCAACCCGACACGAUGGGUUCGCCCCUCCGCGGCACGCCCCCUCGCUCCGGGAAGUUACCGAACACCGCCUCCUCGACGACGAGCCCGUUGACGGACCUCUCCUUCUCCGUCCGUUUCUCCGUGUCCCGCCGCAGCAUCUCAGCCGCCUCCGCCGCCUCCGCCUUUGCCGCCGCGACGCGUUCCCUGUGUCGUUCCCUCAACUUUGCCUUGGCCGUCGCCUCCUUCUUCGCGACGGCGGGCGAUACCAGGUACCUGUCGACCGCGAAAACGAUCGUCCACGGCAACGCGAGCGCGCACGCCACGAUCGUCGGCGUGAGCCGCUGGUACGGCGAGAUGAGCACGGGGAAGCUGAACCGCUGGCCGCUGUGGUUGAACCGAAGCUUGAGGUGAACGCCGCGGAUGCCGACGGCGACGCUCAUGCCCACCGCGGAAUCGUGCCCGACCCUUCGCGUGCCCCCGAAGUCCACGUCGAUCGCCGUCGUUCCAGCCCUGAACCCGAACCUGAACGACGUCUUCUUCGACCACCGUCGCGCGAAGAACCCGGCUAUCCCGGUAGACGCCGGGCCCACGGAGAGGUCAAACUUCCAGCUGUUCCUCCCCUUCGUUCGCGCAACCCCGGUGGACAUCCCGCUCGUCGGCCCGACGUUCCAGCUCAAACUACCCUUGGUGUGCUCGUCGAACAGCGCCCGCUCUAGGCCGACGGCCAACCCCAGGCCGCCCUGCGCGUCCGAGUACGAAUACGUCAGGUUGCCCGCCGUGUGCUCCGAGAGCUGCCUCGUCGUCGCCAGCGUCGCGGCGGAUUGGUUCGACCCGAGAACCGUGGCGAGCUCCCAGCUCGUGUGCUCGCUCGCCGCCACGCGCAUGCCGAGUAUCAACCCCCCGGCACCCAUCCCGCGGCUCAUCUGUCCCUGCGCCCCGACGUACCCCGUCGCGCGGUCGUCGAGGACGCUGUUAAGCGGGACGUCGAAGACGCUGUUAAAGUCCAUGCCGUUCAGAUCCAACCCCGACGAGAGCUUCGCGCCGCGCUUGUACGCGACGUACCGCCUGCGCUGCGCGAUCUCGGCGUCGACGAGGUGCGCCGCGGAGAAUGAGAAGCCGUAGGAGCCUCGGAAGUUGAGCUUGGCCUCCAUGCGCUGCUGCGCCUCCUUGGCCCUCGCGCGCUCGAACUCCUCGCUGAUCUCCGCGAUGGUCUUGUGCCGAUGGCCGACUUCGAGGCCCGCGGCGAGCCCCGCCUCGCCGUAGACGUCGUAUAUCCGCCUUCUGUCCUUGUCCGUGAGCACCUCGUAGGCCUCGUUCAGGCGGUUGAAGUCCCUGGCGGCAGCCUCGCGCAGCGCGGGGGAGGCCUGCUUGUCGGGGUGCGCCACCUGCGCGAGCCGUCGGUACGCGCGCUUGAUGUCAUCCUCGGAGGCGUCGCGCUUGACGUUCAGCGCCGCGUAGAAGUCGCGCCCAGCGCGCGCCUUGGGUUCGUCGUCGUCAUCAUCAUCGCGGGGGAAGUCGCCGUCCUCCAUGGUGACUCCCGGCGUCACGCGCCGUGGCAGUGGCCGAGGUGCCCAACCGUCCCCAACUACGUGUGGGGAAAGGCUGCCCUCGCUCGUUUUCCAACGGUGCGCUUUUUCUCGGUCCGUCACUCUUGCCCGCGUCCUCUCUGUGCGCAGCUGUCGAAAUGGUGCUGGCCAAGGGUAAACUCGCGGACGAUCCGCGCGAUGCGGACGCGGUCAAGCCGUUCAUCCGACCGGUACGUCACCGACCGCUUUGUGGACCAUCCAUGCGUCCCUGACCCUACGCGCACUUUCCACGAUCUCUUCAACGAUCCCUCAAACCGCCGACCCCCAUCUUCUACAGACGUACAAACCGGAGGAGAUCCCGCCCGAGCUUUACACGCUGGGUGCCCUGGUGUUCUCGCUGCUCGGCGUCACCAUGCAGUACAAGUUCUGCGCUUGGGCGGGCGCCACGUUCGCGCUCGCGGCGUUCCUGAACAAGAGGAAGCACGACUCCGAUUCCAGCCAGAUCCUCUCCGGCGUGCUGUUCGCGGUGUCGGGUCUGGCGGUCGUGUUCAUGAACGGGUACCACGGAGAGAAGGCGAGGGCGUUCGGGUCGUCGAAGCACUUCGAGGGAUCCGUCAAGGUUGAGCUGUGAGCUCGUCGGCGCAUAGGAUACGUAGCAACGAAUAGGGAGCGAUAUUUUGGCCGUUUCGACAUACUCAAUCAAGCGGUGUACUCGUCCAGCGCCUCCCUGGCGAGCCGCAUGAACUCCGCCUUGGUCACCGGCGCGCCCGGGUCCGUCCGGGGUUUCGCCUUGUGACCCGUCAUCGCGAUGAUCGCCUUGUCGCACUGUUCCUGGGUGAUCGCUCCCGACCGCACGAUGUCGAACUGCGUAAACACCGCGUCCAGGUCCUUCUCGUCGUAGCCCAACACCGGCGCGCCCCUGAAGUGGUGGUCCCUCAGCUUUUGCUCCAAAAACUUCGCCGGAUCGUCCGGCUUGGCCGUCAUCACCGCCGCGGUCAUGGACUCCAGCAGCGGCACCAGCUUGUGCGUCUCCAUGUACAUCUGCGUCGCCAGGACGGGAUCGACGAAGCCGUCGUCGCCCGGGCCGCCUCUGCGGCACGCCAGCUCGUGGAACUCGUCGAAAUCGACGAAGGUCCCAGCGCCGGCCGCCUGGCACUCCAGGGUUACCGCGCGGCGAACUUUCGCGCCGUCGAGGCCCGUGCGUUCCUGCGCGUCGUUCGGGGGUUGGUGGGAUCGAUCAGCCGAGGUCGGAUUUGGGUCGCGCGGCGGUACGUUUUGGGAACCGGGAUCGGGCGCGGUGGGACUCACCCAGCUCACGUCCUUGUUCUCGUCCAGCCCCUUCUUGAGCUCUCCGUACGUGAUCUUGAGGGCGCCGUUCGCCACGACGUCCCACACCGACUCGCGGAUCCUCUCCAGGUGGUACCGAGCCCUCGGGCCGGGCAUGGGCUUGGCCUCUCCCGGACCCAUGCUCCUCUCGCUCUUUCUUCUCGCGCUCCUCUGUUGACCGCGCCGGCGCCGAUGGGUCGGGGUCGUGCGGACUAGACCGGGACGCGCGCGCGGUUACGACGUGCGCGUGGGAACCAAGGCGAUCGUCGGUCACGACGCCGCGAGCGCGGGUACGAGUGCGGCUUCCAGAGACGGGGCGCCAAAUCUGGAACGGGCCAUUUUCCACAAAGUUGGCCCGAGGAAAAAUGCGCCCCAGUUCUAACCGAACGGCGACUGCCGUCAUGCCCAACCGCUGGGCCGACUUUGAGCCCAUGCCGUACAUCGAGGCCGAGAUGAUGUCGCUGCCGAAGUGCGAAGAUGACAUUCCGACGAUCGACGCAUCGGAUCUCACCGCCGCGGAGUUCGCAGAGCGCUUCAUGCGACCCAACAAGCCGGUAAUGCUGACGAACAUCGGUUGUGAAAGUUGGAAGGCUUUCGAUGAGUGGACCAAGGUGGAUGGAUCCGGGGAGCGCGUGCCGGACGUAUCGCGCAUGUCCGAGCUGUUCGGAGACGCGAAGGUACUCGUGGUGGAUUGCGAAGCCCCGCUGGACACCGACCUGUCCCGACGGGAGAUGCGUUUCGAGGAGUACGCCAGGUACUUUCGAUCGAGGGGUGACGGUUCGCGAAGCGAUGGGGGCGACAAACGACUGCUCUACUGCAAGGACUGGACCUUCACGGAGGAUUUCCCCGAGUAUCCCGCGUACCAAACCCCGCCGCACUUCGCCGACGACUGGCUCAACGAGUACUGGGACGAGCAACGCGGGAAGGGCGUCGGCGACGGCCUCGGAUCGCACAGGUUCGUCUACCUGGGAGUCGAGGGCACGCACACGCCGUUGCACGCGGACGUCCUCCGGUCGUUCUCGUGGUCCGUCAACCUCGCCGGCCACAAGCGUUGGCUCAUGGUCCCGCCCCAUCGCAGCCGCCACCUGCUGGACUGCACGGGCCGGCGGCAUUACCACGAUGUGGAGCGUUGGAGGCAAAGUGACUGGAACACGUUUCCAACAGUGGACAUGGCUUUCCCACUCAUGAUCAUCCAACCCCCGAACAGUGCGUUGUUCGUCCCGUCUCUGUGGUAUCACCAGGUACGAAACCUCACGGACUGUCUCAGCGUUAAUCACAACUGGUUCAACGCGUCGAACGCGCGGUUUUCGUGGGCGAUGCUUCGAGAUGAACUGGACGACGUGAGAGCCGGUUUACCCGACCAAGACGAUCGAGGCGACGGCGUUCUGUGCCAGUCGCUGGUGGAGCGGAAGGCGGGGGCGGACUUCAAGACGUUCGCUGGGAUCCUGGCGUCCGCUAUACGGAGGUACAGGCGGCGCGCUGUGGGUGAAUGCGAGAGCGAGAGUAGGACGCGAUCGGGGAAGAGGCGGCGGUUGGACGGCGAAAACAAAUUGGACGAUGAAAACGAACGCGGUCUGAGGGUGGCGGUUGACCUGCUGGAGGAGGUCCUGGACGCGGACGAUGAGGAGGGCGCGUCGGCCGUGGCCAGCGCGUGGGAGGGGAGCGAGGGCGCGCUCGAGGAGGCGAGGGACGCGUUGAAGAAGGGCCGGGAGACCCUGGUAGGAAAUGAGAGGCUCGGUAGGAGGCUCGAUAGGAAAUGAAUAUCUCGUCGCGGUACGGAUUAAUAGUCAGCCCCGCUUCGCGCGUGGGGUUUUAUGUACUCGUACUCGUAUACUCGUGGAUCACUCACGGGACGGUGUACGCGCCCGGCUGGUCGAACACCAGUUCCUCCGUCUCGUCCUUCUCGAUGACAAAGCCGCGGAGCCUGUCAAUCUCCGGCGCGUCCGCCCCGCACUUCUCGAACCUCCAUCCCUUGUUCGACACCUUCAGGUUCUUAACCGUGACGAAAGCGCCGGGGCACGCCUUGAUGACGAGCGCUCCGUCCAGCUCGAGGCUCUCGAUCUUGACUCCCGCGCCCUCCACGAUCAAGGCGCUGCUCGCGGAGGUGACCUUGAGUCCCUUGCCAGCCUUGCCCUUGAGCUCCUCGAAAGUGCACGCGAAAGACGGGUGCAACACAACCUUGGGACCCGAGGGCACCACGAUGUCGUUCGCGGAAAAGUCGACGGGCGCCGCCAUCUCCGCGCCCGCGAGCUCCAGAACCUUGGCCGCGCACCCGUAAAACUCCAUCUCGCCGCUCGUCGCCGUGUGCGUGGGGUUACCGCCCUCAAACUUACCCACGCCAUCCGCGGGGGAGUUCUUGACGGGGGAGUAUCCGACCCAGUUAUCGAAAACGGUGAACCCGACGCAGGCGCUCGCGUCGAGCGACUUGGGGUAAUCCUGCAUCAUGCACUCGAGCCGGGUUGGGGACUUGAACGCGGUCUUGCUGGCGUCCUUGUACUUGGGGUUGACGAACUCCUCGAUCUGCCCGCCCGUCUUUGCCAGCUGCGUCUUGUACUCCUCCAACGAGACGAUGAGCUGGUUGAUGUUACCGGGGAAAGGGGAGACGCCCUUGUCGUUGUUGACGUCGCCGUCUUUGUUUAUCGUCGCGCGGAGGAGCGGGUCGAGCUGGUUGUACUCCACGUUCACGGUCAUCUUGCGACCGUCGGUGUGAGUGAGCUCGGUGAUGGCGCCAAUCGCCUCCUUCGCCUUGCGAGGGACGCAGAGCGAGUUGAACACGAAUCCCUUCUGCUUGGACACCCCGAGGGCACCGGGCACGACGCGAAAGACGAGCGAGUUGGUAUCCUGGAAGAAAACCACCCACUUCUUGCCCGCGGCGCUCCACCUGUCGAGGAGCCCGCUGGUGUGGAGCAGCGCGUGGACGUCGCCGUGGCCGUGGGGCUUGGUCUGGAGGGCGUACGGGUCGGCAUCUUUGAGCGCGAGGUGCGCGUCGUUGUUGGUCAGGCACGGCACCUUCUCCUGCUUGACGAGGGUCACCUGCUCCUUCUUAGCGCCGAAGUAGUCGUUGCGCUCGAGGAGGUCGAGGGUCUUGGCGUGGGUGUCGUCGGAGGUCAUGAUCGCGAGAGGGAUGCCGACGUCCUUGGCGCUGCGGUGCGCGGGCAUCUCGCCCGCGGACCUCUGCUGCAGCGCGAGGAUGGACUGAAUGUAGAGCUGGAGGUAGCACGAGUCCGUGGACCUCUCGCAAGGGAGCUCGACUUUGAUGCCGGAGUACCCGAGGCGCUCGCCGAGACCUCCCGCGACGAGGACGAACGCGGCGGAUCCGACCUCCCGCAUGCCCUCGCUCUCGAGCUCGACGUGCUCCUUGGACGCGUACUCGACCACGAUGCCGUCGGGCACCGCGGGGGUCCACCCGUCGAAGGGGUUGACGCCCUCCUUGGAAUCCUGGAGGAGCUUCUUGGCGUUGGCGACGUACUGCGCGAUGCCACCGGGGUAGCCCGCGUCGCAGACGGCGGCCUGCGCGAGGAACCUGCGCUUGUCGUCGUCGUCGGUGCCGGGCGCGGGCCAAGACGAGAAGAGGUGGUCCUGCCCGCAGCCGAGGAGCUUGUCGAUCAUGGCGUUCUCAUCGGCGGUGAAGAUGCCGCGGUUGGCCUCGAGGGUCGAGCCCGUCUUGCGUUUCUUGGUCUGUUGUCGAUGACGAACGGCGGGGAGGGUCAGAUGAUCGGGACUGGGAAUACACAAACGGAACGGUGCCGAUCGGGAAAGCGCGUGAUUCCGGGUGACAUCGCGGGGCGGGGAGUGCACACCGGUGUGUCGUCGCUCAUGUCUCGCGGUCUGAAGCAGGAGGCCAAGCCCAUAACACGCGCUCGAUGCGCGGGGUAAGUCCUUGGCUUGAACGUACGCGUCUCGGAGACUGCGCGGCGACGAGCGCUCGCGAGAUUUGGGUGUUGGAAGGAAAGGAAGAGAUUCCCAACAGGCAGCCAGGAGGUUUCUGAUUGGUUGAGAUCCGGUGCGUAUGGCAAGUAGUCAGCUUUUUUUGUCCUUCGCGCUUCGCCCGCGAUUCAAAAAAGGCGCGGGUUCAAGCGUGCAGUUUGAACUUGGCACCCCACCCGCCCACGAUCGCCGCAGAGAGAAGGGGCGCCACUCCUCGGAGAACAUGGCGACCACGUCCCCGAGCGCGAUGGAUCACGUCUCUAAGAAGCCCAAGCUGGCGGACGGCGAGGACGCCAUGGACGUGGACGACAAGGAGAACCGCAAGAUCGCCAAGGUGGCGUUCGACCACGAGACGCACAUGAGGAUCUACUACGACUCGCUCUUCCCCGCCGAGUCCAUGAUGAAGUGGCUCGCGUACGGCAACGACUUGAAGCACCCGCAGGCGGACACGGGUUUCAUGCAGCGCCGCGAGUUCUGCUUCACCCUCCCGGGCGACGUCUUCGUCCGAUACCAGUCCUUCAAGGACGACAAGGAGCUGCGCAAGGAGCUCAAGUCCAAGCUCCCGAGCAAGAUCGACAUCGGGCCCGUGUUCAACGUGGACCCGAGCAAGCGGCUGGCGUACUCCGGCGGGGCCGGGUCCGACCGCGUGUUCGCGCCGACCGAGAGGGAGUUCGUGAUGGACAUCGACAUGACCGACUACGACGACGUGCGCACGUGCUGCUCCGCGGCGGACAUCUGCCACAAGUGCUGGCCCCUCAUGGACGUCGCCGUGAAGGUCAUCGACAAGGGCCUGCGGGAUGACUUCGGGUUCAACCACCUCCUCUGGGUCUACUCCGGCCGACGCGGGAUCCACUGUUGGGUGUGCGACAAGCGCGCUAGGCAGCUGUCCAACGAGGCGCGCGCGGCGGUCGCCGAGUACUUCUCCGUGUACAAGGGCACCGACGCCUCCGGCCUCGUGAAGCGCGUCAACGUGUCCAACCCGCUCCACCCGAGCCUCGAGCGCGCGCUCGUGGACCUGAAGAAGUACUGGAGGGAUGAGUACCUUCCCGAGCAGCAGCUGCUGGAGGAUGACAAGUACGCCGAGCCGGUGCUCGCGAUGAUCCCGGUCGCGGACGUGCGGGAGGACGUGGCGGCGGCGUGGAAGCGAGCGCCCAAGGACGACUCGGUGCAAAAGUGGGACGUCCUCGUGUCGCGCGUGGACAAGGCGAGGAAGGCGGCCAAGGGCGGACCCGACAAGUGGGCUCUGGACAAGUGCGUGAACGAGAUCAUCUUCGCGCACGUCUACCCCAGGCUGGACGUGGAGGUGUCUAAGCACAUGAACCACCUUCUCAAGGCGCCGUUUUGCGUCCACCCCAAGACUGGCCGCGUGUGCGUGCCGAUGGACCCCAACGAUGACGACUUCGACCCCAACAAGGUUCCGACCGUCAUCCAGCUCAUCGACGAGAUGAACGCGGCGAAGGCGGCGGGUAAGGAGGUGUCCUACAAAGAGACGGCCAUGAACGACGCGGUGGAGACGUUCAACCGCACAUUCUGGAACGGACUCAAGAAGGAGUGCAAGGAGGAGAUGGACCAGCUGCACGGGAAGGUUCGGGAGGCUGUCGCCGCCGCCAAACCCCUAGAUUUCUGAGCGCGUCCGCGCGAGGUGAGGUUUUAAUGCAGUACAGUGUCUGUCAUCGAGUGAAGUCCUCGUUUGAACCCCACAAGGCACGCAGACGUCGCCUCAAAAACUUAACCACCGUUCCUGUGACUUCCUUGCGAGGGAUCAAUAUCAAAUCAAAUUGUCAUGCCUGCGUUUCUCGACAUGGUGAAGGCGGCGGAGAGGGGGGAGGUCGACCUGCUCACGCGAUGUCUCGAUCUCGGGUUGAACCCUCGCGAGAGGCAUCAAUACACCGUCUCCUUCUACCAGCAGAACAUUCCCAGCGAGAAGCACCGGAAGCAAAUGGACGGCUUUUCGACGGAAAGUUCGGCGUGGACCGCGGCCGCGGCGUGCGGUCAGUUGGAGUGCCUGCGGGUGCUCGUGUCGAGAUGUGGGUGCGUACCAGACAGAGCUGUCGUGCAUGCAGCGGCUUGCGGCCACACCGAGUGCCUCCGCUUCCUCCUGGAGUCCGGCGGCGACGCGAAGGCUGUCGACAGCGACGGCGACAACGGCGACAACGGCGACAUCGACUCCACAUCCUCCGACGACGAUGAGCUAGUGAACGCGUUCAGGAUGGCGUGUGCCUCGGGUCGCGCGGACUGCGUCCGGCUGCUCAUCGCGCACGGCGCGGAUUGGGAAGACGACUACGCGAAGUGGUUGGCGGAGCAGAGGCCGGAGCCGCAGCUGGAGUGCUAUCGCGGCGACGGCGGACACGACCUGGUCCUCUGGAUCUUCCAACAGGCCCUAUUCGCGUGGCGGCAGGGGGGUAACAAAAGGGUGAGGAUCGCGUUUGGCGGUCAGUCGGCGAAGCCGGUGACGUCGCGGGAUCCGCACGGUCCUUCACUGCAGAAAAAGGGGUCGACUUGCGGUUGCCUUUCUGCGAUGUGCAUGCCGAGAAAGGUGAAGAUGCAUCAUUAGCGCGCGCGACGUAGGUAAAACUGUUGGAUAGACUCCCUUCGUAAGACUUACAGUGUCUGUCAUUCAAAUGAAUCCCUUGCAUAAACCCCGCGAGGCGACCGAAAUCGCCUCCACCCGUCGAUCGCGUGUCCCGUCAUCGGCUCAUUUCUCCCUCGGGGGCGUCUCGAUGGCGAGCAUGCGCGUCGAGUCGGCCACCGCCUGCUCCCAGCCGUACUCCGCAGCCUCCUUGGCGUCCUCCCACCUGCUCGAGUUGUCCCGCGAGCUGUUCCCCUGUUCCGUGGUGUCCCACUGCUCGCCGCUGGUGCUCUGACCGUACGUGCGAAUCUCUCCGUCGGACCCCACGCUCUCGCCCCACGUUCGGCUCCACCGCUCGCCGCCCGCGUUGACCCUCCACGUCUCGCCAACCUUCUUGCCGCUGCCGUCGGCUCCGAAGCGUUCCUCCCACUUGUCCCCCCACCGAGUCCCGGCGCCGUUCUCGGCCCACUUAUCCGUCCACUUGAUCACGUCGCCGCCGCCGUCGGAGUCGUCGCGCUGCUCGCCCCACUUCUCCCACCACGCCUGCACGCCCUGCCGGCCGCUCUUCUCCACCCCGCGUUCCACCAACCCCGCGUCCGAGUAGCGCUCCCACCACUUCUCCUGCCACUCCUUCUUGUGCUUGUCCCUCGCCCACUUGUCCGCGCUUCGCUCGAUGAGCGCGGGUCCCGACGUGUCGGAAGAACCCGAUGCGUCCCCGUUCUCUCGCCGGUACACCUGCCGCCAGGUCUCCCACCACGUGUCGCCCGAGGCGUCGUCGAAUCCCGACUUUUCGGCGCCGAGCUCCUUGUACCCGGACCAGUCCGCCUUCUCCCAGUGCGUCGCGCGAUACUCCCACGUGCCGUCCUUGGCGGUGCGUCCGGUGACGGUCCACCUGCAUCGGUACCCGCCGUCGCCGGUGUCCACCCCGGAUUUGCUGAAGAAGGCGUUGCCGUCGUCGUCCGUCUCGCUGCGCUCCUCGGCGUCAAAGUCGACGAUCAUGUCGAACUCCCUGGCGAUGCCGGUGCCGCGCUCGGGCGGGCGCGUGCUUCCGGGGGCGCGAAUGGAGGAUCUCUCGUCCUUGCCGGAGGGAUUUUUGUCGUCCGCGUCGGUGCCCUCGUCGUUCGCGGAGCCGCGCGACGCGACGUUGCGGCGGACGAGGCUCCUCGGUUGGGGCGGCGCGCCUCGAUGGGGGCGGGAACGACGCUGCUUCGGGGCGAGGCGCGGGGUCGAGGCCGCCGCGCGGGUCGGCACGCGCGUGGCGCGGGUUCCCGCGGUCGUCGCCGCGACGUUAGCGCCGAUGGACGCCGCCGCCGCCAGUCGGGACGUCAUCAUCGUCCGCCGCGCCCGCGUACCGGCGGACCCACGCGGCCGAUGGGAGGAGGCUCCUCGUCGCGCACCCCUUCCCGCUCGCUCGAACGCGCGCGCGAAGAAAUAUCUGCGCCGGGCGAAAUGCGAACGACCGACGCGCGCGCUCCUCUCCCUCCUUUCGUCGGUUCCCGACGAGAGCGUGUGCGUCUCCGAACGAUCGAACGCGCGUUCGUGGGCCGUCGCGACCCUUUGUGAAGGCCCGAACGCCGUGCUGUUCGAAGUUGGAGCGCACGUCGUCUCACGAGCAGUCCAGAAAUAUCUGCGUGUCGAGUUCACGUUCUCAGAAGCGGCCAUGUCAGCGCCAGCUGGAACAUCCCUCGCACGGCGGGACCGGAAAGCAGCAUUCGACACGGCGCUGGAUUCUGAUUGGUCGUCGAAAAUACUCGCAUUUCGCGUUAGGAAGCGUUCGACUCGCAUGGCCUUCCAGUCAGAAUUUGUUGCUGUUAUUGUGCCCGAACACCAGACUGAAAACACGUGCGCAGCUGGAGCGUGGGAAAUGCGCAAAUUUUGUUUUUUGUUUUGGCCGAUUCCGCCGUGGGAACUGGCCGUUGAAAGGUGUCGCGACAGCUUUUUGGCGUUUGGCAGCUUGAACGCCCGUGGCGUGCGGUCAUAUCGAGCACGACGCACGGAGCACCCCGGACUUCACUCCGGACGGUUCGCCCCGCACGUUGCAAAUGGCCGCUCGACGGGACGCCUCGUCACGCGUCGGCGCGGCGAUAGGGCAGAGCCCGUCGCAAUCUCAGAGGUCGUCGCUGGCAAAGAAGAUCGCCAGGUUCGAGCGCGCGGACGAGAACUCGCGAGGAACCCAGAAGUUCGACGGGUCGAUGGGCGAGGAGACGGCGCGACCCGUCGGCGCGCGUCCCAUGGCGCGGCCGAGCGGCAAGACGCCUCUGAAGGUCCGUCGAUUUGCCAUCAUCGGUCACCCCUCACCACUCUCUCGCCUCUCAAACAACAGAUGCGCGCAUCUUCUUUCACCCGAGCGCGGCCAAACGCGACGACGCGCUGACCCAACCCUCCCCACCGUCACAGAGCGCAAACAACGCCAAUCGCAGCCUCAGCGGCUCCCCCAUCGUGUCCAAGGCGCUAGCCGCGCUGGACGCGGCGUCGCGGGGCGAGGACCUCACCGACUCGGACGACGACGACGCGGCGCUCGAACCAAACGUUGGCGACAAUCCUCGGGAGGAGGAGGAGGAGGAGUCGGAGGACGACGCGGCGAGGCGGAUACAGACCUGGUUCCGAGGGUACAAGUCCCGCAGGGAGGCGUCCGAGGAGAAGGUGCGCGAGGUGAUGGCGGAGAAGAGGCGGACGCUCGAGCGCAUCGCGCGAGCGAGAGACGAGGACCGAAGGGCCAAACCGUCGAAUCCCGCCGCCGCCGCCGCCGAGACCGCGUCCCCCGAGCGCCCCGUGUGGCCCGAGGACGCGCCCGCGCCCGCGAGCGCCUCGCCCAUCGGCGGCGGCUUCAAGUCCUUCGUCAGGGACGUCGCGGCGAGGGUCAUCCAGCGCAGGGUUCGAGAAUUCAUCGCCGCGAGGCGAACCCAAAAAACGCCGGUUCGAGCCGCAGAGCCGGCGGCGACGCCGGUGAGCGGCCCGCGCGUGGGCGCCGUUCCCGCGCCGUUCCGCCGCGCGGUCGUCGGGGAACGUCCGGGGCACGGUGACGGGGACGGGGAGGCGUCGCACACGCAGACGUCGUCGCCCACGCAGACGUCGUCGCCGUCGCAGACGUUGUCGCCGUCGCCCGAGCGGCUCCCGAAGCCGUCUCCGGCGAUGGCGCGACACGCGACGCCGCCGCGGCUCCGACGUUCCCCGGCGGGGAAGCCGCCCGGGCGGGUCGUCGACGCCCCUCCCCAAAACCCGCGCGCCAGCGUCUCCGACGAUACGCUCGCGUCGAUCAUGAGCUACCUCGACGCGGUGGAGAACGAGGGCGCUGUCCCGACGCACCACGCGGCGCCGGCCGGGACGUCCUUAGCGCACCAGCACGCGCCGUCGUCGUCGACUGCUAACCGGCGGGUCGUCCCCGAGUGGGUCCGCUCGGGUUUCAGCGCGCCCACGCACUCGCACCCACCCGCGCGGGAGGAGGAGGGACCGGCCGCCGGGAGAUUUGGACUAGCCGCCGUGCUCUCCCAGUAUCGUCCGCAGACGCCCAUUCCGGGGUUGGCGGACGAGGAGACGUCGUCUGCGGACGGGGGCGUCGCGCUCGCGACGGCCACCAACGUGUACGAGGGCGUACGAGCUCGUAUGGACUCGAUGAAGUCGGAGCUUCAACGCCGGGAUAAGCUGGUGGCCAAGCUGGAAGCUGAGCUGCGAAUCGCGUACGAUCGCGCCGCCGCGCAGACGGCGCAGCAGCUCCAGGACCAGCGUCAGGCGCACGAGACGGCGACGCAGCGGCACCUCGAUUUCGCCGAGCGAUUGCUCAAGGACAAGGACGAGCUCGCGGGUCGUUGCGCGGAGCUCAGCGAGAGCCUCGCCGCGGCGGAGGCUCGACACGCGUCGCAGUCUGCCGAGAUGAAAGCCGCGUACGGCGAGCAGCUCAAGAAGGCGAAGCAAAAGUGGGACGAGGCGCAGGCCAAGUGGGAGUCGGAGAAGACGCUGGAGAUUAAGGAGAUGACCAUCCGGGGGCUGGAGCCCGAGAUUCAGAGGCUUGUCCAGAAGCACCGGAACGAGGUGGGCGACUUGAUCGAGAAGCACCGUGAGGAGACGCGCAGGCUGGAGUCCCACCUGACGACGAAGCACGAGGACGCAAUGCGCGCGUUGCGGGCGGAGAUGAACGCGCAGUUCGAGGAGGAGCUCGAGCGUGAACGCGCCAGCGGCGGCGCUCGACUCAGAGACCAGGCGGAGCGGCACGAGCAGAGCAUGAAGACGUUUCGCGAGCGAGCCGCCGCGGAUGGCGCUUCCGGCACCGAGAUGUACGAAAAAGGUCGGCGGGAAGAGCGCGAAAAGUACGAGCAGGUUGUUCAGCGUCUCAACGAGGAGCACACCCGGCGAGAGGAGCGCAUGGCUGACCAGGCUGCCGCAUCCGCCGACGCGGUGCGCCGGCGGCACGACGCGGACCUCGCGGCGCUGCAAACUAGGCUCGAUCAAGAGUCCGCGGCGUGGCGCGCAAAGGUCACCGCCAAGGCUCAGGAGGCGCUGCGCGAGCGCGAAAAGGAGAUCAAGGCUCGCGCGAUCGCCGAGCGAGAUCGGGAGAUCGAGGCGAUCGCCGCGAGGCUGAGGGAAGAGGCGGUGAACGUCGUCGGAGAUUCUCGAGCCGAAGAGCUUCGCGCGACGCGCGAACGGGCGGAUAGAGCCGAGCGUGCGGCGAGCGCCGCCGAGAGGGAGUCCGCGGCGGCCAAGGAGAAGGCGUGCGCGCUGGAGAGGGAGCUACGGGCCGUGCGCGAGACGGCGAUCAAGGAAGGGGUCGUGGGCGGCGCUUUCGAGGAUAGGAUCAAGGCUCUCGCCGCCGCCGCCGCCGCCGCGGAGAAGAGGGCGGCGGAGUGCGAGGCUGAGCUGGCCAAGGCGAGGCUCAUGAAGGAGGAUGAGGCCGCCGCUCUGGAGGCGAGGGUGCGCAUGGCGAUCGGAAAGAAGGAUGAGACGAUCGCGCAGCUCACCGCGCAGCUGAACGCCACCAAGGCGCUGCUCGAGGAGGCGCCCAUGUGUCUCGAGGACUGAUUGGAGCCUCACAGAUUGUUAUCGAGAAUAACGGCUAACGCUUCCGCUUGUACUUCGCCUUCGACUUAAACCCGUGUCCCUUGCCCCCCUUCUUGACGAGUUCGCUGAGAUCCCUCCCGUUGGCGAAGUUUCCGCGCUGCCUGCCCUUGUAGUCGGCACCGCGCCCGUGCCGUUGCAUCAUCGCGCCGUCGUCGUCGGAAUCGUCGUCUUGCUUUGGCCGCUUCGCCUUCUUCACGCCCUUGGUGGCCUCCUUCUUGAACGUCUUGAGGAUCUUGGUCGCGAUGCCGCCAGUCAUACGCGCGUCUCGCUCCAGUUUCUUGAUGGAUUUGACGCCGCCCAUCGUCUUGCCCGCGCGCUUGGCCAUCAUCUGCUCGUCGAGCUCGUCGUCGCCGCCCCACAGCUUCUUUUCCUUCUCGCGAAUAGCCUUCUCCGCGAGUGCGCGCCUCGCUCUCUUGCUCUCCGGGAGCUUAAUCUUCGCGACGAUCUCUUUUUCCUUGCGCUUCUGCCCUUUAGUCUUUUUAGCGCCGCGGCCCGGGAUCUUCUCGAUGUCCUCGAGCUCGUCCACGUCCUCGCGCUCCGCCGCCUUUAGGCUCGCCUUCUGCCCCAGUUUCUUCUCCCGCUCUGACUGGAACCACGUUUUCUGCGGCCGCGAGUGAAUCUCCUUCUGGUGCUCCAUCAGGUUCUCAGCCUUGAUCGCCUCCAUCUCGGCGCGUGCCAGGUGCUUCUCCGCGCGUUCCUCCAUCUCGACUUCCUUGAUAGCCUCGCCCAUGCCCUCGAUCUUGGCGUGAAAGUCCUCGACGACGUGAGUGGGCAGCGAUCUCGCCACCAGCUUGCUCCCGCGCUUGGAUACAGCCUUGAUCAGCUUACGAUCGCUCUCCUCCAUGAACGUGAGGGCGGUUCCCUUACGACCCGCGCGUGCCGUGCGUCCCACGCGGUGCAGGUACGAAGCGAGCGUCCUGGGCGCGUCGUAAGAGACGACGGCGUCGACGCCGGCGAUGUCCAAACCUCGGGCGGCUACGUCGGUGGCAACCAUGUGCGUCGCCUCGCCGGUCCUGAACUCCUCGAGCGCCGCGAGCCUCUGCGUCUGCGUCAAAUCACCGUGAAGCUCGCAAGCUUUCAGGCCGUGAAUGCCCAUGAUGAUCUUGAGCCUGUGCGCCUGUUGUUUGGUCCUGGAGAAGAUUAUGCACCGCUUUGUAAACGUCCUCGCGACGAUGGCCAGGAGGUGAGCCUCCUUCAUCGCCGCCGCGCCCGGCCUUAGCCGGAGCACCUCCUCGGUGAGGGUGCCGGGGGUGGUUCCGAUCUGAUCUGCGCUGAGACGCGCGGGAUUUUUCAUCGAAAACUCGGCGAGCUCCUCGACGCCCGAGGUGAGCGUGGCGGAGAACAGCAUGGUCUGCCUUCGCUUAGGGCAGUGUCGGACAAUCUCGCGAAUCUCCUCCAGGAAACCCAUCUCCAGCAGCCUAUCGGCCUCGUCCAGCACCAGCGUGGCGAGGUCCUCGAGGCCAACGCUGUGCGUGUUGCGCACGUGAUCGAUGAGGCGCCCCGGCGUCGCGACAACCACCUCCGGCCGGGAGCGAAGGCUCGUCGCCUGCACGUUGGCGCUCAAACCUCCGACGACCAACGCGGCGCGGACGGAGGUGAACUGCGCCAGUCGCUCGGUCAUUUGGUGCACCUGCACGGCGAGUUCUCGAGUGGGCACGAGGACCAGCACGUGCGUAGCGGCGACGGGCUUGGGGCCGCGGUGGAGCAUGCGUUCCAGGCACGGUAACAUAAACGCCGCGGUUUUACCCGAUCCGGUCACCGCCCGGCCGCAGAUAUCCCUCCCGGUGAGCGCGAGCGGGACGACCGCCGCCUGGAUGGGCGUGGGCGAGGCGUAGCCGAGGGCGCCGCACGCCUUGACCAGCGGGCGGGAGAGGUUGAGCUCGGUGAAGUUGGCGGCGCUGAACGUGGUGUCCUUUUCGCCAUUCUUGCCCUUGACCACCGCGCGCUCGGUGAACGCGCCUGUGUCGGGGGCGAUGUCCUCCUUCUCCUCCUCUUCGUCCUCUUCUUCUUCUUCUUCCUCCUCCUCAUCAUCAUCCUCGUCUUCUUCCUCCUCCUCGGAGUCAUCAUCCUCAUCCCCCUCGGAUUCAUCAUCAUCAUCCUCGGAGUCGUCCUCGUCCUCGCUGUCGUCUUCGAUCUCCUCGGCCUCGCUGUCGGUGUCCUCCUCCUCCUCGCCGGGCAGGAGCGCAUCAUCGCUGUCGUCGUCGCUGUCGUCGUCGUCGCUGAUGUCGGAGUCGUCUUUCUUGCCCUUGCCCUUCUUUCCGCCCCCCUUGGCGUUCGCUCGAGCCUUCUGGAUCUUAGCGUCCACCGAGGUCACGCCGGCAGCCUUGAGCUCCCGCUCCAUCUCGCGCUUGGAGUCGGGGAACGCCCACGCGGGCUGCGCAGGCGCCUGCUUCUCGUCGUCGCUGUCCUCGAAGACGAAGCCCUCGGAAAAUUUGAAGCCAUCGUUGUCGUCCUCCAUCGUUUCGCCGAUACGUCCCCUGCGCCUCGGCGCGCUCGUCUCUGGCCGAUGGAGCGCCCCGCCGCCAGUUUUUCCCGUGCUGCACAUGAGCGAGUCGGCGGCGGCGAGAAAACGCCUGACCUAAUUUGCGCGAGUCGCGCUCGUCGGCCGCCACUAUCGCGAGCGCAUCGAUAUCAAACUCGAACGAUGGCCGUGGACAAUGGUCUGCUCGCACCCCUGGCGAUAUUCAUCAUCGCCGGUGCGUACUACUUCCUGAGCGCCCAGCGCAUCAUCAACGAAGACUUCGUGGACGCGUCCGUGCGCCAGAUGGUCGGCCUCAUGUACAUCAGCGACGUCGGCUUCAACCUCGUCGCCUCCCGGCUGUCCAAGUCCAAGCGCAAGAAGACGGCAUCUAAGAAGGCACCGACGGGGACUCCCGGCCUGGUCCUCAACCUCCUCCCGCUCACCGACCUCGUCGGGCUGGUGUGCGCUUUCGAGGCCAUCCGCCUCGCGGGCAGCGGCUUCCACCAAACCGUGGGCGGCGCGUCCAUACCCAUAUCGUGCCUCCUCAACGUCCUCAUCACCGGCAAGGUUUUCUCCACCGGGCAGCUCACGGGCAUCUCGAUCGUCAUCCUCGGCCUCGCGGUCAAGGCCAAGGCGCUGUUGGACUCGAACGACGACGACGACGCCGCGGGGUUCCCAGCCGUCGCCGUCGCGCACGUCCUCGUCUCCUGCGUCGGAUACGCCCUCCGCGGCAUCGCGAUGGAGUACCUCAGCGACAACGGCGUCGACGGGCGGACGAUGACGAUGCGGAUGGGCGUCACCGGCGUGGCGGCGUGGGGCGCGUACACCCUGGCCUUCACCGCCCGCGACUUUGGCGCCAAGGUGAUCGAACCCUUCUCCGCCGCGUCUACCCGCGUGGGCGUCAUCGCCUCUUUCUCGCUUUACGCCUCCCACGCGCUCUCGCGCGGCAUCGCCAGCGGGACCAUCACCCAAAUCGUUAGCCUCGGGGGCGCCACUGUGCUGAGCUUGGCGCAAGUCACGAGGGCGUCGAUCAUCAUCCUCUUAUCCUCGGUCGCAUUUUGCGGCGUUGACGAGCGACAGUGCCUCGACGGGUACGGCAUCGCGAGCGCCGCGCUGGUCAUCGCCGGCUCCGCGUACUACGGCAACGCGAAGAGCUUCGAGGAGGAGCUCGACGAUCUGAUCGACCCGGACGUGGCGGACGAGAUGGACUCGGUCAUCGGCGAGGCUGAGGAGAUUUUGGAGGAGUUGGUGGACCUCUACGUGGAGGAGCACGGCUCGGAGCCCACCGAGGACGAGUUCCUGGCGUGGACCGAGUCCCUCAAGCGGGCUGGCGCGGAGGCGGAGAGGAAGGUGAGCAAGAAGGCGGCGACGCCCAAGAAGGCCACCCCCGCGAAGAAGCCGAAGAAGGCUGCUCCGGCGAAGGCCAAGGAGACCAAGUCCAAGGCUAAGGAGACCACCACCGCCAGGCGAAGGUCAGCCAGAAAGUAGCCUGCGUCGCCCUGUAAUAACAAAUGGUGGACCGGUUUCAUCACUCCCACCGAGAAAACUUGAGCCCCUCGCGUCUCCGCAUCCGUUAUCCGUUUGACGAGUUGGCGGCUGCGCCUCACAAAAGCGCGCGACCGAGUCACUCGAACCGCACCGAGCAGUCCUCGCGCAAAGACCUCAUCAUGCUCCCUCACUCGAAGCAGAUCCUCGUCGCGGGUGUGGUGCUCAUCUCGCUCGGCGCGGUCGUCGUGGGCAUCACCACCGCGCGCGCGGUCCGCGGCGACCAGCGCGCUCGCCGCGCGGAGGACGAAGUCCUCGCGCUCAGGACCGCCCUCGACGACGUGAGCGCUCCCGUCGCGCACGAGCGCCGCAACAGGCGCGAGCUCUCCGAGAAGAUGGAGGGUUGGAUCGACGCACGAGCGACUUGGUACGGAGGUCCAGAUGGCCCAGGGCCCGACGGCAUGUCCAUCUACACCGGCAGCUGCGGCUACGGCACCAGCUUGGUGCGUGCGAACCCAACCCUAUUUUUCUGAAAGGAGAGGCUACGCCAGACCCCGUUCGCUGACCUUCCACCCGACCCACUCCUCGCAGAACAACCACUACAUAUCCGCAUGGCACACCGACGGCGGCUACGACUGGGGUCUGACCGACAAGUGCGGUCAGUGCUACGAGGUCAUGUGCGUCGACGGCGCGACCCGCGGCAAGGACUGGAGCGACCUCGGCCCCUGGGGCGGAUGCGCCGAGCCCGGCAAGAAAACAGUCGUCGUGAUGAUCUCCGACUCUUGCCCGUGCCACCACCCAAACUCCGGCAACAAGCGGUGGUGCUGCGGAGACCGCACGCACCUCGAUCUCUCCUACGCCGCGUUCGAUCAGAUCGCCAUCAGGCACAGGGGAGUCGUGGAUCUCAAGGUCAGACCCGCGCCCUGCGAUAAGCAGGGAGUCGUGGCGUAUUACGAGUGACACCGACGCGGGCUUCGCACGACGCCACCGAUGAACGACACCACGACUGCGAGUACGACGAUAGUGUAUGUGUGAUGAUUGAGAGACUAAAAGAUGGAGGUGUCGCGACCGAACACCCUGGUCUUCAUCCAGUCGAACAGGAUGAGCACGCGGUUUCUAAACGACACCUGCUUGGUCACGUAAACGCUCUUCCACAGCAAAAACGCGAACCUUCCCGAAGCCUCGUACCUGAGCCUCUGAGAUUUCCCGAGCUCAAACUGCGUGUCAACGAAAUCAACGAGUCAACGAUAUAGGGAAUAUGGUCUAUUUCGCUUUUCUUGUCACUGUUUGCUUGUGGAAGGAGGAAAACCUGCCGAAAAUGUGGGUGCCCACCUGUUGUGUUCGGGGGACAUUCCACCUGUGCCUUUCUUCUUCCCGCGCGCAAUUUUUUUCAAAAAUCUUCGUUGUGAUGUCGCGUCGGCGGAGGUGACGGCCGGGCAUAGUCUAGGGCACCUUCGAGUGCCUGAGGGUCAAGGGUUAGCCCUCGCCCUAGAUCCAACUUCACGCGGGAUCGGCGCCGACAUGGCGUCCCGCGAAAGCUUCGGCAACGGCGGCGGCGGGCAGGGCACCAGCCCGUCCGAUCGCGCAAUCGCCGCAUACGAGGAGCGGUUCUUCCAGACGGCGAACAGCAACGACAGCAAGCGGCGUAUGCUGGAGGAGCGCAUGACCAGGCCGACCCCAUCGACAGGGAUCACCGCGGGCGACGCGCUGAACGCGUCCAACGUGGGCGCGAACGAUCAGCCGGACUCGGACGACGACGAGCAGAACGCGUUCAGGGUCGAGCCCAAGCGCGCCAGGCGGGGCCCCGGGGGAUCUGGGCACGCCAACAACGGGGCUCGGGGCGUCGCGACGUCGCCGCUCGGGGACAAGGAGAGGGCGACGCCCGGGUCCGCGGGCGGUCGAGGUUCCAUCGACACCUACUACAAGCGGGUCGACGGAGUACCCCCGGCGCCCGCUUUCGGAACCUCCCCGACGCACGGCGUGGGCGGCAUCCCAACCCCCGCGUCGGGCUCGGGCGGAAGGAAGGAGAACUACCCCCCGGGAUCGGUGCCCCCCGAAGCGCGGCACGCGAGGACCGCCAGUCACCACGACAACACCCGCGCGGAGCACGAGUGGGCCGCCGCGCUCGAGCAGGCCAAAGCCGGCGCCAAGCGCGAGGCCGACGAGGCGAGGAAGCGCGCGUCGAGGCUCGAGACGGACCUCGCCGCGGCUGCGGCGAGGUGCGAGGAGCUCGCGGCGGAGCUGGAGGCUUCGCGCGAGCGAGAAGCCUCGGCGGAGGCUGCUCGUCACCAGCGCGAUCAGAACAAGACCGCCGGAGUCAUCGCCCUCGCGGUCAAGGUUGCGCGAUUCGAGCGAACCCGGUCGCGGCGCAAGCUGGCCGAGGACGGCCUCAGGCUCGGCACCGUGUCGGUGCAGAGGUCGGGCACCGUGCUGCAGGAGGUUUGGGAGGACGGCGGCGCCUUUCGCGAUCUCAACUCCCGCGCCGCCGCGGUUCAGACCGCCAAGGACGCCGCGGACGACGAGCGUAAGAGGGUGAAGGGGCGGCUCCCGCUGCCGGGCGCCGCGAUCGACGAGUCAGAGGAGAGGGCUCUGAGAGCGGAGUUUGUCCUCUCCGAGGAGGCGCACAAGGUUCGCGUCGCCGCGCUGAAGCGCGAGGAGGAUCUCAUCGGUCGCGAGCGCGAGGCGCUCGAGCGCGAGAAGAGCGCGCACAUUCGCGAGCUGAAGCGCGCGAGGGACGAGGAUAGCUCUCGGUUCAACCAGCAUCCCCUGCUCGGUGACCGGUACGUCCUGAUGAACAUGCUCGGAAGAGGCGGCUUCUCCGAGGUGUACAAGGCGUACGACGUGCUCGAGAUGCGGGAGGUGGCGUGCAAGCUUCACCAGCUCAACCCGCAGUGGAGCGAGCAGAGGAAGGUGACGUACGUCAAGCACGCGGCGAGAGAGUGCGAGAUCCACAAGCAGCUGCGACACCCGUCCGUGGUGCAGCUCAUCGACGUGUUCGAGGUGGACCAGAACUGCUUCUGCACCGUGCUCGAGCUGUGCACCGGGGACGACCUCGACGCUCGGCUGAAAGCGCAGGGCGCGGUGUCCGAGCGCGAGGCGCGCGCCAUCCUGGCGCAGGUCUUCGCGGGACUGGCGUACAUGAACAGCGGCAGCACCACCGUGAUUCACUACGAUCUGAAGCCCGGGAACAUACUGUUCGACGCGGCGGGACGGGUCAAGAUCACCGACUUUGGCCUCUCGAAGAAACGCGACAUGAACGGGGUGCAGACUUUGUCCGCGGAUACCGGCAUGGAGCUCACGUCUCAGGGCGCGGGCACGUACUGGUACCUCCCGCCCGAGUGCUUUGAGACCGGCCCGACGCCGCCCAAGAUCUCUUCCAAGGUGGACACGUGGUCGUGCGGCGUGAUACUGUACCAGAUGCUGUUCAACCGCAGGCCGUUUGGGCACGACCAGAGCCAGGAGCAGAUUUUACACGCCGGGACUAUUCGCCACGCCAAGGAGGUGGAGUUCCCGCAGACGCCAAAGGUGAGCGCGGAGUGCAAGGAAUUCAUAAAGAGAUGUCUGGCGUACAGGAAGGAGGACAGGCCGGACGUGCCCACCGCGGCGAGGGAUCCAUACAUGACCUACGCCAAGCCCGGGAGCGAGUGAGUUUAGCAUCACGAUGUGAGCGCGAGACGAUUCUUUUCCUCUUCCUGUCGCAAUAGGUUUUCGCGAACUCUCAGCCACAGCGAGCUGCGCCGCGCUUACAUGCACGUCGCUUGUGGAUUUUGCCCCGUCGCAAGUCACGUCCUCGCUCGCACGCGCGCCCAACUGUGUCGCGCUCGUUUCGCCUACCCGGUCCGAGCAUCCGCUGGAGACGACAUGGCCGAGGAGGCUUCAUCGGCCUCACGCGCGAUCAGCUUCCUCCACCUGACGCAGCAGCUCAAGCUCACGCCACGUACGGGCUGGGUGAACCACGGCGUGGACAAGCCGGAGUCCAUCGCCGAUCACAUGUACAGAAUGUCGCUCAUGGCGAUGGUUGCGGCGAAGGAGAUGCCGGGUUUAGACCAGAAUCGGUGCGUGAAGCUCGCGCUUAUUCACGACCUCGCCGAAGCCAUCGUCGGCGACAUCACGCCGCACGACCCGGUCAGCAAGGAGGAAAAGGCAAAGAUGGAGGCUGACGCGAUGGCCAAGAUACGCGAUAUGCUCGGUGAUUCGUUGGGCGGUGAGGAGGUGGAGGCGCUGUGGCACGAGUACGAGGACCAAGUCACGGACGAGGCCAAGCUGCUGAAGGACCUCGACAAGCUCGAGAUGAUCAUGCAGGCGGGGGAGUACGAGAGGGCGCAGGGGAAGGAUCUCUCGCAGUUUUUCGAGUCCACCGCCGGGAAGUUCACGACGCCGGUGGGACAGGCGUGGGAGGCGGAGAUCGUUGCGCGCAGGAAGGCUUAAAAGACGAGCGUUAUUAGAUGGCCUCUCUAUGUCAACUGCUAAGACUACUAUAGUUUUAUUCUCUCCCGUGUCCCCGAUGGUAGACUGUGUUCAGUUGUUGGCUGGGUACACGGAGUGAAAGCUACUCUGCGAACUCCUGAACAGCUCGGGCGACGCCAACAGCUUCUGCAUCGACCACACCACCGUGGAGUAGUACAUCACCUGGACGAUUUUGGUGAAGAUGUACAGUCCGGUGAAAGCGCUCUCGUUCCAGAUUUGCAGGUGUGGGUAGUUCUGGUACACGAGCCCGAGCCUGUAGAAGCGCGUGGCGAGGAUGAAGACGAAGUACAGGAAUGUGAGGAACACCGCGGGCGCAAACUCGUCCGCGAGCUUGAAGAACAUCGCCCUCUUGACCAGCUGCGUCUCCGACAUCAUGUUGUACAGGCACAUCACGGUGAGGAAGAAGGAGCAAAUCUGAAAGAUGGUGGCCAUGACGUCCACCUGGGACGUAGAGCCGUACGUGAUGUCCGCGUACGCGGCGACGAAGACGUCGACGACCAGGGCGCAGUACACCAGCAGCGCGUUCAUCUUAAACGACGGGCUCACGCGCGUGUUGUCUGUCCACGUGGGAAGGGAGGAGAGGUCAGCCGAAGGAGACGAAGGCUGUGGGAGAGGUGCCGAACAACCGUUGUGGAAAUCGCUGUUUCGGGCGUGGAGUGAGCGGGUUCGGAGCGCACCUCUGGUCGCCCCCGCCAUGGUGGCCGUGUCCUUAUCCCUACGAUGAUCCCUCGGACGUCACCCCGUGCGAUCCGGUUGUUCGAGCGAGGGGGCGCUCAGCCAAGCUCUUCUGGUCCUCGAGAAAGUGGGGCGGGCAUUUGAAACGGUUAGGAAAAUAAUUUCUUUCCGGCGACAAACUAAAAACGCUAUGCCGAGUGUUGCUGAAUUAUGGUUUUCAUUUUAGUGUAACUAUUUAGUUGUUCACAUUUCGGUACAUUUGCCAUUAGCGUCAUUUCGCCGGCCAGUCACUUCGAAAACUUGGGCACCGCCGGGAGGAGGGCCUGCUUCCCGCACCUGCCCGGCGCGUCAUUAGCGAGGUUGUGCGCACUUAGGCGCGCUACUCGGCUACCAAACGCGAUUGGGCGUUGAUCAGGCUGGGAGAGAGCCCGGUUGGUCGAUCCCGGCGAUCGGAUACUGGGGGUGCCCAGCUGUCGAUCUGGUUGGACCUUCCAGAGGCAUCGGGCGCGCCAUCCGGUUAGGAGGGUUCCAUGGGGAAGGUAACGCCAGCCAAGAGGAAGGUGGAGACGGUGCGUGUCCCGUCCGAGAAUCGCAAUCCCUACCCAUCAGGGUCGGAUUUCCCGGGGUCAAAUCGCUCGCAUGCGGCCUUCCACGCCCCAUCGUCGCGCGUACCCUCCGUUAGGUUUGCCGACUCUCAGAUCCCUUCGACUGACUUCAUCUCCCUCUCGCGCUUCCUCGACAGCCUUCGGCCGUGAAGGCCCUGGUGGACAAGAUCGUGGCCACGCCGUGCCUGCAGCUGGCCGAUGUGUUCGGUCCUUUUGCAUGGACGUUUGGGAGGGUGAGUCGCUGAACCCGAUUCCCCGCCGCGACCCGCCAAUCCCGUCGCACCCCGCCCAACCGCCGCCGCCGAACGAACUCCCGAACAGCACUUUUCCCUGACUGACCCAGCCCCCGUCCUCGCCAACAAACGCAGGGUGACUUUCAACACUGGAUCGCGGUGCUCAACCACUUCGAUGAGUUCUUCGAACAGCACGUCAAGCCGAGGGCGGACCUGGAGCUCAGGGAUCUGACGCGUUCAGUCGCGGAGCCGUUCCCCCUGGCGCCGUGCCUGUGGAUUCUCAGGACGUCCAACGUCAUCCUGGACAACUGCGCCAACAGGCACAUGUACGCGUCGUCUGAGCACCUCGCGUCGCUCCUAGCGCACGAAGACGAUGACGUGGCGCUCGGUGCGCUCGGAGUUCUCGCCUCGGCCACGCGCAGGCCCCCGGGUACGCGCUCCAGCAACAGGUUCAGGGCGGAUGCGAGGAUGGCGGGCCGGCUCGCCGCUCUUUGCGCCGGACUGCACGACGGCGCGUCCAAGGGCGGUGACGAGCACAAGGCGGCCGAGCGCGGCGCGAACAAUCGGUCCGUCGCGUCCUCCGCGACGGUGUUUGGCCAAAAGAUUGGCGCGAACGACCUGGAGAGCGGAAACAGCUGCGACGUUCACUUUGAAUUUUAUAGCGAAGGCGACGGCGCGACCAGGCUCAUCGCCGAGGAUGUUCGCGCCGGGUCACCGAUGGCGACGGCGUCGGAGCUGGUGAGCAAGCAUGGCGUACCCGACGAACUCAAGUUCACGCUGUACGCGAGGGUUCGGCUGGCGAAGCUCGCGGCGACGAUGCGGGGCGCGGCGAUUGCGACGCAGAUUCGGCUGUGCGCGUUUUGCGUGCUGCUGCAGAGCGAGCUCACCGCGGCGGGCGGGGACGAUCAGGGGCUGCAGUUCAUCAGGGAGCCCUCGCCGGAGUUCGUCGCGGAGCUGCUGAGGAUACUGAGGCUCGAGGGAGACGGCGGGUGCCCCCCCGCGGUGGUGGAACUCGCACUCAGGGUGCUGGCCGCGUUGGCGGGUGACCGGGCGCACCAGGGCGGGGUCAUCACCGCGAUGCGCGCGGGUGGCCAGCCGCAGGUGUUCGCCGCGCUGGUGAACAGCGCGGUGCAGCGGCUGACCGCGGCGCCGUCGCCGCCCAUCGGUAAGCAGGUGGGCGAGAGCUCGCUGCCAACGCUGGAGGUUGAGUCCAUCAACGCGGAGGCUGACGCGCCGGUGCCCCUCGCGGAGGCUCUCGUCGCGCUGCUCGGCACCCUGGUCAUAUCCCACGGCGGGUGCCAGACCUUACGGGACGUGAGCCUGCUCCCCGUGUUGCUGCCGCUGUUGAGGAACAGGAACCCGAGGCACCUGCACAUCGUGUCCCACGCGGUGCACGUGCUCGAGAUUUUCAUGGAUUACGCCAGCGCCGCGGCGGCGGCUUUCCGCGAGCUCGGCGGGUUGGACCUCGUGGUGGACAGGCUGCGGCAGGAGACACGGGACGCGCUCGACGAGUUCGAGGCGACGCAUAAGGACAGGGAUGACGGGGACAACGAGAAGGGGAGCGUGCACUUGGUGUCGUCGCAGCGCAGGGUGCUGAUUAAGGCUCUGAUGCGCGCGAUGGCGCUCACGAAUUUCUCCCCGGGGAUGGGCAACGUCCCCGCCGCGGGUCUCGACGACGGUAAGUUGUGCCUGGCGCUGAACGACAUCUUCGGCAGCGCCAGAUUGUUCGGCAGCGGGGUGUUCUCGCUCGCGGCGAACCUCCUGUGCGACGUGAUGAACCACGAGCCGACGAGCUACUGGAAGCUCGAGAAGCACGGCACCCCCGAGGCGUUCAUCGCGGCUUGGGAAAAGCCCAAGGAGCACGCGCCGUUGCCAUCCGCGGACGCGCUGGCGUGUCUGCCCGUCACUCUGGGCGCGCUGUCGCUCUCCGCGGAGGGCCUCGAGAGGGUGAAGAAGUCCAGGGCCCUGGAUGCGCUCGCCGAUGCUUUUACCACCCGCACCUACGCCAAGCUCUUGCAGGGCGAGACUGCGAGCACCAUCGGCGGCAACCUGGACGAGCUGCUCAGGCACGUCCCCAGCCUCCAGGAUAUGGGCGUGAGACUCGCGGUGGACGUGCUCCGUCGGCUGGUGGAACUGGGCGGCGGCACCGUGGAGCAUGCGCAGGAUUCCAAGGUUGAUAAGGACCCGGUGAAGAAGGCGAGGAUGGACGGCGACUCUAGCCCGGGUGGCGCCAGCGAUUCUCCCAGAGGAAUGGACACGGACUCUGCCGAGAAGGAAGAGCCGGAUGAGAAGCAGCUUUCGCCCUCGUUCCUCAUGGAGGCGGUGGCCAACGCGGCGCACCUGAUCGACAGCAUGCUCCCCACGGACGAGUGCGGCCAGAAGUUUGUUGAGCAGGGCGGAAUGCAGCUCCUGAUUCAGCUGCACACCCUGCCACUGCACGGACCAAAUUUUUCUUCCUCGUCGCAGUGCCACGCGCUCUCCGUCACGCUCCGCGCACUCGCUGGGCAACACUCGAAGGAGCUCGCCAAAAAGGUGCAGGUUGCGCUGGGCACGGCUGUCGAGAAGGCAAUCCUCGCGAUGAGUCACGGUCAUGAGAACGACUUGUAUCCGCCUUUCGCUCCGAUGAGGGAUUUCCAGUGGCGCUGCAUCAAUGAAGAGAAAAUGGAAACCAUCGGCCACGGGGCACCCAAUCCCUUGCCUGUUGAUUCUAUCGCAGCGAAGGCAAAGAAGAUUCGCGCAGCGCUCGCAGACGCGGAGGCGCUACUCAACCUCACUACCACGCUGAUCAGAUCGUCUCCCGGCAUGCUACCAACGCUGUGCAGCGGCGACGACAGCUGGACUUCCCAUAGGUCUCACGACGCCAAUGGUUGGGUUCCGGGACUGAUCACGAGGAUUUCACACCUCCAGCGACAGGUGCAGGCCACCGCAGCAGUGCUCCAAGAUGAGUACGGAUUGAGAAAAUGUGAUAUGGAGGAAAAUCAGAAGAAAGUCAAGGAGCACAUCGCGGAGUGGUGCAAGCAGACGGGAGGUCAAGAGAAGGAUUUCGAUGAGAACGACCCAAAUGUGGAUGCGGCAUUAUCGGGCAAAAUCCGCCUGGCGAAGCAGUCUGUGGAGGUGUUGCAGCUGAUGCAAUCGCUGCAGUCGCUGUCCAACCACUUUGUCACCUCGCACAACUACUUUUGCUCGUCUCUCGCGAAGGCCGCGAGCGGGAUCAGACAUAGGCACCGCGACGAGAACUCUGUGCAGUCGCGCGGCGCCGCGUGCGAGCUCGCUGUGCAGGUGUGCAGAACCCUGCAGGAAAUCGCCGAAUUUGACUACAAGGAAACCGAUGACCACCGGGACUUCAGGCGGGCGCAGCGGGCGUUUGACGACGUGUACGCGAUUCUCAUCGACACCAGACGCCGAUGCAGCCAGGGAUUGGUGCUUAAUUACAUGCGCCAGAACUACAAGAGGGUGGCUGACUCCACCGCCACCGACGGCACCGGCCUCGACCUAAUCGCCGAGGCCUUCGCGGUGGUGUGGCAGCAAUAUGUCAGAUGCGUUGGGAAGAAAAGCGCCUUGAAGCCUCUUGAAGAAGGGGCGGAAAAGACCGAAAUCCAGACAGAGCAUGAGAAGUGGCAAAACCGCGCCGAGAUCAUGGAGCAUGCGCUCAAGACGGGCAUCGGGCUGAUUCAGCAGCUCGUUAACAUCGCCGUGCUGAUGGGCUCAUCCGUGUCCGCCACGCUCCUCACCGCGAGCCUUCCCAAGUUUCGCGCGCCGAACAAGCUCGCGAAGAAAGCUGAGACUUACGUCAGCGGCGUGUUGGCGCUGGAUGAGAUCAUCGCCAGGAACGACGCGGCGGUGUUUGAGCAGAGUAUGAAGGAGGACUCGUCGCCGACCGUGAAGCAGUUUGCGGAUGUACUGCACGCCGCGAUGCUCCCCGCGUUGAUGAAGAUUUGGAACUCGGACUCCCUCAAGUCCUGCCCCACGCAAGUGCUGGUGGUGCUAAUGGCGGCGAUGCGGCACCUCCGCGACGGCACCGGGAAGGUUGACGCGCACGAAGGGCCGCCGAGGCGGGGGCGGACCGGAUCGGGCGGCGCGGCGCGUCUGCUUGGCGGGCUCGCGCCAGCCCCGCCGCCUCCUCCCCCGCCGUUUGUUCCGUCGCCUUCCAUGAUGGCGUCUAUCCAGGAGAUGGGUUUUUCAGAGCCGCAGGCGAGGGCGGCGCUGGUGGCGGUGCGCGGGCAGUCCAUCGAGAUCGCCAUGGAGUGGCUCUUCACGCACCCGGAGGAAGCGGCGGCGGCGGACGAGGCUGCUGCUGCGGCGGCUGCCACCACCACACCCGCCCCCGAAGAGAAGAAGGAGGAGAAGGAGGAGAAGGAGGAGGAAAUCACGCCGUCGCAGGAUGAGCUGGCCAGGGCCAUGGCCAUGUCCAUGGACGAAGCCGAGGCUGCUGACGCCGCUCCGCCCGCCGCGGAGCCCAAGAUUGAGCUCAUAUCACAGGAGAAACUCAUGGCCGACGGACUCCCGGCGAGUACCUGCCUGCGCACGCUCCUGGACCGCGAAUGCAAAAUGCCCGCGGCGGCAGACCUGAUCGAGCCAAUGAUGGACAUUUGCCAGGCGAACGAGGACAUGGUGUUCCCUUGCGUCGGCCUCUUCAAAGCCGCAGUCGGUCCCGCAAAGGAAGCCGAGCAGAAGAGCGCGAUGACCCGGAUCUUGACGAUGGUCGUCAACGCUUUCGAUCCCGAGACAUUCUCCGAGCCGGACCUGUACACCAACAGCCGCUUCCUCGCGCUCUUGCUCUCGGACAGAAACGGUUUGCGAGAAAUCGCCGCGGACGUCGACUGUUUGAUGACCGUUUCGUCCGAGCCCGGGGACGUGCAGGCUGAACGCGCCAGUCGCGUCGAUAACAUGCUCGUGGACUUUACGGACAGGGCCGUGUGCGCGCUGGAGCGAUUCCUCUCAGAGCACAAGGAGUCGGGCUCGGCGGUGAUGCCCAAGUGGUUCGCGACGCUCGUGCUGGUGAUCCACGCAAUCGCGCAGUGGCGAGGCGUGAAGCCGAUGGAGUUUGACAGAACCUCCAACGAAUGGGAGACCAAGCGCCCGAACAUGCGUCAGCGCCUGGAGCAGGAGAGAACCGACGAGGAUAAGCUGGACGCCGCGUACGUGAAGCACAAGACGAACCCGGCGGAUGCGCUGAAGUCCGUCAUCGGCUCACCCAUGGGCUACCUCGACGACGACAUGUGCGAUCGCGCGACGAAACUGUGCAUCGACAUACUGCUUCUUACUGAAACCCAGGGCGAGGAGGUGGACCCGUCCGAGACCAUCGUGGGUGCGCUCACGUCGGAUGAGGACGUGGGUGGCGUGCAAGCCGCGCUCCAGCUGCUGUCGCACCUGACCAAGGACCACCGCCGCGCGUGCAUGCUCCUCAAGCCCAAAAACUGCAUAAACACGUUACUGAACGUCCCGAGGAAAUUCGCGUUUGCCGCGUACGAUGCGCUGGCGUCUUCGAUCCUGCGACACGUGGUCGAGGACCCCGAGGUUCUGCAGGCUGCGAUGGCCACGGAGAUUCACACGAUCCUGGGCGAUCAAUCCAAGAUCAACUCGCGACGGUUCAUGCCGCAGGCUAUGCCGGUCAUCUCGAGGGACCCCGCGGCUUUCGUCGCAGCCAUGGAGAAGUGCUGCGUCAUCACGCAGGGCGCCAGAGGAGACCCGCGGCAGGUUGGUUUCUUUGUGCAUCUUCGCAAGAGGUACAUCGACGACGAGAAUCGCAAGGUCGCAUCUUCGCAAGGUCGCAAUUUGGACCCCAGAACCGACGUCUCACCCAAGGACAGGGAGGCCUACCUCGCGUCCCCUUCGUCCAGGGCGCUCAAGUCUCCGGCUGGUGACACCGCGGCCAAGAGCCAGGGCAAGGGCCACGGGAAGAAAAAGGCGCAUCCGUCGUUCGCGACAGUGAUCCAGGCGCUCGUCGACGCGGUGAUGGCGUAUCCGACGGACGCGGAGCGAGCCGCCGAGUGGGGCGAGGGGGGCGGCACCGCAGCCGUGGACGCCAUGGAAACAUCCGCGGAGGUUGACUCGAAGGAGGUUGACUCGAAGGAGGUUGACUCGAAGGAGGUUGACUCGAAGGAGGUUGACUCGAAGGUGAAUGCGCCGUCGCUUGCGGCUGUUCGCGCCUCCCUCGCGCUUCGCCUGCUCACCGAUUUCACCCUCGUGUACGGCGCCGCCGCCGGGCAGAUCCUUCGCAUGGACGCGCCGACCGAGGGAGCCAAGAGCGGCCUGCUCAAGCACGUCCUCUACGUCCAGCUCCCCGAGGCCAAGGCAAAGCUCGGCGAAGCCGACAAGGACGGCAGGCCCGCGGCGGGCGGAUGGGACGGCGGCGAACGAGCCGCGUACCUUCUCCUCGCGCUCUGCGUCCGAUCGUCGGAGGCGAGACGCAGGGUGCUUCACGAGGUGAGCGUCGCGUUGAAAUCGGCGGAUGCGCUCGUGAAGAACGCUCGCGAAGGCCCGGGACCCGCUCGAGCGUUUGUGGAUCUGGUCAACGCUCUCCUGGCGUACGCGGGGGGUAAACCCGCGGGGUCCGCGCCGGGUGCCCAGAACAACGGCGAGGGCAAGGACCUCCAAAGGCGGUACGCCGGUGACUUGCAGCGGUGCAUGAAGGACGCGAACCUCCUCCCGGCCAUGUGCGCGGCGCUGGACGGGGUGGACCUCAACGACGCCGCCGCGCCGGUGCUCGUCAACGCGAUCUUGCGGCCGCUGGAGGUGAUGACGCGGCCGGCGCCCCCGCCCAAGUCGCCUGCGUCGCACCCGCGGCUCUCGCAGGGCGCGGGGGAGACCGCCGCCGCCGAGACCGCCGCCGAUGCUGCGAACGCGCCGGGCUCGAUCGAGCGACGUAAUCGUGGGCAGGGCAACGAAGGGGGCCACGGGCUGGCGAGAACCGCCACGAUGGCGGCGGAGCACGACCCGGAGCAGAUGGCGCAGCUCGAGCAGGUUGCCGGUCAGAUGUUCGAGUCGAUGGACCGCGACGACGAGGACGACGACGAAUCCGGCGAGGAUGAGUCGGGCGAGGAGGACGAGUCGGGCGAAGAGGACGAGGACGACGAUGAAUCCGACGAGGACUCCGACGGCGAGGCGGACAUCGACCUCAUGGACGAUCACGAAGAGCAGGAGGUUGAAAUGGUCCACGACGAGGGCGACGGCGAGGAGGAGGACGCCGCCGUCGACCACGGGCACCACCACGGCCACGACGACGACGACGAGAUGGAAGCCUCGGACGAGGAUGCCGAGGACGAAGACGCCGAGGACGAUGACGAAGACGAUGAUCACGAUGAGGAGGAGGGCGCCGAGAUCAACAUCGAGGAGGACGUCGACGACGACGGAGACGAGGAAGUUGGCGCCGACGACCGGUGGGACGUCGACGACCAGGACGACCACUUCGACCUCUUUCCCCCGUUCGACGAGCACGGUACCGACGCGGCCCCACCCCCGGGUGGAUGGGGACCGGGUGAGAUCGUCCCGCUCCACGGCCACGCGCACGCGUUGGGACACGGCGAAGAGGAGGACGUGAUGCACUUUGGCGGUGAGGACGACGGCGACGACGACGGCGUCGACGCGGGCGACGACGACGACGGCGACGACGACGACGGCGCCAGACUCGCUGAGCAGCUGCAGGGUCUCAUCGGUAACAUCGCGAACCAGGUUGGCGCCCAGGGCGGCGGGCCCGCCCCCGUCGUCGAGUUGCGGGUGAGGGACAACCGGCUUCGCGAGCUGGUCAUGCGACGGGGCGGUCGCGCGAUUUUGCGGCCGGACGACAUCGGGUCGCUCGUGGCCGGCGCGGGCGCGCCGGGGGGCGCGGGCGCCGCUCGCGCGCGCGGCGCCAACAACCUCGCCGGCGGCGGCAUCCUCUCCGACAUCUUCAACCUCCGAAACUCGCUCGAAGAGGCUCGAAGGGGCGCCGCGACGAGCCCGGCGUCGCGGCGCGGCGGCGCAAACUCCACCAGCGCGGGUAUCGCCACCGACGCGGAGCUCAUCUACGAUCCCACCCGCGGCGCCGGCGGGAUGGAUCCGCUCGAGCAUCCGCUCCUGGGCCGCCGCCCCGUCGAUUUCGCGCGGGGGGGCACGAGCGCGAACGCGAACGCGAACGCCGCCGGCGGAUCGGGCGCCGGCGGAGCCGAGGCUUUGCGGGGUCGGACGCCGCGAGCCGCCGGGAUGCACUCGGUUCUCGCGUCGAUUUCCGGCGAGAUGUCUCGACUCGCCGUCGGUCCCGGCGCGCCUCAAACGGGCGGUCGCGGCGCGUUCCAGGUCAUCGGCGCCGGCGAACAGAAUGGGAGGCUCUUCGUCUUGCCCGAGGUGACGGAUCUCGGAUCGCUGCUUCGCGUGGAGCGAUCCGACGGGGGUCGCGGCGCGGCUAGCUCAUCUACAGCUGGCGGCGACGACGGCGGCAGGCGCUGGGACCCGCCGCGGGUCGGUGACGCGCGAGCGGCGACCUGGGCCGAUCCGAGCCGCGGCAGCGUCGCGCCCCGGCACGUCAACCCGUGCCUGGACGCCGCGGCGAGCGACCUGGAGGCGCACCUCGCGGGUAUUCUCCGAGCGGAGCCCGCCGCUCAGCCGCCGCCGGCUGCCGACCAGCCGGCGGCGGAGCCCGAGAAGACCACCACGGAGGGUGACGUGGAGAUGGCGACUGAACCCGAGCCGGAACGUGCCCCGGAGCCCUCCUCGACGCCCGAAGCGGAGGCGCCUGCUCCUCCUGUGGCGGAUGAGGCGCCCCCCGUGGAGACUGCCGCCGACGAGAUCCGGGAGCACCCCAUCACCGCGGAACCUUCCGAGGAGGAGGACGACGACGAGGACGAAGAGGAACCCGAGCCCGAGGACCAGCCCAUCGACUCCGAGUUCCUCAACGCCCUUCCCCCCGACCUCCGCGAGGAACUCCUCGCCACCAAUCGGCAGAUCGCCAGGCUCAACCGACGAAACACGAGCGCCGACGCCAGCGCCGCCGCCUCGAGUCAACUCGAGCCCAUCGACCCGUCCUUCAUCAGCGCGCUCCCGCCGGAUAUGCAGGCUGAGGUUGUCCAGCAGCAGAGCCGGGAGGUCGCCCGCGUCAUGCGCGAGCGCGCCGCGGAGGACGCGAGGCGAUCCGCCCAAGCCGCGGCGGAGGCUGCCGCGCGGGCCGCCGCCGCCGCCGCCGCCGCGCCCGAGGGUGAGCGAACGGAGGCGCAGAGAGCCGCCGCCGAAGCAGCCGCCGCCGCCGCGCAGGCGGCGGCGCAAGCCGGAGGCGCGGCGCAGGGCGGCAUGGACAACGCGUCCGUCAUCGCGUCGUUUCCCGAGGAGCUUCGACAGGAGGUGCUCCUCUCCGCGGACGAGUCCGUGCUCGCGACGCUGCCCGAGGCGCUUCAGGCUGAGGCCAGGACGCUCCGCGAGAGGCACGCGCAGCAGAUGCGGCAGUUUCAAAACGCGGGAGCCGCCAGAGCCGCGGCGGAGGCGGCAGCCGCCGACGGCAUGGAGGACGACGACGAAGCCGGCGGGACCGCCGCCGCCGCCUUCUCGAGGCAGCUCAGGACCAUGCUCGGGCUCUCGGGCCCGGGGCCGCUGGGCGGCGGCGGCGGUCGGGGGGGCAGGGGCGAACGAAUGUUGGCCGGGGCGUUAACCGCCGCGGACAGAGCCGCGAAAGCGGCGAAGCUCGCGUCGCCCGCGGUGGACCGCGACGCGCUCCUCACGCUGGUCAGGCUGCUUCGCCUGGCGCCGCCCCCGGCUAAGGGCCUGCUCCCAAAGGUUCUCCUCAACCUCGCGGCGCACGCGCCGACCCGCGACGCGCUCCUCAGGCUGCUCUUCGCCAACCUGCGAGCCGUGAUGGAGGCCAACGAGGGCGGCGGCGGCGAUUGCGGCGCGCUCUACGGCCGGGACGUGCACGUCGUAUGCUCCAAGCCCGACGCCGCGGCGAGACUCCUCGCCAAACGCGCGCUGGAGACGGCGGUGUUCCUCGCCAGGCACAGCGCGUUCAUAUCCAGGAGGAUCCCCGCGCUGGCGGUGACUUUGAGCGACGCGGCCGACGCCGCCGCGGCGGGGGCGCUCGGCGCAAAGUCACCCCCGAAAUUUGCAAACGAGAUUGGCACGGACGAGACGGUCCUGACCAGAAGUCCGGCCUCCAUCCCGCUUCCCGCGGCGAGGCCCGACGCCGGCUCGGCCGGCGGCGACGGCGUCGUGGCGCUGCUGCUGAGGUGCCUCGGAUCGACCGCGUUUGCGCCGCACGUGGGUCACCUGGAGCUCAUCCUGCAGCUGCUGGACGCGACGCUCAGGUCCAGCGCGUUCGAGUUGGACUACCACGUCAGGGCUCUGCGAAUACACAGGGAGGCGGAGGAGACGAGGAGAAAGGCGAAUGAGGAGAAGAGCAAAAAGGAGGCGGAGACGCGAAGGACGGCGGCGGAGAUCACGGAGGCGCCCGGGGAGGAGGACGCGACGCUCGCGAUGGACGAAGGCGUCAACACGGCGUCAACGCGGAUGGCUCUUCACAAGGAAAAGGACGAGAAAAAGGACGUCGAGAUGGUCAGGCCACACGGAACCGAAGACUUCGCCGUCGCCCGCAUCCGCGAGGCGCUCGCGUCCGACUACGCCCGGCUCUCCGCCGUCGCGACCCUGCUCGGCCGCGACGGGCUCACCGAUUCCGUCUACGCCAAAGCCGCCGACGUGUGCCGAGCGUUGGCCGACGUCGCCCCCGCCGCCCGCGACGCGCUCGCCUCCGCGCUCUCCGCGCAGGUCAGGUCCAGGAUCGAGGACGCGGUGGCUAACCUCGAAUCCGUGCGAUUCACCGCGUCGGUUGGGAGGACCGCGCAGACGAUGGGCGCGAAGGAGGCGGAGGCUGAGGCGGCGGCGGCGGCGGCGGCGGCGAAGCUUCCCCCCUCCGUCGCGUCGUCGGGUUCCGCGAUUCUUCGCGUGUCGCACGUCGUCGCCGCGCUUCUCAAGUUUGACGUCGACGCGGCCAAACGCGAGGAGACUGAGGCGGCGGGUAACGCCCUCGCGGCCGCCGGCGCGGGCCCCGGCGAAGUGAUCCCGCCGCCGCGCUCCGGCGCCGACGUCGAAGCCGAGCGACGUCGACGACGAAAAGCUAUGGGCCGAGCGAUUCAAUCAUUCGCCGACGAGCUCAACCCGGUGUGGGCCGCGCUCAGCGAGGCGUGCACCGUGCUCGAGCCGCAGAUCGCCGCCGCGGCGGCCGUCGCGGCGGCGUCCUCCCGGGGGGGCACCGCGGCGCCCGCGCUGCCCGCGGGCGCGAGGCAGAUCCAGCCCGUCGUCGAGGCGUACUUUGCCCUCGCCGCCGCCAUCAACGACGCGUCCAAGCGAGUCGCCCCCGAAGCCUCCGUCGAGGAACCGGGAGGAAGGAACGCGACCAUCUCCUCGCCCGAGCGGGGCGGCGUCGUGGGGUCCGACGAGGGUUUGGUGUCGUCGAAUGCGGCGUCGUCGGGCCUGGACGCGGACGACCGCGCCGCGUUUGGUCUGUCGAGGGUGACGUCACCCGCGUUUGGACUCGCGAGGAGCGCGACGCCCGCGAAUGGUGCGGCGACUGCUGGCGGCCGGGCUCCUCACUCGAGUGGUCCAUCGGCGUCUCAUCCCGGGGGGGCGGAUCUCGCGCCGGUGGCGGAGGAGGAGGCGGACGCGGGCGCGGACAAAGACGGGCCGGGCGGGGUGACGAGCGUGUGGAACUUCACCAACGAGCACCGCUCGGUGGUCAACGCGCUGGUCCGGUCGCAGCCCGGGUUGCUCGACGGCAGCCUGCGCCUCAUGCUGGAGAAGCCGCGCCUGCUGGAUUUCGACAACAAGCGGUCGUACAUCCGCGGCAAGCUGAAACGGCUCGCGGAGCGCGAGCAGAUGCGGGGAUCGCACCACGGCCCGGUCCGCGCGCAGAUCAACCGCAAGCAGGUGCUCACCGACUCGUUCAUGCAGCUCCAGCACCUCAAGCCGGCGGAGCUGAGGGGCCGACUGACGAUUCAGUUCUCCGGCGAGGAGGGCAUCGACGCCGGCGGCGUCUCCCGCGAGUGGUACAUGCUCCUCGCCAGGGACAUGUUCAACCCCGACAAGGCGCUGUUCGAGCUGUCUCCGUCCGGCGACGGCGCGUACCAGCCGUUCGGCAACUCCGGCAUCAACGAGACGCACUUGGCGUACUUCAAGUUCAUCGGUCGGAUCAUCGGUAAAGCCGUGUACGACGGGUACCUGGUUGACGCGCACUUCACCCGGCCUUUUUACAAGCACAUGCUGAACAUACCGCUCAACUACGACGACAUGGAGGCGUUCGACCCGGACUACCACAAGAGUCUGGUGUACAUGCUGGAGCACCCGCUGGAGGAGAGCGGGCUCGAUUACCUGACCAUGUCCGCGACGGCUGAUUAUUUUGGGAUGGAGACGGUUGUCGACUUGAUCCCCGACGGGCGGGACGUGAGCGUCACCGACGACAACAAACUCGAGUACGUCAACCUCGUCGCGGCGCACAGGAUGACCAACGCGAUCAAGGAGCAGAUCGCCGCGUUCACCGAGGGUUUCAACGACAUAGUUCCGCACGAGAUCAUCUCCAUCCUCAACCCGUCGGAGCUCGAGCUGCUCAUAUCGGGCACGCCCGAGAUUGACAUCGACGACUUGAAGAACAACACGGAGUACACCGGGUACACCACGUCCGCGCCGCAGGUGCGAUGGUUCUGGGAGGUCGUGAAGGACCUCAGCGAGGAGGACCGCGCGCGCUUGCUGAUGUUCGUGACGGGAACGUCCAAGGUUCCGUUGGACGGUUUCAAGGCGCUGCAGGGCAUCAGCGGGCCGCAGAGGUUUCAGAUUCACAAGGCGUACGGCGGCGGUCAGAGGCUUUGCAGCGCGCACACGUGUUUCAACCAGCUGGACCUGCCGGAGUACAACACGAAGGAGGAGCUGAAAGACCGGCUUCUGUUCGCAAUUAGAGAAGGCAGUGAGGGUUUCGGCUUCGGCUAGCCAGAUUCCACGAGAGAUAGCGUUGGCCGGGUAAACAUCCCCGCGCGACAACACGCAACAAAUUGUAGAAGGAAUGUAAGAGUGAGAGAAAUUCUAAGCGAGCCAACCAUCACGCGUCGUAGUUUACUCCCCCAGUUUUUCGGGAGGGUCCUCCUCGUCGUCUUGCUGGGGCGCGACACCGGUGCCCGUGCCAGCCGCGGCGCCCGGUCCGCCCUUCUGGCUGAGUCCGGACACGAUGUCGUCGAUGCGGAGGAGCAUCGCGGCGGAUUCCACCGCCGUCUUGAUGCUCUGCACCUUGACGGCGUACGCCUCCCAGACACCCAGCUCCUUCAUGUCGACGAUGGUGCCCUUGUCGCCGUCGAUGCCGAAAGUGCAAGCCUUGCCGCCGGUGCUCUCCGCCGUCCACUCCGCGUGCUUGGCCCUGAGCUUCGUCAGGGUGCGAAUCACGUUGGCGCCGCAGUUUUGCGCGAGGGUCCUGGGGAUAACCUCGAGAGCCUGGCCGAUAGCCUUGAACGGCCACUGCUCGACGCCCUCAAUCUUGAGCGCCUCCUCGGAGAUGGCGCGGCUCACGGCCAUCUCGACCGCGCCGCCGCCGGGCAGCAGCCUGGGAUCGUGCACGACGUUCCUGGCCACGCCCAUCGCGUCCUGGAGGUUGCGCUCAACCUCGUUGAGGACGUCCCUGGAAGCGCCGCGGAGGAUGAUGGAGCACGCCUUGGGCUCCUUGCAGUCGACGAAGAAGGAGAAGUACUCCUCUCCAAGCUUCUCCACCUUGAAGAGGCCCGCGCCGGUGCCGAUGUCCUCCUCCUUGAGCUCCUCGACGCGGUGCACGAUGGAAGCGCCGGUGGCUCGCGCUAUGCGGUUGUUAUCCGUCUUCCUCACCCUGCGAAGCGCGGUGAUGCCAGCCUUGCACAGGUAGUGGGUGGCGAGGUCGCUGAGUCCCUUCUCCGUGACCACGAUGUCGGGCUUGAAGGCGGCGAUCUGCGCGCAAACGCCCUGGAUCCAGUCCUCCUCCAUCUUGAGCAGCACCGCCCAGUCCUCCUCCUUGGUGAUCUCGACGUUGGUCUGGUUCUCACCCUUCUUGUACUCGAGGGGGCAGUCCAGGAGCAUAACGCGCGGGUUCUCGAUCCUGCGCUGCAUCCUGCCGGGCGCGACGACGUCCUUGUUCAUCAUCACGCCCUUCAGCACGCGGCAGUCGUCGAUGCUACCGCCGGCGAUUUUCUCAACCUUGGCGAACUUCUUGAUGUCAACCUCCUUGGUGCCGUCGCCGUUGUCCACCGCCACGCACAGCACAGCCUCCAACGCGAGCUCAGCCAUGAGCGGGCCGAAACGGCUGGUGUACUUGGUGCCGAUGCAGCUGCUGACGAUGUUCAUGAGCUGCUGGCGGUCGUCCACGUCGAUGGGAAACGCGAGGGAAUCGAUGAUCUUCACCGCCGCGUCCAGCGCCUUCAUGUACGCUCGGACGAUGACGGUGGGGUGGAUGUCCUUCUCGAGGAAAGGCUGCGAGAGGUGGAGGAUCUCGCCCGCGAGGAUGAUGACGGAGGUGGUUCCGUCGCCGACCUCCUCGUCCUGCGUGCGGCUGAGCUCGAUCAUGGACUGCGUCGGGACGGAGAGGCGAACGGGGAGGGUCAGCGAUCGAUCGUAAACUUUUUGUGGGUUGGGGCGAUGAGUGGGCGAGCGACGUUUCGUCCUCCUCGGUUUGACUUUUUCGAGGGGUCCGGGUGCGGGCGCGCACCUUGGCCGCGGGGUGAGUCACGUCGAUCUCGCGAAGGAUGGCGUUGCCAUCGUUCGUCAGCACGAUACCUGGGUCGACGGAGGAAGGGUUUGGGAUGAGCGGGGACGUCGGUCAGCGCUGCCGUCCGGGUCCCGGGAUCUCGUAAAAGUUUUGGGCGCGAUCGGGGCGGUGUGCCCACAGCCGGCGCGGGGCUGGAGAUGGAAGGGGCCGAUCGGGGUGGAAGCGCACCUCCGGAAGCGUCGAGGAUCAUCUUGAGCAUGGAACGAGGACCGAGCGUGGUGCGGAUGAUAUCCGCGACGGCCUGUGGAGGUGCGCAGAGACGGGGAAGAGGGGUUCAGUCGCGGGUCUUCGCACGUCGACCCUCCGUGGCUCGAGGGAUGUGGCGGUUGGCGCCGAACGCGCGCGGGGGCUUUGACCGCAGAUCCGGGUCGUGGGGAUGGGGUAUUCGCGACGCGACGCACCUUAGCGGCGGCGAUGUUGUUCAGCUGCGCGGUGCGACCGGUCUCACGCUUCGUGUUGGUGUCUGGAUGGGACGGAGAGGCGCGAUCGGUCAGUCGAUGGACUCACGGGGAGGGAGGGGAAAGCCUGAACGAGAAGGGAAGUGUUUCUUCGGCUGGGCGGCGGGUCAGAUCUCGAGCGGCGAGGGGCACUCACUCAUCACCAUGAUGGGGCUUUGCAUGCCCUGCAUCUUGACCGGACGUUCACUCGUGAACUCCGCGACUCUCCUGGGUUGGAUUCAAGCAGCGCGGUGUGGAGGCGCCAGUUGAUCUGCCCACUGCGCUGCGCCGAGAUCGCGCUUUUCAAACAGAUCGGCUCGCAGCGUGUGUCAAUCGGGAGCACGAACCACGAAAUGGGAGGUCCGACGCAGGUGGCGCAUCUUGAUAAGUUGGCCGGCGCACUGAAGCGGGCGCGGACCUUCGCGAUGGACCCCCGGUCCGCCCCGUGGUACUACCUCCACGUCGAGGCGUACCAGAAGGGUGUCGUCGCGCAGCAGGGCCCGAUUCCCUUCGACGAGCUCCAUGUCAUGUACAAGGACGGCAAGGUGGAACGGGACACGUUCGUUUGGAGCGAAUGCCACGAGGCGGACGACUUCUUCCAGAUCGAGUCCGUGCCGGAGCUCGUGGCCGCACUCGAGGUUCCCCUCGAGGGCGACGCGGCCGAGGCUGAAGAUCUGACGACGAGCGUGACGCAAUCCCUGCCCGAAGAUCCUCCGAAGGACGAGACGCGACCGCCCGAGAGCGCCGCGGACACCGAGGCGAACACGACGAAGAAGGAGACCGAGCCCGUCGAGCGGGCAUCCGCACCCGAGCAGACCACGACGCUCCCGAUCGCACCCGCCCCCUCCCCCACGCCGUCAUCGAUGCGCACACCCGGAAGGUCGGGAUCCGGCGCGCUGGAGGCGAUCAUGCGCCGCGUGGGUGGAUCCACCGCCAAACGCGUCGCGUCCCCGCGCCUCGCGUCGCGCGGAAGAUUCACGACGUCUCGGCGCGGUGACGGCGACGACGACGACGCCUCCGACGACGCCUCCGACGACGCGUCCUCCUCCGACGACGACGUGGAAGCCGACGUCAUGCUCGGUCGCAAGAAGUGGUUCCCCGACGUCGAGAACGCGCUCAACGUGGAGUACGCCGCGCUCAAACGCGCGCUGCACAAGGACUACGUCGCUCACGUGCGUAAGCUCGAGGCGAGUCUGGAAUCCAUCGAGGCUCGCAUAAGGGACGCGAGGGAGCGACGCGCGGCGGUUCGCCGGGAGACGGCGAGGGAGCGGAGGGAACACGAGAGACUGGCGAGGUCCGCGAACGACGUCGCGCGGGAGCUCGAGCGCUUACGACGGAGGGAGGAGGAGCUCGGCGAGCGCGAGCGGGCGGCGAGGGAUCGCGAGGACGAGAUCGCGUCAGCCACCGCGGAGCUCGCGUCCCGGGCGGAGGACCUUGUAAGGCGCGAGCGUGUAUUGGAACGGCGCGAGCGCGCGGUGCAGAACGAGACGGAGGCGCUGGACGCCCGCGGGCGCGAGUUGGACGCGCAAUUCGACGCGUGCGAGGCGACGAUGGCAAAGUGCAAAGCGGAGAGGGACGAGCACGCGUCCGCGAUGCGCGAAGUCUCCGAGGUGGAGCGACGGCUCGAGGAGGACGCCCGGCGCAUCGCGGCGCAGGGCGAGGCGCUCGCGCGUCGCGGGGAGGAGGACCGCCGCCGCGUGAAGGAGCGCGAGGCGGCCAUCGAGCGACGCGAGGCGGCCAUCGCGGAGAAGGCGGAGGAGGCGGAGGCUGUCCUGGCCAUGGAGCGGGAGGCGGUGCGACUGGCCAUCGGCGAUCGGUUUGAGGAGAUGGAGCGAUCGAGACGGGAGGUGAUGGCCGCGGCGGCGAGGAAGGCGGAGGAUCCGGCGUGGGACGCGGUGCCUCCACCUCCUCCCCGGAUCAGUCACCCUUCAACGGCGGCGGCCCGCCACAGUUCCCCGUCGUCGUUCCGCACCCCGCGGCGGCCUCCACCUCCUCCACCUCCUCCACCUCCUCCACCGCAACACUCUCAACACUCUCAACACCAACAUCAGCCUCAUCCUCACCCUCGCGACGACGAUGUCGGCGUCGUCGGCGGCGAGGCGAGCGUGCUGACUGGCGCGGGCGCGCGUUGGGCCGCGGGCGUACCCUCCCCCGCGGCGGCGGCGGCGGUGAGGAAGGGCGCGGUCCUCGUGCCCGUGUACCGCGGCGGCAUGCCCGGCGCCGGCGGCGUCAGGAUAUGCGACGUCGCCGUCGCGUCGACCACCACGCUCGGCGGUUUGCGCUCGGCGCUCGCGGCGCAUCUCGGGUUGUCAACGCGGGACGGGCUCGCGAUUCGCCGGCGGGGCACAGCUGUGCCGCCGACGCAGGAUCACCUCCCGGCGUCGACGUACUUCGGCUCGUACGACGACGCGGUGGUGUUAGACUGAGACUUAGCCAGUAGCAGUUAGCUUUUGGAUGACGACAUCGCAUCGUCGCGACCAUGAAUGAGCAGAUGUCGUCCGCGUUGGUUGGAACGAGGUCCGGUGUCCUCUUGAAAGGGAUCAGUUUGUUGUCGGGGCAGCAGAGCGAGGCGCGCCUGGUGGCGGCGGCGACGAAGGCUCCGGGGGUCGGGUAUCGUCAUGCCGUUCCAGGUGAGCGGCACAAAGAAGGGCGGGAUGCCCGUCACCGUCGAGAAGCGGCCGAAAGGCAAGGUGGCGACAGUCAUCGGCAACGUUCGGGGCGAUAAGGCGGAGCUUUUGGCGAUGGUGAAGGCUGCGGUGGGCGCGGGAGGCUCCGUCGCCGGUCACGAUAGCGUCGAGAUUCAGGGCGAUCACGCCGCGAAGAUCCAGCAGCUGCUGCUCAGGCACCAGGACCGGACCGGGCACGCCACCAUGAAGGGCGUCGCCGGCCUGAAGCCGAAGCCCGAAAAGCCGGAGCCACGGGAGGAAGAAUCGCGGGCUCGGAGAGAGGAGAAGGUGAGGUCCGCGGAGGUACUCGCGCAGCAGAAACAGCGCCGCGUCGAGGCCAGGCAGAGGGCGGUGAGAGAGGCGGUGAACGCCAAGGUUGAGUCCACGCGCCACUUCCACGUGUACGCCAACAUGAUGAAGACGUGGCGAUACUGGGAUCAAAACUGGGACGCGCUGCGAGAGAUGCACGACAGACACGUCCGGGAUCUCGACGAGGCUGCGCGAGCGGGACGGGGCCGGGGGAUCACGAGCAUCCUCGACGCCGAGGUCGACGAGCCCGCACCCGGUCGACGACGCGGCGAGGUGCUCGAGGCGAUCGACCGGGGACUCGCCGCGCUCGGCGGCGCGGCGGCGCCAGAGUCUGCGACGAGGUCGCCGCCGCCGCACCACGACCAGAGAGCCGCGCUCAUGGCGCUGGGCAUGAUCGCGGCGCCGUCGCCGUUCAGGCAGUCGCGUCAGGAGCGGCUCGCCGAGGCGAAGAGGCGGCAGGCGGCGGCGAAAGAGGCGGCGAAGAACGCGCCUCCAGUCGCGGCGGCGGCGAAGGAGGCGACGAGGGCGCCCGCGUUUGAUCCGGCGCUGGCCGCGCUUCGAGCCUUUGGGGACUACCCCGACCGUUCGCGUCCGGCGGCGUCGGCGUCGGCGAGGUCGAGGCCGCCUCCCGUGAGACCCGGGGCGACGAGGCCGCCGCCUUCGCGGGUCCCCCGCGGCGGGGCGGGUCGCGGCGGGGCAGUCGGUACUCGUCGAAGGGGGCACGGGAAGGGGGACCCGAAGAGGUCGUCGCUCGGGUACACGGGCGCGCGCAAGGGAACCGGCGGAGGCGUUUACGGCGGGGACGUUGAAGAGGAUCGCGACGUUGCGUUCGAUGACGAUGAAUCGGAGGAGGAGGAGGAGGAGGAGGAGGAUCACGAUUACUUGUACGCCGGCGGCGGCGACACUCGGGGAUGGGAGGCUUCGCCCAGUGGAGGUUUCUCAUUCGGACCGAUCGCCGGCGCGGAAAACUCGCCGUCCUGGCAGCACCUUUCGCGCGGAGACGAAGCGGAAAUGGACCAGGAAGAGGCUGACCUGCGCGAAGCUCUGCGACGUAGCCUCCUCGAGGCGGAGUCCGAGCCGACCCGCCGCGUGGGCUUACACGUCGAAUGCGGCGACCUCUGGGGAGAGCUCACGGAAGAGGAGGCGUUCGAGCUCGCGAAGCGGCUCAGCGAGGAGCAGGAGAAGCUCGACCGCGCCUCGCGCGCGGAGUUUGAGUCGUUCGAUGAACCCGCGCGUUGCGGUUUAGGGUUUCGUGAUCGUGAUUCGGAGGCUCGAGAUCCGCGCGAUCGACUCGCGGAGCUCUGCGGUUUCGACGCGGAUGAUGAAGCCGCCGUCGGUCUGGCCGAUCUCGUGUCGUCCAUGGACACGCUGGAGGAGGCUGCGGAUCUCGUCGCGGCGACGGCGGGGUGUGAUCGAGGGGAGGCGGAGGAGGUCGCGGCGGCGCUGCGUGAUGACGGUGACGAGCCCGAGACGGAGGAGCCAGAGAUUGAGGAGUCCUCGCCGGCGGACGAUGACGACGCGGCUGGGUUCAUGCCGAAGUGCAUGGAUGAAGACGCCGCGCUCGCCGAGGCGCUCCGUCUGAGCAAGCUAGACGCUGAAACGAGGGUUGCUGCACCGGCGUUCACGGACUCCGCGCCGGCGCUGAGCGGAGACUUGUUGGGGUGGGCUGAUGCGCAACUCUCCAUGUUCACGGGUGAAGAGGACAACGCCUUUCUGGCCGAGUACGUCUGCGACAUGGAGACAGCCGCAGAGAUUGAGGAGUUCCUUCGCGAGAGUUUUCCGAGCGAGGAAUCCAGCGCCGCGGCAUCGUUCGCGCGCGCGUUGGUGCUCAUGCGUAGCUAGGAUGUAGUCGAUUAAUGUAGCUAGAUGCUAGUGUAGUCAGAUCUUAAACGCUCACAGUCUCGAGUCUGCCUCCCAUUGCCGCGAACUGUGCAUCGAUGUCCCCGUAGUCGUCGAUGCCUCCAGCUUCAUUCGUUUCGUCCUCCUCGUCUUCGUCGUCCGACAGUGCAGGCGACGGUGGGCAGUUGCUUUGUCUAGGCGGGAGCCCCGACUCCGUCCAUACGUCCUCUGGCAGCGCGCGAGUUGCCACGAUGCUGCACUCCGCGGUUCCCAGCAGCACCUGGUUAUCACCCUCCCUCACGGUAACAGACCUGAACUUCUCCGGAUGUGUGAACGUGUCAAGUAUCAGCCGCUGCAUCGAAACCUCACCCUUACUCGACUCCUCGAGCUGCGUCUCGAAACCGGUAAGGACUUCAUUGAUCUUCACCUUCUUUUCCUCGUCCUUCUCGGACUCGAGACCCUCCUUCAGCCGCCCAAUUUUCUCCUCAAGGUCUGCCUUAACUUCGUCACUCAGCGCACCCUCGAUAACCUCGGAUUGCUGGACGUCCCAUAAGAUUAACUUACCCUGUCGCUCGCCCGUGAUCGUUGGAUCGUGUGUUGACACGGAAAUCAGGUGACCGGUGGACGACAUCGCCCAAACCCCAACCACGGUGCUCUCGUGACCGUCGAGCGUCUCCAGGAGAGCGCCUUCACUUGACGCCUUCUCCGUGUCCCAUACCCGAACGGUACGAUCCUCCGAACCAGAGAAGAGCGUCGUCCCGCGCAUCGCCAUGCACGUCACCGCGCGUUCGUGACCCGUCAGCUCGCCGAUCAACUCUUCCGGUCCCUUCCACAGCCUGAUGAUCCCCUCGUUCCCGGCGGUGAUGACGCACUCUUUGGACGCCCACGCGACGCAUGAGAGAAUCUCCUUCUCGUGCGCCUUCCACCCCAGUUUUAGGUACGGUGACCGCCCAUCUGUCGACCGCAGGUCCCAUAAUCCGACCCUGCCGUCGAAGCCCGCGGUGUAGAGCGUCUCCAUGGCCUCGCCGGUGGUCGGGUCGGUCGUCGAGACGAGAGCGCAGCACGAAACCGUGUUGGCAUGCGCCUUUUCGGGGACGUACAUCACUUUGCACUGACCAGAAUCCACGCCCCACAGCCUCACCUCGCCUCCCUCGUGCCCGGUUAUGAUCUUCCUGUUGUGACGCGAGUAGGCCAGGCACGUAAUCUCCGACGCGGAGUCGUCGGUGAACACCCGCAGCGAGCACAUGUCGUAGGUGUCCCAAUGUCGGAUGGACCCAUCCUGAGAAGCGGAAAUUAUUCGCUCCUGGUCGUCGACCAUCCCGGCCGUGAGCGCGAUGACCGGCCCGACGUGACCCUCCCCCGGCUUGUAAAGGAAUUGAAAUAUCUUCUCGCGGCAGAUCUGGAUCCCCUUGACCAAGCCUUGCGCGGUGAGAACGAGGGCCCGGAGGCUGGGCGCGCCACGAAGCAGCGCCAAAUCUGCCGCCGGCAACCAAUCCCCCUUCUUCGUGUUCUCAUCGAACACCGUCGCGAGACCCGUGCGCUGCUCCCUCAGCGUGACGCACUCCAGACGUAGGUCGUAUAUGUAAAAGUACCCGCGUCGGUCGACGAGGAACAGCUCGCGGGUCUCGCCGACGUAAACCACUGCGGUGAACAUGCAUCGCUCCGGAUUAUCGAGCUCCAUCAUCCGGCGCCCGCUCAACGUAUCGUAACCCCUCGCCUUCAUAUCGUACGCCAGAGUCACGACCAUGUUCUCCUCCGCGAUGUACAGAGCCUUGAACACGCCGCGAGAGCUGCCGUUGGGGUCCAGCGGGACGCGCUCGAACGGCUCGUCGUGAGUCGAUCCCUCUGUGUGAGUCGAUCCCUCGACAAAGUCACACCCGCCGAGGUCGCGUAUCGACUUCGCCGGUCUCCAUCGAACGACGGCGCCCUCCGAGUCCCCCGCGAAGAGCGAACCGAGGUCCCCGACCUCACCGGUGGAGUCGAACGUCAGCGUGUUGAUCCAGCCGGGCAACGUGCCGAGGAUGAACACCCUGUGCGGCUCGAACCACGGGUACGUCACUCCGGACGGUUUCUUCGGAACCUCACCCGGCGUGCCCCCGGGUCGCCACAGUCGCACGGUCCUGUCGGUGCUGCCGGACGCGAGGUACGCGUGGCACUGGGCGAGCGCGGUGACGGUUCCGUCGUGCCCGGAGAUGUCCUGGACGGCGCCCUCGAUCUCGACCCUCGGGUCCCAGACGCGAAUCUGGCCAUCGGCACCUCCGGAGACGACGAUUGCUCCCGAGAAGCAAUCCGCCUGUUCCCUCAGGGACAGCAUCGAGCCGACCCUGCCGCGGUGGCCUUCGAACACUCGACAGUCCUUCGAUAUCGUCACGUCGUUGUUGAGCACCAUCAGCCUCCAGUAGGCAACCUUACCGUCCUCCCGUCCCGCCAAGACCGUCCGCAAUUCGGGCACCCACGCCAUGCACACAAGCUCGGGCCUCCUGGCCUCGAUGUAGACCUGCUCCACCGACCUCCUCUUGUGCUGGGGUCCUCGCUUGCGGGGUAUGACUAGUUCGAAGUCGGGCAGGGCCUCGAGGUUGCCAUCAUCGCCCACAUCGCCGUGACCCAUCGCGCUGGGCCUUCCGAGAUGCGAUUUGUGGCCGCCCCGUCCCAUUUUGGCGCACGCAAAUCCCGAACGCGCUCGGCGGGCCUCGGCAUUUUACCGGGCGGCACCCACCACCAUGGCCUCCAUCGCCCGAGCCGUCGCCGCCGCGACAGCCUCUUCGGCGGCACUCGUCGUCACCGUACACAGCGUCCGACGCGUGUCGACGCCUCCGAUUCGCCCCGCGCGUUCGGCCGAGCAUGCGAGACAGGCCCCGCUUCGCGAGUUUUACGGCACCGCCGCCACGUCCAGCCGGCAUCCCCCGCACGUGUGCAACGCGGCGGGGUUCAACUCGCGCCGCCUUCGGUCUUCGCAGGAACUCGUCGGCGACGGCGAUGCCGAGGAUGAUGAGGACUACGACCCUUACAUGCACGGCGGAAGGCCCAACCGCUCUGCCAUCAAGCGCCUCAUCGACGAGUACAAGGGCCUGACCAAGGAGCUCUGCGCGCUGCCCAAAACCUCGGUUGCGAAGAUCCAGAUGCCAGACGAGCUACGCGAGGAGGUCUACGCCGCCAUCAGCAUCACGAGCAACAUCGCGCGUAAACGCGCGGAAGGAAGGGUGACCAAGACGCUGCGACAGCUCAGCGACGAGGACGUGCUCCCCAUCCAGACCGCGGUCGAGAACAUCCAGAACGGCAUCGGGCUCAUCACCGUGCCGCCCGAGGUGGAGUCCACCGCGCACAUGUGGCGGUCCGCAUUGCUAAACGGGGACAAGGAUGUUCAAUCGGUGGUGUUCGGGGUGUUGCAGGAGAGGGAGGACUGGACGUUCACGCGGCAGGAGCUCGGCCAGCUGGCGACGACGGCGAGGAGGGAGAGGGAGGAGGCUGAGGCUGAGCGCGAGGCGUUUAAGAAAGCGCAGGAGGAGGCGGAGGCCGCCGCCGUCAUCAUGCCGGACGGGACCGCCGUGCCAUCGGCGAAGGGUCCGGUGCAGGUUCAACCCAAACGGAAGAAGAGCGGCGCGGGGAAGGCGACGAAGAAGCUGCUGAAGCACCUGAGAAAGAUCGCCGAGGUUGCUCACGACGAGGGGUUGUUGUAAUAAAACGGACGCGACUAACAUUAGUCUCGCUUCGAGAACCGAGGGAGGUCUCGUUUUCCCGCAUCGUGUCUCUCUUUUCGCGUAUCGGCAUCGUGAAGGGGCUGGUUUAGUCAAACAUAUCAAACAUCUCCUCGCGCUGCCUCUUCAGAUCCUUCUCCAACUUUCGAUAGUGAGUAGCUGCAGCGGCCUCGUCUCUAUGCAAGUAACAUGGGUAGUGAGGGUCCCCGGGAACAUUGCACCCAUAGAAAUUUUUCCCAACCGUACCCGUAGCAAUCUUUGUUGCUCGAAAAUCCAUGAAUUCUUUCUGAGACUCGCUCAGCUCAGUGACGUUACCAGAGCGAUACGCGAUGUAUGCCUCCUGAGAGACUACAACAUCAGUAACUGUGACGUUGUGAGCGAUGCCACGAGCAGCCCUAUCAGCAUCGGUGAGCUUCCGACCACAGGACGCCGCUUUGCCGGAGUUUCCUCGCCGCAUGGCAAAGCAGCCGGGCCACAUGCUGACAUGCUCAGCGAACAGCUUACCUGCAUCGAUGGUAAGGUUGAAGUCAAUGAGAUGGUGGUAAUCUUCAAUCUUGAUGUCGAGUUCUCCCAGAAGUCCGUGAGUGAAGCCCCUGGGGUUGGACUGCUCGGGGUCUUUUUGGAGCUCUUUUUUGUCGGGUCGUCUUAUGCGGUACAGGCUGAAGCCCUCACCGGCCACCUCCUUGUAUGCGUCCAGGACUGAAGGUCUAAGGAGCUCUGCAAGAGGCGGUGCGUACUCAGCGUUGGCAAGGUAAUUAUCGAACAAGUCCAUCGCUCUCUGCAGAGCUGCUUCGGCCUGUUUGCUGAGCGACUUCUUCUCUUUGCGUGUAUCCCACUCACGGACCACGGUGGGGGCCACGAGCUUGGCGGGAACGAGCAUGGGUUUCUUCAGGUUCUCAAUCGCCUCAGGUGUCCAAAACCUGAGAUCUUCGUUGGCAUCAGUCUCGUACGCGUUCGCGUGCGCACCGUCCAUGUUCAACAGGCGAGGCGUGUGUGAGUGCGGGUCGAAGUGAAAAGAGCCCCAAAUAGGGCACACGCCAGAUCUGAAAAGUCGUUGCUCGUCUCACAGACCCUAAAGACCCGUCGUUCGCGGCGCCGCCCGGUCACAACGCCGCGCGUCGACGCGUGCGAAAGUUCAUCACUCAGCGAUUGACCAUCCGCGCGAGCGGUCGUCGAUUGUUCACCGCGACACCGGGUCUCGCGCGCAUCGAUAUCGCGCGCGCCUGAACCCGUCGUUGCUUUUUCCGUCCCACAGCUGUCCGAAACCCCGAAACGGGUGGCGCGACGACCAUGACGCGGUUCAGGCGCAUCGCCACCGCGGCGCUCGCGAUCCUCGCGCUCGCGGCACAUCCGCUCGUCGUCGAAUCGAUCGACCCUGGCGCGGCGAAAUUCGUCGAUGCGCGUCGCGCCGGCGGCGAUGACCCGUCCGCCGGCGAGGGGAACUCGCGAGCAGAAGCUUCCUCUCCCCGCGUCGAGCGCACGCGGGACGGCGGCGUCCACCGCCUCUUCGCGCGCGCGAUCCGUCGCUCGCUCGAUCGCAUCCGCGCCAAUCGCGAGGAUGACGCGCCAGAUCCCAUCGCGUGGUCGCAGCCGACGGCGCACUCGACGUCUCCGAUCGAGCCCGCGUCGCGAACCCUCCCGCGAAGGCUCAAACUCGAGCCCCAGCAACGACGCCGCUCGCUGCAGCAGGGCACCGACAUCUCCGGCUGCCCCGACCUCGCGUCCGGCGAUCUCAAGUUCUCCGUCACCACCUGGUCGUCGCUUCCCUCCGAGGAUCUCGUCCGCGUGGGCGCCGUGGACGCCGCCAUCACGGGCGGAGCCGCCGCAGCCAGGGAGAUGUACGUCUCGCUCGUCGUCACGCACAAAAAGGCGGACGCGUCGGUGAACCUUCGAGGCGUCACCGUCGCUUUCGAAUUUUCGCGAACCGUCGUCGUCGACGAAUCGACGGGCGAGACCGAGGUUGCCGAUCCGAGCCGGUUCGUGUUCAUGUGCUGGGGCGCGCAGCUCCUACCCGCCGCCGUCGACGGCUCGGACGGCGGGCACAGGUCGGUUCCGUGCUCCGAGCUCACCCUCGACAUCGACGCCGUGGGCCCGCGAGUGACCUUCGGGGACGUGACGCUCGGCCCGGGUGAGUUUCUCGCCGGCGGAUACAGCAACUUUCUCUUCAGCUUCAAGGAGAUGGGCGCGAUGCCGAUGGAAAACUCCGUCACCUUACUCGCGCCGUUCUGCGACGACGCCGCGGUGGACAGGCCAGCCGCCGAGCUUCCUCUCCUCGCGCCGACGUUCAUGCUGGGCUGGAACCCCAACAAGCACCUUGAGCUCUCGGCGUGCCCGGCGCUGCUGGACAUGGUGUUCCACUCGCUCGUUCCCGAAGUGGACGCCGGUGACACGUCGACCACGAUCGCAUCCGGGGUCGUCGGGCAUAGGAGCUGCGCCAGCAUGGACGUCACCGGAGUCACCGUGCCGGUACCUUACGCGAGAACCGUGGACCCGGCGUCGUUUGAGACCGGGUGCUCGGGAAUCCAGCUGGCUCUCCCGGCUCCGACGUUCCGAAGCGACGGCAUGUCCGCGAUGCAGGGCAUGGAGCAGCCUGCGCUGACAUGUGACGACGUCGUCGUGACAAUGACAUCCGACGGACUUCGCAUCAGCUUCGUGGACGGCGCGCUCAAGCUUUGUCCCGGCUGUUUCCUUGUAGGUGGACCCGAUAACGUGAUGGCUUCGUGGCGGACCCUUGACGGAUCCGACGCGAGCUUAAUUCCCAUCGGCCCACCCGCUAUGCCGUACUGCGGCGCGGGACCGGACAUGUCUCUGACCGCGGAGGUUGGACCGGUGACCCCGUGCAACGCCGAGGAGAACGCAGAGCUUGACGGCGAGGUUCUGAACGGCGGUACGUUUCUCACGUCAUCCGCCGGCGCGUGCUGCCUGGCGUGUCAGGAGAACCCAGGAUGCAACGUUUGGACGUUUUGCACCGACGAGGGAGGAUGCGGAGGAGCCGCGCCGACGUACAGCUACAGUCGAUGCAGCCUCAAGUACCAGGACCCCGCGCAGCUGUCCCCUGGACCCGCACCGGGGAAGCGAGGUCCGGAGAUCACGUUCACGUCCGGGAGCCUUCCUGAGAAGGAGACUGAAAUUUUCGUCGCGGACACGGUGCAGCAAAUUCGUAACGAAACCGGUGAAACGUGCGCAGUCUGCCAGAUCGAGGAUGCAGCGAACUACAAAGGCGAUCCGCUCAUUGACGGAACCAACCUUCUGGUUGACUCCCCCGAAGCCUGCUGCGCCAAGUGCGCCGAAGAUGACAGGUGCAACAGUUUUGUGUACUGCGGAUCCGAGUCCGGCUGCGGCGGCGAGUACUACGACUAUAAACACCGCGAGUGCUGGCUCAAGUUCCUGGCGGAAGACAUGUGGACGCAGUUCCCCGUUCCGGCGUGGAACAGGGGCGAGGGUAUACCCUGGACGAGCGGCAUCGUGAACCGAACGAGGUGCGUCGAGAGGGUCUUCCCGCCGCCUUCGCCCCCGGCCAUCGUCACGAUCCCCCUUCCGCAGCCACCGCCGCCGUCGCCAGAGCAACCCUCGCCGGUUCGCACUGCACCCACGACGUGCUCCGAAGGUGCGUCGAGCAUCGCCGAGCUGUGCACCGGCGUGUUGCUGGGUCAAGAGGAGAGCCUCGAGGUCGACGACGCGAGCGAGUGUUGCGGGGUCAUCACCUGGAUGAACGCCGACGAGCGAAGGUGCUUCUGCGAUUCGGGCGUCGUCGACUCGCUCGGCCGGCUUGCGGAUCCCCUCCUACUCGUGGGUGGGAUUGUGUGCGAGGUCGAGAUCCUCAGCGGAGACGCAUGCGCGCCAGCUCCGACGCCGACGCCGGCUCCCGUCCCGGAGCCCUCCGCGCCGGAGCCGCCACCGCCGGAUGCGCCAACCCAGCCGACGCCCGCGCCAGGGCCGCCUCUUCCGGGAGCGCCUCCUGCGCCAGUCGUGGUGCCCCAGCCGGACGCGCCGGCACCGCCGCCUCCCGACGCACCGGAUGCGCCGGCACCGUCGCCUCCAGAAGCACCGGAUGCGCCGGCACCGCCGCCUCCCGACGCACCGGAUGCGCCGGCACCGAGCCCGCCGCCUCCCGACGCACCGGAUGCGCCGGCACCGAGCCCGCCGCCGCCCGACGCACCGGAUGCACCGGCACCGAGCCCACCGCCGCCCGACGCACCGAGCCCACUGCCGCCUCCCGACGCACCACCGGCACCGAGCCCACCGCCGCCCGACGCACCACCGGCACCGAGCCCACCGCCGCCCGACGCACCGCCGGCACCGAGCCCGCCGCCUCCUGACGCACCGCCGGCACCGAGCCCGCCGCCUCCCGACGCACCGGAUGCGCCGGCACCGCCGCCUCCCGACGCACCGCCGGCACCGAGCCCACCGCCUCCCGACGCACCGCCGGCACCGAGCCCACCGCCGCCGUCGCCGGAUGCGCCGCCGCCGAGCCCGCCGCCUCUCGCGCCGCCGGCUCCUUCGCCGCCGCCGCCGCCUGUGGUACCGAGCCCGCCGCCACCGAAUGCUCCAACUGCGCCAUCGCCGCCGCCACCUGACGCACCGAUGGCUCCGAGCCCACCGCCCCCCGGAGCCCCGGCUGCUCCAUCGCCUCCGCCGCCGGACGCUCCCGUCGUGGUCGUCCUCGCACCUCCGAUUUCUGUUCCGCAGCCCCCGUGCAUCGUGCUCCUCACGCGUCUCACCGAACAGUGCGCCCCGCUGCUGGGAGACGACACGAGCGCGACGAUGAUGCAAGACUGCUGCGAGAUUCUUGCGGAGAUGAACGGUGAGGAGCUCAGAUGCUUUUGCGCGGAGGAUGUACUCGAGCGGCUCGGGACGCAAAUCAGGCCUGUGACGCUCCUGGCUCCAUUCCUGUGCGGUCCUGAGCUCGAGAUCUACUCAGGCGAGUCGUGUGAACUUCAGGCGGAGCCGGUUAUUGUCCCGGUUCCGGCACCCGACCCGCCGGCUCCGUCGCCGCCACCGCCCGAUGCACCGCCCGCACCGGCUGAACCAUCACCGCCGCCGCCGAAUGCACCGACGGCACCGAGUCCGCCGCCGCCCGAUGCGCCGGUCGCACCGUCACCGCCGCCGCCGAAUGCACCAGUCGCGCCGAGCCCACCACCACCGGAUGCUCCAACGUCGCCAUCGCCGCCACCACCGCUCGCACCGACGGCACCGAGCCCACCUCCGCCAGACGCACCGAGCUCACCGAGCCCACCGCCGCCCGACGCACCGAGCCCACCGCCUCCCGACGCACCGACGGCACCGAGCCCGCCGCCGCCCAACGCACCGACUGCACCGAGCCCACCGCCGCCAGCCUCACCGACGGCACCGAGCCCGCCACCGCCAGUAGCACCCCAAGCUCCCCUGCCAGUACCCAAGAAUGCCUGCCCGGUCAUAUCCCUCCGCGGGCGAGGGGCCGGACCCGACCGUAACGAGGCUCUGGUUGGAACCGUGUGGGUUGAUCCGGGCGCGACCGCGAUUGACGCCGAGGACGGCGACCUCACCGAUGAAAUUGUUCGGGACGCGUCGCAGCUGGACACUGCGACGCCCGGGGUCUAUCGGGUCACGUACUCCGUGACCGAUUCCGCUGGGUGCGAAACGCGCGCGGUUCGAUACGUCCGCGUGAUCGCGCUCGUCGCCACCUCCGACGCCGAAUACCUCAGCACGCUCUGUCUGAGGCAGGUUCCGAGGGUGACGAUGACCUGCGAGGUUGGCAUGCAGAGGCACGAGGACCACCGGCCAAACCCGGCGGCGUUUCCCGCGUGUUGCCUCCUGGCACAGGAGAUGGACGCGUCCGCGUGUUUCUGCGACGGUCGCGUCAUCGGCGAGCUCAACGCUCGAAACGCGACGUUCUUUGAGGAUCUCGUGGAUUUCACCCCGAUGGCGUGCGGUUUCAAGAUCAAGACCGGGGAGGUGUGCACUGACAUGCGCGCGCUGGAGAGAUUCUUCGCGGCGGAAAUUGUUGACACCGGCGAGGACGUCGCCACCGUCGAGGAGCUCAUAUCCGAGGGAGGCGCCCUGAACGCAGAGCUGCCGUGCGACGAGCAGGUAGCGGCCGUCACCGCGAUGUGCCAGCGCCUGACCCGCGCGACGCCCGGUCCAGCGCCACUCGUGAGCGACUUUGUGCCGUGCUGCACCGCGGCAGCUGUGCUCAACGUGUCCGAGUGCCUCUGCGACGAAAAUUUUGUCUUUGCCGACGAGGAACGAACCACAUUCCUGCAACAGCUCAUAGGCUUCGCGCCCCUGGGAUGCGGGUUUGCGCUCACGGGAACCUGCCCGGCGAUAACCGACAAACUUGAGCUCCCGAGCGUGGAGGGCAUCACCGUGCCGGACGCGUUCUCGUCAGAAUCUGUCCCGGCGGUUCUUCCAGUGGCGGGCGGAUGGAACACGUCCGCGCUCACCUGGGAGUUCAUGUUCGGUGACGACGACGUCGUGACCGUCGACGACGCGAGUGAGCAGCUCUUCUGGGUACAGGACGGGGGCGUACAGCUUUUCAACCUGAUUUCGUGUGCCGAAUACGUCUCACUCGCGCCUCAGGUCUGCGGCGACGUGAGGCUGAACUCCGAGGUUUCCACGUUUGUGCUCACCGAGUGCUGUGCGUUCCUCCACGCUGCGCACGCUCGAGGGUGCCUGUGCCCCCUCGCGGGACUCGCGGCACUCGCCUUGGUCAAUCCUGACCUCGAGGAUAUCUCACCGAUUGCGUGUGCUUUGCGUUUGGACACGAUUCCGUCUCUCGGCGAGGGAUACUGCAAGACACAGCUCACGCUGGAGCACGUCAUGUCCCCGGCUGAGUCGCAAAUUUUCGAAGAGACAAAAUCAGCAGGCGAUGGGAGCCAGUCGCAGGUGGACUUCUUCGACGAUCGCAACCUGCAGCUGGGUACGUUCAUCGGCGCCGCACCGAGGGCCACGCCCGUUGUCAUCACCACCCCGACGACUCUCAAGAUCGCCGGCGAGGAUGACGCGGUCGUCACCAGCGUCGUUCCGCCGGGGUCCGUCUUCGGGGUCGUCGCGCCGGAGGUUAUGAGAACCGUGAGGGACGCCGACAUCGUGGAGAAUGUCCUCCCGGAGACACUGGCGCCGGGCGAGACCUACGCGAUCCCGUCCAGCGCUAUAGUCACCAGCGAUGUCACGUCACUGCCCACGUACCGCGCGAGCGAGUCCAACUCCAGCGCAGGCGGCGCGGUGGCCAUCAAGGCUGGAGGAGACAACCGGCUCCUGCUCACCGUCCCGGACCUGGGCGGCGUGGUAAAACUGCCGUGGACCGCAUCGCUCGAGCCCGUGCCCGUGAUCCCCGAGGCUAACUACGCCGAAGACGGCACGGACGAGCUCCCCGUGGUCGUCGUCACCAACCACAUCGACGGGGUCACCUCGCUGGUUCCCCUCGCGUCAGACGGCAGAAGCUACGCCGUCGUCAAGGCGGAUGUGGCCGAGGCGGAGGGCGAUACCGACAACGAGGAUUACGAGAACGGGUAUCGCGGUCUGAUCUACGGUAACGGAAACGAGACCGGCCUGGGAAAUAUAGUCCGAGGAUCAACCACCAGCUGUCUGUUCGCGGUCGUCAUCGCGGAGGCGUCCUGCAUUCCGAUGCUGGAGAGCGUCUCUGAAAUUUUCGAGCUUGACAUUGGCUGGCGCGUGUGCUGCUCACGAAUAUCCGCGGUCAACGACGACGGGUGCUUCUGCGACGGCGCCGUGAACGCCGCUCUUGAAGUUACUGCUCGUUCGAACAUCCAUGCGCGGGUCAUGGACGCGAUCCCAGGAGCGUGCGGUUUCCAGCUCACCUCUGGAGAGUCGUGCCCGACGGCUAUCUUUGCCGAUUCCGAGGAUGAAGACAAACUCAACGUGACAACCUCCGACCCAACGCGCGAGCUCGUCUCCAUCCACGCCGACGUAUACACCGCGCCCGAGGUUAUUUCUAGCGUCACCGCCGCGGGUGCCGUGGUGGUCUCCUCCACGGACGCUUCGAGGGACGACGCCGAGGUCGCCGAUAACGUCGCGGCUGAGGGACUCGGCGCAAACUACGACGCCGACACCGGCCUGGUCACCCUCACGCUCCCGGGCGACGCGACCGUCACCGCGGACGUCGCCGUGUUCUACCCGAACGGAAUCAAACCGUCGUCCGUCUCGAGUCCGCCGCCGGGCCCGGUCGCGGCGGAGGCGGUCGCGCUUGAUCCCGAGGAUCCGAGCCGGCCCCUGCCCGGCUACGGCGUCGUCAUGAGCGACGGCCGGGUGGUCCCCGCGCUGGAGGAUUGAAGACGAUACAGUCACGGGACCGUGCGACGCGGUUCGCAUGCUCAAGAACUUCCUGACCGUCAGCCUCGAGUCCGGUAUGGAGUCGUUCGUCGUCAUGGGCGCCAUAACCCACUGCAAGGGUUUCCCGCUGGAGGUUCCCCAGGUUGUCCUGCCCAUCAUGUAUCGGCCCAGGGGCGGCGACGGCGGCUACGCGCCGCCGCUCUCGGAACCGAAGGUGGAGUGCCUCGGGAUCACGCUCAUCUCCAACCAGGGCGAGGUGCUCAGAGACGACCUCUGCGAUCGUUUCUCGUUCGAAAUCAAGGAUUACGGCGUGGACGUGAUCAUCCGCGACGUGUCCAUAUGCGUCGACUGCGCGCUGACCGGACGGUCAACCGACGGAGCCAUCGCCAGGGUGUCGCACCCGAGAUCCGAUACGCUCGCGGCGAUGCAGCCGGACGUGACCGCGAUGACGUGCGACGUCGACGCCGUCGCCGCGGAGGAUCGACGCCGACGUUUGCUCGAGUCGCCUUCGAACGACCGAAGGCUGCUCCAGUUCCUCGCCGAGCAGUACAGCAACCCGACGGAGGUGAACGACUUCUUCAGCCGGCUCAGGCCGAGCGACGGAGGCGGUGACUGGUCAUCGGGUAGAGACUCGGGGUACGCCCUGAUCGGUGACGAGGAUCCCCGCGACCCUCCAUCGCCCGACGCGCCGACCCCUCCCGAGAUCAUGCCCGAGAAUGUCGUCCUUUGCGUCGACGACGUGGGUCGCCUCGCAGGGAACGUCCAGUGGUGGAGCCGAGGAUCCGGGCCGCUUCAGCCCGGCUUACCCAACCAGCCCUACGACGAGUACGUAUUCUCAGGAUCCGUCGAUGCUUUGGCGGGCGAACGCGGCGUCGACCUCCAAGGCAUCGUGUUACCCAUCGUGUUCAGCCCGUGGGUCCUCGACGACGACGACGGGGGUAACUGGCGCGCGGUGUUUGAUCCGGCGAGCGAGCUCGAGGUCGCGUGCGCGGGUGUCAAAAAAAUCUCCGGCGAUGGCUCCGUGGAACCAUCCACCGACGAACCCUGCGGCGGCGUGACGUUCGCGCUGUCCACCUACUCCUCCCCCGACGGCGGUGAAGAGGGACAGGAGACGCCCACGACGACCGGCGACCGGGCCCCCGCGGUGCUCCUCCUGGAGGUAUCCUUCUCCGCGGUUGGUUCCGUCGACGCCGGCGGCAGGGUCGAGGGCGGCGGACCGAGGGGCGAGAUGUUCCGGGUGCGACACGCGUCGGGCGCGAGCCUCGAUUUCGUCGGUCCCACCGUCGGCGCGCUCGAGUGCGCGCCCGACGGUGUCGUGGGAACGGUCGUGACGGGCAUCGAGCCCUCAUCCAUUGCGCCCUCGAUCCCAACAACGAUCGAGCCCGUUGCGGGUGCCGACGACCGCGGAAGCCUCGUCGUCUCCGGCGCCGACCGCGACGUUUCUUCGUGCGCGGGCCGCCCCGGCCUUAACCUCAAGGGCGAGCUGCUCAACGACGGCGGGUCCCUCAUCAAAGACGAGGCUGGCGACUGCUGCGCGGAUUGCGCCGCCCUGCCCGAGUGCAACGUGUGGGUGUACUGCGAGGGUGACUGCGUCAACUACGCGUACCACAGCUGUUGGCUCAAGCGCGCCGCCGUCGGUUUCGACGCGGGUUCCGCGCCGGACGCGUGGGCGGCGUCGCCGGAGGUGCCGUGGACCUCGGGGUGGUUCCCACCGAAACGAGGGGUUCAGCCGGUGGUGGAUGUGGCGGAGCCGACGGGCGAGCCGCCGGAGGAGCCCGAGGAUACGCCGCCAGAGGAGGCGCCUCCGAUCAGGGUCGUGCCAGUGCCCGUCGGACCCGUCGAGCCCGAGCCCGAGCCCGAGCCCGAGCCCGAGCCCGAGCCGUCGACGACGCCCGCGCCGACGAUCCCGUCCCCUCAAGGCGCAGACGAAGGCUCCGGCGCGACGUUCACGCUCGUCCCCGGUCAGCCAGUCACCAUCCCGGCGGCGGAGAUCACCAUCAUCCCCGGAGGUCCGGAGGUCGUAGCCGUCCCCGCGGGCGAACCGUCGUUCGCCGUCCCGGUCGCGGAUCCCUCAUCGACGACGUGCGCGGACGCCGACGUGUUCGCGUGCCCGCCCGACGCCGUCGCGACGGCACCCCUGUCCACGGCGAGGCUCCGCAGCUCCUUCCAGCUGCUCCGCGCUACAUCGUCCGAGACGGGCGGGUCGGAAACCGAGAGCCUUGAGCUCCUCCGCCCGGGCGACGAAGUCACCGAGAUUUUCGUCACCGGGACCCUCAUCAACGCCAACCUUCAGGAUACGGCGUGCCUGUCCAACCUCGAGGUGCCGUUCGACUUUCCCCGCGUCGUCAUCGCGCGGUCCGGCGACGCGUUCACGGCUCGGCCCGAGGAUUUCAUCGUGCGGUGCUUCUACGUCGGCGUGAGGUCGAGGGAGGCUUCGGCGGCUCCGGGGGCGUCGUCGCCCGCCGCGGGAACGUCCACCCCGCCGCCCCCGCGGUCCUGCGAGGACACCGUGGACCUCGCGAUGACCGAGUCCGGGCCGGUGAUGGCGUUUAAAGACGACGUCGCGUUGUGCCCGGGGUGUUGGCUGGUCGGCGGCCGAGACGGCGUGCUGUUCUCGUGGAGGCACCGCGACGGUUUGAGGCUUCGGGUGGCCGCAGGGGACGAGGUUGGGGACGGCGCCGCGAGGUGCAAGCCGGUGGCGUGACCGUAAGUUGGUCGCGGACGAUACGACACGACGAGAGGUGCGACGAUGAACGCGUUUGAACGAGUGCGAGUGAAGGAACGAGAUGCCCGGGCGUGUCCGCUCGAUUCAACUUUGUGGCGACACGACAUUCAGGCAGAUGCUUUCGCGGGUUGCUCCGCCCUACGUGUUCCUCUACUCCAUCACGAUCGAGUCUAUCAACACCAAGGAACACGUAAGGCAAAAAAUGCCAACUGAGCAACCGCGAAAACAUCUGCCGAGAGUUGAAUCGAGCGGAUGCGCCGCUCACACGGGUGACGACUGCGUUAUGUUUUGAAAUCGAUAACAUUACAAGCAAAAACCAUCCUCAACACGUUUCUACUCCUUGGUCGCCAUCCCGACAGCGUUGCGGAUAGCGUUCGGGAACGUCUGCAUCACCGUGUCCACGUCAAUCAGCCUGCCCUUAUCCAUCACCUGCCCGGUUCCGUUGAUCAUGAGUACCCUCUGGCCUUCCUGGAGAGGAUGGUCCACCACCUCCGCAACGAUCUCACCGCAGCUCACGAAAGUGCCAGGCUCACCUUUGGGAUCGGAUACGAGGAACGCCAUGGAGAAGCCGGUGGGCAAGCGAUCCACCCGCUGCGGGAGCGCGAACGGCAUGUUCUGGCCGCUCGUGGUGAGACCGUUCGCCCACUGAUAGAGGCUGCUGCAGAAUAUCUCCUCGUCGAUGCCGGAAGGGAUCUUGGCGGUGCCGAGCUGAACUUGUUUGAUGUCGAUCUCCCGCCAGCCCUUGAAGUUGGGCUUCUCGGCCUCCGCGCGGACCUUGAUGGAGCGAACAGUCCGGAUCCGGGUCGCGCGACGCGACCUGAGGGUCGCGACGGAUCCCGAUACGGCGUGAGCGGAGGAGAUGGCGGCGGACAUGGUACUCGCGCGCUGUCAAGAGUGCGACGACGCUUCGAUUUGCAUUCGUGGACCCGCACAGAGAUCGCCAACUGGCUCGAGAUUUUCCUCCGGAUAAGAGCGAUCCAAGCGCUGUUGAGCUGCACUUGCACGCGCGACCCGAAGGCCGCACGUCGCAUCAGCGCUCGCCAGACGCUCGCCAUGUCCGUUAUGGCCGUCUCCGCGACCACCCUGUCCGUCCUCGCGCGCCCGCGCGCCGGGACGGUCGUCCGCAAGGCCGCGCUCGCGCCCAUCGCCUCCAGGGUUGGGGUUCGGGCGGUCCCCAGCCCCCGCGCGCGUAUCGUCGCGCCUCGCAGAGGCGAGCUGACGGCUCGCGAGGCGCUCCCGGCGCCCGAUGUCGCCCCCGCGGUAAUCGCGGAGGUCGCCGACGGCCUCGAGGGCGGCAUCCAGGCCAUCUACCUCGGCUCCCUCCUCGCCAUCCUGGGCUUCGCGGGCUUCAUCAUCGUGCGCCAGGUGCUGAUCCGCAGGGAGCUCGACGACAGCGCGAAGAAGAUGGGCGAGCGCAUCCGCGCGGGCAACGCCACCGCGGAGGAGUACUUCGAGAUGGGCUCGAUCAUGCUCCGCAAGAAGGUGUUCACGCAGGCGGUGCGCAACCUUAAGCUCGCGGCGCAGAUGUGGGAGGGAGACAAGGAGGACCUCGCUCAGAUUCACAACGCCCUCGGGUUCGGCUACCUCUCCACCGACAAGGUCGACGAGGCCAUCGCCGAGUUCAACAAGGCUGUCGAGCUCACGCCGGGGUACGUGACGGCGUGGAACAACCUGGGGGAUGCGCUGGAGCAGAAGAAGGAGUUCAAGGGUGCCAUCGAGGCUUACGAGGAGUCUCUCAUCCUGUCGCCCGGAAACAAGGUCGCCACCGUGCGCCUGGACGAGAUCAAGAGAAGGCAGGGGCGUCUCGGUCUGCUCGAUUGAUCGGCGUCGGUACGGGCCUGUGGGGUGGCGGCGGCGAGGCGCGAUCGGUCGCGGAUCUCGACUACGCGCGGAUGCGUCGGAUGCGCGACCGACGGGACUCGAUCGGGCGCUCUUCGCGCGCGAUUCGUGCUAUUAAUACGAUGUGCUACUUGUAGAUGACGAAACCCCACCCCACGUCGCCGCCUCGCCUCGGGUUCCGUCCGGGCGCGUCCGCUCGCGCCCGCUUCCCCGUUCCCGCCUUCGCCGGAUCGGCUCGUCAUCAUCCGGAUCGGUUCUUAGCCGCCUGCUCCUCGAGCAGCUUCUUCUUCGUCCUCGCCUUCUUGUUCUGGAACCAGUUGUACACGUUCGCCUCGUUGACCGGCCCGAGCUUGGCGAGCUCGUCGGUGAUCUUCGUCCGCAGGUCGCCGUUUGGGGUGCCCAUGCCCGUCGCGAAGAGUUCCUCGAGUCGGGCGAGCUGCGCGGCGGAUGGGGUCCAACGCGCGCCCCUGGGCCCGUCGCCCCCCUUGGAGUAGACGGGACCGGGGUAGGAGGGCUGGGAUCCGGCCGCGGAGACGCCGAUGGAGUUGGCGAUCGCCGCGAGGGUCUGGGAGCGCUGAUGCCCGGGCUUGCUCUCCUCGUAGAUCUGCUGGGUCAGCAGAGCGCGCUGCUCGCAGAGGUGCGAGAACGCCGCGAUCUGAUGCCUCAGGGUGUCCAGCUGUGUCCAGGUCAUCGCGCCCGGGGCGAUCGUGGGGUACGGACCGUCGCCGUCCAUGCCGAACCUCUUCACCUGCUCAUCCGUGGGCAGCGGCGGCACGUCGAAGAUGGGGUCGUUCGCGCACAACCCCUCCGACAUCGUCCCUCGAGCUUCUCCCCUACGUUUGUUUGUCCGUGCCUCCUCGUCGGCGAUCUGGCUGUCCGACGAACCUUGCCGGGCCCGACGCGUCCCCCGCGGCGGUACCUGGUGUCCCUGUGGAACCUCGGGGAAACCUUCGCUCGGGCGUCGACGGCGGAUACACCUGCCGCGACGUCGUUUGUGGCGGGUCAACAUUCAAAAAAUCAGACAAAACCCUCACUGGGCUCUCCGUCACAGACUGACAGCUUCGACCGGCAGAGCUUUUGACGUGCCGUCUCGCGGCGUUUUGUCCCACGGCGAGGGACGCGCGUCGACGCUCCCGUUACCCCGAGACCCUCUGGUGGGUGAGGAGAGUCGGUAUAGAGGAGCCAUGAGCGGCGGGUCCGACGAGGCGACGCUUCGGGCCGAGUGCGAGGCGAUGGGCGCCUGCGCCUGCUGCAUCCUGAGAUUUCGGGGCGUGCCGUCGGGCGAGGUGGACGAGUAUCGCGCCGCGGCAUCCGCCUCGAAGGACGAGCCGCCGUGCCCGUGCUGCCUCGGAAUCCUCCAGCUGGACCUCGACGCAUCGACCGCGCGAGAGCGCGAGGGCGCGGACGCCGCCGAAGCGUCGGCGCCGAACGGCGAGGAUGAUGCCACGAACGGCACCGCCGCCGCCGCCGACGCCAGGAACCGCUCCGACGUCCUCGUCCGCGUGGACCCGCCCGCGGUGCACGCGAGGUGCGUCUCCCAGUACGCCGCGGGAAUUCGCGCGGGCGGGCACGAGUUCGACGCCUUCGCCCUGGAGGUGACCAUGCCACCCGCGCUGGCGGUCCGACAGGCGGCGACCCGAUGCCACCUCCUCGACGCGCUCGCGCGCGCCAAGAGAAGCGCCGACGGCGGGGGCGACGGGGGAGACCAGUUGGACGUUCCCGCGGGACCCGCCGCGGACGUCCAGCUGCCGAAGACGACGGACGUCAAGGACGUGCUCAGGGCUCUGCUCGUACCCGCGCUCGUGGACGCCUCGGCGGCACAGCUGGCGACGACGACGACAGCUGUGCGUCGGCACGACCAGGCGGCGGAUUUUCGCUUCGCGCUCCUCUUCGAGCACGACCUCUCCGCGACGGAGGCGGCGUUCGCGUACCAGGACCACGAGGAAACCCGCGGAGGGGGAGGGGGAGGUGGAGGUGGAGGUGCGCAUAAUAAGAGGCGCCGCGCGCCGCCGCCGCACCUCGUCGGUUCCGUCUUUGUCCCGGCCGAGUCACCGGCGGGGGCGUGGCAGAACCACGGCGAGCGGUACAACAACGCGGAGCGCGUCGCGAUGGGUCAGCUCACGGACAUCGCGACGAUCGCGCGGUGGAGGCGGGACGGUCGUGCAACCGUGACGACGCCGCCGAGCGCGCCGGAGGUUGGCGCGACGGUUCGCAUGCUGACGUGGCGCCAGCCGGUGUACGUCGGCGGUCGGUACCUGAAGCGGGCCAGGGGGACGCCCCAGGCGCCGUGGAUCGACUCCGAGACGGGAGUCACGAUCGGCGAGGGUUCCGUGCAGACGUCUCUGGACGCCGUCGUCUCCCGGGCGUUUCGCGCGGACGGGAGCAAGCUGAACGCGGCUGGGAGGGAGGACAUCGACGUGCGCAUGCUCGGCGGCGGUCGGCCUUUCAUCCUGGAGGUUCACAACCCGAGACGGCCGAACGCGGCGGCCACGGCGGAGGCUCGAGCGGCGAUGGAGGCGGCGCUGGAAGCGGCGGAUGGAGGCGCCGUGGCCGCCGUGGACGUACACGUCACCGACGCCGCGGCGUACCGGGCUAUGCACGAGGCGAGCGAGGAGAAGGAGAAGGAAUACACGGCGGUGUGCUGGGCGGAGAAGCCGCUCACUCUGGAGGACGAGCUCAUGCUGAGCGGCAUCAAAGAUUUGCAGAUCCAGCAGUCCACGCCGGUGAGGGUGCUGCAUCGACGCACGUCGAUGACGCGGCCGAGGACGAUCGUGAGCUGCCGGUGCGAGAGGGUGCCGAACGCCGCGAGGUUCUUCACGCUGAGACUGAAGACGCAGGCGGGGACGUACGUCAAGGAGUUUGUCCACGGGGACUUUGGCAGGACCCGGCCCAACGUUGGGGAGAUGCUGGGUUGCGCGGCGGACAUCAUACAGCUGGACGUGACGGACGUCGUCAUGGACUUUGCGAACGGCGAGUUGAAGGGGGUGGACGGGGACGAGCGGGAGGCAAAGAGAGGUGCAAAGGUGGAAUAGUCGCAACCGACGUCUGCAAACGAGCUAACUUUUAAGGGUUGACAUCAUCGAAAGAAUCGGCCACCCAGCCCCGCCCUCACUGUUGCUUGCAGUCCACGUCACCGUCCUCCGGCGCCCUCUUCAGCCUCAGCUGCUGCGUCUCCACCUUCUCCUCGAGCUCCGCCUUGAUGACCUCUCUCGGCUUCUUGUACUGCACGAUGAGCGUGUUGUUCUUCCAGUCGUACGACAGCGCGUCGUCCUGCAACGAUAACUUCAGCACCUUGAGCUCCGGGACGUCGAACCGCUUGUAGAACUUCUUGUUCGUCGUCCUGAUGACGAUCUUCUGGUCGCCGUGAUCGCACGUCACCUGGUACGUCUCGAUCGGGUAAGGAAGAUUUCGCACUCUCCACACGAAGCUCUGCGGGGUGUCCUGGCUACGCUGCCAAGUCGGGUUGACGCUGCUCUCCGCGAGGAUCCCCACGUCGGGCGAGAACGUCCUCGGGGCCUCGCCCGUGAGGUACUCCCACUCCUCGUCUUUCCCCAGCACCGUCCGGCCCCUUCGUUUUCUCAGCAGGAGCUCGUCGGUUUUCAGAUCGUACUCCUCGAUCAUCUCCCCGCCAUCGUCGAACUCGGUCACCACCCGCCGCCUGCCGCCGUGGUUCAUCGACGUUGACUUGCCCCCUUUGCGAAACAUGGCGCGAAUCGAGAGGUGAACGCCCUGCUCUCGGUACCACGUCCACGGCGUCGCCGCGAAGUGACGGCUCGGGUGGCGAGGAGGUUCGGAAGUGAGUGCCCACUCGUUGACCCGCCAGAAGCCCGGACACCUGGCGGAUCCGGCGCUUCAAGUCAGUUCGAGUGUGGACCGUAUUCCACGGACGGAUGCGACGAAUUGGCGCCAAAAGCGCGGGCGCGCCCGACCCGCCACCCAGUCGCCGACCUCUCCAGGGUCGGAAACCCUUCGCGUUCCAACCCCCGAGUGGCACUCGCGACGAACGCCCGGCGAUGGGGCUGUGGAGCGCGCUCCACAAGGUCCGGGCCGGCCAAGAUCGCGUCCUGACCGACGGGCGCAACCACGGCCACUGCCUCGCGCCGAGCGGGGCGUGGUCUCCGGACUCGGAGUGGAUCGUGUACGACACCCGGAGCGACGCGGCGGGGCAAAAGUUCGACGGGGGCGCCAUUCAGUGCGUCAACGUCAGAUCCGGGCAGGUUCGCACGCUGUACAGGACUCGGAACGGCGCCGCGUGCGGGGUGGCGAGCUGGAACCCGAGGAGAGAUAAGAGGGAGGUCGUCUUCGUCCACGGUCCGGAGAAUCCCACGGCGAGUUACUUCUACGCCCCACACCAGAGGCGGGGCGUGCGUGUCGACGCCUCCGCGCAGCUGAGAAGGCCCAAAUGGCACAGAGAGCCCGAGAUGGACGCGAAAGCCGCGUCCGCGGGCGUCGCCGACCACCCCGAGGGCGCGGAGGUGGAGCGGGCCAUGCCGAGCGGCAAGAACGCUCGGGGGGGCGAGCCCGUGGUGACCUCGCUCGUCCCCGCGCGUUGGCCGUGCCGCAACCUCGACGCCCGCGACCUGCUCGGCCCGCAGUUCACGGACGGCGCGCUGCGGGGGGGCACGGGCGACCACCAGUACUCCCCCGACGGCGCGCUCGUGGCGUCGUCCUACGUCGACGGGGUGUUGCUUCGAAACCAGGCGUCGGGCGCGUACGGCCGGGUGGAGACGGCGUGCGUGUGCACAGCCGUGACGACACUGGACGGUCGCGGCGGCGUCGAGGUGGACAAGGAGGAGCACCCGAGGAACCACGACGGGGACGGGUGGACCGUCGUCGCCACGUCGCACGAGGACGCGCCGCGGGUCGGGUCGGAUGAAAUCUCAAACGCGACGAGGGAGGCUUGGAUCGGGGCGCGGGGGUACCGCCGCGCGGGCAAUGGAUGGGUGGGACGCGCGCUGGCGUUCCUCGGGGAGGUUCACACGGGUAAUUCCAGGGCGCCGAGCCACCUCGAGCUCUUCGUCCUGGACCUCCCCGCGAAGCCGAGGGAUCUUCGGCUGUCGGAGCGGGGCAAGCCGCUGAGCGGGUCGGACACGGCGCGUCCGCAGCCGCCGCCGGGGGCGACGCAGCGACGCCUGACGGACACGAGCGGCCGCACCUAUCCCGGCAUGUGCGUGGGCCCGUUGGAGAAGCACGGGCACGAGGGACCGCCGUCCCCGCGCGCGGGUGCGGGCAAGAGCGGCGGUUCGGGCAAGCGGAAAAACGCCGGGCCUAAAUUUUGGCCCAGGUCCUCGCCUUGCGGCUCGCGCAUUUGCGUCGUCGCGAUGGACGACAUGUGCGUGCCGCAGCUGUACCUGGUGGCGACCGGGUCCUCGACACCCGCGCGGCUGCGGCAGCUCACGGAUUUGCCCAAGCCCGGGGUUCAGAGCGCGUUUUCGUGGUCCCCCGACGGUGCGCACAUCGCGUUUGUCCACGACGGGAGCGUGUGUCUGCUGACGGUUCCCGGCGACGCGGUUCAUCGCGGCGCGGACGGCGACGGUGGCGCGAACGACGACGGCGAGUGCGACGGCGAAGACGAAGACGACGCGCUCGCGAAGCUCAUGGAGCAGGAGAACGCCGUCGGCGGUCCGGAUGAUAGGGGUAGGAAGCGCAGGGUGAAACGGCUCACGCGGCGGCGCACCGGCGAGGCGGCGCCGCAGCCGCAGGGCGUGACGUUUUCACCGUGCGGCAAGUACGUGGCGUACGUCCGGCGCACGUCCGCGUCGUCGUCGUCGCGCGACCCGGCGCCGGGUACGACCGUCGCGCAGGGAACCCAGUCGCCCAAGAGCCCGCUCGAGUCCGAGAGAAACGGCGAGAACACGGAUCUCUUCUACAACUCAGACGACGACACCGAGGGCGGACCCAAGUACUUUAACCAGGUUUGCGUCGUCGGCAUAGAGGUUGUCCUGCGCCAGCCGUUCAGGCUCGCGGCGCAGAUCGUCGGCACGGUCGCGACGGUGCUGUGUGGGUUCGUCGCGACGGACCUCGCGAAGCUGGGCGUGGGCGCCGUUCGAGACGGGCUUCGUCGGCGGCGGGUGGAGAUGCUGCGAAAGAUCGGGCGGCGGGGGCGGGGGCGGGGCAAGCAGCUCAGGACGGACACGUGGCAGGAUUUCCAGCGGGAGUACGAGCGGACGGGAAGGCGUCUGGAGAAGAAACCGAAGAGACCCGCCGCGGCGAAGGGCUGGGACGAUUUCAAGCGCGAGUACGAGCGCUAGAGCUCGGAUAGAUUGUAGACGAAUGACGAGCGCGCGAGAUUGGUUCACUCCUGAAACGGGGUCCUGUCCCCAUCCGCAAUCGCGGUGAGGCCCUCCCUGUACGUCGGAUACAGCAACGUCACCCCGAGCUCAUCCUUGAUCCUCGCGUUCCUCACCCGCUUCUCCCCGCGCGCUCCCUCCGCGCCCGCGUCCAUCCCGCCCGCGUCCAUCCCGCCGAACCCCCCCGGCUCCAUCCCCAGGAGCGCCCGCGCAAACGCCGCCGCGUCCUCCCUCGGCGCCGGCUCAUCGUCGACGACGUUAUAAAUCACCAUCGAUCUUGACGAGGAGGAGGAAGAAGAAGAAGAUGAUGAUGAUGAUGAUGUCUCCGCGCUCGCGCUCAUGCUGGCGCACAGCACGUUCACCACGUCGCCCACGUGACACCUCGACGUGAACUUCCUCGCGCUCCUCGCCCUGCGACUCUCGCCGAUCGCUUCCCCGCCCGCGGACCUCGCCACGGUGUCGAGUAUGCUCCGCCCCGGGCCGUAUAUCCCCCCGAGUCGGAAAGUGACGACGGGUAGGUCGGUCGUCUCCCACUCCAACUCCGCGUCGCGCCGCCGGCGCGCGACGGGCGACGCCGGCGCGCACGCCGACGACUCGUCCACCCAUCCGCCGCGAUGUUCGCCGUAGACGCCGGUGCUGCUGAGGUACCCCAGCCAUCGCAGGUGGCCGCGGUCGUGAGCGCGCGUCAACGCGUCCAUGCACGCCGCGUCCGCGAGGACCGGGUCCCUGUCGAAGUCCGCGUUGGGCGGGGUGGAGUUGAGCACGUGCGUCGCGCCGAGGACGGCGUCGAUCCCGUCGGCGUCCAUGCGCACGACGUCGUCGGGGCGCCAGAGAUGGGCGUGGACGCCCGCGGCCCUCAGGCUGCGCACGCGCGCCUCGUCCCUGCACGUGCCCGACACGUGCCACCCCGCGCGCUUGAGCGUGUUGAUGAGGCCGAGCGAGGUGUAACCCAGGCCGAAGCAGAAGAUCCGGCCGCCGUUCGGGCCGAACGACGAAGGGUCCGGCACCGAGAUGGAAACGCCCGGCCUCGUCCCAGGCGUGCCCUCUCGCGCGGGGUCGCCCCCGCAUCGAACCCUGGAUGGCGUGCGGAUGCCCCGUGGAUGGCGAGCGCGCGUCGGUCGAUCCGAGACGGCGCCGUGGAUCGUCGGUGAUGACGCCAGGGCGGCGCGCAUGAUGCCGAACCGCUCCCCCGUGCCCUUGCCAGCUGCGGCGAGAGGAUGGGAAACUCCGACCAAGGACGUUGUUACUCGCCCGUGACGAGGACACUUGUCCUCGCGCUCCCAGAUUAGGGCACAGCCAGAAUUGAAUUGCGCCAGCCAGGAUGCCCCUGACCUACGAGCCCAGGGCGGCGCCCUGGGAGCACCUCCUGGUCGAGAAGAUAUUCCAGAAGGGAGGCAACGGCGUCAGCGGCAUCGCGCGAUGGCUCCAGCGCCACGUCCGCGCCACGGAUUACACCCCCCCGGGCACGAUUUUGCGCACCGAUUUCCGUCGAUCCGUCGCCGAGCUCAACAUCGACGUGUCCCCCGAGGACUUCGCGGCCGUCGCGGAGUGCUGCGCGUACGACGGUGACCACGCGGGCGAACCCGGAUCGUUGCUCAGCGUGCGGCACAUCGCCAACCGGCUCGUGGAUCUCGCCGCGGCGGGCUCGGGCCAGGCGUCCGUGUUCGGGCAGAACGAGUCGAGCCCGCUGACGGGCACCGAGACCGAGCGCGCCACGUUGGAGGCGCGCAAGGCUGCGGUGUCCGAGGCGAGGGCGUUCAACCCCGACGUGGAGGAGCCCGGGCGCGGACACCCGCACUCGCCCGCGGCGCCCGCCGCCAGGAGCGACCCGAACUCCCUCCUCUACGACAAUCCGAGCGGCGCCAACGUCCGAGCCCCGCCCCCGCCCCAGCUCGAGGCGGCGUACGCCCGCGGCGAGAUCCCGACGAGCCCGCGCGCCAAGGCUCUCGCCGACUACCAGGACAGGCGCCUCGAGCGCAUCGGCUCCGGCGUCGUGGCGCACGUCGGCGUGCCCCCGAAGCUCUCCUUACCCGUCGACUACACCCCCGACGCAAUGCCCGCGCUCGACACCGUCCAAGCCGUGGAGGACGCCGUUCGAGCCGCGCUCAUGGCGAGGACCACGAGCAAGUCCCAGGCGAUGCGAAUCCUGAGCGGCAUGCCCGUCGCCGGGGGUAGGGUGAAGCACGCCGGCGCCCUCACCCCGUCCCAGUUCCGCGAGGCGAUGCUCCGCCUCAACGUCAACCCCGCGGAUCCGACACUCGUCGACGAUCUCUUCGCCAAGCACGACGCCGACGGCAACGGCCACCUCGACUACGCCGAAUUCGUCGAGUUUCUCAUGCCGAGCGACUUCGCGCCGGUCUCCCCGGCGGAGUACAGGAGGGCGUACAGGGGUUACACGCACGCGACGGGGGACCUCGUGGACGCGACGUCGUCGGGGGCGGGCGCUCGCUCCGGGACAUCGCUCCCGGCGCCGGAGAGCCCGCCGCCCCACCCGCUGGGCGCGGACAACCGCGUGCUGGUGGGGGCCGCGGGUACCCCGACGCCCAAGGGCCGGUCCACCCGCGCGGAAGCGGCGCGGAACGCCGCCAUCGCGGAGGGAUGGCGGACGGGAAGCCGGGUGGAGGCUGCCCGGGACGCCAGGAUGCACGCCAUGCUCCCGGCGGAUGCGGCUCGACCGGGGAAAUCAACCGCGGGCUCUGGGCCCGGCGGGUACAGCUCCAAGCUGUACUUGAACAAACCCGGCGGCGGGGACCACUCGCUCACCGUGCGCAGGAUCGAGGCGGCGGUGCUCCACCACCUGCGAAACGCCAACGGGGGCGACGCGACUCCCAAACACGCGGAGAACCUCUUUCGAUUUUUCGACACCGACGACGACGGCACGCUCUCCUCCGCGAACCUUCGCAAGGCGCUCCUCCGCAUCAACGUCGAUCCCACCGACGCGGAUUUCGCCGAGUUCGUCGCCAAGCACGCGAACGGUCGCGCGAACGGCGAGGUGGACAUCAAGACGCUCGCGCACGCCAUCGUGCCGACCACGGAGCAGAUGAAGGCGGCUCGCGGCGGCGUCGUCGAGCGGUGGGGAGCGGAUGGCGCCGACCGAUGGGCCGGGUACGACAGGCACAAGAUCGCCGCGACGCUCGAGAACCUCAACGAGCCGAAUCUCUUCGACCGCGCCAAGGCGGGGGACGCGGGGAACGUGCCGAAGGUGCACACCGUGCACGAGCUCGAGGAGCUCCUGCGGGAGAAGGCUCUGACGUUGGAGAAGGGUUUCCGGGGGGCGCGGACGUGGUUCAAGUACUUUGACCGCGACGGGAGCGGCGGCGUCGACAAGGACGAGUUUCAGAUGGCGAUGAACCAGUUCAACAUCGCGCCAACCCCCGAGGUCAUCGACGAGAUGUUCUUGAGGUACGAUAAGAGCGGCGAGGGCGAGCUGGAAUACAUGGAGCUGCUCGCCGCGCUGGCGCCGGCCAAGGGGCUCUACCAUUCCACCGCCGACAUGCUCGAGUCCCUCGACGUCAACGCCCCGGCCAGGGUGUCCGCUGGGGACGGGGUGAAACAGCCGGCGCGUCUGAGCCUCGGCGCGCCCCGUGCGCACGCGGAUGACCAGGGUAAGCAGCGGCUGAGCGUGAAGCAGUUCAAGCGUAAGCUCACGGAUUGGAUGGCGGCUCGCGGCCAGGGGCUGAUGGCGCUUCGCAAGCUCUUCAAGGAGCUCGAUUACGAUAACAGCGGGUACAUCGACCGCGAGGAGUUCGCCAAGGGGAUUAUGCGCAUGAACAUCCACCCCACCAAGGAGUCCCUCGCCAAGAUUCUCGACUAUUACGACGACGACGGCAACGGCACGAUCGAGUUCGAGGAGUUCAUCGCGUCCGUGCUACCUGACCACGAUUACCGAGGGUACGAAGACGGUAACUGGCAGGCCAUAGCGCACCACGACCCUAAGCCCCCGAACAUCAUGCCCACCUCGCACAUGCUCUACGGCAACCAGUUGGAGAAGCUGUUGAUCGAUAAGAUCAUCCAGGCGAGCGACAAGGGCGGCAGCGCGAGGAAGAUAUUCCGCGAGCUGGACUGGGAUCACAGCGGGACGGUUGACAAGGAUGAGUUCAGGAAGUGGAUCAAGUAUCUGAACUUUUUCCCAGACGAGGGGACGUUCGAGCGGCUGUGGAGAAACUACGACAGAGAUAACAAGGGGUACUUCGAGUACAAGGACUUCGUCAACAAGGUCGCGCCCAAGCACGACCUCAACGCGUCCGUGUUUUAAAUGUGUAGAUGGGCAGCACGCAGUGCCAGUGUAAUUGAUAUUCAAAAGCGAUCCGCUAAUGUAGCGUCACAUCCGACUACGCGAAAGGGUUCUGCUGUUGCUGAUACUGCUGCUGCGGCGCGCCGAACGGAUUAGUCUGCUGCUGCGGCGCGCCGAACGGGUUCGCCUGGUGCGCCGCCGGCGCGGGGGCCGCGAAGGGGUCCUGGGCGGCGAAGGGGUCGAAGGGCGCCGCCGCUGCUUGGGUCGCCGCCGGCGCGGGUUGCGCAAAGGGGUCCGCCACGGCGCCACCCCCGGUGGAGAACAGCGUCUGCAUCUGGUGCCCGUUGGCCUGGACCGACUGCAUCAUCGCGUUGAACUCGUUGCCCGUCGAGCUCACCGGGCCGGAUCCGCCGUUGAAGCUCUGGCCGGGGCUCGGGGGCAUGGGCACCUGAGCGGCGAAGGGGUCGUUGACGGCGUUGGCAGCCGACGGCGUGAACGACGGGGGCGCGGCGAAAGGAUCCUGGGCGGACGGCGCCGGCUGAAACGCGGGGUUUGAGCGGUUUUGAGCGUUGGCGAUCGCGCUCGCGAACGCGUUGGACUGGGAACCGGCGGGCUGGAACGAGUGCUCCUGCGCGGCGGCUGGCUGGAACGACUGCUCCCGCUGCUGGUACGACCGCUGGGGAGGCACCUCCUCCCUGUACUUGUCCGAGAACCUCUGCGGCGCGGCGCCGUCGCCCCCCGUGUUCCUCUUGAGAAGCUCCUUGCGCGUCGUGGAGAUGAUCUGGGUGAAGUGCCUGGAGGUGGCCGGGUCGAACUGGAGGACGUCGGUGAACGGCUUCUUCUCCCCGGGCCUCAGCGCAAACUCCAGCGCGAGUUGGUAGAUCUUGCGGUUGUCCUUCACCACCAGGUACACCUGCUUGAGGUCGACGAUCUUCUUCGUCCACUUGUGCACCACGAAUCCCCUGUCGUCGACCUUGAUGCUCACGAUGUACUGGCCGUGCACCAGGAUGCGACGGGGGUACUUCUUCGUGCUGAACGCGCGGAUGAUCGCCUCGCCGUGCGCCUGUGACGAAAAAAGUGCGGGUUGGGGGGUUUGUUGAGCGAUGGUUCGUGGGGCGGCCCCGAGCUUGGAUCACCGGGAACGUCGCGGUAAAAACGUGCACCGUGGUUAACCGUGUCCGAGUUGACGUUCAUCCUGCCCCGGUGCGCCGACCGGGCGGGCGCGAGCGGACGUCGUCAAAAAAGUCCCGUCUCCCAACCUUUGGGCUGUGGCUGAUGGACGCGGGCGUGUGCCCUUGGUCCAUCGCAGGUGGAGUGGGGUUGACGCGCACCUUAUUGCACUCAAAAAUGUGUCCUCCCUGCUCCUCGAUGUAGUCUAGGUCCCCAAUCAUCAUGGUGCGACCCCGGCCGAUGUCCUCGAUGGAGAACUCCGAGCGCUGCAUCCUCCCUAUCUGGUGGUCCCCUGGACUUCCCUAAACACACGCCGAUCCCUGACAAACAAUUGAGAGGGAACCCUGUUACCCUCGCCACACCUCGCCGCCUCGGCGAAGGAAAUAGUCCGACAAGAGGGGCGCGAACGACUCUCUCGACUGGAUCUACGGAUACGCGAUCGGCACGGGACCACCGAACCGGCGCACACGCUGUGACCUAGCGAGGCGCCUUUCUCCCGAACACUCACUCAACUGCAAAAGGACCUUCGGGAUAGAGAAAAAGAAUUUUCCCGCCUCGCUUCAAAUCUCAAGAGUUAUGCGUUAGAUGCGUGAAAUACGUGUACAUCGUAACAAUUUCUGUGGUAUUCCAGCACAGGGUUUCGUGGUUGGAAAGGAAGGUCUUUAGGAUCUGCUCUCACAUGAAAUGACUGCCCCGUAGCGUCGUCAAAAGGCGUUUCAACUCGAGUCCCGACGCGCUUCCGUCGUCGUCGCAAAAUUCGUCGUUCGCGGCGUCCUCAUCCGUGACGUGCGCCACCCACCUCACGCCGCGGCGAGGCUCGCCCGUCCAGCGUUCUCAACCUGCGCGGCAGCGAGCGCGGCGCGCUUCUUUUCUUCCCGGAGCGCCGCGAGCGCCUCAGUCUCCCACGCCCGGGCCUGCGCCUUGACGCUCACCGCGGACACCGCGUACCACUCGCGGAUCUCCUCGGCGGUGGCCUCGCAACCGUCGACGCCGGGAAUGGCGUGGAGGUUACCGGGGACGUCGGGGUUCUUGGGGUCCAGCGUGCCGUAUACGUCCGCGGCGUUGUCCCAGCGAACCAUGGGAACGCACGCGGCGUGCGCCCACGUCCACUCGUCGCGUUUGAUCUCCCCGGGCUUCUCCUUCCAUCCGAGGCGGAGGGACCGCGAGAGGUCCACGAAGUCCUCGUCGCAGCGAUCGCACCGCGUCUUUGAGGUGGGCGAGUCGUUGAUGACGUACUCGCACACUUUGUAGUCGAAGGCGGCAAUGCGAGCGUAUCCUCGAGCCAACGCCGCUUUCGAGAGAUCCUCGAGUUCCUUCUUGAGCAACUCCUCCUUCUCGACGGCCUUCUCGACGGCCUGCGCGCCGACGCGAGCGGCGUUGAUCAGCUGAACCGUGAUCGCGUCGUCGUUGACGCCGGGGAUCUCGUCGAUGUCGCCGAAGAGGGCCACGGCGCUUUUCCAGCGCUUCUCAGGAACGCAGUCCACGUGCGCCCAGGACCAGGGCCCGCUCUUCAGGGCGCCCGGGGUCUCCUUCCAGCCGAGGCGGAGCGUGCCCUCGAUGAAUGCCUCAUGGCAGUGUUUGCAUUCUCCGGGGCGUUUUGCAUUGUCCGGGACGCGCUUGAUGAGGUACUUGGGAUCGGACAUCGCAGAAGACAUCGCGGGCGCCUGGGCGUUGAGGGAAGGGAGGGGAACUCGCGUUCAACAAAAAGCGGAGGAGGGGGGCGCGGGGGAAAAACACGGCGGGGGGGCACGCGCGUACGCGCACGAGUCGAUACGGCGCGAGACGAGCGUUGUAUCACGAAUACGAGCGAGGAUACGUACCAGGAGGUAGGAUGGAUGUAGAAAGGUGAAGCGUCAGCGUCGGGACUACCGCGCGCACAGCUGUGUGAGGACCGAGACCGGGGUUUGAAAAUUUUAAACCUGACACUGAAGCAGAAAAGGGUGAGUCCGUUUAUUUACACAAGUCGGCGUCGCUGUUCACGCUAUGGUGCCACGCAUCCGCAUCCGCAUCCGCAUCCGCGUGAUCACGGCCGUCCUCGCACGUUUGUCUUUUCGUGUCUCGACACGCUCCCGUCGUCCACUCCGCCGUCGUCCCGUUUCGUCCGUGGCUCUCCUCCCGGGCAGAAGCACAGCUGUGCUGCACGUCACGCCGCGGGGAGACUCGUCCUCCUCGUCUUGCCCCCGCGGGUGACGCCCUGCACCUCCCCGUCCUCACGCUUCUUCUUGGCGGGCUUGGCGGGUGCUUUCACGUCCGACACGCCUGCGAGCCUGAACUCCUCGAGGAGCUCGUUGCCCGUGAUGGUAUCGAUCUGCUUCUGCUCAGCGGUCUCCUCGGCUUUCUCGAGCGCCGACGGUUUGGACAGCCCAAGGACGAUGAGUUCCGUCUUGCAGGUGAUCGUGUCUCUCCAGUGGCCGCCCGCGGCGGUGAUGGCCGUCUUGGCGUCGGCUCUGGACAUUCCGUGGAGCGUUCCGACGAGCACGACGCACUUGUUCUUGAUGCGGGAGGCGCCGGCGGUCUUUUGGGGCGAGUCAAAGUCCAGGGCCUUGGCGGCGGUGUUCACCGCAGUCUGCGCCUUAACCUUGGCCUCAGCCUUAGCCUCAGCCUUAGCCUUAGCCUCGGCCGCCUUGGCCUCAGCCUUGACGAUCUUCGCGGCCUCCUUAGCCGCAUCCUUCUCAGCCUUGGCCUUGGCCUUCUCGGCAGCCUUCCUGGAGGCCUCUCUCUCCUUCUCAGCCACCUUCUCAGCCUCGUGCUGGGCGGUGGCGGUGGCGCGGCGCAUGGCGUUGGCGCGCGCGUUGGAGUGCGCGAGGCGAACAGUCCGCGACGCACCCUCGGUGGUGGCGACGCCGGGGAUCUCGUCAACCUCGCCGUAGACAUCCUCGGCCGUGUCCCACCUGUCGACGGGAACGCACGUGACGUGACUCCACUUCCACGGUCCUUUUUCGAUAGCUGCGGGCGUCUCCCUAAAGCCGAGGCGGAGCUCGUCGUCGGGGAAGACCAUGUUGCAAUGCACGCACUUGCCCUUGGCGCUCAUCGGCUUCUGGAUGAUGUACAUGGGCUCCUGCAUCGCGAAUACGUUGGUAAGAAGAGAAGGCGGAUACGCCUGCGACGCGAGGUGGAGGGGAACGUCAGAGGGGUGCGAAAGGUUGACGCAGGGAAAGGACAGCGGCUUCUCGCCACGCGCGCACGCGCGCGUCUCGAUGCCAAGCGAGACGCGCGGAGGAUCGCGGAUCUGGCCAAGGUGCGCACCGGGAGGUCGGGUGGAUGAGAGAAAGUUGGGGCGGAUGCCUGCGCUUGCGCACAGCUGUGCGGAGGACCCGUCGCUUUGGGGGUUUGAAUAAGAGUCACAUCAGGUUCAAAAAUAGACUAUUAAUGUUAAGUCAGUUUACCGGAGCGACGGGCGAAUCACUUCUUCCCUUUGACCCCUUUGGUCGCCGCGGCAGCCGUCUUCUUCCCGCCGAACACGAGCGCGAAGACCGCGACGCUCAGGACGAACCCGACGCCCAGGACGAGGAGCGAGGAACCGGAAGAACCGGUCGGUUUGCCGCCCUGCGCCGCGGCAGCCGCCGCCUUGGCCUUCUUCGCCCUGGCAGCCUCGGCUUCCUUCUUCGCCUUCUCCUCAGCUGCCUUCUCCGCCUUUGCCUUCGCAUCCGCCUCCUUCUUAGCCUUGGCCGUGGCCUCGGCCGCCGCCUUGGCCGCGGCCUCGGCCUCCUUCUUGGCCUUGGCCUCCGCCUCCUUCUUGGCCUUGGCCGCGGCGUCCGCCUCAGCCUUGGCCGCCUUCUCAGCCUCAGCCUUGGCCUUCUCGGCAGCCUUGGCGUCGGCCGCAGCCUUGGCCUUGGCGGCCUUCUCGGCCUCGGCGGCAGCCUUGGCGUCGGCCUCAGCCUUGGCCUUGGCGUCGGCCUCAGCCUUGGCGGCUCGCUCGGCGCCCUCCGCGGCGAGCUUGGCCGCCUUCGCAUCCGCCUCCUCCUUCUCCUUCUUCAUGCGGGCCUCGUUCGCGGCGCGCUGCUUCUCCUUCUCCGCCGCCGCCUUGUCCGCAGCCUCCUUCUCCGCCGCGAUCUCCUCGGCGGUCUUCUCGGGCGCCGGGGACUUGGACUCGGGGGACGGGGGCUUGCUGCCGUGGUUGCGCUUCUCGUUUUUGUGCAUCUCGCGCUCGUGUCGAUGGAGGCGCUGCUUGACGAGGCGGAUCUUCUGUUCGACGAUGGGGACCUGGUCGGGACCCGCGAGCUUGAGGGAUUCCUGCGAUGAGGCGUUUGGUGAGUCGGUCAGUCUCGGCGUCGUCGACGGGACGGCGUCGGUCGUCAGGGUCAGUCGCGGGUCGAAAACCCGAGUUUGGGUUCGACUGGAAAAGGAGGGGAGGUUUUUCUCGUUAUUUUUCUAACCUCGAGCGCGAUCAGCGCCUCGGCGUCCUUCUCGGAAGCCUCGAGCGCGGCAGCCUUGCGGAAGUGCGCCUUAUCCCAGUCGGGCUUGAGCUCGCAGCAUUUCUCGGCGUCUUGAAGCGCCUGAGACACCUUGCUCAGCUUGAGGAAGGAUGCGGAACGGUUCGAGUAGAUGGGCGCCAGCUUCGCGUCGCUGAUGAGGGAGAGAUAACAACGUUUGACGAACGGGGUUAGUUGGAGAGUAUUUCACGCGGUUCGGUACGAGCGCGCUCGCGGAGGACGGCGGGUGGGGGCACGGGGUGCGUCGAUCGCGAGCGGUGACUCACUUUUCGAUGCCGUGAUCGGCGGCAGCCUUGAUCGCCUUGGUGUACGUCGCGGCCGCCUUGAGGUAGUCGCCGCUGCGGAAGAACGUGUUGCCCUCCUCCUUCAGCUCGAGCAUCUCCUUGUACUGGCCCUUGCCGGACUCGUUCACGAGCACCUGCUCGUAGAACCUGGUGAACUCAUCGUAGUCCAGGGCGCCCGAGCGAUCGGUGUCGAAGUCGUCCAUCAUGAUCUGGGAGUAGCCGUCGAAGUGCUCCUUGGUGAUCUCCACGCCGAUCUCCCUGAGCACAUCGUAGAGUUCGCCGAUCUCGAGCGAGCCGCUGUUGUCCUUGUCGAACUUUUGGAACGCCGCUUUGAUCUCCGAGUCCUUCGCUCGGGUGACGGCCAUCGUGGGAGGCUAGGUGGCGCGCUACGAGCAGGCGGUGACGAGUGGGUGUUCAAGAGAGGCUGUUCCGAUCGAACGGGCAGUGAGCCGGUGCUCGAGGGCAGUGACCCCCGCGCCGGACUCGGGGCUCGAUCAUCCAUCCGUUUGCCCUCGCUUUUUUUCGACUGACGUUAAGACAGGUCAGCAUAACCUGAGCGCGUACAAAUCAGGGAGCGGAGAUCUCCGGAUUCGGGAGCUGGAAUCGGGAGAAUCGGGCGCGAAUCCAGCGUGACGAGUUUUUUUUGUCCCAGUCGCGGCGUGGUGAGCCGCUGUUGUUGAUACAAGGUGUCGCUGCUAAAGCUACUCGCGCCCUGCCUCGCCGAGGCGAUCACUUCUUCUCCGGCUCGACCCUGUCGGUGACCAGGAUGAGGUGGUACCCGAACUGCGUCUUCACCGGCCCCUGGAUCACGCCCACCGGACCGUUGAACACCGCGUCGUUGAACUCCUUCACCAUCUGCCCGGGCUUGAACGUGCCCAGGCUGCCGCCCUUGCUCUUGGACGGGCACUCGCUGUAGUUGCCGGCCUCGCGCGCGAACCUGUCCUCGAGGUUGUCCUGGGGGCCGUCCUGGAGCCUCUCCAGCAGCGACUGAGCCAGGGAGGGAUCCUUCACGAGGAUGUGAGACGCCGUCGCCUCCUCGCCCCCCACGAGCACCGCGAGGAUGCCCUUGAUGGCGCCCUGGGAGGACCACAGCACGGCCGCGAGGGAGGCGAAGAUGGCGAGCGUGGGGAUGAGAUCGUCGCCCUCGGCGAGCUGCGCCACCUCGGACGCGAAGGCGGCCUGGGCGGACCCGAGGAAGGUCGCGGCGGAGGCCAACCUCGCGAUGGAGGACUUGGUCGCUACCGAUUUGACAACCAUCGGUGCCUUGACGGUGGGCUUGGCGGCCGCUGUGAUCUUGGCUGCGAGAGGCGCGCGCUGCUUCCUGGUGGCGGCCGCCGCGCGAAGGGCGACGGGGGCGCGAAGGGCGACGAUAGAGGUCAUGGCUGCGUGUGAGAGUCGGUGCGGGUGCCGUCGAUUGUGGACGAGAGAGCGAUCCGUUUUAUCCGGAACGCUCACUGAUUGGGUGGAUUUGGCCGGGAGAUCUGCAAAUGCCAGCCAAUUACGCGUCGCCUGGCACAGACCUUUUAGUCCCGCCGCUUUCGCCGCGCUUUCGCUGCCAGGCCGCCUGUGAAGAGGUGCGAGACACAACGCACGCCGCGAGGUAGCUAGCUAGCGGCUCGCACAAACCCGGGAGGGUCGAAGGCCGGGAAAAAUGGGGCGUCAAGGACACAAAGGCCGCGAGGCGAGCAUACAUGCCGCGCUCGACGACUUCGUCACGAAGCUCAAGCGCAAGCGGCUCGGGGGCAGCUCGCUGGCGCUGGCGAGGCACACCACCGAGGUGCUGAUCCACGCCGUGGCGGCGCAGCAGGCGCCCACGGCGGAGGGGAUCAUCGAGGGCGUGAGGGCCGUGAGCAAGAAACUGGUAGAGGCCAGGCCGCUUGGUGCGUCCGAACCUCAGAACCCGUGUGCCCUCGAUGUUCCCACCGCCGUCUCCCUUCAGUCGCACUCCUUCGCUUCAAAAAACAUGAACCCUCAACCCUAUUUUCCCCAUCCCGUCGCGUCCAACAGAGCUGGUCGUGGGCAACAUGUGCAGGAGGGUCCUGCACAUCAUUCGCGAGGAGGCGGCUGGCGACGGGGGGAAGGCUAGCAACGCCGCGAGCGACGCUAACGACGCCAGCGACGGCAGCGACGACGAGGACAACUCCGUCCGCGGCGGAGCCAUGAAGGCGUUCAAAGCCGAAGUCAUCGAGGUCAUCGGCGAGCUCAUCGACGAGCUGGAAUCCGUCAACGCGCACAUCGUCCAGCAGGCCCUCGAGCACGUCUCGCCGUCCUCCGUCGUGCUCACCAGCGGUGGCAGCGACAUCGUCGAGGCCUUCCUCCGGGAGGCCAACAGGAAGCGCAAGUUUCAGUGCAUCGUCGCGGAGGGGGCGCCCGCGCUCGCCGGCCAUCAGAUGGCGCGAGCCCUCGCCGAGAGGGGGGUGGAGACGACGGCGGUGGCGGACGCGUCGGUGUUCGCGAUGAUGUCCCGCACCAACCUGGUGGUGCUGAGCGCGUGCGGUGUUUUCGCUAACGGGGGUAUCCUGGCCCCAGCGGGUCACCACACGGUGGCGCUGGCGGCCAAGUCGCACAGCGUCCCCGUGGUUUUCCUCGCGGGCCUUCACGAGCUGUCGCCCAUCGGCCCCGGCGACGACGCGUUCCACGCCAACGACCUGCGUUCCCCAGCGGACGUCAUCGACUACACCGCGCUGGCGGAUUGCGGAAUCGGUCGGAAUGGGUCAGGUAUCGACAGGCGCUCAGGGGCCCAGGCGGAAGGGGACGUCGCACAGCUGUGCGUCGCAAACCCCGCGUACGAUUACGUCCCGCCCGAGCUCGUCACCCUGGUGCUCACCGACGUCGGCGGCGCGGUGCCCGCGUUCGUGAAGCAGCUGCUCGGGGAGAUUUACGAUCCCGCGGACCGGACGUUCUGAUGUGCGAUCCGCCGCCGCGUGUGUGCGCGCGUAGAUGUAGCUCGAUUGUAACGGAAGACGGCGUCGUCGGUCCGAGGCUCUUCCCGGGAGAACCCGAGGAGGACCGAUGCGCCCGCGCCAAAAUUGUCAACUCUCUCGGCUCCCGAAAAAGCACGCGGUGCAGGCGCGCGCGGGGCCGCAGAGUCCGCGGAGCACGGGCAACGAUGGGCGAGGGCGACAUGGACACGGAUAAGAACGUCGACAGCGACGGGUUCUCGCUCGGCAGCGACUCCGACGCGGACGACCCGCCCGCCGCGGCGGUCGGGAGCGGAGCGGACGCGGGCGAUUCCGGGGGCGCGUCGCGACCCCGGCCUCCGAUGCCCAAGUUGGGUCUCGCGGGUAUCGGGAACUCGGGUGCGGCAGCGGCGACGCCGCUGACCGCGCGCAAGCCUCCGGGCCUUGGUCUGAGCCUCGGCGGCGGAGGAGACGCCCCGGCCAGCCGCAGCGCCGAGCCCUCCCCGCCGGACGCGGCCAACCCGAGCGGCGCCAUCCCGAGAAUGUCGCUCAGCGAACACAGGCCGGUGGGGCUCAACCUCGGCGCGCUGCGCGACAGGGCGAGGGAAGACGUCGACGAGGACAAGUCCGAGCUUCAGAUUCGACGCGAGAAGUUCGCGCACUUCGAGAAGCACUGCACGGAGAUCGUCCCAGGCGUGUACGUCAGCGGCGAGGGAGUCGCGAAGAAUCGAGCCACCCUCGACGAGCACGGCAUCACGCACGUCAUCAACUGCGUCGGAUUCGUCAUUCCGAACUACUUCGAGCCCGACUUGGUGUACAAGACGAUGUGGCUGCAGGACACCCCCGACGAGGACAUAUCCCCCGUGCUGUACGACUGCUUCGACUUCAUCGAGGAGGCGACGGUGGAGCGCGGCGGCAGAGUCUUGGUGCACUGCUCGCAAGGGGUGUCCAGGUCGUGCUCCGUGGUGAUAUCGUACCUCAUGUGGAGGGACGGGGGUUCCUACGAGGACACGUUCGCGGCGGUGAAGGAGAAGCGCGGUAUCGCCAACCCGAACAUGGGGUUCACGUGCCAGAUGCUUCAGUGGGCCAAGAGGAUCGGGACCGAGGCGGACCGCGCGCCGCCGCACAGGCUCUACCGCGUGGCGCCCCACAACGAGCACGACCCGACCUACCUGGUCGCCAAACCGUGCACGAGCUGCGAUACCACGCAGCUCGACGCGAGGGGCGCGUACGUGGUGGCGACGUCCAAUCGUAAGGCUUUCGCGUGGGUGGGAACCUCGCUGAUUGACGAAGAGUUUCGAACCGUCGCGGAGAGGUUCGCGCGACAGCUGUACAGGUACGACGGUCUUGGACCCGCCGACUCGUUGGUGGUGACGGUGUCGGGCGGCGAUGAGCCGACGGAGGUGCUCGAAGCCUUGGACGCGAUCGGGGACGGCCAAGGCGGCGGGUGGAAGGGCGCCGCGGGCGCGAGGCGCGAGAGCCUCGACGACGAAUUCGCGAUGUACGAGCGCGGAACGCGAUCGGAGAUUGCGGCGAACAGCGGCGCCGCGAUCCCGCCGCCGGAGUGGGCGCGGGCGCUGACCAAGGCGGGCGGUGCGGGUCUCGGCGCGGCGGGUAACCCCAGCCUGAGCAAGGGAUGGUCGCUGAAGGAACCGGCGACGAGCGGAUCGACUCAAUCGUCGAGUCAUCAGUCGCCCGGGAACCUUACUUCCGGGAACCUCGCGCGGCACCUCUCGCUACCUCCGUCGCGGGACGACACCGCGAGUCCGUCGUCGCUCGGGAUCGGUGGGCUCGGGCUGGACGGCGCCGGGAGGGAGGGGCGGGAAGGUGUCGGCCGGUCGGAGUCGGAGCCGAUGGACCAGUCACCCUCAAAGAUGGACCACUCGCCCUCGCGGCGGGAGCGAGGCGGGGACGCGCGCGGCGACGGGCCCACUUUGCACGAGUGGCCGAGCCUGGUGGAGUACGAUAUGUACGACGGAGACGAUUUGGAGUCGUCCGGGGUGUACUUGCUUCGAAACGGUCGGAACGUGUACGUGUGGAUCGGCUCCAGGGUUGUGCUGGACGGUUCGGACAAGUUCGUGUCGGGCGGGAGGAUCGGGGAGGAGGCGGCGGCGAGGCUGGGGAUCCGUGGGGGGGCGCGCGUGACUGUCGAGGCGGAGGGUGGCGAGAGCGGGGAGUUCUGGGAGGCGUUCGAGUCCGGGGAGGCGUGAUGAGGUCGCGCACGGGCGGAUCCAAGCAGACGCCAGACGAAGAGUUUUUCACGCUGCAUAUGUGUAUUUCUCAUUUACAGCGAGGUUGCGCCCCCGUCGCCCCACCCCGCGCGCGUGUUGCGCGAACGGCAGCUCCUCGGCCGCGUGUCGUAUCCGCCCCGUACGACGGUUCGUGCGUUUCGCCCCAUCCCGAUCCCCAAGACUAAAAGCUAUGUACGCAGCAGACAAAGAAUAGAAUACCCCGGAAAAGUCAAUUUACGCGAGGAAGCCGAGCUUGCCGCCGUUCUGCUUGGCGGUGCGUAUGAGGUUCUGGCGAACCUUGCCGUCCGCGCCGAUCUCCUUGCAGAAGUCGGUGAUGACCUGCGUCACGGGGGCGAUACGAGUCAGCGACGUUCUUCAAUAUCGGUUCGUCCGAGGCGGGUGAGGCGGGGGUGGACGGGUGCGCGUGUCGGGCACGCGCCUCCGCGUGUCCAAGGGCGGGGGGAUCUAAAACGUGACAGCUAAGAUGUUAUCCGAGUGCGGAACGUUGCGUCGACGCCGGUCCGAGCGCUCACCUGGGAGUGGAGGGCGAUGGCCUUGCCGCGGAUCUGGUUGAAACGCUUCACCCCGAUGAUGUUGCGCGCGACGACGACGAUGGGCGCGAAAAGGCCGCCCUCGUAGUCGUUGCCCGCGACCACCUUGAGCGCGCCGCGCUCGGUGCGAGCACGGGGCUGGGCGGGCACAGCAGCGGCCACCCGGGCGCCCAUCGGGGCGGACUGCUUGAAGCCGAGGCCGCGAGCCUUGGCGGCGGAGAGGGAGACGGAACCGGCGAUGGCGGACAUCGUUGGUAUCACGAGUGUUCGGACUGCGUGCGUGUGCGUCGCGUGUAGUGUCCGACGGCCGCCGCGUUCGACUCGUUUCUUUUGCUGCGAUGGAGGCGCCUUUUCGGUGCCAAAACAGACCAAGUUUAACGGUUCACGUGUGCGAGGCCGAUUUCCUGCCACAGGUUGAGCCACGUCGAGCCAAUCAGGCCAAAGGACGCUGAAAAAAGCUUGAACCAGAAAACGACGAGUUAAAAAGUCCUAAAAAAAUCGUGCCGGAAGCAACGCGGUGCCCCAAAAGCUGCCCAAGCAGUGCCGUGAGCGAGGAGCCCUUCGGCUGCUGCUCGGCCCGUUCUCGCAGUCUCGUUCUCGGCACUCACAACAAAACUCAAAAUGUGGGAUCCAACAACAGAGCGUGGGGCGCAGGUAAGGGUGGGCACUUCAGGGCGGCAUGGACGAGACCGGGGUGAAGAUGAGCACAAUGUUGGACGACGGCGCGUCCACCGCCUCGAUACCCUCACCGACGCACUGGUACGACGACCCGCAACGAGCACUCGGGGCGGAGCUGGUUGAGAUUCUCACGAGGACGCCGUUCGUGCUGGUGCUCGCCUAUUACGUCGGCAAGGCGUUCGCCAAGGCCAGGCUCCCGCGCAUCAGCGGCUACCUCGUCACCGGUGUGGUAUGUGGCUCGCACGUCCUCGGCAUCCUGGGCCGCGGCGCCACGCGGAGGCUCGCGGGGCUCGAUAACCUCUGCCUCGCAGUCAUCGGCGUCGCCGCCGGUUCCGAGCUCCACCUCGCGGACCUGCGACGCUCGCCCAAGCCCACGCUGAUCAUGACCGCCGCCAUCACCGCGUUCUCCUGGGCGUUCGUCUUCGUCACGUUCUGCGUCGUCGCGCCGUCGUCCAACCUGGACUUCCUCGACGGGCUAUCCGUCGUGCACGUCGUCGCGGUUGGCUCGCUCGCGGCGACGCUUUCCGUCGCGAGGUCGCCGGCGUCCGCCAUCGCGGUGCUCAGGGAGAUGGAAGGCCGGGGACCGUUCUGCUCGCUCGUGAUGUCGGUGACGGUCGUGAAGGACGUGCUGGUGGUGGUGAUGUUCGCCGUGAACCUGGAGCUCGUCGCCGCGGCGCGGCUGGACUUUUCGGCCGUCGGGGGCGGAGCGGGCUCGGGGGAGGGGAGCGGGGCGGGGGGCGGGCUCGGGGGAGAAGAAGGGGGGGUUUCGUCGACGGCGGUCGCCGCGCUCGUCGCGUUCAUGCACCCCGUCUUCAGCGUCGCGACGUCCGUCGGGCUCGGGGUCGUCGCGGGGUUCGCGCUCGGUCAGUGUCUCAAACCCCCGCGGCUUCGAACGCUCGCGAACCGACCGGCGCUCGCGAGGGCGGUUCGAUGCGUCCAGACGCUGGCGCUGUCCGCGUCCAGCUUCUGGGCGGCCAAAGCGUUGGGUCUGGAGCCCUUACUGCUGUGCGUCGUCGCCGGGGCGCUCGCGGCGAACAGGCAGCACGUCACCGGCGAGGAGGAACGGGAGAGGCUCGACUCGGUGCUGAGGGCGUCGAUGCCGCUCGUCAACGUCGUCUUCUUCACGCUAGCCGGCGUCGGCGUGCACCUGACGUCCGUGUACAAGUCGUCCGUCGUCGCGACGCUCUUGGUGGGUGCCAGGCUGCUCGCGCUGUACCACGCGGCGAGGAUCGGAUGUGACGCCAUCGGGGCGCCGGAGAGUCACAAGAAUGUGGCGUGGAUGGGAUACGUGACCCAGGCCGGGGUGGCGUUGGGUUUGGUCAGGACCGCCGCCGCGAGGUUUCCGCAGUGGGGAGACGAGUUCGGCGCGCUGAUGGUGGCGACGAUCGUGAUGAACCAACUCGUGGGUCCGCCCAUGUUCCGAGCGGCCAUCGUGAGCGUCGGAGAGAGCGGCGUGGAUCCCGGGCCGACGCCCAACCGGGCGGCGACUUCGGAGCUCGAUAAAACGCUCGAGGUACCCGUCGCGUCGGAGGCUUGAGCCGGGGAAUUCAAUGCCCGUCUACCCUUAGUCACGCGAGGACGAUAGCCGUAGCGAGAGGGGGUACGCAGCACCCUCGCCACCGCCAACAGGGGAAGUGAGAUGUCCCUCGCGGUGCUUCACAAAUCAGAUUACAGAUUACAACGGGGCGAGAGGCGCCGCGGCUACUCCGCGUCGCGACUCUCGCGCUCGCACGUCGCUCGUUACUCCUCCUCCAUCGGGGGGAAGUUGCCCACGAUGUCCUUGUACAGCUUGCCCUUGUUGCGGGACUCCCAGAGCGCGUCGAAACCGUUGUUCACGACCUGUGGGAAUCAAUCGAGGAGGUGUCGUCAGAGACGUGAUUCCUCGUACGGCGUCGGUCGUUCGCGGCGCGUGGCGUGGAUGAGAAAAAAAGCCCUAAAUCCGGGGGUCGCGCGCCCGAACGGGUCGAUCGCGCGACGGCGAAGGUUCUCGGAGGGUUCGGGGGCGCGGCGGUGGCGCGCAACGUACCUUCUCGCCGACGAGAGCACCCGCGAUGACGACACCCACGUAGACGCUGGAGCGCUGCGGUGGAGGAGAGGGAGAGAUGGGGCGUGGUCAGGUGAUCGUUCGAGUCAUCCGUCGCGCGCGGGUGCGGGACCCCGCGGGUCGUGUCUCCUCGCGCGGGUGACAUGCAGGGGUCGGGGGUGCAACCGCGGGUGUACUCACCGACAUGAACGUCUUGUAGAACGCUUCGAACACCAUGGCGUUCGGAGUUUAGCCGUAAGCACGUGCCUCCGCGGAGCGCACCGACACAGUGCACCUCUCCGAGCUACGGGCAGCAGGCACAUGCCGAUCUCGGCGCCCUCGAAAAAAUCUUCAGGCGAUCCUCGUUGGUUUUCUCGAGUCGACCAGGUAGCGUUAUACGCGCCGGGUUUUCAAGAUCGUAUGGGCAUUUGGUCAGAGAAAGUUCCUAAUUUGGACUGUCGAACCACCUCGAGACGACAACCGGUCCUAUCAUGCGCGUCUUUCAGGGUUCGACCCGCAUUGCGCCCAGCGCGCGUCACGCGUGGAGUCGCGCGAAACCUUCAGCGUCCGAGGCUUCGGGCGGAAUCGUCUUCUGCCUCCCCCAGGCGGUCAACCCAGGGUUCUGGGCUUGUGGCGAGCACCAUGGCCUCAACAUUGGCCAGGCUCUCAAAGUAUGCAAAGGGCGAGAACACCACGAGCGUCUUGAGCCACGCCAAGGUACGCCGAGCUCUGAGCUUAACCCUUCACGCAGACUCCAGACGGGCGCGCUGAUACCUUACCCACUCUUCCUCGCACCAGGCUGCUUACGUCGCUCAGACCGCCCCGAAGGAGUUCAAGGUGCGCCCCCCAACCUCCCGCAUUUCGCGCGGGCAACUGUCUGCGGCUCUGGGUUUUUUGAACCGCCGGUUUGAGGCGCGGGCGGGGGAGCGCGCAAUUCCCCGCGCGGAUCGAGCGAGUGAUCCCGGCGAGGAUCGACGCCGGUGGAAUAUGUCCAGAUCAUCGGGCCGAUGCCACGCGACUCGCGUGCCCUCAGUGGGAACCUCGUGCAACUCGCCCGGAGAAGUCCCCCGGCACACGCCCUCGUGAAAUCCUAGCGGAGCGUAAUCAACCCGCCGCGGGUCGAAAUCUUAACCACCCCUGGACUGACGGACCGUCCCGAUUAACCUCCCCCACGCACAACAGCACAUCGCCGUCGCGGUCGAGAAGGCGACCAACGAUGAUGUCGUCUCCCCCAAGGAGAAGCACGUGCAGACCCUGCUCGAGGUUGUCCGAUCAGGCGCAUCGGUAGCCGACGUGACCUUCCUGGUCAACUAUCUGAACCAUCAGGUUACCGACUGCAAGCGCGUGACCCAGAUGCUGAAGACGCACGUCUUGCUCCACCGUCUCCUGCUGGACAGCGGCGAGGAGUUCCGCACGCAGAUCAUGAAGAUGCACAAGUGGGUCGUGGAGGACCGGAACACGGACUCGACCCUCAAAUGCCUCUUCUCCAUCCGCGCGUGGAAGGACGAGGCCAACAUGGAGGUGAGCGGAUGGUGCCGCACCUACGCGUCUUACCUCGACGAGUUCGUCUCAAACUGGGAGGAUUUCUCCGAUUUUGCGCGCAUCAAUAAGAACCCGCAGGGCGACGCGACCCAGAUGCGGUCCCUCCCCGCGGAUGAGCUCGUUCGCAAGCUCCCCAAGGCGCAGCUCUUGAUGCGGCGGAUAAUCGACUGCGAGGCCAUCAACGAAUCUCUCACAGCCAACGAGGUGGUCAUCGCCGCCACCAGGCUCCUGUUCAAGGACUCGUUCAAGUGGUACCACAUGUGCAACGACGGAGUAAUCAGGCUCAUCGACCUGUUCUUCGACAUGAACAAGCAUCACGCGGCAAAGGCGCUCGAGAUGUACAAGAAGGCGACCACGCAGGGUGACGACUUAUCCCGAAUGUACCGCAACGCCGAGGAAAAUUGGCUCGCGUUUCGAUCCGAGAAGUUUCCCGCGGUCGAGAACCCGCCCGGAUCCUUCCUGCAGACCAUGGAGGAGUACGUCAAGAACGCUCCGGCGGAAGGGAAGGGACCGGCGCCGUCCCCGCCGCGCGCCGCCGCCCCCGCGCCGGCGCCGCCGCCGCCCGCCCCCGUCGACCCCAUGUCGGACCUCCUCGGCGGGAUGAGCCUCAACACUCCGAGCCCUUCGCAACAGGCGCCCGCAGCGGCCACCUUCGACGCGUUCGGCAGCGGUGACACCUUCGGGGCGAACGGAGGCGCGGGAUUCACGGGGGGUAGCGCGGGAUUCACCGGAGGAAGCGCGGGAUUCACCGGGGGCAGCGCGGGAUUCACGGGGGGCAGCGCGGCGCAGCAGACGCCUUCGCCGACGGCGGCGGCGCCCCCGGGCGAUAUCUUCAGCGCCUCCCCGCCUGCGGCGGUGGCGGCGGCGUCGGCGUCGGCGUCCCCGCCCCAGGUUGAUUUCGACCCCUUUGGGACGAGCGCCGCGGCGGCUGCGCCCAUCCCGCCCCCCGCGGCUGGGGCGGGCGGGGCGCCGCAGGGUCCGCCCAGCGUGAACCCGUUCGGCUCCGACCCGUUCGGCGCGCCGGAGCAGCCCAAACCCGCGGUGGACCUGGACUCGUUGUACGCGCAAGGUACGCGUUCGCCGCCCCAGCAGAUGGGUGGCAUGGGGAUGGGGAUGCAGCAGCCGGGGAUGAUGCAGCAACCCGGAAUGGCGAUGGGGAUGGGCAUGCAGCAGCCGGGGAUGGGCAUGGGUAUGGGGAUGCAGCCCGGUAUGGGGAUGCAGCCCGGUAUGGCAAUGCAGCCCGGUAUGGGGAUGCAACCCGGUAUGGCAAUGCAACCCGGUAUGGGGAUGCAACCCGGUAUGGGGAUGCAACCCGGUAUGGGGAUGCAGCCCGGUAUGGGGAUGCAACCCGGUAUGGCGAUGCAACCGGGCAUGAUGCAGCAGCGGUACGCAGCGUCCCAAAUGCAACCCGGCAUGCAGCAGAUGGGCAUGCAGUUCACGCCCCCGCAGUUCGGUAAGACCUCCCCCAAGAACGAUGGCGGGGCGCAGGGCGGCGGCUCGCUGCUCUGAGAAAAGUGUAUCUAACAGCUUAGGCCUUGUGGUGCAAAGAUAUCUUGGAAGAAAAACGCAAACGCGCUUUCAGCACUCCUCCGCGACGCCGUGGCGAUGAUGACCGGCGCCGUGUCGGCCCUUCACGCGACGUCUGUAUCGGUAUCGACGUCACGCUCCUCGUCGUCGCCGCGCACGCGCUCCAGACCCAUCGCGUCCUCCUCUCCGCGUGCGUCAGCGCUCGUCUCGUCCGAGGCUCGCACGUUCCCUCGGCGAGCGCGCGCGUAUUCCCGCGGUUCGCGCCCGUCCGUCGUCGUCUACGCCUUCGCCGCGUCCGCUGCCGCGCCCGACGAGAUGAACGACGCCGCACCGAUCAAAUCCACCGCGCGAUUGAGCCCCGACGCCAGGCGCGUCGUCCUCCUGUGCGCCGUGACGAUGCUCCUGGCGUCCGCGGAUAGAACGAUCUUCUCCCUCGGCUCGCUGGCCAUCGCGCGCGAUCUCUCGCUGUCGAUGUCCACCGUCGGCCUCCUCCAGUCGGCGUUCUUCUGGGGCUACGGCGUGACGCAAAUCCUCGGCGGCGUCGCCGCGGACAGGUUCGGAGGAGCCAAAGUCCUGCUCGCGGGUCUGGGUCUGUGGUCCGUGGGCGUCGCGAUGAUCCCCGCCGCGACGCUCACUCCCACCCCCGUCGCCGUCAUCGUCGCCGCUCGCGUGCUCUUCGGCGCGGCGUCGGGUUGCGUGAUGCCCGCGUCCGCGGCGGCGGUCGCGUUGUCCGUGCCCGCGGAGAGACGGAGCUCUAGCCUCAGCCUCAUCUUCACGUUCUUCAACUGCGGCAGCGCGUUUGGGCUACUGUUGGCGGGUAGCCUCAUCCAGACCGUGGGGUGGAAGGCGGUGUUCCUGGCGUUCGGGGCGGUGGGCGUGGCGUGGUCGGCGAUCGGGCUCGCCACCGUGCCCGAGUCGGCGAAAAAGGGCAAAGUUCGUCAAAGUUCGUCGCGCGGGUCGGAACGCGAGGGCGACGACGGGCGCCCCGGCGGUUGGCUCUCGCUGCCGGGGUGGAUGUAUCCGCAGCUCGGCGCGCUGGCGUGGUGCCACGUGUGCAUCAACUGGGGAUUCUUCAUCCUCCAGUCGUGGCUCCCCGUCUACCUCGCCAAGGAGCUGGGGUUCUCGUUGGGCGGCAGCGGGCUCGCGUCGGCGCUGCCGUGGUUCCUCACCGCCGCGUGCUCAUUCUCGAGCGGCCAGAUUGCCGAUAUCCUGGUCGCCAGGGGGUGGGAGCGGUGGAAGGUUCGGCGGUUGAUGAUGAACAUCGCGACGGUCGGGCCCGCGACGGCGUUGAUGCUGUUGCCCGCGGCCAGGUCGCCGGUGGUGGCGGUUUUCUUACUGGCGGUGAUGCUGGGCACGCAGGCUGUGAGCAUAGCGGGAUACCACUCAUACCUGCAGGACGUGCUCCCGUCCAGGGCUGGGUCAUUCUUGGGAAUGACCAACACGUUGGGGGUCAUCGCGGGGAUAGUGGCGAACUUGUUCGUCGGGUACGUGGUGGAGACGACGGGUGGAUUCAGGCUGGUGUUUUUGGUGACUGCGCUCGUGUACGCCUCGAGCGGAGUUGUUUGGAACCUUUCGGCAAGAGGACGCGUCAUGUUUGCGUAGAAAGACUUAGGCGAUUCUUCAGUAUUCCCCACGGCGAUACAUUCGUAGACUACUCGCGCGGUAGGUUAGUUCGUGUUGUCAACACCGUUCGUUGAACUCCACUCGGACACGGUCGACUUGUUCAGUCGUCUCUCGUUUCUCUCGUCAGCACGCGGCUGCGAGGGCGCGUCGCUGGUGCGGCCGCGCCGGCUGCCUUCGAGCCAUCGACAGGGCCCGCCUCUCCCUCGACGUUCGCAGGUGCACCCCGUACGCCGUGUGCAGCCUCGCCGGGGACAGCACCCCCCUCGCCGUCCUCGACAUCCUCGCCGGAACUCCCACCGAUCCCUCCUCUUCUCCCGCUGAUCCCUCCAACUUUGCCGUCGCCGCUCGCAUCGCCUCGUACGUAGCGAACCAGACCACGCCCUGCUGAAGCGAAUCCGCGAGGCGUAUGCGCGUCACGCGCAGCGCCGCGGUUCCGAGCCUGGCGGCGGUGGGCACGUCCGCGCACCUCACCGCGCGGGAGAUGAGCCUCCGGCCGUAAUACGGGGACAGCGCGACGGCGGUGAGCGCGGUGGCGCCGAAGGCGCACACUCCGCCGGAGACGGCGCCGUGCACCGCGUUGGUCACGCGCCCGUGCGCGGUGGGGACCCACGGGUGCAACGACGCGAUCGCACCCUCGCUCCCGUCCAUCCGUCUCUUGAUCUUAUCGUACAGGUCCCACUCGAUGAGGUAGUGCGCGGCGAUUGGCACGGCUCGAGCCGCGACUUGAUGCGCGGAGAGUCUCCGCAGUCGACCCCCGAGCUUCGAGACUAUGACCGGCGUCGCGACGUUCGCGGCGCCGACGGACACCAGGCUCGGCAGACCCAUCGCGCUCGUCGCCACCUGCAUGGAGCACGCGUACACCGCGGACGGGCCGAGGGUCGACUUGACCCCGGCCGCGACGGUGCGAACCAUCUCGCGGCGAACGGAUCUCACCGCUCCCAGGUAGCCGUGCGCCCAGCCCUUGUAUAUCUUCCUGGUCCCCAGCACGAAGUUCUUGACCUUGCCACGGUUCAGCGCCAUCGCCGCGAAACUGUUGGCGGUGGCGAACACGCCCGCGUCGGCUGUCGUGACGUCGGGGUAAUCGGAGUUGUCAGCGAGUAAGCUGGUGAUGGGCAAGUAAAGUAAAGACGCAUCGGGAAUGGGCACGAGGGUAACAGAUGCACGCGGAGGAGCGGGAUGCGGCGUGAAUAAGCGAGCGACGUACCGAGCAGCUUGGAUGGUAUGCCACUGCUGAUCGAAUCGACUACUACGUCCGAGGGAACGCUGCCGAACAGCGACGACAGCGUAUCGAAAACCAUGCUUCCGCGCGCAGUUCGUUAUCUGGUUGGCCCUUCGCGGCUGAAAUAAAAACGCCCGACGAGUGAGGACGCGCGCUCCUGACGACCACGCGGCUCAACCCCCCGCGGUGCCUCGUUCGGUCGCGCUAUUCCCUCGCCCAAUCGAUUCGUCGACCAGGGGGUGCGCCGCGUGAAAUGGCGCAGCGUUCGCGAACCGCCGGGCUGUAUCGAUCCCUCCUCCCGAAAAGAGUUUUGUCACUGUCCAUGUCUUUUUUCCGGCGUUUCCGCGGCCGAGAACUUUCAUCGCGCAAAUCGACCAACGAGAGCGAGGUCGAGCUGGGCGGGUUGCCGAAACCUUCCGUGGCGGUCGAAUCGACACCGAAACAGACUGGUGUUUCUUGAGUCAGAGAAAUCUCCGCAGAAAAGCCAACCGUGAAGCAGUCUACAAAUCGACGAGAAACUGGAGCACGUUGUUAGGGCUUUCACUCGAUUUUCAGCGGUGGGGCGCAGCAGCAUGUUCUGCGGCACAGUGCACGCGCGCGAGUAACACGGAGACCGUGGGGCGGGGGCCUUCGGACCGAAUAGCGCCGUGGCCAGGUAUUGUGUCAAGCCCGACCCGCUCGCUUCGUGCGACUCGUGCGUGUAUUGCGCAGAGACAAGCGUCUCACCUCCACUCCAACGCUUCAAUGAAACACUGGUGGCAGCGACCAUGAGAGGCAUCGAUGAAAAGGCCUCCGGAGGUCCCACUCGACAUCAUCAUCCAUGAAGACUUCACCCAGCAUUCGAAGGAUAAAGUGUAGAAGCGCAAGUUAAAAGUCGUCAAGAGCACUGGUGAGCCGCCAUUUCUAUCCCUAGGUCGCCUCCAGAACUAGAUCUGAAAGAGUCCACACUUUUUCUGUCACGUCGUAUUUGACUCUCGUUUUGUCUGUGCAUUUGGGUCUUUUGGUCGAGAGGAAAAGACGACAUUACUUGGUCCGUGUUUUGUAUCCGCCGGAUUAGACCCCGAGCGAUGCCGACCUACCAUUAUUCCCGGAUUAGACCCCGUGGACACCGAUCCUCUCGACAUGACCAGAUUGAAUGCCCGGACGCGAUUCGUUUUGGUUUCGGAUAUCCCGCGUCGAGUUGUUUCAAACCUCGAAAGGCUUCGUUCAGUGAAGUUUUGUUUUGUACACUCGUCUUUCGGGUGGCGUCAUUGACUGGGACCUCCUCGUGAUCCAUUACUCAGGCUUCUUGUUCUGUUAAGGACCCAACUGCUGCACCGACGAGAACGUUGUUGUAAGUUUAGAAAAGUUGUUGUAAGAAAACGAGUCCACACAAGUUGCAGUGGCACGAUUGAAACUCAUCAUUGAGUCAGUCAUCUCAUUGGAUCCCCGCCCUGAUCCCCGUAUCAUCGUCAGUCUGAGUCGACACUUACGGCGUUCGCGAACGCCCGUCGCGACUGGGUGUAUUCCUCGCCGUCGCUGUCGCUGUCGAGGAGCCUAUCCAGUGCCCGUUCCUUGUUAGACUUCACGCUCCCGGGAGUGCCAGUCGCACCGCCGCCGCCCCCAAGGAUGCUGCCGCCCAACCUCUUGCCGCCCGUGAACCCGGGCGAGGACACCGCGGAUCCCCCGCCGGGAGUCGCGAACGACGAGUCCCCGGCGUCGGCGCUCCUGAAGCUCUCGUCGGCGCCCGCUCCCGGAGAGUCGAAACCGCCGCGACUGCCGUCGUCGGAGAGAGCCGACGAGAGCGAGGCGCCGUCGAUGCUCCCCCUCCUGUCCACGCUCGCCCUCCUGAUCUUGUCCGUGAACUUGGCCGCGGCAACCUUGACGUUCGCGUCGCGCUCCAGCGGUUGCGCGAGCGCGUCGAGGCUCGAUCCGAGCCGCUGCCACUCCUGGAACACCCCGCGAUCCACGCGCCUGUCCUCGCCGUACACCUGCUCGAUGACGGCGUCGGUGUUCCCGGUGAUGAGACCGAGCGCGCUGCUGAUGUCGCCCUCGAACGCCUGCCAGUACCAGUCCAGGAACCACGACGUGAGCAGCCGCUUGGACGUCACCGCGCGGGACACCGUCUCCUUGCGCCUGUCAAUCUCGGCCAAAAACUCGCGCCACUGGUUGAACACGCUCUGCUUGUACAGGCGCUGCGACUUGACGUAAGCCUUCUGCACCAGGUUCGCGAGCCGGCGGUACUCCCUGCACCACUCCUUCCACAGCGUAAAGUGCACUCGCGAUGACUUCUCGCGGUACACCGCCUGGCGCAUCUGGUGCUGAUGACGCGCCAGUCGCAUGGCGACCCGAGCUCGGUCAAUGUGCGACAGCCACUUGCGCCACGCCUGGCCGAGCUGCCCUUUGGUCCACGACUUGACCGCGCGUCGCAUCGCGGCGGCGAGGUGCAGGUUAUCGGCGACGUGCGACAGCCAUAUCUUCCACCAGUGUCUCGUGCGAAGGACGUCCAUCUUUCGAGCCGCCUUCUUCGCCGUCGCCGUCUUGCGAGCCAACACGAAGGAUUGCGAUCGCCACGCGCGCAUUAUCCUGCUGCCGAGAACCUUGGCGAAGUGCGCCGCGCCCUUCUGCUCGAUCCAACGCAUGCGCCUGAUUUCGUUCGUAGCGUCCAGCCACUUGUUGAGGGACCUGGUCAUCACGGAAUUCCUGAUGCGGGCGACAACCUUGGUGGCGCGGCGGCGGUAGACGACCAGCCGCUUCACCUCCGUGAACCAAGCCUCCCAAAUCGCCUCCACCCUGUCCCGCGCGCGUCGCGUCGCGAACCGCACCGCGCGCGCCUCCUUCGCGCGCCACUCGCGGCGAUCCGCGAUCCAAUCGAUCCACUUGUACCAGGAGGCGGUGAUCUUCACCAUCAUCAUCCGCCGCACGAUUUUGUUCGCCACGGCGCGGUCCUUUGCCAGUCGCUCAACCGCGUCCCUCCACGCGACAAACGCGAUGGAUUGCUUCAUCGAACGCAUGCGCGCGACGAUCUUCUUGGCGCGCGCCAGCUUGUCCUUGCUCUGGCGCGCGGUUUGGCUCCAUGAUCGAAAGGCGGCGGCCAAAGUCUUGUGGGUCCACAUCCCGUGGAUGUUGGCAACGACGGAUCGCUGGCGGAGCAGCAGCGCGGUGGUAUCUCGCCAGCCCCGGAACGAUCGGGUCGCGUCGGCGUAGCGCAUGCGCCAGACGAACGAGCGCACGCGCGCGCGGUGCACCUUGAAUCGCACGACCGUCGCGUGCCAGCCCCGGAACGCGGAGGAGAGGUUUCGGUUGAGCCACCCGCGGAGGAGCUUGUCGCACUUUUUCCUCAUUCGUCGCCGCUCGCGCACGGCGUCGCGCCAUCCGUUGAGAGCCUUGUAGGCGGACCCGCGCAUCAGCCUCACGGCGAACAGCACGGCGCUGUCCCUCGCGGCGAGCAUGGCGAGCGUGUGCGUCUGCCAAACUUCGAACGCGUUGGCGACGUCGCGGUAGCGCCACGUUCGAACCAGCCGCUCAGCCUUGACCCUGGUGACGCGCAUCGUCGUCGACUGAUGGCGCCAGCGCUCAAACGCCAUGGUGGCGCUCUGCGCCGCCCAACGCGUGAGCGUCCUGCGCGUGAACGCGAGGACGCGGUUGCGAUGGGAGCGCUGCGCGCCGCUGAUCUGGCACCACCCCGUGAACGCCCUCGAGAGCGCGUCGCGGUUGAGCCGGCGGCCGAUGACGCCGACGACGUGUCGAUCCCUCUUCGCCUUGCGCACCGUCUGGAGCCACUGCAUGAACGACGAGUGAAGCUGGCGCCCGAGGACGCGGAGGACCAGCGCGGAGAGCUUAUCGCGCCGCCGCUGCUUCCCCUUGGCCACCUGCACCCACGAGUAAAACGUGUCCGCGACGGCGGCUCUGGUCCACCGCGCGAUGACCCGCUCCGCCGCCGCCUUGAGCCGCCGCUGCUCCCUCCAAUGAAACGCCCACGCGUCGAAAGCGUUCGAGACGCACCGCAUCUUCAUGCGAGUCACCGCACGCGUCGCGAUACAGCGCAUGACGUGCUCGUGGCUCUUGCCCCCAACCUCGGAGCGCAUGCGCCAGGUGAUGAGAGCGCGUCUGGCGCAGGACUUGACGCGGUCCACUCGCAUCUGGUGAGCGAGGCGCCGGCGCUGCUUCAUGAACACGCUCCUGUGCUUCCACGCGCGCAGGGUCGACACGGCCGUGCGAGCGCCGCGCCUGUCGUCGAAGAGGAGUAGCGCGCGUCGCAUGCGCGCGAUUUUCUUGGCGUAUUCGCGCCAGGUUGCGAAGGGCGCGGCCAGCCGUGCGUAGUACAUCCUUCGCAUCGCUCGAUUCGCCGCGGUUCGCCUUCUCCGCCGAUCCUCCGUCACCUGCACCCACUUGCGCCAAGCCUUGGUGAGCCACCGCUGGAAGAACGUCCUCGCCGCCAUCUGCAUCACCUUCUCGCGCUGCGCAGCCUGGGACUCGUACGCUUCCCGAACCUUGGCGCCGUAAAACUGCGCGUCGGAGAUCCACCCCGCUCGGGUCUCGCCAAUCUCGGCGCGAAACCCAUCCGCCAUGCCCCGCAUCUCGUCCCUGAGCUCCAGCAUCUGUCGCUCCACCUCCUUCCUGGCGCGCACCUCCUUGAGCACGAACGCGCUCCACUCCUUGAUGAGCACGCCGGACAUGGACCUGAGCGCGUGGGACUGCUCGCCCGCGGAGUCGCGCCUGUGUCCGGGCGGGGGCCGACCACCGGACGAUACCCCGGGGGUCAUUCCGCCGCCGACGCCGUAGCCGUAGCCGCCGCCGCCGCGCGUGCUCCGCGUCUGCUGGCUGCGUAAGGAUCCCGGCGCGACCGGGACCUCGUCCUUGGUACCCUCCCAACGACCGGGCACCUCCGGCGGAAGUCGACGCGCGGGCGACCCCGGCCUGGAGCUCGUCCCCGGCUUGUUCUUCUCGACAAUCUCGAGCUCGUGGUAGCCCACCAGGCGCCGCACGCUCUGGUCCACCUCCGUGUCGACCGAGGCGCGCGACGCGUUGACUCCCGCGGGGUUGACUCCCGCGGUGCCGUGGUGCUUCCGCGGGGAGGUACCGGCAGGGGAGAUCGAAGGCGCGUGGUGGGGGGCCGGGGUCGGGUCGGGGAGUUGCCGAGCUGCAAAAGCGAGCUCUCGAGAGCGAGCGUCGGAUUCGGAAUCAGAGUCGACGUCGCCGCCGGCAUCGGCGAGCGGGUGCGCCCGGAUACCACGCGGCGUUGUCACGGGGUUGUGAAAGCCGUCCCCGGGAUCGCGCAUGGAUCGGGGCACGCGCAUGACCUCCACGCGCAGGAUGCACGAGGGCAACCUGCGAUUCUUGAGCCUCAUCUCGCACGAGCUCCAGUCGGGCUCCUCGGGCUCGUCGUUCGUCUCCCACUGCUCGUUGACGCCGAAGUUGGGGUUGUAGAAGCACAGCCUGCCCCCUGCGGUGCGUUGCCGCGCCUGGAGCAUCUUACCGCCCAGCAUUUGGGACGCGAACCCGACGUACCGGCCCUGCUUGACCACGGUGAGGUGCGUGGCGGGAUCGGCGAUCGAGCGCGCGUCGUCCAGCCUGCUCACGCCGAAGCGCACGGCGUCGCCGCCCCGAGAGUUAUCCACGUCGACGACGUAGGGCAGGCCGUCGACAGCGAAAGCGACGACCUCGCCGUCCUGCAGGCCCGGACCCCGAUCGUCGUCGGCGGUCCUCACGGGCGACAUGGUGAGCCCGGCGUUGGAUCGGCCCGGGGCGUUCGCUGUCGGUUCGUCAUCGUCGUCCAGGGACAUCCUCCGUUGGCGCGAGCCGCCGCCUGGGAUCGGGGUUCGGGGGUAAUCGAAGGUGUCAGGAACGAUCGGGGGACGAUGGACCAAUCGGGCUCGAGAGGGGCGCGUGGAUCGAGCUUCCGCGGGGCGAUCCCACAACACGAACACGCGCAGUAAAAACAACAACCGAACUGCACUGGUUUUGGUCCUCAGCGCGAGGUAGAUCUGCAAGAUGCGGGGCGGGAGGUUCGUGUGUGCGCUCACCUCCGAAAAGGGCCUUGGCCGCCUGCUUGGCCCACUGGUCCUGGUCACCGCCGUUCGCCAUGGCGACGGACCCGCGAGACGCGACGCGUAGACACCGCGCGCGCUCGUAUGAUUACCCGGCAGGUGACGCCAGCGUGAGACCAGCGUGGACCAACAACAACAGUUGAAAAAAUCUUGCCCUUGAAGGCCCGUAACCUCAAACUUUUUCCGAGGUGACAAGCAGACAGUGCCCACUCUCACGCGGAGGGAAUGUUCCCUCCUCUCACGGACUCUCACGCGGUAUAACGCGAUGCUUCACGAAACACGUUUGGACCGAAAAACUGUAAGAAGCUCGCUUCCAUGACGUCGCCAUUGGACGAGUGCGCGGGUCUCCCCCACGCAUUCUCCCAAGGGGAUGACUGCCAAAGCGGAUGUCGACCAGAAGAUCGAUGCCGACAAGCUGCCCUCGGUCGACGACGAGCGUCCCAAGUUCCUGAAGGAUCCCUUCGGAUGGUAUGCUCAGCUCUCCUACAGGCGGCCGAGGACGAUGUUCUUUUCGAUGUGGGCGUGCAUCUUCCUGAUGUGCGCCAUCGGCGCGCCGUUUUUUAAGCAGACGCCCAACUCGGACUACGACUGGCUCCUCGGCAGGGACUCCGCCGUCGUCCAGAGGUCGUACGCGCUGAAGAAGGUGCAGGAGCGCACCGCGCAGUUCACCGUGCUCGCAGAGAGAUCGGUGCCGCAGAACGAGCAACUCUUCCAUCUCAUGUACGAGGCGCGCGGAACGGAUAACCUGCUCAAGCCCGCCAUCUUGAAGGAGAUGCUUGAGAUCGAGAAGGUACUCUUCACCGAUAAGAGGUUCGCCACCUACUGCGUCGCGGAGGUGGCGGAUUCCAGCAAGUGCUCCGCUAACGGGUUCCAAUCCCCGUUGACCAUGUUCUACAACAUCUCCAUCGGCCGGGACGCAAACAACCAGACCGUGUACGCGGCGACGCCCUACAAGGACGGCGCCGGCGCCAACUACGUGGACACCGAGCUCGGGAUCAAGACCAGGCUCUCGAUGGUCCUCGCCACGACGCAGGGACCCAAGGCGAAGCUCUGGUUCGACGCGGGUUUCAAUUCGGAUGGCGUCAGCACCGACGCCCGCUACAUGCAGGCGUUUUACUUCCUCGGCAUGCCCCUCGCGGGUUACAACAACCCCGCGGACCGCAACGAGGAGCAGCGCGUCCCCGGAAACGAGCUCUUACUCGCGGCGAGCGACGCGCUGAAGGAACGGUUCAACAUGAAGGAGACUUGGUCGAAGAGCAGCUUCCAGACGGAGGCUGUCACGACAACCGCGGAUGGCGGGAUGAAGGUAUACUGGUGGUCGCUCCCGGGCCAGGAGGACGAGUGGCUCACGCUGAGCGACAAGGACCUCAACUGGACUGUCCUCUCCUUCCUCGGCGUCAUGGCAUACGUCGCCUACCACACCGGAUCCAUCAUCAUCAGCGCGACGUCGAUGAUGAUGACUGUGACUUCCAUCUUUGUCGCGUUUUUCUUGUUCCGCGUGGUGUUCCAGGUCUCGUUCUUCCAGUUCAUCAACUUCCUCAUCAUCUUCGUGGUGAUGGGCAUCGGCGCCGACGAUGUGUUUGUGUUCAUGGACGCCUUCCACCAGAGCAUAGACGAGCUGAGGGCCAAGAACAAGCCCGCUACGCUGCCGCACAGGAUCAAGCACACGAUGCGCCGAGCGCUCCACGCCAUCUUCGUCACGUCCUUCACGACCUCCGCCGCCUUCUGCGCCACCGCCCUGUCGCCGCUGAUCCCGCUGAGGUCGUUCGGCGUGUUCUCGGCGCUGGUCAUCUUCUGCGUCUUCGCGAUCAACGCCGUGGUGCUGCCGCCGCUCACCGUUUUGUACAUUCGAAACCUCCAUGGCCGCGGCUGGAUCGGAUCGCUCAAGGCCAUGAUCCAGGGCGUCCUCCCGUUCACGGUGUUCACCCUCCCCGCGUACGAGGAUCCGGGUCUGGCAUUACCCGAUGACGAGGACAAGGCCAUGGCCGCGUCGACCGACCCGGCAGAUAAGUACAACGUGAAGCACAUGCGAAUGACGGAGCGGUUCUUUUAUGUCCGCUAUUUCAACUUUCUCAACUCGCCCGCGAAGUACGUCAUCCUCGCGGCGUUCGCCGGCCUGUUCGCUGGGGGUGUUGCGCUGUGGGUCAGUCUGGAGGUCCCGAAGGAGCCCGAGCAAUGGUUCCCCAAGUCCCACAUGUUCCAACAGUAUCAGGACAUGGGCAGCCAGAAGGUCAUGAAGGGCGGAAGCAAGGCUGAGAGACUCGACGUGAGCCUCGUAUGGGGUCUCGACGGCCUGAACACCAAGGGAACUGAUCCUUGGAUCCCGUCGGAUCUUGGAGAGGUCACGUACGACGCGAACUUUGACCCAUCUACCGCCGCGGCGCAGAAACACAUCAUGGAGUCGUACGAGUCCCUCAAAACUGCCCCAUGCACCGCCAAGGCGUGCAGUGGCGGCAAGCUUGUGGACCCCGUGGUCACGAUCCGGAACAUCCUGGCCGAGACCGACGCCAGCGGCGCGGUCGUCGGUGGGUUUUACAAGUACCUCAAUGCCCUAGGCGGGGCGUACGCCAGCUCGCACCCCGUGAACGCGCCGAUCGUCGGCGACGCAUUCAACGUGGAAAUGUGUAAGUACAGUAAGCUUGAUGCCACGAAAGUUCGCUACGCCGGGCACGUUGGGUACUACGUGAAGGACUGCGACGCUUCGCCGGUGCCGAGCGCGACGUUCAUCCUGAUAGAGGCCACCAGCAGCAUCCGCAUGCCCCAGGCGCCCGUGGACUUUACCGAAGCACAGGAGGCGUGGGAGGAUUUCGGCAAGUCGCUUGACACUGGCGCCCCCGCUGAGCUCACCGGUGCGGAGGCCACCAGCACCAACAUCUUCUGGCUCUGGUCCGUCACCUCCAUCUCGCUCAUGGACAACGUCUACCUCGGCCUCGCCGUGUGCUUCCCGAUGGUGUUCUUCGUCCUGUCCGUGUCCACCGGUAACGUCAUCCUCGCGUUUUACUCGACGAUGACAAUCGCGGGUAUCGUGACCACGGUGAUUGGCAUCGGCGCCGGCGGUCUGAUGGGCUGGGACCUCGGCACGACGGAGGCAAUCGCGGCGGUCAUCGUCAUCGGGUUCAGCGUCGAUUACUGCGUGCACCUCGCUAACGCGUACAUCGAGAACGACGCUGUCGACAGGGUGAGCCGCACGAGGAUUGCGCUCACCACGAUGGGCAUCUCGGUCACCGCGGGCGCAAUCACCACCAUCAUCGCGGGUGCCUUCCUCGGCCUCUGCAUCCUCACGUUUUUCGUCAAGUUCUCGUUCCUCAUCUGCUGGACGAUCAUCUCGAGCUACAUUUGGGCCGUGAUCUUCUUUGGGGCUCUGUGCAUAACCGCCGGACCGAGCGGAAAAUUCGGGGACAUCUCGUGGCUGCUGGCCAAGAUGUUCCCUUGGUGCCAUUGAUGAACUGUUGGCGCGCGCGUGUGUAGAUAGGCUUGACGCUCGUGAAAAAUAAUUUCCUGACAACUCCUAUCGAAUAUCUCCUCAAUCCUUGAUUUGCUCGAGCAGCUGCGCGAUCACGUCGUCCGCGAACGGGAUGUGCACGAGGUCCACCCCUUCCGAACCCCUCUUCGUCCUCGUCAGCUCGUGGUCGACAAACUCCGUCAGGUGGCUCUUCAGCGUCGUCUCGGAAGUCGCGAGGAACUGCUCGCGGCACCGCGUGUAGAACGCGUGGAAGGUCAUCCCGCCGGACUCCGGGUUCGCCAGCUGGUGCUCCGCGAGUAAACGAAAGAUGUCCCUCGCGUUGCUGGUCAGCGAACGCAACACGUUGACCGCGCCCCUCACGUGCCUCUCCUCACCCUUGCUCGCCAGCAUCUGCGGCACGUGCGCGGUCUCGUACUUGUACGGCGCGAAGGUCGUAGCCUCCUGCCAGACAAAGUUGAACCGCGCAGCCUCUCGCUUCGACCACAGCAGCGGCGCGUUGACGUGGUCCACCGACGCCACCAGGUGCACCCUGGGCAUAGCCGCGAGCUCCCCGAGCAGCGCCUGAGCCUCGGGAGAACGAAGCUGCUGCCCGUCGAUGUUGUGGAGGACGAUGUACAGCCGUUUGGGCGGGUGGUGGUGGUGCCUUUCGGAUUUAGCGCCGUUCGGCCCGAGCGAGGAGCUUCGUUCCCCAGGGGGGAGAUCCUUCGCGCCCGCCAGGGACACGUUCUUAUCUUCGCCGACAGCCGCGUCGGACCCGCCGCCUCCUCCGUCGACUCCUGGGUUGUUGGUUCCUCCCCGCUUGGACGCGCGCUCCCCGCGUUGCUUCGCCGCGAUCGCCGACUUGGUCCGCUGCGCGAGCAGGUGCGGCGCGCUGGUCGCCUCCGCGAUCAUCGCGAGUAGGGUCUCCGUGUUUGUGCCGUGGAGGUCCCUGGAGGGGACGCCGGGGUGCACGGCUGCGGCGGCGGCGGCCAGGAUCUGCUUCGGCGUGAGACCGGGGAAGUAACCGUUCACCACGAUGACCCCGCCGUCCGUCAGCAUCUUGCCGGCGAAGUCCUCCAUGAGCUCCUUCUUGCUGCCGAAGCCGUAGAGGAGCAAGGAGAACUCGCUCUGCAGCAGCUGCCACCAACGGGCGAAGUUCUUCUCGAGCGCCGUCUUCAGCCGAGCGCGCUCGUUCACGUGUCCCACGGGGAGCCGACCGAGCAGCUCGCGAACCGUGUCCUCGUCCGCGAGGUCCAAGGAUGCCAGAGAGGCGUCGGACUUGGAGUUUUUGCCCUUCAUGGCGAUGUAACCGCGGCCGCCGCGGCCGUUGGCCAGCCGCUGAGCGAGCUGCGCCUCAGCCUCGGACACCACCAUCGCGGUAUAGUCGACACCCUUCGCGCCCCCUUUUUUACCCUUGGGCUUGCCCGGCCGCCCGCUCGCGCCCGCGACGCCGCCACGAGCGCCUCCCGAGGAGUCGCCCGCGAGCGCCUGCGCGGAAGCCUUCGCCGCCCCCCGGCCGAGCACCUGCUUCCCCUCCGCUGCAGCCUUUUGGUAAAACUCAACCUGCUCCUUGGACAUCGGCUUGUGACCGGCGGCUCGCCUGUGGGGCUUGCUCUUGGCCGCCCGGCUGCCGGGGCGGGCUAUCAUGCCCACGAUCUUUGUGGGCGCCACCUCCGCGCCGCGUGCGCCUCUCUGUGUAUGUUGGGAAGGGGGAGAAAGGGUCGCGUCAGAGGUGCCUCGAUUUGAAAAAGCCGAUUGUGUUUGACGCGGAGCGCGAGGAGACGGGGCGGGGAGUCCUCGGACGACGCACCUGCCGUCCCAUCCUCGCCGCCACCCUAACGCCCUGAGCCUAUCCUCGCCCGUUUCACGCCGAAUCCAGGGUCGCCUCAGUCACGUGCCGCGAGGUGUGGGGCGUGUCUCGGUCAGUGGGGUGCUCCAGUGGGCCCAGAUCCAAAGCGCAGUUCGAGAGCUGAGUUUCGAGCAGACAGGAGCUCUAUCCGAUCCGGGUGCCGGUUCAAUCUUAUCGGCACGUCCGAUGGCUGCGUGCAUGGCUUCCAAGAUGGCCGUCGCCCCUUCUCGGGGCGCGCUUGCCCGCAAGGUCUCCGUCAAGGCCGCGCGUCGCACCGCGAUCCGCGUCCGCGCCUUCGCCCCCGCCUACGACGAGGUCUUCGACGGGAACACCGGGCAGAUGGAGAAGGUGCUCUCGCAGUCCGUCGAGUCCGUCUCCGCGGGCGGCCUGGAGUGGAGCUACCGCGUCGGCGUCCCCGAGGAGGGCACCGAGGCCAAGCCCACCAAGGUGCUCAUGGUCCACGGCGCGGGUCUCAACUCGUUCACCUACAACAAGCUCUCCAGGGAGCUCCAGAAGAUGGGCUACACCACCUUCGCCCCAGACAUGCCCGGGCACGGCGCCACGUCGAAGCCCACCUCCGGUUUCGACUACUCUGCCGCCUCUUACCAAUCCGCGCUCGAGGCGUUCAUGACCGCCGCGGGCAUCGCCGACGUCGAGGACCCGGUGGACAUGGUCGUCUCCGGGUUCAUCACCUCCCAGGCGGCGCUCCUCCUCGCCGCCGCCAACCCAGGGCUCUUCCGCAGGGUCAUCGUGAUGAACACCCCGCUGGGCCCCGGGCACAAGCUCCCCGAUCCCCUCGCGGUUUACACCCGCCCGUUCGGCAUGGGCAAGGGCGCGCAGGCGGACGUUUACAAGCUGGCGUACUUUGGCAACGAGUUCGCCAUCCCCGAGGAGACCAUGGCCAAGUACGAGGCUCCUUACGCGGGCGGCGACGGCGAAGCCGCUCGCGCCGCGCUGGAAGCGACCGUGACCAAGAACGAUCUCAAGGCGCUCACGAGCGCGGUGAGCAAGGCUUGGUCCGUCCGCGGGCUGCCCAAGGUGCGGAUCGUGUGGGGCGUGAACGACAAGUAUCUGGGCGACAAGGACAUGUACAAGUGGGCGGAGGACGUGCGCGCAACCUUCGAUUGCAUCCGCAGCGUGGGGCACAUGCCGCAGGAGGAUUUCCCGCAAGAGGCGGCCAAGUUCGUCGGCGCCUACCUCGAGAGCGAGCUGAAGGUGAGCGCGCUGGGCAGCGUGCGUCUCGGGAAGGUUACCAAGGACGACGAUUACCAGAGGUGAUCGUCGGGAUCUAUCUCAAUUGAAUGCGCAAAAAAGCGAACAGUAGCAUCGAGCGCGACAACCUCCUCCCACGUGCCUUGCCGUUUCCUUGAACUCCCACAGUUGAACUGGAGCCUGCACGUCAUCGCCAACGAAAAUCCGCGAAGAGGCCACUUCCACGCACGCGAGCGCGACGGGUCGAACGUGAGUGUCAACAUGGCGGCGGCGGAGCUCAGCGCGGUAUAUCGCGCCAUGCAGAAGAGCGCGGCGAGGUUCUCAAACUACAACGUUCGAGAGUGAGUCCUCGACCCCCGCGCGAUCCACCCCGAACCCGGGACUAACCCUAACAAUCGGCAUCCGCCCGCUCCCGACGUCCCGGGCUCACGUCCGUCCCUCUUUCCCGUCGCUCGCUCGCAGGUACUUCAAGCGCAGGGUUCGGGAGGAGUUCGAGAAGAACGCCAACCUGGUGGGCGAGGAGGCGGCCGCGGCGCUGGCCAAGGCGAAGAAGGACCUCGCCGUGAUCGACAGGCAGGUUCAGGUAUACUCGCUGUACGGGUCCGAGUUGAGGUCUGUGCUCGAAAUAACAAGGAAGCCGUGAAGGAACCCACAGUAGCACGCUUAGUCUCGGUAUAACAACACCACGCGGAAGCGGUGGAGAGAUCGUCGUCUCGUCGUCUCGUCACGGGAGCCGUCCGAUUUGGAGCUCCGAGCAGGCGCCUCGGAAAACAAAACGCAAUCCGUCGUCACACGCCGUCACUUCAGCCUCUCCAACACGUAGCUCGUCUUUCUCGCCGACGAGCGCGUGACCCGCCGCCCGGAGUCGUCGUCGCUGAUCGCGGCGGGCGUCGCGUCGAUCCUCUUCAGCGCCGCCGCCUGCGAGAUGGACUUUCGCCUCGUCGUCGUCGCCGAGGGCGUCGACUCGGAGUUUGAGACGCCUGUCGAUUUCGACCCCUUUUGCUUCUUCCUCGCCGUCGUCGUCGUCGUCGCCGCCGCCGCCUUGGGAGGUUUCUCCGCCGCCGCCGCCGCGACCGACGCCCGCCUCGACUUGCGCUCCGCCGCCGUCGACGCCCUCGGGGUCCCAUCCGGGAAGAUCAUCGACCCGGACGUCGUCGCGCCGGGCGUCGCGGACUGUUGUUCCGACAGCCGCCGGCUGCUCCUCCUCCUCGCGGCGGUUGGCGGCGGGGGGGGCGCGGCUUGGGGGGCGACGGGCACGGGGGUGGUACCCGCGAUGACGCCGCCGCCUUCCUCGUCCUCGUCCACGACCAUCGCGUCCGCCGCUUUCUUCGCCGGUGACUUUGCCGGUGAUUUCGCCGGUGACUUGGCCGGUGAUUUCGCCGGUGACUUGGCCGGCGACUUGGCCGGUGACUUGGCCGGUGACUUGGCCGGUGACUUGGCCGGCGAGACGGGCCUCCGCGGAGAGACUGGGCGCGCGGGUCGCGAGGUCGCGGGCGUCAUCGCCGGCUGCCUCGCGGGCGUGGGCCCGAACCCGAGCCCCUGCCCGAACGCGGGCGCGGUCCAGUGCCUCGGCGCCGGGGACAGCCCCGAGGGCGCCGCCGAGCGGGCCGCCGCCGCUCUCCGUUCCGCGGCUUGUUUCUUCUUCGCGCCAAACGGGCUAAACACCGCCGCGGGCUCGGGGACCCUCGACGCGACGGGCUCCCUGGCGCGGGACCCGGCGACCAACGGCCGGACCCUGAACCCCUCGUCUGACCCGUCCGACCCGUCUGACCCGUCCCCCGCGUCGUCCCCGUCGUCAGCGUCGACGUCCAUCGCCUCGUCCUCCCCGUCCCCGUCGCCGCGAAGAUCCAGCGCCGUCCACGCGUCGCCACCGCCGCCCGUCGCCGCCCUGCCCGGCCGGCCCGUCUCAUCGGCCGCGCGAGCCAAGGGCCCGGGGGACGCGUCGAUGGCGCCGUCUUCGGACACGCCGGCGUCCAGCCCGGAGUCCAGCCCGGCCUCGCCCAGGGUGUUAGCGGCGGCGGCGGAUGCCGCGAGCGGCGCGGCGAAGAAGGGUACGUGGCCGCCUGCGCUCUUCGGCUCGCCUUCGGCUAGCGCUCCCCCCAUCGCGCGGAGCACCCCGCCCGCGGACGGCGACUUCUCCGAGGGCAGGAUCGCGCCCGCCGGGGUUUUCGCAAAGUCCAUCGGCGUCGCGGGCUGCACCACGAGGCCCCUCGCGAGCGCGCGCUUACCCCCGCCAGCCUCGUCUCUCGCCUCCGCGGCGCCGACCAGGUGGAGCCUCUGCAUGGACUCCGGCAUCGAUCGCACCGCCGCCUCGAGCGCCGCCAACGCGUCCGCGGGGAGAGCCCUCGCGCCCCCCGCCAGCGCAGCCGCGCGCGCCGCCGCCUCCGUCGUCCUGCCCCGGGUGAGAUAGUAGACCACGCCGAGGUGCUCGGCGGCGCCCGCGGCGGUCCCGGCGUUGGAAUCCAGCCACGACAUGAGCGCCGGCUCGAGCUCCCCGUCAAAGGGCAGGUCGAGGACCGACUCGAGCGCGCCGCGCGCCGCCGCGUGCGACGCCAGCCUGGCGACGAGCUUAUCCGCCACGGCGCGCCUGGACGCGUGCGGCGCGGCGGCGACGGCGUCCCUGGCGCAGACGAACGCCUCGGUGGCGAGGCCGCACUCCAGCCGAACGGCGACGCCGAGCUCCGCUUCCACCGUCGCGUCAGUCACGUAGCCGUCCGCGCCGCCUGUCGACGCGUCACCCGUACCCCCGACGCCGACCGUUCCAUUCGAAUGCGUCAGGUUCCUGCCCUUGAACCCCGCGGCGACGUCGCUCCGCCGCGCCCUGGCGACGGCGAGCGCAUCCGCCGGCUUUCCCCUCGCCGCGAGCGUCGCGACGAACCGGAGUGGCAAACCGGGGUGCGAAGCGCCCGGGAGCAGGGCGCACGCCAGCUCGAGCGACGAGCCGCGCGAGUGGUCGUCGAGCAGCGCCGCGCACCGCGUCUCGACGAAGAGCCGCGGGUGCAGGCGGACGUGCGACGCGAACCUCGCGGGGGCGCCGUCGGGGGGCAAGCCGGCGUCGAGGAGGUAGUAGAGGAAGAGGCUCUGCUUGGCGACGAGGGCGGCGGGCGCGGCGCUCCCGUGCCUGAACACCCUCUCCGCAGCCUCCGUCGCGGACUUGAACGGGUACGGCGGCGCGUGCACGCCCACGCCCGCGAGUAGAUCGUCGAGGAAGAGCCCGCCGCCGUCGGCGUCGGGCGGUAGGUCCGCCGCCGCCGCCGCCGCCGCCGCCGCGGCUCGCCGAACGGUAACCUCCGACGCCCACUGCGCGGGGCCCCCGUACCUGUCCUGCGACGCCGCGGCGCCGGCGACGAGUCCCUCGCGCAGCGCCCAGGAGAGCGCCGCGGCGUGCUGCAUCCGCCGCGCGGCGUCGUCGUGCGCCACCUGCAGCCUCCGUUGGAACCCGGGGCUUCCAUCCGCCGACAGCUGCGCCAGCUGUGUCGACGUCGCCGCAUCCGCCGCCUCGGCGCUGUCGCCGCCCGCGGCGGGGUCCGCGCCGAGCGCGACGAGGACGUCGCGGAGCGCCUCGAAGACGGCGCCGGCGCGGUCGACCUCGUCCGCGGCGCCCUGGGUGCGCAACGCCGCCGCCUGGUCCAACGCCUGCUCCGCGGAUCGAAGCGAAGACGCGGCCCACUCGGCAACCAUCUCGCCGUCCUGGAGGUACGCCUCGACGCCGUCGGGGGAGGAGAAGUCGUCGUGGCCGCACACCUCGUCGACGUAGUGGCACACCAGCUGGGGCAUGCCGUUGGCGACCGCCGCGUCGAAGAGCUGGUGGAGCUUGGCGACGUCCGAGGCGCCGUCGCCGGCCGCCGACGCCGCGUGCGCCGUCGCGGAGGCGGAGCUGACGGAGGCGCCGGUGAGGACGCCGGCCUGCGCGCACCGCGAGUGGAUCACCCGGAGCUUCUGAACCUUGGAGAGGUCCGCGGGGUCGCACAUCGCCAGCUCCGCGAGCGCCUGCUCCCGAGGGGGGAGCGCGUUCCUGAACGCCAUCUCGAGGGGCGCUUCUCAGGCGAGUGAGAUCCCUAAUAACUUUCGGAUUCCCGCCUCCGCCUCUGUGCCGGAUCCGGGCGCCGGAUCGAGAGCCCGCGCGCCUCCCUUUGCGACGCGGACGAGCCGGUCAGACGAUCGGGGCGGUACGCUCGUCCGGGUCCGCUCCUCGCAGAGUGCGCCCAAGUGGUGUUCUUCCGUUUGUUUGAAAAUCAUCGGCAGCUCCGUCGCUUACACGCGCUGCGAGCGCCCACCUUCGUCCUGUCGCCUCUCCGGGACUGGAUAUCGGAUGGUGAGGCGCGCGACACACGACCGCGGCGCCCGUAUCCGACCACGGCGACCAACCGCGGCGAUGUCGAGCGCAUCUCAGCAUCUCGCUCCAGCGUUCGCGCGGCUCUCCGGGGCCGCAUCGAGGCGCAGCGCCCCUCCGGUGACCCGAUGUCACGCGGUUUGCCACGCGGACGACGACGUGUCGGCACCCGAGGGCCGAUCGUUGUCGUCCGGGAGGCGGGCGCUGUUCCUCGCCGCCGGCGUCGGCGCGUCCAUCCCCAUCCCCGCGCGACCCGCGCGCGCAUCCGAGGCGUCCAACCUCGCGUCCCUCGCGUCGCAGGAGCCCGACGCCGAGAUCGCGCUCGAGGUCUGGGACGAGGUCGUCCGGCUCGCGAGGCGAUCGGGAGAGCUCGCCACGCCCACGGGUGGGAACUGGAUGUACUCGAGGGCGACGUGCCUGGGCGGGCUUUCGCGGUGGACCGACGCCGAGCGCGCGUACGCCGAGGCCACCGACAUCCUCGAGCUCGCGCUCGAAUCCUCGGGGCCGGGGAGCCGGGACCGCGCCGGCGCGUUGACCCUCGCGCUGGCGCACGACGGCAGGAGUCUCGCGCUCGGCGCCCUCGCCGACUGGCCCGCCGCGGUGGACGCGAGCAGACGCGCGCUCGCCGCGGGGGGCGCCGCGGGCGUCGCGGAGAACGGCGGCAUCGACGUCCCCACCACCGCGCUCCUCGCGGGUUUGCGGGGUGGACCCCCGACGGUGGCGCAGCGGCUCGACUUCAACGCGGCGAUGGCUCGGUGGGGCGCCGGCGACGUGGGGUUCGCGGCGAACGCGUUGGCUCGGCUCGAUAAGGGCCCGUCGCCGGUCGCCGGUCGCGGGGGCCAGUUCUGGGAGGCCAGGGCGGCGCUCGCGGCGGCGCUGUACGCCAACGGGUCCCUCCCGGCGGCGGAGGCGGAGUGGUCACAGCUGUGCGAACCCGUCGGGCCCAACCCGCCGGCGACGCCGUCUGAUCCGUUUCGGAAAGUCGUCAACAAGGCUGCGCAGGGCGCGUUUGACGCGGGGGGGAUCCUGAUGGACAAGAGGUGCGAGGAUUUCAGCACCGGGACGCCGCUGCCGUGCGACGACGCGGGGAUACCGGGUUCGGGCGGGAGCGCCAGCCCGUGUCUCAUCUUCACCGACGCGGAGACGGAGCGAAGGCUGUGGCCGGCGAGCGCGAGGCGGUCGCUGCUCGAGUUCAUCAGGGACGGGCCGGAGGCGUUGCGCAGGUAGUACAGUACGUCUUCUCGUGUAACCCUUAGUGCGCGUGCCGUCGUCGCGUGAUUGCUGUCGCUCGAGGUCGCGGUGCCCUCGUUCUCAACUCGACGCGUCGUGCCUUCUCCGCUCGCAACCGCGCCGGCUUUACGCGGCGUCAGGGACGGCGACCGCCUUCUCGUCCAGCUGUUCAGUUGUCGUACCUUCGCCUCGCUUCGUAAAUAUUCAGUCUGCUCUGACUCCGGUGGCCAGAAGCGCAGAGCGACCCCCGCCGGGCUUGUCGGUUGCACCGCACGCGUGAUGGUGGUCAUCGAGGAUGAUAGCGUGAGGAUGGACGCCGUGUGCCAGCCCCUGCAGGUGCGCCACCGCCCCGGGCCCUCGCGUCGAUUCCGAUCGGUCAACCAAGCGACGCCCGGGUGCCCAUGUCUCCGCCGAGGCCCCGAUCCUGACCUCACGCUCCCCCUCACCGCCGUCUCCCCCUUCCGCAGUACCACCCCGGGGCGACCGUCACUAAGGUCGUGGGCACGAGCAACUUCCCUCCGUCCUUCGCCGCGGUGGGCUACGCUCCAUGCUUCAAGGGCUUCGGGUGAGCCUGAGAGAUCCCGAUCCCCCGAAAUCAAAUCCCAGAUCCACGGCCGAACGAACCACUGACCCGAGCCGCUCCAACCCGAUCCCCGAACCAACUCACAGUCCCGUGCCCGGUGGUAAGGCUGAGAAUAACCCCGACGUCGCCUUCGUAAAGCGUGCGGAGGUCCAGCCCGACGCGGGCGCCAUCCACGGCGCGUUCCAGCACGUCGCCAUCUUUAAGAACAUCCUCGUCGCCGCCGACGGAUGCAAAUCGGCCAAGCUCAGGGUGUUCGACGUGCGGGAUUGGUCCGAGAAGCAGGUCAUACGCGUUGGCGCCGUCAGCGAGGCCACUACGGGCGACUCCUCGGGCGCCGGCGGCCCCGCGCCCGCGGCGGUCACCUCCCUGGUAUUCGAUGGUACCACAAUCGCGUGCGGCACCGCGGAGGGUCACGCGCACACGUGGCGACUGGCCGAGCACGAGGGCAAACGCGGGUACGUUCGCCUGCUGCACCCGCUGCGCGUGGACUCGCAGCCGGUGACGCGGCUAUCGCUCGCGUCGGAGGCCAACCUGCUGACGGCGUACUCGCCCACGAAGCGAACGCUGGUGGUUUGGUCUCUGGAAACCGGCAAGCUUCAUGCGGCGUAUUCGGUGGACGGGGUGGCGAAAGGUACGCCCCUGCGUUUCACCGCGCACGUGGAGUCGGUCAUCGCUUGCGUCCACGCGUUCGGGGACGGGGACGACCCGGACGGCGGAAAGGGCGUGCUCGCCGCGCUUCUGGACGUCAAGACCGGCGAGGGCGGCGCCGUCAAGGGCGCGAGGGAGGUCACCGAGGGCGAGGGGGAGCCCCGGUGCCUAACCUUCGACGGCGAGUUGCUCUGCGUCGGAACCUCGGGAGGCGCGGUCAUCGCGUGGAACGUGGGCGAGGCGUACGCCCCGUGGAAGGGGUACCACGGCGGCGAGGUUGGAUGCGUCGCGAACGUGCCGGGCGACGCGGCGAGGAUCGUCUCGGGGGGAGCCGACGGUAGAAUAAUUCUGUGGGACGGCGAGGGUAAAGCGCAGGCUCGGAUGGAGGUUGGAUCUCCGGUGACGGCGAUUCACGCGCCGUCGCCGAGGCUGGCGCUCGCGGGAACCGAGGACGGCGCGGUCCACGUGGUGGCGCUGUGCGACGGCGAGACGGACGCGGACGAGGCUCUCACCGCCGAGCUUCGCGGCGGGAAGAGAAGGUCCAACGAGCUCGCGCGGUACAGCUUCAAGUUCGACGCGAAGGGCGCCUCCCCGGGGUGUGAGUCUUUCGAGGCGUUCACGCGCACGUUCCGGAUCGAGGAGGGCGCGUACACGGCCCCGCCCGCCGAGAAGGAGGAUACGAAGAAAUCGAGGGCUGACGAGGCCAGGGACAAAAAGGUCGCGGAGGCCAUGAUGAAGGGGGUUGGCGAGACAGAGGAGGAGCGGAAGAAGCGGGAGGACGAGGAGGAAGCCGCCAAGCACCGCGCGAUGGACGGCGCCGGCGUCGCCCGCGACCCUAACAUCAAGUCCAGCACCGAGGGUUUACGGCGGUGCUCCAACCCGCGGUGCGUAGAGCGCGAGGAUACAAUCGCGGGCAAGAUGCUGAGGUGUUCGCGGUGCAAGGCGGCGUGUUACUGCUCCUCGCACUGUCAGCGGACGCACUGGCGGGACGGUCACAGGGAGUCCUGCAAGCCCCCGGGCGCAGCCGCGCCCGAACUGACUGAGGAGGCGGCGAAAGACGCGCCGGCACCGCCCUCGCCGGCGCCGCAGCGAAGGCAGCUCGUCAUCGAGGACGACUCCGAGGAUGAAUCCUCCGAGGAGGAGGAGGAGGAGGAGAAGGAGGAGGAGAAGGAGGAGGAGAAGGAGGAGAAGAAGGAGGAGGAGGAGGAGGAGGAGGACAAGGAGGAGGAGAAGGAGGAGGAGGAGGAGGACAAGGUGGAGGAGAAUGAGCCCACCGCGCGUGACGAGAAGGAGGCAGAGCCGGAGCUGGAGAAGGAUGAAUCGCCCUUCGACGAGACCGAAGAGCCGCUCGUCGUUCGCCCGGGCCUACCGCCUUUGGACGAGAUCUUCGCCGACCUGGACCUCGACCCGGACGAGUUGGCGCAGCUCAACAACAUGAACGACAUGAACGACAUGGACGAGUCGCUCGAUGACUUCGAUGACUUCGAUGACUUCGACGUCAUUCGGGCGGGCGACGAGCGGACUCGAGCGAUGGAUGAUGAGUUGUUUGAGGACCUGGACGACGACGACAUCGACGAGGAGGACAUGGAGGAGUUCCAGAAGGCGAUGGAUAUGCCCGCGUUACCCCCGUGGAUGACCACUCACAGGCCGGGCGCCCAGCAGAGCGUGACUGCGCCGUCGGACACGGGUGGCGUCGAGGAGCCCUCGGCUUCCGCUUCGAAGCCGGGGUCCAAUCCAUCGCCUGCGGUGGAGAAGGAGGAGGCUCCCGAGGUGGCGGAAGACUCGGAUGAUGACCCGCUGUACGACCUCGACUGAUUCAUCGAAUUUCAUCGAAGCGAAAACUUAUCAUAUCGGCACCCGCCCGGCACACAUUCCCAAGCGGGGCCCGACUGGAAACACCGGGGCAAGGCGACGGAUGCUUCGAACCCUUCGCGGCGCUUGUAGAUCGAUGUCAGCCCUCACGUCCGCCCAUGGCGGCGUCUACUGGCGCUCGGCCGCCCUCAGGCGCGCCGAGACCUCCCCCGCCACCUUUGCCCUCUCGUGCUCAAACCCUGCUCGAGGACACGUCGUCUCCUCCCACCAUGCAGCGGCGAACGAGGACGGCGAGACCUCCUCCGCGGCCCCAGGGAGCGCGCACGGGGGUUUCAGGGUGAAGCGCACCAAGGUCGUGGACGCACCGCGGCGCACAGCGGACCCGAGCGACCUAGCCACGGGCUUCGUCAGCGGCACCCGCAACGAGUUUCACGGCAGAAAGCGUGUGAAAAAGUACGUCCGACACGUGAAGGAUGCGCCAGGCGCGCUCUCGCGCUUCCCGUACCUACACGACAGCUUCUGCUUCGACGGCAAGGAGUGCACGACGGAGGGUCUCACGCGCGCCUUCGAACCCCAGGUCUCCGAGGAGCGCAUCGCGCGCCUCGACGCCGUCGUCCAGCAGAGAUCUUUCGACCUCAUGCCGAUCCUCGAGGGGGUCUACGACAUCGGCAACGUGCUGGCCGUGUGCAGGUCAACCGAGGCGCUCGGCAUCGGAUCCCUCGGCGUCAUCUCCGACGCGGGGCUCGCGUUCAAGCAAUCCGGGCGGACCUCGGGCGGCGCGGUCAAGUGGACCAACUUGGAGCAGUGGCGGUCCACCGAGGAAGCCAUUCGAGAGGUGAAAGCCCGAGGAUACCGCGUUUUAACCACGGUGUUUGAAGGCGGACACCCGCUGGAGCACUACGAUUGGACGGUACCCACGGCGGUGAUCUUGGGCAACGAGCGCGAUGGUGUGAGCGACGAGGCCAAGCGCCUGGCGGACGGCGGCGUGUACAUAUCCAUGAACGGGUUCACCGAGAGUCUGAACGUGUCGGUGGCGAGCUCGAUGAUCAUGCACCACGCCGUGCAGGACCGGACGAGGCGACUGGGCUCGCACGGGAACCUCAGCGAACGGGAGAAGGAGACCCUGCGGGCGGUGUACCUGGCGAGGCUCGUGCCGCGGUAUCAGAAGCACGGGUACCUUAGACAGCUUCUCGAGCGCGCGGAGCGGGACAGCGAAACCGCGGCUCUCGAGGAGGAGGAGGAGGACGACGAGGAGGAGAGGUGCGAGGAGACUGACGACGAAGUGUUCCUGCUGAACGCUCUGGAGGUCGCCAAGAUUGUAAAGCGGCCGAGGAAGAAAAAGUUCGGAAGGCCGGUGAAGGACGACCACGCGAGGAUCAUGACCGAGGUCGAGACGGUCAGGGCGGAUGCAUGAAUUGAAACUAGCCUUGAAUUGAAACUACCUUCGUACCUUCGAAGGUAAAACAGAAAAGCACGUCACCGUCUACUCCGUCGCGUGGUUCUGCCGCCCCUGGCUGGUUCCUCCGGCGGCGCCUCCUUCUUCUCCUCCUCAACCGUGACCUCCUCCUUGGGAGGUUUCGUGUCUGCCACCGGUGUGGCGGCAGCCUCCGCCUCGGGUGGUGGUUUUUCGUCCGUCUCCAUCGGCUCCGCUUCCGGCUCCGGCUCCUCCUUGGCCUCCUCCUUGGCCUCCUCCUUGGCCUCCUCCUUGGCGCUGAUGGGAAGGCCCAAGGUCAGAGCCUCCGCAACUGCGUCGAUGUCCUCCUCCGAUCGCUCGACAAUCGCCUCCGCGUCCGCUUUCUCGUCUCCCUGUUCCUCGGAGGAUGAUUCUCGCUGUUUCUUGACGGGCAGCGGCCUGAAGGGCUUGUACUUGCUCCCGUUGGACUUGCAGCACGGCGGGCACGUGAAGUGAAUGUCGGGAUCCUCGGGUUCCUCCUCCGUGGGCGGCGCCAUCCCGCAGCAGUCGUAGUGGAACCAACCCUCGCACUUAUCGCACGAGAUCAUCGGUCGCAACGCGUCGUAAGGCGUCUUGCAAAGGCAGUACACCUCGCAGCGCUCGCCCAGUUCCUCGAGCUCGUCCUUGAGGUUGAUCGGCAGCGCGCGACCUUCGUCCAUCAGCUUGACAACCUCCUCAACCGGGACGUUCUUGCUCCCGUCCACCGCAUCCGCCGCGCGAUCCAGCCAUGCCUGGCCCUUAGCCUCCGUCUCCUGCACCCGGUCGCCGAGCGGGUCGGGGCCCGGCACCUCGGCCGUUUUCCCCGGGAUGAUCACCCCAGCCGCGACGCCCGUCUCGCGGAGCUCGGUGAGAACCGCGAGCGUCGGGAACUUUGAAACGUCGUCGGCGUCGGCGGCGUCGGCGGCGGAGCCAACCUUCUCGGCGAGUGCCGCGUUGGCGCGCUCGCGCCACGCGGCGCCGCACACCUCGCGGAGCAGGCUCGGAAGCUCGGGUUCCAGCGGGUUCGGGUCGAUCUCCAUCGCGAGCGCCCCCUUGAGACCCGCGAAGAUCUGCCGAAGCGGGUUACCCGGCCCGGUGACGGCGGCCAGCCUCUCCGCGGCGGCUUGAGCGAUUUUCGCGAGCUCCAUGGCCACAGUCUCGAGCUCCUUCUCCUCCUCGCUGGGCUGCUCCGGGGGUUUCUUGCGGCGGGGCUUGGGCGCUUGGGGCGGGUCCGGUGCGGGCGGGGUCGGGGACUUGGACUUGGGAACGUCCUCGUUCGUGGCGAGGAGAGCGGCCUCCUCAGCCUUCACCUCGGGUUCCUCCUCCUUCUUCGGCUCCUCUUCAGCCUCGACCUUCGCAUCUUCGGGCGCAGCCUCCGCAAUCUCGGCAUCCGCCUCGGGUUUCUCCUCCUCGAUGGCGGUGUCCGCCUUGGUGGCGGUGUCUGCCUCCUCCUUGGGCGCAGCCUCGGCGGGCGGCUCGUCCCCGGCUUGGGAGUCGUCCUCCUCGUCCUGCUCCACGGCAGCCGCCGCCGCCGCCGCGGCUACCCUCUGCUGCUCCAUGAGUCCGCUGCCCAGCGCGUCGAGCUGCAUGUCGUGCUGCUUGCUCAGGGUCAGGAAGUGCUGCUGCAUCAUCAUGACCUGGAUCAUGACCUGGUACUGCUGCGUCGCCGCCUCCUGCGAGCCCGGCGCCGCUCGCGGCGCCGCGGCAAUUUGCUGCUGGAUGGACUGCUGGCACGUGGCGAGUUGGUGGACAAAGGUUCCAAUCUCCUGUAGCUGCGCCACGAGCAUGGCCUCGAAGGGAGCCGCGGACUCCGCCGCCUUGGCGACGGUGGCCUCGUCCGCGUUACCCCCAGCGAGCCCCGCGGCGGCGGCGGCGGUCACCGCGCCCUUGAGCUGCAUCAGCUGCUGCUGCUUGAUGGCCGCGGCUUGGCCGACUUGCUGCCCGAGCGCCUCGAGCUGCUGGUCCGGCGGCAGGUGCGCCAUGCGCUGCGCCGCCUCCAUCGCGGCGUUGUGCGUCCCGCCGCCCCCGGCGCCGAGCAGCGCGGCCGCCAUCGCGGUCGCGCCGGCCAGCACCUGCGCGUGUUGCACAGCCGCGGCGCGUUCGGCGACGGCGCGGGUCCUCGCCUCUCUCGCGCCCCGCAGUUCCAUGUACGCAUCCGCGGCUUUGUUGGCCUUGUCGGCUGUCUCCCGCGCCUCCUUCUCGAGGGGAGCGAGCGUGGACCUGCGCUCGAGCGCGUCCGCCACCGCCGCGCGCCACGCCGCGUGUUCGGCGAACACUUCAGCGAGAAGAUCCUCCUCUGGAAGCUUACCGGCAAAGUCCAUAGCCUCCAAGAGCAUCUCCCCCAGGUUGACCAGCGCGGGUCGGCGAGUGCGGUGGAUGUGCUUGUACACCUCCUUGGGGUUGUUGAGCUUGAGCACGUCCCCGGCGGCAGCCUGGCACGCGAGGCAGGUGUACUUCUGCGCGUUCCUCGCGAACGUGGCGGUGACCCCCGCGCACCGCAGGUGGUACCAGUCACCGCACACGUCGCACCCGAGCAUCUCGCGGCCGCCGGGUUGCCGGCAGAGACAAAACUGGCCCUCCUCGCUCUCCGGGGGCUCGCCGGUGCCCUCAAGAUCCGCGGUCGCCGCCCUGAUGGACUGCACGACGAGCUUCAGCGCGGUGAUUGAGUCGUCCACCGCGAUGGCGUGGACGCCGGCGCUGCUGCGGGGACGUAUCAGGAGCUUACGCAGCCGCUCGGACCACGCCGUCAUCGCCGCCGCCGCCGCGGCGAGCUCGACGCCCUCCUCGGAUUUGAGCGGAAGGCCCUCGCCCGUCGACUGCAUCUCGAGGACGUCGGCCAUGGCGGGCCUGUCGUCGACCUUGUCCUUCGCCGCGGCGAGUCGCUGGUUGACGGCGGCGGCGACCCUAGUGGCGGCGGCGGCCAUCCGCGCCACCUCCCUGGCCUCGGCCGCGGCUUCCUCGUCCUUGACCGCGCCGGCGGCAGCGGGCGACUCUUUACGAGUAACGUGCUUGCUCCCUUUCUUCCCCUUCUUCUUGCUCUUCCUCAGCCGCUCAGCCUCCGCCGCAGCCUCCGCAGCCUUCGCCGCGGCCGUCGCGGACUCUUCGUCGGCCGCAGCCUGGUCGGCGGCUUGCGUCGCGGCGGCGGCGGCUGCUUCCUCGGCGAGUUGCUCCGCGGAGGGCUUCGGCUUUGGCGGCCCCAAAAGUUUCCUCGCCGCCUCCACCCACCGCCGGUGCUCGUCCAGGAUGGUCUCCAGCUCCGUGACGCGCGGCACAAUCGCGGGCAGCUUCUUGCCCUGCUCCACGAGCUCCUGGAUAACCUCGGGAGUCGGCCUCUUCUCGGCGUUCGCCGCGGCUUGAAGGACGCUGGCGGGCUUUUGCUUCGUCGCCACGCGGUCGUUAAGGCCCAUCGCGGAGUCAACCUUCUCGCUCCACUCGUCGAUCUUCUCGAGCCUGCGCGCGAGCUCGUCCCGCAGCUCCUCUUCCAUGUCAUCGGUGUUGAUGUCUUUGGCUCGCUCGCGCAGGUCCUCGAGGAUCUCCAGCUGGGGUAAGGGCUCCGAACCGCCCGGCUUCUUGCUCGCGGGGCUCGAAUCCGCGGAUUUGCUCAGACUCUUUUUCUUAUCUUUCGCAUCCGCGGCGGCGGCUGGCAUCGAGAGCGCGUCACGUACCUCGCGCUCCCACUCGAGCGCCGCGAGGCACGCGCGCACGUCAGCCGCGGCGGGAAGCUCGAGUCCGAAGCGCUCGUGGUCCAGCAUGAGCUCCGUGAACGUCUGCUCCGCGCCCUCCUCCUUCCACCUCUCCACGGCUUUCUCGGCGCGAUCGCCCCACUCCUUCGCCUCCGCGACCCUCUCUGUCAGAGCCUGGAGCUCCUUGACCUGCACGAAGAACUUAUUCGCGUCUCGCACGAGUCGCUCGGCGUGCGCCAAGGUCGGGGGCGGCGCGGCGGCGCCCCGGCGCGUGAGCUGCUUCCCCUUGAGGCACUGCUGAGCUUUUUCAACCCACGAUCGGGCAGAGUUGGAGGCGUCGUAGAGUACGUCAAAGAGAGCCAACGCGCACGGGAUGGCCUGCGCCUCCUUCACCAGCUUCUCGACAUCCUCGAGGGGCUUGAGGUUGCCAACCUCGGCGUCGGCGUGCAUCGCCGCGGCGCGUUUCUCCCACGCCUCGCCGUUGGCCACGUUCUGCCGCAGGCGGUCCAGCAACGCGCGCUCCUGGUCGGUGACGUGGUCCUCGUCGACGGGGGGCGGCACAGCUGGCGGCGCGGCGGCAUCCGACUCGGCAUCCGUCGUGGGAGCCUUCUUCCCGCCGCCGCCGCCCUUCUUUCCUUUCUUACCGCCCUUCGCCGUCGGUGCCGGGGGCUCGGGUGCCUUAUCCGGGGUCUUGACGCCCUCGAUGAUGGCGGCGCCCGCCGCGACGACGGCUCGGAUCUCAUCCAGGGAAAUCGGGUCGGGCUUGCCGGCGGCGACGAGCUUGGCGGGGUCCGCCCACUCUCUGACGCGUAUGCGCUCCCUCAGCGCCGCGAGGUCCGUGACCGGGCACACGGCCAUGGACUCGCCCUCCUCGAGGAGCGAUCGGAGCCGCUCGAGCUUCGCGUUCUGCUCGUCAGCCUUGAUGGUCACCUCCACCCACUGCUUCGCGCGCUCGCAAGCCGCCUCGAGGAGCUCAACCCGCGGGCACUGGCACGGGAGGUCCAAACCCUCCUCCAAGAGAGCCUCCGCGUCGUCAAUCUCCGCGGCGGGGACGCGCUCCAUCAGCGUCUGCGCCUUGGUCGACCACGCCUGGGUCUCCUCCACCGCAGAGUCCACAGAGUCCAGGUCGUUGGGCUGAACGGGCAGGUUGACCGCGCCGGCUUUGAGCUCGGCGAGUUGGUCAAGCGUGGGCAGCUCCGAUCUCGCGGGUCGGUGCCGCCGGCCGGGUAAAGCGCGCCUCACGCGCUCGCUCCAUGCGUGCGCGGCGGCGACCGCCUCCUUGAGCCUCCUCGCGGAUGUGACCUCAAUCGGGCCCCGCGCCACCUCCGCGGCGAGCGAGAUGCACUUCUUGGGAUUCGGGUUGGGCGUCUCCGCGAGGGUGGCCACCACUCGCGACUCGAGGUCCUCCCCGGCGGCGAGAACCCUGCGGAACAUCUCCUCCUCCUCCGCGGGCAACGGGAACGGCGCGGCGUCGAGAAGCUGCCGGAGCCUGUUGAGGGACAUGCGCCUCGGCGGGGCCACGCCGCCGGUCUUGCCGUCCUUGUUCGGCUUGGGGUUGGCAUCCUUGGCGUCGACGUCCAUCGCAUCCUGGACGCCAUCCUCCGCCUUGACCUCCGCCUUGACCUCCGCGGGUUCCUUCUUCGUCGUCGCCUCGGGCGUGGGGGUCUCCUCCUUGCCGUACUUACCCCCACGGCGGCGUCGGAGGGGCGCGCCGGCGGCGGCGGCGACGACGAUAUCCGCGUCGUCGAGCUCGGGCUCCUCCCAUCCGGUUCGGCCAUCCACGGUCUCGUCCUCGCCGAGGUUGAUGCGGCGCUUGAGAAUGGCGAGCUCCUUCUGGAACGCGAUGGCGAUGGAGACAUUCGCGGCCAUCUUGCGCACGUCGUCCAUGUCCGUGCCCGCCCACGUGAACUCCUCAGCCGCGAUCAUGAUAGCCUCGAGGUCAGUCGUCGGCGUCGGCGGGGACUUUUGCUCCAAAGCCUCCUUGGCCCGCUUCACCCACGCGGCGGCGCGCUUCUGCCUCAACUUGGCCGCCCCGUAAGCCUUCUCCUUCUCGCUCACCUUGGCGCGUUUGCCGCACGCGCGCUCCGUGCUGGAGCACAGCCGCUCGAGCUGCGCGAUGCUCUUGCGGUAGAACAUCACGCGGUGCGAGUUUGGACACUCGCAUAGCUCGGCGGAGUGGCGAAGGCACGCCGCCCUGUCGGGAUUGCACGAGCACGCCACCCCGGAGAGGUGAAGGAUGAACCGGCAGAUGGUGCACUCGCGAUCGUACGCGCCGUUCGCGUUGCUCGUGGGUAGCAAACUCUCCGCGUCGUCCAGGGGGUCCAGCGCGGCGUCCAUCGCCGCGCGGGUCGCCGUAGCCGCGGCGUCCGCCUCGGGCGACGCACCGUCCGACUCGGAUUUGAUCCCCGCAGACGCCCUCGCAUCCUGCGCGUUCUUAGCCGUCAUGGCGGCUGCGGCGAGCUUCCUCGGCGUGUACCGUCUGGUGCGCACGACGCCGUCGGUGAGAAGUUGCUCGCGUGCGCCGCGUUCCUCGUUGGUCAGCCGUCUCAGGUCUCCGAUGAGCCACCUGGCGGUUUCCUCCGAGGGCGAAUCCGCCGCGGCGACGCAGAGCAGCUCGUCGUGGCAGAGCACCGAGGGUUUGCGGUAGAGCCUGUACCGCUCCACGCCGUCGUACCCGAACCUGAGCCAGUCCGGCGGGGCGAAGUUGACCGCCUCGGCGACGUUGAAACCGGUGUUGAAUCCGCCGUGGUACGACUUGGGGAAGGUGACCACGAAUUCACCCGCGUGUUGAUCCGUCCGGUACACGGGGACGCCCUCGCUGACCAGGAGAGAGGGCGAGAGCAUGGUGACGAGCUGGAGGAGCAGAUCGGGCUGAGCCGCGAACAGGUCGGGCAUCGCCUGCUUGAAGCACUCCUCGAACGCGUCCGCGGCGGCGCCGGGAACCCCGUACCAGGUCUUGGCCGCGCCCACGUGGUUGUAGUUGACGCUGUACAGCAUGUGGUCCUCAAAGUGCCAGCAAAAGGACGAAAACGUGCUGCCGACGUAGAGCCACGGGACGAUCACGCCCGGGAUGUGGUCGUUGACCUGACGGAGCAAGCUCGGGUGCUCGCCCUCCGCGCUGGGCAGGUUGUUGAGGUUCCACGGGUGCUCCGCGGCGGCGUUGUGUUCAUCCGGUCGCUUUCCGGGCCCGUGGUCGGCGUCCCAGGUUCGUGGGAACGCGCUGCCGUGGACGCUGGUGUCGAGGUCCGCGCCGUAGUACACGUCCACGGACUUGCCGCUGCCCUCCUCGACCAUCUUCCAGAAGGCUUCCUCGAUGUCCGGGAUGGAGACCGGCUCGUCUUGGCCGAAGAAUUGCGCGUCGAAACGAGCGCACUCCUCCUUGAACUGCUCGAUGGUGAACGUCUUGCCCGAGUUGAACCCGAUGUCCUCGGCGUCGUUCGCGGCGGCGAUGCAGUCGGGACAGAACCAGUCGCCCUGGGGGAGCUCAUCCAACGGCGGUGACAGGCAGUACAUGUGGUACCUGCGCGGCGGGGGCGAGGCGGUGUUAGCAAAAAAGAGAAUUGGGAAAAAACAGUCUCGUGGUGGCGGGGAGGAUCUCCUCGCUGACGGGGACGCGAGAUUCGGGUCGUUGCGAUCGGGGCGUUGAUCGACGCGCGCGGGACUCACCCUCGGUCGCAUCCGUCGCAGAGGAUCAUGGACUCCUCGUGGGAGGUUCCCCCGCAAUUUACGCAGCCCGCGGGCUGCUCCUCGAGCUGCUGCGCCACCUCCUCGAGGCCCUGUUGAGUUGGAUGGGUGAGCCGGUCGGGUGUCAAGAAAAGGGUCAGCGAGAGUCUCUCGCGCCUGCUUGGCGGGGAGCCGCGAUGGAAAUGCGGGGGUGGCGAGGCGGGCGGUGGGGGAAAGGAGGGGACGCACCAUCUCGAGCUUGGCCCUCGGUGGCGGCGCGGCGGCGUUGCCGAGCUCGAACAGCGCCUCGAUCAGAUCCUCCUCGACGCCGAUGGAGUCCCGCCUGGCGCGGUCCUUGAGCUCCUUGGACUUCUCCUCCCUGGCGAGCCUCUCUUGCUCUUUUUUGGUCUGAGCCGCCUCCUUCGCCUUGCCCGCGGGCGAGAGGUUCUCCUGUCGCGCCUUGUGCUGUUCGAAGUCCAGGAGCCACUUCUGGUACAGCGCCCGCAGCGCCAUCGCCGCGGAGGUGACCGUGGCGGGCGUGUCCAUCACCCUGGCCAUGUCGCGCCAGCCCUUGGCGCGGCACACCGCGUCGAAUCCGCCCCGCUGCGUGACGUUGUCGUAGAGCGCCUGCAGGUCCAGCUUCUUGCCGCCGUAGACGGGCCAGCGCGUGACGCUCUGCCCGCGGCUCUGCAUGAAGUCGGCGUACUCAGUCCUGAAGCUCCUAUUCUUCCCUUUCUUCAGCCGAAGCUGCAGCUCGUUCACCGUCUGGACGCGCGUCUUGAAGGCGAAGGAAGCGGCGUCCUGAUUGAACGGGACCUUGAACGAACUCGGAGGGACGAUCCGGCAGAUGCCGAACUCCUCCGCCUCGGCGCGGAUGGAGGCGAUGUACCGCAGAGGAUCGGCGAACUCAUCUUCCGUGGGAUGGUACACCGGCGCCUCCUUCAGCGCGCUCAGGCGAUACUUCUUGCCCAUGGCGCGAGGGGGCGAAACACGCGCGGGCUCCUCCGAUGCUUUUUCCGGGUGGACCCGGCGGAUAUUCUGCCUUCGCGCCGGUCCUUUGCGUCACUCGCGCCUGCGCGCGAAGGCCGCGUUCGAACCUCUCGCGGGUCUGCGCGGCUCGAGCUCGGCUACGACCGGGCUCGCCGCGAUGACCGAGCGAUCGAACCGACCCGCGCGCCGUCGCGCCUGUCGCCAAUGCCAGACGAGCGAUGCACGGCUGGACUUUGCACGCGUGUACAGGUUCGGGCUCACGUCGGCAAAAAAACACGACAAAGCACACAGGCAAACAGUCUGAUUUCGACCCAAAGAUGCCGGCAAAACCAGAAACGGCGGUCUAUUUCUCUCCCGAACAACGCCGAAGCCUCUCGGACGGUUCAAACCGCACCUGCACCUGGCGGAGAUCUCUGAUGGCGGACCUGGGCCUGGAGCUCUCCAGCCCGCCCACGGAUGGCGUCACGUCCCUGCGCUUCGGCGAUGAUUCGGGCCUCCUCCUCGCCACCAGCUGGGACGCGGGCGUGCGGCUGUACGACGCCGAUCCAGUCUCGGGCAGCUCAACCCUCAGGCAGCACUUCACCACGCCCGGGCCCGUGUUCGACGCGUGCUUCGCCGCGGGUGGGGACACCGCGAUCGUCAGCGGGGGGCUCGGCAAGAGCGUGGUGAGGCACGACCUCACGUCGGGCGCCGACGACGUCGUGGGAACGCACGGCGCGGCGGUGAAGUGCGUGGAGUGGGAUCACGAGACGGGCCUGAUCUUGUCCGGGGGUUGGGACGGGAGGCUCAAGUGCUGGGAUGCUCGCCUCCCCGAGGAACGGCGAUGCAUCGCGGACGUCGAGCUCCCGGGUAAGGUCUACUCCAUGUCCCUGACGGGCUCGGGGAGCCCCACGAGGAGGCUCGUGGUCGCCAUGGCCGGCAGGGCGGUGCACGUGUACACGCCGAUGGGCCUGACCAUGUCCGGAGCGCCCGAGCAGGCGAGGGAGUCCCCGAUGGGUCACCAGUCCCGGUGCGUGCGGUGGCUCCCGGACGGCACCGGCUUCGCGCUCGCGUCCGUGGAGGGCAGGGUGGCGUGGGAGUACCUCGACCUAACGCCGGCUGCGCAGGAGAAGAAGUACGCGUUUAAGUGCCACCGGGUGCGAGACGCCGGGGUCGAGACGAUCCAUCCGGUGCACGCGGUGGCGUUUCACCCGUGGGGAACGUUCGCGACGGGCGGAGGCGACGGUGUCGUCAACGUGUGGGACGGCGCGCACAAGAAGAGGCUGUAUCAGUACCCCAAAUACGCCACGUCAAUCGCCGCGCUCGCUUUCAACGCCGACGGGGACAAGUUGGCGGUGGCGGCGAGUUACGUGGGCGAGAGCGGGGACGCGCCCGCGCCGAGGGACGCGGUGUACGUGAGGAAGGUGGAGCCAGGGGAGGUGACGCCCAAGAGCGGGGUGCCGAAGUAGUCGAUGAGUCGCUAGCCGCGCCGUGGUUCUCCGUGUCGACGAUGCGUGUGUUGGAUCUAAAUUUUACUUCAAAAAACCCAACUGCCGAUAGGAACCGAUGAUCCGUGGCACUCCUUGCACCGAGAGCGCUGACGACCGUGCUCGCAGAUUGCUGACCCACCACAGUCCUUGCACACAGAGCGCCGACGGCCGUGCUUGCAGAUUGCUGACCCACCACAGUCCUUGCACUGAGAGCGAUGACGACCGUGCUCACAGAUUUGAGACCCACCGCACUCCUUGCACUGAGAGCGCCGACGGCCGUGCUCGCAGACUGAUGCACCACCGCACUCCUUGCAAUGAGAGCGCUGACGACCGUGCUCGCAGAUUGCUGAUCCGCCGCACUGCUUGCACUGAGCGCGCUGACGACCGUGCUCGCAGAUUGAUGCACCACCGCACUCCUUGCAGUAUCUGCGCUGACGACCAUGCUCGCAGACUGAUGCACCACCGCACUCCUUGCACCGAGAGCGCACACGACCGUGCUCGCAGAUUGAUGCACCACCGCACUCCUUGCACUGAGCGCGCUGACGACCGUGCUCGCAGAUUUCAGACCCACCGCACUCCUUGCACACAGAGCGCCGACGGCCGUGCUCGCAGAUUUGAGACCCACCGCACUCCUUGCACUGAGAGCGAUGACGACCGUGCUCGCAGAUUUGAGACCCGCCGCACUCCUUGCACUGAGAGCGCCUGCGGCCGUGCUCGCAGAUUGAUGCACCACCGCACUCCUUGCAAUGAGAGCGCUGACGACCGUGCUCGCAGAUUGCUGAUCCGCCGCACUCCUUGCACUGAGCGCGCUGACGACCGUGCUCGCAGAUUGCUGAUCCGCCGCACUCCUUGCACCGAGAGCGCCGACGACCGUGCUCGCAGAAACCAGACUUUGGAGUUGGCUUAUCGCUCCAGUCUCGCUGUCUCUUCACGCCCCGCUGCGCGGGCGCUGAACCCAACCCUACGUUCACAGGUCGCGCAUCCAUCAUCCUGCGGAUCCUGGGCUCAACCCCCUUCUUCUCCGCCGCCACCCUUGCUCAGGUACUCGAGCACUCUGAACGAACGCCCCUGCAAGAUCUCACGUUUCUGCUCCCUCUUCCACUGAUUGAUGUCCUCCCACUGCUCCGCGGUGACGGGCACCGAGUUGGCUCUUAUCUUGCGGUGGACGUCCCACGAGGACACCGCGACGAUGGCCCCCGCGGCGAGGAACUGCAGCAGCUUCGACGGGGCCCCACCGCUCAUGCGGCAGCCCCGCGCUGAAUUUUUUGCGAUGACGUCGCUCCCCGGAACCUUCUAAGUUAACAGCACCGACAAAGUAGACCCGCACACGGAGAUGCGCGCAGCCGCGACGAGCCGCGCGACUGGAGGGACCGCGAUGGUGAUGCGGUCUGCGACAUGCAGGCGCGCCGCGGAGUGCAUGCGCCGCGCCGCGACCGCGCCUCGACUCCGAGCGACGGAUCGCCCGACGCAUCAUCGCCGGCUCCACCCGGCUUCCACCGCAGCCGUCGCGACACGCGCGGACGCGGCUGAGCCGUCUCCGACCGGAACGACGGGGGCUCCCGCGCCGCGCGCCAAAGGCGUUAAGCUCCCCGCGUUCGAUUACACCGCGCUCGUCGCGUCCGUGUGCGAGGUGCGCGCGUUGGGCGUGCCCACGAAGGUGGAGCUCGCCGCGCAGGCCGACGCCUACACCCUCGUGCUCGGCCUGCGUGGCAUCGACGGAAACGUCGCGCUGCACGUGUCCUGGCACCCCGACGCCGCGCGCGUGUGCCUCGGACCGCCCCCGCCGAGGAUCCACAAGACCGAGCAGCUAUCGUUCGGCGAGCAGUGCCACGCGCUGCUCAGGAACCUCGUGCUGACGCGCGCGGCGCUGCCCGAGCCGUGGGAGAGGGUCGCGACGUUCUCAUUCGCCGAUCGGCCCGGAGACGAACCGCGGUUCACGCUGCACUGCGAGGUCAUGGGACGCAACAGCAACGCCGUGCUGGUGGACGAUGCCACGGGGAAGAUCGCCGCGUGCGCCUACCAGGUGGGAGCCGCGCAAACGUCCGUGCGACCGCUGUCGCCGGGGUUUGAGUACCGACCGCCACCGCCUGCGCCGGGCGUAGCUCCGAACGACGCGCCCGCCCUCGCGGAGUGGCGCGAUAUCGUCACGAGAGCGGCGGCGUUGGUCGCGGACGACCGGGUCAAAUCGUCCAAAAGUAAGGGGGGAACUAAGGGAGGAACCGGGCACGGGCAGCAGCCGACGCCCGGGGUGGAGAAGGGUAUGGUUCGCGCGUUUCGCGGCGUGAGCCCGGCGCUCGCGGCGACGCUCCUCGCCGGCUCCGGCGCGAACGUCGGUUCCUCGGACCCUUCGCCGUCCGCCCUUACCGACGACGCGUGGCGCGCGCUCCACGAGGAGUGGCGGCGGUGGGUGGACGCGUUGACCGGCGCGGUGGACGCGGUCGGCGGCGGCGGCGGAGGUGGCGGAGGAGGCGGCGAUAACGCGGCGGCGACCGCGAUCCUCGAAGCCGCGGGUUGGUGCGACGGGGGCGGGCAGCUCCUGUUGCACGAGCCGGCGGACCCGAUCGGCGCGGGCCUGACGCCGCUCUCGGCGGCGUCCAGGGCGGCGGACCCCGCGGGCGCCGGCGGGCCCGUCGGCGCGCUGUUCGCCGAGGUUUACGGCGGCGCGGGCGACGCCGACGUGUUCCGCCGGGAGAAGGACCGAUUGCUCCAAGCCGUCGGCGCCGCCGUGAAAAAAAAUCGUCAGAAGGUCAACUCCUUUCGUAAGCAGAUCGCCGAGGCGGAGGCGCACGAGGACGUCAAGACCCGCGCGGACGAGAUCAUGGCGUAUCAACACGGGUACCAGCAGGGAGCGAGCGCGCUCACGGUGUACGACUUUGAGACUGGGGAGGCUAAGGAAAUCCCAAUCGACGCGCUCAAGGGACCGGUUGCGGCGGCUGAGGCGCUGUAUAAAAAAGCGAGGAAACAGCGGAGGACCGCGGGCGCCGUGGAGCCACUGCUCGAGGCGGCGUCGCGCGAGGCGGAGUACCUCGAGCAGGUUGAGUUUUCCCUCCGGGAACUGACGGGGCAGGGUGGCAAGGAUGACGUUUUGGCGCUGGAGGAGAUCGACGCCGAGCUCGUAGACGCGAGGCUCGUCAAGCCCACGGGCAAGGGCGCCGCGGCCGAGAUCAAGCGACAGGAGAGAUCGAGCGGCGGCGGCAAGGGGAAGAGAGGGGCAACGCCCUCGAAGCCCAAGAAGAAGGGCGGGCGGGACGAUCCGAUGAUCAACAUUCGGAGGUACGUCGCCCCCAGCGGGAAGGAGGUGCUCGUCGGUCGAAACAGCCGAGGCAACGAGGCGGUGAGCCUCUCCAUCGGCAAGGAUCAGGACGUGUGGUUCCACGUGCGCGGGGCGCCCGGCGCGCACGUCAUCUUGCGGCAGCAGCCCGGACAGGAGGCCAGCGACGAGGACCUUCAGUACGCCGCGGAUCUCGCCGCGUUUCACUCCAAGCUGCGAACGGGCGGGAAGGUUGACGUGUCGUUCACGUCGCCGAAAUUCGUGCGAAAGCCGAGCGGCGGGAGGUUGGGGAUGGUGACGAUUGACAAGGAGAGGGUGAUGCUGGGGAUGCCGGACGCGAGCGAGGCGGCGGCGGAGGAGGAACGCGAUCGCGCGGCGGGGAAGAAGACGGCGUCCUCUUGGUAGCACCGGUUUAAUGCGACGUUUCGACGCGUCGAGAUCUUCCGCAACAGCCGCAAACAGAAGCAAAUAUCAUAUCGAAACUCCCGAAAACCCGAAAAGGUGCGGCGGCCACUUCGCAGGAAGCGCCCGUGGUCCGCGCGGGCCCGUCGAGCGACAGCCAAGACGAGCCGCCGCGGUGUUACCGAGCUCGCGCGCGCCAUGUCGGUCCUCGCGACGCAUCUUCCGGCGGUCGCCCCGAGGCCCCCGACCGGGUGCGCGAGCCGAUGGGCACCUCUCCGGGCUGCCACGUCGACGACCAAACCUCCGACGAGGACGGGCGUCCGAGGCGCGGCGUCCUCCGCCUCCGCGUCGUCGCCUUCGUCCCCGGAUGACGCCACCGCGACGAUAAGACCCUUAUCAGGCGUUUGGUGCGAUCCUCGGAGGGUCCGAUCGCUUCGCGGCGGCGACGUCCCGGUGGGCGAAGGUCCUGUGGUGUACUGGAUGUCCCGGGACCAGCGGGCGAUGGACAACUGGGCGCUCUGCCACGCCCUCGCCGUCGCGCGCGAGCAUCGCCGACCGCUGCACGUGGUCUUCGCGCUCGUCCCUGAGUUCGCCAACGCGGGCGCGAGGCAGUACUGCUUCAUGCUCCGCGGGCUGAGGGAGCUGGAGUCGAGGCUGAGAGAUCUCGGCAUCCCGUUCCACCUCGCGCAAGGGCCGGACCCCGGCGUCUCCGUCCCGGCCGCCGCGGAACGCCUCGGGUGCUCCAUGCUCGUCACGGAUUUCUCCCCUCUGCGAAUCGGACGCGCGUGGCGGGACUCGGUGACCACGCUGCUGUGCCCGGUGGACGUUCCGGUGGCGGAGGUUGACGCCCACAACGUCGUGCCGGCGUGGGUGGCGUCGGAGAAGCAGGAAUACGCGGCGAGGACCAUCCGGAAGAAGAUCAACGGACGUCUCACCGACUUUCUCACCGACUUUCCAACGGUCGAGGACGUGCGCGAGGCGGCGACGGAGGCUGCCGCGGGCGCCGAGAAACACCCGGUGAGAAGCGCCGGGUCCAUCGAUUGGGACGGCCUGAUCGACGCGGCGCGGGCAGGCGCGGGGGGGGCGGUGCCCGAGGUGCUCUCGCCGUCGCCGCCGCGGUCGAGGGCGCCGGGUGAAACAGCCGCGCUCGCGGCGCUGUUUGGUACCAGCGCCUCGUUUCUCCCCAAUCGCCUCGCGCUGUACGGCAGCAGGAACGACCCCAACGUUCCGGAGGCGCUCUCCGGUCUCUCCCCGUACCUCCACUUUGGGCAGCUCUCGGCGCAGCGGUGCGCCGUCGAGGCUACGAAACACCGCGCGAAGCAUCCGGAGGCUGUGGAUUCAUUUCUAGAAGAGCUCAUCGUCCGACGCGAGCUCGCGGAUAACUUUUGCCUCCACAACCCCCACUACGACUCCAUCGCGGGCGCCCCGGGGUGGGCGCGGGAGUCCCUCGCGUUGCACGCUUCCGAUGCGCGAGAGUUUGCGUACACUUUGGAGGAGUUGGAGCAUUCGCGAACGCACGACGAGCUCUGGAACGCGGCGCAGAAGGAGCUGACGCACCUGGGCACCAUGCACGGGUUCCUGCGCAUGUACUGGGCCAAGAAGAUCCUGGAGUGGACCGGCGAGGGACCGGAGGAGGCGCUGCGACGGGCGAUUUAUCUCAACGACAGGUACCAGCUGGACGGUCGCGAUCCGAAUGGUUACGUCGGGUGCAUGUGGGCCAUCUGCGGGGUUCACGACCAGGGCUGGAAAGAGCGCGACGUGUUCGGAAAGGUUCGGUACAUGAACUACGCGGGGUGCAAGCGAAAGUUUAAGAUCGCCGAGUACGUGGAGAGGGUGGAGAGGGAGGUUGCGAAGGAGCUCGCGGUGAGGUUGGCGAGGCGGGAGGAGGCGGUGGUGUGAAAUUUUCCAUGUGUGUGUGAAAAUCACGAAAAUGUCCCGAGUGCCUCUCGGCACAACGCUGGUGUCUCUGCCGCCGAAUGAAUUAUUCGCGAGGGUGGGACGCGUGCACGAGCUUCCAAAGAUGCGCCGGGGUCGUCUGGGUUUAACAGAGGGGUGGGUAUAUCGGGACUUUCAUCGGCUGCACGCGUCCUUGCGGGGAGAAGCACAUAACGCGCCAAUGAAUGGAGGCGGGAACACGUAAUCGCCAAUGAAAUAAUCAUUGGAUUAUACACAUAAGGGGUAUUUUUUUACUAACUUGCGUAGUCUAUCGUAGUCAUAUGUAGUCAUCUCAUAAUUCAAGAAUCACGGUUUAUUUAUCUACAUAGAAUCUAGCCAGGGGACGAAAUGACUGUUUAUAACUCAUCAAGGACAGCUUGGUUUCUGAAACCGAGGCAAACCGAGGCAUUAUAGGCAAGCAGAACUACAAAUGUGAACUCGCCAAUGAUUUUCCAGCUGCUUUUGACUCAAGAAUGCCUGUCUAUUUGCGCACGGGUUUUGGUUACGGACGAAAGUUACGGGGAUUUUGACGAAAACUGAAAAAAGUUACGGGGAUUUUGCCUUUGCGUCCGCAGCCUGGCAGCCCGUGCGUCAGCGAGCCCAACCGACAGGCCAUUUUUUCGCCGAGUUGAACGCCCCUCGCGCAGUUCGACGCGCGCGUGCGGAGAGUUUGCCAUGCGUGGGCGCGCGUCUUUACUCGCCAUCGUGGUCGCGAGCCUCCUCGCGACCGCUUCGGCUCAGCCUAAACCCGAGAGGCCGAGCGGUGGGGGUCCGGGAGGCGGGGGGGCGGGAGCGGGAGACAAAAAACCACCGGGCUCGAGGCCCGGUGCGCCCCCGGCUGAAGGAAAGCCCCCCUCGCGGCCAGGUUCCGGGGGGUCCCUCGCCGCUGGUGGCAAGCUCGCGUUCGACUCCGCGACUGGUAAGCUGAAGGGAACGUGGGCCGGAGCCAUCAUCCCUUCUUACAGGGCGCCCAUGGCUGCUCCGCUCCUCGGCACGGUGGGCUACGGAACGGACUCUAAACUCAUCUACGGUCCGUUCGAGGCUGGGUUCGGUGCCGGGCCGACGUCCACGUCAGCGUCCGACGCUAGGCCCCCUUACCCUUGCAAGGACGGAUCCACCUACUCGGGUUACUGCCCAGGCGGCAUGGACGUCAAGACUUGCGAGGAGACGCUCUUCAAGACGUGCGCCAGCGGCACCGUUCGAACCGAACUCUUCAUGGACGAGUGCGGGGGCCACGCCAACCCUUACCACUACCACAUGGACCCCGUGUGCCUCUACAAACCGGACGACCCCGGUCAUUCCGGCGUCGUUGGCGUCAUGCUCGACGGCAGGCCCCUCUACGGCCGGCACGAAACCACGGGGACGGCACCCGCGGACCUCGACCCGUGCGGCGGGCACACCGGAACAGUGCCCGCGUACGAUUCGUGGGGCAUCCCGGAGGGCGCCAAGAUCUACCACUACCACGCGCGGACCAAGCCGCCGUUCUUGCUCGGGUGCUACGGCGACGAGACUACCAGCUCGCUGCAGCACUGCCGGCGGCUGUACCAGUCCGGGACGCGCAAGUGCGGUGACGGCGCGGGGGUAACGAUGAGCGGGUCUGUGGAGUUGGAGUACGAUCUCUGGUGCCCGUGCUACGACUCGGACGGCAAGCAAGCCGAUGGGGACUCCGACGACGACAAAGGGGGUGUGGUCGCGGCCCCCGGCCUCCCGGCCUCCCCGCCUCGGCCUCCCGGCCUUCCGGACGGCUACGACACCUGGGAGGAGUACAAGAAGGAGCAGGACAGGAAGGCUGAACACGCCAAGAGGGAUGCGGAGAAGAAGAAAGAGGCUGAGGAGAAGAAGAAGAAGGAGGCUGAGGAGAAGAAGAAGGAGGCUGAGGACAAGAAGAAAGAGGCUGAGGAGAAGAAGAAGCAGGCUGAGGAGAAGCGCAAGAAGCUCGAGGAGAAGAAGAAGGAGGCUGAGGAGAAGCGCAAGAAGCUCGAGGAGGAGCGGAAAGAGGCAAAAGCCAAGCGCGACGCGAUGCUCGCGAAGAUUGCCGACGCAAAGGCUGCGCGGCGCGCUAAGGUCCUCGCGGACGCGGCCAUCGCGGGCAAGAACGCGACGAGGGUGAAGUUCAAGAAGCCCGCGCCCAACGCCACCGCCGCGUGCGACCUCGCCUUUGCCGCCAUGCCCUCGGUGAACUCCUCCAAGGCUUUUUGCAACGCCACCGAGACCUCCGCUUCCUCGGGCCGACGCCGCCGCAUCCUCAACACCGAAUACGACGUGACGAUCGAGGUUAACCCCGAGGAGGUCAACGUGACCGCCGCGGUCACCGAGCUGCAGAGCGGGGGUAUCACCCCCACCACCACCCAAGUCGACCCGCUGGUGGCGCUGGCCUCGGUGGACGGCGUCGAUUCGGGGGACCUGACGGCGCUAAAGACCGAGGUGGCGGGCGCCGCGGAGGUGCAGGCGGAGGUUGCCGCCAUCGAGGACCAGGUCGACUCGACCGAGGCUGAGGUUUCCGACGCCGAGGCGGAGGUGAAGGACGCCGAGGCGGAGGCUGACGGGCUCCAGGCGGAGGCUGACGAGCUCCAGGCGGAGGCUGACGAGCUCAAGGCAGAGGCUGAGUACGCCGACCAGGUUGCCGACGAGGAGAAGAAGAAGGCGGAUGCUGCUGCUGACACCGUGAGUGCCCUUCCCCCGCGCUCCGACGACGAGGCCGACGUGGACAUCAUUACCACGACCAAACCGAAAGGAGGAGCCGCGGGGCUCGCGGGGCUUUUCACCGCGCUCGUCGCCACGGCCGCGGCGCUUGUCAGCGUUGGGCAAAUCGGGUGAGCCCCGUUGUAUCAUACAAACCCCGUUGUAUCAUAGACUACGAAGGUAUCUAAAAGUAGCUAGCAAUAUCAGCUUGUUGUAAAGUCAAGACGACGAGACUCUCUUCAGGCUCCCGCCACGCCCGGCGCCCACACCGCGAUCCUCCCGUCCGCGAGUCCCCCGACGAUGCACUCCUCCGGCGUGGUCCGCAGCGCCGUCACCGCCGGCCCCGGCCCGUCGUAGCGCGCGCAGACGCGAAGGUCGUGACAGUUACGGACGACGACCGCACCCUUCUCACCCCCGGUGACCAGGAAACGUCCAUCGGGCGACAGCGUCAGCGCGUGCAGCCGCUCCGUGGCGUUCGCGGUCGCGAGGGGUGGCGCGUCCGACGGGGAGUUGAUCCCGUGCGUCGAGAGCGUCAGUUGAUCCCCGUCGUACACGAGAACCGCCGCGACGGGCGCCUCGAGGAAACAGAGCCACGACGGGACGCCCGCAUCCGACCCCGCAUCCCUGAGCGUCCGCAGGUGACGGCCCUGGCGCAGCGUGUGCAGCAACACCGCGCCGUCCGCGCCCCCCGACGCCACCAGGUCGAGCUCCGCGGAAGCCGCGACGCACGUCACCCCGUCCGCGUGACCGAAGAGGAUCCGACGAGGACGCUGCCCGAGCCCGCCGCCGCGAGAGAAGGACGGAUGCGCGCCGCCCCACCCGUCGGGCGGCGGCGUCACCUCCCACACGGCCACCGUGGUAUCGCGAGAGCCGCUCACCACGAUCGUCGCGCCGUCGUUCCACCCCAGGGCGUCGUCCCAGCCGGAGCCGUCGUCGUUAUAUCCCUGCGCGAUGUUGAGCGCUUUGGUGCGGAGGGCGCCGAGCGCACCCUUGACGUCGGACUUGGCCCACGCGCGUCCCACCCGCCCGGCGGUGGUGGAUAUACACGUCACGAGGUCCCUGUGCCCGGUCGCGAUCUGCAGCUCGCGGCUGUCCUCGACGGAGAGCACCCUCAGGCCGUGGUCCCAGUGUCCGCACGAGAGUAAAAUUUUUCCACCCGCGAGCGUCGCGAAAUGCUGCGAACCCACGACAGCCUCCGCGGCGAAAGGGGCGACCCUUCGCUUCACGGCGACGGAAUCGCACUCCACCGCGUACCCCGCCGCGUAUUGAUCCCCACCCUGCGUCCAGUUUCCGGAACCCGUGAUGUGUUCCUUGACGUCCUUGAUGAGAUCAGCGGCGGACCCGAUGGCCUGCGUGAGCGCAGAGUUGCCCCCGUCGAUCUUUGGGCGGACAAACCGGUGAGAGCCCACGGCGCAAUCGACCGACGCCGUCACCACCUUGACCCCAGAAGGAAGCCCGGGGACGUUCGCCGAUUGCCCGAAGAGGUUCCCCCCGCCGACCGACGCGAGGUCCGAUCCCUCGACGGAGACGAAAGCGACGGGUGAUGCCGGCGCGUUUGGGGGAAACCGAGGCGGCGCCGUCACGGAUGUCAGCGCGACGCUGUGCGGCGAGUGGCGAAUGGGCGGGAGCGGCGACGGGGGCGGCGCUCGCCUCGGGUGGGGUUUCCUGAAGAGCUGCGCGGGGGUCUGGCCGAAGUUGACGAUCUGCGACUCCGCGGCGGCGCGAGCGUCCGGGUCCUUGACCGCGUCGAGGUCGACGGACCCUUCGUACGUGAGCGGGUGGAAGACGUUGCGGCGCUUCACGCUCUCGUCUCCGCGUUGCGCGUGGCCAAACACGAGAUCGAUCCACAGGUGCAUCCUGGCAGAGACAGUCUCGGAUUCCAGAGCCUCGCGCAUGACGCGAAUAAACUCGUGCGGGGAACCAUCGGCCCACGGGGGUAACGCGACGUCGCCGACGGACGCGCCUUGCUGAGUGGCACCCAGGUUGAAGCCGCUGGAGUUUGCGAGAAAUUCGGGGAGGGAGUAAAAUUCCGGGAUGAGCUCCUUGACGUCGGCGGUGGACUCGAGGCACGCACGCCAGCACCUGUCCACGGAGGCGAAGAGCCUGUCCGCGUGGUCGAAUCGUCCCCCCUGGAGCGACCUCGCCAGCCCCGUGAACGGCUGGAGCCUGAUGAGGAAGAAGAGGACAAUCGCGGCGGAGGAGUAGUGCGACCCGUAGUGAAACGGCGGCGUCAGGCUGUCGGGAUCCUCCGCCAGCAGCUGGUACCGCUCGAUGAACUGCUUGAGCCUCGGUUCGUGGAGGGCGCCGACGGGCUUGGCCAGGUCCCUGAACACCUGCGGGUCGUUCAGGUCGAUAGAGUCGGACGUAUAAUCCGACAGCACCCACGGAAACACGGGGUAUUGCGUUAAAUCGUUCCUGGUUCGACCGGCGAGCGUGUUGAGCGACAUGAGGUAGUCAAACGUGGAAAGCUCACGCCGGCACCAUCGCUCCUGCGCGCGCUGCGCCGCGGCGAGCUUACGACGCCGAUCCAUGAGCGUGAUCCCCGGCCUGCACGUCGCGAUGCGCAUGGCGGCGUCGCGCGCCGAUCGCUUAUCUUGAAACGCGAGAAACGCGCUCCGCCGAUCGAUGAGGAAAAUCUCGACGGCGACGUGCUGCAGCCGGUACCUCGCGUGGUGAACCUCAUCGACGCGAGCGAUGGGCCAGCGCCAGAACCGUUUCUUGCUCUUUUCGCUGCCCUCGGCGGUUGACGCGGAUUCUUCGCCGUUUCGAUCGUCGUCCUGGUCCCUAUCCGCGAUGAAACUCACCGCGGCGCGCGAAACCUUGACCUGCCCCCGAACCGUUCGCUUGGAGCCGACCAGCACGGCGGGCAGGCUCAGCAGAAUCUUACGCCUAUCCUCGCGCGUGAGCUCCGCAGCCUCGCGCUCAGCCUCCGCAGCUUUUGCCGCGGCGGCAGCCUCGGCCUCGGCCUCGGCGCUCGCGACGGCAGCCUCGUCCAUCGUCCCGUCGUCCUCCUCGGUUUUCCUCACCCGGAGAGCGUCCCCGCCGACCAACUUGCUCAUCUCAUCCGCGUUGACGGAUACGCCCAAACUACCGGCAGCCUUUUCCCCGUCCCGGUCCUCGUCGCGGUACACGACGUAGUGGUAGUCUCGCUUGAGACGUAACCUGCGGUGGGAACUGUCCUCGGCGCUGUCGAGCUUCCACUUGUACGGCGGUCGAGUCGGGUCCUCGGAUGAACCCCGAUACGCCGCCGACCAUGGCCCGCUCUCAUCCGUGAGCUCGCGCAGUAGCGACGUCCAUCGACGGUCCAUGGCCUGCGCCUCCUCUUCGGACCGCGCGUUGGCGAGGGCUCUGCGCUGCGCUUCCCUGUCGCACACCUGGGACAUCACCGCGGCUCUGCGCUCGAGUAAACCGCGCUCGGCGGUUCGCUCGUGGUAAUAGGACGAAGCCGCCUCCGAAGCGGCGCGCUCGCUCGCGGCUCGGCGAGCCUCGGCAGCCCUGCGGCCCUCCUUGGCGUCGAACGCGGCUCCCGCGGCGGCUUUUUGCUCGGAGAUGAGCCCGCGCAGGGGAUCCCCGCCGUCCGACCCCGACGUGGUCAUCACGGCGGCGGCCACCGCGCUGGCUCGGACGCUCCCUCCGCCGGGGACGACGCCGCCCCGAAGGGAUCCGCCGCCGCCGUCUCCGUGAAGCACAUCCUUCCCUCUCCCCACGGCCGCGCCCACGAGCCGCCCCGCGAGCGCCGCUCGUUCGGGCGACGACGGCGCGAGGUCGUUCUCCGCGCGGACGAGCGCGGCGAGGAACCAGUGCAGCCGAGCGGACGUGCUCUCCCGCUCCUCGUUGGACAUCGGGGCGCUCGGCAGGAUUGAACCGAGGAGCGUCUCCAGUUUGUUGGUUGCGGAUUCAGCCAUCGGCGACGGAGCCUCUCGGAUGUACGCGACGAUUAGGCGGAACGCGACGCGCUGUAACGCCGCCCGUUGCGCGGGUCUCUGCGCCGCGAGUUUUUUGCGCGGUAGAUCCUCCGUGGACCCAAAGUCGACGUCGUGACCGUCCAGAACCGUGGAAUUUUGCCUCGAGUGACCCGGCGUACCCCUCGCGCCGUUAUUAGACUUUACGGUGGGUGCCAAAGCCUCGAUCGCCGACCACGCCCCCUCGCACAUGCGCAGAGUCUCCGCCGCGAGACCCUGCUCCGGGGAGAGCUCGGUGACGAGCGGAAGGAGGGACCAGAGGUUAUCGCAGCACGGAGCCGCCGCGAGCGUGCUCGUCCAACUCGCCGAUGAAACGUCUCCGGCAUCCUCCGAAGGCGGCGGCGGCAGAGUCUGUUCGAGGAGCCCCUCGAAAAGGUCGGCGAGCAGCGUGCGCAACGAGGCCGGCGCAUCGAGCUGGUUCCGGUCCCCCGCGGCCGCGACGACGGCCGCGGUCGUCUCCACGACCCCGGCGCCCCCCUCGACCCGCAGCACCGCGUGGGUGUGGAGCGCCCUGAAGAGUCUCAGCGCCAACGCGCGUUCCUCGUCGACGCUCUUGGUGAACACCGGCAUGAGCCACUGCUGCCACCCGGCCUGGCCCAGGACCACGUGCGCGUUCCCGGCCGCGCCCUCGACCAGGCUCAGGAUCAGUUCCAACACCCCCGCGCGCAUCUCGCUCUCCUCACUCUUCUCCAAGAGUCGAAGCAGGAGACCCGCGGCGGAGGCGUGGACGAUGCCCGGUACCCCCGAGGUGGACGAUCCGGCGACGGGCUCGAGCAGGGUUCCCUUGGACAGCUGAACGGCUCCGGCGGAUCCGCUGCUGGACACCGAGGCGAAGAAACGACCGGCCGCGUAUUUAGCCGCGGCCCUCGCCGAGGCGACGGAUACCCCGCCAAAGGUUGAAGAUUUUGACGACGGUUUCGAUCCCUUGGCGACUGGCGCGGCGACCGCGGGGACGGGCUGGCCCCCGAGCAUGAGCUCGAACAGCGCCGCCCGUAUGUCGUGUGUCAGCGGGAAUCGAACGAGCGCCUCUCCCACCGCGGACAUGAGCCCCGGGGGCGCCAUCUGGUGUUUACCGUCCCCGGCGUCGUGCGCGUCGGCGGCGUCAACUUCCCGGGACCUCGGCAUCAGCGCGGUGAGCAGGCGAAUGGCGACCGCCCUGGUCUCCGCGUGCGUGCGGGUGAGGGGCGCGAGGACCACCGCGGCGCCGCAGCACUCGCUGACGAUGGCCCCGGCGAGCCACGUCCCGAGCGGCGACCCGGGCUGGAGCAUGUCGACGAAAGCCUCCAGAACGUCGGCGGCGGCGGCGCCGGCGGCGUCCGACUCGCCGGCGUCCUCGACGGCGGAGAACGCCGCCUGAACCGUCUCGUAGUACACCGCGGGAACGGCGCCCACGAGGAGCUCGCCCAUCACGGCGAGCAGCGCCCUGCGACGGGCGCGCGCCGCCGCCGGGUUCAGCCCGGGGUGCGACCUAAAUUCAGCCACGGCGUCGACAAUCGUAUUCGGGGGUAUCAGCGACCUCAGCGCCGCGGGAUCGCGUUUGGCGAGCUUCUGAAGGAAGCGCGAGUGCGCCGCGAGCGCCUCCUCGGGUACGUUUGCCCCGGCCCACAUGCGAAGGUCCAGGAGAAGCCGAACGGCCGCCUGCUCGGUGUCCCCACCCGGCCCCUGCCACGCGUGCCUUCCCACGCUCCUCACAAGCCGCUCCAUCGACGGCAGCGCCGCGGCGGAGAGUCGCCGGCCCCCGUCGCGGCGGAGCAGGUGCGCGAUGAGCGCGAAACCCCCGCUCACCUGCAGCGCCUCCUGGUUCAGCCGCGAGCCCUCGAGCAUCGCCGCGAGCAGGUCGAUCGCGUCUCGAAGUUCAGCCGCCGCGUCGUCGUCGUCGCCGCCGUCGCGCUCAAUCGGCGCGAGAAGCGGGAAGAGCACGUGCACGCCGCCGAGGCAGUGUACGAUGUCCCUGGCGCUGUGCGUGGCGCACACUCGCGCGGAUCCCACGAGGUCCGCAGCCUUUAACCUGUUCCCACCGUCGUGCCCGGUCCCCCCGACGACGCCCUCCUUCAGAACCCCCACGAGCCCCUUCUCCUUGACGUCCUUGAGGAGGUUCCCGAGCGACCCGCCGUGAUCCGCCACGGUGGAGUAACAGUCCCGCCCGUACGCAGCCGCCGCGUUGAGCGACAGCACCAGCCUCGGCGCCAGGCUCUCGCGAACCUCGCGAGCCUCCGACGGGCUCAUCCCGACCCCCGCGAGCGCGAGACCCGACGCGGUAUCCGCGGGAGAAAACGAUCCGAGAUAAUCCGGACCGAGCGAGUUGACCGCGGCGACAGCCGAGUGCCCCAGGACGUCGUCGAAAAAUCGCACCGACCCAAACUGCCCGGAAAAUGGCGCGGCACCCACGGCUGCGGCCGCCGCCGCGCCUUUCGCGACCGCGUGGUGACUCAUCGCCGCCGCCGCGGCCAUCGCCGCGGCGUCAAACUCGUUGAAGGCGCCAAAGGACGAAGCCGUCAGCGGCUCGGUCACCUUCGGGAACCUGAGCUUGGCGGUUGAUUUCUGCUCGCCGUCGACGAAGAGCUUGACCGCGGCGGUGGAAAGCGGCGGACGGCCGGGCGAGUGCGCGAUGACGAGGAACAUCCAUCGCUUCUCCUUGAUCUCCGCGGGAAGAUGCGCGUUCUCAGCCUUCGCCACGCCGCUCUGCCCCGCCGAGAACGUGCUAACGUCCACCCCGUCGGGGCUGAGCUCCGCGGCGACGCCGAGCCCGGACGCCGUCCUCAACGCGAACAGGGCCAUGCGACUGGUGCUUCCACCCGUCGGGAAGGAUUCCACGCGCAUCCACGCCGCGAACGUGUAACCCGCGCGCCCGCUCGGCCAAGCGAGAGGGUUGCUGAGCACCAGCGAACCCGGCCCAUUUUCAACCUCCCCGCCGCCGCCGCCGCCGCCGCCCAGGAGCGUGUGAUGACCCCCCCCGCCGUUACCCGCGCCCGUGAAGUCGAAGUACGCCGCCGGCCCGUCGCGACGUGCGGCGGCGCGCAGCGCACUCAGCAACAGGCGCCGGCCGCGCGGUCCCAUCCGGGGGUCCGCCAGCAUCCGGAACACGGCGCGGAAAUUUCGAGCCGAGAGCGAGUGCGACGCGCAGGAUCCGAUGCAAACCGCGAUCCGCGCGGACGUGCUGUCGUCCGACGACCCAAACCCCGCCCCCGCCGGGUCAUCCCCUUCUUUCUCAACUCGCGAGUGCGUUUCCCCCGUUUCGUCGCUGUUUCCCUCGUCGUCGCGCGCAGCGUCUGCGAACCAUUCCAACAGUUCGCCGAGCAGGUCCGCCUGGUCGGCGGCGGCGCGGGACGCGACGGAAUCCGCCAGCAGUCUCGCGAAGACGUCGAGGAUCCACGUCCUCAGCGUCGCCUGAUCGGCACCGAGCGCCUUCGCGGUCCAUCCCCCGCGUCCGCGCAGCAGCGACGUGAUCACCGGGAGCGCGCCCGGGUUUCGAAUGACCGCGCCGGCUCCCGGAUCUCGGCCAUCCUCGGGGAAGUCGGCGUCGACCGCCAGCUGCAGGACCUUGGCCAGCAGCGUCCGCGAGGCGGGAGCGUCCCCCCACGCCGUGCACAGCGCCGCGUUGAGCGUUUCGUAGCCCACGUCCCGCCCAAACGCCGACGCGGCGUCUUCAGACUCGGCCAGCAGACUUCUCAGCGUGGACAGCACAUCCAGCACGACGAGCUCUCGAACCCUCGCGUCGCCGUACUCCCCGUUGAGCAGGCUGAUCACCUGCACGUAGGCUUCCCCGUUGGCUUCCGCGGACGCCAGGUGCGCCCGGAUCGCGGCGCCUCCCGGACCGGCCAGCGCCGCGCGGAGCCCCGCGAGAAGCGCCGUCAGAGCCGCCGGGUCGCGAUCGGGCCCCGCCGCCGCCUCCCUGGCGCGGGGUAAACUCUGAAGGUACCGACGCAGGAGCGCGCUCCACGGCCCCUUGGCGUGGGAUACACCCGCACCGCUCGCCACGAGCGCGGUGAGGCAGCGUAUGGCCAGCCCCUGGGUGCCCGGGGCCCACGCGAGUUCAAACAUAAAAUCGACGACGGUUCCCGAAGCCGUCGCCGCCGCGCCCACCGCGGGACCGCCGCGUUCCAGCACGGUGGACAGCACCUCCAACACCCCGUGCGUCGCGAGCGCCUCGACGUUAACGCCUUCAACCCCCUUAGUAACGCCUUCCACCGCGGGAAAGCCCCACGCGUUCGCCUGAACCUUCGCGACGCCUGCGAGUCGAGUCGCGGCGUCGGCGCGAAGCACAGCCACCGACGUGGGCCGGGGCGACGCCGCCAACAACCUCGAAAGCGCCGGGGCGAGCACGACGACCGCCGCGGGCUGCAACGCGCGAGCUUCGAUGGCGUCGAGCAUCGCCGUGACCUCCGGCUCGUUGCCCCCGGUCCCGGCGUCGACGGUGACGUGCCCGCCGCCGUCCCCAGCCGCGGCGGCUCCCGCCAGCCACGCGGCGACGCCGCCGGGGGAGACCCCGCCGGGGGAUCGGCAAUCGUGGGAGAGCAGCUGGGUCCACGCGCCGCGGCCCCUGGCGACGUCGAUCGCGACGUGCGGGUACGAGGCGAUGAGACGGUGCACGAAGUGCGCGGCGUGUCUGCGCAGGAGACUUCCCGCCUUUGCCGCGACGUCCUCGGGAUUCAAAAAUUGGCGAGCGGUGACCCGAGCAGGGGAGGACGCCGCGGGGGACGAUACCGACGGCGCGGACGUGGACCCCGCCCCCCCCCCGACACCGCCGAUUUCGUCGAAAGGAUCGCCCGCGUCGUUUGCGUCGUCGUCAUCCCCGAAUGGAUUCCCUGACGCCGCGGUGAACCCCCGCGGCUCCGCAGACUCCGCAGACUCCGCGGGCUCCGCGGGCUCCUUCGGGGGCGUCGCCGGCGCCGGGGAUGGACCCGGGGCGACGGCGCUCGCCCCUCCCUCGGUUCGUUCACCGGCGGUUUCCGCGGUGAUGUCCAACCUGGAGGCUUCCAUGACCGCGCCGACGAUGUGAAGCGCGAGCCGCUCCAUCGAACCCCGAGCGGCGGACCUCGACCCCGCCGCCGCCGCCGCCGCCGCCAGGUCCCCGGAGGACCCGCGGCUGCCGAUUCCCCCCCCUCCCACGGUCGGCCCAUCCCCUCCGCCGACCCCGCCCUCGCCGGCGAUGAACGCCCAGAGCACGUCGAACGCGCGUCGAAGCUCCUCCCCGGGCGGUCGGGUCUGAACGUCCCGAGCCCCGACGGCGAAAAACCCGUCGACGUCGCCCUCCUCGACGACGUCGCCGGCCCAAUCCCCCUCCGCUCCCCCGUCGCGAACGAGCGACGCCGCCGACGCCACGGCGCCCCGACGCAGCAUCGCGACCAGCCUCGGCCCGAACGCCCCGCCCUCGAUCGCGCGCUUGACGUUCUGUCCGUUUCGUCGGACGGCUCGUCGCACGGCGUCGAGCGCGAGCGCCCCAAGCUCGAGCACCUCAAACGACAGCUGUGCGCCGCCGCCAGCUGUGUCGCCCCCGUUCAGGUCCCACUCGGUCACCUCAGGACGAGGACGCGCCGGGUCCGCAUCAUGCGUCCCGGUGGCGUCGACGCCGAUGCCCUCUAUGAGCAUCUCGAGCCCCCCCGCGCCCCGCAGCGAGUGCUGCGCCGCGGCGGAUCCGGCGAGCGCCGCGCAGAGCGUCCUGAGGAGUAAACCCUCGAGCGCCACCGCCGCAGCCUCCGAGCCGGUGGGGGCGCGGUGGAGCAGCCGCUGGAUCCUGAUCAUCUCCACGAGCGCGGUGAGACCGCCGCACUCCAGCAGGGGCUUGACCGCGGGGGAUUCGGCGGCUGGCGAGCGAGGCGCGACGGUUGAGUUUUGAAGGGUUCGAUCGGCUGAAUGCGUCCCGGAUCGAUCAGCCGCGGCGCCGCCGUCGUCUGACAUGCCGAACCCCCCCGCGAUGGACCCGAAUCGAAGGUCCGCGUCCAAAAAGUUGCUCAGCACCGACGCGCCGUGCGCGCAGAGGAGUUCCAGGGUACCCAGCUGCGCGGCCACCUCCGCGGCUGUUCCCAUGCUGGACCCGCCGCGUCCCCCGGGGUGCCGCAUCGCCGCGAGGUUCCCCAGCACGUUCAGGCGGUGCAUGGCGAGCUUGAGGAGCGCGGUGAGGGCGUCGAGGAGUCCGAGGCGGAUGAGCCAAGCGCGGUUGUGCGCGGAUCUGGUGGCGACGACGCACGCGUUGAGCAGGGCGAGUCCCGCGGCGCGCUGGAGGGCAUCGGGUCCGUCGGUGCGGAUCUGUGCGCCCGACGCCCCGAGCGCUAACGCGGCCUCCAGCUUAGCGUGCACGCGGUGCAACGACGAUACGAGGCCGCGAAGCACCGCGGUGGGGUGCCCGCCGGCGCAUCCCACGAUCGUCCCGUCGCCCCCGGGGCCGUUCGAUCCGUCCGAGGGCGGGGGAAACCACCCGUCGAAGCAGGCGUUGAACCCCUCGAGGAACGAUUCCAGUGCCUCAUCCUGCUGCUGCGAAGCUUCGGGGGCUCCCUCGAACACGGUCCACAGGAACUGGACGUGCGACUCGUUCGGAUCCCUGUCGUUGAAUCGAACGUCCCGAAGCGACGCGGGAUCGGCGCCCUCCGGCCCGAGCCCCGAGCCGCCCCCGCCCGCGGGUCCCGAGUUUCCCGCUCUCGAGGAGGAAUCGCGUGCCGACGAGGACGUCGAGGCGCCGCUCACUCCAGCGCGGGCCUGCGCCGCGGCCGACUCCGCCGCGGCCGAGAGCUUGGAGAGGCUCUUCUUGAAGAAAUCCAUGGCGCCCCGGUGAUCGUCGAGCCCUCUCGACGCCUCCAGGCGCGCCUCCUAAGUGGGAGGGAAUACUCGAGGCUAACAACUGCGGCAGCUGCGGUGACUUUCGCGGUGAGAUCCGAAAACGAAAGUUGGGACGAUCUUUGCUUCAACUCGUCUCAAGACUCUACAGGCUACAUACGGGCAAAAACUUCCCCCACACCCCCACAACGUGCACUUACGCACCCUCCGCGGACUUGAUGAAGGGAUCGAUGGGCUUACCGAGCGCGUACACGAUGAAUCCAAUCUCCCUGAGGUGGUCGUGGUCGAGGAUGAGUCGGCCGUCGAAAACAAACGCGGGCUUCUGCAUGACGUCGUAGAUCUCCUUCCAGUCGUACGACUUGAACUCGUCCCACUCGGUCAUGAUGGUGACGGCGUGGGCGUCCUGAAGGGCCUCCUUGGCGGUCUUGUAGCAGGUGAUGUUACCCAUCAUGCCCUCCAUGUCGUACGCGAUCUGGUCCUCCUUGACCUGGGGAUCGUAAAUUGCGAGCUGCGCGCCAUCCUCGAUGAGGCCCUUGCCCACGUCGAUGGCCGGGGUCUCGCGGGUGUCGCCGGUGUCCUUCUUGAACGCGAAGCCCAGCAUGGCGAUCUUCUUGUUGCGGAUGGUGUUGAACAUGGCGGACACCACGCGACGCACAAAGCGGCUCUUCUGGUAGUCGUUCAUGCCAACCACGCUGUACCAGUAAUCCGCAACCUCCUUCAAGCCAUGGCACUCACAGAUGUACGCGAGGUUCAGGAUAUCCUUCUGGAAGCAGGAGCCGCCGAAGCCCACGGAAGCGUUCAGGAACUUCGGUCCGAUGCGGCUGUCCGUGCCGAUGGAGUGGGCAACCUGCGCGACGUCGGCGCCGGUGGCUUCGCAGAGCGCCGACAUGGCGUUGAUGGAGGAGAUGCGCUGCGCGAGGAACGCGUUGGCGGCGAGCUUGGAGAGCUCGGCGGACCAGAGGUUGGCGGUGAUGAUCUGAUUCUUGGGAACCCAGUUGGCGUACACCUCCGCGAGGGCGUCGACGGCAGCCUGGCCAGCCUCGUUCUCGAUCUUGCCUCCGAUGAGGACGCGGUCGGGCGCGGUGAGGUCGGAGAUGGCGGUGCCCUCGGCGAGGAACUCGGGGUUGGAGAGGAUGUCGAACUGGACGCUGGCGUCGCUGCAGUUGCGCUUGAGGACCUUCUCGAUGGCUUCCGCGGUGCGAACCGGCACGGUGGAUUUCUCGACGAUGAUCUUGUUGUCCUUGGACUCAGCCGCGAUGGUUCGCGCGGCGGACUCCCAGUAGGUGAGGUCCGCCGCCUUGCCGCUUCCGAGGCCGGUCUUCUUGGUGGGGGUGUUGACGGACACGAAGAUCAUCUGCGACUCGCGGAUGGCACCCGCGACGUCGGUGGAGAAGAAGAGGUUCUUGCCCCUGCACGCCUUGACCACCUCGUCGAGGCCGGGCUCGUAGAUUGGGAGCUCGUCGCUGUUCCAAGCGUCGAUCCUGGGCUGGCUGAUGUCCACCACGGUCACCUUGAUGUGGGGGCACUUCAGGGCGAUCAUGGCCAUGGUCGGGCCACCGACGUAGCCGGCGCCGAUGCAGCAGACUGGAGAGACGGGGGGAAAGGGCGGGGAACGGUCAGCGGGUCGGGUAAAGGGAAACGGGGGCUUCCCUUCGCGGGGCCGCGGAUGGGGACAUCGGUUCGGAGAUGACAGCGACGGCGAGAGGCGGGGACCGCGUAGGGCGCCCCUUCAGGCGGGUGGGCGCGCGUCGGGGUGCACACUCACUCGUUGUAAUCUUAACCAUCGCUUUUCGAUCAAAUCUGCGGAGGGAAGGGGGAAACGGCGGGUGAGCGGGGCGCCGGGGGCGGGGGCGAAAAGUAAUCCGUUGAUGGCCGAGAGGGGCCGACGUUUCGCGACGGGGACCGCGCCACGACGCCGGUGCGACGAUCGAGCGGGAAGAAACCGACGAGUGCGUUUCGCGCGACGUCGGGGGUUGUGAGGGAGGUCAAGACAGGGCGCGGGGACUCACCACGCGCUCGCUGCGCUGCGAUCUGGUGGUUGAUCGUUGCUGGGCACGUCCACUCACUCUCGCCGGCGAUGCCGCGGGAGAUGGGUGGCGGAGAAGCCUCGCCGCGAAACGAAGAUUCCCAGUAAUAAUCCGCAUACGCACGCGAGGUUGUAAUUGCCUUAAACAUUUCAUAUUUCAAGUUUCAACACGUCAACUCAGAAGAAGCCGCCGGUGUCCCACAGGACCCCCCGCGUGGUCACCCCCAGGGUCAGGAUGAGCGCGGGAACAGCCACGAAGAUGGCGAUUCCCACCGUCAGCUCGUUCCACGUCCCGCCGGUGUACUCGUCUCCGGCCCAGUUGUCGGAGUAGAGGUCCUCCCUCUCGCGCUUCUUCUGGGGAGGCGCCGGAGGGACGCCGAGGUCCGCCUUCGCCGCGUUCCUCCGCCUCUGCUCGUCCCUCUCCCUCUCCUCGUCGCUGGGGGGCCCCCUCACGGCGUCCACCGCCGCCUUGGUCACGCUCACCUCGCUCUCCACGACGACCGUGCACUCGUACGCGCGGGUGCUCCGGAUGGCGUCGUUGACGAAUGCCAAUCGCUCCGUGCCGUCGAUGAACCAGAGCUCGCCGUCGUUCACCGGGUCCGAGACCGCGACGAGCCGCUGACCCGGGGUGACGCCGGCGGCCUCCGCGGCGCUGCCGAUGGCGACGCCGGUGACGAAUAUCACCGGUCCCUCGCGCUCGUCCAGGAUCACCUUGUCGAACUGGAGCGUUCGCCUCGCCUCCUCCGUGCUGACGACGAGGUCGAUAGUGCCGUUCUCCACGUCCGCGCCAGUCGGGACGGCUUUGGCGCGCACGGGGCGAAUUGCGACGCGGUUAGCGUCGACGCGACGGGAGAGAAGGCUCACGCCGAUCUGGGCGCGGGUUGCCCCGCAUCGAACCACGGACGCUGCGCAGGACAUGACGUGUCGACGGCGCCGAUGUUGAUUGUGAUAUUUCCCGGGCUCUUGCUUGGCAAAACACUUUCCUACACUUGUCAGGCCCUCCUUGAUCCAGUGUCCGGCCCAGAUUUGUUCUGUCCACAUGGCGAUCGGUGAGGAACUUUCACGCAGCCGCGCCGCCUUCAAAACUGGAGUAAUAGACCCUGGCAACACCCCAGUCAACUCCAACUCAAGAAAUUAGACCGUCGCACGCCCGAACCAGAAAAAAACCGGUUGCUCGUUGUGGAUAGAGGGGCGCAGUUGUUUGAAACGUCGUUUCGAGGCUGUCCGGCGGGCACUGUUGUCCACGCGUGGGCACUCUCAAGGGAACGUAAGGUCCCAAAAACCCUCCGCGACUCUAGAUCUGAGCCGCAUCGACCCGGAUGGCCGCCCUAUCGACCACCGGGCCCGCAGCCGUGGCCCGCCCGGCGCGAUCUCUCUCGCUCACGACCCGCAGGAGCACCCAUGCGAGGGCCCCCGCCGGUCGCGCCCGAACGGUGCAGGUGCAGGCGCAGGUGCGCAUCCAGUUCGAGCUCGAGGGCGCCUCCCCCGACGUCAGGGUGAUCGGUAACCACCCCGCGCUCGGAAACUGGGAUCCCGCCCAAGGCCUCCGCAACGGCGACUACAUCACGCUGGAAGACCCCGGCGCCAUGAGGCUCGAGUACAAGUGGCACAACGGGAGCGAGUACGAGAUGGGCGGCAACCGCAUGGUCGUCCUCCCGGACGCCGCCGAUCGCGACGUCACCCUCGCGCUGGCCGUCGUCGAUCGCCUUCGCGCGGUCCCCGACGUCGUUUACCAGCCCCCCGUCGUGCAGCAGCAGCAGGCGCCCCCCCCCAAUGUGCCCACCGUCGAGCCCGUGUACAAGGGUCAGCCGGCACAGUACGCGGGUCAGUCCGGGUACGACGGCUACCAGGCCCCGGUCAACAUAACCUACCACGAUCACCACGAUCCGUACUACGACGAUCACGAUCACGACAACGACAACGACGUCAUCGAUCACUCGUACGGCUCCUACCAGGCUCCCGCCGCCUACCAGGCUCCCCCCGUCCACGAGGCUCCCGCCUACGAGGCUCCCACGCGCUCCUACCACGACGAGGCGUCCCCGGGGGCCAGCAUCGACGACGGCGCCAAACGCAUGCAGUUCGUCCCGGUGUCCGCCGCGGGCCCCGACGCGGGCGAUCGCAAACCCGACGGCUCCGGUCCCCCGCGCUGGUUCCGCGAGGGCGUGGUGUACUCCAUCCAGACGCUCGGCUUUUGCGGAUGCGAGGGACCGCCGGGUUCGUUCUCCGAGGGGGAACGGCUGAUGAAGCUGCUGAACGAGGGGUGGAUCGAGCACCUCGCCAGGCUCGGGUGCACGGUGCUCUACCUCGGCCCGCUCAUGCGCGCGUCGCACGAUCUCGGCCACGGGUACGACACCGCGGAUUACUUCCAGCUGGACCCGCGCUUGGGAACUGUGGAGACGCUUCGCGCGGUGGUGGACGCGUGCCACCUCCUGGGCAUCAGGGUCAUCGUCGACGGCGUGUUCAACCACACCGGCCGCGAUCACUUCGCGGCGCAGGACGUCGUGAGGAACGGGAGGAGUUCGCAGUACUGGGACUGGUACAGGGGCGCGAGGGAACUUCCCGGCGGCGGCGCGGAGAUCCCGGGCUGGGAAGGUCACGCGGGGCUGCCCCAGCUGAACCACCAGAACCCGGACGUGCGCCGCCACAUCACGGACUGCGGCAGGUUUUGGAUGUCGAGCGAGGGCGCGAACAUCGACGGGUGGAGGCUCGACGUCGCGCACGAGGUGGCGCCGGAAUUUUGGCGGGAGUUUAGCGCCGCGUGCCGAGACGCCAAGCCCGACUGCGUGCUCCUCGGCGAGCUCAUGCACGGCGACUACAACACCCACGUGGGCCCCGGGCUUCUGGACAGCGGGACCAACUACCAGCUGUCCAAGGCGCUGUGGUCCUCUCUCAACGACCACAACUACUGGGAGCUGGCGCACUCGUACGGCCGCGAUAAGGACAUGUACGGCGCCCUCACCAUGCUCAACUUUCUCGGCAAUCACGACCAGAUGAGGAUCCACAGCCGCCUCAACAACCCGUCCGCGCACUACCCGCUCGCCGCCGCGUCCAUGAUCCUCGGCCGCGGUGUGCCGUGCCUCUACUACGGAGACGAACUCGGCGAGCAGGGCAAGCCCGGGGGCCCCGAGGGCGACCUCGCCAUGCGCCGCGCCAUCGACCUCCGAGACGCCCUCGCGAACCAAAGCGCGAAAGACGUCGCCAGGCGCACCGCCGAGCUCGUCGCGCUGCGCAGGUCGCACGAGGCGCUCCGCGACGCGGACGCCGAUCAGGUCCCGCUGGCGCACACCAACGAGACCAUGGCGUUCGCGAGGGUCGCGCACGGCGGCGCGUCGGCCGUCGUCGCCUUCAACAACUCGGAUAACUCCCAGCGAAUGACGCUGCCCGUGGGCGAGAAGAUCGGGGCACACGACGGGUGCGAGUUUGAGGAGCCGCUCGCAAACGGUCAGCGGCUGCACGUGUCCGGGGGACAGCUCCACGUCGAGCUGCCCCCCAACGGGCUCCGGGUGUUCCUCCGCGUGUAAACCGGGGGAGGAGACGGAGGGAGACGCGACGUCAAACUUCGAUACUUGCACACAUACAUAUGAUAACUUACGCGGUCCGCCCAGACGAUGGACCUUAUAAUAAUUAAACCGCACGCUUCAACACGAAAAGCCUCACCUCGCCAGGAGCGCGGCGUCCACGCUGCCCGGACCGAUGCCACCGAGCCUUCCCUUAGCCUUACCGCCGGGGCCCUUUUUCUUGGGGCCCCACGCCGCCGCGAUCACCGCCGCCAUCUCCUUCUCCUCCGCGGUCAUCGCUCCCUUUCGCCUCCACGAGGUCCUGGCUCGGAUCACCUCCGUCUCUUUUCCGUCGUCUCCCAGCUUCACCAGCUGGUGGAGCACCCGCGCGUUGUCCUCCUCGAUCACCACACCCUCCGCCGACCCCUCCCGCGCGGUCACCGCGGCGAUGACGUCUCCGUAGCCGCACUCGCUCUUGAACUCGAUGUCGAGCUCGCACAGCUGGUAGUCGGUCCACAUGUCAACCGGGACGGAUUCGAGUAUCCACUCGGUGUACACGACGUUGUUGACGUGACCGUUCAUGUCCAGGUCCAAACGGUCGCCGGUGAACGCCUUGGGCUGGGACAGCGGCAGGUUGGUGUUCCUGACGUCCAGGAGCUUGGGCAUGACGUAGUCCUCGCCCAUGAUGUAGUUGUUGAGGAGCGCGUGAUAGUUUGUCACAUCCUCUGUGGUUUUCUUGGGAAUUCGAACCAUUCGGCGCUUGGCGACGUCGAACGCGACCCAUCUGCUGGUCGCCGCGCCCACCGCCCGGCACGUCCCCUCCGGUCCAUCGCACAGCACGAGCUCGAAGUCUCUCCGCGCCGACACGCUCCGCUCCACCUCGACCCAGGUCUUGACCUCCACCUCGUCGCCCCAACGCGGGUACUCGUGCACCUCUAUGUGCAUCUGCGUGCAAACGAACGCCUGGUUGUUGCUCCGCAUCUCCGCCGGGGAGGACUGGCCCUUGCCCCACAUGGCCUGGAUAUGAUUGCACGCGCACUCCUGCAUCAUGGACGCCACCGUCCUCAUGGUGCACGCCUUGUCCGGCCCCACCUCGUCGAAUCGGACGGGGAAUAUCUCGCUGAAGACGCGUCCGUCCUCGAUGAGCGCGCGGACGUGCACGGGCGGGGGCGCGUCGAGCCCCUGGGUUCGCUGGUCGUAGAACACGGCCGAAGGGACAUGGGACGGUCUCUCGGAGACGUCCCGGAGGCGCGGCGCGAGGGAAGGACCGUCGCCGGACGCCUUUCGACGGACCACAGGUUGGGGGGACCGGAUUCGGUUGGGCGGAUUGAAUUUAUGCGCACCUCGCCGGUCGUUAUCCGACCGCGCGAGGACCUGGUGCGCGGACCCGCGCGCGUGGACGGCGAGGGAAUUCAUCUCGCCGGUCCCUGCGAGGACUGGAGAAGGGUCGCGAGUGACCGUGCGACGCACGCACGUGCCGCGACCGCGCCGAUGAGUUCUGGCGGGACGCGCCGAAUUCGCAACCGGUAUCUAAAAGGCCAAGUGGGCACGCUUCUGGCCGAGAUACGUCCCAGCCGCUGGACACGGCAACGAUAGGCCCAGAUUGUCCGAGGCAGAAUUUUAACCAAAACGUACGAGUUCGUGGUUAGGUUCUCGACCGGAAACUCGAAAUAUGGGUGUUGAGCUGUGGAUUCUCAAUGAAAUGAAGAACGCAUCUCAGUCGAUAUCAUACGAUCGAAGGCGAAAAGACCACCGUCGCGUCAGCGCCGACUUUUCGACAACGUUUCGUUCAAACAACCGCCCCUCGCAAUCGCGCCUCCCGUCACACCGAACCCGCCUGUUCGUCGAGCGCAAGUUCACCACGAUGUCCGUCACGACGACCGCGAUGUCCGCGGCGAUGUGCUCACCCGCCUCCGCCAUCGCGCGCCGCGCGCGGGUGCGCUCCACCGCCCCCGGGGCUCGCCGGCUCAGGGCGCCGCUCAUCGUCGCCGCCUCCGCCGCCCCCGCUGAGGAGGCCCCCGCCGCGAACGAGCGCUACAUGGCGCGCGGCGUCUCCGCGUCCAAGGAGGACGUCCACGCCGCCAUCGCCAACGUCGAUAAGGGCCUCUUCCCCAAGGCGUUCUGCAAGGUCGUCCCCGACCUCCUCACCGGCGACGAGGAGUACUGCACGUGCAUGCACGCCGACGGCGCGGGCACCAAGUCCUCGCUCGCGUACAUGUACUGGAAGGAGACCGGCGAUCUCUCCGUCUGGCGGGGUAUCGCGCAGGAUGCGGUCAUCAUGAACACCGACGACCUCCUCUGCAUCGGCUGCGUGGACAACAUCCUCCUCUCCUCCACCAUCGGCCGCAACAAGAGCCUCAUCCCCGGCGAGGUGCUCAAGGCGCUCAUCUCCGGAACCGAAGACGUCCUCGCCACCAUGAGGGACAACGGCGUCGGGAUCAUCUCCACCGGCGGCGAGACCGCGGACGUGGGCGACCUCGUCCGCACCGUCAUCGUCGACUCCACCGUCACCGCGCGCAUGAAGCGAUCCGACGUCAUCUCCAACGACGGCAUCCGCGCGGGCGACGUCGUCGUCGGCCUCGCGUCCUACGGCAAGGCCACCUACGAGACCGAGUACAACGGCGGGAUGGGCAGCAACGGUCUAACCUCCGCCAGGCACGACGUCUUUCACAAGGCGCUCGCCGCCAAGUACCCGGAGUCCUUCGACGCCUCCGUUCCGAGCGACCUUGUGUACUCGGGCAAGUACGCGCUCACCGACGUCGAGCCGGAGACUGGGUUGACGGUGGGCAAACUCGUGCUCUCGCCGACGCGCACGUACGCCCCGGUGGUGAAGAAGCUGCUCGAUUCCAUGGAUCGGAGCGACAUUCACGGCAUGGUGCACUGCUCCGGCGGGGCGCAGAGUAAGGUUGGCCACUUCCUGGUGGACGGACUCCACGUGAUCAAGGACAACAUGCUGCCGGUGCCGCCGCUGUUCAGGCUGAUCAACGAGUGCAGCGGCACGGAGUGGAGCGAGAUGUACAAGGUGUUCAACUGCGGGCACCGCAUGGAGGUGUACGUCUCCCCGGAGAACGCGGAGAAGGUGAUCGAGGUGAGCAAGAGCUUCAACAUCGACGCGCAGGUUGUGGGGCGGGUGGAGGCCAUCGAGGGCAAGUCCAAGGUGACCGUGAAGAGCGAGUACGGCGAGUUCACGUACUGAUGAGCAAACGGGCAGGGUUUCGCGGGGUGUGUUGAUAUAUGCAGCGAGCGAGGGAUGCGUCCAUGUAAUGUAACAGUCCAAAGUAGACGCCACGCAGCGCCGCGUCUUCGCACGCGCGGUGAAAGAUCUGGUUGAAGGGCAGAUGAGAUGCGGCAACAGCAUCCAAACACCCUUCACAACGGGACGCGCGGGUCGGGGCGCGCCGCCAUGGGGAUCAGGGUGAGGGCGAGCGCCUUCGCUCACCCCAAGUCCCCGCACGUCGCCGCGUUGGACGAGCGACACUUCGUCUCCGCGCUGCAGCUCGUGCUCCCGCGCGGGGGCGGCGACGCCGGCGAUGGGGCGAGCGCGACGGAGGGUUUCGCCGACGUAUCGGACGCGCUUCGACGCCGGGGUGCCGGCGGCGGCGUCGACGGCGCGACCUCGCUCGUGGGACCCGCACCGGACGGCGACGACUUUCGCGUCGCGCGCAUGACCCUCGCGCAGCUCGUCGACGACGCCUUCCUCGCGCAGCACGUCCGCCCGGAGUCGGGCGCGCGAUUCUUCGCGUGCCCGCUGGACGGCAGGCUCGACGCCGACGACGUCGUCGCGAUAACCCCGUCGGGUCACCUGCGCGCGUCGUUCACCCCAUCGACUCACGCGCGCGCGGGCGUCACCGGCGCCAAGACGGACCGCGGGACGCUCAAGCACGAGGCGAGCGUCCACCUCGCGAAGAAAGAGUUUGUCCCCGGCGAGCCCUUUCGCGACAGGCUGGUGGCGUGUCUCGCCAGGCUGGACGAGGAGGGCGACGGGCGCGGCGUCGGUUGGUACGCGUGCGCGUGCGAGAGAGCAACGGACGGCGAGCCCCUGGCGGUCCGAUUCCCGCCCGGCGUCGAGAGCGAGGGGAGGCGAAUAACGCAUUCGCGCAGGCUAGUUCGACGGGGCGGGGAGGACGACGGGGACGGGGAGGGACCGCCGGCUCCCCCCGUCGAGUUCUUCCGUCGCGACCGGGGCGACGAGGCGUGCGCGAUGGACGCCGACGGGGACGGGGACGGGGACGAAAAGUCGGCACCCGGGGACGGGGACGACGGGGACGACUGUGGGGACGUCGCGACGCGCCUCGCGGGUUUUCACGAGUGGAUCGGCGCCGUUGCGGCUGGGGUCGGGCGCGAGGCGUGGGUCGGGACCGCGGGCGACCAGGAGGCGUGGGUCGGGACCGCGGGCGACGACGUCGUCGCCGAGGCGCAUCGGUGGGAGGGGCUGCUCACGCCCAGGAUGGUUCGAAGCGCAGUUGAGUUUUGCGCGGAUGCGGUGGACUCGGGUCGGUAUCCGUGGGCGGCGGUGACGUCGUGGGGGUUUCCGGAAGAUCCAACGAGGGCGCCCGGGGCGAGCGGUUGCGGCGAGCUGACGUUCGCGGUGACGCCCGGGGGUCGGUACCUACUCUUCGCGGACUCGUCGUCGUGAGGACGCGGGCGGACGCGCGUGUCUUGAAUAUCAACUCUUGUAUUGCAAACAGCAGCGAGCUUGUCUAAUAAAGCUCGCUGUGGAAACUGAAACCAUGAUGGCAUGUCACUCGGGUAAUACGUACACACUGCAGUUCUUGAUACGAUGACGAUGGUGUCUCCGCGCUGAUGGUACAGGUUUCUUCCCGGACGCUCCUCAGUCCUCGUCCUGGGUGGAGGCGUGACGGGUCGGGGACGCGGAGUUUUCCUUGGAGCCGCUGCCGCUGCCCCCGUUGUUGCUCCCCCCGCCGCUGCCAUCCUCGCCCUCGUGGCUGACGUCGUCGCCGCCGCUGCCCUGCUUCUCCUCAGCCUCGUGCUCGUCGUGGUCAUCCACCUCCUCGCCCUCCUUGAGCCUGACAAACUGACCCCGGACUCGCGGCCUCGCCUCCGCCAGCCUCUUGCGGCUGGCGUACCUCACCUUCUUCUCAAAGUUGCGCUCCUUACGCUUCUUGAGGAAGCGGGCGAUUGCCUCGGCGCGUCGUUCCGCCGAGGUGGACGCGGCGCCAACCCUCCCAAACGUCUCCUGCUGGUGCUGCACCGCGCCCUGGAGCACGCUGUAAAACUUGGAGACAAACUCAGCCGCCGCCGCGCUCGAGCCGAGGGGACCCGCGGCGGACGCGGAGACAGCCGCCGCGGACGCCGCCGCGCCCAUGUGCUGCGCGUAGAGCAUCGGGUCAACGCCCGGGGGGCACGGCGGGAAGGGGUUCAUCGGCGGGGGGUUGGUCCCGUCGCCCGGCUGGCCAAUCGGCGGAAACGGAAACGGCGGGAAGGGCAUCCCCGCCGCCGCCGCCGCCGCCGCGGCCGCGGCGGGGUUGGGGGGCAUGCCGAAGAAGGGCGGCAUGCCGGGGUAGCCCGGAGGCAUAUGCAUCUGCGCGGCGGCGGCGGGCGCUUCACGCUUGGCGGCGUCGUCCAGCCCCGUGCCCUCCUCCGCCACGGCCGCGAUGCCCGCGAGCGACGCGAGCGCCCCCUCCGCCCUCGCUCCCUCGCUCCAGGGUCGGGGUGUCGCCAGUCUCGUUUUGCGCGUCUGGCUGGUUGUCUCGUUUAGUUAUCAAAGUUCUACUCAGUUUACGUCCAUGCCGCCACCCUUGGGGCCGUUCUUGUUCACGUCCAUCCCGAGUUUUUCCAGCAGAUGAUCCGUCUCCACCUUGCUCACCAGCAGGUUCACGCUGCUCUUCCCCUUCCAGCACGCGAUGGCGAUCUCCUCCGGCGAGCACCCCGCGGGCAACGCGCUCGCAUCCGCCGCUGAUAUCCUCGGCACAAACACGCACGAGCCGCUCACCGCCGCGUUCACCUCCGCCUUCGUCGCGUCGUCCAUGAACUUGGCCCUGUCGGGCUUCUCCGGGUCCUCCGCGCCCGGGAGCUGGAGGCUCCUCCUCUGGAGAAUCAGCCUGAGCUCGUCAAUCGUCGGGUGGAUGAUCUGCCGGUUCACAAACGGGAGCAUCACGUGCAAGCCGUCCUGCACCAGCCUGUAGUCGCACGCGCCCUCGGAUGCCGUCGCGUCCUUGUGCUCCUGCCUCUCGAAAACCUUCAAACCCGCGGCGAUCACCUUGAGCUGCUCCCUGUGGUCGGCGGCCAGGUACUCGCGCAAGCCGUCGGUGAGCGCGUAGAUUCGCUUGGGGCGGGUGUUAUCCGCGGUGCGCGUCACCGCGUUCUUAUCCAGCGGGAGCUUGGCGAGGUCGAUGCCGUAGGUGUCCCUGAUGCUAUGAAUCACCUUCGUAUCGGAGACGGGGAGGAUUGGGUCGAGGCCGCCGAACUGGGAGCCGCCGCCCUGCCUGUUCCUGGUGCCGCCACCGCGCACCUCGGUCAGGAGCAGCUCCGCCUCGGGCUCCAACGGGGCGCCGCCGUUCGCCGCGAUAGCCUCGCGCUCGGCCCUCAGCUCGUGGGUGUUGACCAGGGUGAGCUCAACCUUGACGCUGUCCUUCACGACGUUAAGGUCCGUCUUGAUCGUGAUCGGGCCCUUCAGUUUCUUGGGCCCCGGGUUGAGCGACGCGGGCAUCUCGGCCACCUUCUCGAACACCGCGAUGAAGAACCCGCCGGUGUCGUCCUGGUGGGGUAGGAUCCUCAUGCACCGCUCGAGCGGGAGCUUCGCGUAGCUCGGGUCGGGGAACAUGGUGGGGUGCACCUUGGCGACCUCCUGGGCCUCCUCGAAGGAGUUGGCCUUGCCCGCCUUGGUGUGAACCUCCCAGGUGUGGAUGCCUGGACUGCGGACGAGCUUGGGGAGCUGGUCGGACAUGUCGAGGAGCUUGAGCGAUCCCUCACUCUGCUGGAGAAGCGCAGCGACGACGGCCUCGUCCUCGAUGGGGUUGAAGGUGCACGUGCUGUAUACCAGCCUACCGCCGAUCUUGAGCAGCUGAGCCGCGCGGACGGCGAUCUUGAGUUGCAGGGGGUGGAGGCCGUUGCCGUUGCCGACGCUCCACCUGGGCCAGAUGUCGGGAGCCUUGCGCAUGGUGCCGUCACCGGAGCAGGGCACGUCGCACAGGAUAGCAUCGAACUGGAACGUCCUCCCGCCCCUGGACACGAUAUCGGGGAAGUGCUGCGCCUCGUGGUUGGUGACGAGCAGGCCCGGGGAGUUGGCUCGCUUGGUCUGGUGCGUCAACAGGUUGCACCGCUUGAGAUCCACGUCGUUUGCGAUGACAAAGCCGGUGGGAAGCUUCUCCUUCUCCUCGCCCAAGGAGCCGUGGAGCAUCUCCAGCAGCUGGAACGUCUUGCUCCCGGGCGCGGCGCACAUGUCCAGCACCCUGUGGUCCGGGGUGAUGUUCAGGAAGAACGCCGGAAUCAUGGACACCGUCUCCUGCCGCGUGAUGGAUCCGUACUCGUUCGCGCGCUUGACAAAGUCGUGGAUGGACUCCAAGAACGGGAGGCGCCUCAGCUGCUGCCUGCUGUAGUUGAACUGCCACGCGAGUCGGUCCGGGUACCAUCGGACGGCCCGCGGGGGUUCGACGACGUUCCCCUCCUCGUCGAUGGACUGGUCGCCCUCGUUCACCUUGGCGAAGAGCUUGUUCUCGAUCUGGUCCCUGAUGUCCAGCGCGAACUUGCCGGUGCCGUUGAUGCGGAAGGAGGUUGGGAGCGGGGUGCGAAGGGACUCCAUGAACGCGUCCCACUCAUCCUCGGGGACGAUCCUCUGGCCCUUGUAGUACUCCUCGAACUUCUCGUUCUCCUUGCAGUACGGCUUGUAUUCGCCCUUCGCGUCGGGAACGCGCGAUUUCUUGGGAUCCCAGACGUUCUCGCGCUUGCCCUUCUUGAAGUCGCGCUUGAGGAUGCGGUCGUCGCCGCCGCCGCCCUUGCGCUUCUUGUUGUUGUACCGGCCGCCCAUUUUCGUUUGUCGAACGCGCGUUCGUCCAGUGGGAGUGCGGCGUGCAGUGAGAGCGCGGAGGUGGAAAUCGCACGAAAAAGCGGCGGCGGCUGGGCGGCUGCCGCUCGCAAAUUUCGACUCAAGAACGAGGGUUCGUCGGAGAAAGCGAAAAAACGAUAGCGCGACAGUUACAAGUCCCGCCACCCGCACCCGUGUGUCUCCUCAUUUCUCUCAGAUCGUCACUCGCGCCGCGACACUUCUCCUCCGCGCGCGCGCAUCGGAGACUACGAGUUUGCAGCAUGGGAGACUACGACCGCGGCGGCUGGGGCAACCAGGGCGGCUUUAACCAGGGCGGCUUCAACCAGGGCGGCGGUUUCAACGACCGCGGGGGCGACAGGGGCGACUCCUACGGCGGAGCCUGGGGAGGUGGCCGCGGCGGAGGAGGUUCCCGAGGCGGAGGCUUCUCCAACGUGAGGCCCGGCGACUGGUCGUGCCCCAACGGAUGCGGAAACGUGUUCGCGUCCAAGUCCAACUGCUUCCGCUGCGGCGUGCCCAAACCCGAGGGCGCCGGCGACUCGGUGCGACGCGCGUUCCCCAGAUCUCUCCCGCCCCGAACCGCGAUUUCGCCGCGCCACGAAUAACCUACGAUACGCGCCACGCCCACGUCUCGCUCGCUCGCUCGGAAAAAUGUUCCAAAUGUCCCAAAUGUCCCCUCGCUUCCCUCGCUGACGCGCCCCUCCUCCUCCCCCCGCGGUACCAGUACGAUCAGCAGGGCGGCGAUCGCGGCUUCGGCGGCGGCUGGGGCGGCGGCGGCGGCUACCGCGAGCGCUCCGCCCCGUCCCGCCGCCCCGGCGACUGGGACUGCCCCGCGGGCUGCGGCCUCGUCUUCGCGUCCAAGUCCAACUGCUUCCGCUGCGGCGUGCCCAAGCCCGAGGGCGCGGGCGACGACUUCAACGGCGGCGGGAACUUCAACGGCGGCGGCGACGUCAACGGUGGCGGUUACGUCGACCCCGGGCAGCCACCCCGCGACCACGGCGCCCCGCCGGCGCAGGGCGGCUACUGAGCCAGUCGCGAGACGGACCGGCUUCCUCGCGGCGACCCGAUGACAGAAUUGACGGUUCGAGCCCCCCGCGGGUAGCGGGCGCUCGCCGUCGCGUGACGAAUCGAAUUGUGUUUGUGUCCUACUACCUACCGUGUUGUUAUGAUGAUUGACCUACGUGCAUCGUGCGUGUGCGACGAUUCGUCACCACAUGAUGAUAGUCUCCCUAUGAUAAGUCACCCUCAUGACUGCAACAGCGAGUAAAGAGCGAAGCUCGCGACGGAUCCGGCGCCCAAACCCGCGAUGCACGCGAACGACAUCUUCACCCCUUCCUCCGCCCUCUCCCGCGGUACCAACCGCGAAGGUCCGUACAUCAUGCACACCGACGCCAGGUGCCCGUUGGUGAAGGCCAGCGCCGCCACGAGCAGCGCCGGCGCGACGUCGGUGCCCGCGAGGAACCUCGGGAAGCGCCACCUCCCCGGGACGACGACGUUGCACGCCCACAGCGGCGGCACGAGCGCGAACCUCGCCAGCGCGCACGCAAACACGGAACGGCCGCCAGGCGCCGCACCCGUCGUUAACGAAGUCGUCGCACCCGUCGUCGUUGACGAAGUCGUCGUCGUCGUCGUUCGAGGAUACACGUUCGCGAAGGCGCGCCCGCAAAGGUCCCCGACGUUGAACACCAGGAAGAGCGUCGGCACAAACAAGUCGCCGAGGAGCCGCGACGUGCCCCGCUCGGGUCGUCGCAAACACGGGGGCGACGUCGCGCCGUUCGCGGCGCUGCAAACGGAGCUGGUGACCGCGGGGAACACGCACAGGGUCACGGUGAACGUGAGCGCGACGGCCAGGCGGUAGAACCACCUGCCGUCCCCGGCUGUCCCCGCCGCCUCCCCGUCGUCCUCGUCCUCCCCGUCGUCCUCCUCCGCCGUCUCGUCCCCGUCGCCGUCCCCCCACGGGUCCAGCAGCGGCACCGUCGUCGCGUCGCUGUCUAACCUGUGGUGCGACGGCGCGGAUCCCAUGCCCCUCCGGUUGGGCCCCGACAGCUGUGCCGCCCUCGCCGCCGCGGCUGCGUAAAACGGGAUGCGUUCCAGGAACCGAGUCGACGCCGCGCACCCGAACACCGCGAGCGCCGAGGUGAAGAAGUACGCCGCCGCCUGCGCCGCGAUGGCGUCCGCCUCUUCGUCCGACGCGUCGUCGUCCCCUGAUCUCCCGGCCGCGGUGGAGAGGAGCGCGAUGACCGCCGUCGCGAUGCCGGCGACGGCCUGGCCGGACAUGAUGGCCUGGUUGUACACCGGCGGCAAGACGGACGCCAGGGCGAAGCUUCCGGCCUGCACGAGCGCGGUGAGCACGCCGAGUGUCAUGAGCGUGACCAGGGUGAUUGCCAUCGUGGCAUCGCCGCUCAUGCGCCUCGCGUACGUGAUGCAACCCGUCAGCGCGAGUAGGACGGCCAUGGCGAAGAGCGGCGCGGUCAGCAUCGCCCCGGGCGAGAGCCUGUUCGCGACGCCGGUCACCACCAUCGCGUACUGCGCGCACGCGUUGGUGAGCAGGUACACCACGCCGAACACGCUCUCGAAGCUGUCGGCCAGCGCGGGGGUGAACGGCGGCGCGAAGAGGCGGACGUCGAAGUACGCGCGCUCCGUGAUGAACACGUUCCAGGGGAACAUGGUGCCAGCCCCGGCGAGGAGGAAGACGAUGUAGCACAGCCCAAAGCGGUCGUCGCGGGGGCGGUCGUCGUCCGGGCGUUCGGGAUCCGCGUCGGCAUCCCCGAGGAGGUGGUCCGAGGUCGACGCGUCGCGCGCCAUCGCCCCGCGACCCCGAGCGGGCGCGUUCGCUGUGGCGAGCCCCUGGCGCGGGAAAGUUCACGAGCCCAGCAGCUGGCCACGUUCGCGUCCUUGGCUGCCGAGGGAUAAAUACCCCAACCCUCACUCUGCGUUGGCACGUCGAACAUGGCCACCGUCCUCAACUCAUCCAUCGCGGUCUCGCGCGUGACCGUCGCACCCCGCGCGGUGCGCGCUCGCACCGUCGCGGCCCACCCCGCGGCGCGACCCGCCGCGUCCUCCUCCUCCUUCGUCGCCUCCCCCUCCGUCGCCUCCUCGCUUUCCAAGAGAAAUCGGCUCGCCACCACCGGCCUGAAGGCCUCGGUCGCGCGCAACGUUGGCUCCACGCGCCGCGGAGGUCUGGUCGUCCGCGCCGCCGGCGAUGAAGGCGAGGUGAGAACGCGCCCGAUACGCCUCAUCAGCUCCCGAUCCUCCCCGCGCGACGCGUAGCGUCAUCGUCACCGCCUCGUCACCAAUAAUUAGCCGAAUUUCUAUCCGAAGGAGAGCGCGUUGGCUGCGAUCUUCCCGCCUCUUCGUCCUGACCUUCGCUCCCCAAACGACACGCCGUAGGCUCCGGGCUUCUUCUACACCCGCGCGGGCGUCAUUGCCAUCGGCGUGGGCGUCACCGGCGCCGGGUUCGCGCUGUACUACGGCCUCCAGGCUAACGGGGUGGAUCCCAUCUGGGCCGGGAACAUCGUGCAGCUCACCUUCGUGCUCGGCCUGACCGUGGCGUGGGUCGGGUCCUACGUGAGCCGCGUCAUGAACAAGGACAUGACCUACGUGAAGCAGCUCAAGGACUACGAGGACGCCGUCAUGGCCAAGCGGCUGGAGGAGCUGCCGGAGGCGGAGCUCGAGAAGAUGAUGGAGGAGAUCAAACGCGUCGACGCCCCGAAAUGAGCCAAUAUAUACCGAGUCGAAACACUCAACCCACGCGUGCAUAAUACAUUGUCUAUAAGAUUGUCACAUAGCCGUUAACGUCUAAUACUCCGCCGCCCCGUCCCGGUCGCGAGCCGCCCACGCCUCCCUGUCUCGCGCGAUCCUUCCGGAGAUGGCCGGCAUGGCGCGCCUGUCCAGGAACGGGUACUCGCCCACCCACGUGUUCGUUCGCGGAAAGUACGCCUCCCGCACAGCCUCGAACCGAGCGAAAUAACUCUCGUCCGAUCCGACCACCAUCUCCACCUCGUCCCCCUCGCGUAUCUUCGCGUGCUGCCUCUGCAGCGGGACCCUGAGCUCCACCCUGGCGCCGCUGUAAUCGCCCACGAGCAACGACAGCAUCCAGGUCUCCCGCGAGACAUCGCGACGAUUGCCGAAAUUGCCAAAAUUCUCAUCGGACGAGCCUCGAUACCCCCCCCCGUCCGACGUCCGUCCGAAGCGCUCGUCGAAGUACCCCGGGCCCGGGGCGGCGUCGCGCGUCGCCACCGCGAGGACCCUGGCGCGCCACAGCCCGAUGUUCCGUCCCGCGCGCGCCGCGGAGUUCCUUCGCGCGGCGAGCGCCACCGGCGCCCACAGGAAGAACGUGGCGGUGGGCACCGCGAGCAGCGCCGUGAGGUUCACCGUCGCCACCAGCCCGACGAGGCUCAGCCCCAGCCGCUGCACCGCCGUCUCCGGUCCGCCCCAGAAGUACGCGUACUGCUCUCCGGUGGCUCCGAUGGGUAACAGCGACUGUAUCUCGCGCUGGGUGAGCAGCGUGACGUCCGGGGGGGGCCCGCCGGGCGGCGCCUGCCGCUCGUAGUCGUCCCGCGAUGCGGACGACGACGGGGCGCGCGGGCCGCCGUCGUAGUAGCCGCCGUCGUAGUAGCCGCCGUCGCGGUAGCCGCGCGCCCGCGCGUCGCGUGGAUCGUACGAAUAGUCGUAGUACUCGUCCCCGCGGUCCUCUUCGGGGGCGCGUUCCCCGGCGUUUCGGGCUCGCGCGAGAUGCACCGCGGCGUCCUUUCGUCGGCGGCCGCGAGGAUGGCGCAGAGAGAGCGCGCUCGACGUGGAAGCGCGCUGUGAGCGGGCGGCGCCGGACGCGUGUGAGGCGAGAAGAGCGCGUCGCGCCGCGGGAGCGGUGGUGACGGCCCUCGAGACGGCGCUCGAUGAGGUCGACGCGUGCAUCGUCGCGCGCUCGUCGCGGCAAAGAAUGCUGCCCUAACUUUCACAUGGAGUGUCUGGCGUCAGAUUAUUCGGGCGCUCGCGGCGCGACCAUGCGCGCGGCGCUCCUCGCGGUCGCGCGUCGCGUGCCCUCGCGAGUCGCGUCGGCUUCUGCACGCGGCCGAGAUGUCGCGACGACCGCCGGCGCCGGCACCCGCGACUCGCCCUUCGACCCGGCGGCGGAGGACGCGCCCGUCGUUGACAUCGCCGAGCUCCAAACCGGGGCGGUGUUCACCCGUCGCCGUGCGUUCACCGCCCACGACGUCGCCUCCUUCGCGUCCCUGGCCGGUGACCACAACCCCAUACACGUCGACCCGGACGCCGCGACUGCCGCGGGCUUUCGCGACGGCCCGGUGGUUCACGGCAUGCUGUGCGCGUCCAUGUUCUCCGCCAUCAUCGGCACAAGGUUCCCGGGCGCGGUGUACGCCACGCAGUCCCUCGCGUUUCGAAAGCCGGUGCGCGUGGGGGAGAGGGUGCGGGCGGAGGUGGAGGUGACCAGGGUGGGGGGCGGACGGGUGGCGUUCGCGACGAGGGUGGUGAGGGAGGAGGACGGGGAGGUGGCGCUGGACGGAGCAGCCGUGGCGCUCGUCAGACGAUGACGCUUUUUAGAUGGCUAGAGUAAUGCUAGUAGAGUAGCUCUUCACUUGUCGCCGCCGAGCGAGGCGAACAUGCUGUCCAGCCUGGACCCCCCGCCGGUCGACGAGUCGGUACCGCCGGAUCCGCCUAAUAACCCACGUCCGAGCCCGAACCUCGACGCGCGGGACGAACUCCCGGGCGGCUUCGCUCCCGGGGGCUUGGCCACUCGCAGCUCCCCCGUCCGUUCCAGCGCGCUCGCCAGCCUCUCCUUGUUACGCUCCCACCUGCUCUCCGGUCGCUCGUCGCUCCUCGGCUGCGAACGACGCCCCCCGGCGGAGAGCAGGCCAGCGCGCUCGACGUCCACGUCACCACCCCGCCCGCCCAGGUCCGCCAUCUCCGACUCGCGCCCCAUGUCCCCCGACGCGAGCUCAAAGUAGUACGGAGAGCCCGAGCCGAUCUUCGGCUUCGUCUGAUUUUGCAUGGCGGAUCGCUCGCGCUCGGCGAUCCGCUUGCCGUCCGUCGUGUGCACGUUGCGCUCCAGGUCCUUCUCGUCGCUCUCGAACUUGUACUUGUCACGAAGGGACCCGCCGAACGAGCUGGUGCACGCGCUGAAGAUCUUAUCGAAGACGCCAAACGCGAGCGCUCCGCAGUAAAACACGAGAAUCGCCGGAAACACCGCGGCGAAAUUCCUCGCGCUAUCCGGAACGCCGUCCACGAACUUACGUCCAAACGUGGUCUCCUUGUUCGCGUCGCCCUCCCGGAGGGACGGGACCAUCAUGAGGAAGUUGAGCGAGAGCGGGGCGGCGAACCUGCACGUCAGCGCCGCGUUGAUGAGCAGGGAGAAGGAAUCCGUGUGCCCGGGCACGAGCGCGUAAAAGCUGAACAUGCCGAGUCGGAACAGCGAGUGAUACGCGCACCAGCACAUGUAACCCAGCGGGAUGGCGACCGCCAUGUGCAGGCCGCCCUUAUCCUUCGCGGCGCGGACCAUCGCGCUGAACGGCGACACGUCCGCGCCCUCCAUGGCCUGCGUGCUGAACAUGGUGCCCUCGGCCCACACCGUCAGCACGGAAAACGCGCCCAGCGCGACGGCGAGUACCCUGAGCAAAACGGGCUCCACCCUGCACUUCCACCACCACUCCACAGCCUCCACCGCCUCGCCGUACCGUCCCUGCCUCGGGGCCCGGAGCGGCGACCGGAACCGCCGCUGCCCGCCGUCCGGCGUCAUCAAACACCCCCGGUCGCCCAACCCCCCAGCGCCGGCGCCGCAGUUGAAAACCGCCUCAGCCUCGAUCGCGUUCUCCACCGCCACGGCGUACUGCGCCGCGGUGCGCCGAUACACCCGCGUGCGACGUCGUAGCUCCCUGCGCAGGGCGACGAGGUCGGAGAGCUCGUCGUAGUCGUAAUCGAGGACGCCGUCCACGUCGUCGUCCACCUUGUCCAUGGCGCCUUCAAACGCGGACGACUUGGGCGUCUCUCGCGCGAUGACGGCGACGGCCCAGGCGUAGACGUGGUGCCGCGGGAUGACCUCCCGCGUCGUCUCCGACGCCUUGAUGACCUUACGCAAACCCACGAAGGCAUCCUCCAGGGCCCUGGACGCGACGCCGAGUCUCCGAUGGGCCUCCGCCUGUCGCUUGGCCACAUCCGCUCGGCGCCAGAUGAUCUUCGGGACGUCCACGAGGCCGAAGCCGAGGGCGAAGAUGCCCGCGCAGAUGCCGAACAUGGUGGAGGACGCGAGCGCGAACGUCGCCAUGCUCUCGCUGGUCAUCGCGCCGUAGGACGUCAGCAGUAUCGCGCCCAGGAGCAGGAUGAACACGAUGACGCCGUAGAAGAUACCGUUCUCGCGGAGGCUGGUGGACGCGCGAGCCAGCGCGGAGAAGUCUCCGGCGUCCUCGUACAACUGGUGGAACGGCAGCACGAACCACGUCAGGGUGAAUGUGAUCCAGUAGGACAGGUCCCACAGCGUGCUCAGGCUGGACGUUUCCUCGUCGUACAUCGUCGCCGCGACGUCCGCGGGGACCAGGGCGACGAUUGAGAGAGACAGCGUCCAAGACACCAUGACCAUGAACCGCACCGCGAGGUCGCACUCGCUCGCGGCGAAGUAGUGGAGCAUGUAGGCGGUCACCAGGGUCACCGCCAGGAUGGCGGGGACGCCGUAGCUCGCCUCCCCCAUUGCGAACCCAGGUGGAGCCCCGAACGCGGCACGCGUCGCGAAAAUGAAUGUGAAGAUCCGUCUCGACCGUCUCACCUCGACUCGCCGCGCCUUUCGGGCUCGUCACUCACGCAGCACGCGAGACGCGCCGCCGGGACCCGAUGCUCGCCGCGCUCGCGCCUCGCGCGCUCCCCGCGCGAACAGCGCCCGCGCCCCGUCCCCGUUUCGCCCGCGCGAGCGCCCCGUCCGCCGCCCGUGCCCCGUCGCGCGCCGCGCCCCGAGCCUCGGGCGACGCCGAUAAGGUCGGGACGGUCGUGGGCGGCGUGGCGGGUCCGGACGAGGGCCCCAUCGACGAGUCCUCUUUCGGCGCGACCCCGUGGGACCCCGCUGACGGCGAGGACCCCAUCAGCGACGAGGUCCUGCUGAAGAUCGUCCUGUCCCAGAUAAGCGACCAGGAGGUGAACGAGCUCGUGUGGACCGCGCUCGGGUACGUCAAGGAGAUCGAGCUCGACAUGGAGACGCUGACGGGCAAGGAGGUUUGGAAGCCCACGAACGUGUUCCCCAAGUGGGCCGCGGCGUACCCCGAGGCGCCGGACGUCAUCGGCGUGACGCGCAAGUACUGGCCGGAGAUUGACGCGCCCGUCAAGGCGGCGUGCGCCGCGUUGACCAGAUCCGUCGCGGACGACCACAAGCAGGGGCUGAAGAAGACCCUCCGCAGGCUCGGCUGGAAGGGCUACCGGAUGGAUGGGCUCACGCCCAACAUGACGCGCCGGGCGCAGGCGGCGAAUUGGCUGCUGUACUACAGGCGGGAGCUGCGUGGGGUGCCGAUCGAGGAACUGAAGAGGCGGAGGGAGGAGAGGCGGAAGCGGGAGGAGGCGGAGCAGCGGACGGACGCGCCCACGGGCACCACCAAGCAGGGCGUCGUGUAAAAGUUAGAGAACCAAACCCUUCAACCCUCGAGUUGUCGAGAGCAGAGUGGAUCAAACGUCGCGUCGACCAUAGAAAUCCCCGUCACCAUCCGGUCACAGAUGGCCGCGCCGUCCCUCAGCUACGCCACCCACAACCCCUCGCGAAGCACCGAAACCGCGAGGGAGAUGUCCGCAAUUCGCACCGCCGAACCCUUCGGCGAGGGCGUACCCUUCGGAGACGUGCGUACCUCGUAACCUUCACCGCCCCGCGCCCUCUCCCCGGGCGCCCCAAUUUUUCGUUGUUGCUUUUUUCUAGGUUUCCGAUGUUGACGCGCCCCGCCGUCCACUCGUCUUCCCCAUCCAACAGCCCGGGUGGUACACCAAGUUCAACUCGCCGUACUACACCCAGAGCCACGUGGAGUACCGCGCCAAGGUGAGGGCGUUCGUGGAGAAGGAGAUCAUGCCCCACACGCACGAGUGGGACGAGAAGAAGUCCUUGCCCCUGGAGCUGUACCGCAAGACGUACGAGGCUGGCAUCCUGCCCGGCGUCGUCGGGUCGCCGUGGGCGGGUGGCAUGGGCGCGCACCUGGACGUCAAGGGCCCCAAGGAUUUCGAUUACUUCCACGAGCUCAUCAUCCUGGACGAGUUCGGGCGAUGCGGCAGCGGCGGUGUGCUCUGGGGCCUUCUCGAGGGCGUGCACAUCGGGCUCCCGCCGGUGCUCAACUUUGGCAGCGAGGAUCUUCGCGAGCGAUGCGGCUUGCGCGUCCUCCGGGGCGAGGCCACCAUAUGCCUGUGCAUCACCGAACCCUACGCGGGUAGUGACGUGGCCAACAUCAGGUGCACCGCGAAGAAAUCCAAUUGCGGAAACUUCUACGUCGUCGACGGCGAGAAGAAGUGGAUCACCAACGGCGUGUGGGCGGAUUACUUCACCGUCGCCGUGCGAACCGGCGGCUCCGGCAUGGGCGGCAUCUCCCUCUUGCUCAUAGAGAAGACCAUGCCCGGCGUUCAGUGCCGACGUAUGGACUGCAUGGGGGUGUGGGCGAGCGGCACCAGCUUCAUCACCUUCGAGAACGUCAAGGUGCCCGUGGGUAACCUCAUCGGCGCCGAGAACAACGGGUUCAAGUACAUCAUGCACAACUUCAACCACGAGCGCUGGGGUUUCGUGGUGCAGGCGAACAGGUUCGCCAGGGUCUGCUACGAGGAGGCGUUUAAGUACGCGCACAGGAGGCGGACGUUUGGUAAGAGGCUCGUGGAGCACCCGGUGAUUCGCGCCAAGCUCGCGGACAUGGUCCGACAGAUCGACGCGACGCAUCACCAGAUGGAGAACAUCACGUACCAGAUGUGCACCAUGCCCAAGGAGCAGAGCGCCAAGGCGCUGGCGGGAAUCACCGCGCUCGCGAAGGUUCAGUCCACCAAGGUGUUCGAGUACUGCGCCAGGGAGGCUGCGCAGAUCUUCGGGGGCGCGUCCUACGUCAGGGGCGGGCAAGGGGAGAAGGUCGAGAGGCUGUACAGGGACGUGAGAGCGUACGCCAUACCGGGCGGGAGCGAGGAGAUCAUGAUGGACCUCGGCGUCCGCCAGGCGAUGAAGGAGUGGGACGCCGUCCAGUCCAGGAUGUGAUUGUGAUGUACGAUAACAACUCGGCCACGCCACGAGAAACCAAACCAUUCACUCGUUCUCCCCCAUGAGCGCAGCCUGCGCCGCCGCCUCCGCCGCCGCCUUCUCCUCCUGGCGCUGGAUCCACAUCGGGUUCUCCUCCAAGACGUCGGCGUCGGCGGACGUCGGCGCGUGUUCCCUGAGCAACGCUUCGAUCUCGGGCAUGUUCGCGCCCGCGACCGACGCCACCUGCGUGCCGUUCCGGUAGAACAGAAAGUGUGGCAUCGACUUGCCCCGGUACUCCGCGAGUAAAUCGUGAGACUCCGCCUUGCAGUGGAGGACCACCGCGCAGUUCUGCGCGUACUCGGCCUCUUUUUGGAUUCGCUUCAGCACGGGCACGAGGGGUUCGCACCGCCCGCCCCACUCCGCGUACACCUCGAUGACUGCGUCGGUGUUGGAUAUCGAGUCGUGCGAGUCAGUUGAAAGGUCGUCGGAGAGCGUGGAGGGAUGCGUGGGGACGAUGGGGACGGGGCGAUGAGGGACGCUCGGGGUUGGGUUCAAAUCGGGUGCCCGCCGAGGCGGGGAGACUUGGGAUCGUGGCGCGCACCCUUGAGUCCCUGCUCGCACAGCUUGUCCUUCAGGAACGUAUCCGCCUCCGCGUCGGUCUCGCCGCUGACCGCUAUGCUCAUCGACGCCUUCUCGUAGACAUUUCGCUCCACGACCGCUGCUGCCGCCAUCGUGGCGCUCCAGACGUGUGUGCCAAUUUUGGCUCUCGAUACACACUCCACUGCUCGACAGUAGAGUUUGCCACGCUGUACACGAAACGCUCGCCACUGAAGGGUGCGCGCCCCCGACAUGCAGAUUCGCGCCUUAUCCGGCGAGCCACUCGGCGUCGAGGUUCUCGGCGCCGACUUACGGACCGCCACCGCCGAGGACGUCGAGCGCAUGGUGGACGCCAUGCACAGGACCGGUCGCGGCGUGCUCGUUGUUCGGGACCAGCACCUGGCCCCGACGGAUUGCGAAAGGGCGUGCGCGAUGCUCGCGCCUCACUUCGUCGCGCAGCAGCCGUACACCCGCUGGCCCGGCCAGUCCAAGCCCAUCCCGGGCUGCCCACACCUCGCGCUGCUGGGUAACUACCGCGCCAGGGAGGAUAACGAGUUCGGCAUGGACGUCGUGAAGGGCGAGGUCAUCGGCGAGUACAAGCCGGCGAAACAAAAUCUCGAGGAGUGGCACACCGACGGGAGCUUCCUGCCGAAUCCGAAGGUGGCCAUCGCGCUGUACGCGCCGCAGCUCGACGACGCGCUCCCACCCGAGGGCGGCGAAACCCGUUUCGCCAGCUGCACCGCCGCGUUCGAAGCCCUCGCCCGGGAGGAACAGGAGAAGCUGCGUGGCCUGUGUUCGGUGCACUCGUGGGAGAAGUUCAUGCGACUGCUCGAGUCCCGCGAUCCGGGUAGGCAGAAGGUGACGGCGGAACAGAUCGCGGAGAAGCCCCCGCAGCUCUGGCCGGUGGUCAGGACGCACCCGGUGACAAAGGCGGAGUCGCUGUACAUCAACCCGAAAAACACGGCCGCGGUGGUGAACAAAGCCACCGGCGAACCCAUCCCGGAGGAGGACGCCCGGAGACUGGUCGAUCGACUCGCCGAGGCGGUGGUUGGCGACGGGCUGCCCGGUAACUCGAAGGUUUACGCGCACACGUGGAAGAGAGGGGAUUUUGUCAUAUGGGACAACAGGGUGCUGCUGCACGCCGCGUCGCCGUUCGACGCGGAGAAGUACCAGCGUCUGCUGUUCCGGAUGGAAUUCAAGGGGGAGCCCGUGCUCGGGCCGUCGACGCCGUGAGCGGAGUUUACUUUUUUGUCUACUCGACUCGUCGUUUAAUGACUAAGGUCCCGGCGUGGCCGGGGCUGCGAUUGGCUGCACUUUGAACUUCUUGCCGGCGAUCUCGUCCUCGUCGGCCGCGUCCAUCUGGGACAGCAAAAACUCUACCCACUGGUCCGCCACGGUCUGUUUCUCCUCCUCCGGAGUGAGCGCCCUCGCCACGUGCACCGGCGUCUGCAGCGCCGUCUUUGCCACCGUCCCCGCGAAACCGAGAGCGCCGAACGCCACCCGCACGGGCGCUGUGGCCACCGACCGAAUCAGACCCGGCUUUGCAGCCGCCCGCUCGCCCAGCCCCAUCUUCGACUUCUCGUCCUCGCUCAUGUUCAGCAUCCUGGCCAUGAGCUCGAGGACGUCGGGCGAUUGCUCCCGCUCAAAGUACGUCAAGAGCAGCUUGGACACGAUCCUCUUGUCCAGAAGCUCCGUCGACGAGUCCAUCAGGUGCUUCGCCUGCUGCAUGCUCUGCUGCAGCGCCUGCCUCGCCUUGCCCGCCUCGCCGAUCGCGCGCUGCGUCUCGGCGGCGGCGGCGUCCGCUCUUUCCUUUUCGGCUCUCGCGUCGCGCUCAGCCCCGCUCGCUCGCUCGUUCGCCGCGGUGACCUGCUCCUUGGCCACGACGAGCUCCGCGGCGAGGUGCGCGUUCUUCUCCCGCAGCGCCUGGGCCUCCAAACUCAAACGCCCCCGCGCCUCCUCGUCCGUGUUGAAGAUGUCCAUCGCCACCUGCAGGUUGGCCAGCUCGCGAUCCUUGGCGUCGACGGCGACGCGCAUCACCUCCAGCUCCCUCUCUGACGCGGCUAAUCGCGCGGUGAGCUCGUUCACCAACGCCGCGUGCUCCUCCUCGCGUUCUCUGACCAGCGCCGUCGCGUUGAGCUCGGCCUCCUCGACCUUCGCGUCGUCCUCCUCCUCGAGCUCGAGCAGGUGGUGGCGCAGUCGAACGAGCUCCUUCUGAUUCUUCUCAAUCUCCGCGUCCCGCGCCUCGAUCUCCCCUCGCGCGCGGGCGCGCUCCCGCGCGAGCGCGUCGCGGAGCUCCUCAGCCUCCGCGCCGUUGUCGUCCUCGCCGGCUCUGGCCGCGGCAGCCUCGGCCUCCGCCGCCGUCGCGCGCUCCUCGGCUCGAGUCAACCGCCGUCGGAGCUCCUCCUCCUCCGCCGCUGCCUCUUCCAACCUACCCGCCCACGUCGCCUCCACAUCGCCCGCCGCGGCUCGCACCGCGCGAAGCUCCUCCCUGAGGGCUCCGAUCGUCGCCGCGUCGUGAGCGGCGGACGCGGCUCCGUCCGCCUCCACCAUCGCCUCCAUCAUCGCCGCCGCCUUCCGCUGCUCACGCUCCAUGGCCUCGGCCACCGCCGCGGCGACCGCGCGCUGCUUCUCCGUCUCGGCCGCCCUGGCGUCGGCGUCGAUCCGACGCCGGAGCCGCGCGGUCUCCUCCUCGGCCGCCCUGGCGCGUUGCUCCAAAGCGGACAUGGACGCCGCGAUCGGCGUGCCGCCCGGGGAGGUUGGAACGACGCUCGGAACGGCCCCGACGACGCCCGAGGUGGGGGAGGCGGCGGCGGCGGCGCGCGGGGGCUGGGGCGGCCGAACCGGAGUCAUCGUCGGGGUGGUAACCUCAGGUUGCGGCGGCGGCGGCGGCGGCGCGGUCGUCGAUUGGGGAGCGACGGGGGUCGGAGGAGCCGGGGGUAGGCUUCCGUUCGGGACGUACGGCCGCAGGCUUCCGGGCUCGGCGGGCAUGAGGCCGCUCGUCGCGGAGGAUGACGGCUUGGCACGCGCCUCUGACGCGUCCCCCGCCUUCUUGGCGCGUUCCGCGGCGAGCCUCGCCCUCAGCUGCGCGAGCGCCGAGCUCUGCGAGGGCGCCGGCGCGGGCGAGUCGAUCCCGUCGUCCGUGCCGUCCAGAUCUUCAUCUUCAUCGUCCCCAUCCUCGCUCCACUCCGCGUCCUCGUCGUCCUCGUACAGCGGGUUGUCGACGGAGUUGUCUAGGAAAUCGCCCACCACGUCGCCGACCUUCGCGGACGCAGCCUUGGCCUUGGCCGCGAGGCCGACGAGCGCGCCCUGCAGCAUACACGCGGGACGGAAGUGGUGACCAAACGGUAAAAGUCCGCGGCUUCAGUUCUGAGCGAACCGGCGAGGCGGGACUGGUGAGCAAACAAUUUCGGCCCAUGUUUGGAGCGCGGCGUGAUCAUGACCAUCCCCAAGCAAGAAUCGACCGCCUGGUACCCGCCCCCGGCUCCGUCACGAUCGCACCAGCGAAUCGCCGUCCAGCGAGACUCGAACGAUCCUCCCCUCGACCCCGCCUCCGCCUCCACCCGACCCGCCGACCCUCUCCCUCGGCACCUCCGCCUCCACCUCGAACCUCGCGCCCUUCUUCGGCACCGUCACCAGCUCGUCCCCGCGCGUCACCAGCACCACGCACCUCGCGCUGUCCCGCGCGACGAUCCCGCGCGUCCCGCACAGCGACGGCCUCUCACACGCCGACACCGUCACCGCCGCGCCGACCAACUCCGCCGACCUGAGCCGACGCUCCGCCUCUCUCUCGCCUUUUGCCUCUCUCUCGCCCCCCGCGGUCCCUCCGGAAGAGCCCCCCUGCAGAAGACCCGCGACGUACGCGCGCCACAGCUCGUGUAGGGGAAGGAACGUCUCCCACCUCGCCUUGUGCACCGGAACGACGGCGCGGCCGCAUCGGCGGCGUCGCGCGGCGGCUCCGACGAGCCUCGCGUCCCGCCCCGCGCGCGCCAAUCGUCUCGCCCUCGCGGCUCUCACCUCGUCGACGCUGAACGCCCCGUUGGCGCUGUCCAGGAGGAGCGCCUUGUCCUUGGUCUUGGAGGUUAUGACGGCCUCGGCGUCGGCGCCCGCCUUCGGGUUGGUGGCGACGAGGUCGCGGAGGUGCUGCUGGAUCCACGCGCGCCUCGUCGCCGCGUCCGAGGCGUCGCCUCCGCUCGAUCCGUCGUCGUCGCCUCGGGAGUCGCUCGUCGGGAGGAGAUUUCGGGGAAACGCGCGGGCGUGCGCGGACGACAUCACGCCCGCGCGGGUUCUGGAGCCUAUGGGGGCGUACCACGCGGCGUCCGGUCCGCCGUCGGAGCCCCUGGACGUCGACGCGUCGGCGCCGAAUCUGAGCCGCGAGGGAUCGGAACGCUCCGGCGCGCGGGGCUUCGCGUCCGCGGGUCCGCCCGCGCGUUUCGCGCCUCCUCCACCUCCCGAGCCAAAACCCCGGCCUCCGUUCGAUCCGAACCCCGCUCCUCCCGGGCCCGCGCCGCCCCCCUCGACCUUGUCGGGCCGACGCCGAUGCUGAUGCGUUGGUUGUUGCUUCUUCGUCGUCCUCGCCGAGAGCGCACUGAGGCCCAUGAGCCCGCCGCCGCCCUUGAUGCGCUUCUCCAAGGACUCGAUGCGACGCUUCUUAGAGGACGACGUGCCAUGGCCUUCUUCCGCCAUGGAAUCCGGUGGGCGCCUCGCCGGUCCCCGGUGGCGAGUCCCGAGUGAAUGCGGGAAAAAGUUUUGCUUUGGUUCGACCGCAGGAUGCCGGCUUUUUGCGUCGUCUGAAAGUUCAUGUCAUCAUGUUAGGUCAUGUGGCGUGGCCCGAACCACUUUUUUCAAGCAAGUGGGCAACCCCGCCAAAAAACCAAAUCUUCUGACUGGUCUUCAGCCAAUUCUACGGUCGCAAUCGGAUGACCGUCGGGAUGACUCACGUUUUUUUUGUCCACACGGCUGGGAACGGACGUCACAACUCCGAGCGAGCGACGGCGGGGCUCGCCGAUGGCGCCGCCCGUGUACGAGCCCGAUGAGGCUGGCGUGGAGCCGGAGGUAAGGAUGGGCAGGGUUUGCGACGAAGAUUCGCAGGCGCAGCGCCACGACUCCGUCUCGAGCGUCGAGCGCAACGUGCUGGCGGUCGACCCGGGGGCGCGCAGCAGCCACGAAGCGGCAAAAAAGGGGCUUUUUGUGGGGCGCGCGAACUCGCAGGUUGGGGGGCUCUCUCUCGGGUUCGCGACCGAGCCGCGGCAUCACGGGCAAGGUUCGGAGCUGUCGAUGACCCAAACCCAAAGACUCGCGUCCUUCCCCAGCGGCCGCACGUGGUCGCUCUCCGAUUUUCGUAUGGGCGAGCGGGUGGGCGCGAGCCGGCUCAGCGCGGUGUACCACGCGAUGCACAAGAGCACGGGCAUGGAACUCGCGCUGAAGUGUUACCUGAGGGACAGGCUGGAUGCCUUCUCGCUGGCGCAGAUCAAGCGCGAGGUGAGCAUCCACGCCAAACUGGCGCACCCCUCCGUGGUUCCAUUCUACGGGUCCUUCGAGGAUGAGCGCGGAAACAUCUACCUGCUUCACGAGUACGCGCGGGGCGGCGACGUGUUCGCGCUGAUGAACAAGAGCGGCGGGACGUUCUCGGAGGCUCAGACGUGCAGGCAGGUCAUCCAACCCGUCGCGUCCGCGGUGGCGUACCUCCACGCCAGGGGCAUCACGCACAGGGACAUCAAGCCCGAGAAUCUGCUCGUGAGCGACGUCGACGCGGCGUGCAAGGUGACGGACUUUGGGUUCGCCAUGGACUUCACGCAAAACCAGUGCAAGACCCGACUGGGAACCACGGACUACAUGGCGCCCGAGAUUGUGCGGUGCGAUAAGGCCAUGAGGGAAAGGUUACGGGCAGAGAACAGGAGCGGGUACGGCCCGGAGGUUGACUGCUGGGCCAUCGGGGUGCUCGCGUACGAGUGCCUCGUGGGCGCCGCGCCGUUUGAAGGGGGCGGGACGGAGGAGGUGUACGCGCGGAUCCUCACGGGAAAGUACCACCUCCCGGGCAGGUUCACCCCCGAGGCUGCAGACUUUAUCGCGCGCGCCCUGGACCUCAACCCGGGCACGCGGAUCUCCGCCGAGCAGAUGCUGCGCCACCCCUGGAUCGUCGCGCACACGCAAUCGAGCGAGCCGAGCCCCGAGCCGGCGCGCCGGCGUCGCACGUCGAUGCAGAGCAACCUGAGGGACGUGCUGGAGAACGAACCGUCGGUCAUGCUGUCGGAGGAUGAGCCCGGCGAGCAGCCCGAGGUGUUUGGCCUGAGGAACCCGGCGAGUACCGACCUCUUGUCGUACUCGGCGUCUUCGUCGCCCGCGGGUUUGGCGGUUGGUGGGGCGGGGCUCGGCGGCGGUCAUCGUCAGGGGCAUGGGCCCGGCGAAGUGGCGGAGGUUUUCGGUCAGGGACCUCCGGGACGGUUCGAACCGCACCAAAACUACCACCGAGCGAGGAGCGACCCGCAGCAGAGGGCGCUCGCGAACGCGUCGGCGAUGCGCUACAACUCGGAGGAGAAUUCGCAGGACGACUUGCGCGCGAACUCGUUCUCGCACAGGAUUCACCACACGUUCAAGCGGGGUUGGGGACGGGUUCGGGAGUUCAUAUACAGCGGGGAGUCCGGUGUGGACAGCAUGUACGAGGGGGAGAUGUCCCCGGCUGGGUACAGGUCGCCGAGCAUGAGCAGCCCGGUGGCGCCUCACCCGAUGGCGGGUAUCGAGGACUCCGAUCAGAUGACGGAGUAGUUGGUGCCCCCGGGGUCGGUAACGGGUUUACCAAAUUUAUUUCGCACUACUGUGUCUUGAACAGCGCAGAAAGCUCGCGGUGUAGCUUAAGAUUUAUUUGUAACAGAAAACGAUAAAAGACGCGACGUGGACGUUCGAUUACAAACAGGCUGAGGUUGCUCGGCGUCUGCGAGAGAUUUGAUCAAGAGACUCGGGUCCUGCACGAGGUCGUCAUUGAAGGUCGUCCCAGAGACGGUAAGCAACUGCGAACUUUUCCGCAGUUGCUCAUUCUUCGCGACGACCUCGUGUAUGACUUAGAGUGAGGCAGUACUCAGAUCAAAUCACUCGCAGAAGGAGAGUUUUUCGUCAUCAGCAGCGGGAGAUUAGCAGCGGGUGCUGCAAGGACCGACCAAUUCUUGCACGUUCCUCGGAAUAAAGCCACACCAGCUUGGCUUGAGGCAACCUCUGGACCGGCUCUCUUCCUCUUCGUCUGGAAUUGGGCAGUCCUCGCAUCGAGACACCAGUGGUUGAACCUUUAAAGGGACCCACUCGCACCAGCCGGCGCAGCAGGGAGGAUCAACGCAAGGAGACCCAUCGUACUCCAAGUCUUCCCCGCAGGUGUCGCACCUGGUCAGCUCGGCUGUCUCGAGUUCUUCAGGGGGUAUCUGCGCGCAGAAGCGCGCGCACUCAGCCGCGGAAGGGACGGGGAGCGCGAGGAGGACCGCGGCGGCGAGGAUGAGCGCGGCGACGGAGGGAACGAAGAUGCGCCGCAUGGUGUCGUGCGUGUCGUGCGUGUCGUGGAGUGAGGCAAGACUGGGCAAAAAGGGGCGCUUUCGCCCCUUGGAACCGCCAACGUUGUCGCGUCCGAGGAACCCACCGGUGCUCGGAAAGUGUCCUUCUCCACGUUGAACCUCGGUCGCGCGUCCAUCUAAAAGCUAAUGCGCUAUUACAUCGAGCUAAGAUGCGGCGUCGUCCAUCGCCCGCUAUGCCUAAGGGACGCGAGCGCUGAACUUCGCCGGGUCGUCCACCUUCACGCGAAGGUACUUGGUUCUAUCGCCGUCGUCCGCCGCGUUCCCGUCCCCGAACCUCCACGGCGUCGCGCUCGGCGGCAGCGUCACCUCCACCGCUCGCAGGAACAGACCGUCGACGUCGUCCUCGGGCGAGUGCUUCGGGUUAUACCUCGCGUCGCCCAGUAUCGGACAGCCCAGCGCGCCCGCCGCGUGCCUGCGAAGCUGGUGCGUCCGGCCAGUCUUCGGCCACAUGUCCACCAGCGUGAGUCGCCCGUGCCUCAUCGACGCGUCCGGGGCGUCCCUCACCACCCGCCAGUGACUCACGCACUGCUUCCCCUCCAUCGGGGCGUCGAUCACCCCGAGUUUCAACGCCGCGGCUCCGGCUCUGUCGUUCUCGUCAUCGUCGUCAUCGUCAACGAGUACUUCGGGCUCCGCCGGCGUUCCGCACAGCACGGCGCGAUACCUCUUCGUCACCCUCCUCGACGCGAACGCCUCCGACAGCGACGUCGCCGCGAGCCUCGUCUUGGCGACGACGAGGAGCCCGCUCGUAAGGGCGUCGAGCCUGUGCACGGGCCUGGGACGAACCAGCGCGCCCUCGACGCCGAUUGUCGGGGCUAAAAAAUAUGGGAGCAUGCGCUCGGCGGUCCACCCGCCGCGGGCGUCCCCGACGGUGUUCACGCCCUCGGGUUUGACCACCACGGCGAAGUGCGCGUCUUCAUGCGCCACCUCGAGCCUAGGAAGGUCCUCGGGGAGGUCCGAUACGUCGAGGGGUUUCCCAGACGAGACCCGCGCGACGAUGGCGAUGUCCUCGCCGGGCAUUGGCCUGUAGUCGCCCCUCCUGAUCUCGCCGGAGACUCGGACCUCCCCGCGCCUCACGGACUUCUUCGCGGCGGGCAGGGUCGCGAAGCGAUCCGGGAAAACCUCGAAAGUCACCGCCGCGAGGUUCCAUCCAGGAAGGUCAUGGAUCCUGGCGCGCUUCGAGGCUGGUCCGUCAAAACCGUCGUCGGCGGCGGUCUCGGGAGAUGCGGCGCGUGCCUCCGCCGGGCGAAGCGGGGGCACGGUCCCGCGGGCUACGACCUCGAACGACGCCUUGGCCUCCCGCGGCUGCUUCUUGUUGCCCUUCAUCCACGAGACGACCGAGACGGGCGAACCUCGAGGGCCGGUCGGGACGGCGAGCAGCUGCGCGCAGGCCAUCUGUACUGUCGUGAGUUUUGGCAACGCUUCCAGCUCAGCACGAAGCCGUAUCUGGCGCGAUUUAACGCCGUCUCGAUCGACACCGUGGCAUAGCCCAUCGCGCGGGUUUCAGCCAUGAGUGCGCUGGGCAUCGUCACCGGCGCGUUCGGCGCGGUAUGGUCCGUCGUCGCCACCGUCCUCCGGGGGCUGUUCGGCUUCCUGAACGACUUCAAGGCGGCGGCCAGCGUGGCGAUCUUCGGCUGGUGCGUGGGGCUCUUCGUCGGUACCGUGAUCGUCAGGCACUGGCGACGGGCCGUGGCGAGGUCGGAACGAGAGUCCGCGCGUAAAGUCGCGGCGGAAGCGGUCAAAUCACGCCGUAAGGACAUCCCGAACCCGCUGCCCCCCGACGUCAUCGAGACCGCGCUCAAGCACAUCCCCCGGUGGGCUCGCGAUCCCGAUUGGAACCGAGCGGCGUUCCUCAAUCGCGUGCUCGACGCGCUCUGGCCGCACGUCGACACGUCGGUCUGCGAGGUUGUUCGCGACAGCGUGGAGCCCAUCCUGCGUGAUCUCGUCCCGAGGAAUAUAGUGCACUGGAUAGGCUUCGAGAAGCUCACGCUUGGUCCCACCCCGCCCACCAUCGGCGGCGUGAAGGUGCUCGGCAGCAGCUCCGACGACGUCGUCCUCGAGCUGGAGCUGCAGUGGGCGUCGGGCGCCGACUUCGUGCUCGCGGCGUACGUCUUCGGCGUGCGGGUGCCGGUUCGACUCAGCGACGUGCAACUCGUCGCGGCGGUUCGCGUCCAUUUCACCCCGCUCGUCGACGAGCUGCCGUGCCUCGGCGGGCUGGAGGUGAGCCUCCUCGGCAUGCCGGACCACCUCGACCUCGCCGCCGUCGUCCCGCCGGGCGUCGACCUCAUGGCGCUUCCCGCGAUGGACGUCCUCCUGCCCUGGAUCCUUCGCAAGAUCCUCGGCCCGAUGUUCGUGUAUCCCUCGCGCAUGAUCAUCCCCAUCAUGGACAACAGCGGUCUGGAACCCCCCGCGACGGGGAUGAUCAAAGUUCGCGUCCGCGGCGGCUACAACAUGCAGAAGCGGCGAAAAGACGGCAAGGCCACCGGGCUGGUGCUGCCCGGGAGUAAGCUGAUCGGGUUCGGGGGCGAGCGGUACCAGGUCCGGCUGUACACCCGCGAGCAGCGUAAGGUGAUGCUCAUGUCCAAGUCGAGGGACGAGCCCACGUGGGACGAGUUGCACUACUUCCUGGCCAAUCCCGAGUCCACCCUCCACUGCGUCUUGCUCACCAUGAACAUGCGCGAGCUCGGUCGGUGCGAGAUACCGAUGCGGCUCUUGUGCGAUCCGAGUCGCGAGGGGAAAACCGCGAACCUGCACCUGCCCAUCGAGGACCCAACACCGUUCCAAGAGCCCGAGCCCGAACCCCCGGUCCCGCCCAAGCGUGCCACCGCCGCGGACAUCGAGAGGCUGAACAAGGAGUACGCCCUCGCGAUGAAAAAUCAUCGCGAAAAGCUCGCGAGGCUGCGGCUCGAGCAGCUCGCAAAGGCGAAGCUUCCGGAGCCCAGGCCCAACACCCCGACCGUCGCGAUCGACCUCGAGUACGUGCCCAUGGGCUCUGGCAAGUCCCGCCGGACGAGCCUCGCCGGGAUAACCUCAGUCGCGAGCCCGGGCGCGAAGACUGCCUCGGGCGUAGAAGAAGACGAGGAGGAGGAGGAGGAGGAGACGGUGGCGGGCAACCGCGAGGGGCGCGUCGGGAUCCUGCGGGUCACCGUCAACCGCGCGGUGAACGUGCGCAAGGCGGACAACGCCAAGCAGCCGCAACCCGUGUGCGUGGCGCAGAUCUCGGGCCAAAAGUUCGUCACCGCGGCGCCCGUGGACCCGACCAACAAGCCGCUGUGGGACGAGACUUUUCUCUUCUUCAACGUGUCGGAUCGCGACGCGGUUUCGCUGACGCUCUGCGACGGCGGGGAGCGCGGGGAGUUUCUCGGGGAGUGCGUGGUGGACAUGCGGAAAAUAACGCGGGACAUGGAGCUGUCGGACAUGUUCCACCUGGCUGGGGUCAAGAACAACGCGCAGAUCUUCGCGCAGUUCAAGUUCUCCUACCUGGGGUGAUCGACGACGGGUGGCGUUUCCGUCUCGACGCUCUAUAUUCAACACGUGUGUAAUGUAGUUUAAUCAAAUCGAUCCAUUCGGACGCGCAGUGCCAACGACCUCACUGCACCGAGUGGUUCCACUCGUCGUCGUGCGCGGUCGGCGACACGUCCUCGAACGGCUCCUUGAACUUGUUCUUCUGCGGCGGGACCACCUGCCGCCGCCGCCGCGUCCGAUCCCGCAACCCGCCGAGCUGCGACGCCACCGCCUUGGCCGCGGCGGCUCGCCUGACCUCGUCCGGGACCUCGUCCUCGAGCCACGCGUCGUCGCCGUCCGCCGCCUCGCUCUCCCGCAUGAUAUCCUCCAGCCGAUCGCGCUCCUUCUCCAUCGUCUCGUCCAGCACGGUCUUCCGCACGACUCGACGCCUGCGGACGUUCACCCUCGCCUUGCCCGCCUCCACGUCCUUCAUCUGCCGGAGCUGCGCGCUCCACUUCUCCUUCCACUCCUCGGUGCCCACGUUCGACAGGUUGCCCCGCUCGGCGCACAGCGCGUGAUAGGCCUCGUUGAUCUCCGCGAAUUUCGCGGGCGCCAGAGGGUCCUCUCGGUUGACGUCGGGGUGGUGCAUCUUGGCCAUCCUCUUGUACGCGCGCUUGACAGCCUCCUGGGACGCGCCGGGCGACACGCCGAGGACGAAGUACCUGCGCUCCUCCUCGGGGGUCAACGCGCGAGUGACGACCGACGAUCGACGCGGGCGGGCGGGCGCGAAGGGAACGUUUCUUCCUCGCGCGGCAACCGCGGACGGCGAGACCCCGCGGGGACUCGCCGCCGUCGCCGGCACGCGCGCGGCGAGCGUCGACAUGAAGAAUGUGAGAUAUCUCCCGAAUGGUGGCUCAAUCGUCGUGGUCCAAUCAGGAGUCGCGGGAAAUUUCACCAUUCACAGACCGUCGUUUGCUUCCCCGCAGCCCGAUUGAUGAAAUCCAAAAAGGUGCACCACCGCCCGCGAGGGGAACGUUUUUCUCGGGGGACACUUGCCGCGGACCUCACUGCGUCGACGCGCGCGCGGGCGAGGUCUUCGGCGCCUUUUUCGGCCGUAUCGACCCUCGCGCACGAUCAGUACCGCCCGUGUGAGUCGCCGGCGAGCCCCGGAGCCGCUCCAACGCCGCGCCCCACGGCGACGUCGCGUCCUCGGCGCUUCGACGCGACGGGACGUUUCGAAGACGACAUCUCGAGACGCGACAUGACCACCCCGGUGCGCACCCCUGCGAGCCAAGGCGCCGCCAGGCGCGGGGCGACGCUGUGCGAUUCCGACUCUUCCGACGACGAUUCUGGGUUCUCGUGCGGGCAGUACUCCGUCACCAAGCGCCCGGGGGCCACCCCCGGCGUUGUCUCCUCGGCGUUCGCGACGACCCCAUCCGCGACCGCCCAGAGGAGGCGCUCGCAGCUCGCGCUCGCCAAGUGCGCGAGGCUGGCGAGCAGGGAAAAGGAAACGCUCAGGCAACGGUGUUUGCACCUGGAGGAGCGCAUCGCGGAGCUCCAGGGUGACGCAUCGUGCGACGCGGAGAUGCGAGCGGUCAACGCGGCGCUCGAACGCGAGAUCCGCAGGCUGGAGCAGGAGCACGAGCGCGCCGCGGAGAAUGACGAGUGGCUUCGCAACGCGCUCCAGGAGAAGCAAGCGGCGGUGGCCAGCCUCGAACGGGAACGGGGAACGCUCCGCGCGAGGCUCAUGGAGCUGGAGCAGACUGUGGCGGAGGGCGAGGCGUGCCUCCGCGACGCCGAAGCCGAGCGGGACAAGACGGCGCGGCGGCUGAGGCGAGCGUUAAAGGCGGAGGCGUCUGGUCGGCUCGCCGCCGAGGCCACCGCCGCGGCUCUCAACGCGGAGGUCUCGCGUCUGCACGCGGCGUUGGAGCGCGUGCAGAAGCAGCAGCGAGCGGGAACAAACGCUGACGACGACGACGGUUCAUGCGACGACGACGACUUGCCAUCCGCGCUCAGGCCCGGGAAGGUGACCGUGGAGUGCGUGAGCGCGUCGCGACGGGUCGAGUCGGAUUGGGACGGCGACUCGGAUCACGACUCGGAACGCGACGGUUCGUUUCCCACCGCCACACGCGCCGCCCCGGGCACCGCGCCGAGGGGACGCUUAGGUGACAGCGCCAUGGACGAGGGCUCGCCGUCAUCCGCCAACUCCGACGCGUCCGUCGCGAGUAAGCACCACUCGGUUGCGCCGCUCGGUUCGUACGAAUUUCGCGUCGAGUACACGCCCGAGUCCAAGCCCCCACAGACGCGACACGUGGCGCGCCACGUCGCUACUAUCGCCCCGAGCGGCGGCGAUAGUAGCGGGUGGUCGUCUCCCGGGAGCGGGUGGCUGGCGGUGGAGCGCGGGUCGGUGGCGGUCGCGGCGAGGGCGUGGGCGCGGGCGCUCGGCGACGGGGCGUGGUCGUUGGUCGUCGGCGUGAUGAUAGCCGUCGCGGUGACGCUCGCGAUGGUGGCGGCGCAACAGCUGUGGACGCUGUGCGGCACCCCGGGCGGGACGUGGGGUCCGGUGAGUGGGUUUUCGAUGAGGAUGGGGGGAAUGCCGCCGAGGGCGCGACCGUCGUGGCGGGAGGGGUUCAUCUUGGUGUGAAGAGGGCUUGUAGCUAGGAGAGGCGGUCUCUGACGGAAAGCCGGAGAAGUAAUCUCGCGGCGAAUAAAAUCACGUUUACGUUUCCGGCUUUUGCUUUUCGUGAGCACAACGCUCGUCGCGCGGAGGCGAGGGGCGGUAGCGUCGACAGGGUAGGCCGUCUCCAUGUUCUGGCCGAGCUCAUCGUCGAAUUCUCGCGCCACCUUCCGGUGCGUUUGUCGUUCUCGACCCUACCGGCGAACUUCGCCCGUCGCUCCCCGCCCGAUUUUAUUCCUCUUUUCUGGCACCCCCCGCUCCGCGUUUGACCUUUCACGCACCCAUCGGACGCGCAGGCCGAAGAAGAAUGCGCCGGUCGGUUCCAAGGGCGCCGCGCUCAAGCAGCACAUCGACGCCACCCUGGGUAGCGGGAACCUGCGAGAGGCGGUGCUCCUACCCCCCGGCGAGGAUCUCAACGAGUGGCUCGCGGUGAACACCGUGGACUUUUACAACGCGAUAUCGAUGCUCUACGCCACGUUGGCCGAGUACUGCACCGAUGGAUCGUGCCCGACGAUGUGCGCGGGGCCCAAGUACGAGUACAGGUGGGCGGACGGCGUCAAGGUGAAGAAACCCAUCGCGUGCACCGCGCCGCAGUACGUGGAUUACCUGCUCUCGUGGGUGGAGUCGCAGGUGGAUGACGAGGCGCUCUUCCCGCAGGCGCAGGGCGCGGACUUCCCUUCGAACUUUCCGGACGUGGUGAGGAAGAUAUUCACCAGACUGUUCAGGGUCUACGCGCACAUAUACCACUCGCACUUCCCGCAGAUCUGCACGCUCGGGGCGGAGGCGCACCUCAACACCCUGUUCAAGCACUUCAUCUACUUCACAUCCGCGUUUGGGCUGGUGCGGCGCGAGGAGCUCGCGCCGCUCGGGGAGCUCGUGGACGGCAUCCUCGGGGUGGUGCCGUCUCACGUGAAGAUAAACAACAACGUGGGUGGCGGGGGUGGUGGCGGCGGCGGUGCGGGUGGUGGUUCGGCGGUUUGAUGGGUGUUAAGGGCGACCUAGGUAGCUUCGUAGACUGUCUCGUUUUUAAACGCGACGCCAACCAUAAACUCUCAGAGACGGAUGACUGGUUCUAUUGUCAUGCCGUGCCAAGAUGUAAUUCAUUAAUUCCCGUCGCCUGUCGUCCACGUCCCGCAGUCACGGACCCACCGAAGCAGCUUCGGGUUUUAGGGUUCGUGACUGGCGCAUCGUGGCCGCUCCGAAAAAAUCCAGACGGCAGAGGACUCCUGAAACUACCGAGGGAUCCUCCCAAGCGGCGCUUCUCGCCACAAGGUGAAGGCGCCUGGCGCCGUCGUCUGAGUGCGCGCUAGGGUGCGUACGAGGUCGGCGAGGUCAGCGCCAUGGGGAAGGAUCGCGGUAAGGGCGGAUCCGCGGCGGCGAAGGGUAAGUCGUCGGCGACGGCGCCGAAGGCCAUCGGGAAAGAUGGCACCUCGGCAAGCCCCGCCGACGCCGCAAAGGCGCUGGACAAGGAGGUCCGGGCGGAGUGCGAGAAGGCGUUCGGGUACUUCAAGAAGGGUAACGCGAAGCAGUGCACCAAGGAGAUGGAGCGGCUGAUCAAAAAGUACCCCGGACACCCCUUACCGCACAUAGGGCACGUCCGGAUCUCGCACAAGCUCGCGCUCGAGCAGAGGACGCUCAAGAACGUCACGAGACUGUUCAAGGAGUGCCACGAGCGCGCGAGCGCGGCCGUGGACGCUUGCCCGGACUCGAUCCUGGUCAAGCUCAUGUUCGUUGAAGUGGUCUACGACGAUCCGUUCCCCAGCGACGAGGCCGUGGCUCGCGUCGAGACGCUGGCCACCGCCGAACUCCCGAGCGGCGCGGGCAGGUCGGAUCUGAAGGUUGCCAAGGCGCUGGCGCGCGAUUCCUUCGACGAGCACAUCCUCAUGCUGCCGUUCUUCCCGGACAUCAACAGGCACCAAAAGACCGAGGAGUUGGUCGCCGCGAUGCGCGGAUCGCUCAAGGAAUCGUACGAUCAGAUCUGCAACCUCCUCCGCCACUCCUCGCGGUUCAUGCAACAGCAAGCCGUCGGCAACGCCGGAGCCGAGGUGGCGGAAGGGGCGACCGGCAAGGCGGCCGACGACCUCGUCCGCCUCGAGAGCUUCAUAACCAUACGCGAGAACAACCACCAGUACCACCGGGUCGCCAAGCAAGCCUCCAUCAAGCAGAUCGCGCAACAGAAGGAGCUCGAGGAGCACAAAAGGAACCAGGAGUACGCCAGGGUCAACCUGGAUCUGAGAAGGCGGGAGGAAGAGGCCAAUCGUCGCCGCGCUGCCGCGAUCGAAGCCGCGAAGGAGCGCGCGGACUCCCCGACGACCGUCAAGAGCGGCGUCGGGUCUGAGGCUGACGAGUCGACGCGGAACGGCGGUGGGAGCCCCGGGGCGGCUGAGUCCAACUCAGGGGCGGCUGAGUCCAACGCCGACUCGCCCGGGGCGAAGGAUGCGUCAGUUGUCUCAAUCGUCGAGGGCGCGGUGACCAAGGCGCGCGCGGAGGAAAGCCAGGCCAAACAGAGUUCCAAGCUGGCGGACUUUGCCGACGUCGCGGUGACUGCCAAGCAACCGAAGACCAAGGCUGAGAGGGAGUCCAACGCGGCGAGGGAGAGGGAGAUCAAGGAGAAGCUGCUCCGCAGGAGGCAGUUCGAAUCUGUGAGGAAGUACUGGAAGACAGAGGUUGAGAAGGACCCCAUGUCGGUUCUUUCCAUGACGGACAUACCGCUCAAGGAGCUCAGGAAUUUCGUCGACAAGCUAUACGAUGGGCCGCGACGCUCGGAGGACCUCAAGAUCGUCCGUGACAUCGUACAGGGCUACAUCAGCACGGGUAAGUGGAUCCGGUGGAAGUGCAACUUCAAGGAUUGCUGCGGGGGCGGCGAGCACCUCACCGCGGAGGAUAUGUUCGCCUGCAUCGAGACACGCUUCCCGCAGGACGGGACAGGGACCAGCAGGGACCAGCUCGGCGACGCGAGGCACGGGAUCCUGCCCAUCGUGACGCCCCACGACGUUAACGUCUGCGGCUGGAUUGGGAAAGGCGACGAGUCGACGGGUUUGGGCGGAGGCGUGUUUCCCAAGGAUCACGAGCUUCCCUCCGUCGUCGCCGUAAACAACGCCGUGACGCCGGCGGACAUCGCCGACGUCGUCGCCGGCCGCCGCGCGCCGCUGCUGUCGGUGGACAGCGCGGUGUACCGACGCGAUGCCAUCGAGGAGGAGACGAUCCGGCGGCAGACGCGACGCGCGGAGAGCAGGAACGGCGUCAACGCCGGGGUGGUGACGGACAGCGACGACGAGGAGGACUUCGCCGAGCCCCUGGUGGACACCACGAUGCUUCGAAGGAUCGCUUCCCAGAACCACUACCACGUGGACCUCAACAACGACCGCGAGUGGGAGCUUCCCGAGCCCCUUGACAGAGACUACCGAAAGGCGAGGUACGCCCUGCUGAAGGACGCGCUCUCCCGCCUGGAGGAGGAACCCGAGCUGCUGGAUAAUCUGAGGGAGCACAUGUUGCACCCCACGCUGCUGCCGGUGCUUGCCGGAGCCAUGAAGCUCGAACACGAGGAGGAAGAAGAGAGGCAGAGAAAAGAGUACGCCCGGUUCGACAUGUCCCUGGCCGACGAAGCGGAGGGCCUACCCUUCCCGGAUUGUUUCAAGCGGCACGGCGACGAGUUCCUCAAGUAUUUCAACGAAGUGGAACAUCACGCGCAGCUCGAGAAGGGGAACUUCAAGUCGCGCAUCAUGCAAGCACAAUCCCGGCAAAUUGUGGAUAUGGACAUGGACUACAAGGACCUGGAGCAGAUGUGCAUCAGCCACAAUAUGUCCUACAACGAUAUUUUCAGGGACCAGAUCAGCAACUUUGACAAGCUCGACAAGAACAUCCCGGGGUCCACCCCCGCGGGGCGUUUCAUGAAGUACGCCGAAACUACCAACAUGUUGCGCGCGCAGAGAAUCAGGGAGGCUGUCUCGCAGUCCAUCUCUGACCCGAGUACGGUGCCCCAGGUCACCGCGCCCGUCAUUCGUGGACCAAACGGCGAUGACAUCUACGAAGAGGUCGUCAAGUUCCUCGUGGACACGGACACGCCGGCACAUACCUACGCGCCCUACGGCCUGAAGCACUUUAAGCACAGCUUCACAGGCAGCGAAGCGGCGGAUCGCGCGCUGAGGGAACUCGAGGAGAAGGCGAAAUGGGUCGAAGAGCACGCGCCGCUGCCCUCGUGGGAUUAUCACACAUACAAUGAUUCUGGGUCCGUGCCAGACGAUGAGCAGAAACUCACUGAAGACAUCAUUUUCGGGAUUCGGUGCCUGAUGAGGGCCGGCCAGAUGCCGCUGCGAUUGAUGCAGACGAUGGCGCAGUUCAUCUCUGCGAGGCUGCACGAAAUCAAAAACAGGUUUAACGAGAACGAGAAGGCCGGCAUCGGACUGAGAAGGCGCAGACCAAAGCUCGGGGCGCCGGAGCGCGUCCUCGCGGAUUCACCGGAUGCGACCGUCGGCAGGACGUCGUCUCGGACGCCAGAAGCUGCCGUGGAGGCGGAAAGUUCCAACUCGGCUAUCCCUACGGAUCCCAUCAGGACGGAUGAUUUCGGAGCUCGCCUACGACUGCUGGAGAAGGACGACCUGAAGGCGCUGUGGUCUUUCCUCAUGGAAAUUUCCAUUGGCUCACGUAACAACCGUGACAGGACGUUGCUCAGGCACAAAGUCAAGAGCAGCUCGUGCCUCUGGCAGAUGCUCUCGGAGGAAUCUGCACUUUUCGGAAUCACGGGCGAGACCGGAGUUGAGUUCGUGACUGGCGGUGGCGCCGAAGCGGAAGACACCAAGAAGGACGUUAAGAGCAAGGGCGGUAAGGGCGGCAAGGGGAAGAAACCCACUCCCAAGGGUAAGUGCGCAGAGUACUGCGUAGACGAGUCGUCGCGUACGUUUCGCCUGUGCGUUGGCGCGUGGCAGGCUCUCUACCCGGUGGGCCCGGCUGCCAUGAUUCCCGGCCUCAUCUCCGAGGCGAACAGCGAGGAGGAGGCAUUCAUCCGCGCCAAGACGGCCGCGGCGCAGCCCAAGGAAGAUUUUGUCGGCGAGAAUCUGCUCAAGUGGCUCUACAGCGAGAGCGCGGAAACUGCACCGUCGCAGGAGGAAGUUGCCAAUUACGUCCUCCCCAGUGACUAUGAGUACCAGGCAAGGUUUGAGAGUUGCGUCGACCAGCUCAAGACAAACAACGAGAUUUUCCGUGGGAUCGCAUGUGUGAAGGUUGUCAUCCGACACCGGAUCGACUCGAUCAUGACCUGCGCCAACUCCAUGCUCACUGACAGGAUGCCCCUGGAUACCAUUCGCGCCUUGGACCCUGCCAACCCAAAGGACGAGGCAAAGAUGCGCAUGUUCUUCGAGGAGUACGCCAAGCUUCGGUACAUGAUCAAGGCCCUACGGAAGAAGCUGCUGGACAUGGACCUACACGAGCUCGAUACUGAGACCCAGUACUUCAGAGAAUACAUGCAGUUGAUCCAACGGCAGCACGAGCAGUACAAUCAGAGACUCUUCGAGCUGAGUGGCCCCAAGAAGGUUGAAAUUUUCCAAAAGGACAAAAGGGACGACCCAAAAGAGGCUGAGCGCCUCCGCGAAAAGCAGGAGAUGCAGCUCAGGCUGAAGCUCAGCAAGGAUAGGCUGGAGGCCUUGCAGCACUCUCGGCGGAGGGCUUCCGACGCGAUCUUGUUCAAGAGGAACAAGGUUGAAAAGAUCGUCGCAUCAAAGAACUUCCUCGCCGCCGAGGAAAAAUCUUCGCAGGUGAUCCUCCACAAACAUGCCUCGGAACAGAUCGAUGCGGCGAUCGCUUCGUGGAAGGAAUCGGGCGGUAACAUCCCCGCGGAGGCCAUGGAGAUAUGCCGGAAGCUUCAGAGCCUCCCGGACAAGAUGACCCCGACGCUCGUCGCCGCGCAGGAGCGGCUGUUGGUCUUUGACCUGCAGAUGGAGGCCAUCAUGAACGAGCGGACCGAGAUCAUCACAGACAUCAACGUCUACGCCAAGGUUGAGUACUACAGGUGGCUUCAUCCGACGCUCAUCCACUGCCUGCAAUCGAUGCUCGAGCGCAGGGCUGAGGCUGCGAACACCGCAGAGAAGGAGCUCGAGCAGGAGCUCCUUUUGGCUGAUGAAUCCAAGGCUGAAGAGGAGAGGCGGCGCAAGGAGGAAAAGGCAAAGGCCAAGAAAGCGCGCGAGAAGGAAGAGAAGCGACUGCGCCGCGAGAAGGAAGCCGCCGAGGCUGCUGAGGUCCAGGCUAAGGCUCGCGCUGAGCAAGAUGCCGCCGACGCCAGGCUCAAGGCUGAGCUCGAGGCUGUCGCCAAGGCUAGAGCGGCGGCCAAGGCAGAGGCUGAUGCGGCGGAGGAACUCGAGCUUCAGGAGCGCCGCCGCGUCCUCGAGGCCGAGGAAGCCGCCGAGCAUGAGCGAAUGAUCCGCGAGAUGCACGAACUGGAGACGGCGCGGGCUGCCUCCAUGAUCACCGCCGAUCGGGACGCGCGCGAGGCUGCGGCUGCCGAACAGAUGGAGAUUGAGCGCGCCGUGCGGGAAGCCGAGGAGGCAGAGGCCGCGGCUGUGGAGGCUGAGGCUCGCGCCAAGGAGCAGGAGAGGCGUAAACGCGAGGAUAUCAUGGCGGCUGCGAACGCAAAGCUCGCGGCUGCGAAAGCGGCGGAGGCUGCGUCCAUCGCGGCGGCGGCGGCGGCGGCGGAGGCUGCCAGGAUUGCCGCGGAGGCGGCGCGGGAGGCGGCGGAGGCGCAAGCGCUCGCGAACGGCGAGGAGCGACCGCGGCAGCCGCGUCUCAGCGCGAGGGCCUCGGACUUUACCCCGUCCAACAGGGCUCACAACGCGCCGGCGUCGUCCGAGUCGUCGACGGAUUCCCCGGGCGACGGGCUGUUCGAUUCCGCGGGUUCUCACGGCUACGGGGGCAGCCGCGGGGGCCGAGGCGGAAGGGGCGGCCGCGGCCGGGGCGGGAGGGGCGGCCGCGGCUAUAACGUCGGGCUCAAGCACGGGAGCAGCACCAGCCUCGCGUCCGAGGGAAGCGACGAGUACUCGUCCGCGUCGCCGCACGCGCCGCCGAUGCCGCCGGGGAUGCCGCCCAUGAUCGUCGGACCCAACGGCGUUCCGGUGCCCUUCUACCCCGCGCCGCAUCACCCCAACGGCAUCCCACCCCCGGGGAUACCCCCGGGUUUCCAGGUGCCCCACGGCUACCCCCCCGGGAUGGUCCCACCUCCGCCGGGGUACCCACCGUACGUUCACGGUCACGGUUCCCACGGGAUGCACCCGCCCCCGCCGCCUGUCGUGGGCCACCCGCCGCCGCCGCCGCCGCCGCCGCCGCCGCCGCCGCUGCCCCCCGGUCCGCCCCCCGCCGCUCGCGCCGUGGAUGAGAGCGGCGCGCCCGCCCCUCCCCCCGCGGCGGCGCUCCCGCCCGUGAUGAAGUUCGGCGAGCACUCGCUACCGAUGGAUCCCGGCGCCUACGCGCAGUAUCAGGCGCACUAUCAGGCGCACAUGGCGACCCAGGCGCAGAUGCAAAACGGCAAGCUCAACAACGCGUACGUUCAGCCGAGCGACGUCGGCAAAGUCUCCGCGAUCGAGGCCGACGCGCGAGCCGCGUCGGAAGCCGCCAAGGUGGCCGCCAACCGCGCCACUCGCGCCGCGGAGGAGGCUGCGCACGCCGCGGAGGAGGCUGCCGCGAUCGAGCACCGCCUCGCGGAGGAGGAUUACCCCGCGUUGGCUCUUCCGGCCCCAAGCGGCGGGUCGGACGGAUCAUCCGCCGGGUCCACUGGCCCGCCCGUGGACGACAACGGGUUCGCGGUCGACGAAAUGCAGGCGGCGCUCGAGGCGUCCGUGAGGGAGACCAGGAAGGAGCGCCCGAAGCGGGGGUACGCGCGCGCGUUGUCGGGGGAGGCGCUCGACGGCUUGGCUCCCGACUCGCCGCAGCGAGCGGAGGGACCCGGCGCCGGCUUGCGCAACCUGGAGGGCGAGUACAACUGCUUCUUGAACGUCGUGAUCCAGUCGCUCUGGCACCUGCCGCCGUUCUCCAGGGCGGUCCAGGACAGCGCAAAGGGCGGCGGCGCGUGGCGAGGGAACGGGCGCGGCGACGAGGAUCCGGACGCGGAGGUCGCCGCCGCGCUCAGGGACGUGUUCCGAGCGAUGGACCAAUCAAACGGCUCCGUCCGAGCGAUGGACCAAUCGGACGGCUCCGUCGCCGACUCCGGCGACUCGAACGGCGCGCCGCACGCGGACAUCGGCGCCGUCCAGAACGCCGUGGCGCCCACCGCCCUGCGAAAGGCGCUCGCCGUGCUCACCCAGGGCCGGGGUUCCCUCUUUGGCGAGAACGAGAUGGCCGACGCGAGCGAGGCGCUUCAGGCGAUUUUCCACUCGGUGCAUCGCGCGCUUCGACCCGCGCCCGGGACGAAGCACGCGCGCCCCCUCAGCGCCGCGGCGUCUUCCAGGUCCGGGGGCAUGUUCCUGGACCAGGAGUCCGGGUACUGCUCGGUGGUUCACAGGUGCUUCGGGGUUGACGUGGAGGAGAGCAUGACGUGCUCGCGGUGCGCGGUGCGGUCCAGGACGCUUCGAUACACCAAGUUUUUGCACCUGGUGCCGGCGGCGGCGCUCAAUCUCGCGAUGGCGUACGCCGACGGGGUGGAUUCGAUGGAGAGCGCCAUGCGGCACAUCGACGGCUCCGACGCGAAGCCCUGCGACGUGGACGCGGGCGGUUGCGGCGCCAUGAACGGCAUCGAGCACGCGCUCGCGGCUGACGGCGUUCAGAGAAAGUCGCCGGCGAUUUUCUGCGUGGCGCUCGCGUGGGAGUCGGCGUCGGCCACGUCCGAUCAGGUGGCCGAGACUUUGGCGAACGUUCAGACGACUCUGAACCUGGCGGAAGUGUACGAGCGCGCGCCGCGAGACGCGGGGACGUACCACCUGCGCUGCGCGAUGUGCUACUACGGCGAGCACUACGCGGCGUUUGCGGUGACGGAUGCCGGUCGAUUCGACGGUCACGAGCGAUGGAUGCUGUUCGAUGAUCACCGGUCGAAGGAAGUUGGCGAGUGGGAAGAGGUGGCGAGGGUGUGCGCGGCGGGGCGCAUGCAGCCGUGCGUGCUGUUUUACCAGAGAGAGAACGCGACGGUGGAGGUUUGAUUCUUUUGACGAUCACGAAAAUUUUAUACGACGAAUUUACUAACAGCUAUGCGCUAUGAUCAGAACAACGUCCCGGGCUGCCUGCGCGAGGGAAAGGAUCUCAUCAGUCUCUCGCUCACGUGUAUUUUGAUUGUCUGUGAAAGGGCGGACGCGGGACCCCGUCAGCACCGAGGGAAGAGAAAAGCCAAAAACCCGACGAUCGAAACAGGCGGACGCGACGAGAAAUAACGAAAACGAAUAGAUUCGGGCGCACUUUGAGCUCGUCACUCGUGUUCGUUCCUCGUGGCAUACACCAGGCUCUCCUGUACGGCCAUGGGCAGUUCCGCUAUGUCCACCCGCUCGUCCUUCUGGAAUAUCUGCAGAUCCGGCAAAUCAAACAUCAGAGUCGGCUCCUCCGAAAGCGCGUACUUGCACCCCUCCGUGGUUUCCUUCGGAUACACCCGCUUGAUGCACUCACACGUCCGCUCGAAACGUUCGGGUAUGGGCUCCGUCUCGUAUAACAGCUUGGGCGCCUCUGUGAUCAUCUGCGGCACCUUCUCCAGCGGGAAUAUGUCCAGAAGUUCUAUCAGUCUGGGCACGGCGUCGGCGAUUUUCACAGUCAGAACCCGGGGGUCGUUGAACACCAUCUCCGAGACAUCGACGUCCGGCAGCGUGCGCACGAGCCUGUCGAAUUUCACCGCCAGCAGCUCGACGUCGCCGUAGAUGGAGUCGAUCUCGAUCAACGUGGCGGAGACUUUCUCCGCCUGGUACGGCCUCAUGCCCUUACCCUGGAAGAACAGCUGCACUCGGGCCAUGUCCACCGCGAGCGAUGCCUGGGCUCCCUCGGGGACCUUCAGGAACUGCGCGGCGAGCUCGGCCCGGGCCUGUUCCCCCGCUAUCCGUGUCGCCUCCUCGAGGAUCUCGCGGCACUCCUGAAUCGCCGCCUUGAGCUCCUCGCCGCUUACGGGUCGAUACGAAGAGUCCUCAGGUGAACCAUCCACGUCAUCCCCGCCACUGCCGGAUGGGCCCCCAUCCGCUGACGACGCCCUCGCCGUGGUCAACCGGCUGGGUGGCGAUCGUCGCGCGGAUACGGGGUUUGCCCGUGCCCUCGCAAUACAUAUCACAGCGCCCGCCCGCGCCGCCCACGUCGCCGCCAUCACGAGUGGCGCCCUUGCAGCCACGCGCAGCCUUAUCGCCGUGCACACCUGGCACGGCGGGAAAAUCAGCAAUCAGCCGGAAAAAUCUUGGAGGGUGUUGACGAUAUCAAGGCCGAUCGUUCGACAACGUGUUGAACCACAUCGUCCUUCACGCCCGAACCCAGAACCACCCACCGACCAUGGGCUGCCUUUCCUCAAAACCCGAGGUCGUCGCGGAGAAGCCGGUCGCGGAGAAGCCUCGGGAGAAAUCGCGCGAGGAAAUCCUCGCGUCGCUCUCCCCGGAGGACAGAGAGGCUGAGCUCGAGAUCGAGAACGUCUUCGCCCUCUUCAGCAAGAUCGACAUCGACAAGAGCGGUGGCGUUGACAAGCAGGAGCUCGCCGACGCGCUGGAGCAGAAGCCGAGGCUUCGCAAGCGCCUCUGCGAAAACACCGGCAUCGCGUACGACGAAGACAACGGCGCCCUCGCAUCCAACCAACUCGCCUCCAAGACUAUCGACACAAUCGACGACGACGCCGACGGAGUCGUCAAGCCCAUCGAGCUGGAGCGAGCCAUUCGCGGCUGGGCCAAGAUCGACUACGAUCCCGUGGCGGACCAGGCCGAACGCGACAGGCAAAACCAACUCAAGGGCGCCGCGGAGCGCGCCAAGAUUCGCAGCGAGAUGCACGGCGGGUUCGCGGGAGUCACCGACGCGAAUGAAGCCAUGGCCAUCGGCGUCAACGCUCAGCGGCUGACGCAGAAGAGCCGCGACGCCGCGUUCGGGGACUCGGCCCCGGAGGUUUUCGGCAACGGCGCCGAGUACGUCAAGUCGCCGGAGCUCAAGGCGCGGCGCGCGUCGAUGGAGAAGCACUUCGAGGAGGAGGCGCGGGCGCAGAAGCUGCUGAACAAGGUUGGCGAGGACUUCAAGGGCCACGACGAGGCCACCGCGAGGGCGCAGGCGGAGAGCGUGGUGCUGGGCGGCGUUGAGGUGGCGAUCGACGGCGAGGAUGAACGGCGGAAGAAGAAGAUGCCGGCCAAGCUGGUAAAGCGGAUGAAGGAGGAGAGCGCCAAGCGCGGUGGUGAACCCAAGUUCGUCCCUCCCUCCGCGCAGUGAGACCAGACGCGUCAACAGAGAGUUGACAAUGCCCCUGGCAGACCUGGUUUUUGAGUUCGUAACAAUGAAAUGAAAUCCGGACGCGCUUUUCUCAACGAGGCAGAUACCAGACCGUAUCCGAGGCGUGAUCUAGCUCUAGGUCGUCAACCGACGGAGGUCACAGUCAAGCGGCCGCGCGGUCCGUCCGUGUCCCCGCCGGGUUCGCGACCAGCCCGUCGCUCGCGACUUCCCGACUCGUCGCGCCCACAGCGUGCCUCUCCCGUCAGGGCGGGAACCUGCCCCCGUCGCAGAGGGCGGCUCUCGGGGCGAAUUUUCGCACGUGUGGACGGAACCCGCGCCGAAAUGUUGUCGUCGUCCAGCGCGGCGCUCCGGCGCAACAACUCGUUCUUCGAGUCCACCCCCAAGGUGCAGUACCCGACGCAGGCGUCAGACUACCGCCUGAUGGAGGAGAUCGGCCGCGGCGUGAGCGCCAAGGUUUACCGCGCGGAGUGCGUUCCCCUGAACAACGAGCAGGUGGCGGUCAAGAAGCUGGACCUCGAGGAUCAGGAUCCGGGGCACCUCGAGGAGAUCCGCCGGGAGGUUGCGUCCAUGAGCAUGCUCUCGCACCCCAACCUCGUCAUGGCGCACUGCUCCUUCGUCGAGGGCCAGUACCUGUGGAUCGUCAUGCCCUUCUGCGGAGGAGGGAGCGCGCUGAACAUCAUGAAGUGGUCGCACCCCAAGGGCCUGGACGAGACCUCCAUCGCCACGAUCCUCAAAGAGGUGCUCAAGGCGCUCGACUACUUCCACCGCAACGGCAACAUUCACCGCGACGUCAAGGCGGGUAACAUACUCAUCGACGACAACGGCUCGGUCAAGAUCGGCGACUUCGGCGUCUCGGCCGCGUCCUGGGGCUCCGGCGCCAAGCCCCACGCCACCUUCGUGGGCACCCCGUGUUGGAUGGCGCCAGAGGUGAUGGAGCAGGUGAACGGGUACGACUGGCACGCGGACAUCUGGUCGCUGGGCAUCACGGUGCUCGAGCUGUGCCACGGCCACGCGCCGUUCGCCAAGUAUCCCCCGAUGAAGGUCCUGCUGAUGACGCUGCAGAACCCGCCGCCGCAGCUCGAGGCGGAGCAGGCGGAGAGCGGCCACCACUUCUCGAGGGCGCUCAGAGAUUUCGUCUCGAUAUGUCUGCAGAAGGACCCGUCCAAGCGACCGAGCGCCGCCAAGCUCCUCGAGCACAAGUUCCUGAAGGAGGCCAAGAAGCCCGACUUCCUCGUCAAGCACCUGCUCGACGGCAUACCCACCCUCGGGGACAGGACCGCGAAGCUCAACGAACGCGAGAAGGCGAGGCAGGCGCAGCGAGCCGCCGCCGUCGCCGCGGGGGGGCUCUCGUCCGCGCCGUCCACCGAGGCUGCCGAGGAGAAGCGAUCGAACGCCGAGUACCUCAAGGGGGUCUCCCGCUGGGACUUCGACAUGGACGCCAUCCGCGCCGAGGCUGCGGCGAUGACCCUGGACGACGAUAAGCUCCCAACCGUGGUGGAGGGCGAGACUCUGCCGACGUCUGGAAACAAUUCAGGGUUCAACUCCCCGCGGGGGGGUUCGUCAACACAGUCCCAGUCGCAGCAUCCGUCGGAGGAGAAGCGCGUGGAGCAAAAAGGUCGGUUCACCGUCAUCGACGACGACGCGAACAAGAGCGGCAUGAACUCCGCGGGCGGCAGCGCCGAUAACCUGUCGCGAGCCACGUCGGUGCAGAAGGGGCGGUUCACCGUCAUGGAGGAGGACGGCGACGGGCAAGCCGGCGCGGCGUCCAAGACGAACUCGUCCUCCAAGGCGUUACAGGGCUCGUCCGUGAUCAUCGGGAGCAGCGAGCCGGAGUCCGGGACGGUGGCGGCCGCCGCGAAAGCCGCGAUUGAGCGCGAGAUGGACCCGCCCAAGCUCAAGCCUCGCAGGUUAUACGACGCGGCGGAGAGCGCGGGGGAGAUUGCGAAGAUGCUGCGGGAGAUGCACGACGAGAUGGAGGAGCAGCAGGAGAAGAUCACCGUCUUGGUGGACGAUAACAGGUGGCUCAGGAAGCGCGUGCUGGAGCUGGAGGCCAUGCUCGGUCAAUAGCGCUACGUUUCUACGAGUAGUCUACGAAGGUACUCAUUGUUUUCUACGCGGAUUCUUAUUACACCUACAGAGCUCAUCAGUCCUCGAACGAGGGUAUCAUCUCGUACGUGAACCCCGGUAUCCCCCGCCACACCGCCGCGAGUAUCGUCGUGACGUAUAAACCCGGCGCAAGGGUAAUGCACCCGAGGACGAGCAGCGCCAGGCUCGUCCCCCUCUCCUCGUCGUCCGGGAUGGGCAUGAAGCCAAAGUACCACAGCAGGUAGCAUCCGAGCAGGACACACCCGACGAAGGUCAGCCCAACGCCGAGCGCGACCGUCUUCUUGCCGGGUUUCCUCAGCUUCGGAUCCAUGUGCGCGGGCAUGGUGAACCGCGGGUCAUCCCCCGAGGGCUCAUCCAGCGUGUCCAGCCUGGCGAACGUCCUCCGCUGCACCCCUGCGCCCAUCGAGACUGCUCCGAGAAGUUUUCGUCUUCGUCACCCGAACGCAACGUUCCGGUCGGGGCGAAAAGGCGCGGCACGUUCGGAUUUCGUCAUAUCCGAUCGCCGCGCAGUCGAGAGCCAUGGGUCUCGGCAUCGGUCCCAACAAGGACCGCGUCCAGGCGGCGAUCAAAGAGCUUCAACAGAAGAAGGCUGCCGAGGCUGCGGCGGCGGGGAACGGCGAGGGCAAGGAGAACGAGGCGCCCGCCACCCCCGCGCCUCAAUCAGGGGGCGGUGGAUCUCCCGCGAAAGCAUCGUCCAAGCGCGAUCGCGACCCCAAUGAGAAGGCCGCCGCUCUGGCGGCCACCAAGCUGGUCAAGAAGAAGCAGCGCAAGCGCUUCAUCCCCAAGGAUCCAUGCCUGUUCUUCCUCUACUACUUCGGAUUGGUCAUCGUCGCCGCGUGCGUCGUGAGGGUCAUCAACGGCCCGUUCCAGUUCGAGCAGAAGAUCCUGGCCGAGCGCGACAGGAUCCGCGAGAUCCAGGAUGCGAACGAAGAGGCGCUGCGGGUGAUGAAAGAGAGCAUCCCGCUCGUAUUCGCCGCGGGCGACGGUAACACCACCGAGGUAGAGCGACUUCUGGCGCUGGGACAGGACGUCAUGGAACGAUCUCCCGCGGGAGAGACCCCGCUGCACACCGCCGCCAUCUCGGGCGAGCCCGUCAUUGUCAAGAUGCUCCUCGACGCCGGCGCGGAUCCCGACGCGCGGACCAUGGGAAGGGAGUACCUCAAGAUGACCCCGGCGCACUGGAUGGUGUUCGGGAACAAACGGGAAGCGCUGAAGAUCCUCAUCGACGCCGGCGCGGACGUCAACGCGAUGAACACCAAGGGCAAAACGCCCACGGACAUGGCGUGGGACCUUCCCAAGGACACGAGGGAGGGAAUCCUGACGCUGCUGCUGGAGAACGGCGGAAAGAAGGGCGAGGACCUGAACGAGGAUCCCCCCGAGGAUGAUCCCGAUCCCUCCGAGGAUGAUCCUGAUCCGGCCGAGGCGACGACGGCCACCGACGCGGAGGAAGUCGAGCCCGCGGAGGAAGUCGAGCCCGCGUCGCCCGCGGAUGCGGAGUCCGCCGCCGAGUUGUGAGCGCGUUUGCCCUGGACCCAAUUUUAACGUCUGUAUGUAUGUCUGCACUCCCAUCUAUCCUACACGCACGCACUACGCUAUCCCCUCGGCUCACGCGGCGCCGAACGCUCGCACGGCACGAUCCCGACAUCCGCGCACCUCGCCGUGUCCUUGAACCGCUCCAACGCCCAGAGGAAAGACGUGAGCGGCGCGUCGCACUCGGGCGUGACACUCGCGUGCGUCAACCGAAGCGAGCUCACCUCCCCGAUGUGCGCGAAAGAGUUCUUCAGGCUGACAAAGUGCUGCCUCGCCAGGGGCGCCCUCGCCGCGGACUUGGACACCGUUCGCAGCGUCGGAUCCUUCGAGUCGGGGAUGAGGCGCUCGCCCCUGGCUCGAGCUCCGUGCGCUCGCACCCCGCCCUCCCAGUUCCCCGCCACCCACUCGAUGAGCAAAAUAUCCGGGGGCUUGCGCUGGUAGUGCAUCUCGAGAAAGUUGGCCAGCGCGUUGGAGUCCGCGCGGUGCAUGACGAUCCCGAUGAACCCUAUGGAGGUGCGAAGCAUCGUCCACAUGGGGUCCACGGCGGCGGCAGCGGCCAUCCGCCGCCCUAUUCCCGCCAGGUGUCCCUCGCACAUCGUCGCGUCGUCCUCGGUCAGCAACAAGUAGUCGGCGCCGCCGCCGCCGCCCACCCCGCCCACAUCCCGCAGCACCGAGACCAGGUCCAGGGUCUGCUGCCGGACCCGCGGGCCGGGAACGUCGUCCGGGUUGUUCCUGUCGUCCACCGCAACCUGGGCGCCGGGAUCCGUCCUGCGCCGGUCCGCAUCCACCGCAGCCUCGAGGGCGACCCUCGCGGCCAUGUCCCGGGGCCCCGCGGGUCGGUCGCGAAUCUUGCGAAACGCGGCGUGCUCCUGCGCGCUCGAGUGACUCACCACCCGCACCGUCACCCUGUCGAAGCCGUGCUCCCCUCGCCGCGCCUCCGCGAGCGCCGAGUCGACGGUCCUGGUGAGGUAGUCAACCCCCGGCCUCGCCACCGUCGGCACCAGGAUGAGGAGGUGGCCGCCGAUCCUGCCGCCGGCGGCCAGGGGCGGCGCCUUCCUCCUCGCGAGACCCUCCGCGGCGUCGCGCUCGCGCUCGCGCCGAAGCUCCUCGGCCCUCGCCGCGCUACCCCCCCUCGCGACCCGAUGCGACGCCCCCCCGUUAUAUGACCGCUCUCUCGCCUCCUUCUGCUCCUCGAGCUCCGCCGUCUUUCUCGCAGCCUCGCGCGCGCGCGAGUCCCCGCCGGGCCGCAUGUCCGCGCCCUCGCAGCACGCGUCCGCCUCGGGCUCGCCCGCCCACCUCCCCUUGAGCCAGCACACGCCGGCGUCCUUCACGAGAACCCAACCGCGGCAGUCGGGGUCGGCGAGGCACGCGCGGCAGCAAUCUUCGCGCGACGCCGGAGCCGGAACGGGCGGCCCGCGCCGUAGGUCCCCGCCUCGGAUCUCCACGCCGUCCCAGAUCCUGACGGGACCUCUCUCCGGGGCGGCGCCGUCGCCGCACACGUCCCCGGUGUCGCCCGGGGGUCGGACUCCCGUGUUACUGUCUCGGCGAGCAAAGCCGGGUGACGGCUUUUUUCCCGACGAUUCGUGCGACGACGAACGCGACGACGAGGACGAGCGUCCAUCGCCGGCGGUCCCUCGUUCCCGAUUUAGACGGUCGUCCGCUCCCCUCUCGCGUCCGAGCGCGCCGUCGUGACCUUCGCGCUGCGCCAGUUUCCUCUGCCGCUCCGUCCAACCCUGGGCCGGGUCGCGAUGCAUCUCGGCGACGAAGCCCGUCGCCUGGCGCAGGUCGUGCCGGGUCAGCCUGGAGCUCGGCAGCCUGCCCACGCCCCCGAGCAGCGGAACGCACGCGACGAUGCAUAUCAGCGCGAGCACCUCCAGCUCGCGACCGAACCCGAUGAACCCGCCCGCGCCGUCGUGCCCGCGUCGAUGACGGGAGGAGCGAGCCGGACCUCCGGAGUGGGCGCCGUGCCGCUCCCAAGCGCGGUUCGAGCGGGGCGAGGGCGGCGCGGGCGGCGUGUGGGGGCCGACGUCGCCCGGAUACUGCUUUCCGGCGAUCUCGUACGCCCGCCGCACGCUCGCGGGCACGUCGCGAGCCCUCAUCGCGCACCGUGCCGUUCGCCUCGGACGGGCGCUUUCGAAAUCUGCUGGCCAGCUGGAGUGCGCGGCCGUCUUGAGACGGUGAACACCGAAAUGUAGGUUGUUGUUGUUGACUUUUUUACCUGUACAAAUACACGCUGCCACUAUUUCAGCCGGUGACGCAGCAUCCCGCGCCCUUCUCCGUCUCGCUCGAGGUCUGGUUACCCCAGUAGAUGACGCGCGCACCCAUGCAGCAGCACCAGAACUGUCCGCACCCGCCGACGCACCCCUUCAUCGGGCCGAGGCAUCCAUCGUCCUCGUUCACGUCGAGCCGCAAGUCGUCCUUGGUGGUUCGGUCGCAGAUGUCCACCAUGUUGAACGUCCUCGCAAAGUCCUUAUACUCCAUCCAGAAGGUCCCGUCGUCCGUCUCCUUGUAGCCAACCUCCGAGGCGAUGCCCGGGUGCUUCUUCCACUCGUCGCUGCCGUCGGACCACGCGCCUUUCCACUCGAACGUGCCCCACGGGUUACGAAGUUGGAGCAGCUUGACGCCGCCCAUGCCGAGCGUGGUGCCCGCCCUGCGAACCUGCAGGAUGGAAUACGCGUGGCCGGAGACGAUCCCGUUGUCGCCUUGGCCCUCUCGCUCGCCGGUGACGUUCGCGGCGCCCAUGAGCGAGUGUUUGUACGAGUAUUUGAGCAGGACGCGGAAGAAUCGGUCCUCCUCCAAGACGUCGGCGUCGCCCUCGUUGGCAAAGCCGAUGCGCCUCCGGCCCUUGGGUCCGUCGUCGUCGCCGACAAAGUACAUGUCUCGGCGCUCCCACUUGGUCCCCUUCCGCAUCAACUGGAAAACGUAGUCGCCGGUCAUCGCGUGCCACGCCCAGAGCGAGAGCCCGCCGUCCAGCUGAUUGUAUCCGCCGCAGAACUUGGCGAACGCCUUCUCGAGUAUCGCGGCCCAGAGCUCGUUGCUGUUCGGGUUCAUGUAUUUGGCCUCUUUGGUUCCCUUACGAACCGGGAUCCUGUCGUCAACCGUGACGAUGCACCACUUACCGGCGCGCCCGUCCCAGAGUCGAACCCUGUACUUGCCCCUAUCGCUGUACUCCCAGUUGAGGAAGCAGUUACGGAUCGCGCCGGGAUGCUCCGCGAGCGAAGCCAUGGCUGCGACGAGCCAACAGUCGCCGACGGCGCCCUGGCACAGGUCCGCCGGUUCGAUCUUUCCCUCGAAGAGGUGCAUGCGCUGACCCUCCUUGACCACGGAGAGCUCAUUGGCGCGGAUGAACUCGACGUUCCUCGCCACCUCAGCGUCACCGAUGGCCCCGACACCGUCGAACCCGGUGUCCUUGUAGUAGUAGCAGCCGCAGCACUUGCACAGGAAGCAGCAAAAAGUACCGAUGAAGCCCCAGGACGCGCGGCCGACGUAGACGCCGAUGCACGGGAGGAGGUAGAUGGUGACGGACUUGUAGAUGAGCACGAACGGAAACAGCAGAAAGUUCCUGAAUCGAACGAGGCCGGACGGUGGAGGUCGGGGUCAGUCUCGGUCAAACCGUCCCGGUUGUCGUCUAUUUGGCACGGUUUCAAAAGAACGGGGCGCAUCCAUCUCAUCGUGUCACGCACCAGAAGCAGUGCGCGCGGCCGGUGCAAAUCCCAUUCAGCUCGAACAGAUUCGGGUUACGGGCCUUGUUCAGGUACGCCGUAGCUUUUUUCAUCACCAUGGUGUCCGGCGGCGGUUGUAUCAGGGCGGGUCCGGGCGGUUGUUAUGCGGAUCGGCCUGUUCGCCACCACCGGGAACUUUCCAAAUCGAAUUUCCCGCCUGGUUUGGUUUGGCAAUGGCGCAAUCGAUGGAAUCCGGCUCCUCGCACAGCUGGACAGUCAGAAAGAUGUCCAAAAUCCGUGGCUCAGAGAUAUCCAGCGUGGCAGCGAACGAAAGGGACAUUCAGACGAAGAAAUCUGCGAACCCCGCGAACGAGUCGGGUUUGCGAUCGCGACGAGGGCACACUCUUUCCGUCUCGGGUUGACCGCCUCGCCGACCCAAAGCGGAGGCGAGAUCGACGUUAACAUGGUCGUAGACAAGGUUCCCGCGAAAGCUGCGAUGAAGGCAGCGGCUCCCGGCAAGCGCAAGGCGCCCGAGGAGUCCACCGUCUGGGAUCCCUCCAGCAAAUCUCCCAAGCCCGAUUCCAACGGGGGCUCCGCAGACCAUCAACAGAUUUCCGGCGCCAACGCGCUGGCCGUCGUCGAUCCAAGCGCGAUCGGCGGAGCUAUGGUGCCCGACGGGAAGCUCAAAGGGAAGGUGGCGAGGGGCGGAAGCAAGUACAAGGGCGUCUACCGCGAUAAGAACGUCUCCGGCAAGUACAAGUGCAGCAUCCGACGCAAGGAGCGCGAGGUGCACCUGGGCUACUACGGCAGCGAGGAGGAGGCCGCGAGGGCGUACGACAAGGCGCACUGGUGCUGCAAGUCCUCGACUAAGAACUUCGACAUCUCCACCUACGACGCGGAGGAGAUGGCGAAGAUCAAGGAGAUGCCCUCGAACGACCUCACGGAGCUGCGCAAGCACCUCGGCGUGGGGUUGAGCAAGGAGGGCAAGGAGGGCAGCAGCAAGUACCGCGGGGUGUGCAAGGAGAAGAAGACGCAAAAGUUUCGGGCCGAGAUUCAGAUCGCGGGGAAGAAGGAGAGCCUGGGAUACCACGCCAACGAGAUGGACGCCGUCCGCGCUUACGAUCGCGCGCUCAUCGUGAUGAAGGGGGACAAGGCCAAGACCAACCUGCCCAUCGAGCAGUACGACGCCGAGCGCGCCAAGCUCGCCGCCUACGACUUCAACGAGUUCCAGGCGAAGGAGAUUGAAACCAAGUCUCACAGAAACGCCAACUGGACGUCAAACUUUCGAGGGGUGCGACGGUACACGCACAAGCAAAAGAACGAUCAGCUGAACGUCAAGUGGCGCGCGGAGAUCACCGUGAACGGCAAAAAGAAGAGCCUCGGGUACCACGACACCCAGGAGGAGGCUGCGAGGGCGUACGACAAGGCUGUGGUGUCGCAGCCGGGUUUCAAGCGGCACUGGCUGAACUUCCCGGAGGGUGCCCUUCCGGCGCCCGCGCCCGCGGCGGCGCUGCCCGCGCCCGGUGAUGCACCGGGCGGUGCGGGAGGCGGUGCGAGAGGCGCGGCGGGUGGAGCUGGCGGGGUCAAGGCGAGGGGGGGUCUCAAGGCGAAGAAGGCUGCCGCGGCGGCGGCGGCGGGUGUGAAAGAGGAGGCCGGCCGGCCGGAAGGGGGCUUCCUGGCGUCGCUGGCCGAGUGAUCCGGCCGAGACCUGUCGGGGUACGAGGACCCGAACCCCGGGCGAACGGGCGCAUUCAUCCGACGCGUAACACGGGACGGUAAGACACGCACGACAUGACUUAGCACGCGAACCAACCACCUUUUUACCUUCGUACCUUAGAAUUUAAUGUGAAGUUGUUUGUUGCUGACACCCGUCGCCUACGCGUACUGCGGUCGACCGAGCCAGAUUGGAAGCGACGACCGGCACAGCGGGCAGCUGUCAUCCUUGCGAAGCCACGUCGCGACGCAAUCCCUGUGGAACACGUGCGUCCGCGCGCACGGCAUCUUGAUCACCCGGCUUCCCACGUCGAACUCGUCCCUGCAUAUGGGGCACUCGGGCUCGCCGAGCGACGCCACGUCGUCGCCGGUCCUGAGCGUCACGACGCGCUCCGCCAGCGCCGCCAGGGCGUCGCUCCCCGCGGACCCCAUCGUUCGUCUCGCGCCGAAAGCCGCGCCGUCGACCGCCGCGUCCGAACCGAACGACGACGCGUCGAAACCCGAGAGGACUUCCAUCAGCGCGUCGACGUCCACAGCCGUAUUCGACGAAGGGUGCGCCGACGACAGCCAGGCAGUCAGCGCGUCUCUCCUCCUCUCCGCAGUCUCCGUUGGGUCGCGGAACAUCUCGAAGAGCUCCGCGGGAAUGGCCCCGCCCGUCCCGGGUCCCGCCGUGCGCCUCUGCCUGUCGAACUCGCUCUCCACCUCACCGGAGAACUGCCCCUCGAACGCCUUCGGUGCGUUUCGUUCUUCGUUCGCCUCUGAUGAGCCGAUGACGUUCUUGGCGUUCUCGUCGUCAUCGGCGUCCACGGUCAGCGCGGCAGCCUCGAGACACUCGGAGAUCUUACCCGCAUCAUCGUGGCCCUCAAACACCACCGCCGCUGCCUCAAAGAGGCGCAGGCCGUGCCGCCAGCCGGACGAAUCGGGAGCAUGCCUACUUCUCAGGACCGUCGCAGAUCUCAGAAUGGCCGCGAGCAGAUCUGAUCGAAGGCUCCCGACAACCUCGGCGCGCUCCGUCCAACCCCUGAGGCGAUCGCACGCCUCUCCGAACUUGGCCUUCUUGGUAAGAUCUUUCACCGUCUCCCUCAGCGUUUCGGCGCUGAUCGGCGGAUGCUCCUCCAUGGCCCCGCGCGCCUCAGUCUGCGGCCGCUCAGGGGUGCCUACCAGUGUUGGGUUGUUGUCCUGACACCCGCGCGAAAUCGAGUCGUUCGACUUGCCUUCGUCGCGGGGUCAUUGCCGAGAGCGCGGUGCUCUCGGAGCGCACGAUUCGUCGCCCCGCACCCUCCCCGGUUCGCCCUUGGCGCGCGCCCUGGAGUAAGGCGCCGCCGCGGGACGAGAUGGACGCCAAGUACGGCGAUAAGGCGGUCCGCGCCGUCGUGCCGGGCCUGGGGCUCUCGCUGCGUUUGCCGCGAAGGCGGGGAUCGGGCGCGGGCACCGCGAUUCGCAGGACGAUAUGCGCGCUUCUGGCGUUCGCGCUUCUGGUGUUUCUGCCUUUACGGAGCAUCUCGGGUCGAUCCUCGAGCGCUCUGCCCCGCGCGGACUGCGGGCCGGUCGCGACGGAGUCCGGGGGCGACGAGCCCGCGCCCGCGAACCUCCGCUCGCUCGUGGGCGAAGAUGGCCACCUGGACGACCGCCGGUUCACCGUGCUCCUCAACACGUUCAAGCGGAGGGACCUGCUGAAGAAGGCGGUGGCGCAUUACGCGACGUGCGCAGACGUCGCGGAGAUUCGGGUGGUGUGGUCCGAGCAGGUCCCGCCCCCGACACGCGGCGAAGAGAACGGCGCGUACUUUGGCCCGAAGCCGUCCAUGGUGACGUACGAUACGCACCCCACCACGUCCAUACAGAACAGGUUCGACCCGCCAUCUGGUUCGAACGCCAUCUCCACGCGGGCGGUGUUCAACGUGGACGACGACGUGAGGAUGCCGUGCGCCGCGCUGACUCGGGGGUUCGACGCGUGGCGCGCCAACGAAGACGUCCUGGUUGGAUACUACCCUCGAACGCACAAGCCGGACGACGCCGGGUGCGGGUGGCGGUACGUUUGGGACGAUUUCAGCCUAUGGAGGCACGGAGACUUCAGCAUCGUGCUGACCAAAGCGGCGUUCAUGCGCACGGGGUACAUGUCGCUGUACAGCGAGGGCCUGCCGCAGUCGGCGAGGAGGUACAUCGACGAGUAUAAGAACUGCGAGGACAUCGCGAUGCAAAUUUUGACGGCGAAGAUCACGGGGAAGCCGCCGGUGUACGUCCCCGUGCCGACGAUGCACUACCUUUGGGCGAAGCUGGAAGGAUUCGGCGUGGCGGGAAUUAGCAAGGGGAGCGGGCACCACGUCCACAGGGGCGAGUGCAUCACGGAUUUGUCGAGGAUGAUCGGGGGAGGGGGACCUUCAUCGACGCCGCUGGUGCGGGCGCCGCUUCAAGCGUGGCGAGGGUGACACCGACGCACGCGCGUUGAGCUCUAUAGCCUGAUUGAUUGAGAUUUUAGCAAAUUCAUACACACGCGUUUACGCGGGGGCCUGGAACCCGAGCGCGGCGAGCCACGCGUCUCCCGAGCCGGCAACUUUGCGGAGCACGGUGACAACCUCCUGCUUGACAAACUGCGCGCCGCACGCCGACAGCGCCGCGGUGAGCGACUCCUCGGUCACCUCCUUACCCGCGAAGGUACCGUAAACCUCCGCCUCCAUACCCUCCAGCUGCGCCCUGAUCCGCAUCAGCACCUGGUCGAAAUCGGACCUCGGGAAACUCGCCGGGUGCUGCUCCAUGAACUGGUACGAGUACUCGUCCGCCUCUGUGAGCACAAAGUUGCGUCUGAACACGCUCACGACGGCGCCGACGUAAAGAUCGUGCGCCUCGUACUUCUCCGCGGAACCGGGCUUCAACACCGUCUGCCUCUCGAGGAACUUACCGCCGGUGAUGUGCGCGGGAAUGUUGCGCUUGCGGUCGGGUGGCUCGUAGAUGGCGAUGGUGUCGUUGGCGAGGUACACGCUCAAGAUGAAGUCGCGCUCCGCGUCGAUAUCCGAGAGUUCGUACUGCUCCCCGGGCGCAAUCUUCGCCUUGUACCGUAAGAUGGUCCUGGCGUAGUCCAUCUGCUUGUGAAAGUCCGGAGCGACGGGCUUGGGAAUGAGCGCGAUGCAGUUCUGAAGCGAGUCUUCGAGCCCGCCGAAUCCGUUGUAGGGGGGCACGGCGUUUUGCGGAAUCGGAAGCGGCUUCUCCUCGACGUCAAUCUCCGGAAAGUCCGCCGCGGACAUCCCCUCGUUCUCGAUGUACCAAGCCUUGGUGAAGUUGUCCGCGUCGUACAGGUAAAAGUCGCGGUUGUAAACCUUGACGUACUGACCGACGACGAAGUCCUUGUGCGUGUACGUGGUCGUGCUCUUCGUGGGGCCGAGGGCGUCAACUUCCAGGGGCUUGUUGGGGAGCGGCUGGCGCCUGAGGAACACGGGGAAGGGAUCGCGGCCGCUGUUGGGCUCCGACACCUCGAGGACCUCCACGGAAUCGUCUGCGAGGUAGUAGUGCACGACGAAAGGCCUCUUCUCGCCGUACAGAGCGCCGCGAUCGUCCCACACGGCGAAGAACCGGAGCACCUUUCGGUCGUUGGCGAGAAACUUCUUGAGCUUAUCGGGGGCGAGCGCGUUGGACGGCUUGCCCGCGGCGGCCUCGAUGUAAGCGGCGAGGACAUCGUCGCGGGGCGCGGGCGGGUAAGGGUUGGCGCUCGUGUCCUUCUUGAGCGUCGCCCUGUAUCCGUCGAUGGGAUCAUCCGGGUACGCGCCGUCCGGGGCCACCUCCAGGCCCAGGGCGCCGGUGAGGUACUCGCGGGUGAACGCGUCGCAGGAGACGACGAAGAAGGUGCGUCCGUACAUGGUGCACGUGCUACCGACGGAUAUGUCCGCGGGGCCGAACACGCCGCCCUCGUUGUCCUUGGGCACCCUGUGGCGCUUGAGGAAGACGCCCUGGGGGAUGCCGCUGUUCGGCUGCCUGGGCUCCUCCACGUGAACCGACUCGUCCUCGAGGUACAUGUAGAUGGUGCACUUGCGCACGCGGUGGUUCUCCACCGCGCUCUCGGUCACGGACUCCUUGAAGUAGCAGUUCCAGCGAAGCACCUGGCGUCGAAAGCGAUCGGUCGAGGUCAGCCGGGGAGACGAGGGGUUUGGGAAAUCGACAGAUUUGGCACGGGAGGGAUCCGUCUCGGGGGUGAGAACGCACCUUGCGGUCGAAGGCGACGAACUUAGGGAGCGUGGACAUCGGCAGCGUGGUCUCCUUGAGCUGCUCGGGGGCCGGGGGAGGCGCGGAGACCUCGGGCUUGAGACCCGUGGACCUCUCGCCGGGCACCGCGUACCCGUUGAUGUACGCGAGGGACUGCGCCCUCCUCUGGACUGGCGCCUGUGGCGGGUGGGGAAAACGGGAGAAGAUGUUAGCCAUCGGCGGUCGGGGAGCGGUCUUGUGGAGUGUUUCGAGCGGCGGCGCGGGGAAACGAGGGCGCGGGGGUCUCGACGAGAGUGACGACGGAUCAAAUCGAACGCGAUCCGGUCGCCCACGACUGCCGAGACCCGCACCGCGCGGCGUCUCCGGCCCCGGACUCGCAUUGGCAAUUUCGGCAUCAAAUCCCGCGUGAUGCCAAAACCGACAACAAUCCGCGAGGAGAAACGCGCGCGUGUGGACCGCGGCGACCUACCCUUGGGUCCACGAAGGUCAUCCCCGGAAGCUUGGGGAUCGCAACAUCGCCGACGUCGAGCACCAUGAUUCGCUCGCGGCCUGUUUCGCCCUAGAGCUGCGCGAUGCCGUAUAUGCGGUCAAGCCCAAUUUUGGUGCACUGUGUGAGCUCUCAGUGGUUGGCGCGUCAAGUCGGCUCCGGUUUCUCUCCCGUCUUCGAGCCGGAGCAGGUUUCCGCCCUGCGGCCACUUUGCGCCCGCCCGACGGUCAGGAGGAUGACCGGGACGCGGAAGGACAUCGUCGUGGUCGACCUCGGUGGAUCGACGAUCAAGGUCGGCUUCGCCGGCGACGCAGAUCCCUCGAGGUGCGCAUCCCCCGCCGCGUCUCUCCCCCCCGAUCGAUGGUCGCAAUCUCGAUGCCCUAACUAACCUCCGCGCGCUCCCCUCCUCACCACCGACAGCGUCGUGCCCAACUGCGUGGCCAAGCCCAAGGGCGAGAAGCGCAGCUACAUUGCGGACGAGAUUAACCAGGUCAAGGACAUCUCCUCGCUCAACCUCAGGCGUCCCGUCGACCGCGGGUACGUCGUAAACUGGGACCUGCAGAGGGACAUCCUCGACCACGUCUUCAAAAAGGUGCUCAAGAUCAACCCGCGGAACUGCCACCUGGUCAUCACCGAGGCGCCGUUCAACCUUCCCGCGCUCGCCGCCGAGCAGGACGAGUGCAUAUUCGAAAAGUUCGGGUUCAAAUCCGCGCUGAUAUGCCCGCCGUCUUUACUCGCGCUGACGUACCAUCUCGCGAAGCGGCCGCGUUCGGAUCCGUGCGUGUCGGCGCGAUGCGGCGUCGUCGUCGACGCCGGCUUCUCGUUCGUGCACGCCACGCCGGUGUUCGACGGCAGGGUUUUGCGCAACGGCAUAAGGCGCGUUAACCUCGGGGGCAAGGCGCUGACCAAUUACCUGAAGGAGAUGGUGUCGUACAGGCAGUGGAACAUGAUGGACGAGUACGUCCUGAUGGACGACGUCAAGGAGAAACUCUGUUACGUCGCCGGCUGCGCGGUGGAUGAGCUGAAGCGGGCCAAGGUGCGGGGCGCGUCGAACGAGGUCAACAGGGAGUACGUGCUUCCCGACGGGGUGCACGUGUUGCGAGGGUACGUCAAGGAGGGACCGGCGAGGGACCCGGACGCGGAGAGCAGCGACGACGACGACGACGACGACGACGGGGGCGGCAAGCGGCGGAGGAAGAAGCAGGGCGGCGGCGAGAAGCGGCGGAAGGGCGCGGCGGGCGCGGGUUUCGUGGAGCAGUGCCUGGGAAUGGGCAACGAACGGUUCAUGGUGCCCGAGGCGCUGUUCCACCCGGCGGACAUCGGCCUCAAUCAGGCUGGCGUCGCGGAGGUUGUCACGCAGGCGGUGCGGUCCGUCGCGACGGAUCUGAGGGCGAUGAUGUACGCAAACGUCAUCGUCGCGGGUGGUUGCGCCGCGUUCCCGGGGUUCAAGGAGCGGUUCGAGGCCGAACUCCGGCCGCUCGUCCCAACCGACGAAGCGCUGACGGUGGAAGUGUCCACGUCGCCGACGCUGGACGCGUGGCGAGGCGGCAGCGUCGUCGGCGCCGGGGAAGAUUUCGAGCGGCUGGCGGUGACGCGCGAGGCGUGGAAGAAGGACGCGUCGGAGUUUAGGCGGCGUUACGAGGAACACGCGGGGGUGGUCAAGGGUCGCAUGUGACGGCACGUGCGUGCGUACGUCACCGGGAAGAGGACGCUCGUGUCGUGAUGCGGACCGACCGCGAUUUCGGGUCUCGUAUUCGACAACGCGUCAAUGAGCGCGAGCUACUUUAGUCCUUAGUCCUUCGACGAGUCAUCUUCGAAAGCGGCGUUUUCCACCGUGCACGUUGAAGCCGGAGACCCCUCGUUGGCCUCCGUUCCCUUCUCCCGGGCGCGCUCGCGCUCCUCCCUCGCCCGUAGCACGACAUCCCACGCCCGCGUGCCGUCGUUCUUACCCCCCGGCACGCACGUGGGCAUCGCCUCGGGGGACACGGAGAGGAGCUCCAUCGCCGACUCGAUUCCAGACGCGUCGGACUCGCCCAGGAUCUGGAUCUUGUCCUUGGUGCUCUUUCGCACCAUCGUCUUGAUCGCGGACCACAUCGCCCUGAACACGUAAGGCGCGUUGACCAGCCACAUGGCGUGCAGCGUGUCCGUGUACUUGUCCUGGCACAGGGAGAUGAGAUCGUAGAGGAAGGUCCGGACGGAGCCGGUGAGGUGCGAGGUGGUGAUCCCCUGCAGGUCGAUGACCCACACGUGCUUGUGCAAGCGGUGGCCCUUGGCGAUCGCGGUGCGGCGCUUGACGUGAUCGAGCGCCUCCAUGAUUUGCACCCUGUGCAUCAUCGCGAGUCCCUUGGCGAAGCCCGGGCCCUCGAGCCCUUUCGCGUCGAUGUCGACUAUCCGCUCGCAGAUGAUGGGGUGGCCGAACUCGUCGCAUCCGUGUAGCGUCACUGGCCAGGAUCGGUGGAACUCCUCGGUGUUCGCGAGGUCACGCUCGAGGAUUGAGUCGACCUCCUGCGCUGCGCGCCACGCCAGGAUCUUCUCAAUCUCCUUACUAGCCUUCUGCGCGCGGUACUCGGGCGGUUUACCCGGGUAAUCCUCCGUCGCAGCGUUGACAGUGCGGGUGAUGAGCACAUCGUCGACGUCCUCAAAACCGGGAUUGAGCACCUUGAGGGCCCGGACCACCGCCUUGGUGUCGUCGUUCAGUCCCAUGCGCUCAGCCUCCAGACGCUCCUCGAUGCGCUUCUCCUGCGCGGCCUUCUCCAUCCAGCCCCAAGAGCUGGACUUUGCGGAGAUGCCGAGGGUCUGGCUCAGGAGGGACGGCAUGGCGUAGUGCUAUCCCCUCCGCCCCUUAAAGGUUCCCAAAAGACCAAGGUCGUCGCUCCCGAGAUCGCAAAGGUCCUGGUUCACCGAAAGAUCCUCGCGGGCAAUCUGGUGCGGUUGCAGCUCUGGGAUCUCACCCCGGGGGGACGAGAUGCGCGCCCGACAGGCGCAGGGCAGUCUGGUUCACCUCGGAUCGGAACAUUCGAUUUGUCGGUCUUCGCGUUGAGCAGCUGAGCAGGCUGGCCCUUUUUCAGAUGUCCGUGAUUCUGUUACAUGUUCCGCUAAGACUUGGGUACAGCAGCACACGCCUCGCUCUCACUUGAAGAUGGAAAAGGGGUUCCUCGCGCCCGGCCCGCCAAAGUCGAACGCGGGCUUCUGCUUGGACUGCGCCACGCCCUCGCACCCAUCCUCCGCGGACAGCCAGAAGUUAUCGCCUCCGUCGAGGUGCAGGUAGAACCUGUGGUGCAGCCCGAAAGCCUCGGGGCCAAACUUGGCGCGGUACCAAUCCGCGCCCGCCUCGGCCGCGUACACGCCCCCGUCCCUCCACCGCCUGCCCCUGUCGCUCAUCCACCCGCUGUACUCCUCGAUCUCCUCCGCGCUCCAUCCCUCGGCGUCGUCGCCGCUCGCGAGGGAAAGGUGGAUGAACAUGGUGGACGUUUGGCCGUGCGGAGCCGCGCUGACCUUGCGAACCUCGCGGCCGUGGAAGACGGUGGCGUCGUCCGCGGAGGCGUCCUUCGCGUAGCCGUCGGGUUUCAUGGACAUGCGCGCGACGGACGCGUCGUACAGCUUGGGCUGCCUCGGGUCGUCCGGACCGGCGGCGGCGACCUCCCCGAGGUGUUCCCUCAGCGCCGGGGAGAGGACGAGGCCAAACAUCAUGCCUCCGCAAAAGUUGAAGGUGACCCCGGGGGUGUCGUGGCAGUCCACGAGGUACUGCGCGAUGUUCCCGCCGUACUUGGCGUCCCUCUGCGCGGGAUCGUAGAGCGCGGGGUACAUCUCCGCCGCCGUCAGGGACGGUGGCGAGCCCGAGGAUGCGACGUUCGACACGAUCGAAGAGCGACGCGCUUUGGUACGCGCUUUGGUCUCGGUGAGGCGAGCGGUGGCGAGGGGUCGGAACGCGAGGGCUCUCGCGGUGAAUGCGUGGGCGAACAUGCGCGGGGCGAGAGGUUCACGCUCGCUCGAAGGGGACGCGCGCGCUCGGUGUUGUGAGCGAGAUAUGGCGUGACGUAGCCAGUUUCGACGAAGAUACGAGAAAUAUUUCAUGAGGCGCAUCCGUCUCCCCUCGGAACCGGUCUGCUGUGGACAAUUUCUUCCUAUUUGGCACAGGGUAUCAGUCAGGAAUUAUAUUCGGAAACACUAAACUGGCAAACAAUUCGAAUAAUCUUAUUCAAACCUCGGAAAAGUCAGUUCCGGGCAGAUCUCAGGGCACUGGGCGGGCAUGGCCGCGUCCAUGGAGGAACAACCGGGUACCCCGACCGCGGCCGUGCCUUCGGGCAAGGCCACUGCGGCGAAAACGAAGAAUCGGACCCCGAUCAAGGCUAAGACCAAGUUCGGCAAGAACGUGUCGAAGUGCGGCAUCGUCUGGGGCGAGCACAACGAGCACCUCCGAUGCAGGGUCACCGCGGGGAAGGACCCGGUCACCGGCGGCUGCACGUGGCGCUGCUGCGAACCCAAGGUGGACGGGAAACCCAAGUGCGCAAAGCAUACCGCGUACGACGAGAACAGGAAGCUCGCAAAGGAGACCGGUGACGUGGCCAAGCCCGUCGCGGGCAUCAAGCCCAAACCCGGCAUGCAGAAGCUCUCCGUGAUGAAGACCCCGACGAAGAAGGCGAAGACCCCGACGAAGAAGCCAAAGGCGAAGACCCCGACGAAGAAGCCAAAGGCGCCGCCAGCGCCGACGCCCGCCAAGAAGCCCAAAAAACUCGCCGCCGCGGAGAAGACGUACGUCGACCCAAACACCGAGGAGCAAACGUCCGACAAGUGGGGCUGGUGGCACGACGAUACGGAUCUGCUCGGCUCGAUCCGAGCCGGCGCGGGCGACGAGCUCGGGCUGGUGUGGGUCAAGACGAAGGGCACCCCGUGGUGGCCCGCGCAGCGGUUUUCCAUCGCCAAAUACGACCACAAGAUCCCCGACGGGUGCUUCUCGCAGCUGCGCAACGUCAAACGCGACGACGACCUCUCGGACGUCGGCGCGUACAUGUACUUUGGCACCGGCAAGUCGGAACCGUACAAGCCGGAGAUCAUCCUCUUGAAGGCGAAGACGGCGGAGGAGCGCGUCGUUUCCUGGUCCGAGGGUUGGAAGCAGGGGUACGCCGAAGUUCGGGGCGACAAGGGCGGUAAGGGCAGGGGCAAAUACAGCGCGGACGUCAUGGGGGGCGUCUGGGACGCGUGCAACAUGAUCAAGGACGGGUCGCGGAAACCGUGGGGCUGGUUCGACCACAGGCUCCCGCCGACGCCCUCCCCGUCCCCGUCCCCGUCCCCGGAGCCCAAAGCCAAGAAGAGGAAGGCGGACGGCGCGUCCGAGGGCACGCCAAAGGCGAAAAAACUGAGCAAGAAGGAGGAGAAGGCGAUCGCCAAGGCUGAGGAGGAGGCGCGUUUGGCCGCGGAGGCUGCCAGGAUCAAGUGGCCCAAGCUCACGGCGCUCACUGACUUUCCCAAGUCGGACGCGUUUGCCCCGGCGGAGGCCGAGAUGACGCUCCCGUUCGAGAUUAGGAAGGAGGGAAAACCCCCGUUCUACCAUAAGCUCAACCGGUGCGAGUGGCUGUGCAGGCGUCCGCCGGGGCUGAUCCCCAAGGAGGACGCCGAGCCGUGCCUGUGCAAGCCGUCGCCCGAGUGCCGGGUCGCCAUGUUCCAGAUUCAGGAGGCGGCAAAGGCGGCGAAGGAGGCCAAGAAGGCGGCUGACGGGAAAACGGCCGACGCGACCGCCGACGGAAAUCCCCCGGCGGAACCCGCUGGCAACACGGAGGCCAUCGCGACCGUUCCCCGCACCGGAUGCGGCGCGGAGUGCUUCAACCGCACGUGCCUCACCACCUGCGACCCGCGGGUGUGCCCUUGCGGCCCGUCGUGCAGCAACCGACCGUUUCACCAGCUCAAAUCCCCAAAGACGGACACGCUGCUGACGGAGAACCGCGGUUGGGGUCUUUUCCUCGCCGAACCCGUCAAGGCGGGCACUUUUAUCGUCGAGUACGUCGGCGAGAUUCUCGACGAGCACACCACCGAGAAGAGGCUGUGGGAGGAUAAGAAGCGCGGCGAAGAUAACUUUUACCUCAUGGAGGUGAUGCCCAACCAGUGCAUCGACGCCAGGUACAAAGGCAACCUCUCGCGUUUCAUCAACUCCUCGUGCCAUCCCAACUGCGAGACGCAGAAGUGGCAGGAUUCCGCCACCGGAGAGACGCGCGUCGGCAUCUUUGCCAUUCAGGAUAUCCCGGAGGGGACUGAGCUCACGUACGACUACAACUUUGCGCACUUUGGCGGCGAGGGAACCACGUCCUUUUCGUGCAUGUGCGGCCACCCGCUGUGCCGCGGUACCCUCGACGCCAACCCCGAACGUACCCGCCACUACAACAGGAGGGUCGCCAUCAGCUGGGCGCAUGACGACGUGUUUUACAAGGGUGUCGUGCUGUCCUACAACAUGAAGACGACCAAGUACGAGAUUUUAUACGACACCGGCGAAAAGGAGUACGUCGCGCUGGAGGAGCAGCUGACGGAGGGCGAGGACUACUACUGGCUCACUCCGCCCAACCCCGACGAAGUGAAGAGGGACGAGAAGAGGAAAUCCGACGCGGGCGCCAAGGGUGAUAAGAAGGGAAAGAACGGGACAAAGGCGGUAAAGGCAAAGGGGGGCGUCAAGAAGACGUCGUCCAAGCCGAAGGUGAAGCAGGCGGCGGCGCCCGAGCCGGCUGGCGAGCCCGCGGCCGUGGUUCCCGCCGCGGCCGAGGCACCCACGCUCGAGCCCAAGCCCGAGCCGGUUCAGGCGUGAUGCGAGCGAUUGUUUUGUUGAUUACUUCACCGUAUUAUUUUCAAUAACGAACCCACUGUUCGAGUCGUCGUGCAUGAUACAAGGUACGAAGGUUUAAGUUAUUGUGGCGUGGGGCGCCUCAUCAUAGUCUAUUUAACACGUUUGCUCCCCGCCGAGUUUUGUAAGUACAGCUUGCUUACUCGAGAAAGGAAACGAGCGGGCACUUGUCCGCGUCGCCGCCACCGGGACCAGCAAGCACGACGAUGUUCGAACCGUUCCCCGAGUACAGUCCCAUCUCCUUCGCCUUGACGAUGGCGGGAGAUUCCUUAUCCCACGCGAACUUCCCUGGCGAGAGGUCGUCGACAACCAUGGGAAACUGCGCGAAGAUCGCGCCCGUCUGUCGACCCACCGCCUCAUCCGCGGUGACCACGAGCACCGGGCACGAUGGGCGGUACUUCGACAUGGCCCUCGACGCGGCUCCCGCGCCGGUGACAACCACGAUGAGCUCGGCGUCGCAGUCGAGCGCGCCGCCCGCCGCCGACGCCGCGGCGGACUCCAACGUCGUGAACGGGCGCUGCGUGUGAUCCCUGAUGAAGGAAAUCGCCGCCUGAGACGUGUGCGCGAGCUCGGCGUUGGCGGAGAUGGCGGCCAUGGUGGCCACGGCCACCGCCGGGUUGGCUCCAUUGGCCGUCUCCCCCGAGAGCAUCGUCGCGUCGGCGCCGUCGAAAACGGCGUUGGCGACGUCGGUCAUCUCCGCGCGCGUGGGCAGGGGGUUCGUGCACAUGGACUCGAGCAUCUGCGUGGCGCAGAUGACGAAGCGGCCCGCGACGUUGGAUUUGGUGAUGAGCAUCUUUUGCGCGAGCGGCACCUUCUCGGAGGGGAUCUCCAUGCCGAGGUCGCCGCGGGCCACCAUGACGCCGUCGGUGUACUUGAGGAUGUCGUCAAAGUUUGCGAUGCCCUCCUCGUUCUCGAUCUUGGAGAUGAUCUUGACGCUCUGGCCACCGGCUUCGUCGAGGAUCUUGCGGAUCAGCUGCACGUCCUCGCCGGUUUGCACAAACGAGGCAGCGACAAAGUCCAUCUUGUUCUUGCAGCAGAAGUUCUGAACGUCGUUGAUAUCCUUUUCGGUGAGCACGGGGAUAUCGACCUUGACGCCGGGAAGGUUGCAGUUCUUGCGCUCGCCGAGCUUCUUGGAGUUGAGCACGGUGCCCUUGAGGACCGUGUCGCUCUCGAUGUGGUUGACACGGAUAGAGAUUGAGCCGUCGGCGAUGAGAAUAUUGUUGCCGGGCUUGACACUCUGGCACAGCUUGGCGUAGGACAGACCGAUGCGGGUCUCCUCCUCGGUCUUGUAUCCCUCAAACUCCACGUACUUGUCACCCACGGCCUCGAUGGUGAUGGGCUGGCCGGCUUCGAGCUCGAUGGGCUGGUGGUCCCUGAGCAUGGCGGUGCGAAUCUCGGGGCCCUUGGUAUCCAGCAGGCACGCGCAGUUUGCGCCCUUCUCGGCUAUGACCUUCCUGACGCGGUCGAGCACCUGCUGAUGCCCCUCGUGAUCGCCGUGAGAGAAGUUGAACCUCGCGACGCUCAUACCGGCGUCCAGGAGCUGACCGACGGAUUCCUCGUCCCAGCACGCGGGGCCCAUGGUGCACACAAUCUUGGUCUUGCGCUUGGGCGCCUCGGGCGAGAAGACCUCCUCGAGGGAAAUAGCCGUGGCGCGGAGGGAGACCGUCUUGUGAUCCUUCUGCACGGCGAACUGCGCAAACUCGGAUCCGGGCACGGCGUGCUGCGCUACCUUCCUCUUGUAGAUUCCGGGCGCGUCCAAGAUGCGGUAGGAUGGGAUGGAGUUGACGGUGUUGGUCGCGCCGGCGACCCCGCCGAUGAUCACAACCUUGGCGCCGGGAUGGCACAGGUUGUGCUCCAGCGCGAAGAGGAGCGCACGCGCGGUCCAGUACGUCUCCGUCUCCGGGUCCGCGGGUUCCGGAAUCUUGAACGCGUACUGGCCGUACGCGGUGUUCGUGUGCCUCGCGACGUGGUCCAGCGAGGUGACCACGACGAUUGGCACGGCGGGUCGGUACUUUGACGCGAGGUUGGCGCGGAAUCCGAGUUCGCUAAACACCACGAUGCAGCCCAGCGCAGCGCCGAGGUCCACUGCCGUCUUCGCGGCGCAGGACACGACGGCCUCGAUAGAUCCGACGGGCAUCGGGGUGAAGUCGCGGAUGAAGUUGUAGAUCUGGCAUCGGUCGACGCCCUCCUCGGCGUUUGCGGCGAUUGCGGCCAUGGUGGCGACAGCCUUCUCAGGGAACGCGCCGUUAGCCGUCUCGCCGGAGAGCAUCGUGGCAUCCGCGCCGUCCAGCACCGCGUUCGCCACGUCCAGCAUCUCUGCACGGGUCGGCAGAGGGUUGUCGCACAUCGACUCGAGCAUCUGCGUGGCGCAGAUGCAAAACUUGCCCGCGAUGUUGCACUUGGUGAUCAUCAUCUUCUGGGCGAGGGCGACCUUCUCGGAGGGGAUCUCCAUGCCGAGGUCGCCGCGGGCCACCAUGACGCCGUCGGUAUACUUGAGGAUGUCGUCGAAGUUGCGCAUGCCCUCCUCGUUCUCGAUCUUGGAGAUGAUCUGGAUGUUCUCUCCGCCGUUUUCGUCGAGGAGCUUGCGAACCAUCUGAACGUCAUCGCCGGUUUGCACAAAGGACACUGCUAUGUAGUCCAUCUGGUUGGGACACGCAAAGUUCUUGAUAUCCUCGAUGUCCUUGGGCUGCAAGACAUCGAGCUCGACCUUAACGCCGGGGAGGUUGCCGUUCUUGCGCUCGCCAAGCUUCUUGGAGUUCAGAACUUUACCCUUCAGAUUUUUCUCGUCGAGAAUUUCCACAACCUCGAUCACCACUGAGCCAUCGGCGAACAGCAGCCGGUUGCCAGGCUUGACGCUCUGGCACAGCUUGGCGUAGGAGCACCCGAUCUUGGUCUCCUCGGGGGUCUUGUAACCCUCCCAUGUCAGGUAUUCCUCCGGUCCGGCGGCGUAGACGAUGAUGUCCUGGCCGGCUUCGAGCUCGAUGGGCUGGUGGUCCUUGAGCAUAGCCGUCCUCACCUCAGGGCCCUUGGUGUCGAGGAGCACGGCGGUGUUGGAUCCCUUCUUCUUGAUUACCGUGCGCAGGCGAUGGAGCACCUCGCCGUGACCCUCAUGAUCGCCGUGCGAGAAGUUGAAGCGCGCGACGCCCAUGCCGGCGUCGAUCAGCUUGCUCAUGGACUCUUCGUCCCAGCACUUGGGUCCCAUGGUGCACACGAUCUUGGUCUUCCUUACGGUAUCGCCCGUGGUCACUAUGUUCUCGAGGCCGAUCUUGGUGGAGCAGAACGAGAUGGUAUGGUCGCCCUCGUAACCCGUGGGCUUGAUCAGGCUGGCGAGCUCGUCGCCGACAACCUUAACCUUGAAGAUGGGGGUUCGAUCCUCCCAGUCGAUCCCGAUCAUCGGGUUGGUGCCGAUGGACUCCAUGAUGACAACCUGAUCGGACUCGAGGUCACCGGUCUCGAGCGCCGCAAUCCCGAGCUUCCUGAUGGUGUUGAGCACCAUGGGCAGGGUUUCGUCGCUGGUACCCAUCUCCGGGAGGUACAUGGGGACCAGAGACGACACGACGUUACACUGCGCGGCUACCCUGUGGUUGGUGGUGACGACAACGAUUGGCACGGGAGGCUUGUACUUGGAGAGGAGCGCCGCCGGGAGCAUGGUCUGCGCGAAGACUACCAUGGCGCACGCGCCCAUGUCGAGGCAAGCCUUUACCGCGCUGGAAGCGACGGCCUCGAGGGCGGUGACGGGCUUGGGGGUGUUGUUCCAGACGUUCUUGUAGGUCAUGUCGCCGUCGCAGCCAACCUCGGCAUUUGCAGCGAUUGCGGCCAUAGUGGCCACGGCAACUGCUGGAUUCGCUCCGUUAGCCGUCUCGCCGGAGAGCAUCGUGCAGUCACAACCGUCGAAUACGGCGUUGGCGACGUCCAGCAUCUCUGCACGGGUCGGCAGAGGGUUGUCGCACAUCGACUCGAGCAUCUGCGUGGCGCAGAUGCAAAACUUGCCCGCGAUGUUGCACUUGGUGAUCAUCAUCUUCUGGGCGAGGGCGACCUUUUCGGAGGGGAUCUCCAUGCCGAGGUCGCCGCGGGCCACCAUGACGCCGUCGGUGUACUUGAGGAUGUCGUCGAAAUUCUCCAUACCGGCGCCGUUCUCGAUCUUGGAGAUGAUCUUGACCUUGUGACCACCCGCUUCAUCGAGGAUCUUGCGGAUCAGCUGCACGUCCUCGCCGGUUUGCACAAACGAGGCAGCGACAAAGUCCAUCUUGUUCUUGCAGCAGAAGUUCUGAACGUCGUUGAUAUCCUUUUCGGUGAGCACGGGGAUAUCGACCUUGACGCCGGGAAGGUUGCAGUUCUUGCGCUCGCCGAGCUUCUUGGAGUUGAGCACGGUGCCCUUGAGGACCGUGUCGCUCUCGAUGCUGUCAACUCUAAUGGAAAUUGAGCCGUCGGCGAUGAGAAUAUUGUUGCCGGGCUUGACACUCUGGCACAGCUUGGCGUAGGACAGACCGAUGCGGGUCUCCUCCUCGGUCUUGUAUCCCUCAAACUCCACGUACUUGUCACCCACGGCCUCGAUGGUGAUGGGCUGGCCGGCUUCGAGCUCGAUGGGCUGGUGGUCCUUGAGCAUGGCGGUGCGAAUCUCGGGGCCUUUGGUAUCCAGCAGGCAUCCCCAGUGGUGGGUGUAAUCGAGGCCCUUCUCCUUCUUCAUGGCCUCGCCCUCCUCCUCGCACGCCUUCCUGAAGCGAUCGAGCACCUGCUGGUGGUCCUCGUGGGUUCCGUGCGAGAAGUUGAACCUCGCGACGCCGAGGCCCGCGCGGAGCAGCGACUUGAUCCCGUCCUCCGACCAGCACUUGGGUCCGAGUGUGCAGACAAUCUUGGUCUUCCGGAAGGAAUGCGUGGGGUUGAGGAUCAGGUCCAGGCCGAUGCGAGAGGAGCGAAGGGACAGCACGGGAUUGAGCACGCCGGGGUCGACGUACGUCGUGAGCAUCGCCUCGGUGGGCUCCGGGGUGCUGACGCCGUCCUUGACCGACACCACGGUGGCCACCGCGGAGUUUUGCACGGCGAAUCCGUCGGGGGACGCGACGAGGAUCACGCGGCGGCCCUCGAACGGGAUGUCGCGCUCCUUCGCAAUCUCCCACGCCUUGAGCACGGAGUUGGCCACCUCGGGGACGCCGUCGAGCUGGCAUGGGAUCUGGCCGAACCUCGUGUUGGUGUGCGCGAGGACAGACUUGGACGUGGUGCACACAAAGAUGGGGCACGGCGGGCGGUACUUGGUGAUGAGAUCCGCCGCCUUGCCGGUCUCGUCCAGAAGGACGAUGGCGGUGCCCUCGGUGGCGUCGAUGACGCCGUCGCCGUCUUUGUCCGCGGAAAAGCACACGGCGGAGAAGGCAACCUGGGAGAGGGACGCCUCGAGGCCGCCAACCUUGUGAGUGUACGCGUUGGAUCGGUGCAAAAACUGGUACUGCGCCCAGUAGUCCACUCCCAGCUCGGCGUUGGUGGCGAUUGCGGCCAUGGUGGCGACAGCCUUCUCAGGGAACGCGCCGUUAGCCGUCUCGCCGGAGAGCAUCGUGCAGUCACAACCGUCGAAUACGGCGUUGGCGACGUCGGUCAUCUCCGCGCGGGUCGGCAGAGGGUUGUCGCACAUCGACUCGAGCAUCUGUGUGGCGCAGAUGCAAAACUUGCCCGCGAUGUUGCACUUGGUGAUCAUCAUCUUCUGGGCGAGGGCGACCUUCUCGGAGGGGAUCUCCAUGCCGAGGUCGCCGCGGGCCACCAUGACGCCGUCGGUGUACUUGAGGAUGUCGUCGAAGUUGCGCAUGCCCUCCUCGUUCUCGAUCUUGGAGAUGAUCUGGAUGUUCUCUCCGCCGUUUUCGUCGAGGAGCUUGCGAACCAUCUGAACGUCAUCGCCGGUUUGCACAAAGGACACUGCGACGUAGUCCAUCUUGUUCACGCAGGCGAACUCCUUAAUGUCCUCGAUGUCCUUCUCCUGGAGAACGUCGAGCUCGACCUUAACGCCGGGGAGGUUGCCGUUCUUGCGCUCGCCAAGCUUCUUGGAGUUGAUAACCUUUCCCUUGAGAUUUUUCUCGUCGAGAAUUUCCACAACCUCGAUCACCACUGAGCCAUCGGCGAACAGCAGCCGGUUGCCAGGCUUGACGCUCUGGCACAGCUUGGCGUAGGAGCACCCGAUCUUGGUCUCCUCGGGGGUCUUGUACCCCUCCCACUCGGUGUACUCAUCGGGUCCGGCGGCGUAGACGAUGAUGUCCUGGCCGGCUUCGAGCUCGAUGGGCUGGUGGUCCUUGAGCAUGGCGGUGCGAAUCUCGGGGCCCUUGGUGUCGAGGAGCACGGCGCAGUGCGCUUUCUUCUCCUCGCAUACCUUACGGAAGCGAUCCAGCACCUCCUGGUGACCCUCGUGUGACCCGUGCGAGAAGUUGAAGCGCGCGACGCCCAUGCCGGCGUCGAUCAGCUUGCCCAUGGACUCCUCGUCCCAGCACUUGGGUCCCAUGGUGCACACGAUCUUGGUCUUCCGCAUCAUCGGCUGGUCCUCCAUGAUCAUCGCCGGGGAGAUGCUGGUCGACCGGACUGUCAGGGUGUUCUGAGCGACGCCGCGUGUGGGGGGCAUGACGCUCUCGGGGACGUACUCGGGCGUCCAGAAUCGACUUUCGUCGAAGUCGUCGGGAUCGACGAACGAGAACUUCGGCAUCGGGGGACGCACCGCGGGCGGGCCCAUCCCGGCGCCGGUCGCCGUUCCGCACGCCAUAUUCUAUCGAUUCAAGGUUCGGAUGUCGCGGAACUGGGGUCGAUCGGGGGAAAUGCGGGUGAGCAUACGAUGGGACAGAGCGCUUGAAGGUCAUGUCGAACGCGAAAUCCGGCGAAAUAACAAUCGCGUCCCGAUUUGGUACGAAGGUGCGUUGGUGUGCACGCGGCGCCGUGUGGGGUCGUAUCGCGCAGGGUUCAGGUUGGAAUCCGGGGCGUACCAAUGAACUGACGGGUAGACGUCGACGUGUGGUGUUUUUCAGGCUGGAGACACUCGUAGGCGCCUCAAGCAAUGGCCUCGGCCCCGACCGUCAGGCGCGCAGUAUCGAGCCCUGCUGACACUGAAAAAAAUCGCGCCUCGUCAUGAAAAAGAAAGCCCCGACUCCUCCCGCGAGCACUGCCUCCCCGGACACCGGGUCGACGCCAGCUCCGGAUCAGAGACCGAUGGUCAGCGACAAGUGGGGUAUCGGGCACUCGGUGUCCGGCGUGAUGCCGAACGGCGAGAAGUUCUCCGGCGAGGUUUUCGGCUACGACGAGGCCACGGGCCUCGUCACCGUCCGCGCCCCCGGCAACAUCGGCGGCACCCACGACGUGAGGAUCAUCAAGGCGGAGGCGUGCACGGACGUCAAGUCCAUCCCACCCAAGACACCGGCCAAGACCGACGGAGCGAUGCCCGCGGUCGACGACACGAGGAGCAAAAAGCGCGAGGAGGAAAACAUCAAGGCUGCGCAGGCGCGCGCCGGUGAGUCACCCGACCCGUCCCGUCGUCCCGCGCGAGCCCGAAAACAAACCCUACAUUCUCCACUCUCGACGCAUCCGCGCGUCGUUCCCUCCCUCACGGAAGUCGCUCCCUUUUCCGAUCCAAUCGCAGCCAACGUCGGCGUGGGCGUCACGCAGGAGGCGCAGGACAUCUUCGACGCCCUCGCGAGGACCCUCCCGUGCCGGUGGGCGGAUCGCGACAUCGUGGUCAUGGACGAGGUGAUCAUCCGGCCGCCGUACGCCGCGUGCGCGGGUGUCGCGGGGGGCGACCCGCGCGCAGUCGAGAGGGUGCAGAAGGUGCUGGCGAACGAGAAGAAGAAGCUCGGCCUCUAGCUAGAUGCCCUCAGGCGUGGGGCGCGAGUGAGUCGUGAUGGUCUACGUUCGUUGUAACUAAGUAUCGCAAAGUCUAGUGUCGCCUAUGUGUUCGGAGCCGACGAACGCCACCCGAGUUGGAGGGGUCGCGUCACCUCUUCUUCUUGCUCUCCUGCUUCCCCCCCUUCGCCCCGCCCUUCGCCUCCAUCUGGGGUUUGUACUUCGUCUCCCAGUCCGGGUGGUCCUCGUCGAUGGGCAGCCACUUGAUCGGGUGCUGGUUGAAGUAGUUCCAGUCCGGGACGCACAGGAUGACCGCCACGAUCACGCCGCAGGUGAAGAUGUACGACAUCGUGUCGAAGGAUCCGCUCAGGUAGCCCGCGAGGAACGCGAUGAUGCCCGCGAUGACCAGGAUGACCUGAUACAUCCUCUCCGCCAAUUUUUGCCCCCUGAAAUCCAUCGUGCGACGGGUCGUGAACCCGACUCCGCGCGGCUCGUUCUGCCGCGAGCGAGUCCCGAGGGUGCGCUCUGAAAUUUCCCUCGUCCGCUGUUUUGCGCGAGACGUUGGUCAAACCCGGUCCAAAUAAGGAAGGCGCGAGGUCGACGAACGAGGGCACCAUGUCGAAGCCUCGCGGCGUCGUGGAGCCGUCCAUGGUGGCGGUCAGCGUCAACGAGUACGUCGGCGACGUAUCGCGGGCGGGAUACUACGAGGGUCACGGCGUGGCGCACUUCCGCGCGGGGCAUCGGUACGAGGGCGGCUUCUCCAAGGGAAAGAUGUCCGGCUCGGGAAGGUACGAGUGGGUCGACGGCAUCGUGUACGAAGGGGACUUCGUGGACAACGUGGCGACGGGGGUCGGUAAAUACACGUGGCCAGACGGCGCGACGUACACGGGCGAGGUACGCCGAGGCCUGAGGCACGGCCGCGGCGUCCAGGCGUUCGCCGACGGGCGCGUCACGUACGACGGCGAGUGGAAGGACGGGAUGAGGCACGGGAUCGGCACGCUCACCUUCGACGCCGACGGCUACGCGCGGUACGAAGGCGAGUGGCGUCACGACCGCAAGCACGGUAAGGGUAGGAUGCAGUACGCCUCGGGUAACUGGUACGAGGGCGGGUGGGCGUGCGACCAGAAGAACGGCCGAGGCGUCAUGUGUUGGCCCGCGUCGGGUGAGACGUACCGCGGCGAAUGGGUCGACGGCAAACCCCACGGCGUCGGGACGCACGCGUGGGACCGCGUUUUGUCGGACAAGACGGAGACGGACGCGUUCAACUCCUCGUUCAACUCCUGGUUCAACACGCACAACUCCUACCGCGGCACGUUCGCGGCGGGGAUGCGACAGGGCUACGGCCGGUUCGCCUACGCCAACGGUUCGUCCUACGACGGCAACUGGUACGCGGAUCAAAAGCACGGCGACGGCGCGUACACGUUUGAAGACGGCAGCGUGUUUGUCGGUCGAUUCGAACGCGACCGACCGGUGCUCGGCACGCAUCCCGGUGACGGCGACAACCCCGGCGGCAGUGCACGGUUCGAACCCACCGACCACCUGCGCUUGGACGUCGCGGACCUCAUGAGCGAGGAGGAGCAGGCGAGGGAUGACGAGCCCGCGACUUCGCUGGACUUUACGCUGAAGCGAUACUCCUCCGAGCUCCGAGCCAUCUACCGACGCGCGGCGAUCGCGGGCACUGCGAUCGACCCAACCGACGAACAACCCGACCGUAACCCGACGCCCCUCUCCGUGCCCGGUUUCGUCCGUUUAAUGCGCCGCGCGGGCGUCGCGGGAGCCGACGUCACGUGCGUUCAGCUGGCUCGAGCCGCGCACGCGGCUUGGAGGGACUCGCCCCCCGUGAUGGAACCGGUUGGCGACGCGGACGAGGACGAGAGCUCGAGGGAGGAGAGGCGUUUGCGACACGAGCGCGAGUUAAGGCGCGGGAACGUGAUGGACCCGAACGGCGUCAUGGUGUACAGGCAGUUCGCCGAGGCGUGCGUGCGGGUAGCGCACGUCAAGUUCAACGAAGCCUUCGGUUUGGACCGGAGAGCCGAGCACCUCAUCGUGGAGCACCUGCUCCCGUCCGAGCUGGACGAGGCGCUGGACGAGUCUCGGACGCUGCCGUGGGACGCGAAGAUGGAGGCGGUGGAGGUGAGAGAGAGCGCGGAGGCCAAGGCUGAGACGUAUUUCCGCGAGGUUCGCGGCACAGCCGAAAGUGACGGCGCGGACGAGGAGUCGCACAGCUGUGCGACGCCCACGGUGACGGGUCGCGCUUUUCUGCGUUGGCUCAAAUCUAAGGGUGCGCUCGCGGACGGCGACGAGGGGGGCGAGCCGGUGACGUGGCCGCCGCCCGAGCCGGAUCCCGACGCGGAUCCCGGGAACGACGACGGGGAGGGCGAGGAGGAGAAGGCGGCUGACGGGGACGGCGCUGGAGACGCUGAGGAAGCUGAGGAGGGCGAAAAAACCGAGGAGGGGGCGAAGGAGAAAGCCCCGCCGGCGCCGUCGCUCACGACCCUUCAGGCGCUCGCCGCGUUCUACCACGCCAUCGGUCCCGUCGCGGCGGCCGCCGAGGAGGAAGCCGCGCGGGAGGAGGCUGACCGGGCGAGGUACGAAGCGGAGGAAGCCGCCGCCGCGACGGGGACGGAGAAUGGGGAGCCCGACGGGGACGCCGCCCUGGAGAGCGCGAGGAUCGCCGCGGAGGCGACGCGGCUCGCCAGGGCUGUCGACUGCGAGGCGAUGUUCCCGGAGUUCUUCGAAGCCCUCGGGAGGUGCGCGGACGCGGCGGUGAAGACCGAGGGGUCCUCGUUGGCGGAGAAGCUCGCGACGUUCUUCGCCGAGGUGGUCGACGUGACGCCCGCCGUCGCUAGCGCCUAAACAAUCGAUCGUUCUUGGAGCGUCUCAUCGUCAACUCGAGAGCUCGUGUGCUACGCGGGACACGACUUUAUGAUCUCUAUCUUGGGCUCGCACGACGCGUCGCACUUCCACCCGAGCGCGCCCACGAAGGGCGCCCACGAAGCGGGCCAGACCGCGCCGACGGCGAAGACAAUCACCACCGCCGCGCCGAGGAGCCCCAGCCAGCUCAGGAUCCUGUCGAAGGAGUUCCUCAGCUGCUCCUCCUGCUGCUGCAGCAUGUCGCACUGCACCUCCAGCAUCCUCCCCUUCGAGUUGAGCAUGUGAACCUCCUUCUCCAGCCGCUUGAUGUGCUCCCUCUGAUCAGCGGCGUGCGCUUUCGCCUUUCGCACCACCGAAUCGCUCAUGUCGCUCCCGUAUUUUGCGCCCAAAUCGUGCACCUUCGCGAGCGCCUCUGCGAGCUCGUCCCUGAGCUGCACGUUCUCCUCCCCGAGCUCUCGAGCUUCUAGCCGCGCUUCGGCCAAGUCCGCGCGGAGCACAUCCACCGAAACCUUCGGCCUCCUGCCCCCAUCCACCAUGGUGGCGCUUUCGUCGGCGGUGCGCCCCCGCGAGUGAAAAAUCGGCUCUUCCAAGCCACCUCGGAACCUGCUCCGACUGUCCGAUCUCGAUCAAGUAUCAAGGCACCCUCCGGCUUCCAUGAUCUUCCGCAGGUGCCGUGCUGCCCCUCGGGCCACAACUGAGAGGUUCCGAUCCGCAACCACCGGCGGCGCGGGCGGCAGUCACCGAUCGCACGCGAAGGUCGCGGUGGAUAAAAGGAGAAGGUUCGAGCAACGCCUCGAUCCCGGAGCGCGCCGGAUCUCCCCGUCCGAGAAUACAGACACGUGGCCUUGUUGCGGAUUGGAUUAAUUUUGGAUGUCGUUGAGGAACGCUGCGAGGGCGGUGGCGAGGGCCACCGCCAGGCCGUGGGGGCGAGCGGCGGUCCCUAGCAAUGCCGACACCGCAGUCGCACCGCUUCGCGCAUCCGGUCGAAGGCAGAUAAGCGAUUUUCCAGGUGCGCAGCCGAACCCAAUUUCCCGUCGACGCUGGCCUUCCGACAGUGUCGACUCGAAGAAUUCGUUGCCCUAACCGCUCCCACCCGCAACCCGCAUACUCGUGCACAGGAGGGUCAAACGGCGACGACGCGUGGGCGACCCGAAUGUGGAAUACCAUGCGCGCAAGAUCCAGGCAGCGCAGUGCGCGUGCCUUCCACAGCAGCUCCAACGCCGCGAGCGAGGGCGGAUCCGCGACGCCGACGAGCGGCGGUGGGAUCAUGGUCGCGAGCGGGCACCCUUCGAGCCACCCUCAGGUGCUCGUCGUCCCUUUGAACCGACGCCCGCUGAUGCCCGGGGUGAUCAUGCCCGUGCGUGUGAUGGACGAGCGGCUCAUCCAGGAGAUCGAGGAGAUGAAGGCGCGCGGGCAGGCGUACGUGGGCACCUUCCUCAAGCGAACCGAGGGCGAGAGCGAAAACGUGAGCGACCCGAGCGACGACAUGCACGACAUAGGCACGUUCGCGCAGGUUCAAUCCGUGAUUCGAAUCCCCGACAUCUCCGCGGACACGCUCAAGGACGAGGACGAGAAGGGAUCGUCGGUUGGGGACGACAAGGUGGACAUCAAGGCCAAGGCAGAGGCUCGGGUCAGGGCGGCAAAGGGCGAGGAUGGCGGCGGCGGCGCGACGCUGCUGCUGCUCGGGCACCGCCGGCUUCGCAAGACGGCGACGGUGCGACACCAGCCCAUGGUGGUGCAGGUGGACCACAUCAAGGAUCCGAAGGUGGCGGACAGGGACGACGACGACGUCCUCAAGGCCACGGCGAACGAGGUCAUCGCCACGAUCAAAGACCUUCUCAAGGUGAACCCGCUCGCGAAAGAGACGCUUCAGUACUUUGCGCAGAGGUUCCAGGAUUUCCAGGACCCCGCCAAGCUCGCCGACCUCGCCGCGUCGAUGUGCAGCGCGGACGACGGCGCGCUUCAGGAGAUUCUGGACACUCUCGACGUCCGCGAGCGCCUCCAGGCCGCGCUCGUGCUCCUGAAAAAGGAGGUUGAGCUGGGUAAGCUGCAGGCGGACAUUGGCCGGCGUGUCGAGGAGAAGAUCUCCGGCGACCAGCGCCGAUACUUCCUCAUGGAACAGCUCAAGUCCAUCAAGAAGGAGCUCGGCAUGGAGAGGGACGAUAAGACGGCGCUGCAGGAGAAGUUCCGGGAGAAGUUCGCGCCGUUCAAGGACGGAGCGCCCGCGCACGCCGUGAAGACAAUCGACGAGGAGUUGAACAAACUCGCCGGAUUGGAGCCGUCGUCGUCGGAGUUUAACGUCACCAGGAACUACCUCGAGUGGCUCACGUCCAUCCCGUGGGGCCACUCGUCCGAGGAACGGCUGGAUAUCUCGCAGGCGGCGGAUGUCCUCGAUGCCGACCACUACGGCUUGGAGGAUGUCAAGGAGCGAAUCCUGGAGUUUAUCGCGGUGGGCCAGCUGCGCGGAACGACGCAGGGCAAGAUCAUCACCAUGGUGGGACCCCCGGGCGUCGGUAAGACGUCCAUCGGGCAGAGCAUCGCGCGCGCGCUGGAUCGAAAAUUCUUCCGCUUCUCCGUCGGAGGUUUGAGCGACGUCGCGGAGAUCAAAGGGCACAGGCGCACGUACGUGGGCGCCAUGCCCGGUAAGCUGGUGCAGUGCCUCAAGAGCACGGGCGUUUCCAACCCGGUGGUUCUGAUCGACGAAGUCGACAAGCUCGGGCGCGGGUUCCAGGGUGAUCCGGCGUCCGCGCUGCUCGAGCUCCUCGAUCCGGAGCAGAACGGAUCGUUCCUCGACCACUACCUGGACGUGCCCGUGGACCUUAGCAAGGUUCUCUUCGUGUGCACCGCCAACGUCUUGGACACCAUCCCGGGUCCCCUCCUCGAUCGCAUGGAGGUGGUGCGACUGAGCGGGUACAUCGCCGACGAGAAGCGCGCCAUCGCCAGGACCUACCUCGAGAAGACGGCGAAGGAGCGAAGCGGCGUCGGAGAAAAGGAGGCUAGCAUCUCCGACGCGGCGAUGAACUCGCUCAUCGAGGACUACUGCAGGGAGGCUGGGGUCCGGAACCUCCAGAAGCACCUCGAGAAGAUCUACCGCAAGGUGGCGCUCAAGCUGGCCAAGGCGAAGGGCCCGGAGGCGUCCAAGAAAAUGGGCCAGGCGAGGAACAAGGUGGCUGCCGCGAAGAAGGCACUCGAGGCGAAGGAGGACGAACUCAAGAAGGCAAAUGCCAGCGCCAAGAGCAAGAAGACGGUGGAGGCGGCGGAGAAGGAGGUGGAGGACGCGAAGGAGGCCUUGGCCGCCGCGGAGGCUGCGGUGAUCGAGGUGAUCGAGUCCACCGCGGUGUCCGAUCCGAUCGUCGUGGACGCGGGCAAGGACCUGAUCGAGUACGUGGGCCAGCCCCCGUUCCAGACGGAUCGCAUCUACGACCAGACCCCGCCCGGAGUCGUCACCGGACUCGCGUGGACAUCCAUGGGCGGGAGCACGCUGUACAUCGAGUGCACGGCGAUCCACCAGAACGGCACGGACAAGAAAGGGGGUACGCUCACCACCACCGGUCAGCUCGGGGACGUCAUGAAGGAGAGCAGCUCCAUCGCGCACACCUUCGCGAGGUCCUUCCUCGCGAGGAGGUUCCCGGGAAAUACCUUCUUCGACGACAACGCCCUUCACAUUCACGUCCCGGCUGGCGCGACGCCCAAGGAUGGACCGAGCGCGGGUUGCACGAUGAUCACAGGCAUGAUCUCGCUCGCGACGGACAGGCCCGUCAAGCCCAACCUCGCGAUGACCGGCGAGGUGACCCUGACGGGUAUCGUGAUGCCCAUCGGCGGCGUCAAGGAGAAGACCAUCGCGGCGAGGAGGAGCGGGGUGACGACCAUCCUGUUUCCAGAGGGGAACAAGAAGGAUUGGGACGAGCUCAGCGACGACAUCAAGGAGGGACUAGAGGUUCACUUUGUGUCCACGUACGACGAGGUGUACAAGCAUGCGCUUUCGGUAGAGUGAAGAUGGGAGUUUGGGCUCAGCCGACGAUUCUUUAUUGAAACAAGUCAUUCGUUGUGCUCGAUCGGUUUAGUUCAAUGCGGCGAGCAGAUCGCCACGGAGAGUCCACCUUCUUCGUCCACGGUCACGGCCACCUUUACAUCGCCCCCGGGAUUCUCGCGCCACCAUUCGCUCAAAUCUUUGUCCAGCUGGUUAUCGGGUGCGAGCCGCAAUCCCAGCGCGUCCACCGGAGUUUGGAGCUCGGGCGACUCGAGCGAACCCAAGGGUUUCUUCCUGGACCCGGCUCUCUUCCACUUCCUCCUGGCGAGUGGCUGCUCGGCGGAGAGCGAGGCGAGGACCACGGGCGGGGACUGGACGGGGCUCGGAGCCGGCGCCAGCGCCGCGUUCAGCAGCGAGUCCCCCGUCGCCUCCGCCGCAUCCUCCGGUCCCUUGUUCGAAUACGACGCUUCCUCCAGCCUCUCUUUCUCCGCCCUCUCCCGCUCCACCUUCGCCGCGUGCCUCUCCCUGAGAGCCUGCACGCCCCCCAGGCGCUUCAGCGACUCGAACUGCUCCCUCGCCCUCCUUCGUUUCUUCUCCGUCCGGGUCUCCCGCGCCCUCAUCGUCGCCCGUCUCUUCGCUUCCACAGCCUCCGCUUUGGCCUCCGCGGACAGCUGGAUCUCCGCGGCGGCUUCGUUGUUCACCGCCUCGACGAUGCAUUGAAGCCUCGCGGUGGCGUCCGUCAGGUCGCUCGUUGCCUGAUCGAGCGCGACGACGGCGGCUUCGACGAUCCUGUCGGCGACUCGGUCCGGUUCGGUUGGAGACGGGGGCGCGAGGUGGUCGUGCGGGGGAACCCUCCACAGGAGCCGACCGGGGAGCCGACGAUCGUCGUCCCGGGUGAAGUCGUCCUCGUCCUCGCCCGACGAGGACGACGAGGACGACGAGGACGACGACGACGAGGAGGAGGAGGAGGAGGAGGAGGAGGAGGAGGAGGAGGUUUUGGCUUUUUUCCAGUCGGGGGUUUUGAACAGCUCGAGGCUUCGUUCCCCGCCCUCGGGUGGGUCCGCCCCCGCGCCGGGGCGUCGCCGGGCGCGGAUCUCGUCCCUCUCCGCCCGCACCCGGCGCGUGUACGUCUCCGCCGCGCGAACCUUGUCGACCGCGGCCAUCUGCGCGAGAUAGAGGACGCUCACCGCGUCCCGUCGGGAGGAACACGCCUGCUCGGGGAAGGCCCUAGCGAGCUUCACGAGGUCUCGCCACCACGAACGCAGGUGGGGUUCGAGUUUGUGGACGCCGCCCUGCGAAUCGGCGUCGUCGUCCUCCUCCUCCUCGUCGUCGUCCUCGCGGCGUAGGUGGCGGCGGUGGUCUUCGAGCCCGAUCCCGCUGGUGAGCCCCUCGUUGCCGGGCAGUCGAGCGGUCGAGUCCUCCGCCUCGGCGGGCGAGGCGGCUGCGACCUUCGGCUCGGACUGGAGGAGCCUCAGGCUGGCGAUGCGAUGGGCGAUCUUGAUGCGAAGGCGCGUCAUGUCGCGGUGCGCCUGCGACGCGGCGUCGUCGGCGGGAGGGUGGUCGAGGCCUGGGCGACGGGUGUCGGUGGUGGCCAUGCCCCACCCCGCCGUGCCAGACGGACGACGCGACGGCCCGACUGUGCGACUCGUCUAGGUUUCGGGGGGCGAUUUCAAACCCAGAUCUCUCGGAUGACACGACGAUCGAACGAGCAGUUUACGAUGAUGAGUCCAGGGUAACAAAGAGCGCGACGUUCCGGCUCCCUUUUCUUUGCCUAACCGGUGACGUGACCCGCGAGCUGCUCCCCGAGGCUCUCCUUCGCGCUCGGCACCACCGGGCUCUUACCCAGGUACGCGUCGAACAGCGCCGUGCACAGCUUACCGUCGGCGAUCUGCCCAGCCUCCUUGCUCCCGAACGAGGUGAUGAGCUUGCCGCCGCUCGCGGUGAACGUCAGCGACUGACCCUUCUUGAAGGUGACGCCGUCGAAGUACGCCUCAAAGCGCCUGAGCGACGGCGAGUCCGCGCCCAGCGCCGGUCUCAGCCGCUCGGACAGCGCGUCCCUGAUCUUGGCGCUGUCGAUAUCCCUGGCGAACACCAGGCGCACGGUCUUCUCCACGUCCGCGGCGGCGUUGACGACGUCGAAGAGGGCCUGGUCCUUCGCCACGUCCUUGACGCUCUUGCCGACGUACCGGUCGCCCACCGCCGCUCUGGCGGAGGCCGGGUUCACGUAGAGGCCGCAGGCGUACACCUUCACGCCUAUGCCCGCGAUGCGCUUGAUCCUGACGCCCAUCCCGGUCAGGGGCGCGCACUUGCCCCCGUUGACGCAGUACUCGCCUGUCGUCGGCGCGAGGAGGGCGAGGGCGCUGAGCUGGCAGGGAAAAGGGCGACGGACACGAUCGGGGGAAACGACGAGAGUUCACGGGGUUGAACGGCGCGGAUCGCGGGUUUCGACGCGCCUCGGGACUCACCUGGAAGCUUAAGACCGGUCUUGGGCUCGGUGACGAGCGCCACGCGGUUGCCGUCGCUGCCGAUGCCGAGGCGCCCGCCCAUCGCGUUCGCCCACAGCCUCCGUGCGGUGGGUACCGGCCUGAGCCUGAACUCGACGGGGGGCUCCCCGCGGCGCUCGUUGCGCCGCCGAGCGACGUCCGCGCGGACGCCCUGGAUGUGCUCCUUGAACCCGAUCAUCGCGGAUGAGUCGACGAGGACCGCCGCCGUGGAUGCGCCGCGGCUGAGUGGCGCACGGGGAGCUCCACGGCGUUAUCCAGGUCGGACCCAAAAAACGGUCGGUUGCUAUUUUGGCGUUUCGCCAGCGCUCCUUCGCGUCAUGAAAUGCGUUGACCACUAACCACUCGGGAUGGCGCCCACGCACUGGGAGGAGGCUUUGGAUGCCUCCGCGGUUUCGCGGCCGGGCACGACGCAGUACGAGCCCGGACCGACGUGGGAGGCGUGGGAGGAUGAGCUCCGCGAGGAGCACGAGUACGACGACUGGGAGAGCAAGCUGCAGGCGUCCGCCAAGCGCGACCCCGCGAUGCGGCCCGCGCGGGUGACCACGGUGGACGUCAUGGUGCGCGAGGCGCUCGUAUCGGGGCUCGGGCAGGACGAGGCGAUCGCGCGCGCCGCGGCGGCGCCCCCUCCGCCGUCCCCGUUUCAUCCCCCGUACAAGGGCCUCGGGAUCGUCCCGAGGGAUCGCGCGCCCAAGCGCGAGGAGGAUUGGUGGGACCACGACGACAUCCACCCGGAUGCGCACAGAGCGCACGGGGGCGCGAACGCGGAGACGGCGACGUACGCGGACGGUUCCCCGCGCAAGCCGCCGCCGCACGGCUGUUCGAACGGGGUGGAACCCGGGACGGGAUCGUUUCGGUCGCCGCGGGGCAAGACCCUCGACUGGAAACCGCACUUACUUCGCGAAGGAGAGGGCGAAUGGUUCGACCCGCGUGAACUCGACCAAGGCGUCGUGAGGGACACCACGGAGGGACGCAGCUGGCUUCAGCACCCGAGACGCGGGGACCGGGCGCCGAGCAGGGCGGGCGAGCGGUACGACGCGGAGUGGGAAGGGGACGGAUGGUACGAGCAGUCGCCGCCGCGAGGGGAAACGGGAGGAGCUACGUCGUCGGAAACCUCCUCCAGGACGGACACGGACGAGUCGCGACUUUGACGACGAGUCCGCCGCUAGCUAGCGUUCGCUGUGACUUAGUAUUCACAAGUAGACUAACACUUAGACCAUCACGAGGCUGCCAUGGGUUUGUUCGAAUCGAAUUUUAUACGUACGCGCGGUCGCCGACGAAGGGCGCGGUUGUCACUCACUGCUGCUUGCACUCGGGGGGCUUCUCCUCGCCGUCGGCGCCGCCCUUCUUUCCCUUGCCCUUCUUGGGGGCGGCGUCCUCGUCGUCGGAGUCAUCCUCGUCGGAGUCAUCGCCGUCGAAGUCGUCCUCGUCGUCCUCGUCGUCCUCGUCGGAGUAGUCCUCGUCGUCCUCGUCCUCGUUGGCCUCGCCGGUGAACCACUCGACCGCGUUGGGGAUGAUCUUGUCCUUGAUGAUGGCGCCAAUCUCGUAGUCCAUCUCCAUAGCCUCUUGGAGCUGCUCCACCUCCUCCGGGUCGAGCUCGGCUUCCUCGUCGGGCACCUCCGGCGGGGAGAAGAAGUUGAAGAACGACUCGGUCUUCUCCGUCUUGGUUAUGGGCUUGGCGUUCUUAGCCGCGCCCUUCUUCGGCUUCUUGCGGAGCACCUUGACGGUGAGGUUCUUGCCCUGCUUCCACGCGAUAUCGGUGCCCUCGGAGUGCUCGAGGAUCGGGUCGUCCAUGUCCGCCAUGAAGUACUUCUUGGAGAGCACCGCGUCCUCGAAGUAAUCGUUGGGCUCGAAGUGGAACUCGAGCGCGAAGCCGAUGGGCUCCUCCUCUUCCUCGUCGUCCUCCUCCUCGUCGUCCUCGUCCUUGGGGAAGUCCUCCUUGGUGAGGGAUCGGGAGGUGAUGUCGAGAAGGUGCUUGAGCGCGCCCUCGUCCUUCUCGGUGAUCUGCUCGCCCAGGAGCUCGUGGUUCCGGAGGGCGCAGAGCCAGAAGUCGGGAACACCCUUCGGCGCCUCCUCGUCCGCGUCGUCCCCAUCCUCGGGCUUUGCAUCGACGUCCUUCUCGCCCUUGACGAUGGCCGCGCGCUUGGCGUAGAGGGGCGCGUAGAGCUUGGCGUACCUCUCCUCCAGCGCGCGCUUCUCCUCGAGGAACUUGCCGUAGAGCUCGUCGUGUUCGCCCUGCGCCUCGGACAGCGCGUUGACGCGAGCGCGAACCUUCCAAUGCAGGGACUCGACGAAACCGCUGCUCAUCCCGACGAGAUCGUCGAGCUUGUGCUGGAGCGCGCCGAUGAGCCCGGCGUUGUUGCCAAGCUGGCCGAGGGCCUUGAGCAUCUCAGCCUUGUCGACAUGGGCGAACUGCGAGUGUUUUGGGGGGACGGUGGGACGGUCAGGGUAUGUACGUGGGGGCUGGAUCUUGGUGGGCACUUUGCGGCGGCCGAUGGCGGCAAUAAAAAAGGCAAGAUGAUGUGUUUGAAAACUCACGUCCGGGUCGUUCGCGUCGUCCUCGUCGGGGAGGGAGUCUUUGAUCUCUUUCAUGUCGACCAUCUUGGACAGAUGUCUGCUGUUUGAAUACGCGCCGAGACGUGCUCAGCGGUGCCUCUAAGAGUGGCGUCGAGUGCCCCCGAUCGCCGACGGUUGGAGGAAAAAGGGGGAGCGCCGCAAACGCGGACGAGAUUCACCACGCUGGGACGACCUACGCAAAUCAGACCCCCGCCUUAGCUGUCGUUUUGGCUUUGAUAGGUGAUUUGAUAGACAAAAUGCAAGUUGAUAACACGACUGUUUUCAAAGUUGACCGUGGUUUUGAAAGUAAAAUCGGGUUUGGGGUGCAGCCUGCACCCCAAAUCGAAGCUACGAAACGACAGCAAAGGGGGGGGUCUGAUUUGCGUAGACCGGCCAGCGACGAGCGAAGACCGCCAAAAGUUGUCCCACGCACCACCACUGUUCAGGCGCGCCAGCACGUGGCAGAUGGGCGUCGUCGCGAUACCGACGGUCCCGUCCGUCGCCGCACACCCCACAGGACGCGUGUCCAUCCGCCCCGCGCGGUCCCGCGCCUCGGUCGCUCCGCCCAGAGCGCUUCCCCCGGCGAACGAGAUCGCCGGCUUCGUCAUCGGCGCGGGCCUCAUCGGGCUCGUGUUCGCGGCGUCAAGGCUGGACGGGGUGAUCGCGGACGCUCAGGUUCGGGGGUUCGAGCGGGAUAAGGACGAACGAUGGAAGAAGACGACGAAGAGCGUGGAGGGCGGCGGGAACAUCUUCAUCCUCCCGGACGACGAAGAAGAGUAGGAAGCGAAGCGAUAGGUUUUAGGUCAUAUUAGAUGUUGCAAGGCGAGAGGCGGUCGCGCGACCGCCGCGUUUAAUCAGAGAGCAAACCGUUCUCGUGCCGGCGACGCGCGGCAAUGCGCGAAUCACUCACUCACUGCACGUUUACGAGCUCGACGUCGAAGAUGAGCGUCGCGUUGCCCGGGAUGGCUCCCUUGACGCCCUUCUUGCCGUACGCCAUGGCCGGGGGAAUGGUGAGCCGGCGCUUAUCGCCCACCCGCAUGCCCGCGACGCCGACGUCCCAGCCCUUGAUGACCUCGCCGAUGCCGAGUCUGAACUGGAACGUGGCGUUGCCCUUAGUCUGGUCGAAGAUCUUACCGCUCUGGAGCUUACCGACGUACUUCAUCGUCACCCUCUUGCCGGGCUCCGCCUUCUUGCCGUCAACCUGGCCCAUCGCGACGUUGAGGAUCUCCAUGCCGUUCUUGAACUCGCGCUUGAGCUGCUUGCCGCCGGAAGCCGGGGUCUCGGGCUUGGGAGCCUCCUUCUUCUUUUCCUCCUUUUUAGCCGGGGUCUUCUCCUCCUUUUUCUCCUUCUUGGCGGGGGGCUCCUCCUUCUUGGCCGGGGGCUCCUCGGGCGCGGCGCGCUUCUUCUUCUCCUCCUUCUUGGCCGGGGGCUUGGCGUCCUCCUCUUCGAUCUCCUGGAUGGUCACCCCGCCCUUCUUGGUCUUCUUCGGGGCGUCGUCCUGUUCGGACUCGGACUCGGAGUCGUCCUCGUCCUCGGAGUCGUCGAAGUCACCUUCGUCCUCCUCGUCGUCGAAGUCCUCGAGGACGCCGAAGUCGUCGGCGUCGUCCUCGGAGUCGUACUCCUCAUCCUCAUCUUCGGAGUCGUCGUCCUCGUCGUCGCCCAUCUGGCGGUCGUACAUCCCGUCCAUCUCGUCGUCGUCCAUGUCCGGCAUGAAGUAGCCCGUGAGGUGGACGGGGUAGGAUCCCUCGACGUAGAACUCGGCGUAUCCGUCGAAGAUGAGGUCGAGGUGGCACGACUCGACGACGCCGCCGAUGAUUGUGCAGAUGUUGAACUCCUGCGCGCCCUCCUCGUCCUCGGCCUCGGCGCGGCACUUGACGAUGAUGCGCUCCUUGUCCUCGGGGAUACCGCCGCCGAGGGUGGCCUGUCAUCGGUUGGGGUGCGGACGGUUCAGUCGGCGCCGGGCAUCGGGUUCGUUCGGAUCUGUCCGGGGACAAAGUCGGCGGCGGUCGGCGGCGAGAUUUUCGCGGUCGAUCGGAGGCGCGCUGCAAGGGACUCACCUGGGAGAUGUGCAGGCGGAGCGCCUCGUCGGGCGGGGGGACGAAGGGCGUCCACUUGCCGGGCUCAACCUUGAGACCCCAGAAAGCCAUCUUCUCUUAGCUAGUAGUCUAUCCUCUGUCGGUGAGGCGGUGUUUGACGACGUGAGAAAAGCGGUUGGAAACAAACCUGAGAACUCCGCCAACCGCCGGCAACUUUUUUUGGGACUUUUUCGCUCGCCGUCUACCGGACUGCCGGCCUGUGCAGCAGCUGUGAGUUUUUUGCCUUUUUUUUUCCCGGAGUCUAGCUAUGGUCGUCGUUACACAACGAUCGCGAAAUUAGUGUAAACAAACCGUUUACCCUUUGCGAAAAAUCGACUUCUUUUUCCCCAAUCCGGGCUGUGCUGGGCACCUCAAUGGUGACAGCUGCCGAAUCGCCUCGGCCGGACAGCCAAUCAGGUGCGCCGCGUGAUCAUCUUUCGCGCGUUCCCCCGGUGGAAGCUGACCUGUAUUUUCAGCAAUCCCUCGCCCACGUCGACGCCAGACCCCGCGGGCGCCGCGGGUGGGAAACCGACGUUCGCGAAACGCGCGGUGUCUACGCUUCGGUGAACCUCAAUACGAAGGUUCAGGGGUGACGCGCCCGGCGGUUCGACAGCCGGUCGCGCGGCACCGGGGGUUUGUUCCAGCGUCGCCGCGUCCGCUCAUCCUGUUUUCGUGUUCAAGUGGGCCAACAGUCACGUGACUGGGAAGCACGACGGGGACCAUGGCGCUCUCGCUGGCGGGGCGCGGGUUUGCGAUUCAGGGCGCGACGCCUCGGAGUCGCGUCACCGGUCGGAGUAGACGCGCGGGUCCUCGGCUCGCGAUCCGCGCGGCCUCGAACGCCGACCAGCCGGUCGCCGCACCCGACGCGCUCGCGACGAUCACGUCGGGUAAACCCGUCGUCGAGGUCUUCUCGCCUGCCGCCAGUCAGCGCUCGGGCGGCGCGUUCGGUCUCGCGCACUCGCUCCGCGCGCCCGCGCUCGCGGUCGUCGGCCUCGAUGAUGUGGUCGACGUCGUCUCGGACGCGUCGAGCUCCGGCAGCGGGCCGUCGCUCUACGACGGCCGCGCGUUCUCGCCCGCGCUGAAAGAUCCCUCCGAGGCGGCCUCCCCGGUGAGGUCGAUCGUUCGGCUCGUGCAGCAGGCGAUGGGGCUCACCGCCGACGGCGUGGACUAUAACGCGUUACCCUUGGGCGGCGUCGUGGAUACGGUCGUCGAGCCGAAGAAGGUGUUCGGGGACGCGAUGGAGCGAACGCGGACGGAGGUUGCCAAGGGCGCCGCGAUUGACGACGCCGAGUGGUCCAAAGUCGUGGACAGCGUCGACGUGGACCUGGCGCUUCUCCUGGUGUCCGUCGUGGCGGUGGUGCCGCUGUGCAAGAAGCUGAACGUGUCGCCCGUGCUGGGUUUCCUCGGCGUGGGUCUGCUGCUGAACCAGGAAGGGGUGUUCAGCGAGAACCGCGAGGUGGAUCAGUUUUGCGAGCUCGGCAUCCAGUUCCUGCUGUUCGAGAUGGGCCUGGAGCUGUCGGUGCAGCGGCUCAAGGCGCUGGGCAAGUACGCGUUCGGGCUGGGUCUGUGCCAGGUGGUGUUCGGUAACCUCCUGUUCGCGGCGGCGCUCCUCCCGCCGGGCGAGGCCUUCGGGACCAAGGUGCUCGAGAUGGUGCAGAGCGGGCGCGGCGUCGACGACCUGCUGCAGAUUAGGUCGCCGCUGGAGGCGAUCGUGGUGGGUUUUGGGCUGACGCUCUCGUCCAGCGCGUUGGGGCUGCAGCUGCUCUCGGACCGCGGGAUGAUGACCACGCGGCUCGGCACCGCAUCCCUCGGCGUUUUACUCUUCCAGGACCUCGCGGUCGUGCCGUUCAUCAUCGCGCUCCCCGUGCUCCAGAAGAUGCAGUCGGCGGGGGCGGGUGAUGGACUGGACGUGGGGCUCAUGGCCGCGUACACCGCCACGAGCUUCCUGGACCUCGGCGUGCUGAGCAUCGGCGGCUGGUUCGUCGCCAAGAAGCUCUACGAGGUCAUCACCGAGCUUGAGUGCGACGACGACGUCUUCGUCGCCCUCUCGCUGCUGGUGCUCUUCGGCUUUUCCAACGCGUCGGCGGCGGCGGGCUUCAGCGACUCGCUCGGCGCCUUCAUCGCGGGCCUGGUGCUCGCGGGCACGCCGUACGCGCACGACAUCAUCGGGAAGCUCCGCGCGUUCAAGGGCCUGUUCCUGAGCCUCUUCUUCGUCACCAUCGGCACCACGAUCGACGUGCCGCUCGCCCGGGACCUCUUCCCCAUCGUGACGCUGAUGACCGCCGGGCUCAUGGCGGGUAAGCUCGCGACGAUCACAGCACUCGGGCCGCUGACGGGCUUGACGUGGCGCGAGGCGCUCGUCGCUGGCGCGUUCCUGUCCCAGGGGGGCGAGUUUGCCUUCGUCAUCUUCGGGCAGGCCACGAGCGGAAGCGGGGGCGCGCUCUUCCCGCAGAACCUGGACGAGCUCCUCGUGGUGGUGGUCAUCGUCUCGAUGGCGCUAACGCCGCUCGCGGUGGACGCGGCGAUGGCGAUCGCGGGUCCCACGCUGGACCUGUCGCCGUGCGAUGCCUCGGAGGAUCCCAACGGUUCUUGCGACGUGGCGUGGGAGAUGGCGGAGAGUUACGGGCAGGAGCUGCCGGUAGUGGAGGGGGAGGAGAGCGUGUUGAAGUCUGAGGCCACGCCGGCCGAGUUCAAUGACUAAUAACUAACGUAGUGAAAAGUUGACCCACGAGUACCCCGCGCGCACUCGCCACAUGGCGCUCCGCGCGGCGAUGAAGGCGCUGGCGACGAUGCCGACGCUCUCGCGGACCGCCGCGGUCGCUCGCGUCGCGCCCCGCGGCUCGCGCUCGCACCGCUGCCCCUCGCCGCUCCUCGCCGCGCCUCGAUCGGCGACGUGUCUUCCCCGUCGUGUCGUCCGCUCCGAGGCGCGCGGCUGGCCGCGCCCGCGCGCGGUCGGUCUCGGUCUCGCGACGCGCGCGGUCGCCGACGAUGGGACCGUCGCGUCGUCUGCGCUCGACCCGCACUCCUUCGAGGUUCGCGCGCGCCCCCUGACUCGCGCGCCCGCCGCCCGUCGCAGUGGGCACCCGCCGAGAGUCCCACGUGACCCGAUCGACUCACCCCGCGCCACCCACCCCGCUCACCCCGCUCGCAGGGAACACGCGCGCUGGCCAAGCUCGCGAUGCUGGUGUACUGGAACGCCGGCCAGGACGGGUUCUGGGACCCGACGUACGACGGCACCGGCCUGGACCUGUCCACCCCGCUGGGCUUCGAGCCCCUCAUCGCGUCCGAUCCCGCCGCGCUGCGCAGGGAGGUGCUGUCGUCGCUGGUCCCUGGCGAACCGGCGCUCUGGCUCGACCCGGACCCCGGGAUGGGCCCGCUCACCCCGUCGUUCGCCACCGUCGAGGAAGCCAGGGACGCCGCGUUGGGUCUGGUCAAGCCGAGCCCGCCCGUCAGCCGCGUCGCCGUCGUGCGACUGGCCAAGCCCGACUGGAUAGCGGUCAUCUUCCGCGGCACCACGCCGUCGCCGCUGCGGGGGUUACUUCGCGAGGGCCAGGUCAACUCCAUGGCGGGACAGGAGACGUGGGAGGAGACGCCGCUCGCGUGGGUACGCGGCGAUGAUGAGGGUCCACGGGUGCACAGGGGGUACGCCGCGGCAUACAGGACGGUUCUCGCCGAGGUUGAAGGCGCGGUGACCGCGCACGCGCGAGCGGAGCUCGAAGCUCGAAGCAAAGCCUCCGCCGGCUCCUCGCAGGACACGCCGCCCCCGUGUAAGGUGGUCGUGGUGGGUCACAGCCUGGGCGGCGCGCUGGCGGCGCUGUGCGCGUCUCGGUUGGCGCACGACCCCGACGUGACGCGACUCGGCGCCCAGGUGGAGUGCGUGACGUUUGGUCAGCCGAGGGUGGGCGACGGCGAGUGGGCGAGCGGCGUGGACGAGCGGACGCCGCGUUUGACGUACACUCGCGUCGUCAAGGCUGGGGACUUGUUCGCCAGGGUACCCACGAGCGGGUUCUGGCUCCCCGGAGGUAACGGCGGACGGUUGCGUGUGGAGUACGCACACGCGGGAGCGCUGGUGUGGACGAGCGAAACGGACGAGAAGGUGCGAGCUUCGGCGGGUCGUGGGGAGGCAGUGCCGGCGGGGUUCUGGACGGACGCUCGGAUGGCGAACCCGAUCUCGGUGGCGAGGGAUCACGCGGGGUACGCGUAUUUCUUCGAGAAGGAGGAGCUCGGGAGGGCGUGGCCGAGCCGGGACGCGCUGUUCCCGAGGUGACACUUUCUUAGCGCGUCGCGAUUUUCUCCAUGAACCAAAAUUUUGACGUCCCAAACAAUACGGGUUAUUUUCCACUUUCAAAAAAAUUACAUGAAGUUUACAUGAAGUUUCCAUGAUCUAUUUUCAGUGGGAUACCUUGGUCUAUUAACUCAACACGCAGAAAUUUUCAUUGGCCAUAUCGGCAUUCCGGCUAAGCGGACAUAAACGUCCGGUAAGCGGACAUGAGACUUGGUGCGGGCCGAUAAACCGUAGUUUUCUUGAUUCAUUUAUACGAGAAGCAGUUUUACGAUCUGUGCUAAAAAUAAUACAUACGUUUUUUCAACAAAUCAGAUGGCGGCCAAGGAAAUUCCGCACGUAAAUCCAAUGAAAAACCGGGGAAAGACCGGGGAAAGACCGGGGAAAAGACUCCUCUGACAGAGUACUACUCCCUGAAAGUACUACUCUGACAGAGUAGCGAUUUAUAUGGACGUAAUCAGACCCCCGUUCUUGAGUUAAUCACAGGCGAUCCGAAAAUGCGCGUCGGCAUUCGAGACGCGAAAAGCAGUCGUCUAAGACGACACAGCCACGCCACCGUGGAUGGUACUACGUACCGCGCCCCAGCAGACGACGAGACGAUCAUGUCCAUCGCCCUCGGCGUCUUGACGACGCUGGUGUUGGUGGCGUGUCGUCCGGUAGCCGCGCAGUCUCCGUCAUGCCCGUGCCUGCAGACCGCCUCGUGGCCGAUUCUCGGGACCGACCGAAUUACAAACGCCAGUUGCAACCGGGUGCUCGUCGGGGGCGAGGUGCAUUGCUAUCCCAGCACGUACGGUCUCGGGAGCUGCGCGAAGCACGACGAGAAUCGCGAGCCACACUGCGACGGGUCUUCCCCCGCCUCCUACUGCGCCGAGCCGUGGUGCUACGUGGACCCGGUAACCUGCCGGGGCUCAACCAAGCGUUUCGCGGAAUCCGACAUUCUCAUCGACGGCGGGUCGAAGGCGUACUAUUCCUACGACACGUGCGGGGGCGACGUCAGCAAGUGGAACAACCUGGUGGUCAACAGUCUCCUCAACGGCAAGACCCUCAGGGCGGCGGUCGCCAUCCCUUACUACUACCCCGACCACUACAUCGAGGACGCGGCGGGCGAGCCGAUAAAAUCCGCGGCGAGCUACGCCCCCGCAGAUCUCCCGGCUGGCGCCAAGGUGAAGGGAAUCUGGAUCGAUUUCUACAACAAGAUCGCCCAGCAGGCCAACUUCACGCUGGAUUGGCGCCCGGUGAGCGGUGGGAGCAAGGGGGCUCACUCGUCGUCGUUCACCGCGUGCGCGCAAGACGUCGCCGACGGCAUAGUGGACCUCUGCGUCGGCGAUUACUGGACCACGGAGGAGCGACUGUCGAUGACGACGUUCACCACCGGCACGCUGACCGACACGUUCUCGGUGCUGCAUCGCAAACAGGUGAACGCCCCGGCGACGUUAUCGAGCAAGCUCGCGAUGGCCGGGGCGCCGUUCUCGAUCGAGCUUUGGAUGACCUGCCUCGCGGUGUGCGUCGCCACCGGCGUUUGCUACAACACGCUGAGGGUCGGUUACAAGGAGUACCUGCCGAAGAUAUCUCACAAGGAGAUGUCUACGGGACAAAAGACAAUAGCGUGGCUCAAGGGAUCCGCGGCGUACACGUUCGGGGCGUUCCUGGAGUUUACGUCGCAGGACGUGCAGGCCGGGUACGACGCAAAGGGUAAUCCAGUUCCGAACAGGGCGUACGAGCUCAACUUGGUUAAGAUGGCGUGGAGUCUCUUCUGCAUGUUCACCCUGCUGACUUACACCGCGAGUCUGACCGCGCGGCUGGUGCGGAACGACGGGGGUAAGGUAGGGAUCACGACACUCGACGAGUGUCAGCAGUUCAAAUGCAAGGUGUGCGUCCCGGGGGUGAUGAUGAACACGAUGAAGCGGCUCUACAAGGACAGGAUCCUCUACCACGCCUCCUCGAGCUCGACCAACGUGUUCAGGGAUCUGGAGAAGGGCGAGUGCGACCUCGGGCUGAUGAUCGAACGCAGGUUCAACACCAUGUGGUCCUCGGGGGAGUAUAAACUGGACGCCGCGUGCGGCUUCGAGAUUGGCAAAGCUGUCAUGCCCAUAGGGUGCUCGCAGCCCGUGCGACAGGAGUACUCCGCCGCUAUUAGCUUCUGGGCUAAGAAAGUCGCAGACAAGGACUACUUCCUGGGAUCUCUCAUCGAGGACACGUACAUGCCAUCGCCGCCGUGCCCCAUGGCGGAGGUUAUCGACCUGAGCGCGAAAUCGUUGGGGGUGGAUGCGUUUUUUGCACCGCUCAUCAUCUACGUCAUACUCAUCUGCUUCGCGCUGGCCAGCAGGCUGUUCUUCACGAAGAGAAAGCACAAGAGGUCGUUUAGGAUGCCGUUCUCCUUUUCUUUUAAGGGGCGGAAGAGCGUUGAGAAGCCGCCGACCAGUAUCGAAGCGCCGCCGAGCUCAAAUGGCCAAGCUCAGAUGGCCGCGGACGAGCUCCCGCCGGUUCCCGAGCGCGCGCGGGCUUGAGAGUAAAUAGCUGCUAAGGGUUGUUUUUAAACGAAGGUAACACUUAUAAAAAUUCACGGGCGUCGUUACGGAACCGCCACGAGACUCAACACGCGUCAUCGUAGAUGAUCCGAGCUCACUUCCACGAGUCCCUCGCCGAGUUUGUCUCACCCUUGGCCUCCUCCAUGGCGAGCAGUGCCACCUUCAUGCGCUGGCUCACCUCAUCCGCCUGCUUCCCCAUCUCCAGCAGCUUCUCCUCCUUCGUCUGUGCAUCCUCCCCGCCGUUCGCGUCGUCCCCCGAAUCGUCGCUCAGCAGCGCCCUGCUCGCCUCCCGCGCCUGCUCCGUCGCCGCCUCCGCCGCGGCGAGCGCCUCCUUCACUUUCGCCCGCCUGGCGUUGCGCCGUUCGAUCAUCUCGUCCCUCGCCUUGACGUCGACGUCGUCGCCCGAGCCGUCGAGUCCGUCGUCGAUGAACCUCGCAUUCUCGUCCCAAGACUGCUCCCACCCCUCCACCGCCCCCUUCAGCUGCCGCUCCCAAUCGCUGAGCUGCCCCAUCGCGCGGUCGAAGUCGUUGGUGAGUCGCUUCAGGUACGACUCCGCCUCGUCCCUGGCUCCGUCGAUGGCUCGGCUCGGCUCCUCGAGGAUGCUCUCCGUGAGCUUCGUCAGCGCCUCCUCCGCGCCGCUGAACUUGCCCCAUCGCUCCACGUUGCCGAUGAUCUCCCUCAGCUCCUCGCCCAGCGCGUCCCACUCCUCGCUCGCCUUCUCCAUCUCCUCUAAAGUUCGAGGCAGAUCGAUGUUCGUCUGCACGGAGAGCUUCUCAAACUCCGCGGCGGCCUUUUCCAUCUGCUCGCUCGCCUUUUCGGUGGCCAACGAGGCGCGCUCCAUGGCCUUGAGCGCUGGGGCCAUGACGACCAUGAACGCGGCAGCGCACGCGGCGACGGAGCCGAGCGCGAAGAGCCCGACCGCGGCGACCAGGUGCGAGCCCGUGGGAAACGUGACGACCGCCGCGGGUGCCUUUGCGGGUGCGGUCGCGGCGGCCGCCUUGCGCGAGCCCAGGGCGAGCUGCGAGACCGCGGGGUUGCCAGAUGCGGAGAUUAUGGUGCGAGAGGAUGCGGGGGAUACGUACGCGAGCCCGGAAAUCUCGUCGGGCAACGCCGCGACGACGACUCGGCAACCAUUAGACUUUCGGGAAUGCUGACGCUGAAGGGACAUCUUCCGGAAGGUCCGGGUCCGAACCGCGGCGGAGGCGUUCCGCGCGCGGCGAGGCGACGUGCGCGUCGCCGCCGCCGCGGACUCGAGGACCCGCGGACCCAAAGCGCAGACACACCGGGUCAUCGUCGCCGCUCCUGUCAGUGUGCGGCUCGCGAGACGAGUCCGAGGAAGGAGAACUUCCCUCGGAGCUGGGGUUGUGUUCUCCAUCACAGGCGACCUGACAGGGGCUACGGGAUACCUGACACUGAACUGGCAGACUUGACGUUUUUACACACACAGCUUGCUAUUGAACGCUACCCCGAUCCCCUGGUGUCCCGCGCCGUGUACCGCCUCAUCUGCGCCGCGUUACUGAUCUCCCUGCUCCGCCUCUUCAGCUCGUCCGUCAGCGCGUGCGUCUCGCUCGGCCUGAACCGUUCGGGAUCCUCCCCCGCGGCUAUGGCGUGUUUGCCGGGCACCACGUGCUGCCACCAAAAAUCGCUAAGCGCGCGGUACAUCAUGGCCCAGUACUCUGGAUCCCUCUCCACCCUGUAUAUCGCGCUGCCGUGCUCCACGGUGUAGCAGAACAGGUCGCACCACUGCCUGUCGAACACCGCCAUCAGCCCCUGCACCUGCGGGACGUAGUACCACGGCGCGCGAGGGUACGGCUUGGCCCCCACCGGGUCGCCCUUGUUCCACGGGCACUUGAUCUCCAGCACUCCGGGCGGGACGCCGGUGGCGGGGUCCACGUCCGCGGCGCCCGGCGCGGCGAUGAGCCCGUCGGGCGAUGCCCCCAGCCACAGCUCGGCCUCAUCCGGCGAGAGCACCCUGAACAGCAUGUGCGACACGUCGGCUCCGGUGAGAUUUUUGUACGCCGCCACGGCUUCGUCCUCCUUGCCGCUGCCCCACUCGGUGGCUUCGUUGCCCGCGAAGGGCUCCGCCAGCCCGAGCUUCUCCUCCCACAGCUCGUUCCGACCGCCCCGCCAGAACCCGCACGCGUUGCUGAACGCGGACGCGGUGAGCCGCGAGGACCGGAGGGCGAGCCACUUAUCGCUCCCCUGCGUCUCGCCUUCGAGCGACAUCGAUCGCACGCCGUUGGACCCGGGCGCAAGCUGCGCGUCACCCAGGGCGCCGGCGAGGACGGACGCCACGGCGGUUGGAAUACGAACCGUCGCGUCGCUCGCGCCGCCGCCCUCGUCGCCGAUCGCGUCGGCGGACGACACCUGGACAACCUCCUCGCGCUGUCGGACGUCCUGCGCGAGGGCGUCUUCCCAGCUCCUGCUCUCUGUGACCACGCCUUUGCCGCCGGGUUUGCCCCUCUCCCUGGGCGCCGGGUGGGUGGAGUAGAAGUCCGCGAGGUUUCCGGACUCGGGCUCGGGCGGCGUGGGCUCGGGUGGAGAUUGGGCGUGGAGCUGGGACGUGGGCGGCGGCGUCAUCUCCCGGCGGAACGACUCCGGCCCCGGGAUCCCCGGGUUGGGAGCCGGGGAUCCCGGGGGAUGAUGCGCGGUGUGCGAUGCUCCCCCGAGUAGCAGCUGCUGGGCCUCCGCCACGAGCGUCGCCCUCUGCGGCGGGGAGAGGGCGCGAUACCUCGCGAAACCCCCCGCCACGCGGCGCUCCCACCGCUCGCGCCCGUCGCUCCCUGGCGGUAAAACCUCCGUCCCGAUCUUGGUCAGCUCGCUCGCGGCGUACUCGCUGAACAGGCUCCUCGCGCCGCGGACGUCCACGUGCCCCCGGGACUCCUCGAGUCGCAGCGCCUGCAGCGCGCGGCCGACGCGUCGCGACGCGUCGCCGGCGGGCGCGGAGGAAGGGCCGGGGUGCGUCGAGCCCGUCGCGCCCGCGGUCGCCGAGCCGUGUCUCCUGCCGCCCCGGUCAUCUCCGUGAUGGUCGUGGUGCGACGCCGCGCAGUGCGCGGCGAGGCGUCGCGCGGCCCUGCCCCCGCCGGGUGCCGCGAGGCGCCCGAAGCAGAGCCGGGCCACCACCGAGUGGUGCGACAUCCGGGCCAGCGGGCGCGGAGUGACUCUGCACGCUUCUCCAUUUAAAAAAGCCAAAAAAGCGCGAGCCACAACUGUCGCCGCGAGAUGGACAGCGACGACGAGCAGCGGGGACCCGUGGAAGUGACAUUCCGGGAUCUCACCCCGGAGAAUGAGCCUGAGCUCCGGAGGCUCAACUCCGUCGUGUUCCCCAUACGAUACUCGGUGCGUCCGCCCUCCCUCACGCCCGCACCUUCCGCGCAGGGUAACAAGCGCACGACGCAUCGCGACGCUCACCUUCGACACCCGGCCGCCACCCUCUCCGCAGGAUAAGUUUUACCAGGAGUGCGCCGCAGCGGGGAGGGUGACGCAGCUGGCGUACAUCGGCGAUGAGCUCGUGGGCGCCAUAGCGUGCAGGCUGGAGCUCACGCCGCUGAAGUCAGGCGCUAGGCUCUACCUGAUGACCGUGGGGGUGUACGCUCCCCACCGGAACGGGGCGAUAGGCACCAGGCUGCUUAGGCACGCGCUGAACGAGGGAUCCGCGGACACGUUCAUCGAGGAUGCCUACCUCCACGUGCACACGCCGAACACCGAGGCGAUCGCAUUCUACAAGCGCUUCGGCUUCGUCGAGGAUGGGGUGGUGCAAAACUAUUACAAGCGGCUGGACCCGCCGGACGCGGCGGUGCUCAAGCUGAACUUGAGGGAGUGGAAGGUGCGUCGAACGAACGUGACGAACCGCGCCUCGCACCGUCCCGCCGCGUCGCGUCUUCUCCCGCCCCGACUCGACCCCGACGACUCGACCUGACCGACCCUUACCCCCCCCCUCCCCACCUCGUCGCCCCCGCAGCGCGAGCCGCUGGCGAAGGUCAGGUACGGGAGAGGCGCGAACGGUGCGGAGCCCGGGGAGUAGGACGGCACGGACGGCGGGACGCGCGCUCGGGACGCGACGCGUGGGCGCGGUUUAGUUGAGACGGGUGGGGACGUCGUCGGGAGACUCGGGGGGGGGGGCGAGCGUCGACGAUGAGUGGCCGGUAAACUUUUAGUGCGCCUCCCCGGCUUCGUCGUUCAAACACCGAAUGCAGUGUAUAUUACAUCUAGAAGAUGCACGAAAUCCACCCUAAUAUUCGCUAGCUCGCCCCGAGCGUAGCGCACAGACACGGCGCGCUUAGUUGUUCUGCGUAGGAGAGGGCGGGAAGGAACGUCAGUUUACGUCGGCGGCGUGAUCGACCUCGGGGGCGGGAGGGGCGGAUCGGCUCCUGCCUGGCGGGCCGAACCGACACCGCGCGCGGGGACGGGUGGGACGGGACUCGAUCAGACGCGAUCACGCGUCGGAACGCGCGUUCGAUGUCGAGUCGAGUUUCCGUCCCGCGCGCGUCUCGAUCGAACGCAGCCUCUCGCGAAGACGGCGCGCGCGACACAGACUAGACUGAAAGCCCGAUCGCGCCAACACCUUUCGAGGGGGCGGUUUUUGGGAAAGCUUCGCGGACACUCACCUUCACGAAGCCGAUGUCCUUGGCAUACUCGCGGAAGCACUGCCUGCAGAUGUUGAGGUUGUACUUGCGAAUGAUACCCCACUGGUUUGCGCACACGCGGCUGUUGAGGGAGGGAGAGGGGGCGAGGGGUCAGCGAAGGUCAGGGGAGAAAUCGGUCAGGGUUGGGGCAUAAAACCCUAGAAAACCCAUCGGGAGGGUGCCCCGGGAACGGUGCGGAGACGGCCGCGGAAGGAUCGAAUCGACGCGUCCGAAUCGACCAAAGGUCGCAGCGGGACGAUAUCGACGCCCCGUGGGUCGUCCACGCGCUCGCAUCGACCCGAGAUCGGCGUCGAGCGGAGCCGCCAACCGCCAAAAUUUGGCGAGAGAGGCACCGUUUCCCGGUCCCGCGCGUGGCCGGAGAUGCACUCACCAGCGGCGCUGGCCCUUGCCGUUGCACUCAGCCUUGGUAGCCCAGAUGUUGGCGAAACCCAUGUUUGCUAGCGAAGCUUGAACCUUUGCUUCACGCAACGAUUCGCGCGCGUUUAAAGAGGGCGCCCGUGAUCCCUGCUCCCCGCUUUUCUCCUCGGUCCUGCGAGAAAACUCAAAAAAACGAAGCGCCGAUUUCUUCCUCCAUCUUUCCCUCCUUUGCCCCCAUUCAUUUCUCUAUUUAGCGUUAAUGCUCGAGUUUCGACUGCUCGAGGUAACUGUUUGCAUGUGUUUUGUCGGGAAGAAAUGAUCACACGAAUGGUCUGGCGGACGAGGCACCACGCACGGCAACGCCAAUCUCCGCAAGUUUAACCGUUUUUGGCCAGGAGGAUGCCACUUCGAGGCGCGCUCACUAUCGCUCGCUCACGACCUCCGCUCUCACCUCGCCACGCCGAGUGGUCGCCCUUUCAAGUUCGAAGGUUCGCCGACCUCCGAUGCGAUAUUCGUCCCCGACUCGCGUCCUCCCCCGCCCGUCGCACCCGAUCGUCUGUUUUGGCUCAUCUCAUUUUGGAAGCGAUGCCGCUUACGUCCCAUCGCGCCCCGAACCCGCCCCAUCGUCCAGCGCGCAGGUCGCCCCUGGAUCCGUUCAUGUCGUCCAUCGACGUAGAGGAACUAGAGGUGCGAGUGCGCCGCAGACUCGCGCUCGUCGACGCCCGCCGCGCCGACUCGAUCCCCGGUGACGCCCGCGCCCGUUCCGAGGAUGCCCGCUCCGGAAAAGGAACCGCCUCGCGCGAGCGCAGGCUUCCCUCCGACGGCGGCGUGGUGGCGCAGAAGGCCGCGUCCGACGUCGCCACCAUCGCAUCCGCGUGCGAGGGCAUCGCAAUUUUCGAUUCGCUCCGCGCCGAGGACAGGGACGCGCUGUUCCGCGCCAUGUACCGCCUCGAGUACGCCGCGGGCGAGGCGGUGGUCAGGCAGGGCGAGGAGGGCUUCAACUUUUACGUCGUCGUCGCGGGAUCCGCGGCGGUCACCGUGCAUCGCGACGGGGACGAACAAGGUGCCGACCACCACGCCAACAACGAGGAGGAGGAUACAGAGGUCAGGACGCUGUGGCCCGGGGAUACCUUCGGCGAGGUCGCGCUCCUCCACUCCGUGCCGCGGACGGCGACGGUUCGGUGCGGCUUAAAGGCGACCACCGUCUGGGCGCUCGAUCGCGAGACGUUCAAGCGAACGCUGUCGCGGGGCGCGUUCCAGCGACGCGAGGCGUACGAGCGGCUCCUUGGCGGGGUGAAGACCUUGGAGCGGCUCGACGAGUACGACAGGAAGCGACUGGCGGACGCCGUCGUGCCGUGCGCGUUCGCCAGGGGCCACGCCAUUUGCGUCCGGGGCAAGGCGGAGGGCGCCAAGUUCCACAUCAUCGAGCGCGGGGAGUGCUCCGUCGAGCUCGUCGGGGGCAAGGAGAUCAAUCGCCUGAAGCCCGGCGAUUACUUCGGCGAGGUGGCUGCGCUUCAGGGGGCGGAACCCACCGCCACCGUCGUCGCCCUGACGGGGGUACAGACGCUCAGUCUGGACCGCGACGCGUUUGUACGGAUGCUCGGCCCCGACGUCAUCGACGCCAUGCGCGUGCGGACUCGAAACUACCACUACGCCACCGCGCAGGACCGCGCAAAGGCGCCGAGCACGCUCCCCAGGCGCUUAAACGCGACCCGCCAGACGACGAGCCCGGGAAUUGGAACGGGCGCGGCGGCGAGGGUCGGGUGCGACGGCGCCGGCGGCGGGAUGCUCGCGGCUCGCGCUCAACUUCGACGCGCGAACCACUCCGCGCACGUCGCCCACGACACCUCCGGAUCGACCGGGGGGUUCGGCGCGUCGUCGUACCUCAGGCGGUACGUCGAGCGUCGGUCCUCCGCCGCUCAAGGUGGCGAGACGCGCGCGGUUCGAUGGAGGGACGGCAGGGGUCGCGCCACCGUGCGCCGGCGGGAUCUCUCCUUCCACAAGGAGCUCGGCGUGGGCAUGUCCGGCGAGGUCUACCUGGCUCUCGCGACGAACCUGGGCAACGCGCACUGCUGCGUCAAGGUGAUGUCCAAGCGUAAGCUGCUCCGUCUGGACCAGGCGGAGAACAUCAUGCGCGAGAGGACGCUCAUGCGAUCGUUCGGCGAUUCCCCGUUCGUGAUGCAGUCGUUGUGCUCGUUUCAGGAUUCCGCUCACCUCUACCUCGUGAUGGACUUCAUGCCCGGCGGCGACUUGUUCCAGCUCCUCGUCAACGGCACCGAGAAGGGCGUAUUCGCCCCUCCCGCCGCGGUGUUCUACGCCUCCGAGGUUCUCCUCGCCCUCGAGUACCUCCACGGGCGGGGGUACGUGUAUCGCGACCUCAAGCCCGAGAACAUCCUCAUCGACGGCGAAGGCCACCUCAAGCUCGCCGACCUCGGGUUCUGCAAGCCCCUGCGACCGGGCGAACGGACGUACACCACGUGUGGCACGAGCGACUACAUGGCGCCGGAGGUGAUGCUGUCGCAGGGGUACGACCGGUCCGCGGAUUACUGGGCGUUUGGCGUCUUGGUCUUCGAGAUGCUGGCGGGGUACGCGCCGUUCCAGGCCAAGUCGGAUUCGCAGCGCCACCGCAGGAUCCUCACCGCGGACCUGCGGUUCAAGGACGGGUUCCAGCUCCGCGCCAAGGACCUGGUGAGCAAGCUGUGCGUCGUGGACACCAGCAGGAGGCUCGGCAUGCUCUCCGGCGGCGUCGACGACAUCAAGCGCCACGCGUUUUUUCACGAGCGGGGCAAGACGGAUUGGGCGGCGAGGGCGCGGCGCGAGGCGACGCCGCCGCUCAUGCCGGUGAUCCGUCGCGCGGAGGAGAUGACGCGGGGAGAGGCGCUCAAGUCGGUGGCGCGGGCGACCGCGGCGGAGGCGCCGUCACCCGCAUCGGACAGGGUGUUCAGCGAGUACUACUAGCGGAACCGUUUUCAAUCCAUCCCAUCUGCGUGAAAUCCGCCCUGCGUCAGGUCGAACGAGCGAGCGCCGGGUUUACUGAAAGUGCCCUCCCAGGUUACCGGGGCCUCGGCCUCGGUCACUCUCCGCGGAGCGUCGGCGCAAGCUCGGCCGGGUUUUAGGGUUGGACGCGCGCGGACGAAGAGGAUGGGCAUCGGCGACGACGGGCGGGAUGCCGCGGGCGGGGUGGCGCGCGACGAGAUCGUUCGGGAGUUGGUUCGGGAGCCGAAGGGAUCGGACGGGAGGUCCGAGAAGGGCGAGGUCGGCGAGCGGGGCGACCCUCGGGCGAUCGACGAGCUCAGGCGAUACGUGUGCCGCGUGCUCGGCGUCGAUCCCAAGGUGGAGGGCGAAUCCGUCGUGCCGUUCAACGGCGUCGGAUCGUCCGCCACGCGCGUGGACUGGGCGCGCGUCGGCGCCAUCUGUCGCUCCUGGAGGGACGGCGAAGCGAGCGAGGACGACGGCGACGGCGCGAACGAGGCGAACGAAGCGAACGAAGCGAACGAAGCGAACGGAGCGGACGGGGCGGACGAAGCGGACGAAGCGGACGGAGCGGACGCCGACGAUCCGAAGCUCACCGCGGCGCAGGAGCGCGACCUCGCGAUCGGUCGCAUCGGACCCCGCGUCGUCGCCGUCGAACGCGCAUCCGCCUCGGGGGACAUGCACCUCGGCGACGGCCCGCACGGCCCAAACACCUCCGUCUCCUCCCGCUCCAACUUUUGCAGCUUUCGCGCCAACGCCUGCGUCUUCGGCGGCAGGUGGCAGUACGAGGUCACCAUACGCACCGCGGGCAUAAUGCAGAUCGGCUGGGCCACCGUGCGAUGCCCGUUCACGCAGGAGCACGGCGUGGGCGACGCGCAGGACUCGUACGCUUUCGACGGGCACAGGGUUCGCAAGUGGAACGUGGCGUGCCAGCCUUACGGCCAACCGUGGGUCCCCGGCGACGUCAUCACGUGCUGCAUCGACCUCAAUUCGGACGAGGACGGCGGUGGCACGGUGAGCUACCUUCGGAACGGCGCGUCCAUGGGGGUGGCGUUCCGGAACGUUCGACGGUCGCAACCCGGCCUCGCGUACUUCCCAGCCGUGUCCCUCAGCGUCAACGAGGCGAUGGACCUCAACUUCGGGAGCUCGCCCAUGCGGUACCCGCGCGAGGGCCACGCGCCGCUCACCGCCGCCGCCGACGUCGCGCCGGCGUGGCGCAAAUCCGUCGAGGCGUUUGCGCGGCUCUGCGCUUUCGGCGGCGUCGACGACCCGGCUCCGUCGAACGUGACCUACCGCUGCGAGGCGUCGGGGACGAUGUAUCGGCAGAGCGGGACGCCCGCGCUGCUGACGUGGGACGACGAGGCGAUGCUCGCGUGCGCCACGCUGCAGGCGGCGGGUCCCGCGGAGGGCAUCGACGAGGACGACGCCGUUCGCGCGCGGCGGCGCCUGAUCCGCGACCGGCGACGCGGGUUGAUACGAACGGUCACUCGCGCGGGGGAACGAAGGCGCGUCGACGAGUUCGAGCGCACGAUGCGUUUGCUGCGCGUCGGUUUGUACGACGGCCGCUUCCGGGUCGAAUUGAAUGAAAUGGGUCCGGAGUCUGGGGACGAGUUCGACUACGCAAACUUUUCCAACUCGGAGUACGCCCUGUUCGUCGGCGAGCUGACCCGCGCGCUCGCCGAGGAGGUCCGCUCGACCCCGUUCCUCGAGGAUCCCGAGUCUAUUCAGGGGACGUCGUCGAUCGAGCCGGGGGCGAGCGAGAAGACGUCCGGUUUGCCGUCGCAUUCGCCGCUGGCGUUUGCCGUGGCAAUCGCUUGCGAUAGAUACGCUCGAAGAGCUUGGAUGUCCCACGCCAAGUGGCACGCGGAGCUCGAGGAUUUGCUGACGUUGAAGUCACCGAGCCCUCGAGACCUCGAGGCGAUGCUCCCCGCGUCGUCGGUGUGGUGGCCGGGCGCCGCCGCGUCCGAGGCGGUGUUCAGGGCGGCUGACGGCGGUCGACACGCGGGCGGGCGGGAAUCUGAGCAGAGAUGCAAGGCGGCGGGUUUGAAACUCAGCGCGGCGAUGUCGAGAUCGUGUGCGCUUCACUGCGGGCUCGUCGACGCCGUCUGGAAUCACGGCGGCAAAGCGUGGCAAGACCGAAGUGGCGAGUGCGUGAUAAUGCAAUUUGGUCCCGGAGGACCCUUUGGCGCCCACGGGACCAUAUGGCUCGCCGCGCUGCUCAAGAAGAACGUACCCGGGCAGCACGGUCGGGCGAGGCGAACGGAUCCGAGCGUGAUGGGCGCCCUCUACUUCGCGAUGCUCGCGCUCAUCCGACCCGAACUGGAGAACCCAACGUGGAAACCGUUCUUUGACGGGCUGGGCAAGUGGCACCCACUUGGAUAUUACAACAGCUUCGCACACCAGUUCGAUCUUCCCCUCUUUGGAGGCGGCGUCUCGCACGUUCGGAAGGAGUACCCGGAGGAUCAUUUGGCGCCCGCGCUGGAAAUCGACGCGAGCGCGCUUCGACCCACCGCCGCGAUGAAACUCGUGAACGACGUCCCGGAUUUUUCUGAGGCGGGUUUGCCCCCGCUGACAUGGCACCAGAAGCACGCCAACGCGUGGCACUUCGACUCUAUCCAGUUCAUGUACCACCUCGCCGUCGGCGCCCAGUACAGGAGCGCCGCGGGUCAGCUGCAGACCCAGAUCCAGGCCGCGAAACAUCUCGAGGAGUACUGCGAGAACCUCCCCAAGGUGGAGGCUGCGCAUCAGCGGCACAACGCGCAGACCAAAAUCAUGACCCAGCUCCAGUCAAUCUCAAACGAGUCCGCGGCGUAUCCCCCCGGCGAAAACGCGAGCGAGGCGUUCAUCCAGCGCCUCCGCGCCGCGCUGACCGAGGCGCGUCAGCUGGCGAGCCAGGGCCUGGUGUCGGACGAGGUCGCGGGCGCCAUCGCGGUCGCGACGCGGGACCUCCAGGAGCGCUACGACGUGGCGUUGGUCGACGAGGGCGCGGAAUUUACCGCGGCGGCUGACGAGGCUCGCGAGAGCGCGAGCGUUUUCAUUGGCGAGUUGAAAGAGGAGAUCGUCAAGCUUCGGGACGAGGUCGUCGAGAGCUCGCGGGUGUGCUGGUGGCACAGGGCGACGCUGCACCGCCCGGAGCAGCAGGCUGGAAUGUUCGCGGCGGCGGCGUACCAGGCUCGGGUGAUCCUCGCGGCGAUGGAGCGGGGCGGGGAGCCGCGCAAGCUGCCGUCAGACACCGACGACGAGGACGGGGACGGGGACGACGGCGGUAGCGUUUCGUCCGCAGGAGACUCCAGCGACGAUGAGGAUGACGACGAUGAGGAGGAGGAAGAUGCGGAGGCGGCUGGCGGAGACGGGAGCGAGUUGGAGGGCUCGGUCGAGCGAGAAAACGUCGACACCGACGACGACGAGAAUGACGACGAGAAUGACGACGAGAAUGACGGCGACGACACCGCGGGCAGCUGCUCCAUCCCCGGCGUCGCCACCAAGAAGGGUGCGCUCCUCCAGCACGUCCCCGCGUACCACCUCGAGGUUCUCAUCGACUCGUUCCACGCGCUUCGUCGCGGUGACCCGCCGUACGCGCCCGUCGCCCCGGCUCGAGCCGCCGCCAGCCCGGGGCUGCACGGCGUGGUCAAGCUCCUCGUGCGACACUUCGCGGAUGAGCGCGUCGUGAACCCGGACGUCCGCGACAUGAUGCUGCAGUCGGUGUCCGUGCUGCUGCAGUACAAGGAGUACGUCGCCGUGUUCGAGGCGAACGAGGAGGCGCGCGCGGAGAUGGUGCCCUCGCUGCUCCGAUCGUUCGACAGCAGGUUCUGGAUCCCGGUGUCCAACAUACUUCUCCGACUGUGCAAGGGUGUCGGGUUCGGGCAGUACGACAACAAGGCGAUCAAGGUCCUCGCUGCGAUCAAGGCGAUCAAGAAGGAUAGCGCCGACCGUUACCGGGAGACCGGGAACGUCGCGGUCGUCGCGAACAGUCAACGCGGCGAGGAUGAUCACGCGGCGUCUCCCGACGCGGCGCUCGCGGAGGCCAUCGCAAACUCCGUGGACAGCUCCAGCCCUCUCUUCCAGGCGCUCAUCGUGGAAACCUUCAAGAGCGAUCCAAAGCUUCUGGAAAAGUUCCUCGACCGCGUGUUCAACACUCUCAACUGGACGAUCACCGAAUUCGGCGUCGCGCUGAAGGAGAUGCUCGACAUGCGCCAGCGCGCGGCGGCGGCUCGAAACCUGCAGCGAAAGUGCACGGUCAUGCUGGAACUCAGCGUGACCCUCGAACGCGUGCUCGAGUUUCUCACGCUCGAGCUCCCCGUCGCGUUUCUGGACAGCUCAGCGUCCAUGCGCAUGAAGCGGCUCGUGGAGAUUUUGCUCUUCGUCCUCGGGCACACGUGCGGAGCGGGCUCCGACGCCAAGCUGUUUGAACAGGCGCUCAGCAUGAAACUCCCGGUUUUCGUCGCCGACAAGAUCUCUCGCGCGCCCGUCCUGGCGCCCAUCGCGGGGAUAAUCCUGAACCUCGAGGUGGCGGCCGCGGCGUGGGUGGAGGGGCGGGGCGAGGAGUUCGGCGUGAACGAAGUGUCGGACACCGUCGCCGACGAGCUCGCGGCGGGCGCCGGCGAAAAUAACAUCUCGCAGCUGGAGUACAUAUGCGCCUUCGACUGGGAGGAACACUUUGGCGCGUUCACCGGCCGCGAAGAGGCGAUCGCGGAGCUCAGGGACGUGGUGCGCAGGGUCCGCGACACCCGCGAGGACAUAGAGCGGCGGCGCAAGGCUGAGGACGAGGUCGACGUCCCCGAGGAUUUCGUCGAUCCGAUUAUGCAGAGCGUCAUGACGGACCCGGUGACGCUGCCCGGGAGCGGCGUCGUCGUGGACAGGGAGACGAUCAGGCGGCACCUGCUCACCGGGGACGGCACCGACCCGUUCAGCCGGACACCGCUCGACGAGUCGAUGCUUCGAGACGCGACGGAUCUCAGGAAGAGGAUCGACGAGUGGCGCAGCGGCCUGCACAAGAACGUGGAAACCGCCCUGGAGGACAUCGACUGAGGACGCGUCUUGAUGUUCAGGAUGCCACCUAUGUUAUAAAAAGUGACCGAUCGACAAAGAUAAUAAAACGCCAAAACGCGGCGCGUACGUCGUUCAAUCCGGCGUCCUCGCUACGCGGAUCGUCAUCGCCGCCUCCGGAUCCGCCGCCGCCAUCUCCUCCGCUACGGAUGCGUACACCUUUGCCGUUCGCAGCUGAUCGUCGUUGGCGACGAUUACGAUCUUGCUCCAGCCCCUCUUCUUCGCCUCCUCGAACGAGAAUAUCGCGCUCUCCCGCGUGUUCAUGCUCGCCUCCUCGAGCACCCACGUGAACUUCUUCCCGACGCACGUGUGCCGCCUCGCGCGGUGCUCGCAACCGCCCGAGUUGCCCGUGAGCUCUCGGAUGCGCCUGUGCUCGCCCCGGCCAUCCUUGGACGCGCCCUCCGGCGGGCCCGGGUAGACGUAUCCGAACCCCGGGAGCGGGCACUUGGGGUACGAGUCGUGGACGUACUCCGUCUUGGUGUAGUUGGCGAUGAGCUUCUCGGCGAAGUGGCGCAUCGUCUCCGCGGGGGAGACGUUCUCCCACGAGUAGUCCACGGGAGCGCCGGUUAAGAUGAGGUUCUUCGCGCUCUUCGCGCAGAAGAGCUGCGCGCCGAGCAGCGUUCGCGACUCGAGAGCGGGCGUGGACGGGAACUUAUUGUCUACGCCGUAGCCGAUGACGAGCGCCGCGUCGUAAGGACCGUCGUCCUUCGCGACGGCGACGACGCCGCCCGACGCGUCGAAGGCUUCGAUGGCCGGUAUUCUCGAUCCCUCGAUCGUCAUCGCGCGGCGCGCAUUGCCGGACGCGGAUGAGGAGGACGCGACGUCGUUCAGAAGACCAGGAGGCGCGAACUUGACGGCGAUCGCGAUGAGCACCGCGACAGCGGCGACGAUGUACGCGAGGCCGGCUUUACCGCCGGCCUCGGGCUGCUUCUUCGAGCGGCGACUCGCCAUCUUCUGAAGCGACGCAGAAACCACGUGGCAGAGGAGAGGCAGUGCUAAAAGCCUUACCCUCGAUCAUAUUUCUCGGUAAAUAGGGAUAAAGUGCAGGUGUAAUCGUAUGAAGAUACAGUGAUAAAGCAUGUCUAAUUCGAUAAACUUUUAGAAAAGUCGAUCUCAUUUUGAACUGAGAAGACCUUGGCACCCCCAAGACGCCACGAGGCGCUUACACAUCACCGCGCGAAGUCGAACGCUCAGUUCGCACCUCGCCCGACGUCGCCUCCAUAUUAGAAGGAGCGGCUCGAUUCUUCCUAGGUAGUCAGAAGCAGACGCGACAGAGAUGUACGGCGGAUACGACGGCAGCGCGACUCAGUUCGCGGGGGAUGGCUUCAUGCCCACCCCGACUGGCGCCACCGGCGCGGCGACCGGCGCGGCCGGCGGGGUGAGUCCUACUUCCCACUCGCCCACGUCGUAUCAUCACCCCGUAUCUCGAUACGACCACGACGCGAGAUAAACCCUCGCGGGUCGGCCCCGACGUGGAAUCGCGCGGCGGCCUCGCACCUGGGCACCCCGGUUCAAAAUCUCGCCUCGCGCUCGCCUCUCACCCUGCACUUCCCCUCGCCUCUCUCCUUUCGCAGCGCGGCCAGGGUCGCCCCGACUCGCUCGUCCCGGUGACGGUCAAGAUGCUCCAGACCGCGAUCGCGGCGUCCAACGUGGUGCGUUCGCGGACCGAUGUCGCCCCCGCGUCCCAACGCGCGCACCUCUCCGUCCCAGAUCCGGCUCGAUUUCAAACCCGCCCAGCUGUGGUUUUGAACCCGCGCGCACGCAAACACUGACGAUUUUUUCGCCCAUCUCGCUCGGCUCGCGACUGCGCGCAGGACGACGGCCUUCGCGUCAACGGCGAGGAGGUCCACAACAUCACCCUCCUCGGUAAGAUCAUCGAGGCGAGCGACACCGCCACCAACCAGGUGUACACCCUCGACGACGGCACGGGCACCGUCAUCGUCAAGCAGUGGGUCGACGCGGAUGACGCAGACGCGUCGUCCAGAAAGGAUGAGCUCGUCGUGGGCAAGUACGCUCGCGUCUACGGGCACGUCAAGCAGUUCGGCAGCGACACCUCCGUCGUCGCGUUCAGCGUCCGUCCCGUCCAGGACCACAACGAGGUCACCUACCACUUCCUCGAGGCUGUCUACUGCAACUCGCACAACGCGCAGCGAGCGGAUGCCAAGCCGGCGGCUGGCACCGCGUACGCCGCGCCCUCCUCGGCGCCCGCGUCCGCGCCCGCCGUCGACCCCGGCGGAAGCUGCGUGGACCAGGCCAAGGCGAUCUUCGAGGGUCCCGACGGGCGCCGCGACGAGGGCGUGAAGAUCGACGUCGUCGUGCAGCAGCUCAACGGGCGGUUCACCGAGGCACAGGUGCGCGAAGCCGUGGAGCACCUGGUCAACGAGGGCCACCUGUACUCCACCAUCGACGACGAUCACUUCAAGUCCACCAACCUCUAGACGGAGCGGUAGUCAAGCAGGGACGGCGAACGAACGGGGGGCUGACUUGUCUUCUAAAACCUAGCUUCUUGAAUUGCAAGUGAUGGGAUGUUGAAUGCGUUCUCGCGUCACCCUCUACGAUUUAACCAGGCCUGCCCAGUCCGCCUGCUCCUUGUACGUCUUGGUCAUUUCCGUUGUCCACGCAUUGUCCGUGAUUUCGGCGACGGUUGCCGGCAACAAAUUAUUUGGCCGGUCGCCUCCCUCCCGCUCCUUCCUGACCAUGUCGCUGAUAUCGCUGAGAGUCUUCGCCCGGACCAUGGACUUUGCCUCCCGCCUGGCCAACCGAAGCUGCGUCCGGAGGUAUUCCUCCUCCCGCCGCAGCUCCUCCACCUCGCGCCUGAGCGCCUCGUUCUCCACACCUAGAUCCACGGGGAGCCACUCGUGCCUCACGUACUUCACGAACCCGCCCGCCGCGCCGGCGACGCCCUGGGUCGUUGCCGGGUUCUUCGACACCGCGGCGGCGACCCGGACGGGAUUAACAUCGUCGGCGGGUGCAGGUCGGACGCAGCCCGCGUCGAAGCCGUACGCGUCAUCCUCCUCGCACCCGAACGCCUCGUCGGGUUCGUCGAAGUAGUCGCUGCCAAGAGGGGCGACGGCGUGAAGCGACGGCGUUUCCUUUCCCAAGUCGAAAGACCCGGACUCGGACGCGGGGUCCAGGUCGAAAGACCCGGAUUUAGACGAGGGAUCCGCGCCGAAAGGCCCAGACGUGGGCCCGGCGAGGCAGACGGAGCCCGCGUGCGAGCGUUUCGCCUGGCGGGACUGGCGCAGUGCCGUGACGUGGCAAACCACCGGCCCGUCGACGCACGCGCACAUCUUGAAGCACUGUUUCGGGGAGCGGAGAGGGCGAAAGGGGGCUGGGUGAGUGCCAGUUUUUUUUUCUCGGCGGGGGCGGGGAGGAAUUGGCAGACCGGGGGAUUUUUUUCGACGCGUCACCCAAUGAAAACAGCCCUCUCUUAGAAGGCAUCUCUUUUGGAUCGGCUGGUGGGGCGCGCCCGUUCCCGGACGGGAGCCACGGCGGAUUCGAGCGGAGAUGUGACUCACCCUAAGACAAUUGCUGUAAUCUCUGAAACCCACGUCGCCGCGCCUGUUGCCGCAGUCGUAGGUGUGGAACCUGGCGCCGCAAGUCCCGCACACCUUGGCGAAAUCGGGGUUUCGUUUCAGCAUGCCCCCACAGCAGUGGCACGAGCCCUUCGCCGCCUUCCUACCCUGGACAUCCUCCUUGCUGUCCUCCUCAUCCUUGGCGGCGCGUUUCUUGGGCCGGAGGCUCAUAUCGUGUCCCGCGGAGCACUUCUCUGCGGGGGACUCGGAUGCCGACAUGGACCCGUGGGCGGCGAUUCCGUGGGCGGCGUCUUUCUGAUGAGCGUGCCACGACCUUUCGGGAGCGUGCCACGACCUAACUUGAACAACCGAUGGCACGUGAUUUUGCACUCCCCUUUUUUUUAGGGUGAAAAAAAUCGGGCCCCAAAAAAUAAUUUCUAGAUUUUCAACCAUGCGGACUUCGGCUAUCAUAACACUUAAUCAAAAACACAACACUUCGGGGCGCGCGUUCGGCAGUUUGGUCCAAAAUCGGCUCUUCGGCGGUGUGAAAACAGUGGUGAAAACAUGUUUGCGGUGAAAGUUGGGGCGGAAUCGCUGGCGAGACCUUCAGCUUUGGGCGCUUCUGGGACGUCUGAUAGAGCUACUGGAUGAACGCAUCCUACGGAGACAUUACAGUUUCUCGCACUCGAGCACUGGUUCACGUUCGAUCCGAUUGACGGUUGGAUUCCACGUCGUCCUACUCCUUCGUCCGCGUGAGCGUCGCAAGCGUCGGCGGCUUCGGCGCGCCCAUCGCGGGCAGCGGCGGUAGGUCGAGCAAACCCCGCACUCGCAUCGACCGCGCGCUCGCCCCAAACUCAACCUCCUCCCCCGCCGCGCGGCCGCCCCCGCCGCCCCCGCCCCCGCCCGCCGUUCCCUCUCCCUCCUCCUCGUCCCCUCCGUACGCGCCCCGCAUCGCCUCCACCUCCGUCCUCCAGUCCCCCACCCUCGGCAGCGGCGGCGGCGGCGAGCGUCGCGACGAAACGUCCGGCAGCGACGUCCUAGACCCGCGGCGCGAGUGCCGCCCCCUCCCGCUCGCUCCCCGCGCCGUCCACGCCCCGGGAGGAGACCCCGAGUCCGACGGAAGCCGAGCCCUGUCCAUUUUGUCGUCGUCGUUCAAAUCGUCGUCGUCGCAUCUCUCGUCGCGCUCCCCGCGGUGGCUCGAGCUGUUGUCGGAGGAGCCACUCGUGACGAAACCCCCCCCGGCGGCUUUUGAGUGCGCCGCGUCGCUCGGACCGGUCGAGCUCGCGGGCCCGCUCGUCGGCGCCCCGUGCUCGCUCCCGCCGUCAAAACCGCCGAACCGAGAGUCGUCCUCGUCAAACUCGUCGGACCAGUAGCCCUCGUAGCGCAACGCGGGUACCUCCACGUCCACCUGAGCGUUGACGACGAAGGGGUGGAGCAGGAGCGCCUCGCUGUCGGGGCGAGCGUCCGGGUCGCGCUGCAGGCACAUGAGCACAAACUCGGACGCCGCGGGCGAGAGCUGCUCGGGGACGCGCGGGAGCUCCUUCGUGCUCGCAAUCUUGAAUAUCGCCUGUACCUGCCCGCUGCAGUCGCCCCACGGGUGCUCGCCGCUGGCCAUCUCGAUCACGGUGCAUCCCACGCUCCACACGUCCGCCGCCGGAUGGUUACCGCUGCCCUUCUGCCGGAUAACCUCGGGCGCCAUCCAGUACGCGGAUCCCUUGAACGACCCCCCGUCUGCCAUCUGCUCGACGAGAGAUUUGGCCAUCCCAAAAUCCGCGAGCUUGAUCCUGCCGCUCUUCUCCACCAGGAUGUUCCCGCCCUUGAUGUCCCUGUGCACGCACCGCUGCGAGUGCAGGUAAUCCAGCCCGAUCAAAAUUUGCCGCGUGUACACCGAGAUGACGCUCUCCUCGAACGCGCCGAACCGCGACAGUAAACUCGCGAUGGACCCGCCGGGAACGUACUCGAGGAAAAUGUACAGCGCCCUGGACUCCCUCGAUAUCCCAACGUAUCGCACGAUGUUCGGGUGCUGAAGCCUAGACAGGAGUUCCACCUCCUGCUCGAGCUGCUCCACCGCCUCUGUCGCGGACGCGUCGAUCCCUCCCUCCUCCGGUUGUGGGUUUAGGCCUAAACCCCCUCCAGUAUCGCCGGUUCUCCUCGUCAUCGCCACCUCCUUGACGGCGAAGAGCUCGCCCGUCUCGCCGUUCAGGCCGAGGUAGACGGUGCCGAACGACCCGCUCCCGAGGCAGUCGCCCUUGGUCCACCGCCGGGGUUUCAUGGGCGCGGGCGCGAGGUAAAAGCCCGUGCGAACCGUGUCUGUACGAUCGUCGGAGUGGCCCGAGCUCGUCGUGUCCGCGCCGACGCUGCCGCGGCUUCCCAAGCGCCUGUGCCGCGGCCUGGACCCCAACCCGCCAGCUGUGUUGGACCCCCACCCGCCGCCAGCUGUGCCGUCGCCGUCGCCGCCGUGCGUGCCGCCGCCGCCGCCGUUCGAGAUCCGCGCGUGCUCGCCGAGGUUAGAGAGGCCGAGCGGACGGACGAACUCGUCGCCGCCGCGCACCGAUCCCCCGGGCGACGGGGAUGAUCGGCCAAACGACGGAGGGCCCGACGAGGGGCCCCUGGGCGAGCGCGCGUGCGGGUCAUCGCGGAAGCCCUGGUGCCCUCGGGCGGCGUCGAAUCCCGGCGAGCGGGGGGGCACGACGGGGAUGCCGUCGUCCCUGCCCCCGAACGCCUCGCGGGAGCGCGUGCGCCUGUGCCCGGGCCUGUGCGCGCCGGGGUUGGACGCGCGAGGCGAUCCCGGGAUUUGGGGCGACGCGCCCGCCUCGAGCGCGGCGGGUCGGCUGGAGGGUCCGGGGGGCGUCGCGGCUUGGUCGACGUCUGCGGGAUCGCGCGGUGCGGGCGAGCCGGUCCUGGAUUUGGACUUCAGCGACACGCCGGUGAGCCUCCUGAACCAGCCCAUCCCGCGAACCGCGCUCCUGACUCAAUUACUCUCGGACGAGCCCGGGUCAGCGGGCGCCGGUGGGUGCCGGUGGGUGACGCUCCCUCUCGCGAUGCUGACGCGCGGCGUUCGUCGCGCGCUAAUGAUGCGUCAUCGUUCAACGGCCUGCCCGGGCUUCGAGUCCGCGGGUCGGGGGCGCCGGGUCGUUUUGACGAGGAGCGGCGAGAACUUGCGCUUGAACGAGGACUCCAGACGGGUGUGUUGCACGGGAAAACGAGCUGCUGACGAAUAAUGAGUGACACGAGCCCCGCGCCCCUCACAUCAGGGCGCGCGACGUGGGCAGAUCGCGACGCGGGUCGGGGGCGUGAUAUACAGGUGGGUUCGAUGGGAGAUCAAAGCCGGGCAUCGGAGCCCGCCGCGCGAUCGGACGCGCGCGACUCGGCGAAGACGAACGGUUCAGAAGCGAGCUUCGAAGACAACGCAACUCGCCACGUGACUCGGAGGGGCGCCCGUCGAUGCCUCCUGACCGCCAGCCUCGUCGCUUGCCUCGUCGCGCUCCUCAUCGUACCUGUUCCGGUCAUCGCCGCGUCGUCGCCCAAGACCCGGCGCUGGGCGGAUCCCAACGAGGUCAAGGCGGGCGAGGCGAGCGAGACCCAGCGCGAGGAGAUCCGAUCCUUCUUCAGCUCGCUCGACGCUGACGGCGACGGCCAGGUCCGCGGCGACGAGCUCGGCGCGUACGUGGCGUCCAGCGUCGGCGGAAAGGACUUCGACACCGACGUCGAGGUCGCGGACGCCGUGCGCGCGGUGCAAGAGCGCAUCGACGGGCAGGACACCGGCGACGCCAUCGACGCCGAGGAGCUCAUGGUGUCGCUGACCAGCACCAAGAACCAGAUGCUGCGACCGCACAAAGUCGCGCGGUGGGUCCGUCACGGCCUCAACUUUCCCCAGUACGCCGAGCGCUUCAUGUCGCACGGCAUCACGCUGCUGGACUUUCCCGCCCUCCUGGCCGACGACGGCGCCGCGCUGAGAGAGGAACUGGGCGUCGAGAGCGCGCUGCACCGAGCCCAGCUCACCCGCGCGCUGAAGCGGCAGCUCCUGCAGCUCGGUCGAUCGCCCGGCGAACCCACGGACGUCCGAGCCGCCGUCGUCGCCGAGGACGUCGUCGUCGUCAAGUGGAGGCCGCCCCGACAGCACGGCCACCCGCCGGUUCACGCGUACGCGGUGCAGGUGAGGGAACCGGGUUCUCACGAGUGGCGCGUAUGCGGCGGGGCGACGCACGAGGACGAGGACGACGAGGUACACAGCGCCAAGGCGUUCGUGACGCCGACGAGGGAGAUGGCGGCGGCUGCCUUGGCGGCCGGGGUCGGAAACGGUCGGAACGUGCCGCUGAGGUUCAGGGUUGUCGCGUGGGGAGGGCACGGCGGGGGAGUGAGCGAUGAAUCCGCGUCGGUGGAGAUGAAACCGCUGCGAAGAUCGUACAAGAGGGAAGGAGUUCGCGCGGGUGGAGGCCAGGUGGAGAGCGACUCGAUCACCGCCGGGAACACCGUCGUCACGGGUUCGAACCCGCGGGUUCGAACCGCCACGGGUUCGAACCGCUCCACCUUGCUCGGAAGUUUGUACAGCGCCCUCGGAACUUUCCUCAUCGCCGCGGGUAUCGCCACCAGGUUCGCUCUCAACGGCGCAUCCUUUGUCGCGACGAGGGGGGUUCAGUUUUUGCUGAGGCGCCCAAAGUCGCACCGCGAGAACGCCGCCGCGGAUUCAGGAGCACGCGAGCCCCCGCCGCGCACGGAUGAGGCGACGGCCAACGGCGACGAGGACCGCGCGUCCCCGCCGCCGCCGGGUCUCGCGGGGCCUCAGCCCCGGUACGACCGCGCGAGGGUCCUGGAGUCGGCGAUGGCGGCGGCGGUGGCGGCGGGGGUGGCGGACGCGUCCGACGAGGCGAUCCUGUCCUCUCCGUCGGUAGCGGCGGUGAACGGGGCGGUGGUCGGGUCCAACUCGGCGAACGGUUCGUUUUACGCGAGCGACGACGACGACGACGACGACGACACAGCUGGCGACAUCGACGUCGCGCCCGUGGUCUGCGGGUUGUCGAGCGAGCCCAAGAAGAAGGGUCGGUGCUGCGUCGUGGGUUGUAACGCGAGGUGGGACCGGUGGAGCUCCAUGGGCGACUUCCGCAUGAUGUACCAGAAGCACUACUGCGGAUUGUGCCAGCGCGCGUACUGCCAGGCGCACACGCGGGUCAGCCCGCACGGGACGAAGGGAAGGUGCGACCCCGAGAGCAAGUGCUACUGCGCGGUGUGCUGGGACGAUUUGAACGCGGCGACGAGGGAGGCGCUCGAGGCGACGAACAGGCUGCCGAGGCGGGAGCCGACGAGCGGGAGCGCGACGCCGGACGCGAGGAAGCGGGCGAAGACGAGGUGGCGCUCGGUGCUGAACUACAAGCUUCGAACGCCGUCCAGGGCGGAGAACUUGAACCUCAUGGACGAGGAUGUCGAGUGACGGGAGUGAGAGGAGACGCAAAGGAACGACGCGAGGAGGGGGAGCGUUUGGACGACGCUUUUGGAUCGUCGUUCGAUUCGCGCGAGUGUUGGUCGACAUUCUCGUUAAGAUUCGGUGCGUUGUUUUUUAUGUAGUAUCCUCCUCUCGCAUCCUCCUUAGCUAAGACGAACCCCGCCCACUCGGGGGUUCCCUUCAUCACCCGUGUCUAUGUUUGCGAAACGGUGCAGUCGGCUGUUCCGUCAGCGGACCCCAACACUCGUGCCGUGUUCCCUCCUCUCAAGGGACCCGUCCUGUUUACCAACCUCACGCGGCGUCCACCGCCCGCGUUCCUCGCGUUUCCUCCUUCGCACCAACGCGAAUUAACUUUACGCGUCUCCGAGGUCCUCGUCCUCGUCGGGCAGCGGCUGCGCGGCGGCGUUGGCGAGCUCCGCCUCGUACUGCGCCUGCUCCGCGGGAUCGAUGGUGACCUCGGGCGGGGCGAGGGCUGGGGACUCCACGAACUGGAGGGUGGGGUCGCCCGCGAGCUUGCGCGCGAGGUAGAGGAAGGGCUUCUCGAAGUUGUAGUUGGACUUGGCGGAGAGCUCGUAGUACUGGAGGUUCUUCUUGCGGUGGAAGGUGAUCGUCUUGGCGCGCACCUGGCGGUUGCGCACGUCCACCUUGUUGCCGCAGAGGACGAUGGGGAUGUCCUCGCACACGCGGGUGAUAUCACGGUGCCACGUGGGCACGUUCUUGUAGGUGGUGCGGGAGGUCACGUCGAACAUGAUGAUGGCGCACUGGCCGUGGAUGUAGUAGCCAUCGCGGAGGCCGCCGAACUUCUCCUGGCCCGCGGUGUCCCAGCAGUCGAAGCGGAUGGGACCGCAGUUGGUGUGAAACUCGAGGGGGUGAACCGCCACGCCGACGGUGGCUGCGGAGAAGGGACGAAGGGGACGUGGGGAGAUGCGGGGGACGCUUCAGUCGAGUCGGUCGCGCCGGCGGCGGAUGUGAGUUUAAAAACGGGUUCGACGACGGGGUUGGAUCUCUCGUGAAACGUUGCACCCCGGGGGGCACGGCGGGUGACGGGAUGCUCAGCGCGCGCGGGGCACUCACGAAGGUACUUCUUCUCGAACUCGCCGGUCAAGUGACGCUUGACGAAGGUGGUCUUGCCUGAGGGAGUGAGGCGGGUGGAAGGUGGGCGGGUCAGGACGCGGAUCUCUAUGGCGCGCGGCGGCGUCGCGAGCUUUCGCCGAUCGUCGAUCUGGAGGGGGACGCGUCGGAACUCGGGAUCUGGCGGGACGGUCGGGACACUCACCGGUACCACCGUCACCGACGAGGAUGAGCUUGAAAGUGGGAGUCUGAGCCAUCUUUCUCCUUUCUGUUGGGAACGGGGAGGGCGCGGGUCAGCGCUCGGGGUCGGCGGCGUGGGGUCCUCGCGACGCGGGGAGAUCCCCCUUGAAAGGGGGCUGAAAAAAAGGCUCGCAGACGGCGACAGGGCGUGGACAAUCUCGACGAUGGGACCGCGAUCGCGUCCCGAACUCGAAGCGGAAUGGGCCGGUGUGUUCGUUGAGCUCACCUGUUCCUUAGCGAACCGUGCGCUGAGGCUUGUCUGAAGUGGACGGGUACCAGGGAUCGUGCCAGGACUUCAAAAAAGAUGCCUACUUGCACUUCGUCAGGUUUUUUUGGCGGCGUUCGCUUUGGUCGGUUGUGACGGUAUGAGGAAGCACCCUGCGCCAAAAGCAAUUGGGCCGAGCUCCGCAACGAACACCUGUGCGCGUGAACGCGAUCGGAGUCACGCCGAAAUUUGGAAUUUGCCAGAUAUUUUGGGAGUUCCGACUGUUUGCCUGUUCCAGACCAAACGGAACCAAUCGAGUCACUGUGAGCCAUCCACCGCAGCAACGCGCGAUGCCUCCGACGAAGCAGGAGCAGACAAUCGGCCAGCUCAGAUAGGGUGACCGAGCGCGUGCGUGUGUCAUUCGCCACGGUCGCACCGGACUUGCGCGCACGAAAGACACGCCCUCGAGCCUCAAAACUCGCGCGUGACUUCGUAACCGAGUCCUCCCGCGGCAGGUCGUGAGAGAUGAGCGCCUCCGUCGCGAGCGCGUGCCGCGCCGUCGCGGCGAACGUCGCCGCCGCAAGGAGCGCUCGGGGGAGGGCGAGCGUGCGACGCGGAGGAGACGCGGUUUGUGGCGCGCGCGCGACGCGCGUGAUCGCGCCGCGCGGGAAUGCGCGCGUCGGGGUGGUGAUGAACUCGAUGGAUGAGCUCGAUGCGGAAGGUGAGUCGCCUGAACGAUCGUUUGGACGCGGCGCGACGUCUUCGACCCACGCGCCGUUGCCCGCAUUCUCCCCAAAAAACAUUUUUUUCGUUGAGCUUCCUCGCCUUCGAAUUAUCGUGGGUCGACGGGGACACGCGACGCGUUACCGGCGCACGGCGCUGCCGUAUCGCGCGCGCACCGCGCCGCAUCGCGCGUCGUUCGAAUCCGAUCCAACGCCAUCGCGCAUCCCCCGCCUUAACUUCCACAUGCUCGGACCGCUGACCCGUCCCCCCGCUCCCGCACCCACGACAGCCGCUGCGGUCAUGGAGCAGAUCCGCCAGCUGCAGGAGGCGAACGACAAGCUCAAGCAGGACAUGGACCUCUUCGCGAUGCCCGAGGCGCUUCCCCAGCGCCCGGACUACGUCCCCGAGGCUGGAUCCCUGCAGGGGACCUCCGCACCCAAGAGCUCGUUCAGCGCGGACGUCCUCGGGAUGGAGAUGCCCUACCUCGGCGAGGGCGAAACGCGCGUCGGGUUCCAGCACUUUGACAAGGUUGAGAACGAGAGGGCCCGGAUGGAGGCGAUGCGGGUGGAGCAGGCCGCGAGGGUGACGGGCGUGACCCCGAGGCCGCCGCCAAAGUACGAGAAGACCGAGUGGCCCCUCUCCAUCGUCUUCGUCUCCUCGGAGGUGACGCCGUGGUCCAAGACUGGGGGCCUCGCCGACGUGUGCGGUUCGCUGCCGAGGGAACUCGUCAAGCGCGGCCACCGCGUGAUGGUCGUCUCGCCGUACUACCAACGGGGAACCAAGGAGGAUAAGUACUUCGAGGGUGCGUUCGACACGUGCUCCAACGCCUCGGUUGGGUGCUUCGGCGCCGCGCACGAGGUUGGGUUCAUGCACCAGAUUCACGACGGCGUCGACUUUGUAUUUGUGAAACACGACUGCUACGAGCGGCCGGGGGGUAUCUACGCGGACGCCAUGGGCAACGCGUGGGACGAUAACCAGUUCAGGUACACGCUGCUGUCGCACGCCGCGUGCGAGGCGCCGCUCAAGAUCAAUUUCGAGGGUAAGGGAACGUACGGCGACGAGGUUGUGUUUGUCGCCAACGACUGGCACGCGGGUCUCGUGCCGCUCGUGGUGGCGUCCAAGUACCGCCAGUACUGGAACACCUACCACAACGCGCGGACCAUCACCGUCAUCCACAACAUCCUGCACCAGGGCAGCGAACCCGCCACGACGUUCCCUAACCUCGGAAUCCCCGACGACUGGUACUGGUGCCUCGAGUACCAGUACCCCGAGCACAUGCGCGCGCACGAGCUCGACCUCGGGCUGGUGGUGAACAUCCUCAAGGGCGCCGUGGCCACCUCGGACCGCGUGCUGACCGUCUCCGAGGGAUACGCCGAGGAGAUUUGCACCCCGCUGGGAGGCAAGGGCCUGGAGGGGAUCCUCACCGAGCGUAAGCACAGGCUGGACGGCGUGGUGAACGGCAUCGACCUGGACGAGUGGAACCCGGCGAAUGAUCCGCACUGCGAGUUCCCUUACGACGUGAGCAACCUCGCGGGGAAGCUCAUGAACAAGCGGGCGCUGCAGCGGGAGCUCGGGUUCGACGUCCGCGACGACGUACCUCUCCUGGGUUUCAUCGGUCGCCUGGACUGGCAGAAGGGACCCGACCUGAUCCGCGACUCGAUCGCCGAGAUGAUGAACGAGGACGUUCAGCUGGUGAUGCUCGGCUCGGGCAUCGGCGAGCUCGAGGGAUUCAUGCAGUGGGCGGAGGCGACGUACAACGACAAGUUCCGCGGGUGGGUCGGAUUCAACGUCCCCGUCGCGCACCGCAUCACCGCCGGCUGCGACAUCCUCUUGAUGCCCUCCAGGUUCGAGCCGUGCGGCCUGAACCAGCUCUACGCCAUGAGGUACGGCACCCUGCCGAUCGCGCAUGCCACCGGCGGCUUGAACGACACCAUCACCAGGCACAACCCGUUCGCGCUGGACGAUCCGGAGGUGGCGGUGGCGGCGGCGAUCGCGUCCGACGAGGGAGAGGACGGGAACAGGGAGAUGGCGGACCUGGGUCCGGGCACCGGCUGGCUCUUUGACUCAAUGGACACUUGGAGUUUCAUGUACUGCGUGUCAAACGCGUGCAAGCUGUUCCGGGAGAACCCGAGGAUGUGGCGCGCGAUGCAGAUCCAGGCGAUGUCCCAGGACCUCUCCUGGUAUCACGCGGCGCUCAAGUGGGAGAAGAUCUUCGAGUGGUCGAAGAUCGACCCGCCGCACUGCGAGAUCAAGCAGGAGCACCACCACCACUACUGAUUCGAUUGGGCGCGCGAAGCAAGGCUGCCCCGUUUUGUACCUUCUACUUUUCGUGAGCGGGAUUCGGCAUAAACGACUUUAUCUCGUUUGAGCAGAUUGCAUUUUAAUACACCAUACCACACGUUGAUUCACGCGGGCUGAUUGAUUCGCGUAAACGACGACGACGCGUCGCGCCGAUGUUCUUGCCGGGCGCGACGUUGGCUCACAUCAUGCUCCGCGGGGGUUCCAUGUUUGCACUCGGGUGCUCCUCGGACACGAUGCUCUGAAUGUCCGUCCCUCCCGGCCCCGGCGGCGACAUCGCAAACUCCGCUUGCCUCCCGUACACGAUCUCCGCCACCCGCACCAGCAUCACCGCGGUCAGCCCCCACACGUCGUGCCCGCCGCGUUCGAACCUGUGCACGCGUAUGCGCUUCCCCCGCGUGAACUCCCAGUCGCGAAACGAGUACCCCUCUUUGGUCAGGAAGGACUCCAGCGGCACCCGGAAGCACCGGUCCACCUCUUCGGGGUUCGGGACGGGUUCGAAAUCGUCCGGGAUCGCCGCGACGACCGGCCGGACGCUGACGUGGCCCUUCGACAGGAACGGCGGGAGCGACGCGAGGACGUUCGCGUCCCCCGGGCUCAAACCGACCUCCUCCGACGCCUCCCUCAGCGCCGCGUCGACGUCGCCCUCGCCGUCGUCGUUCUUGCCGCCGGGCAGGCAGACCUCCCCGGCGUGGGUGCUCAGCCCGGACGCGCGCGUGCAGAGCAGCACCUGCACGCCGCCGUCUGGUCCGCGGGAGAGCGGGACGAGCACGGACGCGCGACGCGACGAGAGCGGCGCCGGAUCGCCUCCGCCGUUCCGCGUCUCCCGAGCCCACCAUCGCGUCAGCGCCUCCGCCGCUUCGUCCAUGCCCAGGGACGCCGGGCGACUCUGCCGCGCGCCCAUGAGGUCCUCGAGUAGUCCCCUGAGUUCGCGUUCGGUUCGGUCGGGGGCUGGCUCGGACCGUCGCGCGGACUCACCGCGCGGCUCGCCACUCGUCCCCGGGGUCUGGUGCCACGGAUCGUUCGGGUAGAAUCCUCCGAACCUCCUGACGAGCGGCGCGCCGAGCAGCGGGGAGGUGAACCGACGGUGGGAUGCCACCGAGGACUCGAGCGAGUCGAACGCGACCCUGGCUGCGAGCGCCCGACCCCACCCCAACCCCAGGGCUCGGUAGGCCAUGCACCGGAGGUGUCGGGUGUGAGAGCCCCCGCACCUUCUUCGAGGUUCACAAUAAAAAAACCGCCAUGUCACGGAGGAUUCCUUCCAACUGUGGGACUCGAAAAUAUCCAAUCUCUUUUUUGUCGCUUUUUGGCGGGUUGUGUACCAGCCGGUGUUCUCGCCGUGCGUGGGACGCACCCCGGCUUAACUGUUUGCGCGUACAGCUCCCGCAUAAUUCGUUACAAGCCCCAGCGUGUGUCAUCGCCCGAACCAAAUGCCUAGUGCGAUCGAGUUUUGGAUUGCGGUUGGAUUUCCCGCGGAAAAAAACCAACCGAGCUGGUGUACCGUGCGCGAUCGCCAAUCGCGAUUCGAGGAUCAGCUGAGUUGGCCUCGAUUCAUUGGAGGCUUCGAACUCGCGUGAAAUAAUGAGAGACCAACAGCGGUUUAUCCGAGAGCAUUUGAGGUUCCGAAACCCGCCCUCGCAGAGAUCAAAAAACCACGCCCACUCGAUAUUUCCGCGGUUCUCACCCCAGCCAGAGGAAGAAAGCAAGGAGAAAAAAAGCCGGGCGCGUGGACUCGUCAAUUGGACGCUCGCACGACCGUCGACCGAUAGGUGAGAGGUGCUCAAGGCGCCUUCGUUGGUUGACCUUCGAACGUAGUCGACCCCAGCGCCGUCGACCGCGACCGGACUCUGUCCCGAGCGCCCGCCGUCUCGUUCGACGAGCGAAAACUCGCGCGCCAAGUUUGCGCCAUCGCAUCAAAGCCUUGGUCCGGAAUCCCACCAGGCGAUCCGGAGCGCUCGGAUAAGAUCUGAGCGAGCGCGGUGAACGAUGGCGUCCGCGAUGACACAGGAUGUGAUUGCCCGCGCCGCCGUGAAGGCUAACCCCGUCGUGUCCGCCGCGUCGCGACGCGGCGCGGGCGCGAGGAGCAACGGCGGCGUCGGGUCCACCCCCGCCACCAAGAGGGCGGUCGUGAGGUGAGUCGCUCUGCGAGAAAUAUGUCCCGAGCCUGGCGCGGCGCGAAGGAGCUCGCGAAGCGUCGUGUUGGAUCGCGGAAGGCUCCGCGAGGCGUUUCCGACCGAUGCGACGUGUCUUUUCGCGAUCGUUCCACCGCGCCAUUGCCCGACCGACCCCGCAUCGCCGAACCGCGCCCGCCAGAGACACGACCAAACGUCGGAUAAGGGAUUUGAUAAUUUGCACGCGAGAAUUUGCGCGCGUCGAACCCGACCAAACCCGCCGCCUCGAAACUGACCGCGCCGCGCCCCGUCUCUCUCACCCUCCGUCCCAGCAGGACCUCUCGUCGUUCGGUGGUGGUGCGCGCCGACAGCAAGCCCGCGUGGCUCACGGGCGAGAAGGAGCCCGAGCCUCAGCCCCCGGCGGAGGCAGAGGCUGCCCCCGGCAGGCCCCCGCUCCCCAAGGGCGGAGCGCCCCCGCCCAUCCCGUCUUCGAUCCCAAAGACCGCGCAGGCGCCCUCUUUCAUGAAGAGGAGCCGGGUGCCGCCGCCGCCAUCGGUGCCGUUCACCACGCCCGCGGCAGAACCCGCGGCUGCGCCCCCCGCCGCGCCCGCGCCCCCGGCGGAACAGGCCGCCGCGGCUCCGCCUCCGCCGCCGCCGACCACGACCGUCGAUCCCUACGCGUCGCUCAACAUGGCUGACCCGUACGCGGCUCUCGACGCGGCACCCGCUCCCCCGCCGCCCGCGCCGCCUCCUCCUCAGGCGGCGCCCCCUCCGCCUACCCAGGCGGCGCCUGCCCCGCCGCCCCCUCCUCCCCAGGCGGCGCCUGCCCCCGCGCCCCCGCCUCCCCAGGCGGCGCCUGCCCCCGCGCCCCCGCCUCCCCAGGCGGCGCCUGCGGCGGCGCCCCCGCCUCCCCAGGCGGCGCCUGCGGCGGCGCCCCCUCCUCCCCAGGCGGCGCCUGCGGCGGCGCCCCCUCCUCCCCAGGCUGCGGCUGCGGCGCCCCCUCCCCAGGGGACCCCCAACGGCCUGCCCCCGCCGGUCAACGCUCCCCCGACGGCCAUGAUGCCCCCCGCGCCGCCUCCCCCCAACGGCGCUCCCGUUCCUCCCCCCGCGGGCGUGAACGGCGCCCCGAACGGCUACCCCGCCGGAGCCAUGAACGGGGGACCCGGGUACACCAACGGUGCCCCCGCGGGCGUCCCCGGGGUCACCCCGCCCGCGCCCGGCAUGCCCGCCGAGGAGGUGUCCAUCUCCCCGGAGAUGACCGAGGAAGAAAUCGCCGCCGCCAUCGCCGUGGAGAAGCAGAAGCUCCAGCUCGCGCAGCAGGCUGAGCUGGACCGACUGGCGCACGAGGCGGCGCAGCGGGAGGCGGCCGAGGCUGCGCGCAUGCAGGCUGAGGCUGAGGCGAGGGCCAUCGCGGAGGCUGAGGAGGCGAAGCGGAAGGAGGAGGAGUUCUUGGCCAACAUCGAGGUCGAGGUUGCCAAAUCCGCGAUUGACCACAUCGCCAACGCGCCGGGCCGAAACCUCUACUUCACCGUCCCCGAGAAGCUCGUCGCCGGGAAGCCCGCCAAGAUUUACAUCAACACCGCGAACAGCGGCAUCCUCGGCGGCAGGCACAGCGUCCGACUCGAGGCGGGUUUCAACGACUGGAAGCUGGAUAAGUUUGACACGUCGAUGAAGCCCGCGGGUCCCGGCGGGUUCUUCUACACCGACUUUGUUGUCCCCGAGCUGGCGUACUGCUUCAACUGCGUGUUCGAGGCUGACAACAUGUACGACAACAACGGCGGUGAGAACUGGUACGAGGAGGUUCACUACGGCAAGACCAAGGAGGAGGUCGAGAAGUACUUCCACGAUAAGAAGAUCUACGAGGCGGCGCUAGAGGAGGCCACCAAGGAGAUUGAGGUGGAGAAGUACGAGCAGGGCAACCGCAAGGAGGGCGUCGCGGAGGGCGAGCUCCACAAGGAUGGUCGCUGCAUUGUCAAGUCUGACCUGCCAGUCAAGCCCGGCGCGACGGUCCAGAUGAUGUUCAACAAGGCGAUGAACCCGAUCGGCGGCGACGGGAAGAUUCGCAUCCACGUGGGCUUCAACAAGUUCGCCCAGGGUUUCGAGCAGGAGAUCACCAUGGAGCUGGUCAAGGGCGCGGCGAUGGACGACCAGAACUACUGGUGGGGUGCCACCGUCAAGAUUCCCCCCACGGCGUACACCGUCGACAUGGUCAUCUCGGACGAGGCUGAGGAUGCGUGGGACAACAACGACGGCAACGACUAUCGCCUCCUCGUGAAGGGCGGCGGCAACGCCACCAACGAGGAGUGGGACGCGCGCAUCCAGGAGCGGAUGGCCUACAUCGCCAUUCAGAAGGAGCUGGAGGCGAAGCGGCAGAAGGAGGCGCUUCGCGCGCGUCGGUUGCGAAAGGCGGAGGCGAGCAAGAAGGCUCGCGAGGUGACCGUGCGCCAGACGCAGCACAUUCUCACCACGGAGCCCACGCACCCGGUGGCGGGCGAGGAGGUGACCAUCACCUACCACCCGGAGAACACCAACCUCGGCAUGGCGCAGGAGGUGUACCUCACCGGGGGGUUCAACCGCUGGACGCACCCGGAGCCGCCGGGGGCGGUUAAGAUGGAGGCAAACCCCGACAAGCUGGGCGUCGGGUCGGCGGUGACGUGCAAGAUCAAAAUCCCGGAGGAUGCGUGGAUGAUGGACUUUGUCUUCAGCGACGGCAUCGCGGAGGGGAGCACGUACGACAACCACUUUGGCAAGGAUUACCACAUACCCAUCGAGGGCAGCACGGAGGAGAAGCCGCCGCUGCACGUCGUCCACGUCUCCGUCGAGAUGGCGCCCAUCGCGAAGGUUGGCGGCCUCGGCGACGUGGUCACCGCGCUCGCGCGCGCGGUUCACGACCAGGGCAACAUGGUGGAGAUCAUCCUCCCGAAGUACUCGUUCUUCAACAUGUCCCCGAUGCUCGGCGGGAUGCAGUACGAGACGCAGUUCGAGUGGGGCGGGACCACCAUCGUGGUGCAGCGGUGCAUCGUAGAGGGCAUCCAGGUUUUCUUCAUCGAACCCCAGAACGGCUUCUUCGACGUCGGGUCCGUGUACGGCAGGAACGACGACGGCGUCAAGUUCGACUACUUCUGCAACGCGGCGCUGGAGUUCCUCACGUGCACGCAGAGGCAACCCGACAUCCUCCACUGCCACGAUUGGUCCACCGCGGAGGUUGCCUCUGCGUACUGGGGCAACUACCAUCACUACGGACUUUGGAAGCCCAAGGUUGUGUUCACCAUCCACAACAUGAACUACGGGCAGAUGAAGAUCGGGGAGGCGAGCUUCCACUCGCAGAUCACCACCACCGUGUCCCCCUCGUACGCCGGCGAGGUUGCCGGCCACCCCGCGGUGAACCAGAACCUCCACAAGUUCCACGGCGUGCGCAACGGCAUCGACACCGAGAUCUGGGACCCCGAGACGGACCAGUUCCUCCCCAUGAAUUACAACGCUGACAACCACGAGGCCGGCAAGCGCGCCGCGCGCGAGACGCUCCAGUCCCGUUUCGGUCUCACCUGGGGCUCCGACCAGCCCAUGGUGGCUGUCGUUUCGCGCCUCACCGCGCAGAAGGGUCUCGACCUCAUCAAGCAUGCCAUCGGCCACAGCGUCAAGCGCGGCGCGCAGUUUGUCCUCCUCGGCUCCGCGCCCGAUCCCCGCGUGCAGGCUGACUUUAACGCGAUGGCCGGGCACAUGGGCGGACCGAACGCGGCGUUCUGCUUCGCGUUCGAUGAGCCCUUGUCCCACGUCGUGUACGCCGCCGCGGAUUUCAUCCUGGUGCCGUCGAUGUUUGAGCCCUGCGGCUUGACGCAGAUGAUCUCCAUGCGGUACGGUGCCGUGCCCGUGGUGCGCGCCACGGGCGGCCUCCGCGAUACCGUCUUCGACCUGGACACCGAGAAGGCGCGCGCGGCGUGGGAGGUUGACGGGUCCACCGACUUCAAGGAAACCGGCGACCAGACGAACGGAUUCUCCUUUGAGGGUACCGACCCCGAGGCGCUCAACUACGCGCUGGACCGCGCGCUGGACUGCUACUACAACGACAAGGUGUGGUUCAGGACGCUUCAGGAGAGGAUCAUGCGCCAGGACUGGUCGUGGAAUCGUCCGGCGCUCGACUACAUCGAACUCUAUUACAGCGCCAUCCGCAGCUAAAUAAGGCGAGAGCGUCGCGGCGCGGCGGGGGUGAUUCUGUAUUUGACGGCGGUGCUCAAGGAGGAGAGGAGAGGAGAGUUGAUGAUGAGAGAGAGUUUGGGUCGUCGCCGAUGCGGAUGCGACUGCGUUGAUAACUAAAUUGUGCAAGCAUUUUUUGUAACCCAUCAUUCAAGAUGAACGAACUCGGCGGUUGGCGUCGCCGCGCGGGAAAAAACCAAUAAAAACCAAACGCACUGGCGCUGGCGGACGGUCAGCUGUCACGGACGCGCGCUGUCUCAUCACUGUCUCGCUGUGAGCCACGAGUUUGCGAAGAAACCCGAUAGGGCUAACGUCACUCAUGAUGACGACGACGGCAAGGUGUGCCGCCGCGACGAGCGCUUCCGCUCGUCGCUCCGCGUUCCUCGGGGGUCGCACCCCGGUUGCGGCGUCAGCGCGACCCGCCCCACCGGCGCGAUCCUCCCGCGGCGCGCCUGUGCGCGUCGUGAGCGACGUGCGCAAGGACUGGAAGUCGAGCAAGAGCAUGACGCUGACCAUCUCCGACGAGGACGCGACGCACACGUUCGAAUCUUACAUCAGCGACGGCGAGCGGAUCAUCAGCGUCACGUUCCCGGAUCAGGCGCGGCGCCGCAAGCUCUCGGACACCACCUGGGAGGUGCAGCUGCUCCCGUUCUCGUUCAUGCAGUGGAGGGCCACAGUCUUCUGCACGCUCCGGCUGGAGCCCGUGAGCGGCGAGCUGCGGCUCUCCGCCGAGGACCUCAGGAUCGACGGGCUUCCCCCCGAGCUCGGCGUCGACGGCAAGGUGUGGCUCACCAUGGACGGCGCCCUGAAGCCCGCGAGGACCGCGCCCGCGGGCAGGCGAAAGGUCCUCGGUAAGAUCACCGUCAACCUCUCCGCGGAUGUCAACGACGCAGUGGCGAUGUUCCCGGGCCUGGACGACGCCGUCAACCUCAUCAACGACACCGUCAUAUCCAACCUGCAGGGGAGCAUCAACGCGACGAUCGCGAAGGACUACGCGAAGUGGAAGGUGGCGCAGAGGGUUCCGGCGUGAGCGCGAGGGGUCGGGUUGGAUUCCGGCGCGAAUCCAAUUAGAAAUGCACACCUUGCAUCUCACUAGAAAACGUGUGUAAUUUUAGGCGUAAUCGUUGUUAACAAUGAAGACAAACACGGCACCCGAUUUGAGCAUUUGAGUUUUGCACACAAAACGGAAGGUCCUCGGAUUCUCCUCGGCGGAGCCGCGUGCGCCGAUGGCGGGCCCGUACGCGCGCUCGCCGGAGAAGGCGAGCCCGAGCACCGGCUCGCCCCUAACGCGCGAUAUUCCCGGAUCGCCCUCGCGCGGCGGGUCUAAGCGGGCGCCCCGAUCCGCCCCGCCCCGUCCCAGCAGCGAUGUUAGCCGGCAAUUGAGGUCGCCCGUCAAGAGCGUCUACCAGGACGCGCUCCUGGAGGGGUUCAUGGGCAAGUACGGCCCGGUGGACGACGCCUCCAUCGCCGCCGCGGAUAAGCACGCGAUCGAGCUCAAGAAACGGUACGCGCGCGCGAGGACGGAGGAGGAGCGGGAGCGAUGGAUCAACCUCGCGUCCGAGGCGACGCUCAAGGCGAACAUGAUGCGAGCCGAGCGGGACUUCCUCCAACGCCAGGGGCGGGAGGUGAGAGGAGCCGCGCGGGUCGACGCUCGCGGCGCUCCCGCCCACCGCACAUUCGUGGGAACCGACGAGGAACACGCCGCGGCGGUCCGGAUGCAGCGCAUCCAACGCGGCAGGGCCGCGCGCGACCGAGUCAAGGCGAUGAGACGCGAGCGAGCUUCGAAUCGAGAAGCUUCCAAUCGAGCGCGCGACGACGCGAGAGUGCGGCACGACGCCGCCGCGCGCAUACAGGCCGCCGUCCGCGCCAAGACCGCGCGCGAGAGGGUCGGUAAGAUGCGCGCGGAUGAACGCGUCGCCGCCGCGAGGGCGAGGGUCGCGAGGAACGCCGCCGCGGAGCGAGCCGCGCGUUGGCGCGAGCCGGAGCCCUCGUUUGAAUCGCCGUACCUCCACUCCGCCGCGUCCUCGAGGGAGGCGACGCCGGUCAAAUCGCGCCCCGCGUCGGCGUCCUCGCAAAAAGAGGCGGCGGCGACGACGACACAGCUUUCGACGACGACGACGACGGCCGUGUCGCCGUCUGGGCGGCGCCCGGCGAGCGGCAUAACCUUCCCGGGCGAGGACGACCACGUCCGAAGGAUGCGCGCGUUCCGCGAGAGGGUGGAGGCCAAGGCGAACGCGAUCGGGGCGCUGCCGGCGCGGCGCACCCGCCCCGCGCCGCCGCCGAAGCCAUCCCCGGCCAAGAGCAUCCUCAAAUCCCCCGCCGAUCGCCCCCGGUCCUCGCCGGGGGCGAUCGAGUACGCGUCCCCUCGUCGCGGCUUUCUCGACGACGACGACGCGCUCGUUCGAAGCGCGCAACCCCCAUCCCCGGGCGACGCGCAUCGGUCGAGAGAGGCCCGGCCGAGAGAGGCUCGUCGGAGCCUCCGCGUCAGCUUCGAGCUCGCCGAGGACCGCGAGCGGCGGGAGGAGGACUCCCCGGCGACGUUGGCGCGCAAAGCGGAGCUCGCCAUGGACGAGCGCUUUCGCCCGAGGGUCCCGCGCGAUGCGGUCGCGGCGGCGCGGGACGCGGAGCGCGCCCUGGCGGCGGCGGAAGCCGCGGUGGCGACGGCGACGCGGAACAAGGCGGCGCGGGACAGGGUCAAGGCGCGCGCGGGCGGGGGGCGGGCGACGCCGGGGCGGAAAAUCGUCGUCGUCGACGAGGAUUCGGAGAGGUCGCGGGAUCGAAUCCCGUUGUCGCCGUCGCCUUCGCCGCGUCGGACCCAAUCCUCGGCGAGGCGGACGCCCCCUACCGCGGGUCGUUCGCCGUCGCUGGAGCUGUCCCCGAGCCCCGUCCCGGCAACCCGCGCGCCCGUGCGGGCCACCGCGAGGGCGUUUCGGCCGAGCAAGAACGAGAGGGCUCGCGAGUACAACAACCGGCUUCGCGAGCGUGAGCACCGCGAGCGUCUGCGGCGUCGCGAACGGUCGGUGCAGGCGGAGAAGGCGGCGGCGGUGCGGGCGGGAGUGUCGGUGGCGGACCAUCUCGACUCGAAGCUCACCGCCCGCCAGCGAGCCGCCGCGAUCAUGCGACAGGUUGACGCGGCGCAGCGCAACUCGGAGACUGUGGCGGGGAUCUUCGUGUCGUACGUCGCCGCGCGUAAAUCCGGGGAGGAAAUCGACAGGAGGCACGCCAAGGACGUCGCGGCGAUGGCGCGGUCCAUGCCCGCGUUCAGGGCGCUCCCGCCCGUGCACGUCGCCGACGCGCUCGCCGCCGCGGAGGUUUCGCGGCACGCGACGGGCUCGGUGAUUUUUCACGAGGGUGACCGCGGCGACGCCCUGUGCGUGGUGGUCGGCGGCGAGGUCGCGCUGUUCCAGAAGGGCACCAAUUUGAAGGGCCCCAGGGAGCUCGCCCCGGACUACGAGCUCCUAUGGGCGACGGAGAGCGUCAGGCGCGGACGCGAGGGCGCGGACGCGGCGUUCCGACUGGCGAAGCCCGGCGAUAAGCGACCGGGCAGCGCGGUGACGCCGACAAAGGAGCGAAGGACACGCGGCAAAGGAGGACAUCAAGGAGGAGGAGGGGCGUACGACGGCGACGACGGGAUCAUCACCGACGCCGCGCACGACGUCCAGGCCGCGGCGCUCGGCGCGCCCAAGCACUGCGGCCGAUUGGCCCGGCGCGUGCGUCUGGGUCACGCGUUCGGCGAAAAGGCGGUGACGCGGCGCGGCGGCGAGGCUCGAGCCGCCACGGCCGUCGCGCUCUCCCCGGUCACCGUCCUCGCGAUCAACAGGUUUAAAUACGCCGCGAUCAUGAAGGCGGUGGGCGCGACGGAGAGUGCGGACGUCGCCGACUUUCUCCGCGACACGGAGCUCUUUCCGGAGACGCGCGUGUCGGACGAGGACCUCACGGAGUUGGCGUCUAAGCUCGUCGUGAUCCGCGCGGGGCCCGGGGAUGUCGUCGUCGCUGCUGGGGACCACGCGAAGGGCGCGUUCUUCGUGCGUUCGGGGCGCGCCAAGGUGAGCGCGACGGCCAGGGUGAUGGUGGAGCCCCCAUCCGAUGAGGUUGUUCGAAGGGACGUCGGGAACGACGAGUCCCGGGACGGGUUUCGCGGCGCUUCCGUUCGGAGCUCCGUUCGCUCGAGUCGGGACUCGUCAUACGACGCGGAGGCGCGUUCGUCGUCGUCGCUGCCGGUGUCGCCGCUUCGACCGCGAACCGGCAGUGGCGGAGGCGCCUGGCGAAGGGCGCCCACCUACGAAACGCGCGACGUCCCGUUGGGCGAACUGGUCCCGCCGGCGAUUUUCGGCGAGGAGUGCCUCGUCCCCUUCGAGUACUCGGACGAAGCCGGGGGCGGGGUCGGGCCGGGACGACACGCGUUCACCGUCCGGGUAGAUCCGGAAGGGGAUCCGCACGGCGCGGUGUUCCUCCGGCUGCCCCCCACGUACCUCGCGUCCCUCCCGGCGGUCGUCGCGAAGCGUCUGACGCAGCUGGCGAAGAGCACGAGCGCGGCGAGUAAGGAGGCGACCAAAGCGCUCGACGACGCGGGCUCGGAACUUCGAAGAUCGACGGAGGGCGGAGGCUGGGCGAGGCGGUCGCCGUCCUCGGGGGGGGCGGCGCCGCCGCCGCCCGCCCGGAGCGUAGCGUCGCCCUCCGUCCGCGCCGGGUUCGGGACGUCCGCCGCCCCGAGGAACGAGCCGACGGCGGCGCUCGACUCGGCCCGGUACGUCGGCGUCGAGGAGGGCCGCGCGCCAAUCGGCGUCGGCCUCGGCGGCGGCGGCGGACGGACUCGGGAGGUGGGCACGCCGAGCGCGCUCGCGAGGCAGGCGCGUCGGGAUUCGCGGGUGAGGCCGGCGACGGCGCUGGCGGCGAUGACGCGGACGGAGAUGCGCGCGGGAGGGUUCGUCCCUUCCUCCCCGAGCGGCGGGCCGGGUGGAUCUGCCCGCCGGCCGAGGUCCGCCGUCGUCGCCGGCGCCUCUCCCGUCCGCCCUUACGCGCCUUCCUCCUCGCUCGAUCCGGACUCCACGUUCGAGGACUACCUCGACCACGACGACGACGCGGACGCGUCGUUCGGAUCGCCGUGGGGCACCCCUGCGAAGGCGUCGUCGUCGGCGGGGUAUCGCGCCGCGAUGGCGCGAGAGUUGCGGUCCAGCAUCCUCGGUCCCCCGGCAAUCGGGUCCGCUCCGGGCCGGGCCGGGGCGUCGCGGGGCGGAUCGACGAAGGCGUGGAGGAAGGCUCCGGACGUCCAGGUGAGGCUUACCAAGAAGGCGGCGGCUCUCGCGGAGAAGAACAGGCCGAUCAGGGAGUGGCGCGAGCGGGGACGGGGACGAGAGAUCGGCGGCGUCGACGACGACGGGUAUUUUUCGUCGAGGCCGGCGACGGCGACGGGCGCGGGCGCGGGGCGGUCCACCGCGGGCGUCGUCGGCGACCGCGGCCGCGUCAGGCCCGCGACUGCGGCUGCGGCGAUGGACUACGGGGGUCUGUGGGGGGAUGACGCGUACGACAUGGGGGGAUGGACGAGGGGCAGCAAACUGUAGGCGGGGACGAUCCCGAUCGGUGAAACGAAACGCGUUUGUCAUACACGCGCGCCGGUUCUCUCGGCGAUCGCGCGAAUCGGCGAUCUUGUCCAAUCGUGACUCGCCGUUUGCGCAGCUUUUUGCACGUGCCGGGGAAUUUUCCGGUCCAUUCUCUGACUGGUCGCCAUAGAAAUCGAUCGGUGCUGAGUCGGACCGUGACGAAUCGGAGAAAGAUGAAAUCCGCUUUUUUAUUCCUAGCUCUUCCCCAAUCGGCGCACACAAUCCAGCUCCCGGAAACGCGCCAAGGCACCAGCCCCGGCCGACUUCCCGACACUUUCAACCCACAAACCACACACACACACACCCAAUAAGCUAAGAUGGGGGUCGAUGAUCACGACACCUUCUCCGGCCUCACCCCUCUCCAGCAAGCUGCUCAGGAGGGUGAUGUCGCCAAAGUCGUCGAGCUGCUGGAUGCCGGUGCGGACGUGAACAUCCAGGCCAACGGCGAGGUGCGCCCGAAAACCCUGAAACUCCCCAGAUCUCUGCCCUGUGCACACCUCGGCCGCCGUGACGUCUUCACGCGACGUGAGAGUCGCGCGCGGGGAACCACCGCGUCUGUCGCUUUUGGCCCCCCCCUUUUUCUUUUUUAUCCCGCACCGUUAGCCGAUCGGCUCCGGCCGGUCCGGCGAACGCCCCCUCGGAUGCUUCCGACGCGCGAUCCGACCCGUUCGAUCCGUCUCUGACCUAUUCGUUCGAUCCUUCAGAUGGCCGGCAAGACCGCCGCCAUGAUCGCCGCCUCCAACGGCAACACGGAGAUCCUCAAGGCCCUCGGUCGCGGUCCCUCGCUCCUGGACCUCAAGGAUGCCGACGGGGGCACCGCCGCGAUGACUGCCGCCGUGCACCACCACGGAUCCGUCCUCGACUACGUGAGUUCCCGCCCAUCGUCUAAUAUCGCCAGUCUCAGUCGAUCGGGUCCGCCCUGAAUCCCCCUCCCUCGCACCGACGCCGCCUCGGCGCGCGUCAUCGCCCCGACCCGUCUGCUGAGUCAGAUCCCGCCGAACCAACCUUGACGUCGACCUCCGUCCUCCCCGCGCGCAGCUGAUCGAGAAACACGUGGAUCUCAACGCGACGGACAGCGACGGCUGGACCGCGCUCAUGUACGCCGUCACCGUCGGCGACGCGGUGUGCGUGGAGAAGCUCGUCAAGGCUGGCGCGGACAUCUCCAUCAAGAACGCGGAUGGGGAGACUGCGAUUGACCUGUGCAAGCAGUCCAAGAAGCGGUACCCGCUCAUCCAGAUCAUCGAUCCGAAGGAGCCCCUCCCCGACAUCACCGAGUAGACGACUAACCUGUAACAACAACAACAACGACGACGACGAUGACGACAAAAACAAAAACCACCGACGACGCGUGGACGAGGCGCGAGCGCGACGCGUCGCCGUAAGUUAGCAACCUCAGUGGUACGGCGGGUUAGGCAUCUUUAAAACCCAAAGCCGUCGACGUUUAGUUGGCUAUGCGUCGUAUUACCGUCGUCUCUAAUGUGUGCUACUGGGCGCGUCGGUGCCGACGCUCUCGAUCUCCUUGCGGAGCAGUCUGGACACCGCCGCGUUCAGGUCCGCCCUCAGCCGCGGGUCCUCGAGGGGCGAAUCGAUCGACUCGAGCUCGCCGGGUGGCGCGACGUCCCUCUUGACAGCCCCUUGUUUGUCCCCCCGCUCCUUCGCCUUCCCCCCGGGCGUCAUCUUCCGCGAGUGCGCUAAACCCGCCCGCUCCUUCACCUUCAUCGCCGACGCCUUCGACGACUCCGCCGUGCCCUUGACGCCUUUGUCCGCCCGCCGCGCCGGUUGGUGGUCGCGCUCGCUCCACAGCGACUCGUCCAUCGCCUCCCACUCGCGGAGCAUCUGCGUGGACGCAUCCGGACCGGCGCUCGGCUUUGGCGUACGAAUCGUGCUCGUCUCUUUGGAGCGAUGCGUCGUCUCUUUUUGAUGGCGCACCGGGACCACCACGUCGGGUUCGUCUUCGAGGACGGAGACUUUCGGGUACAGCGGCGAGGUUGGGUGAUCUUCUCGCUCCGGCCGGUACCCGUGCGCGAGUCCGAGGAACACGCCCAUGCCGACGACGAAGAAGAGCACGAAGGUUAUGGACCACCACCACACCCUGUGCUGCAGCUUCGCGUCGCACACGCCGAUCCAGUUUUUCUCCUCCUCGUCCUUCUCGACCGACCGCGCCGGGCUGACGUCGUCCGCCCGGGUCGCCGACGCGGGCUUGGCGCCGAUGUCGUCCUCGGACGACGACCCGACGAUUGGCGCCUUGGCUGGGUUCUCCUGAUGGAACCUUAAGACCGUCUCCUCGCCCACCUUCUGGUUGCUCCUGUGGUGGUGCUUUCGCGCGCGCGCCUCGCGUCGAUCGCUCGCCGUCUCCCUCGCCGUGUCGUUGUUCACCAACCGUCGCUGCGAUCGAGACCUCGGCGGGCGCGAGUAGAACACCGCGGGAUCGGGCUCGACGGGCUCCGAGGCGCGACGCCCGCGGUCGCCCUCGCGUCUCUCAUCGUCGCGUCCUCCGCCGCCGGUUCCCGCGCGUGGAACCCGCCCAGUCUCCGGGUCCACCAGCGGCUUCUUCACCUCCUCGGUGCUGCACAGGUCCUUGCAGCACUUGGAGCCCCCGAGACCCAUGUCCCCCGGUUGUUCGUUGCCGCCUCCGCGCGGUGCCGCCUAUCCUUCGCGAUGGGGCCGAGACCGGACGAGGGCGACGAUCGCGCGCGAUCACUUCCAGUCGCGCGCCUCGUUCGCCUCGAUUCGUCCGCCGCGCUCGAAUAGGUCGCGCGCCUCGCCUCCUCCCGGCGCGCGCCCGUCGGCUCUGCGCGCGGGACGGGACCGCGCGCGGCUUGCGGGCGGGAGUUACAAAACAGCCGCGGCCCCGAAAUUUUUGGCAACCGACAGCAUUUUUGGCACGGGGACCGGACGUGCGAGAUUGAACCCUCAUCGAGGGUUUCACGUGAUCCGAAACCAAACCGGGGAAAACGAAUCUUUUCCAACUGAGUUCCAUACGGAUCUCGAACCGUCGCCUGACCUGAGGCGGAGAAGCGUUCUUGGUCUGCUCUGCGACCCCUGAAACACGGCUUUCGAGCCGCCAAUCGGCUCACUUUUCCACACACACAUCCACCUUCCCCCAAACAAACAGGUGAGCAUCCGACCCAUUCCUUGGAAACGGAAGCGCGUUUCUCUUUCGUGCGACACGCAUCGGGCCGAUUCGCGAAGCGACCGCGCGUUUACGCGUCGCCCGGCGCGAAUCAGCGCGUUUUCCGAAACCAUUUUUGGCGGCGGGACCGGCUUUUUUCCGCCCGACAGCGACGGGACGGACAGAAUCUGCGCCAGAUCCGCGUCGCGACGUGCCCCGAGUCGGCGCCCGCUCCCAUGGGUUCGUCUCUCGUGCACGGGUAAUCGUGGUCGUGCGCCGGCUUCCCCUCGAUCCGUCCAUUCCUCGCCCCAACGCCCCCCUCCCCGAACCUAUAUUGACGUGAUCUCAAUCCUCCCCGCACGUUUUUGUCGCCGCCGCAGACAAAAUGGCUACCGACGGCAAGGAGCACCUUUCCAUCGUCAUCUGCGGUCACGUCGACUCCGGUAAGUCGACCACCACCGGCCGUCUCAUCUUCGAGCUCGGAGGCAUCCCCGAGCGUGAGAUCGAGAAGCUCCGCGCGGAGGCCGAUGCCCUCGGCAAGUCCUCCUUCGCCUUCGC